rnacentral:lncRNA from 1 species
CACGGCCAGUCGAAACGAGGGUGGUCAACCGUUUACUUGCUUGGUUUACCCUCAACUCCUUAUUUGGGCUGCUGAAGUGGCGCGUGCGUAUCACCUCCCUUCGGCGCUACUCUGGCUUCAACCAGUCCUCGUUUUCGACGUUUAUUACUAUUACUUCUAUGGAUAUGGCGAUCUAAUUGAAGGAAAGGUUAAUGAUUUGAUAGAGUUACCGGGACUGCCGCCACUCACCGGCCGUGAUCUUCCUUCUUUCCUAGAUCCCAGAAAUUCAAAUGAUGCUUACUCUUUCGUAUUACCUUCUUUUAAAGAACAAAUGGAGGCAAUUGUUGAAGAAACCGAUCCAAGAAUUCUUGUCAACACGUUCGACGCAUUAGAAGCUGAGACCUUGAAAGCUAUCGAUAAGUUCAAUAUGAUCGCAAUCGGACCGUUAGUUGCAUCGGCGUUGUUGGACGGAAAAGAGCAGUACGGAGGCGAUCUUUGCCAGAAUAGUUCAAUAGAGUAUUAUAUGGAAUGGCUAAGCUCGAAGCCCAAAUCAUCUGUUAUCUACGUGGCGUUCGGAACCAUAUGCGUUCUGGAGAAGCGUCAAGUGGAGGAAAUUGCACGGGGGUUGUUAGAUAGUGGCCAUCCAUUCUUGUGGGUCAGUAGAGAAAACGACAAUAAAGAUAAAGAUAAAGAUAAAGAUAAAGAUGAAGGAGAAGAUGACGUGAUGAUGAAGUACAAAGAAGAGCUGAAUGAGAAGGGAAUGAUAGUGCCGUGGUGUUCACAAGUGGAGGUUCUGUCACAUGAAGCGGUGGGGUGUUUUGUAACGCACUGUGGGUGGAGUUCGAGCUUAGAAAGCUUGGUAUAUGGCGUGCCUGUGGUGGCGUUUCCUCAGUGGACAGAUCAAGGGACAAACGCUAAAAUUAUUGUGGACUUCUGCAAAACCGGAGUGAGAGUGAAGGCAAAUGAAGAAGGGAUUGUAGAAAGUGAUGAGAUUAACAGGUGUUUGGAGUUGGUGAUCGGAGAAGGAGAUGAUUUUAGAAGAAAUUCUUUGAAAUGGAAGGAUUUGGCCAGAGAUGCCGUCAAACAAGGAGGGUCUUCACAUAAGAAUCUUAAGGCUUUUGUUGAUGACUUUAGCACCAGCAAGUAAGUUUUAUCUUUUUGUUUUUUCCUCGUUUUUACUCUUUGAAUAUCAGAAGAUUGAAUAUAUAAAAGAAAGACAUUUGUAACGAUUUUUACUUUUUAUCUUCAUCUGUCAUAUGGCACGACGGUUAAGCGACCAUCAUUAAUUUGGUGUCAAGAAAAUUUGAUGACGGAUUUUAUAUGUCAGGCAAUGCAUGAUAUAUUAUCCAUUACGAUUCUAUCAUAAAUAUUUUGAUAAUAAAUUAUCAUGCAUGACUAACAUUUAUUAUAAUUACUUUCAAAGCAUGACUAAUAUCUAUCGCAAGAGAAUGAUACAUAUAAAUGAAUUUGGCUGGAAUUCCAAAAUCUAAAUAAAUUUGACGAAAUUUUAAAAUUUUUAAAUGAGUUGGGCUGGAAUUACAAAAUUAUUUUAUUUAAUUAUUAAUUUAUUCAAUUAAUUGUAAUUAUUAUUGAAUUAAAUUUUAAUUUUGAAAUAUAUUCUUUUAUAAAUUAUUAUGAUGACGAUGAUAUGUGUAUAUGCUCCAAAAUUAUAUAAAUAUAUACAAAUUAAGAAUUUAAAAUUAAUUAAACUACAUAAUAAUAACAUGAAUAUAUUAUUUGUUCUUUUAAACUAAAUACAAUUACUAUCAAUCACAUAAUAUGAACAAGAACAUCAUUCAUUCUUAGGCUACAUCAAACUCCAUAUUUCCACUAAAAACAUAAAAAUUCCAGCUUUUGAGAGGAUCGGUACAAACGCUGCAUGUUAACUUAACUAGCAAGCAAAAAACUAAAGCACCUCAUCAACCAACUACAGUCUAACAAAUUAUGUGACGUUCAGGACAAAAUCCAGCAUGGGGUCCUUAGAUCCAAAACACAAUUUAGUUGCCGGCCACCUGGAAUUUCAAUUAAGAGAAAAAAAACAUCAGUUGGAUAAUCUCAAAAACCAAGUUUCCAUAAAUUUUAUCUUUGCAAAAUGCACUAGGAUUAUUGUUAGGAAUUUGGUGGGUGAAGCAGAACCAUAGUUAAAAUGAAAUUGGAAGAAAAAAUAAAGAACAAGUAGAAAGAGGACACCAAGAAAUUACGUGGUUCAACUUUUAGUCUACAUUCACGGGCGAAGACAGAAGGAAAAUAUUUUACUAGUGAUAUGAGAAUUACAAGUAUUGUAAUAUUUUGGCUUACUACCCAGAACCUCAAUACACCUAAUCUCUCACUCACUAGACUCAUAAGAGCUUUAUAAUUUAAACCUUUAAAAUUACCCAAGCUCCCUGCUUUCUCUCUCACAAAUUUUUGAUGCCAAAACGAAAUGGGGAGCUCUAUAAUUUUUUUUCUCACCGUCAUUAUCUUCUUCAUUCUUCUUUUUCAUUCUUCAAAGAACGCUACUGCCAAAUUCCAUUUUUUCUUCGUCUUUCAUUUUGUCUUUGUUCAAAUUUGGCAGCUUCAACUCUUUUUCUUCUUCCUUGUUUUCUUUGGGUCGCAACUUCCCCUUCAAUAUUUGCUACUUCAAAGUUUCUUCAUUCUUCUAGAUUGGUGGCUGUCAAAGCCAAUUUGAAUUUGGCUUGUUAAAGCCACCGGCUUUGUCAGCCAUUAUUUUGACAAUUAUUUGCUUUAAUAAACUUCAAUAUGGCCUCAAAUUGACGUAUACAAUUUGAGAAAGUGCAACACCAACAAAACUCUCAAUUAUCUUAAUGUAGUCUUAUUGUACCUAACCGAUAACUUUCAACGUAAAACAUGAACUAUAAAAAGCCUCAAACAUAUAUAUUUCACUUUAAACACUUUAUGAACUAAUAAAGUAAUAGAGUACAGUCUAGAAAAUUAUUUACAAAUUUAUAACUGCCAUAAAGCUUAAACCCUUAUGUGGUGUAAAAUUAAAUUUUAAGAUCUAAAUCCCUAACAUAACUUCAAUAAUUAAAAAAAAAAACCUAGAAAUGAUCAAUAAAAGUUUUCUUUCUAAUUUUCAAAUUCCAUUCACAAUAAUUUAAUUCUAACUUAAUAAGAAACAAAAACAUUCAAAUCAUUAUAAUAAAUGUUCAUUCUAAAAUAUCACUUCCUAAGAACACAUAAGAGUUGGGACAGAGGAGACGACAUAUUGGAGCUAGUGGAGGAGUUGUGGAGAUAUUAGUAGCAGAUGCAGUAGAGAAGUGAGCAUGCACCGAGUAGAAGGGGGUUAGUUCAGGUCGUUUGGAAUUGGAGGCUGCUGGUUCUAGUUUGGCUCCUUUGGAGAAAUUGAAGGGGGGCUGUGCGAGUUAAAAAGAAAGACGUUUGGCAUUUGGGUUUUGUUUUAAAUUAAGGUGGAGGUGCAAUUAGUCAUAAAAGAGGGUUAACUUAAAACAAUUUAAUUUUAAAGUGUCAAUUAUAUUUAAAAGUUCAUGACAAAUGUUUAUCAUAGUGCACAAACACCGUCGAAUAAUCAAAUCAUGUAAAAAUCAAUGUUAUAUUACAAUGGUAUUUUUGUAAUUAAAGUUAUUAUAGAAAACUUAAAAUAAUUGAAUUAAUAAUAAAAAACGAUGCCAUUGCAUACCAUGCCUGUCAUGGUUUGAAACGAUGUCAUUUCAAUCUAUGACAAUGCCUGUCAUGCUUCGCAAACAACGUUAGAUGGUAUCGUAAAACGACUUGUCAUUUUAAUUUAUUAAAAAAAAUCAACAUUACAUAUAUCUAUCAUUUACUUAUGUCAGUAAGUUAUAAGUCACGAAUAAGUCAUGUAAUCUUGACAUAUAAUUAUAUGUCACGAACAUGUCAUACACGUACAUGAUAUAUUUGUGACACAAUGUUAUCUGUUAUAAAAAUUUUGUUAUUAAUUUGCGUUUCUUUAGUAGUGUUUAGGAUCAUAUGAUAUAUGAUAUGGUAAGAGAUGAUAUAAUUAAAUAUUGUAUUUUUGUAUAUUUAGUUGAAUUUUGUAUGAUCAUUAAUUAUAUGUUUUUCAAAAUAAAUAUACUUAUGUCAUAUAAUAUUAUUUAUUUAUUAUCAUCAUAUUUAUAAAAAAAUUUAGCAUGCAUUGCUCUUUUUAUUAUUAUUGUUAUCAUUUUAUAUGUGGACAUACCAUUAUAUAUAUGGAAUAAUGAAAGUGAAUCAGCUUCACAAUAUCACCUAGCAAGUACAUGAAAUGGUGGAUCGGUACCCUAGUCUCCAGAGUGAUGCUAUAUAUUUAUAUAUAUGCACUUCACUCCGCAAUAUCAACCAGCAAGUACAUGAAAUGGGGUGAAUUAGUACCCUAGUCUCCAGAGUAAUGCUGUGUGUGUGUGUGUGUGUGUGUGUAGACACUUGUACAACUAUGUGCUGAGAUAAAUUUGAGCUUUAUGCCCUUUAUCUUACAUUUCCAAGUAAAAACAUUCAUUAGAUAAAAGUUUGAGAUUUACCUUAAUUGGCCAUGAGUCCAAAUUUUAUUAUCUAGCUUGCCUCUUACUCGUGAAUCCAACAUUUUUUUCCUCUAAUUUGCAGUGAUUCUACCUUAAAUUUUAGCUGCAAAAUCAAGCUCACUAUGCACACAAACACAAUCGGCCAAGAGGGAGGGAGAGAGAGAGAGGUGCACUGUACUCAUACCCCAGAUUCUAUGAAUAGUGAACUCCGAAUGAGCUGAAGGCACUUAAAUAUUAUAGCUGAGUGCAGGAAUCCCUCAUGUGUUAGUACAAAAUUGCCCAUUCCAUUAUGAGCUAAAAUAACACAAUUGAAGGUUAUACUUGCCCAUAAUGGACUACUAUAUAGGGUAUGACAAAAUUAGACUCAUUAACAUAAUAUUUGAUCACUUAAUAAAUGAGCCUGUCAAAAAUACUCUUUAAUAUUUGACAUCAGUCACAUAUUAAUUCGGUAAAACAUGAAAAAUAAUUAGAAUUAUAACACCUUAGGCGAAUCCCACAUCGGCAAAGCACGGGAGAGAUGCUGGGUUUAUAAGAAGUGAUCCACACCUUAAUUGGCAAGACGCGUUUUGGGGUGUAUGGGCGCCCCAAGAACAAAUCCGUGUGGGCCUUGUUAAGGCCCAAAGCGGACAAUAUCUUGCCAGGUCUGGGUUGGGUCAUGACAUUAUGGUAUCAGAGCGGCUCCGCGUGUCCUCUUAAGCGAUGGUGGGGCAAACCUCAACGAGGACGCUGAGUCCCCAAGGGGGGGUGCAUGUAACACCUUAGGCGAAUCCCACAUCGGUAAAGCACGGGAGAGAUGCUGGGUUUAUAAGAAGUGAUCCAAACCUUAAUUGGCAAGACGCGUUUUGGGGUGUAUGGGCGCCCCAAGAACAAAUCCGUGCAGGCCUUGUUAAGGCCCAAAGCGGACAAUAUCUUGCCAGGUCUGGGUUAGGCCAUGACAAGAAUGAUCUAUGCCAAUCUACAAUAUGUGAGAAAUAAAUCUAACACAAUGUGCAAACUACAAGAAAAGUAAAUUUUUUACUUGUACAACUAUGUACUAACCGUUUUUAGGCAGAAAAGAUUUUUGUUCAAUCAAGUCAUCAAUAAUAAACAAAAAUAAGUGUAUAACUUUUCUAAUGGCAAAAUAACUAUUAAAAAUAGCUUCGAAUUUGGUUGUUAAUAAAUAAACUUUAGUAUAAAACAGUAGUAUCAUUAUUAAAUAGUGGAGAAUGCAUAUUUAUAAAGGGUAAAAUUAUUGAUCUGUUCUAAGUCAGAUCUGGUCUAUAAGGCAGACUAGUCUCUGCAUUGAUCAGGUAGAACAACGCCACAUACCGAUUUAAUCAUAAUAAAAAGAACCCACAACUGUGUUUCUGCUUUGUUAGAAUCCAAGGUUUUUAAAAGUUUAUCAAGAUAUUCCUUUUAAAGAUUCGGAUCAGAAAUAUGUUUAACAAGCUCAAGAAAGGUUUCUUGGUCUUUAGUCAAAACAUUGAUUUUCUUGAGAUAAGAAACUGAAUCACUAGUGUUGGAACCACUAGAAGAAACAGAUUCAGAGUCAUUUAACUCAUCAACCUGUAGGGGUUCACUAUCUCCCGUCAUGGAAGACUCAGAGUCAGAAGACUCUACAAGUAAAUGGGCUACUUUAGAAAGAAUUUCUUCAUCAAGGCCAAGCUCAUAGAGCUUUCUGUUCAUUCUGCAAAACUUUACAGUGUGGCCUUUCUUUCCACAUUUAUAACAUGUGGCUUCUUUGUAGUUAAAAGGACUCUUUUGUUUAGGUUUAAAAUCCUUCUUUUUAGAGAAGCUGGGCUUCUUAUAAGGCCUCGAAGGUUUCUUAUAAGAAAGUUUUCUAAAAUCUUGGAAGGGCUUCUUAUGGCUUCUUGAAUUGUAAUAUUUUUUGUAAGGUUUCGAAGAACACUUACCAUUACAAUCCUUAGAAGUAGAAGUUUUAAAGGGGUCAUAAUUGAAUUGUUUACAGAAACUACCUAAUUCUUGCUUAGAUUUCCUAAGCUCCCAUUUUAGUCGUUUCUGUAACUUCAAAUCUUGACAAAUCUUUAAAACUUCUUUGUUGACAAAACUGACAAGUUCACCACAGGUAAGCUCGUCAUAAGGAAUACGAUUGUCAUACAAGGCUUUAAUGGAAUUUCUAACCUUCUCUCCUAAAAGGGUUGGUAAACCUGCAAGGAAUUUUUCCUUCCAAGUUGUAUGAUUUGCAUCAUCCCUAAGGAAAAGUCUGGUAAAGAAAGUGGUUUUAUAACUUUGGAAUUCACUAAGUUUCCUAUACCUGAGAUUGUGUAGCAACUCAGCGUUCUUAUCCCUAAGGUGCGAAGGGUCACCUAUGAAAUGAAGGGAUAUAGUCAAAAUUAGGGUAGCAACAGCAUCCUGAAUUGGACUAUUGAACUCAUCAAGAAUAGGGACUCCAUUCUCAUCGACUUGAAUAGAAUUUAAGACAUCUAAUUGUUGCUGUUGGGUGAGAAGGUGAUCCCACCAACCUUUAAGUUGACCCGUAAACCCUGCGAUGAGAAUUUCUGCUAUGGCUCUAUCAGAAGUUCCCCCCUGAGUUUUAUAGGCAUUGGCUACCAUGGUCAUUUGUUGCAACAAGCCUAAGAUGUUGUACUCAGACAUACAUCAAUAUUCCACUCAUAGACAGAAGAUGCAUUAAAUCGCGAUUGAUUUAAAGCACUUGGUUUAUUAUUUAUAGCUAGAUCUGGUGGAGUCUUGACAGUAGGUAAGGCUAAUUCCCAAUGGAUUUUGUUGGCUUUAGGAGCAGAUGGUUCAUCUUUAAAUGCUUCUAUAUCGGAAGAGGCUAUAGAAACAUUGUCAUGUUCUAGUACACCAAUCUUGCUAGAUUGGGCACUAUCCGGGGCUAUCUGGACCUUAGAAGAAGAAGAAGAAGAAGCUUCUAUUCUAUCUAAUUGGUCUCUAAUGGCUUUAGUAAAAUAUGAUUUUGACUAUUGCACAAGCUUUUGGCUAGUUUUCGAAACCUGAAAAGGUUUGAAAAUAGGUUCCUUAAGCUUUUUGUCAGAAUCCGAUAUUGUGCUAAUAGGAGAAACAGCUAUGGUUGACCUUUGGAAUUGGCUUUCUAUCCUAGUCAACUGUUUUCCUAUCGUAUUUAAGUUAGUAUUACAGAAAUUAUUCUGUUGAAUAAUACUACUUAAAUUCGCAUCAGAAUCAUUUGGUUUAGGGAUUUUAUAAAGUGAGGCUCUAAUUUGGACAGGAGGUUCACCGUGAUUAACAGUUAAACUCCUAAGAGGUGAAUGCUCAGAUUCUAUAGUUCUAUCACUAUCAGAAAGUUUCCACUUAUAAAUUUUCUUCCUAAUAGUAAUAGGGUUUGAUUCUUUAAAAGGAUAAGAGAUGUUGUUAUUCGAAGAAUAUAUCUCAAACCAAUCAAAAAACAAUAUGUGAAUUUAUAAAUUCAUAAUAUGUGUCUUGAAUUUCUUUUCUUUGAUUUAGAAAAUGUUUAAAAAACCAAAGUCUUUUUUCUUUAUUACCGUCUGAAUAAAAAUCAUUGUGGAGAAAAGUUUUAUCCAGUUCAAAAUUUUUUUCAAUGACAUUUAUAACAUUUUCCGUGACUGCAGAAAACGUAUGAGAAGUUGGAGGAGAAGGUUCCUUCUCUUCCUGUCUUUGUUCAUGUUGGCUGCUAGUGUAGAUAGGGUGAGGAACACUAGUGGUAUAAUCAACAGAAUGUAUAGAGGAACUAGGUAUAUCCGAAGUGGAAAACCUGGGUUGACUUUGUUGAAAAGGAAGAUUUAUUACGGAAGGAACUUUUGUAAAUUUUCUUUCUAAUGAAGGAAUGCUUGAGCAAGAAUCUUUAUCGGAGAAUCUAGUUGAAGUAGAUCUCCUAAAGGACAGUUUUACUUUACCAUAUGAAUACUGAGUCACAUUUUGCAACUCUGUAUUUGGCUCAAGUUGUUUUGGAAUCACUAGAGCAGUGGCUCCUUCAAGAAUCCAUUCAUCGGGAAGAUUGACAUCUUUCCAUUGGAUAGGUUUUGGAAUAACAUUGUUAGCUUUAAACAGGUCAGUCUGUAAGAGAAGAGUCUCAUCUCUUUUUUACUGAAAUUUAUGUUGCGUGCUAAACGCAGAAAUCAUGGUUUUAUAGGAAAUUUUAUAAAUUAAGGCUACAGGAAUAGAUCCCUCAAUCAUAUCAUAAUUGUGGGUCUUGAUUUGUAAAAUCAUACUUUUUAAAAUGUUUUUGUCUUUUAAAGAAAUUGUUAUGUUCGGAUAACAAUUAAAUGAAAUUGGACCUUUACACAGACUUGAUUCUAUACUACUUAGUAAAGAAUCAUCAAAAGAGAUGAAUCGACCAUCUCUCAGAACGACAAGGAUGGAAGUAUUAAGUCCUUCUUUAGUAAGGGGUUUUAUGCCGACUUGUAUUAAGCCGAUGUGAAUAUAAUGAAAAUUUUUAUCUCUUAAUUUCUUUACAGAUUGCUCUGAAAAUAAAUGAAUUGUUUCAAAAGGCUUUGAAAGGGUUAUAUCGCGUUCUUCAGUCUUUAUAACAUAAUCAUUCUUUAAAAAAUCAAGCUUUUUUGUUUUAUAAAUAAUUUCUUUAUUAACUUUAGGUAAUUCCCAAUUAUCAAUUGCUUUAUUAAAAUCUUCAAUCACAAAUUCUUCCGAAUUCACAACAUUCUUUGAAUCACUAGUUCUUCCAGAAGAAGAGCUAGAGAAAGAUGAUGCUCUACAGGGUAGAGAAUCCAUGGUGUUAAAACUAAAAUCUAUAUGAAUGCCUACAGGUAUGGUUUUACAGCCCUAAACGAAAAAUCUUAUCCUAAAACGGGACUUACUACCAGUAAAAAAUUCAGCACACACACAGAGAAUAAUUUAAGACAACAUAGAUUCUUUACAACUAUAUCACAUAUACUUCCCAGGCUCUGAUACCAGAAGGAAAUGCCAUCCAGUGCCUAAAUCUUUUUAAAACCCAUUAUGUACCUACAGAAUCUGAGAAACGAUUUCCUCCUUUUCUCUGCUUCUGUACAAAUUUCUUUCUUCCCUGGGUAUGGAUGUGGAACUUCCGAUACCAUCCACAAGAUGCCCAACUAAUUUUACAAAGAACCUUUAAAGUUAAAUGGUGGUCAAAAUUUGAUGAACAAUCCAAAUUGACUGUUAAUAUGAUCGAAAAUUGGCUCUCCUCUAAAAACCUUCUUCACCCAACCAUUAAAGAUAUUAAAGCCCAAGGAACCUUCAUAUAUAUAUAUAUAUAUAUAUGUAAUUUUUUUUUUACUUUCGGACUUAAUGUGGUUGUUUUGACUCAUUGUCAACAAACAAUGUAUCUUGUCUAGAUUUUACUCAGCAUACCAACUCUCUAGUGAAAGAUCAUUACUGUCUGGCACAAUGAGCACUUAGUACCAUAUUUAUUAAAGGAAAAUUUUCCUCUAGCAUUUUAUGGGUCAUAUUGACUCAGUAUCGAGAGAGAUUGCAUAUAAGCUAUUUAGUGGGUGGUCUUGCCACAUUGUUGAAAGAAGGAUUAUUAUUGUCUGGUAUAGCGUGUUCUUGACACCACACUUAAUGGAAGAUCAUUACCCUCUAGCACACUAAGCUCUUAAUACUAUAUUUAUUAGAGUGAGGAUUUUCAGGAGUGGUAAUACCUAAAAUACUAGCUAUGCAACCUAAGAUGAGGGUGAAUUAGGUUUGAAAAAAAAAUUAUGUUAUGCUUGCAUAAAAGUUAAUGCAAAUCUUAAACAAAUUCAAAACAAUAGUAGAUAAACCAAUCAAAAAGUAAAGAGAUAAGGGAAAAGAAUUUCAAACACAGAUUUUUAUGUCGUUUGGCCAACCCUGCCUACGUCCACGCCUCCAACCUCACCGGGCUUGAGGAUUCUAUUAUUCAAGCCUCCAAGGCUUCAAUACCUUUUACAAUUGACUUCACAAAUGUCAAUCAACCUUUACAAUAAGAGAUUGUCCCAAAUCUCUUAACCUAAGUAUAUCUCACACUCACAAUCACUCGAAAAUAAAGAUUACAAAAGCGUUUUCCCUCACACAACAUAUAUGUUUACAAGUGAAAGCUCAAAGUGUGAUUCAACGAAACAAUGACAAGUUUAGAGCUCAGUAUAGAUUGUUUACUCAGUAGUAAGCUCAACUAUGACUGUUAGAUCACUUUUUAUUUGAAUUUGGUUGAGUCAUUUUAUGGUCGCUACUGAAAAACUAGUCGUUGUUGACUUUCUGCAUACAAUUAGACCGCCGUUAGCCUUUAACUAAUUGCCAUUUUGACUUAAGCAAGUGACUAUAAUUUCAAAUUGUUGGAUCAUCAUUUUCUAGAUGUUGAAUCGUCGUUAGUUUCCAAUGUAACACUUUAGGCGAAUCCCACAUCGGCAAAGCACGAGAGAGAUGCUGGGUUUAUAAGGGGUGAUCCACACCUUAAUUGGCAAGACGCAUUUUGGGAUGUAUGGGCGCCCCAUGAACAAAAUCGUGCUGGCUUUAUUAAGGGCUAAAACGGACAAUAUCUUGCCAGGUCUGGGUUGGGUUAUGACAUUAUGGUAUCAGAGCAACUCCACAUAUCCUCUUGAACGAUAGUGGGACAAACCUCAGCGAGAACGCUAAGUCCCCAAAGGGGGGGUGUAUGUAACACCUUAGGCAAAUCCCACAUCGGCAAUGCACGAGAGAGAUGUUAGGUUUAUAAGGGGUGAUCCAUACCUUAAUUGAUAAGACGCGUUUUAAGGUGUAUGGGCACCCUAUAAGCAAAAAUUUGCAAGUCUUGUUAAGGGUCAAAGCGGACAAUAUCUUAUCAGGUCUGGGUUGGGUUACGACAUUAUGGUAUUUUAGCGGCUCAGCGUGUCCUCUUGAACGAUUGUGGGGCAAACCUCAACAAGGACACUGAGUCCCUAACGGGGGUGUAUGUAACGCCCUAGGCGAAUCCCACAUCGGCAAAGCACAAGAGAGAUGCUGGAUUUAUAAAGAGUGAUCCACAACUUAAUUGGCAAGACGCGUUUUGGGGUGUAAAGCGAACAAUAUCUUGUCAGGUCUGAGUUGGGUCAUGACAUCUAGUAACUUGCAAAAGAGAUAUCGACUUACCAUAUUUCCAAAAGUCUAUUUGCCGUUAGUGUCCAGAAUUUAAACUUCAAAUUUUACUCAAUAUCGGUUAGUUGUUUAUAUACUAAGGGUUAGUCGAUUGCGUCCAGAGAGGAUGUAAUCUUGCCUUAAUUAAUCGGUUAGCCCUUUUUUAGCAAGCAGGAAACCGUUUAUUACCAAAAUUUUAUUCUAUGCUCAAUUCAUUGCGUGGCUUAAGAAAUUUGGACUAAAAAAUAUAUAACUCAAUGAAGAAAAAAAAAGUUAUAUACUUGGUAUCGUCAUCUUGUUAUAGCACUCAAAUAAAUGAAAUUUUAUCUUAAAGCUAUACCAGAUAUAUAGAUGCAAUACCAUUAGUUAACAUUCAAAGAUUCUGGGAAACUUUAAUACGACAUCAACUAAUCAAUUAGGUUGCAUUAGCCAACACAAAAUAACUAAAAACAGAACAAAUUCUAUGAAAAAUUAAUCUAAAAAUCUUUGAAAAGUAAUUGCUUUUGUACUAUGAAUUAAAAGUAAAAAGGAAAAGCAUUCCACACACUUUGACAUGCUAUGAAAUAUCUCAUAUACUUCAUUUUUUGUCUCGACCUCUCAACAACAGUCAAAAAAAUUUCAAAGAGCCAACUUCGACCUCGUGAAUUUAGAUUUAUAUAAGUAUAUACAAAUCGACAACAGGUCUUAUUCUAACGAUUAAAACUAAUGCUUUCCAUGGUCACUAUAAGUAAAAAGAAAUUAAAGUUAUUUUUCUCCUUUCUUUUUCCUAGGACAACUCUUGUUCAAACCAAAAAACCUUGAUCUUGAACAUCUUUAUAAUCAAAACACAAUUACCUACAUACAGUGCCAUAUCGUAAUGUGCAAAGAGGAAGACGCAUAAGACAAUCAAUAUCACUAAUAGCAUAUAUUUUCUUCCCUUUUUAAAUUGGAGACAGCCAGCUGAAGCUUGACUUGCUUAUCAGCCUCGCUUGGAUUCAACCACUUGAGAGGAAGCCAACAACAGUUUUUGCAUUAGAUGCUCUGCCUAUAUUUUCCUCGCCAAUCCUUUUACAUUGGAAGCAUAAGACAUUAAAAAAAACACUGAUAGUAACAAAUUAACUGACAAUUCAAAAUGUUAUACAAUUCAUGUUAAUUACUAUAAUCUAAUAAGGCAAGGAAAAAAAAUUAAGGACAUUAAUUGCAGAAAAAAAGUGAAACAAUUAUUCAAAAAUAUAGAUCUUAAUGUAUGAAAAUACAAACAAAAGCCUAAAGCCUAAAGGAUCUGUUUUUUGAUUUGAGAUUAAAAAAAUCAAAUUUAUAUUUUAACAAAGAAUAAUAAUUUUCAAAUUUACGCAUAUAAAAGAAUAUAAAAAUGUGUAAAUAUGUUUUCAUUUAGUUAGUAGCUUUGCUCGUCUAAACAUAACUCUUUUUUUAGUGUUGUAUUAAAAUAAAAAAUAAUUGAAUACUAUUUAGAGUAAUAUAUUAUAUAAUUUUAGGAAAAGCACAUCUACACCCCCAAAUUUUGGAGAAAUGGCCAUCAACACCCCCAAGUUUUUAAAGAGGGACACCAAGACCCCUUUUUAAUGAUUAUAACCUUUAUUUCUAUUAUCCCAAAAGAAUUAACUCUAAUAUUUUAUAAUAAAUAGAAAUAUAAUAUUAAAAUAAAUAUAAUAAUAUAUACAUUUUAAAAUAAUUUCAAUAUUUAAAAAAUAUUUUAAUAUUUUAUAAUCUAUUAGAUAUAUUUUAUUAUUUUAAAGAAAAUUUUAUGAUAAAUAGAAUCAUAAUAUUAAAAUAAAUGUAUUAAAAAUUUAAAUUAUUUUUAAUAUUAUGUAAAAUAAUAAUUUUAACAAUAUUAGUAUGCGAGAAUGUUUUUAAUUGUAGAACGUAUUUAAUGCAAAUAUUUAUUUAAAAUCUCUACAAUGAAUAAAAAUAUAUUAUUAAAAUAAAUAUAAUAAUUUACAUAUUAGAAUUUAUUAAAUAUUAAAUAUUUUAAUAUUGUUAUUCUACUGCAUAAAUUACAUUAUUUAUAGAAUUUGUAUGUACUAAAAAUUUUAAAGUCAAUUUUUUAGAAUAAUAGAGGUAAAUGGUAUAAUGGUCAAAAUGAGGUCUUAGUGUCCCUCUUUAAAAGCUUGGGGGUGUUGAUGACCAUUUCCCCAAACCUUGGGGGUAUAGAUGUCAUUUUUCCUAUAAUUUUUUUAGAAAAAGUUUACAAUCUAUAUACAAAUUAUGAUUUAUAAUUUAAUGGGAUUCUAUAUACGUAUACUUUAUAGUAUAGUCUGAAAGUUCUCCGAGUGUUAACUUGGGAACCUAUUCCCAUAAAUAUACAAAGAGGCAUCUGCUUUAUUUUAAAUUAAUAUUAUAAUAUUAUAGUUAUAUUAUUAAUUUGCUUAACUUUAUAAUAUAAUACCGGCAAUAAUUUGCAAUGAUAAUUAACAACAUUUAUCAUUACAUCAUUAAAAAAUUUAGGAAAAUUAUCAUUUGAAUACCCUUAGUUUACUUCAUUAUCAAAAAUACUACAACACUUUGAGGGUGUAUCAAUCGUCCACCCUAAGUUGACAAAAUGUAUCAGCUGACCACCAAACCGUUAGUUACCGUUUAAGUAUGAUGACGUCAGAAGGGUAAUUUAGUCUUUUCAUAUGAUACAAGUGAUAAUUUAAGGGUAUACAAGUGAUAAAAAGAGAAUUUAAUGGUAUACAAGUGAUAAUUUUCAAGGGUAAAAUCGUCAAUUCACUGUAAUUCCGUUAACUUUCAAACGGCAACUAAUGGUUUGGUGGUUGGCUGAUACAUUUUGUCAACUAAGGGUGGACGAUUGAUACACCUUCAAAGUGUUGUAGUAUUUUUGAUAACAGAACAAAUAUAGGGUAUACGAAUGAUAAUUUCCCAAAAAUUUAUUACCAACAAAAUGUUGUUGUAUUUAGAAUUAAAAAAAGUAUAAUAUUAAUAAAGUUAUCAUAUAUCUGUUCAGUUUAAUAAUAACAAUAAUAAUAAUAAUAGUAAUGGCUAACAAAUAUACUCAUCAAAAACAUUAAUAAUAGAUGUUAAGAGUGAAGGACAACAUUUGUCCAUGAGGUUCCUGAAAAACGCAACUUUUGUGCAGUAAAAUUAAAUCGACUUCAUUCAAAAAUAAAAAUCAAGAGGAAAGAUUGAAGUUUGUUUACCUCACUUGUAGUUUCAGAAACGACUUCGUGAGGUAGAAAAAAAUGACUGAAAACAACAAGGUACGAACACUGUCCAGAAAAUAUUCCUCUGCAUGAACAGCUUUUGUUUUGCCACGAUUUGAGUUAAAGCACCCCAAUUGUGAUGCCUCUAAUCAGUCCACACUUAGAAAUGUUCUAGAAGUUCAUAGGAUUUUGAAUCUUCAAAUUUCGUUUAGAAAUGAGAGAGAUAAUGAAGAAACAUAAAUGCUAAUUCAUGAUGAUUCAUUCCACUAAAUAAAGCCACCAUUAUCUUUUCAAUAAUGGCACCAAACAUUAUCAUGUGCUAGACCCACCCACUAAGCCAUUAUUUAUUGAAUGUGAUCUUAUCACUUCAAUAAUUUAUUUAAUCAAAUUAUUUUGAAUAAAUAAAUAGCUAAAUUAAUUAAUUUUGUCUUUAAUUAAUGAAGGGAAAUUAUCAGUCAUAUACCCUUAAAUGACACCAGUAUCAAACGUGCUACAACACUUUUCAAGUGUAUCACUCGUAUACCCUAAGUUGACAAAACACUUCUGCCGUCCACCAAUCCGUUAACUGUCGUUUGCGAGCGCUGACAUCGUAAGGAUAAUCUAGUCUUUUUUUAAAAACGACAUGUCAUCCCAUUUACCUAGUAAAAAACGACAUGUCAUAUGAUAUAUUUUGAUAAAAUGACAUGUCAUCCCAUUUAUCAUAUAAUUGUUAAUAAUUGCUAAAAAAAAAAGCUACUUUACAACCGAAUCUACUCCUUCAAAAUUUAACCUAAAUUAUUGAAGAUCUACUCCUCCAAGCUCAAACUUGAAUUUUUUAUGGUAUAAUAUGUAUAAUUGUAAAUAAUAUGUUGUUAAUAAUUUUUUAUGGUAUAAGAUGAAUAUUUUUUAUGGAUUAAUUGUUAAUAAGAUGAAUAUUUUUUAUGGAUUAAUUGUUAAUAAUAUGUACCAUUAAUAAUUCAUAUUUUUUUAAUUAAAAAAUGUAUUGUUAAUAACAAAAUAAAAAAAAUUGUGUAUUGAAAAUUUACAUUAAUUUUCAAGGUAAAUUUAUUUUUUUGCCUCAUUUUGAGUUUAAAGGGUAAAAUAAUCAUUUUGCUCAAAUUCUGUUAAGUUCUUAACGGUAGUAAACGGAAAGGUGGACGCUAGAACUCUUUUGUCAACUUAGGGUAUACGAGUGAUAUAAGCGAAAAAUGUUGUAGCACGUUUGAUACUGGUGUCAUUUAAAGGUAUAUGGCUGAUAAUUUCCCAUUAAUUAAUCCCAUUUUGAUAAAAUCAAAUGGUUAAUUGUGGGCUUAUUUUGUGACGUGUUCUAAUGCUUUCUCCUAAUCCAUAUCAGGUCCAAUAAAAGCCCAAAAUUGGUCUAGAAGUCCAUACUCAUUUACGAACCAGAACAUGUCCAAAAUGGUCAUUUUACGUGCUCGAUAUUAUACAUAAUGUUUAAUUAAGGAUUUAUGAAAUUUAUUUUGUUCCUUAAACUAUUUAUGGAACAUCUAAAUUUCUAUCUUAAAUCAUAUUUAAGAUAUAUAUAUAUAUUCAUUCUUAAUGAAUUAUAAUAUAAAUACCGAUUUUCCUAAAAUUAGGAAAUUUAACUUCUCAUUUUCUAGUAACUCCUUUUUCAUUUCUAUUAGGUGUGUGAUCUUUUAGGUUCUUUGUUAUAAGGUAGUAGAACUAUUUUAAUGAUAACUCUUUAUUCAUUAAAUGAUGCUAAACUCUUUAGUCAUCAAUUAGAACUUUUCUAAUGAUCUUAAGAUACAUUGGUAAUACGCUUUACCAAUAAUGAUCUUAAGGUUUCUACAAGUCAUGAGUGACACCUAGCAGUAUUUCACAACCACCCAAAUAACAAGAAUUGUUGGAUCUAUAGAACCUAUUCCAUUGUAUCUCUAUGUCUUGGUCUCUUCAUCAUCCAUGUCCAAAGAAAAGCACGGCUAAUGGUUUAGUGUGUUAAGCAUUUAUGCUUUAUCUCAAAAUAAAUCUAAAUGAACUUGGCAUGAAAAUAUAAUUUGAACUCCUUCAAACAUAUUUUACCUUGGCCAAGGAUUUCUCAUGCCAAUUCAUAUUAUCUCACAGGGACAUCCUUUUUGUAUAUUACAAAGUGAUGAAUUUCAUAUUGGCCAUACACUUGUCUCCAUACAUACCCAACCAUGACAGCUAUUGCUAGAUCUCUUCCUUGAUUAAGAAUUAAUCAUUAUGCUUUCACAUAUCAGAGAUGUCUAUGUAUAAGACAUCUGUGAUGCCUCAGGUCUAAAGACCAUUACUAAACAUAAUGUCUAUCACAAUGUAUAAUAAGUCAUUAACACUCAAAAUCAUAUGGCUUAUUAUAUUUGGUCAAGUUUAGUAAACUCGUUCUCUCAACAAGUACCUAUGUGUUUGACUUGACAUCUCAUAUCAAUGAUAUGAAACUCACUGUUCAUUUUAGUAUCACAUACCAUAAAUGAGUUAUAACACAUACUAGUGUUUAUAGGAAUUUAUCAUAAAUCCACUACUAGGAACUAUUUUAGAAGUAUAGUACAAAGGAUACACGUUUCAUAUUCUUGACAAACUCGAGAAUGUGUUGCUUAACGAUUUUACUCUUGGACUAUAUUCAUUAAAUUAAUUUAUGAAUGUUGAUAACUUUGCCAUUUUAUAAAUAUUAAAAUGCAAUCAUAUACAAUAAUUCCCUAAAAGCAAACACCAUUCGAUUGGCUUUUAGGGCAUAUCACUAACAAAGAGUACCAUUAAUCGUUAUACUAGUAAUAAAACAAUAUCAUCAAAUAUUAACCUUACAUGUAAUCAUGUAUAAGCUCCUAGAACAAUUCAUAGAAAUUUUUGUAACUUCAAAUCGGGGAGUAAAUAAAACCAUAAAGGGUAAUUUAAUUAAUUUCAUAGAAAUUUGUAUGAAAUAUUUUAAUUAGAGAUUGUUAUCUUAUAGUUGCCAUAUCCAAAUUUAAAUUGUACUAUUAAUAUUAGUCAAUAAUACAAAUAAUUAUGAGUAAUUGCAAUAAUUAGUAUUGCUACUAAUAUAAUUGUUUGAAAAUUAUCCAACGGCUAUAAUGAAAAAUUAUUUUAAUUCUCAUAUUGGUAUUGAUAGAUAUAAUAAGAGUUUGAAUUCCUUUACGGUACAUUUUAGAGUUGAUUUCUUCUAAAUACUUGGGAAAAUUUUUUUUUGAUCUGUGUUAUAGACCUAUCUAUCUAGAUUGCAUUGCGCCACAUAGAGUUAGAUAAAAAAGACACAAACUCCCAAAAAUAAAGAAUUUUCAAAAAAUUUUAUAUUGCAAAAUAUUUGUAGGUUUAUAAUGUCAUAAUAAAAACAUAUAAUUUAUUUAAUAUCAAAAAUAAUUUCCUUGAUUUAUAAUGAAUAUAGUUUACCCUAAUAUAAAUAUUAUUCUCAUUAUUUUAGACGUUACAUAUUUUAAAAAUAUAUUUUAUAUUGAGAGGUUUUUGAUACUCUCAUAAAUUAAAUGAAGAUUUUAAUAUUUAGUUAAAAGAUGAAGGAACCAAAUUACCUUGAUAUUUGCAAAGUUUUCCAUUUGAUUCGAUGACUGCUUAGAAUGCCAAUAAAUUUAAAAUAAACAAUUGAACUUGUACAUUAAGGGACCCCAAUUUCGUAGAUCAGUCAUCAGUCAUACUCAAGAGUCAAGCUAAAGUCACUCAUCGGUCAUCACGUACUGUGUGUCGUCUGUCAAACCCUCGCUACUGAGUACCAAUUGAAGCUGAUUUUUCACCAAAUCAUUUUGUCUCACUAACAAAAAUGGUUCGUCUUGCAGGGAUUGAAGCUCACAAUCGGUGACUUUCUUACAAAUCAGUAGCUCAUCUUUCUCACUCGUUGUAUAUAUGUGCUUACUUUUAAUUUGCUGCAUUUUUAUGUGGGUCUUUGUUGGCGUGGAGCCCAUGCUGGGUCGCUUGGAUUUAAUUUUAAUCAAGGGUUUUGGAGUUGACGAUGGAUGCCACGUGGAUUUAUUACAUAUCAUUUAAUUUAAUUUUAUAUUUAGGAGGUUGCUUUCUUCAAGAAAUCGGUGUGUAUAUUACAAAAUAUAUUUGUGGAAAAUGAUGCCAUGUGGUCCCAUUCAAACUUUAUUACGUAUACUAUAACUAUGUGAAAGAUAAGGGUUAUCCUUGUUUACUCUAUCGUCUAGAAAUUGGAAAAUGAAGCUGUGCGGUCCAUUGAAGCUUUAUAGUAGAUGUAGGGAAGGGUUUGAUUGUGUAUGUUUGUCUGUAGGAACCCUAUGAGAAUAGGAACCCUAAUAAUUAUUUCUAAUUUUACUUCAGACCCACUAUUUUAAUUCUCAUUCCACCUCUUAUUUAAAUAAGUAAGCAUAUUAUUUAUUUUUAUUUUUUAAUUUCCAUUCUCAUUCUCAAAUAAAUAAAUAAACACACCAUUAGCAAAUUGAAGUUGUUUCUAUUGAACUGUUGAAGUGCACGCAUGCAUUUGCUAUAUAUAUGAUUUUUCAAAUCUUUUAGUUAAGUGGAAAAAAUAAAGAAGUAAGGUGAUUUCAUUGAAAAUAACGGAUAAAAAAUAUAAUUAAAUAUUUUAUUGAUAAUGAGACAAAACUCAUUUAUGUGAUUUAAAGAAAGAAAGAGUAAUGCACAAAUUAGGGGUAAAGAGCGAGUGAAUCAGUCCCACUGACAGUAAGAUUUUUUCAUGAUCUAAUCAUAUCCUGAGUAAAUAACUCAAUUAUUAAUUGGUAGUUAAUAAAUAAAAAAAUAAAAAAAAUUAAAUUUUACCCAUAUACUACCACUAAAAGAUAUACAUAAUAAGAGAUUCUUAAAACCUUAAUAAAGCUCAGAUGAGAAAAUGAUCAUUUUCCCUUACGUAACCCUGUAUAUACGUACUACUACGGUCAUAUGUACUUAGGCAGUGUUUACUUUCUGGAGUGGGAGUGUGGAGUGUGGAUUCCUCCCACUCCAGUGUUUACUUACCUUAAAAAAAGAGGGAGUGGGAGUGGGAAUCCGUGGGUCCCUCUUCCCAUUUUAUCCUUAUAAAAAUAAAUAAAUAAAUAAUAUCAUAUUUAUUAAAAAUAAUAAUUAUAUCAUAUUUAUUUUAUUAAAUUUAAUAAAAUAAAAAUAAAUAAAUAUUAUAUUUAAAUUAAUAAUAUUAAACAUUAAUUUUAAUAAAUAUUAAUUAUUUAUUUAAUUAAUAAUAAUAAAUAUUUUAUUCUAAAAAAUAUUAAUUUUGUACUAUAUUAUCAAUAAUAAUAUUUCAUUUGUGUUGCUAUUAUUAAUAAUUUUUAUUCACAUAAUUUAAAUUAAAAUUAAUAAAAAAUUAUGAUUUACAUAAUUAAGAAUAUUAGUAAUUAUUAUUAAUUUAUAAAUAUAAUAAAAUAUUUAUUUUAUUUUUCAAAUAUAUUUUUUAUUAAUUUUUUAAUUACAAAUUAUAAUUCUGUACAUAAUGUUAAAAUUGUAAUUUAAAACAAUUUACUCCUAAUUCAAGACAAACUAAACAAAUAAUUAGGAUUCUGAUUGAUAAUCCAUACUUUCAUUUAGUCUAAGUAAACACCCUACUCCCACUCCCACUCCACACUCAUAAUCCAAGGAUUCCCACUCCUCAGGAUUUCCACUCCAAUCCAAAAAGUAAACGCAGCAUUAAUUCACAAAAGGGGCACUAAACGCAGCAUUAAUUCACAAAAGGGGCACUGAAUUAUUCAAGUUUGUAGGGCAGCUGCAGCUUGUGGAGCCCACACAGUGUUCAAUCUCAUCGAUUUCUCUCAGGAUUUUGACUUGUGGUUUCCAUAAUUCACCAACUUCUUUCUGCUUGCUCUCUCUUUUCCAUUGAUCCGGUUUCCAUGGCAGAGCUCUUACUCUCAGCUUUCUUCCAGGCUUUGUUUGACAAGUUGGCUUCCCGUGAUUUGGCCAACUUUGUCAGUCAACUUCGAGGAGGGGUUGAUUCUGAGCUGAGGAAGUUGGAAAACACUUUGAAGAUGAUUCAGGCUGUGCUGAGGGAUGCAGAGGAGAAGGAAGUGACGAGUGAGACAGUGAAAUUGUGGCUGGACAAUCUCCGAGACUUGGCUUAUGAUGCUGAGGAUGUACUGGACGAGUUUGAUACUGAAGCUUUGAGACAAAAGUCGAUGGCAGAUCAAGCCAGCACAUGCAAAUUGAAGAACCUUGUCCCUUCUUGUUUCAACAUUUCCGGUGGUUUCAACAGUUCCCGUAUGCUUUCCAAGAUAGAAAGUAUCUCAAACCAGUUGGAACAACUCUUUCAAACAAGAGCUCAACUUGGAUUGCAAACGACACCCGGAGGGACAUCAGCUGCUUCACAGGAACAGCAAAGACAAGCCAAUGCUACUUCAAGUGUGCCAGAGGAACCUGCUGUCUACGGCAGAGAUGAAGAUAAGGCCAAGAUACUUGAUAUGGUGUUAAGCAAUGGAUCGACUGAUGCCAACUUCCAUGCCAUAUCCAUCAUCGGCAUGCCAGGGGUUGGGAAAACAAAGCUGGCCCAGGAGGUCUACAAUGACGAGGCAGUGGAAAUAUUCGACAUAAAGGCAUGGCUUUGUGUAUCCGACGACUUCAAUGUUUUCAGCAUCUCAAAGACACUUCUCGCGAAAAUCACCUCCAAACCUUUUGAUGUAGUGGAUAUCGACGAGGUGCAGGUUCAAUUGAAAAAGGCCGUGGCUAAGAAAAGGUUCUUGUUGGUGUUAGAUGAUGUUUGGAACGAGAACUACAACUCAUGGUCAGCAUUGAAAGCUCCCUUCAUCACCGCUGCACCCAAAAGUAAGAUGAUCGUGACCACACGCAAUUCCUCCGUUGCGUCAACAAUGGGAGCGGUUGAACAAUACAAUCUAAAGCCUCUAUCAAAUAAAGAUUGUUGGUCUAUAUUCAUGAUGCACGCUUAUGAGGGUAAGGACAUUAAUGCAGUUUCAAUUUCAGAAUCAUUUCGUAAGAAAGUAGUUGCAAAGUGCGGUGGUUUGCCACUGGCCGCAAAGACUCUGGGUGGUCUUUUACGCUCAAAGGGAGAUGACGAAUGGGAUGAAAUUCUAAACAGCAGUGUAUUAGAUUUACCUCAAAGUGGCAUUCUAUCUGUUUUGAGAUUGAGUUACCACUAUCUUCCAUCUCAUUUGAAGAGAUGCUUCGCUUAUUGUGCAAUACUUCCAAAAGAUUAUGAAAUCGAGGAGAAGGAACUUGUUUCUCUAUGGAUGGCUGAAGGCAUUAUUCAGCAAUCAAGAAACAAUAGCAAGCAGCCCGAACUUCUGGGUCGUGAGUAUUUUCAGGAUCUAUUGUCGAGGUCAAUACUCCAACCUUCAAGUAGUAAUACCUCUAAAUUUGUCAUGCACGACCUCGUUCAUGAUUUGGCUCGAUGGGUUUCUGGAGACACAAGUUUUAGAUGGGAAGAGGCCAACAAGACAGUCACCCCUGUACCGAAGGUUCGUCAUUUUGCUUAUGAUCUUAGCCUUUAUAUUAGCAAGGGCAAGUUUGAGGUCUUGCACGAAGUUCAGCAUCUCAGAACAUUUCUGCCGUUGUCAAUUUCAAGUUUUCGUGGUUACAGCAUGAACAAUGUGGUAUUUUCUGAUUUGUUACCAAGGUGUGUGAAAUUGAGGGUGUUAUCUUUUACCGGUCAUUAUAUCAACAAGUUUCCUACUAGAUCAAUGAGUGGUUUGAAACAUUUGAGGUAUCUUAACCUUUCUGCCACAUUGAUUAGAAAAUUACCAGAGUCAGUGUGCUCUCUGAUUAACUUGCAAAUUUUGUUGUUAAGACGUUGUUUUUGCCUGAGGAAGUUACCAUCCAACAUCAGAAAGUUGAUUAAUUUGCGCCGUCUUGAUAUAAUGGGUGCAUAUUUAAUCAAAGAGAUGCCAUUUGGAAUAAAGGAGUUGAAGAAUCUUCAGGUGCUAUCUAAUUUUAUUGUGGGCACGGGUACCAGAUCAUCCGGCUUGAAAGAUCUGAAGAGAUUAACACUUCUCAAUGGAGAACUUUGCAUUUCGAGAUUAGAGAAUGUGAAUGACCCGCGGGAGGCAAAAGAAGCUGCAUUAUGGGAGAAAAAGAAUCUAGAAACAUUGUCCUUACUGUGGAGGUCUAAGUUUGACAGCUCACGAAGAGAGGUUUUAGAAGAAAGUGUACUUGACGUGCUAAAACCUUAUCCAAAUAUCAAGAAACUCACAAUUAUGUGCUACGGUGGGCAAAGAUUUCCUUCUUGGAUAGGAGAUCCAUCUUUCUCCGUGAUAGAGGUCCUUAAAUUAGAAAAUUGUGAGAAUUGCACAUCCUUGCCAUCGCUUGGGUUGUUGAGUUCACUUAAGCAUCUUACAGUUAAAGGUUUGACAAAGCUCAAGAGCAUAGGUAUUGAGGUUUAUGGAAAGGAUUGCUCAAAGUCGUUUCAAUCAUUGAAGAUUCUUCGUUUUGAGAAUUUGCCAGAAUGGGAGCAUUGGGACACGGAGUUCAAAGAAAAUGGUCUUGUUGCAGGAUUCUCUAGCCUCCGUCAACUUUCCAUUGUGAAGUGUCCCAAAUUCUCUGGAAAAUCACUGGAGCAUCUGCCUUCAUUGGGGAGGCAAAGCACAACUUUAGCAUGCUUACCUGAAGAAAUUUUAGGCAAGAAUUCACAACUGGAAAGCUUGUACAUCCAAGAUUGCCAUUCUCUAAGAUUGAUUGCAAGGAAGCUAUCUUCAUCUCUUAAAAGCCUUAAGAUUCGGAGUUGUCAAAAAUUACAGCAGUUGGUGGAUGAUGAAGAAGGUGCUUCUUCUUCUUCAUCAAUGAUGCUGAAACACCUAGAGAUAGGGUAUUGCCCACAGCUGACCAGUUUCUCAUCAGGAACCCAGCUACUUGAGGCGCUUGAAGUCCUCCACGUAAGUAAUUGUCCAUUGCUGGAGUCAAUACCUGGAGGUCUGCACAAUAUUCAGAGCAUUAAUAUAGAAGACUGUGCAAAUGUUGUCUCCUUGGCAGAAAGAGGGCUUCCCAACACCAUUUCAAGUGUUAAAAUAUGGAGUUGUGAGAAGCUUCAAGCCCUGCCCAAUAACAUGCACAGACUACACUCACUUCAAUUUUUAGAGGUAAGGCGGUGUCCAAGUCUUGUUUCCUUGGCAGAAAGAGGGCUUCCCAUCACCAUUUCAAGGGUUUUCAUUGAAGAUUGUGAGAAACUUAAAGCUCUACCUGACAACAUCCACAAAUUGAACUCUCUUCAAUUUUUAGAGAUAAGGCGAUGUCCAAGUAUUGUAUCAUUUCCAGAAGAAGGUUUUCCCGCCAGUCUGAAAUCACUUGUUAUUGGAGGAGAUGUGAAAAUGUAUGAGGCACUCAUCCAGUGGGGGUUGCACAAGCUUACCUCUCUUAGACGCCUCUUGAUUGCUGAAGAAUGUCAUGAAGCAGAGUGUUUUCCAGACGAGGAGAUUGGAAUGACGUUGCCCACCUCUCUAAUUGAGUUGCAGCUUUGGGGACUGUCAAAAUUGAAAUUGCUAUCUUCCACGGGUUUUCAGUGCCUCACCUCUCUUGAAUAUCUGUGUAUCCAGAAUUGCCUAAAUCUCACAUCCUUUCCAGAGGUGGGCCUUCCAUCCUCACUCUUGGAACUAAAAUUAAUAAUGUGUCCAAUGCUUGAAAAAGAGUGCAAAAGGAAUAAAGGAAAAGAGUGGUCCAAGAUAGCCAACAUCCCUCGUGUUGUGAUAGACGGAGAAAUCAUAUAUACAGUGGAGUAGUUUUUAUUAAUCAUUCCAUCUCUUAUCAUACCCAACAAUCAAGGUCAGUUGAUUUCUAUAAUCCACUAUAACAAGCUCUUUUGAUUCUGCACUUGUAUCAUUAAUCGAUCACCUUACCUAAAUUGAAAAUGCUUAUCUCUUUUUAUUUUUAUUUUCAUUUUUAUUUUCUGUUUUCUUAUUCUUCAGAAUGAUGCUAGUUGACAGUUUCAAAUGACAAAUGCUUUGGGAGUAGAAAUAAUUUUUUUAACUCGUGAUGGUGAGUGAGUAGUAAUCAAAGAAAUUCUUUCAGCUUAGUAAAAAUAAUAAAUGGUACAUGCUGUUAUGGAUUUUAUACUAUACAUUCUAAGGUUCCUUAUGUCUGCUUGUUUUCAGGUGAUGAAUCUAUUUUGUUACAGAAUUGGAUUGAAAGUAAGCUGGGUAAUAAGUACACAAGGGCGUUAAUUUUUUGGAUUUCCUCAUGGAGUAUGGAUAUGGGAUAAACGAAGUGUCAAAGGCAAUUUCAACUUAUUGAUUUUUCUACUGCUGUGGUUAUGAUUGAAAGGUAGUCAAAAGAAAUUUGCAAACUUAUAUAUAGUGGCAGAUUUUGGUAAUGCUUUUUAUUUUUUUUUGGCCAUUUUUGGUCAUAGACAUUUAGAUAUUUUAGAUCCCGAAUUUUAACAUUAAUUUCAUGCCAUUUUUACUUCAGAGGGAUGUUCAGUGGGAAUUGAGUUGCAAUUUUAAACUAGAAUCGGAGUAUGGCAUUUUGGAGCUGAGCAUACUUGACGAAUGAUUAUAUGAACUGCUGUGGUAAGUGGUAACUAAAGAAAUUUGUUUGCUUAAGUCAAAUUUCAUUUUGGUGUUCUGGAUAUACAUGCUUAAGCUCCUCUUAUUUAUUUCAGGUGAUGAAUUCAUUUUCUUCUUCAAAUAAGGGAAGAAAAGUCGGAAAGGUUUAAUCUGAUCUUGAAGUUAACAGAUUGAUGUUAAUUGUACAACUAGAAUGGGCUCUCUUGUCCUACUGUAUGAUAUCAAAUUUUCCAAUAAGAUGGCAUUUGUGUACUUAUUCCUUCUCCCACCAUUUUCUUUCUUUCUGGUGAAGAGUGUCUACUUAAUAAGUCUUUGUUUUCUUCAGGAUUGCAUGAAUGCCAAGAAUGGAGUGAUUAAAUAAGUGCUGCUGCGGCCUGCUUUUCCUUCUUUGGUAUUGAAGGUAACUCAAUUCGGCAGGUGAAGACAGCAGCAACCCAGUAGAUAGAUGCAAUUUAAGGAUUGUGUACCUCAAUUAUACCUUGAUAUUAUUGAUAACAUGUUAAUUAUAUUUCAGUUCUGCAAUUAUAAGGAAAAUUGAGUCGUCGGCACAGUGCGCAGCAACAGUUGUUCAAACUUCGAACAGUCGGUUUCUGCAGGUAAUUAGCUCUUUUUUCUUUUUUCUUUUUUUUUGGGUUAUUAAUUACAUUUUAAGGGUUAUUAAUUACAUUUUAAUUAAGUUGAUUUUAGGACCUUUAAAGAUUCAAUUUUUCAUUUUCUUUUUCUUCAAAGGGAAGCAAGUGGACUGUAUCAAACAUACCUGAUAAAUGAAGUAUUCAUGCCUGAUUUAAAAGUUAUUAGCUUUUUCAUCCGCUUGAUAGUAACUAAAUGAGCUUUUGAGCUCAGUGGCAUUAAUUGUAAUAACUGAUGUUUUAGAUAUAUUAAACAUGCCAAGUUCCAUUGUAAAUAUUAUUGAUUAAAUCUUAAGCUUCUAGUUUUUGCUAAAGAUUCAUAGAUAUAAGAUAUUGUACUGCUUUGUUCUGUUGCAGAGUAAUCGAUGAUAAUUUACUGAUAAAGAAUUUGGUGAAAGCCAACAACUCAAAAUGUUUAAGUGAGGGAAUGAUGAGAUCAUGUGAGCAAAACCUGGGUAUCAGCAUCUUAAUGGCGAUAUGGAAAUCCUUGUUGAGGCAAAACUACAGUUGAAUCAGUUGAAGUUCAUCUGAUGAGGUGCACAAUCUCACAUCUCUCAAGUAAAUGCUGUCCUACAGUCCUAGAUAUUGAAGCUUUUCGCAUUUCAACAACUUUUUGCAAGACAGGUGAGGAUGGUGGGAAAACUAAAAAUCUGGACCACCAGCUAACUCCUAGUCAUUGCCACCCUUGGAUGUUUCUGGAUUUGAUCAAACCAAAAAGACUUUUGAAGUUGUUAUUUUAUGUCUUCAUAAAACUAUAAUGACCAAGCCGCCAGUGUAACAUUCCUGAAAGAAUAUUGUGAUUGCUUCAGAAUAUGCUCGGUGCAUAACAAAGACAUCCUCGUAGAAAAGCAUACAUAGCUAAUAACCAGGUAAAUAUUCCUUGAUUCUUGCCAGGUAACUUCUAUUCCCAGGUUUCCAGAUAAUUUACAUUUCAGAAAUUGUUCUUAGUUGAAGAAUCUGAUUUACAUUUUGUUUUCCAGAAUAUGUACAUUUUACAAUAUGAUGUGCUUUAGUUGCAGUAUCUGGGGCACCUUUCGAAUUUCACUUGCCUUUUUCUUUGUUUGCAUGUGAUUUGACUUGAAGGAUGCCAACAUGGCUAGAUAUUUGAAGAAACACCAAAAGAGGCUUAAUGCCAGGGGAACUUUCUCGGGCACUUUUGCUCCCAAGCCUUUAAUCCCACAAACAAAUUCAGGGAGUGAAUGCAUGCCAUUCAUUUGUGGUCCCAAAAACAGGUUGAUACCUGGCCGCUGGUACUGAACAUCUCUGCAAUUUGGAAGCAGGGUAAUAAUUGUGUUGACACACAAGCUUCAAACUGUUAAAGCUAUACCCUUCUUGCUUCAGGAAUCCAUGUUGUAUGUCUCAAAUUCUGAAAGCAAAUGAGAAUUACUGCUUCCUUUAAGGCACCAUUCCAAGAUCUGCUUUUGUAUUCAUUCAAUCAGAUCAAUCAUAUGGAUUGUCAACUUUCAAGGAUACGAUGAAUUAUGAGUGAACAGAGGACUUGGAGGAAGAAUCAUUAAGAACAGAGCAAAAACUGAGAAGCAGAUAAGAGGAAGUUGGCUAUCAUUGAAGAAGAGGCAGCUUGCAUUGCUUUAGUUAAUGAUGAUAACCGUCAAACAUGCUCUUGGUUUGUAUGUUAACAUGAUUGGAGUAUGAGAGAAACUACAUUUGUCUAAUUUUUUUGACUUCAUUGAUUUUUUUUCCCCUCUCACUUAAUCUUCAAAUCAAAAUCUCAUCUUUGAUCAAACUUGAUCACAAAAUAUUAUUAAUGUUUGAUACUACUUGUCAAGAAAUUGCUAAAAUGUUUAUUCACUACGAAUACUGUUGAACCAAGAUCAGUAAAUGACCAAUCUUGAUGCCACAAGAUCUGACUAAACUCUUUGAUUAUUCACCAAGGGACAAAAGAAAUUAACAAUUGAAACAAACCGCGUGGAAUCAAAUUAGUUAUAUUCGGUUAUACAAGCUGAGGUGGCAAGCUGAGUCAGCAAGGGUGGGUCCCCAGGUGGUUUAAAUCGGUUGUUAUAACCAGCUGUAUUAACUGAUAGCUAUAUAAGCUACAGUGAGAGCUGAUCAGAUUAGUUCUACGGAGUGAGAUCGAUUGUGUGGGUUUUCUAGUGAGGAGAAUAUCUUUGUGUGAGUGAAAUCAGUUCUUGCUCUUGGAAGAAUCCAUUUUAAUCUUGUUCAUCUUCUAAUAAAGCUUUAGCUCUGCUGUUCCUGAUCGUGGAUGUAGGUACUUUGGUACCGAACCACGUUAACUCUGUCUUGAGUCUUUAAGUUUCUUUUCUUACUCUGGAAUGUUUCGCUGUGUCCUCUGGUUCUGGUUUCUUGCUUGUUUGUGAUUGGUUUCUGCUUAAGAAGGGUUUACGAAUUUGGUCUGUUGCAUUAACAAACAGAAACGGAAUCAAAGAAAUCACAAAUAAAGAACACACACAGCAAUUACAGAGGAUUCAGCCAAAGAUGGCCAGCGUCCUCUUGAACAAGAACAAAUUACAACGGUGAAGGAAUUUUCACAGGCUACAGAAUGAACCCAGCUCCAGCCUCUAAGGCUUUAUAUACAGCUCACAAUGGAUAUGGAAAGGUCCCCUACUUACCAAACAGGUCGUUCCCGCUUCCUGUAACGGCCGUAGCGCCUUUUCAUUCAGCUGAUACACGUGCAACGCAGGUGUACUGAAAAUAUUUUCUUUGGUGGGUGAUUGCACGUGCCUCGCAGGUGAGUCACUCAGCGCACACCGCUGACACAUGAUCGAAGUCGUACGCAUCAUGUAAAAUAAAGCCGACAUGGCAUCCAUAAGGAAACGACGGCACAGUGACUCUUAUUUUCAUAAACCGACUUUGUUGUCUGCUAUUUAUUUCUGAUUCAAUAGCCUGUCCCGUAUAUUCGUCCGAAAAAUGGAUGUUUGCCACAGCAAAAAUUUUCCAAUUAAUUAAUGAAAUAAAAUAUUGACUAAUUUUCUUUUUCUUUUUUUAACAAACAAUUAGUAAUACUAGCAAUUCCAUGCGACAACUGGAAGGAGUUAAUUGUUGUUUGAGGAAUUAAAUAGAGCGACCGUGAUCUCCUCCAAGUGAAAGUGAGCAAAUGGUUGAGCAGGUCACCUUGACUAGGUGGUAUGAGCUUGAUCAAAUCACCUCGACCAAGUACAAUGAGGUUGAGCAGAUCGCCUUGACCAGGUGGUGUGAGCUUGAGCAGAUGACCAUGUGGUAUGAGCUUGAGCAAAUCACCUCGACCAGGUGCUAUGAGCUUGAGCAGAUCACAUCGACCAGGUGCUAUAAGGUGGAGCAGAUCACCUCGACCAGGUGCUAUGAGGUGGAGCAGAUCACCUCGACCAAGUGCUAUGAGCUUGAGCAGAUCAAAUCGACCAGGUGCUAUGAGGUGGAGCAGAUCAUCUCGACUAGGUGCUAUGAGGUGGAGCAGAUCACCUCGACUAGGUGCUAUGAGCUCGAGCAAAUCACCUCGACUAGGUGCUAUGAGCUCGAGCAAAUCACCUCGACCAGGUGUUAUGAGCUCGAGCAGAUCACCUCAACCAUGUGCUAUGAGCUUAACCAGAUCACCUCGACCAAGUGGUCUAAACUUGAGCAGAUCACCUCGCCCAGGUGAUGACCAGGAAUAAAGACUCAGUUAAAAUAAACCACCACAAAGCUCCUCCGAAAAAUCAGGGUAUUAAUUUGAUCAAUUAAUGGUUAUUGUCACGAUCUAAGGCCGUGGAUGUGGGGUGUUUUAUAAAAUCCCCGAGAAAACCACGCAAAGGGGGAGAGCUCUUUUUCCCUUGAUCUCACUGAGAAAUUCUUUCUGGAGACUCUACUUUACUUUUCUGCAAAUUAUUCAAAGAGCUUUUGGUUUUAAGGCAAUGUUUAUUAAACCAUAUGAGAAAUGGCAUAUUUGGCUUUUCUUAUAACCUCAUAACUGACUUGAGCAUCGGAGGGUUUACGCCGGAAAAACUUUCGGCACCUCUGACCAUCUUCUGUAAUUUCAGGUACUUAUUGAUCGUCAGCUUGAAGAUUAUAUGCUCAUAACUGUUCUGCUCAUAGUCAGAGAAUAUUCUCAGAGAUCAAUCAGCAGCUUCCCACCAACAAAUUUAAUACUGAUGCAGGGAUCUGAAACUGAGUCACUAACCAAUUGGUUCAGAUUUCGGCAUCAACAAUUGUCCUGCUAUUAAUCGGACUUUUUUGAGUCCAGAGACUUUUCUUUCCUUGGAGAAAAAUUGCACCAUGCGUCCAAUCACUUGGCAAAAUUCAACGUGUAACGCCUUUGAAUUUUUUUUUCCCUCUCUUUAUUAAUUAUUAUGGUAGUUCUUAGAUAGAUAAUAAGAAUUUGUUGUUUCUUUUUUAUUGGUUUAUUCAAGAAAUUCAGAGAAUGAUUCUAGGCUUCUCCAAGUUACUAGAAUUAUUUAAAAUUUCUUAAUGUUACAUUUAUUAAUUACGCAAGACAUGUGCACCUACAUUAUUACUUGCAUUUGUUAUGCAUUUAUUAUUUAUAUUUUUCAUAAAAGCCUCUAUUUAUUUAAAGAUGCAAACAUUCAUAUUUACAUUUAUUUAAGCUUUUUACAUAUUUAUUGUUGCUUUCCUAAAGUUUCUUUAUUCAAGUUUACUUUAAAUUUAUUCAAGUUUACUUUAUAUUACACUUAUUAAAGAUUUACUUUAUAUUUAUUAUUGUUUUACUAAUUUUUUUUUAAUAAAGUUUAUUUUAAUUUAUUAUUACACUUAUUAAAGUUUGCUUUGAUUAUACUUAUUAAAAAUUUGCUUUAUAUUUAUUCUUUCUUUAAUAAAAUUGCUUUGUUAAAGUUUACUUUAUAUGUAUAAUUGCAUUUAUUAUUGUUUGCUUUAAAUUUGUUGAAUCUUGAAAACGUGGACUCGGAGAAGGAAGCAUAAUUAUUCAACUUCUUUCAAUUGUUCAUCUUCAUUCUCUCUCAAUUCCAAAAAUCUAAAUUCUAGGUUUCUCAUAGCAACCUUCUCCAAAUCUUCAAUAGAGUUAGAGAUCUUAAUUAAUUUGGAAGCUUCUUGAUUUGGUGAGUCUUUAUUUGCUUAUGUUUUUAAAGACCAAAUUCACAAAAUUAUUUAUACCACAAAAUGAACUCGAAAAAUUCUGAAUUUUUAAACAGAAGUUAAUAUAUCUGUUUAAUAUUUCUAGUUUUAAUUUCAUAAUUUUCUGAUUAAUACAUAAUUUCAUAAAAAUCUCGGAAUCAAUAAUGUUCUCACUACAAGAAAAAGUGCCUACUAUGACAAGCAAAAACUGUCAUAGUAGGGGGUGGAUGACAGUUGUUUAUACCGUCAUUGUAGCCACCAUCAAGAAUUGAUGACAGAACAAUACCAAUUAUAAUCUGUGAUAGAUAUUGCCAAUCACAUAACUGUCAUAACUUUAUUUAGAGGAGAAUAUAAUAAAUUUGAAUUUGGCUCUUUUUUUUUAAAUUUGCAUGCCAUAUUUUGAAUUUUUUGGCGGGAAAAUUAAAUUUGGCGCGAAAUGCAAAUUAUAAUUAAAUUAAUUUUCUCAAUUAAAUCAAAAAUUGAAAUUAUAUUUAAUAAAAAAUGGGUAUUUUGUUUGCAUCAUGAAAUUAUUAUCAUUUUAAUAACAAUCCUGCAAUUAAUUUAUUAGAAAUUAAUAUUUCAUAAAUUAGCUAAUUAAUUAGAUUAUUAAAAUUAAUAUUGCAACUAAAAAUUCACUGACAAAGAAAAUGAAAUGGAUAACAUUGACUAAGAUUUCAUAAUUGUCAGCAAACAUAAUUUAAUCAAAUUCGAGAGUGACAAGUCCAACAUAAAUAGAAGAAGAGUAUUGUAACAACCUAAAAACUAAAUUCCAGAAACAUGUACAACACAAAUGAACCAUGAUCAGUUCAAUUCCAGUAGUCAUAAUUGUCAUCACCAUUUCAAGUUUUAUUGCAAAAGGUUAAAGGAUUACUAGAUUUAUUUUAUAAAUAUGGUUUGGGUAAUGAUCCUUCAAGACCUCGUAAAGAUGCCUAUGGAAAACAAGUAAUAAUUACUUCACUGCAUAUCUAAAUAAUUAUAACUAAUUAUAUUGCUAAGAAAAUAAGUAAUUAAUUACUUUAUGCAACAAUAACAAUUUUUUUCCAAGCCAUAGAAUCAUACAAUGUCAUCAAUUGAUAAAUAUAAUUCAGCUUGUUUAUUGUCAAAGACCCCAAGAUAAAUUUCACUAAAUGAUGAUCUAGUCAACCCUCAACAAGCGUACUUGCAAAGAACAUCUAUUUUUGCUGGUACUUUGUAUUCCUGCAUAUUCUUAAUAGAUUUCUUUAUAUAACUAGAAUAAUAAAAAAUAUUAUUAUUAAUUUAAGACAUAUCAAAGAAAAACAAUAAUUAUAGAGAUGUGUUGGGAAAAGAACUCACACAAGCAGUUGCAAAGUAAGUGGAAACAAACUAUGUCCCCUUUUUUGUGAUUAAAACAGGAUAUGUACCAUACAUUAACAAACAGAAAAUAAACCAACACAAUCUAAAACAAUAAAUCAACCACAAGAGGCACAUAUUUUUACGUGAAAAACCUAAAUCGAGAAAAACCAUAGGAUGGUAGUCCGAUAGAACCUUCAACUAUAUUAAUAAUGGGAUUACAGAAAAAAUUAUCUCUAGAUAAUACUAGAGGCUAACAACAUAAAAACAUCAAGAAUCUCAAAAUCUUGGCCUAUAGUAACAGCUUAAUAUUUAUCGAUCUAACAAGUAGGUAUCUCAAAUAACAACCAUCAGAAGGAUAAAAAAAAAAUCAAGACAAGUAGGAUUGUAGAGGUGAUGCCAAUAACUUACCCACUAAAUUCAAGUGAAAACGGAGUUAAAAUGGCAUUUCGAUCGUCCAAUCAAAACUUGAAACUCUUGGCUCAAAAAUCAAAUAUUACACCAUUGUCUAUUUUUUUUCUCUCUUGUAUUUUUCUUCUCUUUUCUAUCAUUGUUGCAAUUUGCUUUUCUUUUCUUUUUCUUUCAUAUAUAUUAUUAUUUGGCUAAUUUCAUCUAACUCCAAAACUUAAUAUUAAUUGCACAUCAAGUGAGCCUUUUAGACUUGAGGCUUUAGGGCCAACCAAAUAAGAUAGACCCAAAAAUAUGUACCCCAAUAUCAUUUAAGAUGACAAAUUGUUUAGGCCAAGUAUCAACGCCAUGAGUCAUGGGGCCAACUGUUGUGGCUUGGCUUGGGGCCUUGUGCCGAGUCUUGACAGCAAAUGGGUGUGCUUGUGGUGAGCGCGGAAAUAAGGCAGGGUUGGUGCAUUGGCUAGGGCGCGGCAGCAAGGCGUACGUUGUGGCAUGGCCACAAGCAAUACAGGACAGCGCGCACGAGAGCGUGUGUGGGUGGCGCACGCAGUAUCUAGCAAGAGCAUGGGUGCAAUGGGCGCACGAGUGUGUGGUACAGUGGGCGGUCGAGCACGGGGCAUGAUGGGCGUGUGAACACAAGGCGUUGAGGUGCGCAAGUGCGAGGCACAAUAGUGCGCAAGCGAGCAUGGCACAAGACGCGCGAGCAUGGGGCUCAACAACAUGUGAGUCAGCUAUUGGAUUGCGUGAACAGUUGCGAGAUUUUGGCAUAUUUGUGUACCAGAGUGCGCACGAAAGUGCAGCGACAUGAGGCAUGCAUGUAGGGGCUGAAUCAUGCGAAAAUAAGAGGCGUUCAUACGCAGACUGGGUAAGGACAAUGGUUGUUGGAUGUGGAGCAUGGUUGGCUGCAACUCUCCAAGAAAUGGGCCUAAAAUUAAGCGUGAGUGGCAGUUGCGAGUACAACUAGAGUGGGAGAACAUGGUCUUGAUCAUGUGCCUAAAAAUGAUGAGCAAGAUAGUGGGUGUGGCAGUUACAACUCAUGAUUCCUUACUAAUGGACAUGGUGAGCAACGAUUGCUCAAAUCAAAGGGGAGUGGAGAUGUACUCAUAGGAUUAUGCUUAGUGGGUGCCUAAAAACUUGGGGAGGGAUUUAAGGUGGCGUGAGAGUGGCGCACCACCUAACCUUAGCAAGUGGGGGUGUCACUUGCAAACCAUGCAUAUAAAUAGUGAUGGGGAUGUAUGUUGGGGCGCGAGUUUUGAGUUGAGCAUUUUGUCCUUGAGCAUAAACCUAAAAUUGUUUGUAAAUCUUUUCUUAUUGUGGAAAUAGAAAAGUUGGGGGUUGGUGCCUUAGUAAAAAGCCAAAUACUUGUGCUCUUGUGUUGUGUGUGUGUUGUUCUUUGUGUUGGCGAGAAAGUGUUCUUGCAUAACCUCCAUUUACGAGUGCUGACAUGCUUCUUGUUAAAUUGCUUCCGUUGGGUUUGGGUUGGCUGGCUAAGUGGAGUUCUUAGUGCCAUCACGCGGGUUGCCACACCUAGCUUAUAAAAGCCCGGUGACACCAAGCAACAUGGGAUCCAAUGACAUGGCUAACAAGAACUAAGUCAUACCCAAUAAGCCUUGGUAAAAAGGCAUCUCCUUUAAUUGCAAUAUUAACAGCCACAUGAACAUAUGUGACUAUCAAUGGUACUCUAUGCACAGUCACAUUAGGAUAAUUUUUUCUAACAUUGUACCUUUGGCUAUAACAUUUUUUUGUUGCCCACUGCUAACUUGCAUGAUUUGCCUUGCAUUAUCUAUGUGUAAAAGUAUUAAUCAUAGCAUUAUAAGUGAUAAAAAUUUAAACUUUGAGAUUUGGAAAAAAAAAGUGCACUUAUUUUUUCAUAUAUACCUAUUUCUUCUUAAAGCACUAAUUUUACAUAUAUACUUGUUUAUUCUUGGAGUACUUUUUCUCUAUUCUUGGUUCCUUAGAGCAACUACCCUUUUCUGAGGGAAUUUUUAGUGACUGGAUCAAUAUGACUCCAUUCUUUUGGAACAUUUUGUUGACCUAUAUGGUUAUACAGUCUUUCAAUUUUGACUAUAACAAACCAUGUGUCAAUGGUAGAAUAUGAAAUGCAUUGUUCAUAAGCUUAAGGUAUUCAAAUGCACAAAACUCUAUCUAGACAAGAAUGGGCAUUAGGGUCACUAAGCUUAGAUAUUUCAUUUUGUAAAGCUCAUUUGAACAAAUGAAUGCAUGAUCAAAGCAUUUAAAAGCUCAACUUAUUCUCUCAUUAUAUUUUAAGAAAAAAUCAUUUACGUGGAAAUAUAAUCUCAUAAAAUGAGUUAUUGAACUCUACUAAGAAUGAUUUGAAAGGUUUCGAAAAAAAAAAUGUUAUUUUAAGUUGAACGGACACAGUCACUCAUAUGGUAAAGUUACAAGCAAAGUGGUAUAGUGUGGUUGGGAAUUUAUGUUCUCAGAUGAUGGUUGGGGAUGAGAUCAAAGAGACGGGUAGCUAGGAGUACAAUUAUUUCCUUGUACAUUUAUAUAGCUAUUUCGGUAGGUUUGGAAAAAUCUAUACAUUUUAGUACUCAAACGAUAAACCACUAACUUCAAGUAGGUAGUCGAUAAGGUUGAGAAAUGUUUCUAAAAUUAAGCAGCAUACCGCUAGACUUGAAACAGCUAAUCAAGUGGGUUGAUAUAAGGUUCUAGAAUGAAACGGCAAACCAUUUACUCAUAAGCGGCAAGCUAACUUCCAAUAGAGGGGUCUUUGGAUCAAAUGGCAAACUGAUUAAAUCACAAGCCACAAGUCGACUUCAAUCAAUGAACUCUAAAUCGACAACUCCCAAGCAGCAAUCUAAUUGUGAAAAAAUUUCAAACUUAUGCAUAACGGUAACUAGCCACAUAAGCAAAUAGCAAUCCAUUUCAUUACGAGCGGUAAACCGAUUAUGCUUGAAAAGUCAAUAAUGGCUAAUUUUAUUGAUCAAUCUAAAUAAAUAGCCAAGGAAAACUCAUUUCAAAUUGAACUUUUGAAAUCCAUAUUAGAGUUUAAAAUAGAAAAAAAAGUCUCGAGUUUUUUUAUUUGCUGACACACAUUUAUUGAUUUGUAUUUGAGCUAUCAUUGCAAAUAUACUCCUGAAGAGUGCAAUCUUUGUAAACUCCAGUUUCAUUUCAAAAAAUGAGUGCUAGUGAGUGUGUAAAGGUUUAUUGAAAAAGGGAUAUAUAAUCAUCUCUCGUUGAUAGUGUGGGUGUGUAAAGGUUUAUUGAGUGUGUAAAGGUUAAUCUAUCAACGAGAGAUGAUUAAAUAAUCUGAUUAAAGUUAAUGAUCAAUAUGUAUAAAACGUAAAGCCGCGUCAACUUUCAAGAAAACUGAAAAAAUAGUACAAUAUAUAUAUAUAUGAAGCUCCAUCUUUAAAAUCUUGAGAAGCAGAUACAUUUUCUUUUAAUAAUUUAAACAUAUCGAGUACCCUAUAGCCUCUGUAGAGUAGUAUCAACAAUAUUUAACUAGAACUAAACUCCUCAUGUCAAUUUCAGAGGUGACUUUAAUUAUAGGCGAACAUGACAAUUGUCUAAAGUUUCAUUUAGAAAGACCUCAUUAAUUUUUUUUGAGUAUUUCAUUAAUAAUUUUUUAAUUAAUAAAGAUUUUUUAAAAUUACAUAAUGUGAGAAAAAUUUAUUAAACAUCUCUGUAAUUAAUAAUUAUCAUAUAAUUAAGAGUUAUUUUCUAUAGAAUAUCUAUAUUUGGUAACCUUAUUGUUAAAAAAAUAUAAUUAAUAAAAUUGUCUAACUAUUAAUUUAUUCAUUCUUAUUUUUUCUAAGAAAAGUAAAUAAAUUACUUACCUUUUUAGUUUCUUAAGAAAACUUAAUUAUUUAAUGUUAGAAUCUUUAACUUUGAGUAUUCUUUUUAAUUUCUAUUAAAAUGAGGAAUUGACCUGUGGUAGAUUCAGUAAAAAAUAAAUAAGAAUUUCUAAUUGUAAACCUUAUAAUCUAAAAAAUCAUAGACAAAAAAAUUUCUUACUCUCUCCUCUACAAAGAAAAUUAUUACAUACAUUAGUUCAUUUAGAAAAGAAAAACAUUAGUUUCUUGAACUAGAAAGUCCAUAUGCAUUAUGUGAUCAUCAAUUCGUCAUCUCAAAUUUUAAUAUACUCCAUUCUAAAUAUUCUAUUUGAAAAUAAUAUUAUUCUUAUUUAUUUAUUUUUGUAAAAAUUCUAAUGAAAGUAAAUUUUUAGAUUUUGUUUUUGAAAUAUUUUAGGCUCUUCUUUAUUAUUAUUGAAAUUCAAAAACUAAAAAUGAAAUAAAUUUUGAGCUCUAUUAUAAUUUUUUUUAAUAUUAAAGUUUUUAAAUAAAAAGAGGUCUCGUAAAAGAAAAUUUUACCUAUGGCCAAUUUCUCUAAUUUUUAAAAUACAUAUUUUAAAUAUCAAGUUCUCUACAAAAUCUUUAAAAAAAAAAAACUAUUUCUUGUAGUAUUGGAUAUCGAUGAAUGAAUAUCGGCAUCCACAAGAUUCCAAAUCAGUUGUUGGGUUUUCAGAAAACACAUAAUAACAAGCAGACACAAAAAGCUUAUAGUUGUGGCUCCACAAUCACGCAGUCCAGAUCAGCUCCCGUCCAUGUAAUCAAUAUAUGGUCCAACUAGAUGCCUCGUGACCUUUCUCACCCGGCUAACAGCGAGUCAAGAUAUCUCACCGUCACCGGCACUGCACUUACCGCAUUCAGAAUUUUCAGAUCCACCUGUCCAUAACCUUCCCCAGGUCACUGCCACGGGCGUUCCCGCCACCACCAUAGCUCCAAUCGCCAUCAGUCCCUAAUAACCAAAUCACCAACCCAACAGCUCACAUCCGCCUAACAGGCCGAUAUCCUUCGUUUGAUAUUUUUCUUUUGUUUUUCUUUUAUUUAUUUUGAGUCUCCUAAUUAUUUUAUGUUUUAAUUUUUUUUAAUUUUUUAAUUUUUCUAUUUCCUUGUCUUUAUGGUGUUUGUUUUCUGCUCCCGAGAUCUUUUAUAUAUGAUCGUAAAUGGUGUCGAUUCACAGUUUGGAUCAGAAUCGUAUCAGCGUUCAAAUGGAGAGAGUUUGCUUAUAUUGGAGUUGAUGAAUAAUUCUAAUGGUGGUGCAAUGAGAUUUCGAUGACCUGGCCAUGUCGCUGAUGGCAUGGGUUGAGGCCUCAUCGAGAGUCAGGCUGGGAAUACUUGAGAUGAAGUGGUUAUCAUUGCUGAGGUUUUGUAGUUUUUUAGUUCUGUUCUGCAGUUAAUUAGCAUUAUGUUGUGGUGUAUUCUAUUAUUUUUUAUAUUCUUAUUUUCUUAUCCCAUAUAUUGUGCAAUAUGGUCUUGUAUUUAUUAAUCUUCAAUGAUUGUGUUUGUAUAAAUAUAUAUAUAUAUAUAUAUAUGUAGCAUAUUCCAAGAAGGUUUUGACAAAAAAAAAAAGUUGUUUGGUCCACUGAAAACUGGACGUGGCUGAGACGAAAUCCGCUGUAAAUACGUGUCCUUUAAUCAUCAUCUCGAACUUCAUUCUAUCAAAGUGCAUGCCCUAUUUAAACCUCCCACCAUGUGCACUCAGACUCAAGUGUGCACGCAAAUGCCAAAAAACAAGCACAUGGAGCAGCAACAGCAACCCCACUUUCUACUAUUAACAUUUCCAAUACAAGGCCACAUUAACCCAUCCCUCCAAUUCGCCAGGCGUCUUACGCGCAUUGGUACACGUGUCACCUUCGCCAUCGCCAUCUCCGCCUACCGCCGCAUAGCCAAUAAUCCCACGCCCGAAGACGGCUUGUCGUUUGCCAGCUUCUCCGAUGGAUAUGACGACGGAUUCAAUUCCAAACAAAAUGAUCGGACGCACUACAUGUCGGAGUUCAAGCGUCGUAGCUCCGAAGCCCUGGCUGAGCUCAUCACGACCAGUCAAAACGAGGGUGGUCAACCGUUUACUUGCUUGGUUUACCCUCAACUCCUUCCUUGGGCUGCUGAAGUGGCGCGUGCGUAUCACCUCCCUUCGGCGCUACUCUGGCUUCAACCAGCCCUCGUUUUCGACGUUUAUUACUAUUACUUCUAUGGAUAUGGCGAUCUAAUUGAAGGGAAGGUUAAUGAUUUGAUAGAGUUACCGGGACUGCCGCCACUCACCGGCCGUGAUCUUCCUUCUUUCCUAGAUCCCAGAAAUUCAAAUGAUGCUUACUCUUUCGUAUUACCUUCUUUUAAAGAACAAAUGGAGGCAAUUGUUGAAGAAACCAAUCCAAGAAUUCUUGUCAACACGUUCGACGCAUUAGAAGCUGAGACCUUGAAAGCUAUCGAUAAGUUCAAUAUGAUCGCAAUCGGACCGUUAGUUGCAUCGGCGUUGUUGGACGGAAAAGAACAGUACGGAGGCGAUCUUUGCCAGAAUAGUUCAAUAGAGUAUUAUAUGGAAUGGCUAAGCUCGAAGCCCAAAUCAUCUGUUAUCUACGUGGCAUUCGGAACCAUAUGCGUUCUGGAGAAGCGUCAAGUGGAGGAAAUUGCACGGGGGUUGUUAGAUAGUGGCCAUCCAUUCUUGUGGGUCAGUAGAGAAAGCGACAAUAAAGAUAAAGAUAAAGAUAAAGGAGAAGAUGACGUGAUGAUGAAGUACAAAGAAGAGCUGAAUGAGAAGGGAAUGAUAGUGCCGUGGUGUUCACAAGUGGAGGUUCUGUCACAUGAAGCGGUGGGGUGUUUUGUAACGCACUGUGGGUGGAGUUCGAGCUUAGAAAGUUUGGUAUAUGGCGUGCCUGUGGUGGCGUUUCCUCAGUGGACAGAUCAAGGGACAAACGCUAAAAUUAUUGUGGACUUCUGCAAAACCGGAGUGAGAGUGAAGGCAAAUGAAGAAGGGAUUGUAGAAAGUGAUGAGAUUAACAGGUGUUUGGAGUUGGUGAUGGGAGAAGGAGAUGAUUUUAGAAGAAAUUCUUUGAAAUGGAAGGAUUUGGCCAGAGAUGCCGUCAAACAAGGAGGGUCUUCACAUAAGAAUCUCAAGGCUUUUGUUGAUGACUUUAGCACCAGCAAGUAGUUUUAUCUUCUUCUUUUUUUUCCUCGUUUUUACUCUUUGAAUAUGGGAAGAUUUAAUAUAUAGAAGAAAGACAUUUGUAACGAUUUUUACUUUUUAUCCUCAUCUGUCAUAUGGCAUGAUGGUUACGCGACGAUCGUUAAUUUUGGUGUCAAGAAAAUUUGAUGACGGAUUUUAUAUGUCAGGAAAUGCAUGAUAUAUUAUCCAUUAUAAUUCUAUCAUAAAUAUUUUGAUAAUAAAUUAUCAUGCAUGAUUAACAUUUAUUAUAAUCACUUUCAAAGCAUGACUAAUAUCUAUCGCAAGAGAAUGAUACAUAUAAAUGAAUUUGGCUGGAAUUCCAAAAUCUAAAUAAAUUUGACGAAAUUUUAAAACUUUUAAAUGAGUUGGGCUGGAAUUACAAAAUUAUUUUAUCUAAUUAUUAAUUUAUUCAAUUAAUUGUAUUUAUUAUUGAAUUAAAUUUUAAUUUUGAAAUAUAUUCUUUUAUAAAUUAUUAUUAUGAUGAUGAUGAUAUGUGUAUGUACUCCAAAAUUAUAUAAAUAUAUACAAAUUAAGAAUUUAAAAUUAAUUAAACUACAUAAUAAUAACAUGAAUAUAUUAUUUGUUCUUUUAAACUAAAUACAAUUACUAUCUAUCACAUAAUAUGAACAAGAACAUCAUUCAUUCUUAGGCUAAAUCAAACUCCAUAUUUCCACUAAAAACAUAAAAAUUCCAGCUUCUGAGAGAUGAUUGGUACAAACGUUGCAUGUUAGCUUAACUAGCAAGCAAAAAACUAAAGCACUUCACCAACCAACUACAGUCUAACAAAUUAUGUGACGUUCAGGACAAAAUCCAGCAUGGGGUCCUUAGAUCCAAAACACAAUUUAGUUGCCGGCCACCUGGAAUUUCAAUUAAGAGAAAAAAAAUCAGUUGGAUAAUCUCAAAAACCAAGUUUCCAUCAAUUUUAUCUUUGCAAAAUGCUGUUAGGAUUUUGGUGGGUGAAGCAGAACCACAGUUAAAAUGAAAUUGAAAGAAAAAAUAAAGAACAAGCAGAAAUAGGAGACCAAGAAAUUACGUGGUUCGGCUUUUAGCCUACAUUCACGGGCGAAGAUAGAAAGAAAAUAUUUUACUAGUGAUAUGAGAAUUACAAAUAUUGUAAUAUUUUGGCUCACUACCCAGAACCCAAUACACCCAAUCUCUCACUCACUAGACUCACAAGAACUUUAUAAUUUAAACAUUUAAAAUUACCCAAGCUCCCUGCUUUCUCUCUCACAAAUUUUUGAUGCCAAAAUGAAAAGGGGAGCUCUCCCUUUUUAUAGCCAAAAUUGGCUAUUAAAAUAUUAUUUUUUUCUCACCGCCAUUAUCUUCUUCAUUCUUCUUUUUCCUUCUUCAAAGAACGCUACUGCCAAAUUCCAUUGUUUCUUCUUCUUUCAUUUUGUCUUUGUUCAAAUUUGGCAGCUUCAACUAUUCCUUUUGCUUCAGCAACUUUCCCCUUCAAUAUUUGCUACUUCAAAGUUUCUUCAUUCUUCUAGAUUGGUGGCUGUCAAAGCCAAUUUGAAUUUGGCUUGUUAAAGCCACUAGCUUUGUCAGCCAUUAUUUUGACAUUCUCCUACUUGGAGAUUUGAUUGAGGAUCAAUCAAUCUUCACCCAUCAUUUUUGUUUAGCCAUUGUCAUGCUGCUUACAUCUCUAUUAGGUCACAAGAGGAUCUACUCUAUACAAACUUGUCAGUAUUGAUUGGUUUGAUCAUAACAUAUGUCCUUCGUAUGGAUUUUCAAUAAAUCUACACUUCUGUCUUCCACUACUUCUCGAACAAAGUGAUAUUGUAUCCUUAUGUGCUUUGUCCUGGAAUGAAAGGCUGGGUUCCUUGCAAUAUGCAAUGUGCAAGGCGCUCUAGUCGCCAUGUAUUCUACUUCUAUUGUAGAUAAAGCCACAAUGGUUUGUAGUUUUGAAACCCAGCUUACAGUUCCUCCCGUAAGUGUAAAUACAUAGCCAAUAGUGGAUUUCCUUUUAUCAAGGUCUCCUGUAAAAUCUGAAUCCACGUAACCCCUGACAGUAAAUUCUGAUUCUCCAUAACAUAAUGCAACAUUGGAGGUUCCUCUAAUGUAUCUCAAAAUCCUUUUCACAGUUUUCCAAUGUUCUCCACCAAGAUUCGCUAUGUAUCGACUGAUUGCUCCCACUGCUUGUGCAAUGUUUGGUCUAGUACAUAUUAUAGCAAACAUUAAACUUUCCACUGCUGAUGCAUACGGUACUCGAGACAUCUCCUUCCUCUCUGCUUCAUUGCUAGGACACAUACUUGAGGAUAAUUUGAAAUUAACAAGAGGUGGGGUAAAAAUUAGCUUACAAUCGUGCAUGUUGAAGCAUCAUAAGAUUUUCUUCAAGUAGUUCUUCUGAGAAAGCCAAAUCUUCUAGUUAAUUCUCUCUCGGCGAAUUUGCAUCCCUAGAAUCUUGUUUGCUGGUCCUAAGUCCUUCAUUUUAAACUUCCUAGUCAAUUGUGCCUUCAAUUCUUGGACUCGAUCUUUGUUAGGGCCUGCUGCCAACAUGUCAUCCAUGUACAACAUCAAAAUAAUGAAAUCAUUAUCUUCAAACCUCUCGUAAUAUGCACAAUGGUCUGAACUGAGUCCGUUGCAUCCAAGACUCAUGAUGAAGGAAUCAAAUCUCUUAUACCAACACCUCAGUGUCUGUUUGAGACCGUAUAGAGAUUUGUUCAACCUGCAAACCAAGUUCUCCUUUCCUAUUUCAGCAAAAACUUCUGGUUGGAGCAUAUAUAUUUCUUCUUCAAGUUCUCCAUGAAGAAAUGCAGUUUUCACAUCUAACUGCUCAAGAUGUAAGCCAAAUGUAGCAAACAUCGCCAAGACUACUCUAAUUGUUGUAAGUUGAACCACCAGAGAAAAUAUCUCAUUGAAGUCAAUACUUUCUUUCUGAGCAUAUUCUUUCAUCACCAAUCUUGCACGAUACCGCUCCACUUGGCCAUUACUAUCACGUUUGAUCUUGUAGACCCAUUUGUUACCAAUGGCUUUUCUUCCGCGUGGUUGUGAUACAAGUUCACAUGUCUUGUUCUCGUGUAGAGUUUCAAUUUCCUCCUGCAUUGUUGUCAUCCACAAAGCAACAUUUGAGUUGUUUAAAGUUUCAUGGAAAGUUGAUGGCUCUCCAUCCUCUGUUAGAGGACAGUAUACAACAUUAAUAUCCGUGACAUACUCCGAGUGCCAUUUUGGCGGUCGUCUCUCACGAGUUAACCAACGAACUUCUGAAGCCUUGGACUCGACUAGUUCUUGUUCCUUAUGCUCUGGUGAUGCUUCAGAAGAAUUCGAAUCUUCUGGAUUAUUUUCCAUAUAUACCGGUACAAUCUCUGACUUUUCUUUUACAGUGUUAUCAUCCUCAUCUCUCUUUUAAAAUUGAUCUUCUACAAAGAUAACAUCUCUGCUGAUGACAAUCUUAUGGGCAGUGGGGUCCCACAGACGAUACCCUUUUACUCCAUCGGCAUACCCCAAGAAAAUACACCUUCUAGAUUUUUUAUCUAACUUUGUUGUUUCUUGGAUAUUGUACAUUACGUACACAGGACAUUAAAUGCAUGUAGGUAGGAGUAAUCAGCUAGCUUUCCAGUCCACAUCUCCAUCGCUGUCUUCAGCCCAAUAGCAAUGGAUAGCGACCGAUUUACUAUAUAACAAGCAGUUUUGGCUAUUUCUGCCCAGAAUGAAUUAGGUAGACCAGCAGUCCUUAAUAUAGCUCUUAUCCUUUCUGUAAGAGUCAUGUUCAUCCGCUCUACCUCUCCAUUUUGUUGAGGAGUUUAUGUUACCAUGAACUGCCUCUGAAUACUUUCUUGCUUAUAGAAAACAAAAAAUCCGCCGUCUGUAUACUCUCCACCAUUAUUUGUCCUCAAGCACUUAAUCGUUUUGCUAGAUUCAAGUUCCACUCGAGCUUUGUAUUCUUUAAACACUGAAAAUACAUCUAACAUUUUCUUAAUUGGAUACACCUAACAUCUCCUGGAAUAAUCAUCAAUGAAAGUCACCAUAUACUUUGCAUCUCCUAUGGAUAUGUCUGGUGAUUCCCAAACAUUAGAGUGAACGAAGUCUAUAAUGCAUUUACUUCUAGCAAUAGAUCUACUAAACUUUAAUUUAUAUUGCUUACUUAUAACACAAUACUCACAAAAUGGUAAGCUUACCGAUUUGAGACUUGGAAGUAAUUUUCGCUCAGAGAGAAUCUUUAAACCUUGUUCCAACAUGUGACCAAGUUUGAUAUGCCACAUCAUCAUUGACUCUUCUCUAUUUGAUACAACACAAGCAUCAGCUUAAUGUAGUGUUUCUCUUUUAAGUAUGAAUAGAUUGGCACCGAUCUUUUCUGGCUUCAUCAGUACAAGUACACCUUUAACAAUCUUCAUAAUUUCAUUUUCCACAUGAGUUUUGCACCCAUGACUAUCUAUUUGUCCUAAAGACAAUAGAUUUUUCUUCAGCGCGUUGACAUGUCGUACCUCCCCAAUUGUACGAAUUGUACUAUCAAAUAUUUUUAUUUUGAUAGUAUCAAUACCAACGAUCUCCAAUGCAUGAUUGUCACCCAUAUAUACAGAUCCUCCUGAGAAAGGUUCAUAUGUGUGGAACUGUUCUCUCUGAGAGGUCAUGUGCUAGGUAGCUCUUGGAUCUAUGAGUCAGACGUUAGAUAGCCAUUUUCUGCCUUCUAAAACAGUUGUUGCCUCGCUGUAGAGAAUUUCGCUAUCAUCCUAGGUACUUGCUACACACCCCUGAGCAUUUGAUGACUCAGGUUAUUUGCCCUCUCUUCUCUUCUGGUUGUUCCAACAGUCUUUCUUGAUGUGCUCUUUCUUGCCAUAGUUGUAGCAUUUAAUAUUCUUCUUACUUCUAGAUUUUGAUCUACCAUGAUUGUGAUUUCUACUGGGGCCACGUUCCAUUGAUCUCCCACUCGUCACUGAUAGUGCUUCUGCUUACUGCGAACUUGUUUGUCUGUCUUCUUUAUUUUUCCUCCUGCCCUCCUUAUUUAAUACAGAGGCUGCAACAUCAUCGAAAACUAGACUGUCCGCUGGGGUAUUGUUUGUCAAAUUAAUGAUGAGUUGAUCAUACGAAUCUGGUAGACUUUGAAGUAGAAGCUCCACAUGUUCAUUUUCCUUUAUAUUAGGACCUAACGUUAAUGAGUUGUGAAAAUAGAGUCUUUAAGGUGUUGAUGUGAUUGGUCACUGAUGUAAAUUCUAUUAUUCAAAGGGUCUAGAGUCUAGAGUCUUCUCUUUAAGAAGAUUUUAUUGUGCAGCGAUUUGGCCUCGUACAAUUUUGUGAGAGUAUCCCAUAUUUCCUUUGUUGUCUUUUUCUCUGCCAAACUGCAUAAUACUCCAUCCGCAAGUGCUAAGUGUAAAUAGAAAUAGCGUUGCCAUCUAUCUCGUUCCACUUGUCAUCAAUUAUCUCCAUGAGCUUUUCUCCAAUUGCUGUCAAGCAAUUAUUUUUCCUCAAUACAGUUUUUAUCUUCAUUUUCCACAAUGAAAAAUUAUUUCAGUUGAACUUUUCAAUUUCAUAUUUUUCCGCCAUCGCUUUUCACCACAAACUAACUUUGCUAAGAUUAGCUCCCACCACUUCACGUGAACAGGAACAGUAUACGUGAACAGUACCGUAUACGUGAAUAGUAUCCUAUACGUGAAUAAUACUUUUACGUGAACAGUACCAACGACUCCAAAAAAAAAAUACAACCAGUAGCUCUGAUACCACAAUUAGGAAAUUAGUGGGUGAAAUAGGACCACAGAUAAAAUGAACUUGGAAGAAAAAAAUAAAGAACAAGCAGAAAGAGGACACCAGGAAAUUAUGUGGUUCGGCUUUUAGCCUAUAUCCACGGGCGAAAAUAGAAGGAAAAUAUUUUACUAGUGAUAUGAGGAUUACAAGUAUUGUAAUAUUUUGGCUCACUACCUAGAAUCUCAAUACACUCAAUCUCUCACUCACUAGACUCACAGGAGCUUGAGUAAUUUUAAAGGCAAUUUUAAGCCUUUCAAAUUACUCAAGCUCUUUGCUUUCUCACUCACAAAUUUUUUAUGCCAAAAUGAAAUGGGGAGCUCUCCUUUUUUAUAGCCAAAAUUAGCUAUUAAAAUAUUAAUUUUUUCUCACUGUCAUUAUCUUCUUCAUUCUUCUUUUUCCUUCUUCAAAGAGCGCUGCUGCCAAAUUCCAUUUUUUCUUGUUCUUUCUUUUUGUCUUUGUUCAAAUUUGGAAGCUUCAACUCUUCCUUUUUCUUUUUCCUUGUUUUCUUUGGGUGGCACUUUUCCCCUUCAAUAUUUGCUGCUUCAAAGUUUCUUCAUUCUUCUAGAUUGGUGGCUGUCAAAGCCAAUUUGAAUUUGGCUUGUUAAAGCCACCAGCUUUGUUAGCCAUUAUUUUGACAAUUAUUUGCUUUAAUAAACUUCAAUAUGGCCUCAAAUUGACGUAUACAAUUUGAGAAAGUGCAACAUCAAUAAAACUCUCAAUUAUCUUAAUGUAGUCUUAUUGUACCUAACUGAUAACUUUCAACGUAAAACAUGAACUAUAAAAAGCCUCAAACAUAUAUAUUUCACCUUAAACACUUUAUGAACUAAUAAAGUAAUAGAGUACAGUUUAGAAAAUUAUUUACAAUUUUAUAACUACCAUAAAGAUUAAACCCUUAUGUGGUGUAAAAUUAAAUUUUAAGAUCUAAAUCCCUAACAUAACUUCAAUAAUUUAAAAAAACCUAGAAAUGAUCAAUAAAAUUUUUCUUUCUAAUUUUCAAAUUCCAUUCACAAUAAUUUAAUUUUAACUUAAUAAGAAACAAAAACAAUCAAAUCAUUAUAAUAAAUGUUCAUUCUAAAAUAUCACUUCCUAAGAACACAUAAGAGUUAGGACAGAGGAGACGACAUACCGGAGCUAGUGGAGGAGUUGUGGAGAUAUUAGUAGCAGAUGCAAUAGAGAUGUGAGCAUGCACCGAGUAGAAGGGGGUUAGUUUAGGUCGUUUGGAGUUGGAGGUUGCUGGUUCUAGUUUGGCUCCUUUGGAGAAAUUGAAGGGGGGCUAUGCGAGUUAAAAAGAAAGACGUUUGGCAUUUGGGUUUUGUUUUAAAUUAAGGUGGAGGUGCAAUUAGUCAUAAAAGAGGGUUAACUUAAAACAAUUUAAUUUUAAAGUUUCAAUUAUAUUUAAAAGUUCAUGACAAAUGUCUAUCAUAGUGCACAAGCAUCGUCGAAACUCAAAAAAUGUAAAAAUCAAUGUUAUAUUACAAUGGUAUUUUUGUAAUUAAAGUUAUUAAAGAAAAAUUAAAUAAUUGAAUUAAUAAUAAAAAAACGACGUCAUUGCAUACCAUGCCUGUCAUGGUUUGAAACGAUGUCAUUUCAAUCUAUGACAAUGCCUGUCAUGCUUCGUAAACAAUGUUAGAUGGUAUCGUAAAACGACUUGUCAUUUUAAUUUAUUAAAAAAUUAGCAUUACAUAUAUCUAUCAUUUACUUAUGUCAGUAAGUUAUAAGUCACGAAUAAGUCAUGUAAUCUUGACAUAUAAUUAUAUGUCACGAACAUGUCGUACACAUAAAUGAUAUAUUUGUGACACAAUGUUAUCUGUUAUGAAAAUUUUGUCAUUAAUUUGCGUUUCUUUAGUAGUGUUUAGGAUCAUAUGAUAUAUGAUAUGGUAAGAGAUGAUAUAAUUAAAUAUUGUAUGUGUGUAUGUUUAGUUGAAUUUUGUAUGAUUAUUAAUUAUAUGUUUUUCAAAAUAAAUAUACUUAUGUCAUAUAAUAUUAUUUAUUUAUUAUCAUCAUAUUUAUAAAAAAUUUAGCAUGCAUCGCUCUUUUUAUUAUUAUUGUUAUCAUUUUAUAUGUGGACAUACAAUUAUAUAUAAUUGUGGUGGAUCAGUACCCUAGUCUCCAGAGUGACGCUAUAUAUUUAUAUAUAUGCAGUUCACUCCACAAUAUCAGCCAGUAAGUACAUGAAAUGGGGUGAAUUAGUACCCUAGUCUCCAGAGUAAUGUUGUGUGUGUGUGUGUGUGUGUGUAGACACUUGUACAACUAUGUGCUGAGAUAAAUUUGAGCUUUAUGCCUUUUAUCUUACAUUUCCAAGUAAAAAUAUUCAUUAGAUAAAAGUUUGAGAUUUACCUUGAUUGGCCAUGAAUCCAAAUUUUAUUAUCCAGCUUGCCUCUUACUCGUGAGUCUAACAUUUUUUUCUUCUAAUUUGCAGUGAUUCUACCUUAAAUUUCAGCUGCAAAAUCAAGCUCACUAUGCACACAAACACAAUCGCCUAAGAGGGAGGGAGAGAGAGAGAGGUGCACUGUACUCAUACCCCAUAUUCUAUGAAUAGUGAACUCCGAAUAAGCUGAAGGUACUUAAAUAUUAUAACUGAGUGCAGGGACCCCUCAUGUGUUACUACAAAAUUGCCCAUUCCAUUAUGAGCUAAAAUAACACAAUUGAAGGUUAUACUUGCCCAUAAUGGACUACUAUAUAGGGUAUGACAAAAUUAGACUCAUUAACAUAAUAUUUGAUCAUUUAAUAAAUGAGUCUGCCAAAAGUGCUCUUUAAUAUUUGACAUCAGUCACAUAUUAAUCUGGUAAAACAUGAAAAACAAUUAGAAUGAUCUAUGUCAAUCUACAAUAUGUGAGAAAUAAAUCUAACACAAUGUACUAACCUUUUUUAGGCAGAAAAGAUUUUUGUUCAAUCAAGUCAUCAAUAAUAAACAAAAAUAAAUGUAUAACUUUUCUAAUGGCAAAAGAACUAUUAAAAAUAGCUUUGAAUUUGGCUGUUAAUAAAUAAACUUCAGUAUAAAACAGUAGUAUCAUUAUUAAAUAGUGGAGAAUGCAUAUUUAUAAAGGGUAAAAUUAUCAUUUUGUAUUCCAAAUCUCACUAACAUUUCAACUUUUACGUGUUUAAAUCCUCUAACCUUUUAUUAUGUGCGUUUUAUUAUAAUUUAAAUGUUUUAUAUAUUUUAGGGAUAUUUUGGCCAUUUCACAACUAACGAGAAGUCGGACAACAAAACGGAUGACAUUUUUAAAUACUGAUGUGGACGGCCAACAAAACGGAUGGCUAUUGGACCAAAAUACUGACGUGGCUAUUGGACCAUAAUAUUAUUAUUAUUAUUAUAAUCAUUGUCCAUUAUAAUUAAUAUUAAUAAAAAUUACUAUAAUAAUAUAAAAAAUGAUAAAAUAGAAAUUUUAUAAUUUAAGUGAGGGUAAUAUGGUCACUUAAGGGAAUAAGAAUCCCAUUCCCACCUCCCUAUGAGAAUUCAUUUGGCAAAAGCAGAGCUUCUAAGCUGUAAAGGCUGUGACACACCAAUGACUACAGGAACAAAACUUCAAAAACAAGUUGAUGGUUCACUUGGUCAAUUCAUUGAAGAUCCUUCAGCAUAUAGAAGUUUAGUUGGAGGCUUACAAUAUGUGAUACUUACAAGGCCUGAGAUAGUCAAUAUGUUGCUAUGCCAACUUUACAGCAUCUAAUGGCGUGCAAGAGAGUGUUGAGAUACUUAAAGGAAACUCAUGAUUAUGGACUGAAAUUUAGAAUUGAAGGAGAGCUGACACUAACUGGAUACACAGAUGCAGAUUGGGCUUGUGACAUUAAUGACAGGAAAUCAGUUGGUGCAUACUGUAUUUACUUGGGAAACAAUCUAAUCUCAUGGUCUUCUAAGAAGCAAUCAGUUGUGACUAGAUCUAGUGCUGAAAGUGAAUAUAAAUCUCUUGCUUCAGCUUGUGCAGAGAUUACUUAGCUUCAAUCAUUAUUCAGUGAAAUGAAUCUGCAGUGCACUUCAACUCCAGUGAUAUGGUGUGAUAACAAGAGUGCCACUGAGCUUGUAAAGAACCCAGUUUAUCAUUCAAGAACCAAACACAUUGAACUGGAUAUGCACUUCAUCAGAGACAAAGUUGUUGCCAAGGAAUUGCAGAUCAAUUAUAUACCCAAUGAAGAACAAAUUGCAUAUGUCUUAACCAAACCCUUAACCUUUAGUCAUUUUAACUUUUUCAGAAGCAAACUCAAUGUGCAACCUUGCCCGUUGAGUUUAAGGGGGGCUAUUAAGGAAGCACAUCUCAGCUUCUUAGUCAAAGACCAGUCAAUGCAAAGAGUGAUCAAAGAAGCCAAGUCAGCAGAGUGAUUGAGAGUGUGCCAGAUCAUUGACAGCUCAGGUUAAUUAAUUACACUUGUCUAUUGUGCUCUGCAUCUUUUAUUUUGUUAUUUUUUGUUUUCGUUUUAUGCAGUUAGUUAAGCUCACGAGCUUGAUAUAAAUAGAUUGUAUUUCUAUUUUGUUAUAUGAUGAAAUACUAAUAAUAAACAUUCAGUUCAAGAAUAUUCUUUUCCUCUGUAAAUUUUCUUUUCUUCCAAACACAAUAAGAUUUUCCUUUAAUCCAACAUCAGAAAGUUGAUUAAUUUGCGCCGUCUUGAUAUAAUGGGUGCAUGUUUAAUAAAAGAGAUGCCAUUUGGAAUAAAGGAGUUAAAGAAUCUUCAGGUGCUAUCUAAUUUUAUUGUGGGCACGGGUACCAGAUCAUCCGGCUUGAAAGAUCUGAAGAGAUUAACACUUCUCAAUGGAGAACUUUGCAUUUCGAGAUUAGAGAAUGUGAAUGACCCGCGGGAGGCAAAAGAAGCUGCAUUAUGGGAGAAAAAGAAUCUAGAAUCAUUGUCCUUACUGUGGAGGUCUAAGUUUGACAGCUCCCGAAGAGAGGUUUUAGAAGAAAGUGUACUUGACGUGCUAAAACCUUAUCCAAAUAUCAAGAAACUCACAAUUAUGUGCUACGGUGGGCAAAGAUUUCCUUCUUGGAUAGGAGAUCCAUCUUUCUCCGUGAUAGAGGUCCUUAAAUUAGAAAAUUGUGAAAAUUGCACAUCCUUGCCAUCGCUUGGGUUGUUGAGUUCACUUAAGCAUCUUAUGUUAGAUUAAUUUUAUAUUAAUCUAAUAUAUUUGGGGCCACACAUGAAAUAAAUAAAAUGUGUGUGCUAUUAUUUAAUAAGCCAAGAAUUAAGUGAUCUAAUUGAAGUUCAUUAAAUGGUUAAGGGUAUAAUUAUUGUGGAUUAAAUGCAUAGAUACCAGAAUUUAAUCAUCACUUUAAUGAGGGGCUGAAGUAAUUAUUAUCAUAAAUACGUGACUGUUGGGUUUUCUAAAAGAAAACUAAUAGUCACGAUAUUUAUAUAAAAAGGGGUUAUGGUCCCCAAUCUCUCUAAUAAUCUUUUGUAAUUCUCUAAUCCUCUCAAAGAGAAUUCUAAACUCAAGAAAAAGAGAAGAUUGGAAGUCCAUCUCCUACACUCAAGAACCACUACGAAUCACCAUGGAUUCAGGUACGCUUCCGCUUUCGUAUUUCUCAGUAAUUUAAUAUGGAUGUUAUGAAGAUUAAGAGGACAACAAGUGGUAUCAGAGCCACAUCCAUGAUUAGAUUAUUGAGUUAUUAAUAUCAUUUUGCUUGAAAUUUUGUAAUUGUUGUGGUUAGACCACGUUUCGGUUUCGGUUUUAUCAAUUAUUUCGGUUAUGGUUUUAUAAUCUUUAAAUUAAAAUGAUUUAUAACAUAAGUUUAUUAUUGGUCUAACAUUGAUAUGCUAAUUAAAACAAGAAGUCACCAAAGUGAUAUCUCUUGUGUAGAGUAGUUUAUUUGAAGUGUUAGAUGUUUGUGUUUGUGUAAUUCCUGCGGAUGUUAAUCGACCCAAAGGAAGGUUAAUAUUUGGCCUAAUUACACACACACUUGUGAUGGUAAAUUUGUGACGAUUAUUAAGAUAACUUAAUGUGAGUAAUUUACUAAUCCAAAGAUUGGUUCAUUACUUGACAUAAUUUAUUGUCAAAAUUUGAUAAUUGCAACAAGAGUACCAUUUACAAUUAGUAUUAUAGUCCAAAGACUUGUUACUAAUGUUGUGCUAGGUAUCUUGAAAUGUUAUAAUUUUUUUAAUUUUUAAAGAUUAUUACUUGAGUUAUUUAAUGUGAGUAUUAUUAUUAUUAGGGAAAUUAUCAUUUGUAUACCCUAUAUUUGCUCUGUUAUCAAAAAUACUACAACACUUUGAGGGUGUAUCAAUCGUCCACCCUUAGUUGACAAAAUGUAUCAGCCGACCACCAAACCGUUAGUUGCCGUUUGAAAGUUAACGGAAGUACAGUGAAUUGACGAUUUUACCCUUGAAAACUAUCACUUGUAUACCCUUAAAUUCUCUUUUUAUCACUUGUAUACCCUUAAAUUAUCACUUGUAUCAUAUGAAAAGACCAAAUUACCCUUCUGACGUCAUCAUACUUAAACGGCAACUAACGGUUUGGUGGUCAGCUGAUACAUUUUGUCAACUUAGGGUGGACGAUUGAUACACCCUCAAAGUGUUGUAGUAUUUUUGAUAAUGGAGUAAAAUAAGGGUAUACAAAUGAUAAUUUCCCUUAUUAUUAUUAUUUUUUUCUCUAUUCAGCUUUUUUGUCUGCUACUUCUAUAUCUGCAAACAUGAAUAGUGUCCCGGUUCUAAAUGGGACUAAUUUUAAGGACUGGAAAGAGAAUAUGAUGAUUCUCUUAGGCUGCAUGGAUCUAGACUUAUCAUUCAGACACCCUAAGCUGGACGAACUCACUGAUGAUAGUACAUCUGAGGAUGUGUUAUACUAUGAGAAGUGGGAUCGAUCUAACAGGAUGAGUCUUAUGAUCAUGAAGCGCGGUAUUCCAGAAGUAUUUAGGAGUGCUAUAAUUGAUGAGGUUACAAGUGCUAGUGAGUUUCUUACCGAAAUUCAGAAACGUUUUACAAAAAACGAUAAGGCUGAAACAAGUACGCACUUAGCAAGCUUGAUUUCCAUGAAGUAUAAAGGCAAGGGAAACGUUCGGGAGUACAUCAUGUAGAUGUCUCAUCUUGCUUCUAAGCUUAAGGCAUUAGAGCUCGACCUAUCUGAUGAUUUGGUUGUGCAUUUGGUCCUUAUCUCUCUCCCAACACAAUUUAAUCAGUUCAAAGUCAGUUACAAUUGUCAGAAAGAAAAAUGGAAUCUCAAUGAACUGAUUUCCUUUUGUGUACAAGAAGAAGAGAGACUGAAGCAAGAGAAAUCCGAAUCUGCACAUAUGGUAAGCACUUCUAAAGAUAAGGGCAAAAGAACGAAAAAAGGUGAAGCUGCUGCUUGUAAGGGUCCAGAGCCAAAGAAACCAAAGGCCGAGCAUGGCUGUUUCUUCUGCGGCAAGCCUGGACAUGUGAAGAAGGAAUGUCAAAAAUAUCACGCAUGGCGCGUAAAGAAAGGUACAUUUCUUACUUUGGUUUGUUCUGAAACUAAUUUAGCUUCAGUACCAAGAAACACAUGGUGGAUAUAUUCGGGUGCUACUACUCACAUUUGUGUUUCAUUGCAGGGUUGCCUGAGCUACCGGUCGCCAAGUGAUGCUGAAAGAUGCAUUUAUGUAGGAGAUGGCAAGACGGUAGAAGUUGAAGCAAUUGGGCAUUUUAGAUUACUUAUGAAAACUGGUUGUUAUUUGAAUUUGUUAGAUACUUUUGUUGUUCCGUGUUUUAGACGGAAUUUGAUUUCAGUUUCUGUUUUGGACAAAUCUGGUUAUUCUUGUUCAUUUGUAAACAGACAAUUUAGUUUAUCUAUCAAUUCUAAUGUUAUUGGAACCGGUUUACUUAAUGCUUAUGACAAUCUAUAUUUGCUAGACACUGUUUCACGUUAUAAUGAAAACCUGCAUUUUAGUUCCAGAGGUAUAAAGCGUAAAUUAGAAAAAGAAAAUUCAGCCUCAUUAUGGCACAAACGCUUAGGUCACAUCUCUAAAGCUCGACUUGAGCGAUUAGUAUCUGAUGAGAUUUUAAGAUCUCUUGAUUUUACAGACCUUGAUGUUUGUAUUGAGUGUAUCAAGGGAAAACAAACCAAAAGUAAGAAAUUAGGAGCCUACAGAACAUCAGCCGUCUUAGAAUUAAUUCAUACAGAUAUCUGUGGACCAUUCCCUACAGCUACUUGGAAUGGUCAACAAUAUUUCAUUACCUUCAUAGACGACUAUUCGAGAUAUGGCUAUAUAUUCUUAAUUCAUGAAAAAUCACAGUCUUUGGAUGUGUUCAAAACGUUUAAAGCCGAAGUUGAGUUACAACUCAACAAAAUGAUUAAAAAUGUCAGGUCUGACCGUGGUGGUGAAUACUACGGUAGAUAUGAUGGUUCAGGUGAACAACGUCCAGGACCGUUUGCUAAAUACUUAGCGGAAUGUGGAAUUGUCCCUCAAUAUCCUAUGCCAGGAUCGCCUAACAUGAAUGGUGUAUCUGAGAGACGAAACCGCACUCUUAAGGAUAUGGUAAUAAGUAUGAUCAGUCAUUCUACUUUACCAGAAUCACUCUGGGGUGAAGCACUAAAAACAGCAGCUUAUAUCCUAAAUCGAGUGCCAACUAAAGCGGCUGCUAAAACACCUUAUGAGCUUUGGACGGGUCGCAAGCCUAGUCUAAACCAUUUACAUAUUUGGGGCUGUCCAGCUGAGGCGAGGCCUUAUAGACCUCAUAAAAGGACAUUGGAUUCCAAAACUGUAAGCAGCUACUUUGUUGGCUAUGCAGAGCGAUCAAGGGGUUUUAAGUUUUAUGAUCCCAGUACAAGGUCAAUUUUUGAGACGGGAACUGCUACAUUCUUUGAGGAUGUUGAGUUUGGGGGGAGAAAUCCAGUAAGAAACAUUGUCUUUGAAGAUGAAGAGGGAUCCACUGUUGCUUUUGACAAUGUACAAGUUUUAAUACCUGUCAUUGAUCAUGAAGUAAAUUCAGAUCCUCAACCAUCUGACAAUAUUGUUCAACCUCAACAUCAACAUGAAAUGAUUGUUCCUGAGGAACAAACUCAACAACCUCAAGAGCCUGUGCAAUUAAGACGAUCCACAAGAGAAAGGAGAAAUGCUAUUCCGGAUGAUUAUAUAGUAUUUCUUCAGGAACAUGAGGAUGAAACUGGAGUGAUGGAAGAUGACCCAAUUAACUUUCAUCAAGCCAUGCAAAGCUCCAAUUCUCAUAAAUGGAUCGAAGCCAUGAAUGAAGAGUACAAGUCAAUGCAAGACAAUAAAGUUUGGGAACUCAUCUCAUUACCUUCUGGUGCGAAGCCCAUUGGUUGUAAAUGGAUAUUUAAAACCAAAAGGGAUUCAAAAGGUAAUGUGGAAAGGUAUAAAGCACGUCUGGUAGCUAAAGGCUUUACUCAAAAGGAAGGAAUUGACUAUAAAGAGACUUUCUCUCCGGUUUCUACGAAAGACUCUUUUAGGACAAUUAUGUCACUUGUUGCACAUUUUGAUCUUGAGUUACAUCAGAUGGAUGUUAAGACUGCUUUCCUUAAUGGUGACAUUGAGGAAACAAUUUAUAUGGUACAACCAGAAAACUUUGUGUUGGGAGACCCAAAGAAAAUGGUUUAUAAGCUAACCAAAUCCAUCUAUGGGCUCAAACAAGCUUCUCGUCAAUGGUACUUUAAGUUUCAUCAAAUAAUUAUCUCAUAUGGUUUUGAGGCAAAUGUUAUUGAUGAAUGUGUGUAUCACAAGUUCAGUGGGAGUAAACAUAUAUUCCUAGUUUUAUAUGUUGAUGACAUAUUGCUUGCCACAAAUGAUAUAGGCAUACUGCACGACACCAAGAGUUUUCUAUCAAAACAUUUUGAAAUGAAAGAUAUUGGUGAUGCCUCCUUUGUUUUAGGAAUCGAGAUACAUCGGGAUCGUUCUCGGGGUAUUCUGGGAUUGUCACAAAGGAACUAUAUCGAUAAAGUUUUAAAGAAGUUUGGCAUGCAAAACAGUAAACCAGGUGACACCCCUGUCGCCAAAGGAGAUAAAUUCAGCCUUAGUCAAUGCCCUAAGACCAAUCUUGAAAUCCAGGAAAUGGAGAAGAUUCCUUAUUCUUCAGCUAUAGGGAGUCUUAUGUAUGCUCAAGUAUGUACGCGUCCAGAUAUUGCGUUUAUAGUUGGCAUGUUGGGCAGAUAUUUGAGCAAUCCCGGGAUGGAUCAUUGCAAAGCAGCCAAACGGGUUAUGAGGUACUUACAGAGAACAAAAGAGUACAUGCUCACAUAUAGGAGGUCGGAUCAGUUAGAGAUCAUUGGGUAUUCCGACUCUGAUUUUGCUGGAUGCCAAGAUAGCCGAAGAUCCACAUCAGGCUAUAUUUACAUGUUAGCUGGUGGAGCAAUUUCUUGGAGAUCUGCCAAGCAGACACUUGUAGCUUCAUCGACUAUGGCAGCAGAGUUUGUAGCAUGUUAUGAGGCGUCUAAUCAAGGCAUAUGGUUGCGUAAUUUUGUCACUGGGCUGCGCAUUCUAGAAGGUGUAGAAAAACCGCUCAAGAUAUUUUGUGACAAUAAGUCAUCAGUUUUAUAUUCCAACAACAACAGGAGCUCUACAAAGUCAAAACACAUUGACAUCAAGUUCCUUGUUGUGAAGGAAAGAGUACAGAGUGGACAAAUAUCUAUAGAGCACAUUGGGACAAACUCCAUGAUAGCGGAUCCGCUCACUAAAGGAUUACCACCUAAAGUCUUUCAUGAGCACACUGCUCGUAUGGGUGUGAUUUUACUUGAAGAUAUUCAGAUUUAGUGGGAGUUUGUAUCAUUACUAAGUGCGACUUUUAGAUUUUUGAUUAUAUUAUUCAGAUUAUUUUCUGCAGAAAUACAGUAUUUCGGUUCCUUACACUCUGUUGGACUAACUUAAGUUUAGAUCUCAAUAAAGUGAAUUAGGACCAGUUGGGAAUAGACAUGUUUAGAUCACAUUGCAUGUAAUUUCCAUGCUAUGCAUCCACAAUUGAUCUAUGUUAUGUAACUAUCUUGAUAUAUGUGACCAUGGAUGGUUGCGUUACGAUUAAUGUAACAAAGGCCGCUAUGAUCCUAUACCGAUGUAGUUAUUGAACUAGAUUGUUCAUAUAUACCCUACGGACAUAAUAGCAAUUUCAUGAGCUCAUUAAGUUAGACACAUUUCAGUUUUUCAUUUGUGGCCCAGUGGGAGAUAUUGUUAGAUUAAUUUUAUAUUAAUCUAAUAUAUUUGGGGCCACACAUGAAAUAAAUAAAAUGUGUGUGCUAUUAUUUAAUAAGCCAAGAAUUAAGUGAUCUAAUUGAAGUUCAUUAAAUGGUUAAGGGUAUAAUUAUUGUGGAUUAAAUGCAUAGAUACCAGAAUUUAAUCAUCACUUUAAUGAGGGGCUGAAGUGAUUAUUAUCAUAAAUACGUGACUGUUGGGUUUUCUAAAAGAAAACUAAUAGUCACGAUAUUUAUAUAAAAAGGGGUUAUGGUCCCCAAUCUCUCUAAUAAUCUUUGGUAAUUCUCUAAUCCUCUCAAAGAGAAUUCUAAACUCAAGAAAAAGAGAAGAUUGGAAGUCCAUCUCCUACACUCAAGAACCACUACGAAUCACCAUGGAUUCAGGUACGCUUCCGCUUUCGUAUUUCUCAGUAAUUUAAUAUGGAUGUUAUGAAGAUUAAGAGGACAACAUCUUACAGUUAAAGGUUUGACAAAACUCAAGAGCAUAGGUAUUGAGGUUUAUGGAAAGGAUUGCUCAAAGUCGUUUCAAUCAUUGAAGAUUCUUCGUUUUGAGAAUUUGCCAGAAUGGGAGCAUUGGGACACGGAGUUCAAAGAAAAUGGUCUUGUUGCAGGAUUCUCUAGCCUCCGUCAACUUUCCAUUGUGAAGUGUCCCAAAUUCUCUGGAAAAUCACUGGAGCAUCUGCCUUCAUUGGGGAGACAAAGCACAACUUUAGCAUGCUUACCUGAAGAAAUUUUAGGCAAGAAUUCACAACUGGAAAGCUUGUACAUCCAAGAUUGUCAUUCUCUAAGAUUGAUUGCAAGACGAAAGCUAUCUUCAUCUCUUAAAAGCCUUAAGAUUCGGAGUUGUCAAAAAUUACAGCAGUUGGUGGAUGAUGAAGAAGGUGCUUCUUCUUCUUCAUCAAUGAUGCUGAAACACCUAGAGAUAAGGUAUUGCCCACAGCUGACCAGUUUCUCAUCAGGAACCCAGCUACUUGAGGCGCUUGAAGUCCUCCACGUAAGUAAUUGUCCAUUGCUGGAGUCAAUACCUGGAGGUCUGCACAAUAUUCAGAGCAUUAAUAUAGAAGACUGUGCAAAUGUUGUCUCCUUGGCAGAAAGAGGGCUUCCCAACACCAUUUCACGUGUUAAAAUAUGGAGUUGUGAGAAGCUUGAAGCCCUGCCCAAUGACAUGCACAAACUACACUCACUUCAAUUUUUAGAGGUAAGACGGUGUCCAAGUCUUGUUUCCUUGGCAGAAAGAGGGCUUCCCAUCACCAUUUCAAGGGUUUUCAUUGAAGAUUGUGAGAAACUUAAAGCUCUACCUGACAACAUCCACAAAUUGAACUGUCUUCAAUUUUUAGAGAUAAGGCGAUGUCCAAGUAUUGUAUCAUUUCCAGAAGAAGGUUUCCCGCCAGUCUGAAAUCACUUGUUAUUGGAGGAGAUGUGAAAAUGUAUGAGGCACUCAUCCAGUGGGGGUUGCACAAGCUUACCUCUCUUAGACGCCUCUUGAUUGCUGAAGAAUGUCAUGAAGCGGAGUGUUUUCCAGACGAGGAGAUUGGAAUGACGUUGCCCACCACUCUAAGUGAGUUGCAGCUUUGGGGACUGUCAAAAUUGAAAUUGCUAUCUUCCACGGGUUUUCAGUGCCUCACUCUCUUGAAUAUCUGUGUAUCCAGAAUUGCCUAAAUCUCACAUCCUUUCCAGAGGUGGGCCUUCCAUCCUCACUCUUGGAACUAAAAUUAAUAAUGUGUCCAAUGCUUGAAAAAGAGUGCAAAAGGAAUAAAGGAAAAGAAUGGUCCAAGAUAGCCAACAUCCCUCGUGUUGUGAUAGACGGAGAAAUCAUAUAUACAGUGGAGUAGUUUUUAUUAAUCAUUCCAUCUCUUAUCAUACCCAACAAUCAAGGUCAGUUGAUUUCUAUAAUCCACUAUAACAAGCUCUUUUGAUUCUGCACUUGUAUCAUUAAUCGAUCACCUUACCUAAAUUGAAAAUGCUUAUCUCUUUUUAUUUUUAUUUUCAUUUUUAUUUUCUGUUUUCUUAUUCUUCAGAAUGAUGCUAGUUGACAGUUUCAAAUGACAAAUGCCUUGGGAGUAGAAAUAAUUUUUUUAACUCGUGAUGGUGAGUGAGUAGUAAUCAAAGAAAUUCUUUCAGCUUAGUAAAAAUAAUAAAUGGUACAUGCUGUUCUGGAUUAUAUACUAUACAUUCUAAGGUUCCUUAUGUCUGCUUGUUUUCAGGUGAUGAAUCUAUUUUGUUACAGAAUUGGAUUGAAAGUAAGCUGGGUAAUAAGUACACAAGGGCGUUAAUUUUUUGGAUUUCCUCAUGGAGUAUGGAUCUUUGGUGCAAGCAUAUGGGAUAAACGAAGUGUCAAAAGCAAUUUCAACUUAUUGAUUUUUCUACUGCUGUGGCUAUGAUUGAAAGGUAGUCAAAAGAAAUUUGCAAACUUAUAUAUAGUUGCAGAUUUUGGUAAUGCUUUUUUUUUUUUUUUGUCCAUUUUUGGUCAUAGACAUUUAGAUAUUUUAGAUCCCGAAUUUUAACAUUAAUUUCAUGCCAUUUUUACUUCAGAGGGAUGUUCAGAGGGAAUUGAGUUGCAAUUUUAAACUAGAAUCGGAGUAUGGCAUUUUGUAGCUGAGCAUAUACGUGACGAAUGAUUAUAUGAACUGCUGUGGUGAGUGGUAACUAAAGAAAUUUGUUUGCUUAAGUCAAAUUUCAUUUUGGUGUCCUGGAUAUACAUGCUUGAGCUCCUCUUAUUUAUUUCAGGUGCUGAAUUCAUUUUCUUCUUCAAAUAAGGGAAGAAAAGUCGGAAAGGUUUAAUCUGAUCUUGAAGUUAACAGAUUGAUGUUAAUUGUACAACUAGAAUGGGCUCUCUUGUCCUACUGUAUGAUAUCAAAUUUUCCAAUAAGAUGGCAUUUGUGUACUUAUUCCUUCUCCCCACACCAUUUUCUUUCUUUCUGGUGAAGAGUGUCUACUUAAUAAGUCUUUGUUUUCUUCAGGAUUGCAUAAUGCCAAGAAUGGAGUGAUUAAAUAAGUGCUGCUGCGGCUUGCUUUUCCUUCUUUGGUAUUGAAGGUAACUCAAUUCGGCAGGUGAAGACAGCAGCAACCCAGUAGAUAGAUGCAAUUUAAGGAUUGUGUACCUCAAUUAUACCUUGAUAUUAUUGAUAACAUGUCAAUUAUACCUUGAUAUUAUUGAUAAAAUGUUAGUUAUAUUUCAGUUCUGCAAUUUUAAGGAAAAUUGAGUUGUCGACAGUCGGUUUCUGCAGGUAACUAGUUCUUUUUUUCUUUUUUUGGGUUAUUAAUUACAUUUUAAUUAAGUUGAUUUUAGGACCUUUAAAGAUUCAAUUUUUCAUUUUCUUUUUCUUCAAAGGGAAGCAAGUGGACUGUAUCAAACAUACCUGAUAAAUGAAGUAUUCAUCUCUGAUUUAAAAGUUAUUAGCUUUUUCAUCCGCUUGAUAGUAACUAAAUGAGCUUUUGAGCUCAGUGGCAUUAAUUGUAAUAACUGAUGUUUUAGAUAUAUUAAACAUGCCAAGUUCCAUUGUAAAUAUUAUUGAUUAAAUCUUAUUGAUUAAAUCUUAAGCUUCUAGUUUUUGCUAAAGAUUCAUAGAUAUAAGAUAUUGUACUGCUUUGUUCUGUUGCAGAGUAAUCGAUGAUAAUUUAGUGAUAAAGAAUUUGGUGAAAGCCAACAACUCAAAAUGUUUAAGUGAGGGAAUGAUGACAUCAUGUGAGCAAAACCUGGGUAUCAGCAUCUUAAUGGCGAUAUGGAAAUCCUUGUUGAGGCAAACUUACAGUUGAAUCAGUUGAAGUUCAUCUGAUGAGCUGCACAAUCUCACAUCUCUCAAGCAAAUGCUGUCCUAAAGUCCUAGAUAUUGAAGCUUUUCGCAUUUCAACAAAUUUUUGCAAGACAGGUGAGGAUGGUGGGAAAACUAAAAAUCUGGAUCACCAGCUAACUUCUAGUCAUUGCCACUCUUGCAUGUUUCUGGAUUUGAUCAAACCAAAAUGACUUUUGAAGUUGUUAUUUUAUGUCUUUAUAAAACUAUAAUGACCAAGCCGCCAGUGUAACAUUCCUGAAAGAAUAUUGUGAUUGCUUCAGAAUAUGCUCGGUGCAUAACAGAGACAUCCUCGUAGAAAAGCAUACAUAGCUAAUAACCAGGUAAAUAUUCCUUGAUUCUUGCCAGGUAACUUCUAUUCCUAGGUUUCCAGAUAAUUUACAUUUCAGAAAUUGUUCUUAGUUGAAGAAUCUGAUUUACAUUUUGUUUUCCAGAAUAUGUACAUUUUACAAUAUGAUGUGCUUCAGUUGCAGUAUCUGGGGCACCUUUCGAAUUACACUUGCCUUUUUCUUUGUUUGCAUGUGAUUUGACUUGAAGGAUGCCAACAUGGCUAGAUAUUUGAAGAAACACCAAAAGAGGCUUAAUGCCAGGGGAACUUGCUCGGGCACUUUUGCUCCCAAGCCUGUAAUCCCACAAACAAAUUCAGGGAGUGAAUGCAUGCCGUUCAUUUGUGGUCCCAAAAACAGGUUGAUACCUGGCCGCUGGUACUGAACAUCUCUGCAAUUUGGAAGCAGGGUAAUAAUUGUGUUGACACACAAGCUUCAAACUGUUAAAGCUAUACCCUUCUUGCUUCAGGAAUCCAUGUUGUAUGUCUCAAAUUCUGAAAGCAAAUGAGAAUUACUGCUUCCUCUAAGGCACCAUUCCAAGAUCUGCUUUUGUAUUCAUUCAAUCAGAUCAAUCAUAUGGAUUGUCAACUUUCAAGGAUACGAUGAAUUAUGAGUGAACAGAGGACUUGGAGGAAGAAUCAUUAAGAACAGAGCAAAAACUGAGAAGCAGAUAAGAGGAAGUUGGCUAUCAUUGAAGAAGAGGCAGCUUGCAUUGCUUUAGUUAAUGAUGAUAACCGUCAAACAUGCUCUUGGUUUGUAUGUUAACAUGAUUGGAGUAUGAGAGAAACUACAUUUGUCUAAUUUUUUUGACUUCAUUGAUUUUUUUUCCCCUCUCACUUAAUCUUCAAAUCAAAAUCUCAUCUUUGAUCAAACUUGAUCACAAAAUAUUAUUAAUGUUUGAUACUACUUGUCAAGAAAUUGAAUGACUAAUCUUCACUAAACUCUUUGAUUAUUCACCAAGGGACAAAAGAAAUUAACAAUUGAAACAAACAGUGUGGAAUCAAAUUAGUUAUAUUCGGUUAUACAAGCUGAGGUGGCAAGCUGAGUCAGCAAGGGUGGGUCCCCAGGUGGUUUAAAUCAGUUGUUAUAACCAGCUGUAUUAACUGAUAGCUAUAUAAGCUACAGUGAGAGCUGAUCAGAUUAGUUCUACGGAGUGAGAUCGAUUGUGUGGGUUUUCUAGUGAGGAGAAUAUCUCUGUGUGAGUGAAAUCAGUUCUUGCUCUUGGAAGAAUCCAUUGUAAUCUUGUUCAUCUUCUAAUAAAGCUUUAGCUCUGCUGUUUCUGAUCGUGGAUGUAGGUACUUUGGUACCGAACCACGUUAACUCUGUCUUGAGUCUUUAAGUUUCUUUUCUUACUCUGGAAUGUUUCGCUGUGUCCUCUGGUUCUGGUUUCUUGCUUGUUUGUGAUUGGUUUCUGCUUAAGAAGGGUUUACGAAUUUGGUCUGUUGCAUUAACAAACAGAAACAGAAUCAAAGAAAUCACAAAUAAAGAACACACACAGCAAUUACAGAGGAUUCAGCCAAAGAUGGCCAGCGUCCUCUUGAACAAGAACAAAUUACAACGGUGAAGGAAUUUUCACAGGCUACAGAAUGAACCCAGCUCCAGACUCUAAGGCUUUAUAUACAGCUCACAAUGGAUAUGGAAAGGUCCCCCACUUACCAGACAGAUCCUUCCCGCUUCUUGUAACGGCCAUAAGGACUUUUGAUUCAGCUGAUACACGUGCAACGCAGGUGUACUAAAAAUUAUUUAGAAUUUUCUAGUGUUACAUUUAUUAAUUACACAAGACAUGUGUACCUACAUUAUUACUUGCAUUUGUUAUGCAUUUAUUAUUUAUAUUUUUCAUAGAAGUCUAUAUUUAUUUAAAAAUGCAAACAUUCAUAAUUACAUUUAUUUAAACUUUUUACAUAUUUAUUGUUGCUUUCCUAAAGUUUCUUUAUUCAAGUUUACUUUAUAUAUAUGAUUACACUUAUUAAAGAUUUACUUUAUAUUUAUUAUUAUUUUACUAAAUUUUUUUUAAUAAAGUUUAUUUUAAUUUAUUAUUACACUUAUUAAAGUUUGCUUUGAUUAUACUUAUUAAAAAUUUGCUUUAUAUUUAUUCUUUCUUUAAUAAAAUUGCUUUGUUAAAGUUUACUUUACAUGUAUAAUUGCAUUUAUUAUUGUUUACUUUAAGUUUGUUGAAUCUUGAAAAUGUGGACUUGGAGAAGGACGCAUAAUUAUUCAACUUCUUUCAAUUGUUCAUCUUCAUUCUCUCUCAAUUCCAAAAAUCUAAAUUCUAGAUCUCUCAUAGCAACUUUCUUCAAUAGAGUUAGAGAUCUUAAUUAAUUUGGAAGCUUCUUGAUUUGGUGAGUCUCUAUUUGCUUAUGUUUUUAAAGACCAAAUUCACAAAAUUAUUUAUACCAUAAAAUGAACUCGAAAAAUUCUGAAUUUUUAAACAAAAGUUAAUAUAUCUGUCUAAUAUUUCCAAUUUUAAUUUCAUAAUUUUCUGAUUAGUACAUAAUUUCAUAAAAAUCUCGGAAUCAAUACUAUUCUCACUACAAGAAAAAGUGUCUAUUAUGACAGGCAAAAACUGUCAUAGUAGGGGGUGGAUGACAGUUGUUCAUAUCGUCAUUGUAGCUUCUGUCCAGAAUUGAUGACAGAACAAUACCAGUUACAAUUUGUGAUAGAUAUUACCAGUCACAUAACUGUCAUAACUUUAUUUAGAGGGGUAUGUAAAAAAUUUGAAUUUGGCUCUUUUUUUUUUAAAUUUACGUGCCAUAUUUUCAAUUUUUGGCGGGAAAAUUAAAUUUGGCGCGAAAUGCAAAUUAUAAUUAAAUGAAUUUUCUCAAUUAAAUCAAAAAUUGAAAUUAUAUUUAAUAAAAAAUGGGUAUUUUGUUUGCACCAUGAAAUUAUUAUCAUUUUAAUAACAAUCCUGCAAUUGAUUUAUUAGAAAUUAAUAUUUCAUAAAUUAGCUAAUUAAUUAGAUUAUUAAAAUUAAUAUUGCAAUUAAAAAUUCACUGACAAAGAAAAUGAAAUGGAUAACAUUGACUAAGAUUUCAUAAUUGUCAGCAAACAUAAUUUAAUCAAAUUCAAGAGUAACAAGUCCAACAUAAAUAGAAGAAAAGUAUUGUAACAACCUAAAAACUAAAUUCCAGCAACAUGUACAACACAAAUGAACCAUGAUCAGUUCAAUUCCAAUAGCAUAAGGAAGCCAACAACAGAGUCAUUUCUACCAACAUGAGCAAAGGCAACAACAUAGUUCAUUUCCAGCAACACAAGAGGAGCCAAAAAUACUGAUCAGACAAGGCCAACAGUUCCCAAACGUGAAAAUCCAACCUAAGAACAACCGAAAUGUGUGAAAUUGCAUCAAUAUCCAGGAGUUAUUUUCCAAACAAAGAAAAAAACUAGUCAACUCCAGCAGUACCCACCAUCUUUAUCAUAAUCCAACAUACAAGUAUAAUAAGCUAGAUAAUUGCCCAAGUAAAAUAUAGGUAAUAAAUUAAUUUAUUUCAUCAAUGAACUCACAAUAACAACAUAAUAGGUAAGUGUUACCUCACAUAACCGCAAGUACUCCAGAAAAACUAAAAUUAUUUGUGCAACCAAUGACACUCCACUAUUUUGAGUAACUCUAUUUAAGUCUCGAUCUCUUGUAACAAAGUGAAAACCAUUUAUGUCAUAACCAGGAUGUUGGAAAACAUAAGGACGAGGCCCUUGGGAUAACCAAUGGAUUGUUCAAGUAACGAUGUGACCGUUCUCAAUCAACAUAUUUACCUAUUAUUAAUCGACAGGAAUAUAAUGUUAAACAAGCACAAACCGAAACAGAAAGGAAAAAAAUGAAUUAAUUAAACUAAUGUUAUCAAAACCUUAUUUGUUAGCCAAUCUGCAAAUGUUCGGUUGUGUUCAUCUUGCAACCACUUCUCAUUUUUUUCAUGGAUGGCAAAGUUGUAACCAAUCCUCAUGCUCUCUAAAAAUCAGUUAAAAAGACAAAAUUUUCAGGUUCUUAAACUACCAAAACCUGACAAAUAUAAAGCUAAAAUAACACAAGUUAGAUAACAUCACCUUAUAUAAGGCUGAACUUCCUCAAUGUUAUGCAAAACAUACAAGUGUGCUUGAUCUAAUGAAGUUCGAUCAACUUCCAUCAUUUGUCCACCACUUAUGGGCUUGUCAAAUUCUAAAUUCUGCACAUAUCCAGGUGGAACCCCAAUUGUGGGCAUGUUUUCCAAGUAUUCUGCACAAAAUUGUAAUGCUUCCUCAGCAAUAUAACUCUCCGCUAUGCAACCCUCAGGAUGGUUACGGUUUCGAACAUAGCCUUUUAGAGUUUUCAUGUAUCACUCAAAAGGAUACAUCCACCGAAAAUAUACGGGGCCACAUUGUCUAACUUCACUCACUAAGUGAAUAAUAAGAUAAACCAUUAUGUCAAAAAAAGAAGGGGGAAAAUAUUUCUCAAGCAAGCACAAAAUCUCUACGAUGUUUUUCUCCAAUUCAUCUAGCAUUGUCACGUCAAUCACAGUCGCACACAACGAAUUAAAGAAGAAAAAGAACUUAAUGAUAGCUUCUUUGACAUGUUUGGGCAGCACACACGUUACGGCAAUUGGCAAACGUUGUUGCAUAAGAACAUGAUAGUCAUGAGACUUAAGACCCUGGAGUUUAAAGUCCUUUUUUGACACAAGAUUCCUAAUAUUUGAAGAGUAUCCAGUAGGAACCUUGAUACUUUUCAAAGCUACACAGAAUCUUACUUUUUCCUCCUUAGUUAAGGUGUGGCAAGCAGGAGGAAGCCAUGUACGAUUAUUGUUUCAUUUAACUUGUGGUGCUAAUUUGGGCCAAUGUUCAUUUCCAAGAGAUCCAUCCUCGACUUCAGUCCAUCUUUGGACUUUCCAAGAAUAUGCAGCAGUGUACCGUAGAUGUUCUCACACACAUUCUUUUCAAUGUGCAUAACAUCUAAUUGAUGCCGCACAAGAAAGUGCUUCCAAUACUCUAAAUUAUAAAAUAUGGAUUUCUUCUUCCACCACAUGAGAUCAUCAUUGUUCUCACUUUUACGCUUUUUACUAUUGCUUUUCCCCCAUCUAUUAUCAAUAGAGUCGACCAGCUGGAAAAUUUCCUCCCUGUUUAACAGUUUUAGAGGGGUUUCAUCACACACACUAUUGUCAAAGGCUUUUGCUUGGAACCAAAAUUUAUGACCAUGAAGAAGCCAAAGCCGAUGCCCAAUGUAUACAUUUUUUCCAUUGUGUUUUAGUCUACAUUUUGGUGUUUCUACACCACAAUAUGGGUAGGCAUAAUAUCCUUUAACAUUACAUCCGCUAAAUUUUCGUAUGUCGGGAAGUCAUUUAUUGUUCAUAAUAAUACAGCCCGCAAAUUAAAGUACUCAUUUUUAUACGCAUCAUAUGCCUCCACCCCAACAUCCCAUAAAGUUUGCAAAUCCUCAAUAAGAGGUUGCAAAUACACAUCAAUGUCUAAACCCGGUUGUUGAGGACCAGAAAUCAAGAGGGACAACAUCAUGAAUUUUCGUUUCAUGCACAACCAUGGUGGAAGAUUAUAAGUAAUAAGAAUUAGUGGCCAGCAGCUAUAUGUACUACUAAGAGAGCUAUGUGGAUUGAUUCCACAGCUGAUAAAGUUAUGCGAAGGUUUCUAAGAUUGGAUGCAAAGAUCGGCCAUUUCUCAUCUACUAACUUCCAAGAUGGUAAGUCAGCCGGAUGUCGGAGUUUACCAUCAACCAUCCUCUCAUUUGCAUGCUAAGUCAAGUCCCUAGCAGUUUUGGAUGACUGAAACAUUCGCUUAAACCUAGGUAUAGGAGGAAAAUACCAUAAAAUUUUUGUAGAAACCCCUUUCCUAUAUUGGUCUACAGUACCAUCCUUUUUCUUCCAUCUACAUAACCCACAAGUAUGACAUUCAAAAAGACCUUCAUACUCUUUUCUGUAGAGUAUGCAAUCGUUUGUGCAAGCAUGAAUUUUAACAUAUUCUAAGCCCAAAGCUAACAUUGUCUUUUUGGCCUCAUACAUAGAGGUUGGAUUUCAUUAGUUUUAGGGAAAGCAUUUGCUAAAACACUCAACAAUUCAGAAACGAUACUGUCAGACCACCCAAAUCUACCCUUCACAUUGAACAAUUUCACUAAAAAUGAUAACUUAGUAAAUUUUGUGCAUCCUAGGUAUAAGGGUUUCUCAGCUUGUUCUAGCAACUCUUUGAAUGCCUUAGGGUCCCCACAACAACCCUUAUAAACAUCAUUAACCAUUUCUAACUCAUUACCAUUGUCAAACUCUAUAUUUUAUUGCUGAAAAUGGUUUUCUCUUUGAGGAGAAGAACUCUUACGAAUCUCUUCCCCAUGCCAAAAUCAAUUGUCGUAUUUCACAUCAAAACCAUACAUAUAUAAAUGAUCUUUUACAGUUGUAGGUGUUUCAAAUGAUAAAUUCCCACAAUCAAGGCAUGGACACCUAAUGACACUACUGCCUCCAGCAUUUUUUAUAGCAAACUUUAUAAAUUUCUGGACACCCUCUUCAUAUUCUGUCGACAGUCAAUUACAUUGAAUCCAAGAUUUAUCAAUUUCUGCCUUAAUAAUUAAUGUUCCUGACAUAUACAUAAAACAAAGAAAGAAUGUACAUACUUAGAAUAUUUGUCUAAUGUUACAGCACCAUGUGAAAUAAACAAAGUUAAACCUACAUGAGGCCUUUCAAAUUAAACACAAUUUGGCCCAUAUAGUUUUCUCUUUUAUAUUAAAGGAACAACCUACUUUACGGAAAAGCAUGGUCAUGGUCCAUAAACAAAUUUCAAAAUUACAUGUAUAGCAACCAAGAACGCUGAUAAACUGAAUUUCAUACUUUUCAAAAGUUCACUCUCCUAUUAUAAUAUAAAUAUAAUAAAUAAGACAGUCCCCAAAACAAACACUUUACAUAGUAUCAUAAUUAUAAAGUUAAAGAUAUGUAAAUUUUAAGCAAGUGUAUAACAACUUCAAAAAGUCAAAUAAUAGAGGAUAAGAAAUAGAACUUACCAAAUUAAACACAAUAAUCUACUGCUAUAUCCAAUUCCAGGUACAAAUCCAGCAACAAUAUUUAUUACUGAAAUAUAUUUUGAAUAAUCAGUUGAUAGAAUUCCAAAACUUGGAUUCAAGAGGGCUAAAAAGGUACCAAUAAAUUAAAUUAAUCAUAUGAGUAAGCCUAAGAAGAAAUAAUAAACUACAACUUCAAAUAAUAUACAUCAGUAGAACAAAAAUGAAAGCAAACACAAAGAAAAGCUUCAAGUACCUUAAUACAAUGCCUUCAACAAAUCAAGAACAUCGAACUGUCACGUUUAUGCAGCAAUCACAACUAUUUAUAUUUGACACGCAAAUGUUACGACUUAAGACAACAACAGUAACAACAAUACCACCAUAUGCAAAAUAGCUACAAUACCACAUGCAUAGGUCGAUGACAAUGAGAGGUGAGAAUCCCUCAAUUUUACAUAACAUAAUCAGUUACUAAGAAUCCCUCCUCAGGCUUUGUUAUAGACAUUUCAGGCCAAUAUUUAAAGAAUCAACUAUUAGAACAUAAAGAUAUAUAAGUUGUAGAUUAUCACCAUCUUCAUACACUAACAUUCAUUUAACUUAAUGAAGCUUCAAUAUUAGAAAUAGCUAGAAAAAAAAAUUUACACACAAACACAUGAAUAUAAAUAAGAAUUACCUAGAAUAAAAAAAAAUAACAACAUUAUGCAAUGCACGAUUACAACUCAAAACAGAACUCAAAAUUAACAACAUUAUAUCUUUCUGGGAAAUUAUUUAGUAAAUUAAUUACCGAAAUAUACGCAAUAUAUGCAAUACAUGCAAAUACAUUUCAAUUUUUUACAAAUUAUUUACUACUUUACAUAAAAGUUGAAUAAAUAGUCAAAAGUAAAUAUAUGCAAAUGCAGGAAUGACUCACCAGUGUGAAGCUUCAAUUCACCGUCAAGCCUAGGGUUUCAACUUCGGCAACAAAGAUUUGGGUUUUCUUUCACGGUAAGCCAUUGGGUUUCUUUCAAUCAAUAAAAGUACCCUGGAUGUUGUUCUCAUUCCAAUUUGGGUUUCGAUUAGCACUGACUUCGUCCUAGAAAAGAGAGACGGUUCAAUGACAACUGCAGCAAAGAGAGACGAUUCAGUGAAACAACCAGAACGAUUUUGAAAUUAUGGGUGUUUAGGUGUCGUUAGAUUGCUAUGGCCGGCCUUUGAGGGUUUACUGCAAGUGUGCUAAUCGAUUUUGAGAUUCCACAAUAACGCUUGCAAAUUUUCUGAACACUUCAAAAAAAAUUUCCUUCUUUUCUCACAAAAAUGUUUCCCUCGCUUUACAAAACGCAACGUUUUAUUAAUUGUUUUUUGUUAUUUACAUUUAUGUUUUCCUCAAACACUUGCAAAACAUACAACUGAGACGACAUCGUUUCAUUGCUUUUUUAGUAAUAUAAUAUUUUAAAAAUUAAGUCAAACCUGCACAAUUAAAGUCAACAUAAAAAAUCACUCUUUCAUUCUUGAUAACCAAAUAAUUUAUCACUAGUCUAUCAUAGUUUCUUGAUAUAUGAUAUUUAUAUCACCAAUAUAUCAUAAUUUCUUGAUAAACGAUAUUUCUAUCAUAACUAUGUCAUAAGUGUAUGACAGAAAGUAAAUCUAUCACGAUUCUAUUGUUGUAGGCCUCUAGACCAAAAACUGUCACACAUAGGACUGUCAUAGUAAGUACUUUUUCUUGUAGUGUCUGUUAAGGCAAUGUGAGACAAUUUUGAGACUAUCAAGAAACAAAUAGUUUUGAAAAUGUUUUUGGUAUCAGAUCCUCCUGAAAAUUUUAUAGGAGAUAUCUAUGGAUGUCUAGAACAGAUCUACAUGAUAUCGUAUCGUUUAGAUUAUUAGAUUAAGAGUUAAAAUCUAGAGAAUCAGAUUUGAACCGGCAUGAAUUAGAAACUCAGUUCUCGGAAUAAGUUGUUAUUAAUUAUGUCUUAUAUCUUUUUAAGGUGUUGGAGAUAUUUAAGGUUGUUAAAAGCUUAGAGGUGUGUUUCAAUUAUUAUAUUAUCGAGGUAAGUAACUCUAUUCCUAGUGUAUUAGAUAUGUAUAAUAAUUUUGAUAUUUUAAUAUUACUACAAGUACAUAUUUUUCUUAGUUCUUUGUAACCAAAUUAAUUUAUGUAAAUGUUUUCAAAUCUGAAAAAUUAUAUUACUUUUAUGGUUUUAACAAAUAUUGUAAAUUCUUUUAAAUGUGUAAUUUAUUCUUGUUAAAUAAUUAUAUCUUUGAAAUUGUCUAUAAAAUUUUAGAAUGGAAAUUGUUCUGCAAUACUAAAUCUUUGUUAUGAUCUUUUAUGAAUCCAAUAUAAAUGUUUUAUUCACGUAUUUGAUUAAGAUUAUCUAUGAAUUAUGCGGAGACCACCUCUUGAGAUUGUAUGGGGGCCCCCUCUCGAGGGCUAAAAUGCCACGAAGUGCCACGUAUAGUGCAAAGCGCCAUGUGUAAUUUGCUACAAAUGAAAAAUGAAUUUAAAUAUUUUGGUUCAUUGUCCAUAGUCAUUCCGAUUCUAAUUCUGAUCGUAUUAUACGAUAUAGAUAUAUUUAUGUUCUAUACCAGUACUGAGUUUCUAUUCGAAGUGUGCACACGAUAUUAUGAUUCUGGCGGGUCACCAGGAUUAUAGGUGACACUAUGUGACAUGAGCUAACUUUUUGUGUCCUGUGAAUGUGUUAUGUGAUUUGCUGUCAAAAGUGACUAUGCUUUUGAAAUUAUGAAUUAUUAUGAAUUUAUGUUAUUUUAUCGUGAUAUGUCAUUUAUGAAAAUUACGAAUUAUGAUAUAUGUUUUAAAUAAAAAAAGAAGGUUUGCAAUAUUUUUUGUAUUGAUAGGCCUAGUGAAUUAGGAAUUGUUUUACUUACCGAGUUGACGACUCACCUCUCAUCAUUACUUUUUACAGAUUAAGUGACUUGUUCAGAAUUGUGGUUAUCUUUGGCACAAGAGAUUUAUUUACUUGCUAAGUUAAAUAAAAGAAGGAUGAAUUUCUUUAGCCUUUAAGUUUGUUGGUCUUGUGAAUUUGUAUUUGGAGAGUUUUGAGCCGUUUGGUACUUUUAUGACUUGGGAGAAAAUGUCAAAUAUCUUAUUUGUGUAAUUGUUAAUUUAUUUAAAAAUUUUUGAGGUAUUUCAGUUCAUGAAUUUGUAUAAAAAAUUUUGAUUUGUUAGUAACCUCUUACUGCCACGUGUUCCGCACAUGAUAAUUUUGGGGUGUUACACAAUGCAUCUAAUCGGGAGGUCUACAAUGACAGGGCUGUGCAAAAUUUCAAGUUUGAUGUGAAAGCAUGGGUUUGUGUUUCUGAUGAUUUUGAUGUUCUUAGCAUUUCGAGGGCUCUUCUCGAGUCAAUCACCUCCAAAACUUGUGAUCUCAAGACGUUGAAUGAGGUGCAGGUUAAAUUGAAAAUUGCUGUGGAUGGAAAAAGGUUCUUGCUUGUAUUGGAUGACGUUUGGAACGAGAACUACAACUUGUGGGAAAUCCUGAAAGCUCCAUUCAUGGCUGGUGCACGAAAUAGCAAAAUAAUUGUCACCACACGCCAUUCAAAUGUUGCAAUGUUGCGUCAACGAUGGGAUCCGUUGAACAUUAUAAUCUUAAGCUUCUGUCAGAUGAAGAUUGCUGGUCUGUUUUUGUGAAGCAUGCGUUUGAGAGGAGAGAUGCCGGUGCUCAUCAAUUUUCAGAAUUAUUUCGUAAGAAAAUUGUUGCAAAGUGCGGAGGCUUACCGCUGGCAGCAAGCACUCUUGGCGGCCUUCUACGCACUAGGCACACAGAAGAUGCGUGGGAGGAUAUAGUGAGCAGCAAAAUGUGGGAUUUGCCUCAACAAACUGACAUUCUCGCCGUGUUAAGGUUGAGUUACCAUUAUCUUCCUUCUCAUUUGAAGAGAUGUUUCACUUAUUGUGCAAUUUUUCCCAAAGAUUAUGAGUUCGAGAAGAAUGAACUUGUUUUUCUGUGGAUGGCUGAGGGUAUGAUUCAACAAUCAAGGACAGAUAAACUAUUGGAAGAUUUGGGCAAUGAGUUUUUUUGUGAUCUAUUGUCUAGGUCGCUUUUCCAACAAUCAAGCAGAGAUGUUCGUAAAUUUGUAAUGCACGAUCUAGUUCAUGAUUUAGCUCAAUUGGUUUCUGGAGAUACAAGUUUCUGGCUGGAAGAGGCAAAUAAGCAGUUAAGAACAUUUGAAAGGAUUCGUCAUUUUUCUUAUCCUUGCGCUUGGUAUGAAGGAAAAAACAAAUUUCACGGUUUGAAUAAAGCUCCAGGUCUGCGGACAUUUUUGCCUCUAAAUGCAAGAGGUCUUUCAACUCGUAAUUAUAUAACCAACAUGGUUCUUCUUGACUUGCUGCCAAAGCUGAAAAAGUUGAGGGUGCUAUCUUUGGAAGGAUACUGCAUUGCUCAUAUACCAAAUUCUAUCAAGGAUUUGAAACUUCUAAGGUACAUCAAUCUUUCUCGUACACCCAUCGAGAGUUUACCUGAGUCAAUAAGUUCACCGUUCAACUUGCAGUUUUGCUGUUAAAAACCUGUCCUUGUCUACAGAAGUUGUCUUCUAACAUGAGAAAUUUAUUAAAUUUGCAUCAUCUUGACAUAGGGGGUAGUUUUAUAACAGAGAUGCCAUCGGGAAUCAAUAGGUUGAAAUUUCUGCAGACGUUGUCUGAUUUUAUUGUGGGCAGGGGUAUCGGAUCUGGUUCGAAGGAUUUGAAGAAUUUAACUUUCCUUUGUGGAAAACUUUGUAUUUCGAGAUUAGAAAAUGCGAAUGAUUCAUGGGAUGCAAGAGAAGCUUCAUUGUGUGAUAAGAAGGGUCUGGAAGAAUUGUCAUUAGGAUGGGGCUCUCCAUUUCACUCAAGAAAUGAGGUAGCAGAAGAAAAGGUACUUGACAUGCUGCAACCACAUACAAACAUAAAGAAGCUUGAAAUCACACGAUAUAGUGGCAGAAAAUUUCCAAUAUGGUUAGGGGACCCAUCAUUCUCUAACAUGGUUGCUUUAAAAUUGAUAGGAUGUGAAAAUUGCACAUCCUUACCUGCGGUGGGGAUGUUGGUUUCCCUGAAAGAGCUUACAAUUCAACGAAUGCUUGUACUCAGAAGUAUAGGGUCUGAAAUUUGUGGAAACGAUUACUCAACGCUUUUUCAAUCCUUAGAGACUCUUUUUUUCAGUGAUUUACCGGAAUGUGAGUUCUGGGAUACCGGCAACCAGACUGGGUAUGUUGAAAUAUUCCCUCGCCUCGUUGAACUGUCCAUUUUUGGAUGCCCCAAACUAUCUGGAAAAUUACCUGACCAUCUUCCUGCAUUAGAGACCCUUGUUGUCAGCAAUUGCGAAGAGUUGGUAGUUUCAUUCUCAAGCUUUCCUUUGCUCUGCAAAUUGGAAAUUUAUAGAUGCAAAGGACUGGUUUGCAGCUCUCCGAUUGACUCUAAGUUGACAAAGUGUAUGGCUAUUUCAAGCUGUUCAUUAGACAUAUACGGAUGCAAGGGGAUGGUAUACAAUAGUCCACUUCACUCUAAAUCACUGUCGACGCCUGUGACUAUUUCAAAUAUUUUAGAGUUUGGAAAAUUGUUAAAAGGAUUUCUGCCAGCAGAGUUUCUGGGGAUUAGCGAUUCUCAAGAUAUUCAGUUAUUGAGGCCGCAGUUUAAGGGUAUGCAAUUUAGGGAGGAGGCAGUACAAGGGCUAUGGAUUAUCGUGCCCCCUGAAGAGGUAUCAACUGAAGAAAAUUGCACGAGUCUGGUUUCAUUUCCAGAAGUAAAAUUUUUCCCGAUCAAUCAGCUUGAUCUUGAAAUUGAAAAUAGUGGAGCUUUAAAAUCCUCACUUGAGGGAAUUAUGUACAACUGUGCACAACUGAAAAGUUUGAACAUUAAAGGUUGUGAUUCUCUAGAAUUCAUUGCAAGAGGCAAGCUGCCUUCGUCUUUAGAAUGGCUUCAAAUACUUGAUUGUAAGAAAUUGCGGUGUUUGAUAGUUGAUGAAGAGGAUGCUUCUGUUGCUUCUACCUCAUUAUCUUCUUUAUCAUUGGCUCUCAAGUGGCUUUAUAUUAGCGGCUGCUCAGAGCUCACCCAUUUACCAUCAAGAACUACACCAUUGCCGAAAGAGCUUGAAUUUCUAAACAUUAGGGAUUGUCCAAAAUUAGAGUCAAUAGCUGAGAGCUUUCAUGGUAACGGACGUCUUAAACGGAUAGUCAUCUCCGAUUGUGGAAAUCUAAAAUCCAUAACGAAGGGCCUACAGAAUCUUAGCUGUCUUGAGUCAGUCAAAAUCGUGAGUUGUCCAAGUCUUGUUUCUUUUCCAGAAGGAGGGCUUCCCAGCACUGUUGCGAUUGUUUUUAUUGACGGUUGUGAAAAGCUUAAAGCCCUACCUGAAGACAUGCACAAGCUCAGCUACUUUCAAAUUUUAAGAAUCAGGGAAUGUCCAAGUAUUGUAUCAUUUCCUGAAGCAGGUUUUCCUACCAACCUAACAUCACUUGUAAUUACUGAUAUCAAAAUGUACAAGGCAAUUAUCCAAUGGGGCUUGCACAGGCUUACAUCUCUUCUACGCCUUUACAUAAAUGAGGGUGAUAAUGCUGAGUCUUUUCCAGAUGAGAGGUUGGGAAUAAUAUUGCCCACCUCUUUAACUGCACUGAGGAUUUCUGGAUUCCCAAAUCUGAAAUGCCUAUCUGCAAUGGGUUUUCAAAGCCUGGCCUCACUCGAAUCUCUGAGUAUAUCAAAUUGCUCGAAGCUCAAAUCCUUUCCUGAGGUGGGCCCGCCAUCCUCCCUUUUGGUACUACAAAUUCAAGAUUGUUCUUUGCUGAAAAAACAUUGCAAAAGGCAAAAAGGAAAAGACUGGUCCAAGAUUGCUCACAUCCCUUGUAUUAUGAUAGAUGGCAAAUUCAUCUUCGAUUAAGAGGAGAAAGAAUGAGCUCUGUUUAAUAUCAGAAGGAAGAAUUCAGGUAUGCCAAGUCCUAUUAUUACGAUUACUAAAAACACGUUGUUAAAUUAUAACACAAAUUUUGAUUUUCAAUUUCAAUAUCAAUCCUCUGCCUUCAACUGCAAAUGGCACUAGAAUAUUUUCAUUUUUACUUUUUCAGAUACUAUGAUGAGGCAGUUUGACUUGAUGAUGCUGUAAGUUUUUUAUGGUAAUGCACAAAUGGUUGGUACUUUUUCUGUUGAUUAUUUACAGUGUAGUUCAGUUGACUUUAGUACUAUGUAUCUGAAAAUUCUCAGUGAUUUAAUACUUUUUUUCAUUUUAACUCAUCAGAUUUAAUGCGGUCCCAACAAGUUACUCACACACCGGUGCUGUGUUAAGGUAAUCAGUACAUUUUCAGUUGCGUUAACUCGAAUAACUUGUAUCUGAAAUAUUGCUGUCGUAAUUUCUUUUCAAUUUAUAGUUUAGAUCAUAGUCUGGCAUGUAGUUUCGAUGGCGAAUUUUUUUUUUGUUUUUUACAUUUUAUUAUUUUUUCAGAGCAACUCAAUUAGACAGUUCCAACCCAGAAAUUUUUUAAUGUAUUUUAGUGCAAUCGUAGUUGUCAAGUGAAAUUUUCAUAUUAUGAUGAUCUCAAUGCUAACUACAUUUCCAACUCUUUUAAGUUUUUUGAACUCUAGCGGGUGAAAGUCAAUGGAAAGAAGUUUCUGAACUUUUCCAAUGAUCAAUGCAAUUUGCUUCUAAGGAUAUAACACGGGUCUUCACUUAUUUCAAGUUGCAGAUAUGAUUCUAUCUUUCUUCUGCUGUAAUUUCAGAGGGCAAGUUUGCUCAUAUUCCUUGAGUUGACGUGGAAGAAAGCAUAAGGAAAGCUCUGAGACAAUCCACAUCAAAAUGUUCACCCACUUUUUCACAGUUUGGAAUCGACUACACUGCCUUCAAAAUGACUUUCAAAUGAAAGGGUAGAAAGUUAAUCAUACAGGGUUCUAAAGUCGGUUAAAAGUUAGUUUUAAAGCUUCUGAUUUUUUCUGAAUAGGCUGACUAGUUAAUAAGCCAAUAAAAUGUGCCAAGAAAUAUCCCUCUGUAGUGGAUCAUCACUUUGCUUGAUUCUUGCUUUGAUUUAGUCUUUGUAAUCUUGUAAUUGCCAUUAUUAAGCUAGUGAAUAUAGAACAAUGGCUGCUUUUGCACCCAUGGAUGUAGGUCAUUUUGACCGAACCAUGUAAAUCUGUGUCUUUGCUCUCUGCGCCUCUCAUUUAAUUUGUGUUUGCUGAGAUUGAUUGCUUUUGUGCAGUUUAAUUCUUGGUAAAAGCUCAGCUUAAUAAUCUCUGUUGAUACGAGAUUCUGGUUCUCCUCGUUCUACGACCAGGGUCUCUGCUCGAUCAACUUCACCACGAACUGGAUCUCUCCUCGUAAAGCUUCUUCUCCAGAGGUUCCUGUGCACAUAGACAGGUCAGAGUACGCCGGUUGUUUUCCCGGUGAAAACCCUCCGACGCUCAAGUCAGAUAUGAAGGUUCGGGGAACGCUUGCCACAAAUCUUAUGGCUGUUAGGUUGUUUUCUCUCUUUUAGAAUCAAAAUUGCUAACCCUUUUACCUUCGUUGGCUACCUUUUUAUAGGCUUCCUCUGAGUCCCGGUCUUUCGCAGUUUACGCCCGUUGUUCUCCCCACGCUCGGAUGUGGAUGUCCCAUUAUCGUCAUGAUGGGCGAAUGGAGAUGGACCUCGUGCCUUGAUUCUCGGAUAGGAAUGCACGUCUCGUCAACUGCCGUUGACCGGGUCUCCUCGCCUCGAACCCUAGCGGGAGUGACCCUAUGCCUCUAGCAAGGGUUCGGCCUCGCGAAUGGCAUAUUCGUGGACGAGCAGAAUAUUCCUGCUCCUGUUCCCUUGCUACCUGGCUCUUACAGGAGACACCUGCUCGCAGAAUUCUGCCACCAAACAUCUGCUCAUCACGUCUGGUCUCACCGAAGUAUUUCCCUCAAACACCGGUCCCCCAGUUUCUGGUGUUGGGUAAUGUAAUGGACCAGCAGUAGAAACUCAGUGGUUCUUGGUCGCGUGGGACUGGAAAAGGCUGCCAAGAGUCGUGUCGCAUUUAAUUGCAGAUGAAGUGAUGUGGCGGGAAUCAGCCCCUCCAUUUGAAUUUCAAAUCUACGGUUGCAAGAUUCUCGGGAUAUGUGUCAUUAAAUGCUGGCAAUCCAAAAGUUUGCUCCUCAGUAAGAAAACCCAAAGUCCUUAGACGCGAACUCGUCAUUCUCUCCCUUCUUGUCUCUCCGGCGAAUGACCCUCGGCAUUGAAGCUUUCAUCCUCGCCUCUCUCUAACCGAGUCCCUGCUUCAGGUAUUUCUUCUAUUUUCUCGGUCUUAGUUAGUUGUAGAUAAUUUCUUUUCUCUCUGCUUUGCUUGAGGUUGUAGUUGGCGGUGGUGUUUUGGUUAGAACUUAGGAUAUAUCGAAGGGUAAGGAGAAAGUCGUUGAGAUUGGUGACGACGAACUAGGUUUCUUGCCUAGUCUGCUCGCUGAUUCUGCUUUUGACCCUGGGGUCCCCUUAGAACCCACUAGGUCUAGUGUCGGGACUAGCGCUAGGAGGAUGUCCCCCCAAACGACCUCCACGAGCGGAAGUAGUGGUGAAGAGGGACCUUCUGGCUCGGAAGACACUUUAAGUGAGGAUCAAAGAGGUGAUUCUGGUGAGGGAUCUUCACCAGGAGCGCCGCGACCAGAGGGGCGUAGUACAGUAGGAGGUAGAGCCUCGUCGCGGGAUUAUGCUAUUGAUUACAUGACCUGCACGACCACAUUCAACGAGCUGGAUGACCUCCGGCUCAGGUAUAGCAUUCCUGGUGAAAUUCCUCUCAAGAUCCCAGGAAAGAAGGAUACACCUAGCCGGCCUCCUAGGGGAUACGUUACCCUGUUUCUGGAAAGCUUUAAGUUUGGGCUAAGGUGUCCCUUGCAGCCUUACUUUGCCCGGAUACUUAACGGGCUAAAUCUGGCUCCUGGUCAGCUGAACCCCAAUGGGUGGAGAGUGCUCUCUGGUCUGUUCAUAUUGUGGGACAGAUGUUGCCAAAGCGAGCCCACGGUUGAUGAGGUCAAGCACCUGUACCAGCUGAAGAGCAGCCCUAAAAAUACCGGCUGGUACUACUUCCAAUCUAGUACCAAGAGCAGGAAACCCAUAACUGAUCUUCCAACUGGUGGUGGUGGGACUUGGAAGAGGAAAUUUUUUUUUGCUGGGGGUCCUUGGGGUCAAGUUGCACAAAUAGACGGGAAGGAUUGUCGCGUCCCACCCCGUUUCACGGUCCCAGGUUGCCUGCUCGCUUUAGAUGUCUUGUAUCCAUAAUUGUUCUUGCUGUGUUGGUUUGUCUCUAACCAAGUGUCUGUUUGUGCUGUAGUUUCUUGGGGUGUUCAUUUCCCGCUCAAACCUGACCAACUCAAAAGGGUCGAGGCCGUAUUGGUUAAUUCCUGCCCGAGUCGAGAGCUGUUAACCACCUACAACCUGCUCGAGUCUCGUUUGGUGCCCCCUGGCCAUAAGAUGGAGGACGCAGUGAUUGGAGCUCUGACCAAGAAACGUUCUCGACCUCCAACAACCAAGCGGGACCAGAACAAAGAUGCUCCUGCAACGAAGCGAAAGAACAUCGUGCAGCAGGUUCCUCCCUUGCAGGCUCUUCCUCCUACUAAAGUCGGUGAGACCAGACGUGAUGAGCAGAUGUUUGGUGGCAGAAUUCUGCGAGCAGGUGUCUCCUGUAAAAGCCAGGUAGCAAGGGAACAGGAGCAGGAAUAUUCUGCUCGUCCACGAAUAUGCCAUUCGCGAGGCCGAACCCUUGCUAGAGGCAUAGGGUCACUCCCGCUAGGGUUCGAGGCGAGGAGACCCGGUCAAUGGCAGUUGGCGAGACGUGCCUUUCUAUCCGAGAAUCAAGGCACGAGGUCCAUCUCCAUUCGCCCAUCAUGACGAUAAUGGGACAUCCAUAUCCGAGCGUGGGGAGAACAACGGGCGUAAACUGCAGAAGACCGGGACUCAGAGGAAGCCUAUAAAAAGGUAGCCAACGAAAGUAAAAGGGUUAGCAAUUUUGAUUCUAAAAGAGAGAAAACAACCUAACAGCCAUAAGAUUUGUGGCAAGCGUUCCCCGAACCUUCAUAUCUGACUUGAGCAUCGGAGGGUUUUCGCCAGGAAAACAACCGGCGUACUCUGACCUGUCUGUGUGCGCAGGAACCUCUGGAGAAGAAGCUUUACGAGGAGAGAUCCAGUUCGUGGUGAAGUUAAUCGAGCAGAGACCCUGGUCGUAGAACGAGGAGAACCAGAAUCUCGCAUCAACAUUUUGGCGCCAUCUGUGGGGAGCUGAGCAAAAAGCUUCUGUUGAUAGCAAAAAGAGGAGUGAAGCAAGUGAAAAGCAAUGGAGACAGGAGGAAGUAGUGCACAAGGGGGUGAUUUGAGGCUUAACGAUUCCGUGACGCUGAGAGAGAUAGCCAGUGAAGCACGGGAAAAAGCCAUGUUCGACCGGAUGGAACGGAUGGAAAAGCAGAUGGAGACCCUGACAACCAUCCUGCAUGAGCUGCGGAGUGAACGCAGGGUAACCCAGGAGGAAAGGGUGAGAGGUGGUGGAGUGGCACCAGGUCCUGAUAGUGCGAGGAGAAGUCAAACCACCGGGAGAUUUGGUGGUGAGAGAGAUAACAUACCUCUGCGGGGAGAACUUCAUAGAGAGGAAGAGCAGUCCCUAGCAAGACAGAUUUUUGACGAGGACGACGGGGUGGCGAAUGCAGAGGAAACGGAGUUGAGGCAACACUUGCAUGAUGUAGAGCAAGAGCGGGAUCAAGUUGCUGCACGUGACCCUGGUCGUGCAGUGCAGCUGAAGGAGGAAGUGCGCAGACUAGCGCAGAUAAUUGACGACAUGCAAGGAAGGAACAGAGCUCCUAGUUGGAAGAUAAUGCUGAACGGAGAAUCACCGCUCGCAGCAGAGAUCAUGAGGGCAAUUAUUCCAAGGGAUUUCCGCCUCCCAGACCUUAGAUACGCGGGAAGAACUGACCCGCUGGUGCACAUAGAGCGCUUCAACGACAUAACUGAGGUACAAGGAUUAUCUCAAUCCCAAAGGUGCAGGGUGUUCCCACUAUCCCUUGAGGGACGUGCACGAGAGUGGUACAGAAAACUUCCUCGGGGCAGCAUUAAAACCUUCGAUCAGAUGUGCCAGGAAUUCGCAGAGCAGUUUAGUGGGGCGAUGGCACCAGAAGAUGACAUGAUGGAGCUGAAAAGCAUGAAACAGGGGGAGCAAGAAACCCUUCGGGAAUUCAUCAAGAGGUUUCAUCGUGCUGUCCUCGAUUUGGGAGCCUUCAACCAUCCUCAGGCAUUAAGGGGAUUGAAAGAGGGAGUGAAGAUAGGAAGGUUGUGGUACAACUUGAGAAGCCCAGCUAUUCACUCAUAUGCGGCCGCAUACGAGCAAGCUAAAAGAGACAUAGAGAUCAAGGAAGAAAAGGCGGCUCAGAUUAAGACUGACCAGCUAGAGGGGUUGGAAAAGAAAGAGAAGAGGGCACCACCAGGGAAUGGGCCGAUCAGGAGGAGGGACCACCAGGCCUCAGGUAGUGGAGCAGGAGGUCGGGUAACAGCUUACCAGCCACAUCAGAGGCCACCACAAUAUCAGCGCAGCAGGGCGCAGCCUCUUCGUUCCCCAGCUAGGGAGCCUUGGAGAAGGCAUGAUUCGACAUAUGGUGGUCUUCAUCAACACUCCCACGCCAGUAGAGGGAGCAGACCAGAAGUGCUGCCACUACCCCCAACUCAAAACGAAGCAAAUAGAGAAAUGGCAGUACACCUGAUCGACCAGAACCAGGACUACGGGCAGUAUACUUCAUUGAAGAUGUCCCUGGAUGAGGUGUACGAGGCCAUAAAGGAGCGAGGAUUGCUGUACCUCCCUGCCCAAUAACAAAGCUACCCGGCAGGAGAGAUAGGGAACGCUAUUGUAAGUUCCAUGGCACUCAUGGCCAUACCACAGCAGACUGUAGAGAUCUCAAGACCCAGGUAGAAGAUUUGGUGAGAAAUCGGUAUCUGGACGAGUUUAUAGAUGGGACAUUCCCAAUGGUAGCAUCAACAAAUGAAGGGGAGCAGAGUGACAGGAAUUUGAGGCGCGAGCAGCCUACAGUAAGGAUGAUAGCUGAGGGCCCGACAUUGGCUGGAGAUUCCAACAGGUCGAGGAAGAAUUAUGCUAGAUACGCCAUGACCAGCAAAAGGGUAUUCUUCAACACCCCAGCAGCCAAACGUGCAAGAGUUAGGCAAGUGCCAAUCAUGUGGACAGAUGAGGAUGAGGAAGGCAUUUUAUACCCUCACGAGGAUGCUUUGGUCAUCGAGGCCACUGUUGCUAGCAAGAAGUUUGACAGGAUACUGGUUGACACAGGGAGCUCAGUUGACGUAUUGUUUAAGUCAACCCUGGAGGAGAUGGGAAUAGCAAACCGGAAGCUGGAAUAUACCAACACCUCCUUGAAAGGGUUUGGAGGAGGAAAGCUGGUCCCUCUGGGCGUGGUCGAGCUGCCUAUCACGAUUGGGAGCUCCCCGACGGAAAGGACAAUGAUACUGGACUUUGUGGUCGUGGAUGAAGAAGGUCCUUACCAGAUGAUCUUAGGUCGGCCGUUUCUAAGGAUGAGCAAAGCGGUAUUAUCCAUCCAUUAUCUGGCUCUCAAGUACCGGGUGAACGGGGUAGUUGGAGUGGUACGAGGAGACCAGAGGAUCGCAAGAAGCUGCUACUCCUCGGCAGCAAGGGAAGCAAUGCAGAUAACAUCCCUCGAUACCCGAGUAGAAAACAAGAAGGGCCACAUAGAGUCAAGCAGAUGGUGGGACCCGGGGAUUACAAGCUGGUUCGCACGGACGACCACGAGGUGAAAUGCCCAUGGAACGCAGCACACCUCCGAAAAUACUUCCAGUAAGACUUGUUCACAUUUUAAAGCAAUUUCUGCUCGUGCUCUUUAUCUUUUAUUUUUAUGUUUUACGUCAAAGCAAGUUCAUGUAAAAUCAAAACCUGCAAUUAAUGGAACGUCGAGGAAUGUCAUUCACUUGAAACUGUGAUAAAUUUUCUAAGGCAUGCCAAGGCUCACCAAGUCUCAAAGCCUGUUUUAUGGCGAGACAGAAGCCAAGCAAGCCAGGAUCUGCUCGGCCACGAGAAGGCUAGCAGAAUCCCAAGCUUUGAAGAAAUCAUCUAAAGCAUGCAAAGGCUCACCAAGUCUCCAAGCCUGUUUUAUGGCGAGACAGAAGCCAAGCAUGCCAGGAUCUGCUAGGCCACGAGAAGGCUAGCAGAAUCCCAAGCUUUGAAGAAAUAAUCAAAGGCAUGCAAAGGCUCGACAAGUCUCAAAGCCUGUUUAUGGCGAAACAGAAGCCAAGCAUGCCAGGAUCUGCUCGGCCACGAGAAGGCUAGCAGAAUCCCAAGCUUUGAAGAAAUCAUCUAAGGCAUGCAAAGGCUCGACAAGUCUCAAAGCCUGUUUUAUGGCGAGACAGAAGCCAAGCAUGCCAGGAUCUGCUAGGCCACGAGAAGGCUAGCAGAAUCCCAAGCUUUGAAGAAAUCAUCUAAGGCAUGCAAAGGCUCGACAAGUCUCAAAGCCUGUUUAUGGCGAGACAGAAGCCAAGCAUGCAAGGAUCUGCUCGGCCACGAGAAGGCUAGCAGAAUCCCAAGCUUUGAAAAAAUCAUCUAAGGCAUGCAAAGGCUCGACAAGUCUCAAAGCCUGUUUAUGGCGAGACAGAAGCCAAGCAUGCCAGGAUCUGCUCGGCCACGAGAAGGCAAGCAGAAUCCCAAGCUUUGAAGAAAUCAUCUAAGGCAUGCAAAGGCUCGACAAGUCUCAAAGCCUGUUUUAUGGCGAGACAGAAGCCAAGCAUGCAAGGAUCUGCUCGGCCACGAGAAGGCUAGCAGAAUCCCAAGCUUUGAAGAAAUCAUCUAAGGCAUGCAAAGGCUCGACAAGUCUCAAAGCCUGUUUAUGGCGAGACAGAAGCCAAGCAUGCCAGGAUCUGCUCGGCAACGAGAACGCUAGCAGAAUCCCAAGCUUUGAAGAAAUCAUCUAAGGCAUGCAAAGGCUCGACAAGUCUCAAAGCCUGUUUAUGGCGAGACAGAAGCAAAGCAUGCCAGGAUCUGCUCGGCCACGUGAAGGUGAGCAGAAUCCCCAAGCAUCGAAGAAGUCACUAAGGCAUGCAAAGGCUCGCCAAGUCUCAAAGCCUGUUUAUGGCGAGACAGAAGCCAAGCAUGCCAGGAUCUGCUCGGCCACGAGAAGGCUAGCAGAAUCCCCAGCUGUGAAGAAAUUACCUAAGGCAUGCAAAGGCUCGCCAAGUCUCAAAGCCUGUUUUAUGGCGAGACAGAAGCCAAGCAUGCCAGGAUCUGCUCGGCCACGAGAAGGCUAGCAGAAUCCCAAGCUUUGAAGAAAUCAUCUAGGGCAUGCAAAGGCUCACCAAGUCUCAAAGCCUGUUUUAUGGCGAGACAGAAGCCAAGCAUGCCAGGAUCUGCUCGGCCACGAGAAGGCUAGCAGAAUCCCAAGCUUUGAAGAAAUCAUCUAGGGCAUGCAAAGGCUCACCAAGUCUCAAAGCCUGUUUUAUGGCGAGACAGAAGCCAAGCAUGCCAGGAUCUGCUCGGCCACGAGAAGGCUAGCAGAAUCCCAAGCUUUGAAGAAAUCAUCAAAGGCAUGCAAAGGCUCGACAAGUCUUAAAGCCUGUUUAUGGCGAAACAGAAGCCAAGCAUGCCAGGAUCUGCUCGGCCACGAGAAGGCUAGCAGAAUCCCAAGCUUUGAAGAAAUCAUCUAAGGCAUGCAAAGGCUCGACAAGUCUCAAAGCCUGUUUUAUGGCGAGACAGAAGCCAAGCAUGCCAGGAUCUGCUCGGCCACGAGAAGCCUAGCAGAAUCCCAAGCUUUGAAGAAAUCAUCUAAGGCAUGCAAAGGCUCGACAAGUUUCAAAGCCUGUUUAUGGCGAGACAGAAGCCAAGCAUGCCAGGAUCUGCUAGGCCACGAGAAGGCUAGCAGAAUCCCAAGCUUUGAAGAAAUCAUCUAAGGCAUGCAAAGGCUCGACAAGUCUCAAAGCCUGUUUUAUGGCGAGACAGAAGCCAAGCAUGCCAGGAUCUGCUCGGCCACGAGAAGGCUAGCAAAAUCCCAAGCUUUGAAGAAAUCAUCUAAGGCAUGCAAAGGCUCGACAAGUCUCAAAGCCUGUUUAUGGCGAGACAGAAGCCAAGCAUGCCAGGAUCUACUCGGCCACGAGAAGGCUAGCAGAAUCCCAAGCUUUGAAGAAAUCAUCUAAGGCAUGCAAAGGCUCGACAAGUCUCAAAGUCUGUUUAUGGCGAGACAGAAGCCAAGCAUGGUAGGAUCUGCUUGGCCACGUGAAGGCGAGCAGAAUCCCCAAGCAUCGAAGAAGUCACUAAGGCAUGCAAAGGCUCGCCAAGUCUCAAAGCCUGUUUAUGGCGAGACAGAAGCCAAGCAUGCCAGGAUCUGCUCGGCCACGAGAAGGCUAGCAGAAUCCCCAACUGUGACGAAAUUACCUAAGGCAUGCAAAGGCUCGCCAAGUCUCAAAGCCUGUUUAUGGCGAGACAGAAGCCAAGCAUGCCAGGAUCUGCUCGGCCACGAGAAGGCUAGCAGAAUCCCAAGCUUUGAAGAAAUCAUCUAAGGCAUGCAAAGGCUCACCAAGUCUCAAAGCCUGUUUUAUGGCGAGAUAGAAGCCAAGCAUGCCAGGAUCUGCUCGGCCACGAGAAGGCAAGCAGAAUCCCAAGCUUUGAAGAAAUCAUCUAAGGCAUGCAAAGGCUCACCAAGUCUCAAAGCCUGUUUUAUGGCGAGAUAGAAGCCAAGCAUGCCAGGAUCUGCUCGGCCACGAGAAGGCAAGAAGAAUCCCAAGCUUUGAAGAAAUUACCUAAGGCAUGGACAGGCUCACCAAGUCUCAAAGCCUGUGUUAUGGCGAGACAGAAGCCAAGCGUGCCAGGAUCUGCUCGACCACGCGAAGGCGAGCAGACUCCAAAGCAUUCGAAAAAAUUUCUAAGGCGUGCAAUGGCUCGUCAAGUCUCAAAGCCUGUUUUAUGGCGAGACAGAAGCCAAACAUGGCAGGAUCUGCUCGACCGCGCGGAGGCGAGCAGAAUCCCAAACAUCGGAAAGUUUUCCAAGGCAGGUGGCAAAACCAUAUGCCAAGCCCGAUCCUGCUCGACCAGACAAAGACGAGGAGAUUCUCAAACGGAAAAAUAAUUCAUGAUUACAACUCAAGCAAGUAAUCAAAAGCAGUUUUUCAUUAAUCUGUUAAUAACCAACAAAGUAGUUCAUUACAACGCGAGAAAAAUGUUCAAGAAGAUGGCGGAUCAGUAAGCCGAGCAGCAUUGGUUGGCUGAACCUCCUCAGGUGCGGGGGGGGUAUCACCAGUUACGUCCGGGGGGGUGCUCGCCUCGGCAACGACAGCAGGGGUGCUCACCUCGCCAACGUCAGCAAGGACUGAACGAGGAGGAGAACUUUCCUCCUCAAUCACGAUCGGUUCUAUCCCUUCGGCAUCUUCCUUGGCCGCUUCCUCGUCCAUAUGUUGAGCAACACCAGCUGCAAGAUCAUCCAUCUUCAGAUCAGGAUGCUGCUUCCCGAGGACGGCCAUAAUGCAAUGAUAGGAAUGCCGAAGUCCCUGGUCGUAUUGGUUGUCGGCCUCCCUCUCCAAGGUCUCGACCUGAGCUCGGUGGGAAUCGCGGAGAGAUUCGAGCUGAGCCUCAUACAUAGCCCUCUGCCUUUGCAGAUCCUCCUUGACCUUGGUCAGCUCCUCCUCGAGGGUAAUGGCUUUUGCUUGAGCAAGAGAUUCUUGCUCUAUCAGCUUGAGGUUCUCAACGUUUAGCUCCCCCGCUUUCUUUUCGGCAACGUCAGCUCUGGUCGUCGCCGAUUGAAUGUCCUCCUCCAUCUUCCUGUCGUAAUGGCCAACCUUGGCCUUAUAGUAGGUGGUCAUGCAGCUGAGAUGGAAAGCGCUAUACUACAUGGCUCCCACCAGCUUGCCCAGGGUACAACCGUCAAAGUCCUCCAGGUCCUUCUUGCUCACGAGUUUAGACAACUCAUUGAGAUAGGGGACCAAGUGUUCUGCUCGGCUGUCAGGUAAGCGAGACUGAGGUGCGACAGGUGGAGAAGAGGAAGCAGGAUCAGUGGCUGCUCCACUAGAUUCCCCGACUUUAGCAGGAGCAGGAGGAAGAGCCUGCAAGGGAGGAACCUGCUGCACGAUGUUCUUUCGCUUCGUUGCAGGAGCAUCUUUGUUCUGGUCCCGCUUGGUUGUUGGAGGCCGAGAACGUUUCCUGGUCAGAGCUCCAAUCACUACGUCCUCCAUCUUAUGGCCAGGGGGCACCAAACGAGACUCGAGCAGGUUGUAGGUGGUUAACAGCUCUCGACUCGGGCAGGAAUUAACCAAUACGGCCUCGACCCUUUUGAGUUGGUCAGGUUUGAGCGGGAAAUGAACACCCCAAGAAACUACAGCACAAACAGACACUUGGUUAGAGACAAACCAACACAGCAAGAACAAUUAUGGAUACAAGACAUCUAAAGCGAGCAGGCAACCUGGGACCGUGAAACGGGGUGGGACGCGACAAUCCUUCCCGUCUAUUUGUGCAACUUGACCCCAAGGACCCCCAGCAAAAAAGGAUUUCCUCUUCCAAGUCCCACCACCACCAGUUGGAAGAUUAGUUAUGGGUUUCCUGCUCUUGGUACUAGAUUGGAAGUAAUACCAGCCGGCAUCUUUAGGGCUGCUCUUCAGCUGGUACAGGUGCUUGACCUCAUCAACCGUGGGCUCGCUUUGGCAACAUUUGUCCCACAAUAUAAACAGACCAGAGAGCACUCUCCACCCAUUGGGGUUCAGCUGACCAGGAGCCAGAUUUAGGCCGUUAAGUAUCCGGGCAAAGUAAGGCUGCAAGGGACACCUUAGCCCAAACUUAAAGCUUUCCAGAAACAGGAUAACGUAUCCCCUAGGAGGCCGGCUAGGUGUAUCCUUCUUUCCUGGGAUCUUGAGAGGAAUUUCACCAGGAAUGCUAUACCUGAGCCGGAGGUCAUCCAGCUCGUUGAAUGUGGUCGUGCAGGUCAUGUAAUCAAUAGCAUAAUCCCGCGACGAGGCUCUACCUCCUACUGUACUACGCCCCUCUGGUCGCGGCGCUCCUGGUGAAGAUCCCUCACCAGAAUCACCUCCUUGAUCCUCACUUAAGGUGUCUUCCGAGCCAGAAGGUCCCUCUUCACCACUACUUCCGCUCGUGGAGGUCGUUUGGGGGGACAUCCUCCUAGUGCUAGUCCCGACACUAGACCUAGUGGGUUCUAAGGGGACCCCGGGGUCAAAAGCAGAAUCAGCGAGCAGACUAGGCAAGAAACCUAGUUCGUCGUCACCAAUCUCAAUGACUUUCUCCUUACCCUUCGACAUAUCCUAAGUUCUAACCAAAACACCACUGCCAACUACAACCUCAAGCAAAGCAAAGAGAAAAGAAAUUAUCUACAACUAACUAAGACCGAGAAAAUAGAAGAAAUACCUGAAGCAGGGACUCGGUUAGAGAGAGGCGAGGAUGAAAGCUUCAAUGCCGAGGGUCAUUCGCCGGAGAGACAAGAAGGGAGAGAAUGACGAGUUCGCGUCUAAGGACUUUGGGUUUUCUUACUGAGGAGCAAACUUUUGGAUUGCCAGCAUUUAAUGACACAUAUCCCGAGAAUCUUGCAACCGUAGAUUUGAAAUUCAAAUGGAGGGGCUGAUUCCCGCCACAUCACUUCAUCCGUAAUUAAAUGCGACACGACUCUUGGCAACCUUUUCCAGUCCCACGCGACCAAGAACCACUGAGUUUCUACUGCUGGUCCAUUACAUUACCCAACACCAGAAACUGGGGGACCGGUGUUUGAGGGAAAUACUUCGGUGAGACCAGACGUGAUGAGCAGAUGUUUGGUGACAGAAUUCUGCGAGCAGGUGUCUCCUGUAAGAGCCAGGUAGCAAGGGAACAGGAGCAGGAAUAUUCUGCUCGUCCACGAAUAUGCCAUUCGCGAGGCCGAACCCUUGCUAGAGGCAUAGGGUCACUCCCGCUAGGAUUCGAGGCGAGGAGACCCAGUCAACGGCAGUUGGCGAGACGUGCCUUCCUAUCCGAGAAUCAAGGCACGAGGUCCAUCUCCAUUCGCCCAUCAUGACGAUAAUGGGACAUCCACAUCCGAGCGUGGGGAGAACAACGAGCGUAAACUGCGGAAGACCGGGACUCAGAGGAAGCCUAUAAAAAGGUAGCCAACGAAGGUAAAAGGGUUAGCAAUUUUGAUUCUAAAAGAGAGAAAACAACCUAACAGCCAUAAGAUUUGUGGCAAGCAUUCCCCGAACCUUCAUAUCUGACUUGAGCGUCGGAGGGUUUUCGCCGGGAAAACAACCGGCGUACUCUGACCUGUCUGUGUGCGCAGGAACCUCUGGAGAAGAAGUUUUACGAGGAGAGAUCCAGUUCGUGGUGAAGUUGAUCGAGCAGAGACCCUGGUCGUAGAACGAGGAGAACCAGAAUCUCGCAUCAACAAUCUCUAUAGAUUGGAUCGAUCUCAAUUCAUUGGGAUUGAGUUUUAGUCAUUUCUAGGGCGAGAGAAAUUGACUUGCACAUGUAUCAUGGCAACGUUUGUUUUAUUUGGAUAUUAUUUGUUUUUAUACAGGCUUUUAGUUUAUUUCAGGUUGUCUGAGCAAAAUUUUAUCACACAUGCGAUUACUUGGAAAAUUCUAACGCCAGUGUAUGUUAAAAAUGAAAUUGGGUCAUGUAGGUACCCUCUGUCAAGAUCAAGUGCUAGCUGGACAACCACUUUGAAAACUAGUCUCCUUUUCCUGCUGUAAGUUUCAUUUCCUUUUAGAUUUUACCGCAUGAGUUUAGCUUAAUUUCUUCAAAUUACUCCGAUUUAAGACCAAAUAGACUCUGGAAUAAGGGCUUAAGUAAUUUAUAAUAGAGAUGAUUAGGGGAUGGGCAAGGAUACUUGGUAAUAUGAAGGGACAAUUUGGAUGUGUUUGCAAAAAUGAAAACACAGUAUCCCCUGUAAUAUUGGACGGGAUUGAUGACUGAAUGGUCAAUCAAACGUUUUUUUCCAUAACUUUUGAAAGCACCAACUACUUUCAGAUCCAUCUGCCAUCUAUAUUGAGUAUAUUCUAAUUAUAAAUCUAUCGUUGUUUGUCCUUAGAAAGCAAAAUACAUACAAAACUGUAUUUAAUACUCUUUUUUAAACCAACCACCCAAUAAAUAAAUAAAUAAAUAAAAUUAAAAUGUAUUUAUUAAAUUAAAUAAUUUGCAAAAACUACGAAUCUCAAUAGUCUGUCUACUUAUAGACCAAAGUUAUUUAUUAAUCAUGGUUAAUGCAACAUGUGUGUAACACAAAACAACAAAUAACUGGCUUUGCUUUGCUCCAGAAAAUUGGUCGAAAUUUUGGUCAGGCAAACCAAGCAGUCCAAUUUUGGUACAAUAUUUUGUCUAACAAUUUUUAGCUUUACCGUUAAGCCAUAAUAUCGUUUUCUUAUAAGCAUUAAUCUAAUUUCUCCUUAACUAAUUAUUGUAUUAUGCGUAUGGUGUUACCCUCAUCAUCGUUUGACUUUUCAACCAAGUAGUUGUGGGUGGAGAUCAAUUAAUGCUUCAACAUAUUACAGUUCAGAGAGAAUGACAAUUCCAUCCCUCUUUAUUUUUAUUUUUAUUUUUUGGGGCAUCACUUAGGUUUCUUGUAGACUUUUAGUACCUCAUUUUAUCAUUGACUAAAAAAUGUUAAGUAAAAAAUUACGCGGUUGGAGGUAAAAUACAGUUGGUGUAUUGAAAUACAAACUAAUAUUACAUAAAAUCUGACAUAAAAACAUAUUAAAAUUGGACCAGUUAAUGAGGUCAUUUUACGCCGACGCAAUCGUGACGCAAUCGUGCAAAUACCAAAAAACGUACUGAAUAUUGAUGAGCCAUGGUCCAAAACAAUAACUGGACCAGUUGAUGAGGCCGGCUUAGUAUCUACAAACAAGGUAGUCAAUCUAGGCUUCAGCAGUUAGUAUCCCAAUCCCAAUCCCAAUCAAGUGCGCAGCCCUAAAACAAAGAGUGGACUUUUCUAACACCCCGUGAAAAUUCUUAUGAAACCCACUUUUUUUAAUUAUUAUUUUGAGUGCGACUAUUUUCACCCCUUUAAAUAUCUCUUAAUAUCCUUUUUUUUUUAAUUAACUCCAUUAAACUAUUUUAAAAAAUUAUAAAAUUCUUUUAACACCUCCAUCAAUAACAAAAAUACCCUUAAUUAAAACUUAUUAGUAUAAACUUUAUUCUCUAAUUUUUACUUGUUUUUAUUAUUAAACCUCAUUUCAAUAAUAAGAUUUCUUCCACUCAAAAGAAAAAAAAAAUAACCGAUUUUCUUCUCUCCAUUGCAAUCGUCAGUGGUGAAUUUUUCACCCAAAAAUUAGAGGAAAAUUAAUUGUUUUUAAUUUCUAUAAUGUUAAAUUUUUUUAAGAAAAAAAAAAUUAUUUGAAUUUGGAGUAGGGUUUUAAGAAUUGCCCUAUCAUGUAAUUUUAAUCAAAGUUAAAAUUAUAAAAUAAUUAAAGGGGUUUUAAGAGGUAUUUGGAAGGGUGUCAAUAGUCCCACUCAUUAUUUUUUCCGACAUAUUAAAUCAUUUGAUAUAUGAAUUUCACAUUGGGCCUCGACUAAUUCAGAUUCGAGCCGGAUAUAACCAUUAGGACGACAAAACUCUCCCAAAAAAUAUUUAACGCAGCUGCAUUCGCAAGUCUCGAACCGAGAACCUUGAUUAAAUUAGAAUAAUUUAUUUACAGCUAAUCUACGCGUUUGUUGAUUUUUUUCAAUUAUUAUUAUUCUUAUUUUAAUACCAAAAAUACCCUUUUCCUGCUAAAUUCCUAUUACAUUUUUUUAGUUUAUUCCAAUUUAACUAUCUUUAAUCAGAUCGAGACGAUGAGUUUGCAAAACUAUGUAAAGUUAGGUGGAGCUGCUUGAUGGUUCCUCCAAUCACGAUCAAGAUGUUAAAUGUUGACCUUGGAAAAACAUAAGCCGCUAAACUCAAUAAGUAUAUGCAAAAGAUAGUACAUCAGGUAGUAUUAAAGAAUUGUUUUUUUUUUCCUACAGUUUUCUCACCCGUAAAACAAAUCAAUGUCUUAUUUUUGGUCUUUUGGAUAGAUGAGUCACAAACAAAAACAAAAAGGAAAAGAAAAAAAAAAGGACUUGUUGAUUUUUCAGAUUUUGGGGAGAGAAAGAGAAGCGGUCGAAGAGUUCGCAGAGAAAAUAAAAAUAUCCUGGGUGUGUUUGACGAGAGAGAAACAGGUAGACGAGUUUGUCCUCCCAUGUAAUUACAUCAGAAAAGGUGUUAUAAGUAAAAAUAGCGGGGUGUUAAUAGCUGUACUGGAAGGCAAAUAUAUUGUCGCUCAAGUCCAUUCAAAUUCGGCCUAUAUCUAAAGAAUGAGAGAAGACUUUACUUCUCAAGCUGACUGGGGGGUACCGGGCCAGGCUGGUUUCGUUUUGCUUUUUGUUUUCCCUCACUAAUACAAUUUACUAAUUCAAAAUUAUGGUAGUUGAUUUACUUCUACUUCUAAAUAUGUAACGCACUACGAGCAUAAACUAUCUAAAUCGUACCAUUAUUAUAAAUCUAAUCCAUGAGGCUUUUAAUUGAAAAUAUAAUAGAUUAUAUUGUAAUUCAAAAUAUAAAUGUAUAAAUGUCAAAUAAUAAGUUAACAUACGAGUAGGGAUGGCAAUGGGCACCGCCCGCAGCGGGUUUGCCAUUACCAAACCCAAACCCGCACAAAAUUUAAAUUACCAAACCCACCCGCAACCCGCAGCGGGUUUUAAUUUUUUUACAAAAACCCACCCGCAGCGGGUUUUAACAAUUACCAAACCCGCAAUGGUAUCCGGCGGAUUUUUUGCGGGUUUUCGUAUUUAAAAUCACAAAUGUUUAAUAUAUAAAUUUAUAAUAAUAACCUCAAAUUCCAUAUAACAUACUCAAUUUUAUAUUUAAAUAAUGUAAAUGAAAAAUUAAAAUUUCCACAUCAAUUCAACACAAAUUCUCAAAUUUAAGUAUAAAUUACACAAAUCCAUUUAAAAAACACAAACUAGUAUCUAAAAAUAAUAAUUACAUUUCAUAUUAUCAUUUAAAACAAGCUCCAAGAGAAGAUAUUCAUUUCAUUCACCACCAUAAGCACCCAUCCAACACAAUGCCUAUAAUAAUAAUUAAGAUUAAUAUUUUCAAAUACUAAUUCGAAGGAAAAUGCCUUUAGUUUUCUUUAGAUUAUGACUUUAGAAUAGGAUAUAGGCCACAUACACAACUUUGAGCCUUUGGCUAUUUGGUAAUUUAAUUAAUGACAUUAUUUUCUUUAUACAUUUUUAGAUUAAAAUUAAACUAAAAAUAUUUUUAAAAAAUAUUGCGGGUUUGGUGGAUAUCCAUGCGGGUAUCCACCGGAUAUAAGGUUAAUACCAAACCCACCCGCAUCCAUGUGCGGGUUUUAAUUUAUAAUACUAAACCCGCCCGCAACGGGUAAAAUUACCCGCAACGGGCGGGUUUUGGCGGGUGGGUUUGGGCGGGUUUGCGGGUUUACGGGUACAAUUGCCAUCCAUACAUACGAGUGCAGUCUCACACAAAUUUUUCUUGGUGCACGCAUUGCCAACUUGGAAAAUCUACUCAACUAAUACUUCCUUCUCUUUACUGUUGCAUUGACUUUAGAAAGUUAAUUUUAGGGGUCUUGUUACAAUGCACCAGCUGCACCAUCUAACAAGUUUUACAUUGUCCUUAACCAAUUAUUCAUUCAUAAUCGUUGAUUCACUAUAUUAUUUUUAUACAUAACAUGUUUUUGUAAUACAUAUAGGGCUUGUUUGGUUGUUGUAUUAAAGCCCCUCAUUGUAUUAAUUUUACACAAAUUCAUGUUUGGCAAAUAAAAAGUUACAGGACCACCACAUUAAAAGCCCAAACUAAUGCGGCAGUUGCCGCAUUAAGGUAAACCCGACUGUGAGUCGGGUUUAACUUAAUGCGGCAACUGCUGUUUUUUUUGUUUUUUUUUUUUUUCUCUCUCUCCCUUUUUGCUUUUGCAACUGUCUGUGGAGCCUUGCUUUUUGACUUUUGUUUUUUGACUUUUGCUUUAUAAUAACAAUAAUAAUAAUAAUAAUAAUAAUUAUUAUUAUUAUUAUUAUUAUUAAAUAUAACUUUUAAUUUAAUAUUAUUUUUAUAUUAUAAUUAUUAAUAUAGAUUAAUAAACAUGUAAUUUAUUAUUCAAUAUUAUUAUGUUAUAUUAUUUUUUACAUUAUAAUUUAUUAAUAAAUUUAUAAUUUAUUAUAACUUAUAAUAAAUAGUUAAAUAUGAAUAAAUUUGAAUAAUAUUAAUUUAAAAUUAAUAAUAAUAUAAAAUAUUAAUACAAUUUAAGUAUAUUAAUAUAAUAUAAUAUAGUAUAAUAUUUAAUUUAAAUUAAUCAAAAAAUUUAUUACAGUACAGUGUAGUACCAAACAUUAUACAAUAUUAUUAUAAUACAGUGCUAAUGCAAUACAGCAUAAUACAAUACACCAGCAUUAAAAUAAUGCAAUACAACAUAAUACAAUACAUGUACCAAACGCACCCAUAGUAAAUUAUGUAUACAACGAAAAAGUUAUUAUCAAUAAAAAAAAAAAAAAAAAUGUGGAUCUACGGCGCAACAUGCUGCACCAUAAUCACACCCUAAAUUAUUAAAAUAAUAAAUUAAUUAAAAGAUAAAUAAAACGUACAUUUUAAAUAAAAUAUUUUAUUUUUUAAUAUAUUAAAAUAUGUAUUUUAUAUACCUUUUAACUUAUUUCUUAUUUUAAUAAUUUAAAGAAUCUUUCAUUCAAAAUUUAUUCUAUACAUAUAUAUUAAGUUGGCCCCUUUUGAUAACAUAAUAUUUACAUGCAUGAACUUGAUCACUAACACAUAUAUUACAUGAGUCGCACCUGACGAAAAUUCCAUACGAUAUAUAUUCAAGUGAUCCAGAUCGAUAGACAAAUUAAUUGUACCAUGUUACAGUUAAAAUUGGAAAAUAAUAUAUAGUACAUAUUCCUUUUAUGUGGCAAAAUAAUGUAUACAUUACAUUUUCCCUUUUACGUGGCCCUCAUGACGUCGAUUUAUAAAUCAUCAUGUGACAGUGAUUUAAUGUGGACAUCCAAUGGACCACCAAAUUUCUAAUGAACAGAGAAAUUUGUCGACAAGCUUAUCCCAACUCCUUGAUUGCUAGUUUAAGUGUCUAUUCACAUCAAUGAGCCAAGUUGAUUCAUCUCACUACCGGUAUUUAAGGUCAAUUUUUUUAACUUAAAUCUAAUAUGUUAUUAUACAACUUAAACGAUAAAUCCCAAGUUUUUAAAACUUUUUACUUUGGUAUGAUCAAAUAAAAAUCAGUUAGGUUGCAGUAGCCAACACAAGAUAACUAAAAACAGAACAAAUUCCAUGAAAAGUUCACUAAAAAGUCUUUAAAAAUAAUUGCUUUGUACUAUGAAAAUUAAAAAAAAAAAAAAAAAGUGUUCCCGCAUACUUUGAUGUGCUUAAUUUUUUUGUCUCAACCUCUCAAUGGUAGUCAAAAAGUUUUCAAACAACCAACUUUGAUCUCGUAAAUUUAGAUUUAGAUAAACAUAUGCAAAUCUACAACAUAUCUUAUUCUAACUAUUAAAAGUAAUGCUUUCCAUGAUUUUCCUAAGUAAUAAGAAAUUGGUAGUGUUUUGAUUGCCUCAAAAAAUCCCAACUAAUCAAACACUGCCCAAGAUCUUUGUCAAGAUAAAUUCAAGUUGCAUAUGAAUCAAAUGACCAACCUUUAUGACUCAAUGAUUAACAAGAACCUAAUAAACGAAUUUUAGAGACCAGAAACACAAGUAUCAAGCUAAAUUACCAACCAAAGCACAUAGAAAAGAAGACUGAUUCUACAUGGUUCAAUUGUGCAAAGAAGCACAAUCUACCAGAAUGAGUUUUUACUGAUGAUUCGAGUUGAAUUUAUAAAGCUUUUACAGAAUAGAUGACAAGGAACGGGAUGUCUCUCUCUCUCUUUCUCGUAUAUCUCUCUAGAACGCUCUUAAUUCCUCACUGAAACUGCCUCAACAAUCAGCUUUGUAUAACAGUCGAUAACAAACCCGGAUUCCAACAGUUUCUGCCACGUGGUUAACGGCCUGCAUCAAACUUGCUUCCCCUUCAUUUCAUAUGCUUCAUCACCUGCAUGACUUGAGUCUUAGCCAAAACGUCUUCAUGUCUUGCCGUUUUGAUGUUAUUAAGUGAGUCACACGUCCAUCACAUGACAGGUUGAAACAAACUAAUACGCAAAACGAUGCCGUUUAACAUGUCCAAGUUUUAAAUUCAGCAAAUUAGUCCACAAAAUUAAAGUUAUUUUUCUUUUCUUUUCUUUUUUUUCCAACUCUUUGUUCAAACCAAAAAAAUCUUGAUCUCGAACAUCUUUAUAAUCACAACACAAUUACCUACAUACAAUGCCAUAUCGUAACGUACAAAGAGGAAGACACAUCAGAAACUCAAAUAGUAACAAUAAAAACAUCCUUCAUAAGUCAAUCAAUAUUACUUAUAUAUAUAUUCCUUUCGAAUUGAAGAGAGCCACCUGAAGCUUGGCUGCUCAUCAGCCUUGCUUGGAUUCAACCACUUAAGAGGACACCAACAACAGUUUUUGCUCGCCUAAUCAUAAUUCUUUUUUAUGUUGUAUGAAAAUAAAAAAUAAUUGAAUAUUAGUUAGAGAUAUAUAUUAAAUAAUUUAUUAAAAAAAGUUUACAAUCUAUAUACAAAUUAUGAUCUAUAAUUCAAUGAGAUUCUGUAUAAAUGCACUUUAAAUUUAUAGUACAAUCCAGAAAUUUUUCGAGUAUUAACUUAAAAGUCUACUCUCAUAAAUAUACAAAAAGAUAUUUACAGUAUUUUAAAUUAAUAAUAUAAUAUUAUAAUUUAUUAUUAAUUUUGUUUGUAUUAAUGGGAAUCUUCCUUGCAUUCCUCUUUUAGUUGCGCCAAGGAUAUCUUUGAAAAGGAAAUGCUUCCUCAUGUUGCUAUGACUGAAUUCUCUAGAACUAAGAAAGCUUAUUAUUUUGGGUAACUAUAAUUCUUCUAUAUAUUAUCAUUGUCAUUACUUUAGAGUAGUUACAGAUCUUAUUUAUCUUUAAUUUCUUCAGCUGUUUUAUAAAUCGGCUUCUUCUUUGUGCACUUGGCCGGUGGGUUAAAGAUGUUAGAUAUCAUUAUGGCAACAAGAGACAGGACCUUUCUGGUUCAUUACUUGAAGGCUUGUUUAGGAUGGUUUGUUUCAUUUUUGUGUCGAGGUAGUUGACUUUACUUGUGAUCAUAUGAAUGGAGAUGUAUCUCUUUUCUUUUAACAUCCCACUUUUAUAACUAAAAUAAGAUGAUUUAUUUCAAAAUAUUUAAAAUCUCAAUAUUUUUUUAAUAUAAAUAUGGAUAAUUAAAAUUUUUACAUGACAAGCACAAACUUCAUUACAAAAUAUAUGAGACACAUAGAGAUUCCUUAGUAUAUAUUUCAAAACAUGGUUAUUAUGCAAGAGAACUUAAGAUAUUUAUUUUUUAUAGCAACAUAGCUAAGCCCAUCAGAGUCCAACGGUUUGACAUGCCCAUAUGCAUUUCAUCUUGGUUGGGACUUGGCGCCAACUUGAUCUACUCAUCAUUACCUACAAUCUAAGGAUUGCAUGAGCUAAUGCCUAGUAAGAUAACACCUUGAUGCAAGUAUAAAUUGUUAAGCACAUGGAUGAGCUUAUAAACAUUAAAUCUUUAAAAGAAACAUAGAAAUAUAAAACAACUUUGUUAGGGCCCUAUGUACAUUGCACGACAAGGUUGGCACUUUUCAUUCUUUAAAACAACAUCCCCUUGGGCCUAAAUUAAUAGUUGAUCUUUGGGCAUUGCGUAACUCUGUCCCCAAAAGAUUACUCUUUACUUAGCUUUGAGGUCUUGCCCUCCUUGAAAACUUUAUCACCCUAGUAGUACAACAACCCAUUGUUCAAGACUCAUUUUUAAAAUCUUUUCUUUGUAAAGUAAUCUUAACAUAUUAACAUGAAUGCAUGUGUUCAAUGCAACCUAUAUCAUAACAUGUAAAGUUCCUAGAUAUAUAACAAAGCCAACCAUACAAAGUUUUUUAAAGACAACAAUCUUUAGUAUAGACGGCAGUGCUGUUUAUAUAAAAAAUAAAUAAAAAACAUGAUUAUAAUAAUAAUAUAGGUGACAAAGCGAACCAUAUCAUAAUUAAAUAAGAAUAUCACAAUAUAGGCAGCAUAACCAACUGUAUAAAGAUUAAAUGAGAAAAUAUCACAAUAUAGGCGGCAUAGCCGACCAUAUAAGGAUUAAAUAAGAAAAUAUCAAUUAUCAGCGACAGAGCCGACCAUAUAAAGGUUAAACAAUAAAUAAUCACAUCACAGUAGUCAUCAUAAGAUAAAGAAAUAAUUAAAGAUGAAUUUAAGUAUGAAAAGAACUUUGUCCGCAAAUUGCAGUUAAAGUAUUACUCAUAUCUUAAUCUUGACCCUCCUAACUUUAGGAUUUCUCUAUUCUUUGAUGUUAUUACUUAGAAUAGAAGAGGAUAGAAUUCCAAAGGAGAUAUGGAAAAUGAAAGAGCUAGGAGUACUUAUAGGAUUUCCUAAAGCUAAUGGAUGAUUAGGAUUUUGUCACCAUACCUUUUGAUUAAUAGUUGAGAUUUAUCCUUCCAUAAAUAUCUUUGUAAAUUCCAGAAUUUAUAAAUAUUCUACAGACAUUUUGUUGCAUCAAUACUUAUGUCAUCGCUUGUGUCAUCAUUACUCUAGAAUUUACUUUCAUAAAUAUUUUCUAUUUUUAUUAUUUUAAUAGUUAAGGGGAUUUGUAGCUUAAAAAUUAAUUUUAUAAUCUUAAAAUGAGAAGUUUAUACCUCAUAGUUUCCUCCCCCUUAAGAAAAUUUUAUGCUCAAAAUUUCCUAUUGAAUAGCUCAAGAUACUUGUUCUUCAUAUUUUCUUCACAUUCCCAUGUUGCCUCCUCCUUGAGCUAUUUCGUCAUAGUAUUUUAACUAGAAAAAUCUUCUUGGUUUUUAUCUCCUUUAUCUUUCUAUCAAGUACUUGGAUUGGAUGUUCUCCAUAGGUUAAGACUUCUCUUAGUUGAAGAGCCCUAUAAUUUAGCACAUAAGAGGGGGUCUGCAACAUAUUUCUUUAACAUGAAGAUAUGAAAAGACAUUAUGUAUCCUUGACGAUGGUGGAACAACAAGUCAGUACGAAACAUUCUUGACAUAUUUCAAGUAUUUCAAAUGGUCCAAUAAACCUCGGAAUUAAAUUUCCUUUUACAAAUACUUUAUUACCAACUUGAAAUUCAAAAGGCCUUCAACUUUUAUCUACAUGACUUUUUUGUUGACUUUGAGCUGUUUACAUUCUUUAAUGUAUUUUCUCGAUCGCCUUAGAUGAGACAACAAUCAAGUCGGGCCCAAACUACUUUUGCUUGCCCAUUUGAUCCCAAUGAAUAGGUGACCUACAUUUUCUACCAUAUAGAACUUCGUAGGGUGUCAUGCCGAUUUUUGCUUGAUAGCUAUUAUUGUAGGCAAAUGCAGCCAAAGGUAGAUAUUUGCUCUAUGAUCUUUAAAAGUCGAUAGCGCAUCCCCGCAACAUAUCUUCUAGUGUCUAGAUCAUUCUUUCUGACAAACCAUUUUUUUAAGGGUGAAAUGUUGUACUAAAUUUUAAUUUUGUUCCCAUAGUUCUAUGUAACUUUUUCCAAAAUGUUGAGGUGAACAUUGUCUCUCGAACAAAGAUAAUAAAAAUAGGUACACCAUAUAGUCUCUAAAUUUUAAUUUUGCUCCCAUAGUUCUAUGUAGCUUUUUCCAAAAUGUUGAGGUGAACAUUGUCUCUCGAUCAAAGAUAAUAAAAAUAGGUACACCAUAUAGUCAUACUAUCUCCUUUAUCUAUAUUUAAGCAAAUUGGUUCAUGGUGUGCAUCAUUCAAAUAGGCAAGAAGUGGGUGGACUUUAUAAGCCAAUCGACGAUCACCCAAAUGGCAUCAUGCAUUUCUUUUUCAAUUUUUUAUUACUAUUGGUAUUUAUGCAAUUUUUUAGAAAGUUAAACUGGAAUGUGAGAGCUUAUGUGAAGAAGGUUCUAAGUUUUUGUUGCUUUCUUUCUUUUUUUCUUUUUGUUUGAUUUUGAAUUAUUCCUUUUUUUUUUCAUUUGUUCUGGUUUACACUCAUAUAGUUCAUCCAUUUUGUAAAGGUUGGAUAAGGAUCUAUAUGUUAAUUUGCAAUAUGCUAUUUUAGCUAAAACAAUUACCCAUGGUAUAAAGUGUUCUUUGGCUACUGGUAAUUAGGGUCAGUUAGAUGCGUUUAUUACAAGAACAGAAGUGUCACAGGUUUUUUAUUUUUGAUCUAUUUGAAUACAUGAUAGUUGUUUUUGCUCACUCAAUUUCUACUUUGUAGUAUUCCUUAUAGUAUACCUUUUGAUUACAUUGAUCUUGUGGUCUUUCACAGAUGUUGAAUUACGUGACAUGCGCAUCUACCUUGUCACAUUUGCGAACACUAUGUUCGCCCAUAAGACAAAAGGUAAACUACUUAUUAUUGUGUAUAAUUUUGUUUUAUUGAGGGUUCAUUCAUGCUUAGUUUUGUUUUUUCACUUAUGCAUUACCAUAUUGUUAUUUUGUUAAUUUGUUGCAUAUAAUUAAUUGUUUUCACUUUAUUUUUCUAAAGAAGUUUUCAUUUACUAGGUACACAAGUAAAACCUAGGGUGGCACAUAAUACACAAUGAGGCAAGAUUUGUUCCUUUGCAACACCUUUGGGAUAAGUAAGUAAAAUUGCGCUUAUAAGAUAUAUCUAUAAUCUCUGUUUCUUAUUGUAGCUUACAAGAGUUUGUUUUGGUUAAUCUAGGCCUGUGGACUAGUGAAGAAUCUUGCUUUGAUAGUCAAUAAAACCCUUGGUUCAUUAGUAUUUCCCAUCAAUGAGUUAUUAGAAUAUGAGCCAAUAGUAGAAGCCAAGGUGCAUUUUGUAAUUUAUGGCAUUUAGACGUUAAUAAUACAUAUUUCAUUCAAAUUAUUUCAAUUUUCUCCUGAUUGCAAAAUGCUACUGCAGACUUUAUUCUAUAAGCUACAAAAAGUUUUGUUAAUGGUUACUGGGUGUCAUGCAUGAUGUUGGUUCAUUGGUCCAAGCUUUGAGACGCUUUAAAAGAAAUGUCAUUAUACUUGUAUUUCAUCUAUUCAUAAGGAAACCUCUGUAUUAAAAGUUGGCAAAUCGAUUGGUGUACUCUUAUGCCAUUUAUGAACUAUUUUGUUUCUCUACCCAUGUGCAGGACUUUAUAAAUACUGCAAUUGGGGUUUCUAGGGAUAUCCGUUCAAAAGAAUUGCGUAUAUACACUGAUUUUGGUCGUUGUUUUCGUCCAUUGCUUAUUGUCCAGAAUUAAAGACUUCUUAAAAAGAAGAAAGAUAUUGACGCCCUCUAUGACAAGGUUAGCCAAACAGUUUCUCGCUCUUUUAUUAAUGAUUUGUCUUUUCUGUAGUUACAUGACUUUUAUCUUGUUAAUCUUCCACAAAUCUUCCGAAGAUGGUUGUUGGUGUGACCUUUCUAAAAAAUGGGUUUAUAGAAUAUAUUGAUCCACAAGAAGAAGAAACCAUAAUGAUUUGCAUGACAAUCAAUGUGAAUAAAAUGGUAUUGGUUGGUCGAAAACCCAUUAUCGUGAGACGUAAUUUUUAACUUGCUAAAAAUUUGAUUAACACAAAUUUGCUUCAAGAAGUUGUAAAUGCGAGGCUUCAUCCAAACAAGGCUACUUCUAAUGCUUACAUGCAUUAUAAGAUUCAUUCAUCCUUGAUAUUGGGAGCUUUUGCUUCAAUUAUACCAUUUCCCAACGAUAAUCAGGUGCGUCGUGCUUUUGACAUUUCUCUGGUAAAAUAUGUUUAUAUAUUAAUUCAAUCCUCAAACUUUCUUUAGUAUUAUUUAUGCCAUUUAUGAGCUUUUGCUUUUAGUCCCCCAUGUAAUGUGUUUCAAGCUGCAAUGAGCAAGCAAACAAUUGGAAUCUAUGCUACAAACUACCAAUGACAUAAAGUACUGUAUUUGGUUUCAAUUUUUUUGUGAUUAGAAGUUCAUUUUCAGCAAGUCAUAGAUAAUGAUAUUAUUUUUCCUUUAUAUGAUUUAAGAUGCUUUAGCCUAUGUUCUCUACUACCCUCAGAAACUACUACUUGCUCGGAAAGAUGUAAAACUCCUUCAAUUUAACCAACUUCCUACUAGUGUGGUGAGUAUAUAAUUUAAUGUUGCUUUAUUGUUGCUCCUUAUGAUCAAAGUUUUCUCAUAAUCUUUUUGUCUUUGUUAUUUGGCAUUAGAAUGUAAUUGUCACUAUUGCCUGUUACAGUGGCUAUCAUCAAGGAAGUUCUGUUGUUAUGAACCAAUUAUCUAUAGAUUGAGGAUUAUUUUGAUUCCAUACAUUUAGGUAAGUUGUUGUUGAGACAUUGUGUAUCUUAAUUAACACGACUCAAAAGUAUUGAUUACUCCCAAGUAUAAGAGUGUCUAAUUAUAAUAUAAUCUAGUGAGUUGGGGUCGAUCCACAAGGAAUCUAUAAAUCUAGUAGUCAAUUAUUAAAAAAAAAUAACUGCAGAAAAAAGAAAUUAAUAGAGAUCAAUCUAGAAAAAAUGUUGUGGUUACGGAAUUCACUGUCGAUUUUCAAAUUAUGGUCGUAAUACUCUCUCAUAUUUAUAUUUUGCAUUUCUUUAGCCAGUUAAUUGUUAUGCCAUUUAAUUCUUAAUUGACCAUUUGUAUGGAUAAAUAUGAGAUCAAGUACCUAAUGUGCCACAGCUAUAUUGGAGUAUCGACAUUAUGUCAAAAAAUCCAUACCAAUCUAAGCAGAUCUAGAUCUAUAAAUUAGCAUGAUAUAAAAGUAAUUAGUAAAGAAAAAAUACAAAUUAUUAACAUUUAACAAUUAAAAUAAAUUUAAAACUCACUUGAGAGAGUAAUUAAUUCCCUAAUUUGAAUCCUUGAGCUUUAUCUUUCACCACAACUUAUAAAAAUUUAGUCACUCAUAUUUAAAAGGAAAACACUCAUUUUAUUUAAACUUUGUGAACUACAAUACAAGAAAAUUGAAAAGUAAAGGAAAUGAAAGAGAUUUUUGUCCUUAAAUUCACUCUAUAUUCACACCAAAAUACUCAUCCCUAAAAUCCACCACAAAUUCUCUCUCAUUUUCUUCUUUCUCCAAAAAUCUAGAACACCCUCAUUUAGAAGAGCUCUUACCUUUUUAUAGGCAAAAUUUAGUGAUCAAGUGUGGGUGUUUACAUAAUAUUUUUGUGAGAUUACAAUCACCACCAUUUAGAUGAGAUUUAGUAGUAUAAUCUAAGGGUCUAAAAUUUGCAAUCAUUAUGGAUCGUUAGAUUUAACAUAAUUGUUUUUAGUAGAUUUUGAGUGUGUGAAUAAAAACAAAACCUAGUUAAAAAAAAUGAAUUUAUUUUUAUUGGGAUGUAAAGUACCUUGCUUAGUCAGAAUGUGCGUGUUAUUUCGGUCUUUCUAGGGAAGAAGGAAGGGUGAGAGGGUGGCAGAAACGGUGAGAGGUUCGAAUCUAGACUCACAAAGCUCACCUUAGACCUGCAAAACAAUGAAGAAAAGGUUAGAGGUGCAGGCGAGAUGGAUGGCGACCACACUCUAACUCUCAAGUCGGAGUUAGGUUACCUCAGGUUCGAGAACUUGCAAACUCUCAAUAAUAGUGGCUAGAGAUUGAAGAAAAUCUCAGCCUUGGUGGUAUGUGUGUGUAUUGGUUGUGUAUCAUAAAAAUAAAACCUGAGCAUUUUAUAAAGAGUACUCCGGCUACCAUGCGACAUGAUGUUACUUUUUUUAUGUUCCUUAUUGUCGUGGCAAAAAUAUUUUUGUCCUUCAUACAUGAGACAAUUUGGGUACUUUAGAAUGAGCAUGAAAAAUAAGUUUGAGGUGCAUACACGUGUUGGGCGUAGAUGGGUGGUCCCUCGUACCUCUACUGAGGCUGUUCGGAACUUGCAGGCAUGGCAGGUGAGGACAGGUGGUCCUAACUGUCUUGGUAACUACUUUUUUGUCUUAUUUGUAGGAGUAACAAGUCGUUGUUUCUUCUUUUCCAACACAAUAUUCCUUUAUUGAUUUCCUAUUUUUUGCCAGAAAAUCAACCAAUCAUUUUGGGAUAAUGCCUCCUUUUAUCACCUGUUACUUUUUUGAAUAUUUUUCUAACAUUCCUACGCUUGCAUGGCAUACCCCAGGUACUCUUUCGAAUAAAUAGGGUAUUCGACAUAAGCCAGGAUAUUUUUUAUGACUUUUCUUUCGUUAUAAGUCUUUGUAUCGACACAUGACGCUUUAUUGUUAAGUCUUCCACUUCUUUCCCAAGUAAUAAUCAAUGUCUAUGAUUGAAGUCAAAGGUGGAUCCUCCUUUUGCUAAUUUGUCAAGGCAGUUGAGCUAAUUUGUUAAAAUAAUUGAUCUACCAAAUUUGGUGUGCAAAAUCAAGCACAACAUGGUGUACGUGAGCUUAGACACGCGGCAUGAUCUCAAUCGUUUAGCAAUAAUGCCAGAUCAAAUGGCUACAAAAUAUCCAACAACUUCUGAGCUUAUGGGAUCCAAAUGUCACGUCCAUUUUUUUUUUAUCCAAGCAUCGUGAUUUUAGGGAAUUACCUACGAAACACAAAAAAAAAAAUUGUAGUUAAAAAUAAAUAAAAAUUAAUCAUUUGUAAAAUAGUUUAGGGAUUUAUUAAUGUAAUAAAUUUUUUAGUGUUAUCAACACUGCAAAUUGAAAAUGAUAACUAAAAUUUUAUUAAAUGUACACUUUCUAAUAUUAAUAAUUAAAUAUCUGCUUUAUUCAGUUUGUUUUAUUUUCUUUGAGAUAUACUUUAUUAAAUUUCUCCUAUUUGACAAUGAUGAGGAGAAAGGGAUGAGCACUAUUAGAGAACAACAAUUUGGGCAUCUGGCUCCAUCGAAUAUUAGGGUGAAUACUAAAAUCAAGACACUGCUAGUUGUUGUUUGGAUGAAAUAUUGUUUGAAUAUAUCUAAUACUAUGAGCUAAAUUCAGGAUGCUGGUGGAGUGUUGGUUAUUGUUUGCUUGAAAUAUUGGAUGUAGAUAGGAAUUUUGUUUUGCAGGACGUACAACAUGGUAAUUAUGAUAAAUUGGAUGCUGAUGGUCUUGUGCCUCCUGGUGGUAUAUAUUUAAAGUUCAUUUCUAUUUCGUCUUGCUCUUUCUUAAAGAAACUCAUUCUUUUCUUAAAUUGACUUGCUAUUUUUUUCUUAGGGAACAAGAGUUUCUGAAGGAGAUGUGAUCAUUGGGGAGACUGCUCCUAUUACUCUGGAUCAACAGACAUCGAGCUACACCAGACGUGACCUUAGAACAAGCUUACCUUCUGGUGAAACAGGGAAGCAGAUCGAGUAAUAUUUAUGUAGUAGAUCGAGUAAUAUUUAUGUUCCAAUUUUACUUGCAUCUUUACAUGUUAUUUACUUCAUUUUUAUAAAUUUAACUAUGUAGUUUCAUAAAAGUUACAUUCAUAACUGAAGGUGUUCUAAACUUUAUAGGUUUUGCUAACGAAUGCUGAUAAGGAGUUCAGGUCUGUGAAAGUUAUGGUCAGAACUAUCUGGAUAUCCUAUAUUAGAGAUAAGUUUAGCAGUCUGCAUGCUUGGAAGGGAACAAUUAGGAUGACAUACAACCAGGAAGACAUGCCAUGGAUAGUGGAAGGCAUCACCCCUGAUAUAAUUAUAAAUCUGAUAGAGCAGCGUAACGAAAGCAGAAUUGAUUGGAUAGAAAACACUAGAUAUCGUUCUGGUACUAGCCCAAGCCAACGCGAUUAGACUACACUCUAAUCGAAGCAUGAUUAGAUUUCAUUCUAACCUAAAUGACUCAAUGAGAUUUUUAAUUACGCGUAAAGCUAGAUUAGAUGACGCUUUAAUCCAAACGACUUUAUAAGAGAGAUUUUGAUAGAUAAUUCUAGAGGGAAUUAUAAAAGAGGGAAACUUAUUAAAUAAUUGAAUCUGAAAUUAUGAAAAUAAUUACAAGACCUCUCUAUUUAUAAUAGAGGAAACCCACUUCCCUAAGUUAACUUAAAAAGGGAAACUAAAUCACAAUUAUAAUGAAAAUAAAUCACUAAGCUAACUUAAAAAUGGGAAACUAAAUCACAAUUAUAAUCGAACUAAAAGACUAAGAUACAUAUCAUAAUUAACUCAAACUAAAAUAGAAAAUCCUAAAACCAUAAAUAAUCCUAAAACCAUAAAUAUUCUAGAAUCCUAAAUUACCUAAAAUAAUGUCCUACAUCAUUCUCCCCCUCUUAAAAGAAACUCGUCCUCAAGUUUGAAUAUAAUCUAAAGGAUGAAACUUGUAGUGUAGGAGCAAAUCAUCUUAUAAUUCGAACUUAUUGUCCUUCUCAUCAAUCUUUUUUGAAAACUUUGAAGAAUCCAUAUUUCAUCAAUUUCCUUUGCUUGUACAUUUUUCGAGGUGAUCAAGACUUCAAAAAACGAACAACAAUCAAAUAACUUUUGCCCUUCCCCAAUUCUCGCUCAAUGCUCUCUCCAAUAAAUUUCACCUUUUCAAUCAAAUCUUCAAUCUUACUGUUAGACUCGCUACUUAAAUCAAGGUGAGGUUGUUCUUCUUCUUUAAAAAAUUUAGAUAGGUCAAAUAUUUCGUCAUCUUCAACACUUGUCUUCUUUUUCAGGGAAACAUCAUGCGCAUUCUCAGAAAACUUGUCAAAUUGAAACUUUAAAUCAAUAAUAAAUUGUACAUUUUCCUGCAGUAUCUAACGCGAGUCUUCUUCCUCAACGAUAGGAGAACUCAUUGGUGCAUCUCUCAGCACUUUCAUAGAGACAUGUCAUUCCUUGAUUAAAUCUUGAACUUCGUUAAGUUUCUUAAUCACAUCAUCAAAGUUUCUUUGUCGUUGGGACUCAAUUUGAUUCAAUUUGCUUGGCUAAAUAAAUUGCUUGCUGUAUAUUGUAGACAGUGUAUGUAGGCAUCCUUUCUUGAACAUGUAAAUCAAGCACUUUCACAAAUCGUGUAGUUGUAUUCUCCUCAAGUUCAUAAUAAUAUUUGCAUCUAUAAACUUUUUCAAACUCAAAAGCAUAAGCAGAAAUGGAUCUCGUACCUUGCUGUACCAAACAAUAAUCAAGAGGGACAAACUCAUAUCACAAAAUACGCUUCAUACGGUUCCAUGAUCGAACUUUGCAUUUGCCUUGGUCAAGUCGAGAAGUUUGCAACUCAUGCCACCACUCUUAAACACUUAAGGUUAAUCUACUAGCCGCAAACGAUACUUGCUCUUCUUUAGGAGUGCGCCAAAAUAGAAACCAGUGCUCAACCUUGUCCAACCAAUCAAGAAAUUGGUUUGGACGAGUGUAUGCAAAUAAUAUCGACACAUGAUAAAUAGGCAUGCAAGGAUAGUGGUUUACCAUUUAAGUUUCCACACAAUGGCAAAACUAUAAAUAAAGAAAAUAUUAUUCAAAAUUUAUAAAUAAGCAAAAUAUGGGUUACCAGCGACGAUGACUGGAAAAUAGGUCAAAGAUUGAUGGAUCUGGAGGAUUUGAUGGUGAGGAACACGAUAGUGGCUGGUGAUUGGCCGGAUUCGUAGCGUGUUGGCUAGAAAACCUACUUGAAAUGGCGGUUGUGGUGCUUGGAUUGUGAAGGAGCUUACGACGAUUGCUUAGACUCAAUGGCAGUUAGGACUUGACGAGCAGCCAGAGUGGAGUUUGAUGAUAGGUGUGAUCGACAGUGAGGAGGUGAAAUCGACGGUGGCGCAUGUGUGGAGAACGCGCGGGUGGGUGUUACGUGUGGUGGCUAUGAGCGACGAUUCAGGGUUGAAGCUGGUCGACUUUUGGUCAACGGUGGCCAGCGAGUUUGGUGGUGGAGGUGGCUGGCUGAUCAGCGGUGGUGGGUGGCGGCUGUGGAAGUAGAUGUGGCGACUAGGGUUUUCAAAAUUUUUUUUUUUUGGAUUUUUGGAUUUUUUUUUGCUUUUUUUUAAUAACCAAUGAUGGAUUUGGUAGGGGAUGGAUAUGGGUAGCCAAGAAAGCUGUGCAACUGGCAUAGAACCGCUCUGAUACCAAUUGAUGGAGCAGCGGAACGGAAGUGGAAUUGAUUGGAUAGAAAACACUAGAUAUCGUUCUAGUACUGGACCAAAUCAACGCGAUGGUUGAAGAUAAAAUCCAUUCCUGUGCUCGGGGUAUGUCGGACACCCUCACAAGACAACCUUUUCAAGGACAGUCUCAUGGCGGUGGCUAUCGAUUUGGAGAAAUGGAAUGAGAUUGUACGAGCUCAUGGUGCAAUUUGCGUUCUCAAGGAGAGAUUAUUUGUGCAAAGUGAUCCAUACCGAGUCCAUGGCCAUUGUUUGUUCAUUGCCAUUUCUGUAUAGCGUGUUAACAAAACUACAAAAAUUCAUUUCAGUAUCAGGAAACACUGUUUCCGAAACAGCAUUAGCUUCUGUUUUUCAAUGGGUUAUAAAAAAGUGUGACUUGGCUCAGUGGGAGAUAAAUCGUGAUAAAAUUAUGCGGUGUUCUUUGGGCCAGAGGUUUCAGCUGUGAUGCAAGAGAUUCUAAACUCUAAUUUGUUGUUGUCUGACUUCUUUUGCUCAUGGAUUUAGAUAAAACUUCUGUGCUAAGUCUUGUUCAAAGUGUAUAUAUAGAACUGAACUUGAUUCUGACUGAUUCCAUUGUUAAAAUGCAUGAGUUGUGUGGCAACCGGCUACUCUCCACUGAUGCUUUGCUGUCAUUGUACUUGUGCGUCAAAGAAGGCUUUCUUAAUAUUGUUGAGGAAAUUGUUGUCAAGCGAGGCUAAUCUGUUCACAUCUGGAAAAUAUUAUUUCAUGGUGUAUAUUUGUUAAAGUUAUUUAUUUUCUUUAUCUCUUAUAAUGGAGUAGAUUUGAUGUUGAGAAGAAAAAUAUUAGUGUUUAAUUGUGUGUUGAGUGAGUGGUUUAAAUGAGUAUUAAGAGUAAUUAAAAAUUAUAGAGUAAUGUUAAAUUGUUCAUAAAAUUAGUUUAACAAAAGACUUCUUAAUUUUUUAAUAAAAUGCAGUCUUAAAAAGUGUAUUUUAUCAAUAAUGUUGACAUUCUUGCAUUUGAGUCUUAAUUUUAUAUGUUAGUUGUUCAUUAGAUGAUAUAUUUUAUAGUUUACAAAGUUAUUAUUUUAUUAUUCAAUAAAUAAAUGACGCAUCAAUUAGGACUAAAUUGAAACGUAAAUGUUGAAUAUUACGUUUUGUUAAUGUUAAUGUUUAAUGGUCAGGUUAUAUAGAUAAAAUUUGUGUAUUUAUUUUUUAUUUAUUUUAAAAAAUUCAUUUUUUCAUGAACAAAGAAGUUAGUAAACUGAAAUUGCUUCUAUUGAACUGUGGAGUGCGGGUGCGCAUUUGCCGUAUCUAUGAUUUUUCAAAAUCUUUUAGUUUAAAAAAAAAACCUCAUACUUGAUGGGUAAUCAAGUAGAAAAAAUUAAUAAAAAAGUAAGUAGGCAUUUUAAGUGUAAUUUCAUUGAAAAUAAUAGAUAAAAUAUAUAAUUAAAUAUUUUAUUGAUAAUGAGACAAAAGUUAUUUCAUGUGAUUUUAAGAAAGAAAGCGUAAUGGACACAUGUCUAAUGUACAAAGAGUACAUGAACUGACAAAUGAGACUGUGAGAUUGUGGCUGGACAAUCUCCGGGACUUGGCUCAUGAUGCUGAGGGCAUACUGCACUAGUUCGACACUGAAGCUUUGGGGCACAAGCGAAUAGCAGAUCAAGCCAGCAGCUGUAAAUUAAAGAACCUAGUCCCUUCUUAUUUCUAACAUUUCGGUGGUUCCAACGGUUGGAAUUAUAUGCUCUUUAAAAUAUAUUAAUUUAUUUAUUUUUUUAUUAAUAAAAUAUUUGAGACAUUUUUAAUUGCAUAAAUAUUUUGAAUAAAGGUUCAUUUAAUCAUCUUAUAUGUAUUUAUAUGAUCAUCAUAUGGAUUCACAGAAAAUAUAAAUACAAGUUAUCUUAUGAUUAAAUAAAUUAAGUUCGCAGUUGAUAAAUAGAGUUGGACGCUCUAUUUAUGUUUAAACUGUAAUAAAUUCAUUGAAUGAUUUGUCUUAAUCAUGUAUGAAUUUAUUGAUGUAGUAUGACUACAUUGAACAUGAUCAUAUAUGAGAUUUAAUUAACUUUGUAAUAACUGUCAGACUUAUUAAAUCUCAUAGGCAUUAAUUUUACUGAAAUCUUAAUCUUGAGUUAGUUAUGAUUUCAUGAUUGUAAUUAUUAUUCUAUUUGAGUUACCAAUGGGCACGACACAUACUUAUAGUCAAGAUUACCCGGUAUUUUGGUAGGAGCAAUUAUAAGUAUUGGAGUUAUAGAUUAACAAUAUACAAUUUGUACAAUACAUCUCUUGAUGGGUUUUCAGCACUUGAUCAUAGAAUUCUCUGGUUAGAGUGUGUCAAUAUAUUUAGUAUAUUGAAAAUUAUCAUUAGAGAAAACCAGUAAGUAUCAAGAAAUAAGAUGUAAUUAAAUUGAUAGGAAAUUUGAGAUAUCGAUUUAAUUAACGAUGUGGUACAAAGAAUUAUGCAGUAAAGAAAUCAAUGUGGUAUGAGUCGAAUUAUUAUUCGAGUAUACUAUCCUAAAUAGCAUACAAUUAUGAAUGUCAAUUUCAAUCUUUUAGUGGAGUAGAUUUGGAAUUAAAUAAUUGAGCUAGUUUAAUUACAUACCUAAUUAUUGUAGCCACUAUUGUAUGUACCCAUAUGAUCCCCGCGUUAGCUCAUUUAAUUAACUGCGCCAUUACUGGAUUAAUAAGAAAGAUAACUAGUUAUUUUGGUUAAACGCCUAAAUAUAUUAUUUAGUGGGAGGCUUCAUAUAUAAUAUGCUUGUGUCUAAGGGGCCUUAUAUUAUUUUAUAAGGUGGGCCCCUAUGACAAGAAGAAGUAACGUUAUUUUUUGUUUUAUUAUUUUUUAAUUUAAAUCAAAUUUGAUUUAAUAGAAUUAAAAAAUAUAAAAAUAUGAAGUCCAGGGUUUCCACUAGAUAGAAAUAUAAAGGACUUAUUUUCUCUUAAAAGAAAAGAGAUGUCAUAUUAUACAGAUCAUAGAAAAAUAUUUUUUCUCUCUAAUUUUGAGAGAAAAAUUUUCUCCUACUAAUUGCUUUUAGUGGUAAUAAAGGCGCUCACACGUCAAGAGUAGAUCAAACGUGAGUCAUAACCUAAAAGAUUAUUGGUGAUAGAUAGUGAUCAAACCUACGUUGUGGUGACGGAUCGUGAUCUAACAGGCGUGGUGAUGACGGAUCGUGAUCUGGGAAGCCUGGAUUAAUUUUAAUUGUUCAUCUUCUCGUAUUGUCAAUGUAUGAUUUUCUAGAUUAAGAAUUGUUAUAUAUUGUAUGAGAUCGGUCCUAAAAGUUUUUAUAAAAAUUUAAAAAACUGAUUUUCUCCGACAUCAACAGCCUCCCUAUGCUUUCCAAUGCCCGGAGAAUUUGAAGCUCUGGCGCUUAUGCCAAGCCUUUAAAUCCCACAAACAAAUUCAGGGAGUUAGUGCAUGCCAUUCAUUUGCGGUCUUCAGAAACAGGUUGAUGUCUGGCCGUUGAUACUGAACACCUCUGCAAUUUGGAAGCAGGGAAAUUAUUUUGUUGACACAAAAGCUUCAAACCGUUGAAGCUCUACCCUACAGGAAUGUUGUACGUAUCAAAUUCCAAAAACAAAUGAUAAUUGCUGCUUCCUGUAAGGCGCCAUACCAAGAUCUGCUUUUGUAUUCAUUCAAUCAGAUCAAUCAUAUGGAUUGUCAACCUUCAAGGUUACGAUGAACUAUGAGUGAACAGAGGAGUUGGAAGAAGAAUCAUUAAGAACAGUGCAAAAACUGAGAAGCAGAUAGAGGAAGUUGGCUAUCAUUGAAGAAGAGGCAGCUUACAUUGCUUUAGUUAAUGAUGAACACUUUCAUACAAUUUCUUGUCAUUUUAGCAAUUUCUUGUCAAGUAGUGACAAAAAAUAAUAAUAUUUUGUGAUCAAGUUGGUUCAAGGAUGAGAUUUUGAUUUGAAGAUCAAGUGAGAGGGGAAAAAAAAUCAAUAAAGUAAAAAAACUACAUUGCUUUAGUUAAUGAUGAAAAGUGUCAUAUCUGCUCUUAGUUUGCAUGUUAAUAUGAUUGAAGUAUGAGAGAAACUACAUUUGUCUAAUUCUUUUUACUUUAUUGAUUUUUUCCCACUCUCACUUAAUCUUCAAAUCAAAAUCUCAUCUUUGAACCAACGAUCACAAAAUAUUAUUAUUGUUUGUUACUACUUGACAAGAAAUUAAUUGCUAAAAUGUUUAUUCAUUACGAAUAGUGUUGAACCAAGAUCAGAAAAUGACCAAUCUUGGUGCCACAAGACCUCACUAAACUCUCUGAUUAUUCACCAAGGGACAAAAUAAAUUAACAAUUGAAACAAACAAAAACAGAAUCAAAGAAAUCACAAAGAAAGAACACACACAGUAAUUAUAGAGGACUCAGGCAAAAAUGGCCAUCGUCCUGUCCAACAAGAACAAAUUACAGCGGUGAGAAAUUUUUACAAGCUACAGAAGGAACCCAACUCCAGCCUCUAUGGCUUUAUAUACAGCUCGCAAUUGAUAUGGAAAGAUCCCUCACUUACCAAGACACAUCUUUCCCGCUUCUUGCAACGGCCAUAACGCCUUUUGAUUCAGCUAAUGCACGUGCAACGCACGUGUAUUAACUAUAUUCUCCAAAAACGGCGAUAAAUCAUGUCGUUUAAGAUUCUAUGGCUGGUGAUUGCACGUGCCUCGCAGGUGAUCAGUCACUUAUCACACACAGCUGACAUAUGAUCGUUGUCGUAUGCAUCAUGUAUAAGACAACCGACAUGGCAUCCAGAAACGACGGUACAUCGACUCUUAUUUUCAUCAACAGGCUUUUUGUCUUCUCUUUUUUUUUGAAAAAUUUACAAAAAUAACCAUAAUAUUUUUACAUUUUUAAAUUUAAACCUUCAAACUUUUUUCUAUCAUAAUUAGCUAAAUGCUAAACUUUUGGACUAAAUUGUCCUCGCCACUUUCAUUAAAUUUUCAAAUAAUGCCACUCUUACAAUACUCAACACCCUCAACAAACCUUAACACUCUCAACACCCUCAACAAACCUCAAUACUCUCAACAUUCGCAACACUCUUAGCAUAACAAAAGUAUAAAAUCAUCAAUUAGAGAGUAUUCUGAAGGUUAUUCCAUGUUCUUACAGUAUUCUAAAGGUUAUUCCAUGUUCUUACACAAAUAUAAAUUUUUAAUGUAUUAAGUCUAUGGUUUAAGUUCAAAAUUGAUGUAGAUUUUGUUGUAAAUGUUGUUAUUUUUAUUUAUAAAGUACUGUAAUUUGUUAAAGUAGUUAGAUUUGAGUUGAGAAAUCCAAAAAAUCGUUGAAAACAGUAGAAAUUCGAGUUAGAAAUAAAACCUAGAUUAUGUGCAACAUGUUGAAUUAUGUGCGACAGGCUGGAUGACAGGUGCCUAUCGCACAUAAAUACCACUGUAUUUUUGUGCGACAAGCACCUGUCGCACAUAAUUCAGCAUGUCGAACAAAAUUACAGUAUGUGCGACGGUACUUUUUGGAAGUCAUAACUUAAGCUAUAUUUGUCCAUUUUUUUGCAUAUAAUCUAUCGUUUCGAAUCAAACCCAUAACUUUUUUGUUGGUCUCCCCCAUGAUCAAACAAAAAAUUUGCGUAAAAAACGGAGAAUAUUUGUGAAAUGCAACUUUUUGUGCAAUAGGUGCUCGUCACACUUAAAUUGAUGCAAAUUUUUAGUUUGAUCAUGGGGGAGACCAGCGAGAAAGUUAUGAGUUUGAUUCGUCUCAUUGUAAGCUUCGAAACGGUAUAUUAUACGCAAAAAACGGACACAUAUAGCUUAAGUUAUAACUUCCAAAAAGUACCAUCGCACAUACUGUAAUUUUGUACGACAUGCUGAAUUAUGUGCGACAGGCACCUAUUGCACAUAAUUCAACCUGUCGCACAUAAUUUGGGUUUCGUUUCUAACUCGAAUUUCUACUGUUUUUAAUGAUUUUUUUUUAUUUCUCAACUCAAAUCUAACUACUUUAACAAAUUACAGUACUUUAUAAAUGAAAAAUAACAACAUUUACAACAAAAUCUACAUCAAUUUUGAACUUAAACUAUAGACUUAAUACAUUAAAAAUUUAUAUUUGUGUAAGAACAUGGAAUAACCUUUAGAAUACUGUAAGAACAUGGAAUAACCUUUAGAAUACUCUCCAAUUGAUGAUUUUAUACUUUUGUUAUGCUAAGAGUGUUGAGCAUGUUGAGAUUUAUUGAGAAUGUUGAGAGUAUUGAGGUUUAUGGAGGGUGUUGAGAGAGUUAAGAUUUGUUGAGAGUGUUGAAUAUUGUAAGAGUGGCAUUGUUUGAAAAUUCGAUGAAAGUGGCGAGGGUAAUUUGGUCCAAAAAUUUAACAUUUGGUUAGUUAUGAUUGAAAAAAGUUUGAGGGGUUAAAUUUAAAAAACGUAAAAAUAUUAUAACUAUUUUUAUAAAUUUCCUUUUUUUUUUCUUUAACUAACAAUUAAUAAUACUAGCAUUGACAAGUGACAACCAUAAGGAGUUAAUUGUCAACAAAAUUUAUUGAGUGCAGAUAUUUUGUUGUACCAUACUUGGCAAAAUUCAACACACUCUAGUAAAUGCUGAAAACGGAACUAUUGCAGAGCGCCGGUGGGGUUCACCCGGCUGGAAAAUUAACAAAUUUCCUCCAUUAUUGUAGCCUAAAGACUUUUGAAGACUAGAGACUUAUUCCGAAAUUUCAGCAUCCAUUUUGAUUGAGUAAAAACCAUCUUUCUCGGACGAUUUCGAAGCGAUGGCAGUUGAAGAGCUCUUACUGUCUGCUUUCUUUCAAGUGUUGUUCGACAGAUUGGCUUCUCGUGAUUUGCUCACCUAUGUCGGUCAACUUCGAGGCGGGCUAGAUUCCGAGCUCAAAAAGUGGGAAAAAACUUUGAUAAUGAUACAGGCUGUGCUCAGUGAUGCAGAGGAGAAGCAACUGACGGACAGGGCUGUGAAGAUCUGGCUCGAUGAUCUCCGAGACUUGGCUUAUGACGCAGAGGACAUUCUUGAUGAGUUUGCUACUGAAGCUUUGAAGCAGAAGACGAUGGCAGAAAAUUCGAACCACAGUCCUGCUUGUUUCAACUGUUUUAGUCCAAGUUCUGUCAAGUUUAAUAUCGACAUGGAUUCUAAGAUUAAAAGUAUCACUAGCAGGUUGGAUGAACUAUGUGCUAAAAGAUUUGUACUUGGAUUGCAAUUGAUUCCUGGAGGGAUAUCAAAUGCCUGGAAGCGAAGACCGCCGAGUUCAAGUGUGCCAACGGAACGGGCUGUCUACGGCAGAGAUGAGGAUAAGGCCAGAAUACUUGAAAUGGUGUUAAGUGAUGAUCCAACCGCUGACGCCAACUUUUGUGUAAUACCAAUUGUCGGCAUGGCAGGGGCUGGAAAAACAACGCUUGCUCGGGAGGUCUACAACGACAGGGCUGUGCAAAAUUUCAAGUUUGAUGUGAAAGCAUGGGUUUGUGUUUCUGAUGAUUUUGAUGUUCUUAGCAUUUCGAGGGCUCUUCUCGAGUCAAUCACCUCCACAACUUGUGAUCUCAAGAUGUUGAAUGAGGUGCAGGUUAAAUUGAAAAUUGCUGUGGAUGGAAAAAGGUUCUUGCUAGUAUUGGAUGACGUUUGGAAUGAGAACUAUAACUUGUGGGAAAUCCUCAAAGCUCCCUUCAUGGCUGGUGCACCAAAUAGCAAAAUCAUUGUCACUACACGCCAUUCAAAUGUUGCGUCAACGAUGGGAUCCAUUGAACACUAUAAUCUUAAGCUUCUGUCAGAUGAAGAUUGCUGGUCUGUUUUUGCGAAGCAUGCGUUUGAGAGUAGAGAUGCCGGUGCUCAUCAAUUUUCAGAAUUAUUUGGUAAGAAAAUUGUUGCAAAGUGCGGAGGCUUACCUUUAGCAGCAAGCACUCUUGGCGGCCUUUUACGCGCUAGACAUACAGAAGAUGCGUGGGAGGAUAUAUUGAGCAGCAAAAUGUGGGAUUUGCCUCAAGAAACUGACAUUCUCCCCGUGUUAAGGUUGAGCUACCAUUAUCUUCCUUCUUGUUUGAAGAGAUGCUUCACUUAUUGUGCGAUUUUUCCCAAAGAUUAUGAGUUCGAGAAGAAUGAACUUGUUUUUCUGUGGGUGGCUGAGGGUAUGAUUCAACAAUCAAUGACAGAUAAACGAUUGGAAGAUUUGGGCAAUGAGUUGUUUUGUGACCUCUUGUCUAGAUCACUUUUCCAACAAUCAAGCAGAGAUGGUUGUAAAUUUGUGAUGCACGAUCUACUUCAUGAUUUAGCUCAAUUUGUUUCUGGAGAAACAGGUUUCUGGUUGGAAGAGGCAAAUAAGAAGUUAAGAACAUUCGAAAGGAUUCGUCAUUUUUCUUAUCCUCGUGCUUAUCAAGAUGGAAAAAACAAAUUUGAGGGUUUGAAUAAAGCCACAAGUCUGCGGACGUUUUUGCCUCUGAAAGUAAGAGUUUUUUCAUCUUGUUAUUAUAUAACCAACACGGUUCUUCUUGACUUGCUGCCAAAGCUCAAAAAGUUGAGGGUGCUAUCUUUAGAAGGAUACUGCAUUGCUCAUUUACCUAAUUCUAUCAAAGAUUUGAAGCUUCUAAGGUACCUCAAUCUUUCUGGUACAAUGAUCAAAAGUUUACCUGAGUCAAUAAGUUCACUGUUCAACUUGCGGUUUUUGAUGUUAAGAGACUGUGAUCGUCUACAGAAGUUGCCUUCCAACAUGAGAAAUUUGAUUAAUUUGCAUCAUCUAGAUUUAAAGGGCGCACAUUUAUUAACAGGGAUGCCAUCGGGAAUGAAUAGGUUGAAAUUUCUGCAGACGUUGUCUGAUUUUAUUGUGGGCAGGGGUAUCGGAUCUGGUUUGAAGGAUUUGAAGAAUUUAUCUUUCCUUUGUGGAAAACUUUGUAUUUCGAGAUUAGAAAAUGCGAAUGAUUCAUGGGAUGCAAGAGAAGCUUCAUUGUGUGAUAAGAAGGGUCUGGAAGAAUUGUCAUUAGGAUGGGGCUGUCCAUUUCACUCAAGAAAUGAGGUAGCAGAAGAAAAGGUACUUGACAUGCUGCAACCACAUACAAACAUAAAGAAGCUUGAAAUCACACGAUAUAGUGGCAGAAAAUUUCCAAUAUGGUUAGGGGACCCAUCAUUCUCUAACAUGGUUGCUUUAAAAUUGAUAGGAUGUAAAAAUUGCACAUCCUUACCUGCUGUGGGGCAGUUGGUUUCCCUGAAAGAGCUUACAAUUGAAAGAAUGCUUGUACUCAGAAGUAUAGGGUCUGAAUUCUGUGGAAAGAAUUGCUCAAAGCCUUUUCAAUCCUUAGAGACUCUUUGCUUCAGUGGUUUGCCAGAAUGGGAGAUCUGGGAUACCGGCAACCAGACUGGGUAUAUUGAAAUAUUCCCUCGCCUCGUUGAACUGUCCAUUUCUGGAUGCCCCAAACUAUCUGGAAAAUUACCCGACCAUCUUCCUGCAUUAGAGGCCCUUGUUGUCAGCUAUUGCGAAGAGCUGGUAGUUUCAUUCUCAAGCUUUCCUUUGCUCUGCAAAUUGGAAAUUUAUAGAUGCAAAGGACUGGUUUGCAGCUCUCCGAUUGACUCUAAGUUGAUAAAGCGUUUGACUAUUUCAAGCUGUUCUUUAGACAUAUAUGGAUGCAAAGGGAUGGUAUACAAUAGUCCACUUCACUCUAAAUCACUGUCGACGCCUGUGAAUAUUUCAAAUAUUUUAGAGUUUGGAAAAUUGUUAAAGCAAGGAUUUCUACCAGCAGAGUUUCUGGGGAUUGGCGAUUCUCAAGAUAUUCGGUCAUGGAGGCCCCAGUUUUUUCAGGGUAUGCAAUUUAGGGAGAAGGCAGCACAAGGGCUAUGGAUUAUCAUCGCCCCUGAAGAGGUAUCAACUGAAGAAAAUUGCAUGAGUCUGGUUUCAUUUCCAGAGGUAAAAUUUUUCCCGAUCAAUCGGCUUAAUCUUAAAAUUGAAAAUAGUGGAGCUUUAAAAUCCUCACUUGAGGGAAUGAUAUACAACUGUGCACAGCUGAAAAGUUUGGCCGUUGAAGGUUGUGAUUCUCUAGAAUACAUUGCAAGAGGCAAGCUGCCUUCGUCUUUAGAAUGGGUUCAAAUACUUGAUUGUAUGAAAUUGCAGUGUUUGAUAGUUGAUGAAGAGGAUGCUUCUGCUGCUUCUUCCUCAUUAUCCUCUUCAUCAAUGGCUCUCAAGUGGCUUGUAAUUAGCGGCUGCUCGGAGCUCACCCAUUUAUCAUCAAGAAGUAGACAAUUGCCAGAAGAGCUUGAAUAUCUCAACAUUGAGGACUGUCCAAAAUUAGAGUCAAUAGCCGAGAGCUUUCAUGGUAACGGACGAGUGAAAAUGAUUUUCAUCUCUAAUUGUGGAAACCUGAAAUCCAUACCGAAGGGCCAACAGAAUCUUAACUGUCUUAAGGAAAUCAAAAUCUUGAACUGUCCAAGUCUUGUUUCUUUUCCAGAAGGAGGGCUUCCCAGCACUGUUACAAAUGUUUCUAUUGGCAGUUGUGACAAGCUGAAAGCCCUACCCGAAGACAUGCACAAGCUCCAUUUCCUGCAAGAGUUAGAAAUCACGGAAUGUCCAAGUAUUGAAUCAUUUCCUGAAGCAGGCUUUCCUACCAACCUAACAUUACUUGUAAUUGCUGAUACCAAAAUGUACAAGGCAAUUAUCCAAUGGGGGUUGCACAGGCUUACAUCUCUUCUACGCCUUUACAUACAUGGAGGUGAUAAUGCUGAGUCUUUUCCAGAUGAGAGGAUGGGAAUAAUAUUGCCAACCUCUUUAAAUAGACUGGGUAUUUCUGGAUUCCCAAGUCUGAAAUGCCUAUCUGCAAUGGGUUUUCAAAGCCUGGUCUCUCUUGAAUUUCUGAGAAUAUCCAAUUGCCCGAAGCUCAAAUCCUUUCCAGCGGUAGGUCUGCCACACUCACUUUUGCAGCUGCACAUUCGAGAUUGUCCUUUGCUGAAAAAGCAGUGCAAAAGGGACAAAGGAAAAGAUUGGUCCAAGAUUGCUCACAUCCCUUAUGUUAUGAUAGAUGACAAAUUCAUCUUCGAUUAAAAAGAGAAAGAAUGAGCUCUGUUUAAUCUCCGAAUGAAGAAUUAAAGAAUUGCCUCCUUUGUUCCCUUAUCUUCUAUAAUCAGGUAUGCCAAUUCCUAUUAUCCGGGUUACUAAAAACACAUUGUUAAAUUAUAAACAUAUUUUGAUUUUCAAUUUCAAGAUCAAUCCUCUGCCUUCAACUGAAAAUGGCGCUAAAAUAUUUCAUUUUUACUUUUCUCAGACACUAUGAUACGGCAAUCUGACUUGAUGAUGCUGAAGUUUAAUGCACAAAUGGUUGGUAAGUACCUGAAAAUUUCAAGUUAUUUUAAUACUGUUUCCAUUUUCACUCAUCAGAAUUUUUUACGUAUUUUAUGCAAUCGUACUUGUCAAAUGAAGUUUUCAUUUUAUGAUGGUCUUGAUGCCAACGACAUUUCCAACUCUUUUAAGUUUUUUGAACUCUUGCGAGUGAAAGUCAAUGAGAAGAAGUUUAUGUCCUUUUCCAACGAUCAAUUCAAUUUGCUUCUAAGGAUAUAACAUUAGUCUUAACUUAUUUCAAGUAGCAGACAUGAUUCUAUCUUUCUUCUGUUGUUUUUUCGGAGGCCAAGGUUGCUCACAUUCCUUGAGUUGACAUAGAAGGAAGCAUAAGGGAAGCUCUGAGACAAUCCACAUCAAAAUGUUCACCCACUCUUUCACAGUUUGGAAUGUACUACACUGCCUUCAAAAUGGACUUUUCGAAUCAAAAGGCAGAAAGGUAAUCAAUCAUACAGGGUUAAAAAGUCGGUUAAAAGUUAGUUUAAAAGCUUCUUAUUUUGUACAUGGAUCAUGGCAACAUUUGUUUCACGCUGAUGGGCUUGAGAAAUUGAUUUGCACAUGGAUCAUGGCAACAUUUGUUUAAUUUGGAUAUUAUUUGUUUUUAUACUGGCUUUUAGUUUAUUUUAGGUUCUCUGAGCAAAAUUUUAUCCUAAUGCGAUUACUUGGAACACCAGUGUGUGUUUAAAAUGAAAUUGGGUCAUCUUAUCGCAGUUCUACGACCAAUCCAAAAAAAAUCCCCAACAAGAAAAUCAAGGAAAUCAGAUCAAUUAGUGCAAGACUUGGCUUUGAGAAUAGAAGAAAACGAAACAUAAUCUUAUAUAUGGUGUCCAAAUUAAAGAAAAUUUGAGGACCAGUUCGGGAAAUCCCUAAUCAAAUUUUAGGAAGCCGGAUAACUUGCAGCCAGAAACCAAGUGAAUAAUAGAAUAAUUUGAGUAUGUAUUGUUAUGUCUAUAAUAGUAAUUUAAAUUUUGAACAAUUUUGUAAUAAAAGAAUUUUUUUUUUUUACAGGUGGAUCUAAUGUGUGUUUUGGCAGAUUAAAAUAACCGCACCAUUUUUUACAAUCACAUAAUGAGAAAAAUUACCAAAAUCCCCUUUAUUUUCUUAGAGAUUAAUCGUUUUAGAAAUUCACUAAAUUUUUUUACAUUAAUUUUUAUAUUAAUUAUAUUUUAUUGAAGUAUCAAAUUAUUGCUAUAACAUGCGAAAUCUUUUAAUGAGUUUUAAACAUAAAGUAAAAAUGUUAAAUUUUAGCUAAUAAGAGUAGCAAUCGACAAUUCAUGGUGUAAAAAUAGCUGUAUCUACCAUUUAUAUAAAAUAGAAAAAUAGGAACCAAGAAUAUUUAAAGUACACAAUUUUUAUUUCCACUUACUUGCAUUUUUUACAUUCCUUUUUUUUCUUCAUUUUAGUUGGGGUGUUAGAUAAAUCCGUAUGGAUAUAUACUUAUUACAGUCAUUGUAGCGAUCCACAACAUUCUUCCACCACAUUAAACAAGUGAGAGAGUAACUAAGAAAAAACCCAAAAAUCCACUUUUCAUUUUAUUAAGUUGAAUUUCUUGCACAGUCUUACUUCAUUAUUCAAAAUUUUUAACUUCCUCCAAUAUUUUAAUGUUAUUCUAUAUUUAAAUAUAUAUUUCUAGUGGAUAUAAAAGGUUCUGAAAGAUGAUACAAUGAAUAUGCCUUUUGAAGAAAAAAAUGGCAAAAAAGAAAUUAUAUGUAACAUAUGUGAAUUUAAAAUAAAAUGAGGCGGUUAAGGAUUUUGGCGGUUAAGGAGUUUAUUAAUAAACAAAAGAAGAAGCUGGAAAAAACAGAGCAAAAACAGAAGCCACACGUGUGUGAGAGAGUGAGAGAGAGAAGCUAUCAACAGACUCGACAACCCGACCCGGAACCCGCGACCUUGACCCGACUAUAUCUCCCAUUUCCAGCCACCGUUUCGGCCGAGCUUGGGAGUUGUAAAUUAGGGAUAGAUGUUAAUGAUCUACGGACUCAAGGGCAUUUUAGUAAUUUUAUGGACACGGGAGUUGUAAAUUAGGGAUAGAUGUUCGUUUCGAGUUUAUUGCAUAAAUUUAGUCAUAAUUCCGAUUUACGGAAAAUUAUUAUGUCGUUUCCUUGAUUUAGGAGGAUCCGCGAGCGAGAACCGGUCCGCGGAUGUGGAUGAUAACCGACCGUGAACACCGUCACUGUGAGUGGAAUAUACAAAACCUAUUUUCAUAGUUAAUUUUGAUAGUAAAGCAUGUUUGCGAAAUAAGUAUUUUAAAUGUUCUGAUUUAAUGAUUUCUCGAAAUGGAUUUUAUUCACGCAUUGAUAUUAUAUUAAAAUGUUUGGUUAUUGAUUUUGCGUAUCGACUUUGAAUAAAGCAUGAUAGUAUUUUAAAGAUAAGAAAAGUGGAUUCAAAUGUGGUAUAAUUUAAAAUAUGAUUAAGAGGUAUGUGAAUAUAAUGAUUGUUUUUGAAAUCAUUAGACAGUACCCUUCCCUCCAGAUACAGUGAUACAUAUGAGAUGAGAUGAGAGGCCUUUGGGGCCCGUCUGAACACACAUAGAGGCUUUGGGCCGUGUGUUUGGGCGCUUUUGCCUUUUGGGGGCAUAUGCAUGCGGUAUGAUGAUUACAGAGAUACAGAUAUGAGAUACACACAGAUAUUGAGAUACAUAUGAUACAGAUGAGAUACAGGCCUUUGGGGCCCGUCUGAGUACACACAGAGGCUUUGGGCCGUGUGCUUGGGUUUUUGUCCUUUAGGGACUAGAUUAUGCAUGCACAGAUAUGAUGAGAUAUGAGAUGGUAUUUCCAUGUCUAUCUGUGUAGCUCCGGGGCGUGGCGGUACCCAAAUAGUACGUCAUUGCCUGUCCGUUGAGGUCCGGAUACGACGAGAUUAUUUCCCUGGGUACUUGUUUGGUGAUGAUUUUCAGAUUUGUGUAUUCUAUAUGAUAUUGUGAUAUGAUUUGCAUGGUUAGUAAUCUGGUUUAAAUGUUAAAUGAUUUAUUACUGGUUUCUUGCUUAUGGUUUAAUGAAAUCGUGUUUGGAAAUAAUAUGAUUAUUUCUUUUUAAAGUAAGAAUUAAUUUUCAAAACUACUAUCCACUCACUGAUCUCACUGAGUUUUAAACUCACCCUGUUUUUAUUAUAUUUUUCCCCCACACCAGGAGGUUGCAGGUACACCAGAUCGACCCAGCGACUGUAAAUAUAUUUUGAGUCUUGGCCAAUGAUGGUGUUAGAAGAUAUAAAUGGUUUUGUUAGGACAUCUUGGUUAUUUCGUCCUGUUGGGAUUGUAUAAUUUUUGUUAUAUUAUUCUUUUGGGAUUAAGAAUAAACUGAGAUAUUAAUAUUAGUUAUAAUAUUAUCUUUUGAGACUCUGGAGAUAUAAAACUCAGCAUUUUAGUUGAGGAUGUUGAUCACUGGAGUUUGUUAUAUAUUGAAUUGUAUUGAGAGUGUUAUAUUCAUAUUUGUAGAUUGGGAGUGAUAUAUAUAUAAAGGAGACUGUGCCGAAUUUUCGGCAGAAUCUUUACUAAUAGAAUUUUUAUCAAGUCCGGUUUGAUGAGACUAGAUAGACUCGUCUGGGGGGGAUUCGGGGCGGGUCGUUUCAUUAUACAAAAAUUUAGGAAACAAAAUUUUUUUUAGGUGUUUCAUGCAUCUAAAUGUGUUAUAAAUGUAAAACAAUAAAUUGAAAGGAUCUUUCACAAAUCUUUUGAUUUGAGAAGAUGAAAAUCUAUAACUAACACUUGAAUAAAUCAGGUUUAAGAAAACAAAAAAAAAAACUAUUUUUCCUAGUGUAUAUAUAUAGCUUAAAAUUAUAAUCUUUUUUAUUUUCACCAAUUAGCUUUAAAAUUUAAAAAUCUUUUUUUAUUAAAAAGAAAAUAGUUUGAAUAGAGAGUGGAAUUGGGGACUUCUAGGUUUGAAGUUUUUGGGAGUGAUGAAGAACUAAGAGCUGAAUAGCAUUGGGUGCAAACAAUUGGCGUGGCUUUGGCUUUUUAUAGGACUUCAUUGUUCACGUUACUUAUUCGACACAUGGCUUCUCAUGGGUGGAAUUUGUUUUACAACUGACUUCACAAUUCACAUGUAGCUUUAACAACUUGGGACACAUGGCUUUGACGUGGGUUGAGUUUGUUGUAAUGGCUUCUCGUGGGUGGAGUUUUUUCUGUGAUUUGCGAUUGACGAAUUGGUAAAGGCAAACGAUUUGGACUAAUUACGUCCGAACUACACAUGGGAACUUUAAGAGUGAAAUCUUGUUGCAGAUUGACGUGGUCAAGGUUACUAGGAGUGGUCUUAAGUUCAGAUUGACAUAACGGUAAUAGACGAGGAAGAGGAAGAGACGAGGUUCAACUCGCAGAUGUAGCUUGAUGACGGAGCAGCUGGCGGAUUUUUAUUUCUUAUUACUCCCUCAAGUUUAAUUAGUUUCACAAAUUCGUUUUUACGUUUGAUCUUGGCACAUGUUUCAUUUUAACUAAAUAGAGAACCAGAAAAGAGCAGAUAACUAGAGCUGAGAGAUCUAUAUGUACAAUUUAAAACUCGUUAAAAUAAAUGAUUUCAAUACAAAAAAAAUAAGGUUAAAGAGAUUACAUUUACAAUUGAUAGUUUGCGAAAGGACCAACUAAAAAGUAAACAAUAAAAAGACUUAACUUUCUAUACUGACUCAAUAAUGAUAAAGUGUCGAUAAAAAUUGACAAAACUAUAUUGUACCUUGGGGUUAUUCAUAUCGUAUGUAGUGUGCUAAUAAAUUAAGGAAAUUAAUGCUCCUGUGAAACCAAAAAAUAAUGUUCAAAAUCAUUCUCCAAAUUCAAUGUUAAAUUAACAACUUUUAGUAAGUUUACUUCUUCGAUUAUUUUUUUCUUUAAAUUUUUUAUGAAUAAACAUUUUUUUUAUCAUUUAGGAGAACCGACUAUCUUUAUUUUAAAGAAUAAGAAUGUCUGCCCAAAAAAUGAAACUCAAACCCAAAGGUAAACCACAUUUGCCAACUGCCAUUAAGAAAAAGGCGGUAGCAGAACAAUAUCAGCCAAAUCAUCAAAUUAAUUAUUAAUUGGUUUACAAUAAGAGGGUGAUGUUUCAUCUUACAGAAGCAAGGGGCAAAGCCAAUCCACCACUAGACUGGCAAAUCAAACGAAUACACAACCCUGCAACCACAGAAAAAAUCUUAAAAAUAGAGCAAACAUAAGAAAAGAUUUACAUUCAUUCAACUUUCAACCUAAUGAUAUGUUAUAUGUAGCCCUCCAAUCUCCUUUUCUUUCGGCUUUGUAAAUUCUUUUUAGCCAAAAAUAUACUUGGAUCUGUCGGAUCUGAUGACACGAACACUUUUUAAGUGUUCAUCUGUCUGCUUAGUGGGAUGACGAUUCAAGGCCGUCGAUACUUUCGGAAACAAAGACAACCUUGAAGCUGAUCACCCGGGAUCACACCCCCACCUUUCGAUGUGUCAAGGGCCUCCCACAUUGAAACUCCUUAAUCCAUCUCAGGCCGCUUAUCAGGGUUAGCAUCCCAGCAUCUCUUCAUUACAUUUGCUUGAGAACUUGGGCAGCGUCUUGGUAUCUCCGGUGUCUCAGAUUCUGUUUCAAAAUGAAUGUAGACAGAAAUAAGAAAUGGGUUGCAUUUUGAGGUACCAAUUUUUUUUUUUUCCCCUUUUUUGAGGACCUGUUGAAAAUGGUCGAUUCUUAGAGAAAGAUAAUAUUUGGGCUUGAAGCAGAUACUGUACCCGGCGAACCACGGCUAAGGUGACUUCUGAGAAACUAAGGUCGGGAUAUGGCAUAUCACAGCAAUAUAUCUCCCAUACGCAGAUGCCAGAACUUUACACAUCACAUUUCCUUGCCAUUCAGAACCAAAAACCAAGCCACUUGAUUCACUCAACUCAGAUUAAUACUGUAUCAUUAGCUAAAACAUUAGUAUUUCCACCAAACAAAAGAAAAAAAAAAGCUCAUAGUAACACGGACAUUCCAAAGCCAACACUUCCCAUCAUCACAUCAAAUGAAGCAGAAAUUAACGGGAGAUGGUGCAAUUAAGAUUUUAUAGGAAAUGACCUUAUAUGUAUGACUGAUCUUCCAGACCUAUACCCCACUACAUUUUCCUUGAAACACAUAAAGAAAAACUAACAGCCAUGAAUUAUCUUUUUCUAGUAAAAGAAACUGACCUCAAAAUCACACUACAUAUAUGCAAGUAGAAAAGAAACAGAAAUAAAGUCUAUACCUCCGGAGCCAUGACACCAAGCGUCUCCCCCCUCUCCCCCCCCCCCCCAGUCAGGUCAUUAGGAUUUGGGGCUUCAACACCGGCAACUACAAGAUCAGCAAUUUUUACAGUGGGAGUCUUGUUCAAUAAUAGCAUGUUCUCUGUUUUCACAUCUCUGUGGACAAUCUUCUGUGAAUGAAGGUUACUCAAUCUACAAAAUAUAACUGCUGAGCUGAACAAGAUUUCGAGUCACAGGCCAUCCUAUAGAGCCAUAGGGUAACAUAUGGUAGAAAAAUUACAAUUACUAAUGGGGUAGAUAUAGGUACCCUCCGUCGAGAUCAAGUGCUAGCUGGACAACCACUUUGAAAGCUAGUUUCCUUCUCCUGUGGUAAGUUUCAUUUCCUUUUAGAUUUUACCACGUGUUCAGCUUAAUUUCUUCAAAUUACUCUGAUUUAAGACCAAAUUAGACUUUCGAAUAAGGGCUUAAGCAAUAUAUAUAAUGCAGAUGACCUAGGAAAUGGGCAAGGAUACUUGGUAAUAUGAAGGGACAAUUUGGAUGUGUUCGCAAAAAUGAAAAGACAGUAACCCCUGAAAUAUUGGAUGCGAUUGAUGACUUGACGGUCAAUCUAACGUUUUUUUUUUUCUCUCUAAAUUUUUUAAAGCACUAAAUGCUCUCAGAUCCAUUUGCCAUCUAUAUUGAGUAUAUUCUAAUUAUAAUUCUAUCAUUGUUUGUCCUUUGAAAGUAAAUACUUACAAAACUGUAUUUAAUACUCUAUUUUAAACCCACCACCAAAAAUAUAAAAUAAAAUCAAAAUGUAUCUAUUAAAUUAAAUAAUUUGCACACACUACGGCUCUCAAUAGUCUGUCUACUUAUAAACUAAAGUUAUUUAUUAAUCAUGGUUAAUAUGAGAUGUAUGUAACAGAAAAACAACAAAUAGCUGGCUUGCUUUGCUCCAGAAAAAUCAUCGAGAUUUCGGUUAGGCAAACUGAGCAGUCCAAUUUUGGUACAAUAAUUUGUCUAACAAUUUUUAGUUUAGCAUUAAAUCAUAAUAUCGUUUUUUAUUAGCAUUAAUUUAAUUUCUUUUAAUUAAUGAUUAUGUUAUACGUAUAGUGUUACUCUCAUCAUCGUUUAACUUUUUUAAUCCACUACUGAUUAAUGCUUCAACAUAUUAUAAUUCAGAGAGAAUGACAAUUCCAUACCUCCUUUCUUUUUUUCCCUUCUUUUUUUUUUUUUUUGGCAUCACUUAGGUUUCUUGUAGAUUUUUAGUACCACAUUUUAUCAAUGACUAAAAAUGUUAAUUGAAAAAUUAUGCGGUUGACGGUAAAAUAUAGUUGGUUUAUUGAUACACAAACUAAUGCAUAAAAACGGGAGGUUGCUAUGUUACAGCAUCUGUAACAUACACACCCAAAGCAAAUAGCACACGUGUCCCGACUUACAGAGAAAAAGCAACGCAAAGCAAGGUUGGGGGGUUGCUGAAGCAGCAUCUGUAAGUUACAGAUGCUGUGACUUAGUCAGCUCCCAUAAAAACGUAUUAACAUUGGUCCAGUUAAUGAGGUCCUUUCAUGCCGGCGCAACAUGAUCGUGCAAAUAUGAAAUUUUCACUGAACAUUGGUGAGCCAUGGUCCAAAACAAUAACCGGACCAGUUAAUGAGGCUGGCUUAGUAUCUAUAAACAAGGACUAGCCCCAGUAUCAGUCAAUCAAGGCUUCGGCAGUUGGCAUCCCAAACCCAAUCAAGUGCUCUAUCCUAAAACUAAGAGUGGACCUUCUAACACCCCUUCAAAAUUCUUAUGAAACCUUUUUUUCCCAAUUAUUAUUAUUCUUAUUUUAAUACCAACAUACCCUUUUCCUAUUAAAUUCCAUUUACAAUUAUUUUAGUUUAUUCCAAUUUAAUUAUUUUAAGGCCUUAUUUGGUAAUGAGCUACUGUAAUUUUUACAGCUACUAUGAAAAAAAACUGUAACUAUAAAAUAAAAGUUAAUAAUAUACAAUAAAUAUAAUUUUUAAAUAAUGAUUUUGACGAAAUUAAUAAAGAUAUACUAAGUUUUUUAUCAUACAAGUAUAAAAUCAAAUCAACUUAGUUUUUUAGCUAUAAUAGUUAGUAUUUAUUAAAUAUUUUAGUACGGUAAAAAUUACAGCUCCCCAACAUCAAUUCCAAAUAAAUACUUAAAUUAGAUAGAGGCGAUGAGUUUGCAAAACUAUGUAAACUUAAGCGGAGCUUCUUGAUGGUUCCUCCAAUCGCGGUCAUGAUAGCAAAUGUUGAACUUGGAAAAACAUAAGCUGCCGAACUCAAUAAGCAUUUGGAAUAGAUAGUACAUCAUGUAGUUUUAAGACCAGUUUUUUUUUUUUAACUUUUCUUACCGGGUGAAACAAAACCCAUGCCUUACUUUUGGUCUUUUGGAUAGAUGAGUCAAAAAAAAAAAAAAAGCACUCGUUGAUUUUUCAGAUUUAGAGAGAGAGGAGCGAUCGAAGAGUUUGUAGAGAAAAUAAGAAUACCCUAGGUGUGAAACGUGUAGAUGAGUUUGUUCUUCAAUAGCAGGGUAUUAAUAGCUGUAUUGUAAGGCAAAUAGAUUUUCCCUUAAGCCCAUUGAAACUCGGCCUAUAUCUAAGGAAUAAGUAGACUUUAAUUCUCAAGCUGAUUUGGGGGACACUGGGCCAGGCUGGCUUCGUUUUGUUUUUUGUUUUCUCUCGCAAAUAAAAUUACCAAUUUAAGAGCAUCUCCAAAAGAUUUUUUAGAUUUUAUUCUUUAAAUAUCAAUUUACUUAAUGAUGUGAUAAAUAAGUGGAUAGAAAAAUACAAUCUCUUCUAAAAGACUCAUUAAAUAAGAAUAAGUUAACAUUAUUUUAAUCAAAUCUUUCCACUAUUAAAUUGAAUUGAUGUUAUGUUUUUGAAAGGAAACAUAAAUGAUAAUUAUUGCAGUCUUAUCUUUUCAAUAAAUAAUAAAAAAAUAUUAACAGAAGAGAGAAAAACUCACUCGGCAAUAUUAAAGAGUGAGAAACGAAUCUUAUUUGAAGAAUCUAAAUUAACGUGUCUUUUGAAGUGUUUAAUAUUGAUAUGACUCUUCAAAUAAGAUAUAGAAUUUUAUUUGAAGAGUCUUUUGGAGAUGUUCUAAAGUAAGGCUUUGGCUACCUUAGAGCUGUUCUAAAGUAAAGUAAGAAUCACAGCCACAUAUACAAAAUGAUAAAUAUUAAAAAAAUUAUUAUAACUUUAAUCAUAUGGUUAUAAAAAGUUGUUCUACCUUAAAGCAAUUCCAAUAUAAUUGAACUCAAUCCCAAUUAGUUAUAAACGUAAAGUUUCACUAAUGCGGUGUGUGUUUUCAUGUGUCAAAAUUAUAAUUAUUGAUUUACUUCUACAUAUGUAACGCACUACGAGCGUAAACUAUCGAAAUCGUACCAUUAUUAUAAAUCUGUUCUAAUCUAUGAGGCUUUUAAUUGAAAAUAUAAUAGAUUAUAUUGUAAUUCAAAAUAAAAACGUAUAAAUGUCAAAUAAUAAGUUAACAUACGAGUGCAGUCUCACACAAAUUUUUCUCGGUGCACGCAUUGCCAACUUGGAAAAUCUACUCAACUAAUACUUCCUUCUCUUUACUGUUGCAUUGACUUUAGAAAGUUAAUUUUAGGGGUCUUGUUACAAUGCACCAGCUGCACCAUCUAACAAGUUUUACAUUGUCCUUAACCAAUUAUUCAUUCAUAAUCGCUGAUUCACUAUAUUAUUUUUAUGCAUAACAUGUUUUUGUAAUACAUAUAGUAAAUUAUGUAUACAACGAAAAAGUUAUUAUCAAUUAAAAAAAUAAUUGCGGAUGUAUGGUGCAGCAUGCUGCGCUAUAACACACUCUAAAUUAUUAAAAUAAUAGAUAAAUUAAAAGAUAAAUAAAACAUAAAUAAAAUAUUUUAUUUUUUAAUAUAUUAAAAUAUGUGUUUUACAUACCUUUUAAAUUAUUUCUUAUUUUAAUAAUUUAAAAAAUCUUUCAUUCAAAAUCUAUUCUAUACAUAUAUUAAGUUGGCCCAUUUUGAUAACAUAAUAUUUACAUGCAUGAACUUGAUCACUAACACAUAUACUACAUGAGUCGCACCUGAUGAAAAUUCCAUAUGAUAUAUAUUCAAGUGAUCCAGAUCGAUAGACAAAUUAAUUGUACCAACUACCAUGUUACAGUUAAAAUUGGAAAAUAAUAUAUAGUACAUCUUCCUUUUAUGUAGCAAAAUAAUAUAUACAGUACAUUUUUCCUUUACGUGGCCCUCAUGACGUCAAGGUAUAAAUCAUCAUGUGACAGUGAUUUAAUGUGGACAUCUAAUGGACCGCCAAUAUCCAACACUGAAAGUUAAAUCAAUUUUUGUCUUUCAACAAUUGUAUAUCAACAAUUUAUGGUCCUAAUUUUAACAUAAUGUGAACGUUCAAAGAAGACAAAAUACUUGAAAAUUUAGCAACCUAUUUUUCCACGUGAGGAGUCAAGCUCCCCCUCCAUUGCCUUUGCAUUUAUUUUUCAGUAAUAUCACUUUUUACUUUAUAUAUGAGAUUUUUAAAAGUAGAUUUAGUAGUCAGAUUGUGUAUAGAUAUCUAGAGUGCCAACGAACUAUAUAAGCUCUGCAUAAAGGAACUUUUUUUAUUCUAAGCUCCCUAGCUUUUAACGGUCUUAUUCUACAUUUUAAUCGUAUAAUAAUAUUGUAUAAUUGAGAUUUAAUUGUUAUUAUUAUAUUUUAACUUACUAACCACGAAUUAUUUACGUAAAAGUUACUCAAAAAGAACUCAUAUUAGGAGGGAAUAUGGUCAGUAAGUAACCAAAGUAUGCCACAACAAAAAAUGAUUUAGAUAUGCUAACGGUAAAUCUUAACUAGUGCUUGUACUACUUAUACAUGUACGUUUGUACUACCAAUGGUGAAGCCAGAAGUGUCCAGUCUGAGCAAGUACUACCUUAUUAAGUUAAUUUUCUUCCAAAACUUCAAUCCAGAAAGUGUGAGAAACGACAAGCACCGUGCUUCAAUUUUCCCCUCAAAAAGAAACAAGCAAGAAAAGAAAAAGCACACACGCUAUACUUUUUAGUUCAACUUCCUCGGUGCUUUAAAGCUCUUUGGGAGCUGCUGUCGAAGUGUACUCGGCAAAGGUUAGCCUGGGUCCAAUUGUUCUCAUUUGCAGGUCAGAUCUAAAAUUGGGUCAGCAAGAUAAUUGCAUAAUUGAACCCAAUUCAAACACCAUAAUUGUUUUAGAAAGACUGAUAUGCGUUUGUAAUUGGUUUUGGUAUAUUUGUAUUUCACCAUCAGUGCGGCAGCUUUUUUUUGGGGAAAUUUUACAAAUUAGCCAUUAAAAUUUUGUAUUUUUCACUUUUAACCCCACUAACUUAUUUCUAUCAAUAUUAGCCAAACAACAAACUUUUGGACCAUAAUACCCUUGCAAUCUCACCCAAAGCUCACCAAAGCUUGAACUCACCUACACUUCUCACCAAACGGAAGCACCAUAGAGAGCCAAAUCGGAGACCAUCAUCGGCGGCAAUCUCACCGGAAUCCCGUUCAGCAACACUAAUUCCACCAAAAUCACGUAUAAUAGCAAUCAAAAUCUACAAGAUAACAGUUGAAGUUCAAAAACCCUAGGUUAGCAAUUUCAAACACAUGCUUUAUAUUGUUCUUGUGUUGUGUUGUAAUUGUGUGUUGUUGUGAUGAUGUUUGUGGUGGUUGGUGGUGGUUGGUGGUCUAUUGUCGGACUGUGUUGGAGGCAAUACGUUGCAAUGGCUGUUGACCAAUUUGUGAAAAUUUGAAUUUUUUGUGCGACAGGUUCCCGUCGCACCAAAUUUUGUGCGACUGCCUUUCUGUCGCACAAAAAAUCUUAUUACACAAUCUGAAAUUUUGUGCGACAGGUUCCCGUCGCACCAAAUUUUGUGCGACUGCCUUUCUGUCGCACAAAAAAAUCUGAUUACACUAUCUGAAAUUUUGUGCGACAGGUUCCCGUCGCACCAAAUUUUGUGCAAUAGAUGCUGUCGCACAAAAAAAUCAUAUUACACAAAAUUUAGGUUAUUUUCUGGAGGUCAUAAUUACAGCUAAAUAAAUUCAUUUUUUGUGUAUAAUAUAUCAUUUCAACGCUUGCAACGAAACAAAUCAAACCCACAAUGUGUAACCACAUUUGUUAUAUUUUUUGUAUAUUUUGUAGAUUUAAUGGAUUCAGUUGUGCUUCAACUGUGUUACGACGGUUGGUGGGAGACGUUGGCGGAUGGGAGUAUGGAGUACGUGAAUGGCAAUAAUACAGCCUUUCUAAUUCGAAAAGACUGUACAUUUGAUCAGUUUCUGGCAAGAGUUUAUGAUGUGUUACAGAUAAAUCGUAAUGAAUACAAUAUCACCAUGAAGACAACUUUGAGGUCUAGUAAUACAAUGUAUCGUACAUGUUCACUGCCUAUGGACAUAUUUAACGAUGAAAUAGUCAAGGUUGUGUUACAUAUGGCCUCUGAUGUGGUAAAUUACGGAUGCAUUCCUAUUUUUAUGACCACAUCUUCUCGAGUUGAUUACCAAGAUCUUGAGCCACCUGUAGAAACUGAAACUUCUUUUAGAGCAAAUGUCUCUGUCCCUGAUAGUGAAGAAGAGGUAUUACCACAGACACUGUCUUUACAACAACGUUACUCUCCACUCCACGGCUACAAUGACACUAUUAAUGACAAUGGCAUUACCCUAGCGGAUGUUGAAGCAGAGGCAUUACCACAGACAUUGUCAUUAGAGCAACGUUACUCUCCAUUCUACAAUAAUGAAUUUCGCAGUAAUGAUGAUCCUAUUGAUGACAUCGGCAACACAGCAGUAGAUAAUGUUUGUAUGGAACCAUAUAAUAAUACAACGGACAACCAUUUCAAUAGUUCAGUUUGUGAUGGAGGCGUUGGUCCUUCUCAUAUUCCUACUAAUGUUGAUGAUGAUGAUCAGAAUAGUAUUCCUAUUAAUAACAUUGCCAGCCAACCUAUUCCUUCAGUGCCACGUUCGAGAAGGAGAACAACAGUUGACCACCUCGCACAACUUGCUCCAGUUUUACCUUCAAACUUAGCUGCUCCUAACUUGGUCAGAAAUUAUAAUUAUGAUGAUAUUAGUGUGGGUAAGUUGUUUGUUGCCAAGAAUGAGUUAAUACUACAACUGCGUAAAGUUGCCUUGAGGGGUAAAUUUGAUUUCAGGAUCACACGGUCCACAACAACACGUUUCGAGGCCCAGUGUUCUUCGGAAUUAUGUAAAUGGCGUAUUCGAGCAACAAGAGUUUCGAAUGAGCAGAAUGUUCCGUGGUUAGUGAGAAGAGUUGACAACGUACACACUUGUUGUAAUGAGGUAUUGGCUGGUGGUGUUCAUCAAGUAAGGAGUCGGGUUGUUGGUCAUAUUAUUACGGACAAGUUCAUCCAAGAAAAACGAAUAUAUACUCCAAAUGACAUCAGAGCAGACAUCCAGCAGGAAUACGGUGUCCAAUAAUUUGUAAUUUCCUCAUUUGCAUCUGCCUGGAGGGUUUGCAUAACAUUCCCCUGUCAGUUGAUUACCAAAUUUGAAGUUAGAAAAUCUUUUUAGUACUUAACAUUUUUAUCGUUGUUUAAAUAUAUAUAAUACUUACAACACGAGUGUUAUCGUUGAAAAACGAAUGCACUGCAUCAUAAGUUAUUUUCGAAGAAACAAAUGCCUUCCACUUUAAGAUGCGGGGAAUAUGAUUGUUUAUCUUUACGGCCCACAGUGAUGGUAUCCCCUUGAUCACUUUGAAAAGCCAAGCCUACAACAAACAAAGUUAAAAAACCACAUAAGUUAAUUUGGUAUAAAUAUACUACUAACGAACUCUGAUAUUAUUUUUUUUUUACCAACUCACCUGAACCCCAUGACUGAACCCAUAAAUAUUGUAUUUCUCAAUAUUAUGAGAUGGAUCUUUCAAACGCUCCAUCUUAAAUUUGUUGGCCUUCUGGUUCAAUGCAUUGUUCAAACUGUCGUAUAUUAUUUCCCACGAUAAACGACCCCAUGGACGACUUCGAAAGUGGUCUAUAUCGUCAACAUGAUUCAUUAGCUGAAAGUCAGCUUGACUAUGAUCCUUUCUCCCCUUCAGUACCCUAUCCACAAAGUAAUACAACGCGAUUUUCAAGGCAUCAGUGUCGUCCAUGGCACGAAAUUUCAAAGCGGAAAAUCUAGCAUCCAAUUGCUUGAGAGUCAAGUCCUUAAACCGACCACCGAAGUACUUAUUAUGCAACCUAUGUUGCGUCUUCAAAUUUUUUGGUUCGACGUUCGGACCAUUGGAAAGCCCCGUAAUGAGGCACCAUUCUCCAAUUGAUAAACGAACCAAGUGCUCUCCAAUUUGAAACCAUAAUUGAUUUUUAUUAGUUUUUUUAUGUGCCACUUGCCUAAGCAAUAGGUUGUGAAAUAUAACACCACUGAAAUUAUAACUACCCAAGUCCAGGAAGUGCCCAAAAACAUCACUUCUAAACAAUGACAAUUGCUUGUGCGUUAGCUUACACUGGAUAGCUGCGAUGACUUUUUUAAAUUUUGACGUCUCUGAAAUACGACCCGGGAAAUGAUCAUCAAAAUAUAACUUCAUCACGCCCGGCUCCUUCCCAGGUUCAGGCGAAUUGCGCUUUGCCAACUUAGUUUUCGCCAUCUACCUGAGACAAUUGAAAUUUUAUUCAUUAUUGUGUUAUUUAUAGAAUAAUAAUAUUAAUAAUAUAAAAUAAAUAAGGUAUCUACAAAGUAAAAAUGGCCUUGGGUGUAAUCUAUAUUUUUAUGCGACAAUCUAUUGCUGCAUUUUUUUAUCACACACGAUCUGAAUUUUUGUGCGAUGAGUGCCCGUCGCACAAAUAUUUUUGCGACGGCCACUUAUCGCACAAAAAAAUAGUCUUUUCUUUCAGCAACAUGCUUGAAUUUAAAGUCGACGGCCACCCGUCGCACAAACUUUGGUGCAAGGGGCACCGGUUAUACAAAAAUUAAGAUCAAAUACUCUUGAAAAAAAAUCUGAAUUUUUGUGCGACGGGUGCCCUGUCGCACAAAUAUUUUUGCGACGGGCACCCGUCGCACAAAAACUCAGAACAUGUGUUGUGAGUUUUUGUGCGACGGGCACACUGUCGCACAAAAAUUUUUGCGAUGGGCACUCGUCGCACAAAAAUUCAGAAUGUGUGUUUUGAGUUUUUGUGCGACAGGCACACUGUCGCACAAAAAAGUUUGCGACGGGCACCCGUCGCACAAAAAUUCAGAACGUGUGUUGUGAGUUUUUGUGCGACGGGCACACUGUCGCACAAAAUUUUUUGCGAUAGGUACUUUUGUGCGACGGACAAACUCGCGCAAUGGGAAUGGGUGCAGCAAGCAUCGCGCGAGCUGCAGCAACCAUCGCGAUGCUUGCUGACCCAUCGCGCGAGAUCGCGCGAUGGGUACUGCAGCUCGCGCGAGCUCGCGCGAUGCUUGCUGCAGCUCGCGCGAUGCUUGCUUCAGCGCGCGCGAUGGGUGCUGCACCCAUGGCGCUGCAGCCCAAUCCCGCUGCACAAUCACACACCCUUCGCACAAAAAAUCUCCGUUACAAAACAACACACUCCCAAAAUCCACAACCACCAUUACAAGCACUACCACCACCAUUGUUAUUCUCAAAUUUCAUUCUUAAUUAAUCAAAUAUAAAUAAAAUGGCUUACUUAUGUUGAUGGUGUGUGAAGCCGUCGCCGGUGAUGGUUGAAGCUGCUGCCGUUUUGCCUCUUGGAGAUCUCACGUGAAAGAGGUGGAGUUGGGGGAGAGAUGGAGAGGGCACUUUGGUCUUGAAAUUUUAGUUUUGGCUAAUAUUGAUAGAAAUAAGUUAGUGGGGUUAAAAGUGAAAAAUGUAAAAUUUUAAUGACUAUUUGUGUAAAUUUCCCUUUUUUUUGAAGUAUAGUGAAUGAACAGAGAAAUUUGUCGGCAAGCUUAUCCCAACUCCUUGAUUGCUAGUUUUAAGUGUCUAUUCACAACAAUGAGCCAAGUUGAUUCAUCUCACUACCGGUAUUUAAGGUCAAAUUUAUUAACUUAAAUCUAAUAUGUUAUUAUACAACUUAAACGAUAAUCCCAAGUUUUUUAAACUUUUAACUUUUGUAUGAUCAAAUAAAAAUCAGUUAGGUUGCAGUAGCCAACACAAGAUAACUAAAAACAGAACAAAUUCCAUGAAAAGUUCACUAAAAAGUCUUUAAAAAUAAUUGCUUUGUACUAUAAAAAUUAAAAAAAAAAAGUGUUCCCGCACACUUUGAUGUACUUAAUUUUUUUGUCUCAACCUCUCAAUGGUAGUCAAAAAGUUUUCAAACAACCAACUUUGAUCUCGUAAAUUUAGAUUUAGAUAAACAUAUGCAAAUCUACCACAUAUCUUAUUCUAACUAUUAAAAGUAAUGCUUUCCAUGAUUUUCUUAAGUAAUAAGAAAUUUGUAGUGUUUUGAUUGCCUCAAAAAAUCCCAAGAUCUUUGUCAAGAUAAAUUCAAGUUGCAUAUGAAUCAAAUGACCAACCUUGAUGACUCAAUGAUUAACAAGAACCUAGUAAACGAAUUUUAGAGACCAGAAACACAAGUAUCAAGCCAAAUUGGCAACCAAAACACACAGAAAAGAAGACUGAUUUUACGUGGUUCAAUUGUGCAAAGAAGCACAAUCUACCAGAAUGAGUUUUUACUGAUGAUUGAAGUUGAAUUUAUAGAGCUUUUACAGAAUAGAUGACAAGGAACGGGAUGACUCUUUCUCUCUGUCUCUUAUAUCUCUCUAGAACGCUCUUAAUUCCUCACUGAAACUGCCUCAACAAUCAGCUUUGUAUAACAGCCGAUAACAAACCGGAUUGCACCAGUUUCUGCCACGUGGAUAACGGCCUGCAACAAUCUUGAUUCCCCCUCACAUGCUUAAUCACGUGCAUGACUUAAGUCUGAGCCAAAACGUCUUCAUGUCUUGCCGGUUAUUAAGUGAGUCACACGUCCAUCACGUGACAGCUUGAAACAAAUUGAUAGGCAAAACGAUGCCGUUUCACAUGUCCAAGUUUUAAAUUCAGCAAAUUAGUCCACAAAAUUAAAGUUAUUUAUUUUUUUUUUAUCCAAGGACAACUCUUUGCUCAAACCAAAAACUCUUGAUCUUGAACAUCUUUAUAAUCACAGAGAGCCACCUGAAGCUUGGCUGCUCAUCAGCCUCGCUUGGAUUCAACCACUUGAGAGGACACCAACAUUAAUUUUUGCAUCUGAUGUUCUGCCAAUAUUUCCCUCGUCAAUCCUUCCGCAUUGGAAGCAUAAAACAUUAAAGAAAACACUGAUAAUAAAAAAUUAAGUGACAAUUCAAAAUGUUAUACAGUUAAUGUUAAUUAUUAAACUCUAACAAGACAAGAAAGAAAUUAAGAACAUUAAUUGUGAAAAAAAGUGAAAUAUUGAUUCAAAAUUAUAGAUCUUAAUGUAUGAAGCUAUAAAGGAAACGCCCAGAGGAUCUGUUUUGUGAUGAAAAUUUAAAAUUUAUGUUUUAAAAUAAUAAUAAUAUUUUGAAAAUUUGCACAUGUAAAAAAAUAUAGAAAUGUGUGAAUAUGUUUUCAUUUAGGUGGUAAUUUUGCUCGCCUAAUCAUAAUUCUUUUUUAUGUUGUAUGAAAAUAAAAAAAAUAAUUGAAUAUUAUUUAGAGAUAUAUACUAAAUAAUUUAUUAAAAAAAGUUUACAAUCUAUAUACAAAUUAUGAUCUAUAAUUUAAUGAGAUUCUGUAUAAUUGCACUUUAAAUUGAUAGUACAAUCCAGAAGUUUUUCGAAAAUUAACUUGGAAAUCUACUCUCAUAAAUAUACAAAAAGAUAUGUACGGUAUUUUAAAUUAAAAAUAUAAUAUUAUAAUUCAUUAUUAAUUUGGUUUGUAUUAAUGGGAAUCUUCCUUGCAUUCUUCUUUUAGUUGUGCCAAGGAUAUCCUUGAAAAGGAAAUGCUUCCUCAUGUUCCUAUGACUGAAUUCUCUAGAACUAAGAAAGCUUAUUAUUUUGGGUAACUAUAAUCCUUCUAUAUAUUAUCAUUGUCAUUACUUUAGAGUAGUUACAGAUCUUAUUGAUCCUUUCUUCAGCUAUAUUAUACAUCGGCUUCUUCUUUGUGCAUUUGGCCGGUGGGUUAAAGAUGAUAGAUAUCAUUAUGGCAACAAGAGGUUGGACCUUGCUGGUUCAUUACUUAGAAGGCUUGUUUAGGAUGGUUUGUUUCAUUUUUGUGUUGAGGUAGUUGACUUUACUUGUGAUCAUAAGAAUGAAGAUGUAUCUCUUUUCUUUUAACACCCCACUUUUAUAACUAAAAUAAGAUGAUUUAUUUUAAAAUAUUUAAAAUCUCAAUUUUUUUUAAUAUAAAUACGGAUAAUUAAAAAUUUUACAUGAUAAGCAGAAACUUCAUUACAAAAUAUAAGAGACACAUAGAGAUUCCUUAGUAUAUAUUUCAAAACUUCGUUAUUAUGUAAGAGAAUUUAAGAUAUUUAUUUUUUAUAAGAACACAACUAAGCCCAUCACAGUCCAACGGUUUGACAUGCCCAUAUGCAUUUCAUCUUGGUUGGGACUUGGCGUCAGCUUGAUCUACUCAUUAUUACCUACAAUGUAAGGAUUGCAUGAGCCAAUACCUAGUAAGAUAACAUGCAAGUAUAAAUUGUUAUGCACAUAGAUGAGCUUAUGAACAUUAAAUCUCUAAAAGAAACAUAGAAAUAUAAAACAACUUUGUUAGGGCCCUACGUACAUUGCACGGCAAAGUUGGCAAUUUUCAUUCUUUAAAAUAGCAUCCCCUUAGGCCUAAAUUAAUAAUUGAUCUUUGGGCAUUGCAUAUCGCCGUCCCCAAAAGAUUACUCUUUAUUUAGCUUUGAGGGCUUGCCCUUCUUGGAAAUUUUACCACCCCAGUAGUACAACAAUCCAUUGUUCAAGACUCAUUUUUAAAAAUGUCUUCUUUGUAAAGUAAUCUUAACAUAUUAACAUGAAAUGCAUGUGUUCAAUGCAACCUAUAUCAUGACAUGUAAUUUUCCUAGAUAUAUAACAAAGCCAACCAUACAAAGUUUUCUAAAGACAACAAUCUUUAGUAUAGGCAGCAGUGCCGUCCAUAUAAAGAUUAAAUAAAAAAUGUUAUUAUAAUAUAGAUGGGAGAGUGGACUAGGGGUGGCAAAAUAACCUAGACCCGGCCCGGACCCGGAUGAACCCAGAUUAUCCGGUGCAGGUUGAACCAGGUCCAGAGAUAAAAAUAAUGCGGAUCCGGAAUUCAUUUUAUAAACCCGGACAUAUCCGGGUCCGAAUCCAGGUUUACGUAAACCCAGAUCUCCGAAACCCAGACCCGGCUAUCUUGAUUUUAAAAUUUAUUAAAUAAUUAAUUUUAAGUUAUUAAAUCUAAGUAUAAAAGCAAAAAAAAAAAAGGAAAAGAAAAGAAACCCUAAAACAAACUGCAGCCGCAGCAGCCCUGUUUCUCCUCUUCUCUCACCUUCUUCAAUCUUCACGCCACAAAGCCCAAAUUCAUCAUCGUCAAUUUGUCAUCAUCCUUGUCAAUAUUCAAGUAAUUCCCAAGCAUCAUCAUCAACAGCUCAUCAUCAUCCUCAAUAUUCAAUUCAUCUCGUCACCGUUCUUCUUCACUAAUUCGUCGCGUCGCCGUCCAUGAUUCACCAUCGUCUUCAUCGCGUCACCAUUCAUCUUGAUUACAUCGUCAACAUACAUGCUUCUUGGGAAUUAAUAGUGCUCUGAGGUGAUAUUAACAUAUGUGGGUCAACUUUUAUCUUUAAAUCAUGAUCAUUUCAAUUCAUUUAUAUUCAAGUUGUCUCGAUUGUAAAGAAUCUAUAAUCCUUUAAUUCAUUGGUGCUUGUGAUUUGAACUCUUUCUGGAAUUUUUCAUAACCUGAAACGGGUUUAUGUUUUUCAGUUCAUUCAGUUAUCCGGGUUUUAAACCUGACAUCCGGAAACUCAAAUUUCUUCGAGUUGAACCCGCACUGGACCCGGAGCCAAAAAAUCCAGGUUUAUAUCCGGAUCCGAAAUGUAAAAUUGCCAUCCGGGUCCGAAACCGGGAAGGCUAAACCCGGACCUGGACCCGGAUUUUGCCAUCCCUAGAGUGGACCAUAUCAUAAUUAAAUAAAAAUAUCACAGUAUAGGCAUAGCCAACCAUAUAAAAAUUAAAUGAGAAAAUAUGAAAAUAUAGGCGGCAUGGCUGACCAUAUAAGGAUUAAAUAAGAAAAUAUCAAAUAUAAGUGGCAUAGCCAACCAUAUAAAGAUUAAACAAUAAAUAAUCACAUCAUAGUAGUCAUCAUAAGAUAAAAAAAUAAUUAAAGAUGAAUUUAAGUAUGGAAAGAACAUUAUCCGUAAACUACAGUUGAAGUGUUACUUACCUCUUAAUCUUGACUUCUCUAGGCCCUCAUAAUUUGAGGAUUUCUCUAUUGUUUGAUGUUAUUACUUAGAAUAGAAAAGGACAGAAUUUCUAAAGUGAUAUAGAAAAUGAAAGGGCUAGGGGUACUUUUAGGAUUUACUAAAGCUAAUGGAUGGUUAGGAUUUUGCCAUUAUAACUUUUGAUUAAUGGUUGAGAUUUAUCCUUCCAUAAAUAUCUUUAUAAAUUCUAGAAUUUAUAAAUAUUUUAUAGAUAUCUUGUUGCAUAAUUACUUAUGUCAUCGCUUAUGUCAUCAUUACUCUAGAAUUUUCUAUCAUAAAUAUUUUCUAUUAUUAUUAUUUUAAUAGGUAAGGGGAUUUAUUAGCCUAAAAAUUAAUUCUACUAUAUUCAAAUGAGAAAUUUAUAUCUCACAAUUUCCUCCCCAUUAAGAAAAUUUUAUGCUCGAAAUUGAUUUAUUGAAUAGCUCAGGAUACUUAUUCUUCGUAUUUUCUUCACGUUCCCAUGUUGCCUCCCCCAUCGAGCUAUUUCGUCAUAGUAUUUUAACUAGAAAAAUCUUCUUGCUUUUUAUCUCCUUUAUCUUUCUAUCAAAUACUUGGAUUGGACGUUCUCCAUAGGUUAAGUUUUCUCCUAGUUGAAAAGCCUUAUAAUCUAGCACAUGAGAGGGGGUUUGUAACAUAUUUCUUUAACAUGAAGAUAUGAAAAGACAUUGUGUAUCCUUGACAAUGGUAGAAGAGCAAGUCGGUACGAAACGUUCUUGACAUAUUCAAGUAUUUCAAAUGGUCCAAUAAACCUCGAAAUUAAAUUUCCUUUUACAAAUACCUUAUCACCAACUUGAAAUUCUGAAGGCCUUAAGCUCUUAUCUACAUGACUUUUCUGUUAACUUUGAGCUGCCUAUAUUCUUGGACGUAUUUUCUCGAUCGCCUUAAAUGAGACAACAAUGAGGCCGGGCCCAAGCUACCUUUGCUCGCCCAUUUCAUUCCAAUGAAUAGGUGACCUACAUUUUUUACUAUAUAGAGUUUCGUAGAGUGCCAUGCCGAUUAUUGCUUGAUAGCUAUUAUUGUAGGCAAAUGCAACCAAAGGUAGAUAUUUGCUCUAUGAUAUUUGAAAGUCGAUAGUGCAUCCCUGUAAUAUAUCUUCUAGUGUUUAGAUCGUUGUUUCUAACAGACCAUUUGUUUGAGGGUAAAAUGUUGUACUAAAUUUUAAUUUUGUUCUCAUAGCUCUAUGUAACUUUUCCUAAAAUGUUGAGGUGAACCUUGUAUCUCGAUCAAAGAUAAUAGAAAUAGGUACACCAUAUAGUCUUACUAUCUCCUUUAUGUAUAUUGUUGUGCAAAUUUUAAUGUACUCGCAAGCGCACGAAUCUAUUAUAGUAUAGACUAAUGGUGACAAGUGUCGAUCCCACGAGGAGGUGGAUUUUAAUUGUGUGUAGAAUUAAUUUUGUAAAUGGGUGAUUGGAUUUGUGGUGGAAAUGAUUUGGAAUAUGCUAAAACUUAAAUUAAAAUGGUGAGAAUAAAUUCUAAAAUUAGAAUUGAAAUGGCGAGAAUAAAUUGAAGAGAAUUCGAUUAAAAUGACGUACUUGGGUAUCUGGAUCCGUAUCAACAUGCAUCAUGGGUUAAAUAAUCCGUAUUAAUACCAAUUAAAUCAUGAGGGGGGAAUCCACAUCUCAUGAACCACGCUCUAAUCAAUAUGGUGCUAAGGGCUUAUCGUGCCAAAUAAUAAUAACUUUGUACUAGAGGGCCGGUGAAACCAAUGCGGUACUAGACAAGAAUAUUAUUAUUUGUCAACGAGAAGUCAAAACAUCCAUAAAAACUAGAGGGGAAGAGAAAAUAAAUUUACCAAAUUAAGCCCAUGACACAUGUUGAGAUUUCACCUUCAACCCAAGCUUGAAAGAAAAUUAGCCACUCAUAAUUGAACUAGGGGCAAAAUGAGAAUUUAUUAAAAUACGAAGAAAAUACAAGAUGGAGAAAGAAUUACAGAAAAUGGAUCCCAAAAAUGGAUUCAGAGAUAUCAAAUUAGGGGGGGGAGGCCCCUUUUUAUAGAUACAUGAAGUAAAUCAUGGCCAUCGGAUUAAAAACAGUUUGGACGCUCAGGAUUGCGCCACAUCAUCAGUCAACAGUAUGCGAUUUGACCACGCGGAUGAACAGUAACACGGUUUGACCCAGGUGAACAGUGAUGCGGUUUUGUUGAAAAUAAUCCUGUGUGAUGCAUAUACCGUACGCGAGAUUUUUGGUCCAGUGAUAUGCUGCCACGUCACCAUCAACAGUACAUAAGAAUUUUAGUCCAACAGGAUCGUGACACCUCAUCAGUCAAUGCCACAUCAUCGGUCAAUGCCACGUCAUCGUCCAUCUAUGUGAACAGUGCCGUGAAUAGUAACGUAUACAGUACCGUACACGUGAAUAGUACCGUACAUGUGAACAGUGCCAUUUUUCUUUUUAUGCUCCUCCUAAGGUUUUCGACCGUCCUGAGUUCAAAAGUGAUGUCCGUUUUGCCAUCUGAUCUCUCGUUUAUUGUGAAAUGACUACGAUGCCCCUAAAAUAUAUAAAAUACUUAAUUAAAAUAAAACACACGGAAUUAAAUUAAAAGAAGGUUAAAUUUAUAAAAAUAAAGGUGUUAGUAAAACUUGUAGUGUAAAAUUACGAUUUUCUCCUUUAUAAAUAUACAUUUUCUAACACUCAACAUAUAUUUCUGCAAAUUGGUUUAUAGUGCACGUCAUUCAAAUAGGUAAAAAGUGGGCAGACUUUAUGAGUCAAUUGACGAUAAGCCAAAUGACAUCAUGCAUUUCUUUUUCAAUUUUUUUAUUACUGUUGGUAUUUAUGCAAGUUUUUAGAAAGUUAAACUGGAAUGUGAAAGCUUAUGUGAAGAAGGUUCUAAGUAUUUGUUGCUUUCUUUCUUUUUUCCUUUUUGUUUGAUUUGAAUCACUUUUUUCAUUUCUUCUGGUUUGCACUCAUGCAGUUCAUCCAUUUUGUAAAUGUUGGAUAAGGAUCUAUAUGUUAAUUUGCAAUAUGCUAUUUUAGCUAAAACAAUUACCCAUGGUAUAUAAAGUAUUCUUUAGCUACCGGUAAUUGGGGCCAGCUAGAUGCGUUUAUUACAAGAACAAAAGUGUCAAAGAUUUUUUUAUUUUUGAUCCAUUUAUUGUGGUCUUUCACAAAUGUUGAAUUACAUGACAUGCGCCUCUACCUUGUCGCAUUUGCGAACACUGUGUUCUCCCACAGGGCAAAAAGGUAAACUACUUAUUGUUGUGCAUGAUUUUGUUUUAUUGAGGAUUCAUUCAUGCUUAGUUUUGUUUUUCUUUUAUGCAUCACCAUGUUGUUAUUUUGUUAAUUUGUUGCAUAUAAUUAAUUGUUUUCACUUUAUUUUUCUAAAGAAGUUUUCAUUUACUAGGUACACAAGUAAAACCUAAGCUGGCACAUAAUACACAAUGGGUUAAGAUUUGUUCCUUUCCAACACUUUUAGGACAAGUAAGUUAAAAUUGUGCUUAUAGGAUAUAUCUAUAAUAUCUAUUUCUGAUUGUAGCUUACAAGAAUUUGUUUUGGUUAAUCCAGGCCUGUGGACUAGUGAAGAAUCUUGCUUUGAUAGUCAAUGUAACCCUCGGCUCAUUAGUAUUUCCCAUUAAUGAGUUAUUAGAAUAUGAGCCAAUAGUAGAAGCCAAGGUGCAUUUUGUAAUUUAUGGCACUUAGACGUUAAUUAUACAUAUUUCAUUUAUGGCAUUUAGACGUUAAUUAUACAUAUUUCAUUCACAUUAUUUCAAUUUUCUCUUAAUUCUAGGAUGCUACUGCAAACUUUUUUCUACAAGCUACAAAAUUUUUUGUCAAUGGUUGCUGGGUGUCAUGCAUGAUGUUGGUUCAUUGGUCCAAGCUUUGAGACACUUGAAAAGAAAUGUCAUUAUACUUGUAUUUCAUCUAUUCGUAAAGAAACCUCCGUAUUAAAAGUUGGCAAACCUAUUGGUGUACUCUAAACUUUCUUUAGUAUUAUUUAUGCCAUUUCUGAACUAUUUUGUUUGUCUACCCAUGUACAUGACUUUAUAAAUGCUGCAAUUGGGGUUUCUAGGGAUAUCCAUUCAAAAGAAUUGUGUAUAUACACUGAUUUUGGUCGUUGUUGUCGUCCAUUGCUUAUUGUCCAGAAUCAAAGGCUUCUUAAAAAGAAGAAAGAUAUUGACGCCUUCUAUGACAAGGUUAGCCAAAUAGUUCUCUCUCUCUUUUUUAUUAAUGAUUUGUCUUUUCUGUAGUUACAUGACUUUUAUCUUGUUAAUCUUCUAGAAAUCUUUCGAAGAUGGUUGUUGGUGUGACCUUUCUAAAAAAAGGGUUUAUAGAAUAUAUUGAUCCAUAAAAAGAAGAAACCAUAAUGAUUUGCAUGACAAUCAAUGUGAAUAAAAUGGUAUUGGUUGGUCGAAAACCUGUUAUCGUGAGACGUAAUUUUUAAGUUGCUAAAAAUUUGAUUAACACAAAUUUGUUUCAGGAACUUGUAAAUGCAAAGCUUCAUCUAGAGGAGGCUACUUCUAAUGCAUACACGCAUUAUAAGAUUCAUCCAUCCUUGAUAUUGGGAGCUUAUGCUUCAAUUAUACCAUUUCCCGACCAUAAUCAGGUGCGUCAUGCUUAUGACAUUUCUCUGGUAAAAUAUGUUUAUAUAUUGACUCAAUCUCACCAAUUUUUUCUUUCUUUUUCUUGAUGGGGUUUGCUUUUAGUCCCCAUGUAAUACGUUUCAAGCUGUAAUGAGCAAGUAAGUAAUUGGAAUCUAUGCUACAAACUACCGAUGACAUAUGAUACUGUAUUUGGUUUCAAUUUUUUUGUGAUUGGAAGCUCAUUUUCAGCAUGUCAUAUAUAAUGAUAUUAUUUUUCCUUUAUAUGAAUUAGGAUGCUUUAGCCUAUGUUCUUUACUACCCUUAGAAACCACUACUUGCUGGGACGCCAUAAAAUCGCUUCAAGUUAACCAACUUCCUACUGGUGUGGUGAGUAUAUAAUUUAAUGUUGUGUUAUUGUUGCUCCUUAUGAUCAUAGUUUUCUUAUAAUCUUUUUGUCUCUGUUAUUUGGCAUUAGAAUGCAAUAGUCACUAUUGCCUGUUAUGAUGGCUAUCAUCGAGGAAGUUCUGUUGUUAUGAACCAGUCAUCUAUGGAUUAAGGAUUAUUUCGAUCUCUUUUCCUUCCAUACAUCUAGGUAAGCUGUUGUUGAGACAUUUUGUAUCUUAAUUAACACGACUCAAAAGUAUUGAUUACUUCUGAGUAUAAGAGUGUCUAAUUAUAAUAUAAUCCAGUGAGUUGGGGUUGAUCCACAAGGAAUCUAUAAAUCUAGUAGUCAUUAUUAAAAGGGAUAUUAUCAUUUUACUAUUAAAGUUAUUCUGACAUAUCAUGUCAAUAGCAUGAUUUGCCGAAAAGUACAUUUUACUAUCAAACGUUUGUGCCGUUAUCAAUUCACUACUAUUCCGUUAAGAAUUUUAUGCGGUGUCCUUUGCGCCAGAGGUUUCAGCUGCGAUCCAAGAGAUUCUAAACUCUAAUUUGUUGUCGUCUGACUUCUUUUGCUCAUGGAUUUUAGAUAAAACUUCUGCGCUAAGUCUUGUUCAAAGUAUAAGUAUAGAAUUGAACUUGAUUCUGACUGAUUCCAUUGUUAAAAUGCAUGAGUUGUGUGGCUACUGGCUACUCUCAACUGAUGGUUUGCUGUCAUUGUACUUGUGCGUCAAAGAAGGUUUUCUUAAUAUUGUUGAGGAAAAUGUUGUCAGGUAAGGCUAAUCUGUUCACAUCUUGAAAUAAUUAUUUGAUGGUGAAUAUUUGUUAAAGUUAUCUAUUUUCUUUAUUUCUUAUGAUGAAGUAGAUUUGAUGUUGAGAAGAAAAUUAUUAGUGUUCAAUUGUGUGUUGAGUGAGUGGUUUAAAUGAGUAUUAAGAGUAAUUAAAAAUUAUAUAGUAAUGUUAAAUUGUUCAUAAUAUUAGUUUAACGAAAGACUUCUUAAUUUUUUUAAUAAAAUAUAGUGUUCAAAGUGUAUUUUAUCAAUAAUGUUGACAUUCCUACAUUUGAGUCUUAAUUUUAUGUGUCGCUUGUUCAUUAGAUAAUAUAUUUUACAAUUUAUAAAAUUAUUAUUUUAUUAUACAAUAAAUAAAUGACUCAUCAAUUAGGACUAAAUUGAAACAUAAAUGUUGAAUAUUACGUUUUGUUAAUGUUAAAGUGUAAUGGUCAUGUUAUGUAGCAAAAAUUCAUGUAUUUAUUUUUUAUUUAUUUUAUAAAAAUUCAGUUUUUCAUAUACAUAGAAGUUAGUAAAUUGAAAUUGUUUCUAUUAAACUGUUGAAGUACAGGUGUGCAUUUGCUAUAUAUAUGAUUUUUUCAGAAUCUUUUAGUUAAAAAAAAAAAGACUCGUACUUUGAUAGGUAAUUAAUUAGAAAAAAUAAAUAAAGAAGAAAGGUGGCAACUUAAGUGUAAUUUCAUUAAAAAUAAUGGAUCCCUCUAAGUUACAUGCAUGUACCUUACACCCCUCUCACAUGAAUAGUGAGUGGACCCACAUCAUUCACUAUUUAUGUGAGAGGGGUGUAAGGUACAUGCAUGUAACUUAGCAUUAGCCUAUAAUUAAAUAUUUUGUUGAUAAUGAGACAAAAAGUUAUUUUAUGUGAUUUUGAAGAAACAAACGAGUAAUGGACACAUGUCUAAUGUACAAAGAGUAGGCGAGUAAGUCGCACUGACCGUAACACUAUUUAUAUAUACUGUUGCGGACCCGCCUGAGUUACAGUUCACGUAACACUACUCGACUUUUCUGGCUUCUUAAUGUAAACUAUCGUUGACCUCCUUGUACUUUAUAUUAUUAAUAAUUUAUUCAUAAGUAUAUAAAAUUUUCUGUAUUGUAAACUUUUGUUGAGCCCCUUGCACUUUAUUUUAUUUUAUUGAAACCCUUAGAGUAUCAAAUUCGCCCCUAUAAUUUUUAAAUUCCCAAAAUACCCUCUAUUUACUUAAAAAUAUAAUAAUUAUUAAAUGUAUUAUUAUUAUAAUUAUAAUAAUUAUUUUAUUAUAAUUAUCAAUAUAAUUAUAAUUUUUAAAUAGAUUAUUAUUAUUAUCAUUAUUAACAAGAAUAAAAGUAUUAUAAUUAAUUAAUCUAUUAACGAUAAUUAAUAAUAAUUUUUCAGUUAAAUUAAUAAUUAUUAUUAUUAAUUAAUUUUGAAUAAUAAUAUUAAUCAAAAUAAUUAAAAUAUAAAAUAAUUAUUAUGAUAAAAAUUAAUUAAGAAUUUUAUAGUAAUUUGUUACAAUUUAACUCAUUCCGAUUUUGAUUCUAAAACAAAGUAAAUACAUAAAUGUUUAUACAACUCAUUCUAAUUAUGAUUCCUCCAGUUCAAGUAAAUAAAUUAUUUUGAUUCUAAUUUCUCAUUUUGAUUCUAUCUAUUCCAAUUUUAACUCAUUAUGUUUUCAGUUAAUUUUGAUUCCUAUUUAGUGAAUGCACUAUAAAAUUGUAAACCACUCUAUAUUCAACUAGAUCACUCUAUAUUAUUUACAAUUUAUUCAUAAGUAUUAUGAAACUUUCUUCUUACCUAUACUAUAAAAAUUCAAUUUAUCUCCCUACACUCUUUUUCGUUUACUAUUUUUUUAUAAGUGUCAAAAGAGUGUUUACAACCAUGACACAUUAGUUAUCAUAGCACACUAAUAUUAAUAAAAAGUUUUUUAAGAAUAUUACCAUUCAUCUUUUAUAUAAUAUAUUCUCAUAAUAAUUAAUACUUUCAUGAUAAAAGGAUUAACAAAAUAAAAAGCAAAUUCCCUUUGAAUCCAUCCGUCUCCACCAUUAACUUCUCUUUAUCAGCAACCUUCAUCGAUAAUUGAAGUCACCAUUAGACUCAUCAAAGAGAAAGAGAGUACGAGAGGGGAAGAAGAAAUGGGAAAAAAAUACGAGAUGUUCACAAUUUUAUAGUGCAUUCAUUAAGAAAGAAUCAAAAUUAGCUGGAAAAAUAAUGAGUUAUGAUUGAAAUGAGGAAUUGGAAUCAGAAUAAUUUAUUUACUUAAACUGCAUUAAUCAUAAUUAGAAUGAGCUGUAUUACCAUUUAUGCGUUUAUUUUGUCUUAGAAUUAAAAUCGGGAUGAAUUAAACAAAUUACUAUAAAAUCCUUAAUUAAAUUUUAUCAUAAUUAUUAUUUUUUAUUUUAAUUAUUGUGAUUAUUAUUAUUAUUUAAAAAUUAAUUAAUUAAUAAUUAUUAUUAUUUUUAAUUAUUAUUAUUAUUAACAAUUUAACUAAAAAAUUAUUAUUAAUUAUUUUUAAUAGAUUAAUUACUUAUAAUACUUUUAUUCUUGUUAAUAAUAAUAAUAAUAAUAAUCAUCAUCAUCAUCAUCAUCCAUUUAAAAAAUAUAAUUAUAAGUAUAAUCUAUUUAAUAAUUAUUAUAUUUUUUUAAUUAAAUGGAUGGUAUUUUGGAAGUUUAAAAAUUAUAGGGGCGUAUUUGAUACUCUAAAGGUUCUAGUUAAAUAAAACAGAGUAUAAGGGGUUCAACGAAAUUUUAUAAUGAAGAAAUUUUCAUAUACUUACAAAUAAAUUGUAAAUAACAUAGAGGGUAAGGGGUUCAAAGAUAUUUUACAUCAAGAAGCCAGAAAAGACAAAGACAAAGUAGCUGCAGGUUACGUGAACGGUAACUUUAGGAUGGCAAUGGGAUGGGGUGGGGGUGGGGAGGCCUAUCCCAUUUUCCACCCCGUUAAAAAUUUUAGCUUCUAUUUCUCACCUCAUUUCUUAAUAAAUUUAGUGGGGUGGGGAUGGAGAUUCUCCAUGUGGGGAAUGAUUUCUCUAUCCCCACCUCAUUUCUCAUUUAUCUAUUUUAUAAUAUAUAUAUAUAAAUAUAUUAUUUUAGUAAGUUAAAAAUUAGAGACUUAAAAUAAAAUGAUCAUCAUAUUAUAAAGUAUUUAAAUUAUUUUUAAAAAAAAUCUAAAAGUUUAAAACAAUAUCUUAAAAUAAUAUUAAAAGUGAAAAAUAUUUAAAGAGUGUAUCACCUUAAAAGAGAAAAGAAAAUAUAACAAUGUUUCAGAGUUGAAAAAUAUUAUAAGAUUUUCUUUCAUUCAUAUCUUGCUUAUAUUGUAUAAAAAUUAAAAAAAAUAUUAAUUGACAUUAUAAUUGAUAAAAUUAAAAUUAUUAAACAAGAAUUAAAAACAUAUUUAUAUUUAAUGGGGAUUGGGGUGGGGGUGGGGGUGGGCUGGGGAGUACAAAACCAAACCCCACCCCAUUAAGAAUUUGGGGAUUAUUUUUACCCCACUCCCCACCUCAUUUCCCAAAAAUUUUUAAAAUUUUCCCCAUUUGGGGUGAGGCUCCAUGGAGCCCCAAACCCGUGGAGGAUUUUGCCAUCCCUAGGUAACUUAGGCGGGUCCACUUUAAUGUUACGGUCCCGGUCUUAUGUACUUUAUUCACAAAGAGCAGUGUUAGGCGCACAGAAGGGAGAGAAAGAUGAGAGAAUUCUAUUCUCUCUCUAUCCUCUCACUCACUCUCUACCAUUUUUUUUUUAUUUCUCUCAUUUUUUCUCGUAAUUCUCUUCACCAAGCAUUUUUCAUUCACAAAAGGGGCACUGAAUUAUUUAAUUUUGUAGGGCAGCUGCAGCUUGCGGAGUCCACACGGUGUUCAAUCUUAUCAAUUCCUCUGAGGCUCUGGACUUAUUGUUUCCAUAAUUCAACAAUUUUUUUUUGUUCUGCAUGCUCUCUCUUUCCCUUUUGAUCCGGUUUCCCAUGGCAGAGCUCUUACUCUCAGCUUUCUUUCAGGCUUUCUUUGGCAAGCUGGCUUCCCGUGAUUUGAUUAACUGAGGAGGGGUUGAUUCUGAGCUGAAGAAGUUUGAAAACACUUUGAAGAUGAUUCAGGCUGUCCUGAGGGACGCAGUGGAGAAGGAACUAACGAGUGAGACUGUGAAAUUGUGGCUGGACAAUCUCCCUAACUUGGCUUAUGAUGCUGAGGGCAUGCUGGACUAGUUCGAUACUGAAGCUUUGGGGCUUGUAAAUUAAAGAACCUAGUCCCUUCUUGUUUCAACAUUUCCGGUGGUUUCAACAGCUUCCGUAUGCUUUCUAAUACCUGGAGAAUUUGAAGCUCCGGCACUUAUGCUCCCAAGCCUUUAAAUCCCACAAACAUAUUCGGGGAAUUAGUGCAUGACAUUCAUUUGUGGUCUCCAAAAACAGGUUGAUGCCGGGGCGUUGAUACCGAACACCUCUGCAAUUUGGAUGCAGGGAAAUUAUUUUUUUGACACACAAGCUUCAAACUGUUAAAGCUCUACCCUGCAGGAAUGCUGUAUAUAUCAAAUUCCAAAAACAAAUUAGAAUUGCUGCUUCCUGUGAGGCACCAUACCAAGAUCUGCUUUUGUAUUCAUUCAAUCAGAUCAAUCAUAUGGAUUGUCAACUUUCAAGGUUACGAUGGACUAUGAGUGAACAGAGGAGUUGGAAGAAGAAUUAUUAAGAACAGAGCAAAAACUGAGAAUCAGAUAGAGGAAGUUGGCAAUCAUUGAAGAAGAGGCAGCCUACAUUGCUUUAGUUAAUGAUGAAAACUGUCAAGAUGCUCUUAGUUUGUAUGUUAAUAUGAUUGAAGUAUGGGAGAAAGUACAUUUGUCUAAUUUUUUUGACUUUAUUGCCCCCCCCCCCCAAAAAAAAAAAAACUCAAUCUUCAAAUCAAAAUCUCAUCUUCGAACCAACUUGAUAACAAAAUAUUAUUAUUGUUUGUUACUACUUGACAAGAAAUUGCUAAAAUGUUUAUUUAUUACGAAAAGUUUUGAACCAAGAUCAGAAAAUGACCAAUCUUGUUGCCACAAGACCUCACUAAACUCUCUGAUUAUUCACCAAGGGACAAAAGAAAUUAACAAUUGAAACAAACAGAAACGGAAUCAAAGAAAUCACAAAGAAAGAGCACACACAACAAUUAUAGAGGACUCAGGCAAAAAGGCUUUAUUGCCAUUUUUGGAGAAUAUAGUUAAUCCAGGUGCGUUGCACGUGCAUUAGCUGAAUCAAAAGGCAUUAUGGCCGUUACAAGAAGCGGGAAAGAUGUGUCUGGUAAGUGAGGGAUCUUUCCAUGUCAAUUGCGAGCUGUAUACAAAGCCUUUGAGGCUGGAGUUGGGUUUCUUCUGUAGCUUGUAAAAAUUUCUUCACCGCUGUAAUUUGUUCUUGAUUGAGAGGACGUUGGUUGGUGAUUGCACGUGCCUCGCAGGUGAGUCACUUAUCGCACACAGCUGACAUAUGAUCGUUGUCGUACGCAUCAUGUAUAAGACAACCGACAUGGCAUCCAGAAACGAUGGUACAGCUAGAGCUAGCAAAACGGAUCAUCGGGUCGUGUACGUGUCGUGUCAAAUUUAGGUCCACCUAAACCUAAUUCAUUUAAUAAUUGUGUCAAAAUAUUGAGACUCAAACCCGAUACGAAAAAAUAAUUGGGUUACCCAAUAACCCACUUAAUAUCUAUAAAUUAAAUAAAAAUUACAUUAAAUAUUUACACAUUGUCAUACAUACGUAUGCACAUGCAUAUAUACAUCCAUACAUAUAUACAUAAUUUAUCGAUAUUAUAAAAUAUACAUAUCUACUAAAAUAUUACGUACACUAUUGAUGUUUUAAUUAUAUAUAUGUAAAUAAUAUUAUAUAUCAAUAUUAUAAAAUAUACAUGUCUACCAAUAUUUUAUACAUUUACAUUAUUAAAGCUCUAAAUAUAUUUAAAAUUUUAUAAAUAAAAUAUUGUGUCUAUAUUCAUCCUUUUAAAGAAUAAAAAUAAAAAAGAAAAUUAUUUCUAAUAUUUGAGUUUUGAUGACAAGAAUCUGUAAUUUAUUUUAAAAUAGAAAAUAUAAUUAUGUCAUUGAUUAGAUAAAUGGGUCAAGAAUUUUAACCAUAACCUUAUACGAAAAAAAAUUAUAUUGACUCAGACCCAACUUAUUUAAUAAUCGUAUUAAAUUCGACGAUACAUACCUAUUUAUUGGUGUCAUACUCGUAUCGAGUAAUUAAAGUUUACCAGUUCUAGGUACAGCAACUCUUAUUUUCAUAAACAGCCUUUUUGUCUUCUCUCCUUUUUUAUUUUUGCCCUUUUUUAACUUUUUUUUUUUGUCCUUUUUUAACUAACAAUUAGUAAUACUACCAAUUACAUGUGACAACUGUAAGGAGUUCAUUGUCAACAAAAUAAUUGAGUCCAGAGAUUUGUUGUACCAUACUUGACAAAAUUCAACAUUCUAAUAAAUGCUGAAAAGUGGAAACGGAACAAUUGCAGAGCGCCGGUGGAGCUCACCCGGCUAGAAGAUUAACAAAUUUCCUCCAUUAUUGUAGCCUAAAGACUUUUGAAGGCUAGAGACUUGCUCCGAAAUUUCAGCAUCCAUUUAGAUCGAGUAAAAACCAUCUUUCUCGGACGAUUACGAAGCAAUGGCUGUUGAAGAGCUCUUACUGUCUGCCUUCUUUCAAGUGUUGUUUGACAGAUUGGCUUCUGGUGAUUUUCUCACCUUUGUGGGUCAACUUCGAGGCGGGCUGGAUUCCGAGCUCAAAAAGUGGGAAAAAACUUUGAUAAUGAUACAGGCUGUGCUCAGUGAUGCAGAGGAGAAGCAACUGACGGACAGGGCUGUGAAGAUCUGGUUCGAUGAUCUCCGAGACUUGGCUUAUGACGCAGAGGACAUUCUUGAUGAGUUUGCUACUGAAGCUUUGAAGCAGAAGACGAUGGCAGAAAAUUCGAACCACAGUCCUGCUUGUUUCAACUGUUUUAGUCCAAGUUCUGUCAAGUUUAAAAUCGACAUGGAUUCCAAGAUUAAAAGUAUCACUAGCAGGUUGGAUGAACUAUGUGCUAAAAGAAUUGUACUUGGAUUGCAAUUGAUUCCUGGAGGGAUAUCAAAUGCCUGGAAGCGAAGACCGCCGAGUUCAAGUGUGCCAACGGAACGGGCUGUCUACGGCAGAGAUGAGGAUAAGGCCAGAAUACUUGAAAUGGUGUUAAGUGAUGAUCCAACCGCUGACGCCAACUUUCGUGUAAUACCAAUUGUCGGCAUGGCAGGGGCUGGAAAAACAACGCUUGCUCGGGAGGUCUACAAUGACAGGGCUGUGCAAAAUUUCAAGUUUGAUGUGAAAGCAUGGGUUUGUGUUUCUGAUGAUUUUGAUGUUGUCAGCAUUUCGAGGGCUCUUCUCGAGUCAAUCACCUCCACAACUUGUGAUCUCAAGACGUUGAAUGAGGUGCAGGUUAAAUUAAAAAUUGCUGUGGAUGGAAAAAGGUUCUUGCUAGUAUUGGAUGACGUUUGGAAUGAGAACUACAACUUGUGGGAAAUCCUGAAAGCUCCCUUCAUGGCUGGUGCACCAAAUAGCAAAAUAAUUGUCACGACACGUCAUUCAAAUGUUGCAUCGACGAUGGGAUCCGUUGAACAUUAUAAUCUUAAGCUUCUGUCAGAUGAAGAUUGCUGGUCUGUUUUUGUGAAGCAUGCGUUUGAGAGUAGAGAUGCCGGUGCUCAUCAAUUUUCAGAAUUAUUUCGUAAGAAAAUUGUGGCAAAGUGCGGAGGCUUACCGUUGGCAGCAAGCACUCUUGGCGGCCUUUUACGCACUAGGCAUACUGAUGAUGCGUGGGAGGAUAUAUUGAGCAGCAAAAUGUGGGAUUUGCCUCAACAAACUGACAUUCUCCCCGUGUUAAGGUUGAGUUACCAUUAUCUUCCUUCUCAUUUGAAGAGAUGUUUCAGUUAUUGUGCAAUUUUCCCCAAAGAUUAUGAGUUCGAGAAGAAUGAACUUGUUUUUCUGUGGAUGGCUGAGGGUAUGAUUCAACAAUCAAGGACAGACAAACAAUUGGAAGAUUUGGGCAACGAUUUUUUUUGGGAUCUAUUGUCUAGGUCACUUUUCCAACAAUCAAGCAGAGAUGGUUGUAAAUUUGUGAUGCACGAUCUAGUCCAUGAUUUAGCUCAAUUGGUUUCUGGAGAAACAAGUUUCUGGUUGGAGGAGGCAAGUAAGCAGUUAAGAACAUUCAAAAGGAUUCGUCAUUUUUCUUAUCCUUGUGCUUAUGAAGAAGUAAAAGCCAAAUUUGAGGGUUUGGAUAAAGCCGCAGGUCUGCGGACAUUUUUGCCUCUAAAAGUAAGAUCAUCUUAUUUUUUAUAACCAACACGGUUCUUCUUGACUUGCUGCCAAAGCUCAAAAAGUUGAGGGUGCUAUCGUUAGAAGGAUACUACAUUGCUCAUUUACCUAAUUCUAUCAAAGAUUUGAAACUUCUAAGGUAUCUCAAUCUUUCUUGUACACUGAUCGAAAGUUUACCUGAGUCAAUAAAUUCACUGUUCAACUUGCAGUUUUUGGUGUUAAGAGGCUGUGAUCGUCUACAGAAGUUGCCUUCCAACUUGAGAAAUUUGAUUAAUUUGCAUCUUCUAGAUAUAAGGGGUGCACAUUUAUUAACAGCGAUGCCAUCGGGAAUGAAGAGAUUGAAAUAUCUGCAUACGUUGUCCGAUUUUAUUGUGGGUAAGGGUAUCGUAUCUGGCUUGAAAGAUUUGAAAAGUUUAACUCUCCUCUGUGGAAAACUUUGUAUUUGGAAAUUAGAAAAUGCGAAUAAUUCAUGGGAAGCAAGAGAAGCUUCAUUGUGCGAUAAGAAGUGUCUGGAGGCAUUGUCAUUAAAAUGGGGCUCUCCUUAUCAGUCACGAAAUGUUAAUGAUCAGGGAGCAGAAGAAAAUGUACUUGACAUGUUGCAGCCACAUAAAAAUAUAAAGAAGCUAGAAAUCAUGCAGUAUGGUGGCAGAAGAUUUCCUACAUGGUUAGGGGACCCAUCAUUCUCUAACAUGGUUGCUUUAAAAUUGAUAGGAUGUAAAAAUUGCACAUCCUUACCUGCUGUGGGGCAGUUGGUUUCCCUGAAAGAGCUUACAAUUGAAAGAAUGCUUGUACUCAGAAGUAUAGGGUCUGAAUUUUGUGGAAAGAAUUGCUCAAAGCCUUUCCAAUCCUUAGAGACUCUUUGCUUUAGUGGUUUGCCAGAAUGGGAGUUCUGGGAUACUGGCAACCAGACUGGGUAUAUUGAAAUAUUUCCUUGCCUCGUUGAACUGUCCAUUUUGGGAUGCCCCAAACUAUCUGGAAAAUUACCGGACCAUCUUCCUGCAUUGGAGACCCUUGUUGUCAGAUACUGUGAAGAGUUGUUAGUUUCAUUCUCAAGCUUUCCUUUGCUCUGCAAAUUGGAAAUUUAUAGAUGCAAAGGACUGGUUUGCAGCUCUCCUAUUGACUUUAAGUUGACCAAGUCUAUUACUAUUUCAAGCUGUUCAUUAGACAUAUAUGGAUGCAAAGGGAUGGUGUACAAUAGUCCACUUCACUCUAAAUCACUGUCGACUCCUGUGACUACUUCAAAUAUUUUAGAGUUUGGAAAAUUGUUAAAGCAGGGAUUUCUGCCAACAGAUUUCCUGGGGAUUGCCGAUUCUCAAGAUAUUGGGAUAUGGAGGCCACACCUUCAGAGUAUGCAUUUUGGGGAGGAGGCAGUACAAGGGCUACGGAUUAUCACCCUCCCUGAAGAGGUAUCACUUGAAGAAAAUUGCAUGAAUCUGGUUUCAUUUCCAGAGGUAAAAUUUUUCCCCAUCAAUCAGCUUAAACUUAAAUUUGAAAAUAGUGGAGCUUUAAAAUCCUUGCCUGAGGGAAUGAUUUACAACUGUGCACAACGGAAAAGUUUGACCAUUGAAGGUUGUGAUUCUCUAGAAUUCAUUGCAAGAGGCAAGCUGCCUUCAUCUUUAGAAGGUAUUCAAAUACGUGAUUGUAAGAAAUUGCAGUGUUUGGUAGUUGAUGAAGAGGAUGCUUCUGCUGCUUCUUCUUCAUUAUCUUCUUCAUCAAUGGCUCUCAAGUGGCUUGAUAUUAGCGGCUGCUCAGAGCUCACCAAUUUAUCAUCAAGAAGUAAACAAUUGCCAGAAGAGCUUGAAUUUCUCAACAUUGAGGACUGUCCAAAAUUAGAGUCAAUAGCCGAGAGCUUUCAUGGUAACGGACGUCUUAAACGGAUAGUCAUCUCCGAUUGUGGAAAUCUAAAAUCCAUACCGAAGGGCCAACAGAAUCUUAACUGUCUUAAGGAAGUCAAAAUCUUCAACUGUCCAAGUCUUGUUUCUUUUCCAGAAGGAGGGCUUCCCAACACUGUUACAGGUGUUUCUAUUGGCAGUUGUGAGAAACUUAAAGCCCUACCCGAAGACUUGCACAAGCUCCAUUACCUUCAAGAGUUAGAAAUCACGGAAUGUCCAAGUAUUGAAUCAUUUCCGGAAGCAGGCUUUCCUACCAACCUAACAUUACUUGCAAUUGCUGAUAUCAAAAUGUACAAGGCAAUUAUCCGAUGGGGCUUGCACAGGCUUACAUCUCUUUUACGCCUUUACAUACAAGGAGGUGAUAAUGCUGAGUCUUUUCCAGAUGAGAGGAUGGGAAUAAUAUUGCCAACCUCUUUAAAUAGGUUGAGUAUUUCUGGAUUCCCAAGUCUGAAAUGCCUAUCUGCAAUGGGUUUUCAAAGCCUGGUCUCUCUUGAAUUUCUGAGAAUAUCCAAUUGCCCGAAGCUCAAAUCCUUUCCAGAGGUAGGCCUGCCACACUCACUUUUGCAGCUGCACAUUCGAGAUUGUUCUUUGCUGAAAAAGCAGUGCAAAAGGGACAAAGGAAAAGAUUGGUCCAAGAUUGCUCACAUCCCUUAUGUUACGAUAGAUGGCAAAUUCAUCUUCGAUUAAAAAGAGAAAGAAUGAGCUCUGUUUAAUCUCAGAAUGAAGAAUUAAGAAUUGCCUCCUUUGUUCCCUUAUCUUCUAUAAUCAGGUAUGCCAAUUCCUAUUAUCCGGAUUACUAAAAACACAUUGUUAAAUUAUAAACAUAUUUUGAUUUUCAGUUUCAAGAUCAAUCCUCUGCCUUCAACUGAAAAUGGCACUAAAAUAUUUUCAUUUUUACUUUCUUAAGACACUAUGAUACGACAAUUUGACUUGAUGAUGCUGAAGGUUUUUUAUUGGUAAUGCACAAUUGGUUGGUACGUUUUCUGCUGGUUAUUUACAGGGUGGUUCAGUUGACUUUAGUACUUUGUAUCUGAAAAUUUCAAGUGAUUGUAAUACUUGUUUCCAUUUUCACUCAUCAGAAUUUGCUAUGUAUUUUAUGCAAUCGUACUUGUCAAAUGAAGUUUUCAUUUUAUGAUGAUCUUGAUGCUAACUACAUUUCCAACUCUUUUAAAUUUUUUGAGCUCUUGCUGGCGAAAGUCAAUGAGAAGAAGUUUGUGACUUUUCCAACGAUCAAUUCAAUUUGCUUCUAAGGAUAUAACAUUGGUCUUAACUUAUUUCAUGUUGCAGAUAUGAUUCUUUCUUUCUUCUGUUGUUAUUUCAGAGGCCAAGGUUGCUCACUUUGCUUGAGUUGACAUAGAAGGAAGCAUCAGGGAAGCUCUGAGACAAUCCACAUCAAAAUGUUCACCUGCACUUUCACAGUUUGGAAUGUACUACACUGCCUUCAAAAUGGACUUUUCGAAUCAAAAGGCAGAAAGGUAAUUAUACAGGGUUCAAAAGUCGGUUAAAAGUUAGUUUAAAAGCUUCUUAUUUUGUACCUGGAUCAUGGCAACAUUUGUUUCAUGCUUAUGGGCUUGAGAAAUUGACUUGCACAUGGAUCAUGGCAACAUUUGUUUAAUUUGGAUAUUAUUUGUUUUUAUACUGGCUUUUAGUUUAUUUUAGGUUCUCUGAGCAAAAUUUUAUCAUAAAUGCGAUUACUUGGAAAAUUCUAACACCAGUGUGUGUUUAAAAUGAAAUUGGGUCAUCUUAUCGCAAUUCUACGACCAAUCCAAAAAAAUCCCCAACAAGAAAAUCAAGGAAAUCAGAUCAAUUAGUGCAAGACUUGGCUUUGAGAAUAGAAGAAAACGAAACAUAAUCUUAUAUAUGGUGUCCAAAUAAAAGAAAAUUUGAGGACCAGUUCGGGAAAUCCCAAAUCAAAUUUUAGGAAGCUGGAUAACUGAUGCAGCGGAAGUUUAAAAUUCAAAUAUUCCGUUGAUUCUAGAGAAUACCGGAACAAAAGAACAACGAAAUUCAGGUUGAUUCAAAAAAUACCGCGAAUUUAAGGGUUAAGACUCGUUGAUUCCACAGAAUACUGAGAAUUAACUGUUUAAAUACUCACAAAGAGAUUUGAAAAUUGAAAUAUUAUUAAACUCAAAAUUCUACUUUCAAAGGCUACAAGAGGGAGCUAUUUAUAGUAGUAGUAAUUAUCUUAGUUCAUGAAGUAAAACAAAAUCCUAAAUUGAAAGGGAAACAAAAUUCUAAAUUAGAAAGGAAUUAAAAAGUCUUUAAACUUUAGUUAAUAAGGAAACUAAUCCUAGUAUAAUAUGGAUUCCUACUCUUCAUCAAUAACUUGCAGCCAGAAACCAAGUGAAUAAUAGAAUAAUUUGAGAGUUUUGUGGUAUGUAUUGUUAUGUCUAUAAUAGUAAUUUAAAUUUUGAACAAUUUUGUAAUAAAAGAAUUUUUUUUUUUUUACAGGUGGAUCUAAUGUGUGUUUUGGCAGAUUAAAAUAACCGCACCAUUUUUUACAAUCACAUAAUGAGAAAAAUUACCAAAAUCCCCUUUAUAUUCUUAGAGAUUAAUCGUUUUAGAAAUUCACUAAAUUUUUUUACAUUAAUUUUUUUAUUAAUUAUAUUUUAUUGAAGUAUCAAAUUAUUGCCACAACAUGCGAAAUCUUUUAAUGAGUUUUAAAACAUAAAGUAAAAAUGUUAAAUUUUAGCUAAUAUUAAUAAGAGUAGCAAUCUAUAAUUCAUGGGGUACAAAAUAGCUGGAUCUACCAUAUAUAUAAAAUCGAAGAAUAGGAAACAAGAAUAUUUAAUGUACACAAUUUUUUUUUUUAAACUGGCAACUUCAUUAAAAGGCAAAAACUACAGAGAAGUAAGUAACCAAGGAGGUGGAACAUGACUCCACUCCCCAAAGCCUGACAAAGAACCCCCCACUCGGGCAGCAACAUGGGCAGUGGUGUUCGCAAACCUUCGAACAAAAGAGAAUUCAAUAUCUCUUAUAGACUUAACUAAAGCUCUACAAUCAUCAAAAAUAAGACCAUAACCAUUAGGACAAUAAUAGUUCUCUGUAAGAGCUUUAAACACCUGAAAACAAUCCAUUUCAACUACAACACAAGACAAUUGCCGCUGCUUAAUCCAGCUGAGGAUCUCACGCACACCAAGCGCUUCAGCAUCCCUUGCCCCAUAACUACCCAGAACACACGUACAGCAAGCUGUCACAAAAAUCCCAUCAGAGUUGCGAAUGACCCCUCCAUAACUCACUUUCCCCUGAGCUGAAAAUAUUGCAGCAUCAACAUUACACUUAAGCCAUCCUAGAUGAGGUGGCAUCCAGCAAAUUGCCUCAUGACAGCCUUGGAUAGAAGUAGCAUUAAUGACACCAGAAUGCUGCCUCACAGUUUGCCAUUGAAACAAAUAAUUCUCAGUAGAGUUAAGGACAUGACGCACACUACAGACUUUGUUAUUCCAAACUUUCUCAUUCCUGUGAUACCAAAUCCUCUAGUAUAUCAUGGCAACAAGGUUACACAUCUCUUUAUUACAGCAAGUAAAAACUUGCUCCAACCAAUCAAAAAAUAAAGGUUGAGAACCAAUUAAACCAAGGGAAGAAGUUAGCCAACAUGUUUGAGCAAAAACACAGUUCACCAAAGCAUGCACAACAGUUUCAUUUUGCUGAUUGCAAAGAGAACAGAUAGACAUUACCUCGACUCUCUUCCGAAUAAGAUUAUCGGUUAUGGGAAGCACAUUCAUUGCGGCUCGCCAAAGAAAGAUCUUCACCUUACUAGGCACCUCCAAGUUCCAAACUUUCCUCCAAACACCAGAUGAAGGGGCGAUAACACAAUUAUUAAGCAUUCUAUAACAACUGCGAACAGUAUACAACCCAUGGGGGUCUGCCAUCUAGUACCAUACAUUCUUGUCUCUUCGAGAAAUAAGCGGGAUUUGCAAGAUGAGAUUCCGGUCUCGAGUAUCAAAAAGAUCUGACACUGCAUCGUAGUCCCAUCUACGCUGUCCAGGGACCAUCAAACUGCUGACCGGUGCUGUUGCUAAUAUUUCAUUUAAGCUAGUGGAAAUAAAACCAUUAGCUGCAUCUGGAAGCCAAGGAUCCGACCCAAUAAGAGUGUUCUGACCACUGCCAACCUGGAUCCUACUACCACGAACAAUAAUAUGCUUGGCUGCCAUUAAAGAUCUCCACACAAAACUUGGAUUAUGACCUAAGUCAGCCUCUACAAUAGAUGUGCGAGGGAAAUACCGAGCUUUGAAAAUUUGGCCAAUAAGAGAUUUCAGAUUCGUUAACAGCUUCCAAACUUGUUUCCCCAACAUUGCCACGUUGAAAUCGUGUAGGUUUUUUAAGCCAAUUCCUCCAUUGGUCUUCGGCUUACACAGCAAAUCCCAUUUCAUUCAGCGAAUACCACCUCUCCCAUCACGUCUACUUCCCCACCAAAAUGAGUUCAUCAUAGUUUCUAGUUCUUUGCAAAGAUCAAGAGGCAAAAGAUAAACCUGCAUAGCAUAAUUAGGGAUAGCUUGAGCCACUAUUUUUAACAGAAUUUCCUUGCCAGCUCCCGACAACAAAUUCAUACUCCAGCUGUGAAGCUUCUGCCACACCCUACCUCGGAUGGAACUGAAAACUUCUUUCUUGUUCCUGCCAAUAAAAGAGGGUAAGCCAAGAUAAGUACCAUGGUUAGCAGUAGCAUUAACCUCCAAUAUAUGGCAAAACUGCUCCUUUACAUCUUCAUUAACAUUCAAACUAAAGGAAAUUGAGGAUUUGCUGAAGUUCACCAUCUGUCCUGACGCCUGACCAUACACCCCGAGAAUGCACUUAAUCAAAUGAGUUUCCCUUGGUUAGCCUUGAAAAACAGAAAACAGUCGUCCACGAAGAAUAAAUGAGAUACAACAGGGGCUCCUCUAGCUACCUGAACCCCGUGGAGCAAACCAGCAUGUUCAUUCUUACGGAUUAAAGCACUUAAACCCUCCGCACAAAGAAUGAAUAAGUACGACGACAAAGGGUCCCCUUGACGAAGCCCUCUACUAGGAACAAUAGGUCCAAUCUCCUUCCCAUCCCGAAUAACAUGAUACCGAAAUGUAGAAACACAUAGCAUAAUCAAUGUCACCCAUUUAGCAUCAAACCCCAGCCUAAGCAGCAUAGCUUCCAAGAAUGCCCAUUCAAUUCGGUUAUAUGCCUUCGACAUGUCGAUUUUAAGAACAGCUGCCCCAACAUUUCCUUACCGUUUCCUCUUUAAAAAAUGCAUAAUUUCAGAGGAUAUAAGGAUAUUAUCGGUUAUGGCUCGACCCGACACAAAAGCACUCUGAGAUUCAGACACUACAGAGCCCAGAACAGUUUUCAUUCGAUUUGAGAGCAUUUUAGCGACAAUCUUAUACAAAAUAUUGCAUAAAGCAAUAGGCCUUAUAUCCGAUAGUGACUUUGGUUUUGAUUUCUUGGGGAUCAACAUAAUAGAUGUGUCAUUUAAGCCCUCAGGAAAUGAGCAAGUAGUAAUAAAAUUUAAACAUGCCUCAGUCACAUCCUCACCAAUAUUAAGCCAAAAUCUCUGAUAAAAGGCAAGGUUCAUACCGUCGGGACCUGGUGAUUUGUCCGGGAGCAUUUCGAAGAGAGCCCCUUUAACUUCACUAGCUGAAAAAGGUUCGAGUAGCAAAUUGUUCUGCUUAGCAGAAACUUUUAUCUCCACACAAUCUAAGAUUUCAUCAUUUUGACAACCAUCAGAAGUAAUAACUUGGAGAAGUAGUCAGAAAUCAAACCAUUUAUUUCAGCCGAGGUGAUACACCAGUGUCCUUGAGCAUUGCGGAGAGUCGUAAUAGAAUUCCUUCGCUUUCUUGCAGUAGCCGUAGCAUGGAAGAAUCGAGAAUUCACAUCCCCCUCCUUGAGCCAAAGCAAUCUUGACCUCUGUUUCCAGAAAACCUCCUAACUGUGAAGAAGCUCAUUAAACUGCUUCCUAACCUCUGUAAACUCCUCAAGACCAGCUGAAUCACGACGCCCCCUCAAGAGGGUCAUCCAUCUUCUACACUUGGAAAUACGAUUUUGGAAAUCCUGAGCUAAGUGACCUCCCCACUGAAGUAAAGUAGUCCCACAAUUUAAGAUUUUUUGUUGAAUUGGAAACCCACUCGAGGAAGACCAGCUAGACCGAACCACCUCUGUACAAUCAGCCUCUCUCAGCCACAUAUUUUCAAAAUGGAAUCUUUUAUGCCUUCGGGAAUGAACUAAAGGGUUUGGGUCUAUAAAAAUAGGCAAAUGAUCUGAGGUAGAAAACUCCAGGCUCCAAACCCGAGCUUCCUUGAAUUGGCUUAUCCACGAAUCAGUGGCCAUAACUCUAUCCAACCUUUCCUCCACCCAAUUUUCCGUCCCCCGAGACCGCUUCCAUGUAAAUUGAUAACCCUUCAUACCGAUGUCAAUUAAUCCGCUAUCAGAAACAGCUUAUUUAAAUCCCUGCAGCUUCCAAUUGGGAUGCUCAUGCUUUCUCGCUUCUCAUGAGCAGCUAAAAGGUCAUUAAAGUCCCCAAUGCACACCCAAGGAAGAGAGGACACAAUAGAUAAUGUGCGAAGGAGGUUCCAAGAUUCACGCUGACGACUGGAUUCCGGGAAACCAUAGAAGCCCGUCAUCCUCCACUUUCCAAGCUCUUGAUACUCAACCUCCACAUCAAUACAAUUUCUAGAGAAUUUUAUUAAUCUCACUUUGCUGCUUGCUUUCCAAAAGAGGGCAAUCCCUCCACUUCGGCCCAUUGGCUCAACGGCAAACAACCCCUCAUAGCCCAACUUCUUUUUUAAGCUUUCUAAUUUAUUUCUAUUACAAAGAGUUUCAAUAAGGAAAAUAAAAACUGGGUUCUUACAUUUGGCCCAUUCCUCCAGCAUUUGAACUGUCCGUGGUUGGCCCAACCCAGGGCAGUUCCAACUUAGGACACUCAUUUGUCUCGGAGGGCCUGAUUUACAGGGCCCACCGCUGGUCCAUUUUUUGAUUCAAGUGGUAAAAUCAUCGCUUGGGAAGAUACCUCUCCUUCAAAGCCCAUUUUGCAUUACAAUCCAGCUUGUGACCGUCUCCUGUUGGAAUCAGUAACAAUUAUUCCUUCAUCCAUAUCAUCCCUAGAAUCCGGAUUGAUAUCAAUUUCAUUUACUGUCCCCGCAACUUGCUUUCCUUUCACACGUGAUAGAGUCUUAGUAGACACCAGACUGUCACCUUCCUUAUUAACUACCAUGCUCCCCACAUCCACGUUCUCCUCAAUAUUCUUAGUGAUAGCAUGCCCCAGAUUUGCGGCAAGAAUUGGGCCAAUUGCCAUGGUAACUGCGAAGUCCCCGUACCUUCUUUUUUCCUCAUCAGCUUCCACCGGCGGUACAGAUCUCAGCCACCGUUCGCCAGAAUUCAUCGCAUUUCUUCUAUUUGGUGCCUUCAUCUAGUGACCAUAAGCUUUCACAAUCUCCCCAGGAGGGCAUUCAUACAAUUGGGGACACUGCUUUUCGGUAUGGCCAAGAAAUCCACAAAUAAAACAAAAUAUGUUAAGUCGUUCAUAUUUAAAAUCCACCCAAAUCCAAUCUCCGCCUGCCUUCUUUAACUUCAUCCUUCUCUUCAGAGGUUUUCUAACAUCUAUAGACACUCGGAUGCGCAUAUAGUUUUGCCAAACCCCCAUUAGGUUAUGCUCAUUAGACUCCAAAAAAGUGUCUAUGUAAUUGCCAAUGUCUUUUAAAAUUUUCGUAGACAUAAAUCCUAUUGGCAGGUUGUAAAUCUGGAUCCAAAACGAAGUAAAAUAAAGUGGGACAUUACUAGGUUGUUCGUUCUCCUCCAGCCGCUUAACAAGCAGAAUAUGUUGAUCAAACGUCCACGGUCCUGAGUCAAGAACCCUUUUCACAUCCACUUCAUGAAAGAAUUGGAAUAGAAAGAGCGUGGGAGAUAAAUCUUUAAUACAGACUCCCUUCCCUGGCCUCCAUAAUGAAGCCAUUGUAUUCUUCAUGGCAGGGAAAUUAAUAACUUUAUCCGUAAGAAAUCUGCCCACCAGACAAAAUCGAAAAUCAAUACUCACUGGACCACCCUCAUUACCAGCAUCUCCUUCUACAAUGAGCCCCCCUUCCUCCUCCUCAUCCAAACUGAUAUGAGCAUAACCAUUAUUAAUCCUGAUCUCCAGAUUUCCUUCAGACAUCGCCAUUGACAAAUAGAGAAAAAGACAAGAAACUAACUAGAAGAGUUUAAAUUCUGCAAAAAAUAUGAAAGGAACUUGUCAUACAAACAAGACGAGACAAAACUUGUACCAAGACAAGACGAGACAGGUAUUUAUAGGUUGAAAUACAUCAAUAAAAAUACUGCUUUGGUCUCUUGAGAUUUUUUUCUCAUUUAAUUUUUGUGAUUUUUUAAUGUACACAAUUUUUAUUUCCACUUACUUGCAUUUUUUACAUUCCUACUUUUUCUUCGUUUUAGUUGGGGUGUUAGAGAAAACCAUAAUGGAUAUAUACUUAUUACAGUCAUUGUAGCGGUCCACAACAUUCUUGCACCACAUUAAAAAAGUGAGAGAGUAACUAAGAAAAAACUAGAAAAUUCACUUUUUUUUUAUUAAGUUGAAUUUCUUGCACAGUCUCAUUUCAUUAUUCAAAAUUUUUAACUUACUCCAAUAUUUUAAUAUUAUUCUAUAUUUAAAUAUAUAUUUCUAGUUAGGGAUGGCAAUGGGGAGGGGAGGGGAGGGGACCAAUCUCCCCAUACCCAUCCCCGAUAUUUUGCGUAUACCCCCAUCCCCUCCCCGUCCCCGUCAGAAUUGCUUGAGAGAAUCCUCAUCCCCUCCCCGAAUAAUAACAGGGGAUCCCCAAGGGUCCCCGGUCCCCGAAUAAUUAAUAGUCUAAUACAUUUUUUUAUUUUCGAUUUUAAAUUAAUCAUAUUAAAAUAAAAAAUUCAGAUAAAAAUAAAGUUCAAAAUAUAUCUUACAUUAAUAUUGAUCCAUUACAAAGUCACAUUCAAAAUAUAAAUUAUUAAAAUAAUUAUCUUUGUCAAUGACUCAAUUUUCAUAAUCUUACAAUAAAAAGAAAAAAAAAUUAUUUUUAUAUCGACAAUAAAAUAAAUGAAAUAAAUGUAGAUACUUAAUUAAUAUUUUUAAUAAAACUAUUUACCUCAUGCUCCUCCUGUUCUUCCUCGAGAAAUGUGGCAAAUUGAGAGAUAGUCUCAGAUUUCAAACCUAAAACAAUGAAAAUGAUAUAAGUAACGUAACUUAUAAGUGCAAAUAUUAAUAAUUGUAUAAUAUAAUUACAAUGUAAAAUAAACUCAUACUGCUAUUGUAAGCUCAUAACCAACUUUGACAGCACAUUAAGGCCUCCAAUGUGCUUGGAUGAAGUUUGUUACGGUGUGGGCUCACAACUCUACCACCGGUGCUAAAAGCUGAUUUAAAAGCAACUAUUAUAAUUAGAAUUGCUAAAAUAUCUCUAGCAAUUCGAGCUAAUGUAGGAUGCCUAUUAGCGUUUGUCUUCCACCAACUCAAAAUAUUAAAAUCUUCCAUCCGGGGUAUAACUUUCUCAUCCAAAUAUGAAUCUAAUUCUUCUGCAACAACUGCACAAUCUCCAUUGUUUACAUAAUCAUCAAAACCUGUCAUCCAUUUGGUUGCUUUCUUAUAAGAAUCCCCUGUAGAUCUAGUAGAAGAACUACUACCAAUAUAAUCAAAGCAAUAAACAGUUGGUGAAAACUUCAAUUGAUACUCUUCCACUAAUUCCCGACAAAGGGUGACCACUUUCCCAAUAUACAACUCUUUAACAUCAUCAUAAACCAUAGAAAAGUAAUAUUCAAUGAACUUCUUUUUAUACCUUGGAUCAAAUAUACAUGCCACACUCAAAAUUCCACUCAUAUCUUGCCAAUAUUUAUAAUUUUGUUAUUUAUUUAUUAGUAAUUUUAAAAAUAAAAAUAAAAUUAAAAAUUAAAAUGGGGAAAUGGGUAGGGGAUGGGGAUUCAACCUCAUCCCCGUCCCCUCCCCGAAUAAAAAAUUGGGUAAAAAAUUUUUCCCGUCCCCUCCCCGAAUAAAAAAUUGGGUAUAAAAUUAUCCCCAUACCCUCCCCGAAUGGGGAAAAUCCCCGAGGGUACCCGUCCCCGUGGGGAUUUUUGCCAUCCCUAUUUCUAGUGAAUACAAAAGGUUUUGAAAGAUGAUACAAUGAAUAUGCCUUUUGAAGAAAAAAAAUGGUAAAAAAGAAAUUAUACAAAAAUUUAGAAAACAAAAUUUUUUUUAGGUGUUUCAUGCAUCUAAAUGUGUUAUAAAUGUGAAAAAAUAAAUUGAAAGGAUCUUUCACAAAUCUUUUGAUUUGAGAAGAUGAAAAUCUAUAAAUGACACUUGAAUAAAUCGGGUUUAAGAAAACAAAAAAAAAUAUUGUUUUUCCUAGUAUAUAUGUAUAUAGCUUAAAUUAUAAUUUUUUUUUCUUUUCACCCAAUAGCUUUAAAAUCUAAAAAUCAUUUUUUUAUUAAAAAGAAAAGAGGUUGAAUAGAGAGUGGAAUUGGAAACUUGGUGGAAUUGGAAACUUCUUUAAGUUUGAAGUUUUUGGGAGUGACAGAGAACGAACAGCUGAAUAGCAUUGAGUGCAAACAAUUGGAGUGGCUUUGGCUUUUUGUAGGAUUUCAUUGUUCAUGUUACUUAUUCGACACCUGGCUUCUCAUGGGUGGAAUUUGUUGAUUUUUACAACUCACUUCACUAUUCACAUGCAACUUUAGCAACUUGGUACACAUGGCUUUGACAUGGGUUGAGUUUGUUGUAAUGGCUUGUCGUUGGUGGAGUCCUUUCUGUAAUUUGUUAUUGACGGUAAAGGCAAACGAUUUGGACUAAUUUCCACAUGGGAACUUUAAGAGUGAAAUUUUGUUGCAGAUUGACCUGGUCAAGGUUACUAGGAGUGGUCUUAAGUUCAGAUUGACAUAAUGGUAAUAGACGAGGAAGAGGAAGAGACGAGGUUCAACUCGCAGAUGUAGCUUGAUGACGGAGCAGCUGGCGGAUUUUUAUUUCUUAUUACUCCCUCAAGUUUAAUUAAUUUCACAUAUUCGUUUUUACGUUUGAUCUUGGCACAUGUUUAAUUUUAACUAAAUAGAGAACCAGAAAAGAGCAGAUAAUUAGGGCUGAGAGAUCUACAUGUACAAUUAAAGACUCCUUAAAAUAAAUGAUUUCAAUACAAAAAGAUAAGGUUUAGGAGAUUAUAUUUACAAUUGACAGUUUACUAAAGGACCGACUAAAAAAUAAACAAUAAAAAGAAUUAACUUUCUAUAAAUUUUAGUAAGUUUACUUUUUCGAUUCUUUUUUUCUUUAAUUUUUUAUGAAUAAAUAUUUUUUUUAUCAUUUAAGAGAACGGACUAUCUUUAUUUUAAAGAAUAAGAAUGUCUGCCCAAAAAAUGAAACUCAAACCCAAAGGUAAACCACAUCUGCCAACUGCCAUUGAGAAAAAGGCUGUAGCAGAACAAUAUCAGCAAAAUCAUUAAAUUAAUUAUUAAUUGGUUUACAAUAAGAGGGUGAUGUUUCAUCUUACAGAAGCAAGGGGCAAAGCCAAUCCACCACUAGACUGGCAAAUCAAACGAAUACACAACUCUGCAACCACAGAAAAAAUCUUUAAAAUAGAGCAGACAUAAGAAAAGAUUUACAUUCAUUCAACUUUCAACCUACUGAUAUGUUAUAUGUAGCCCUCCAAUCUCCUUUUCUUUCGGCUUUGCAAAUUGUUUUUAGCCAAAAAUAUACUUGGAUCUGUCGGAUCUGAUGACACGAACACUUUUUAAGUGUUCAUCUGUCUGCUUUUUAAUCUAACUUCUUUUUAACUAAUGAUUAUGUUAUACGUAUGGUGUUAAUCUCAUCAUCGUUUAACUUUUUAAUCGAAUAAUGAUUAAUGCUUCAACGUACUACAAUUCAGAAAGAAUGACAAUUCCAUCCCUCCUUUCUUUUUUGCCCUUUUUUUCUUUUGGCAUCACUUAGGUUUCUUGUAGAUUUUUAGUACCUCAUCUUAUCAAUGACUAAAAAUGUCAAGUGAAGAAUUAUGCGGUUGAAGAUAAAAUAAUAAAAACAUAAUAAAACUGGGCCAGUUAACGAGGUCCUUUUAUGCCGACGCGACGUGAUUGUGCAUGUAUGAAAUAUUGUACUGAACAUUGAUGAGCCAUUGUCCAAAUCAAUAACUGGACCAGUUAUUGAGGCUGGCAUAGUCUCUAUUAACAAGGACUAGCCCAAAGUAUCACUCAAUCUAGGCUUCAGCAGUUGCCAUCCCAAAUCCGAUCAAGUGCUCUAUCCUAAAACCAAGAGUGGACCUUCUAACAUCCUUCAAAACUCUUAUAAAACCUCUUUUUUUUUUUUCUUUUUUUACAAUUAUUAUUAUUCUUAUUUUAAUACCAAAAUACCCUUUUCUCAUUAAAUUCCAUUUAUAAUUAUUUUAGUUUAUUCUAAUUUAAUUAUUUUAAGGCGUUAUUUGGUAAUGAAGUGUUGUACAGUUGUGAAAAAAAAUUAUAACUAUAAAAUAAAAAUUAAUAAUAUACAGUAAAUAUAAUUUUUAAAUAAUAAUUUUAACAAAAUCAAUAAAGAUAUACUACAUUUUUCAUCAUACAAAUUUAAAAUCUAUUUAACUUAUCUUCAAAACUAUGGUUGUUAAUAUUUACUAAAUAUUUUAAUAUUGUAAAAAUUACAGUUGUCCAAUCUUAAUCUCAAACAAAGACCUAAAUUAGAUAGAGGCGAUGAGUUGCAAAACUAUGUAAAGUUAAGUGGAGCUUCUCGAUGGUUCCUCCAAUCGCGGUCAUGAUAGCAAACGUUGAACUUGGAAAAACAUAAGCUGCCAAACUCAAUAAGCAUUUGCUAAAGAUAGUACAUCAGGUGGUUUUAAAACAAGUAUUUUUCUUUUUCUUUUUUCUUUUUUCUUUUUGUCAAUCUUCUUACCCAUGAAACAAAUCAAUGUCUUACUUUUGGUCUUUUGGAUAGAUGAGUCACCAAAAAAAAAAAAAAAACAAAGCACUCGUUGAUUUUUCAGAUUUUAGAGAGAUAGAAACGAUCGAAGAGUUUGUAGAGAAAAUAAAAAUAUCCUGGGUGUGUUGAGUUUGAAGAGGGAGAAGCAGGUGGGCGAGUUUGUUCUUCAAUAGCGGGGUGUUAAUAGCUGUAAUGUAAAGCAAAUAGAUUGUCCCUUAAGCCCAUUCAAACUGGGCCUAUAUCUAAGGAAUAAGUAGACUUUAAUUCUCAAGCUGAUUUGGGGGAAACUGGGCCAGGCUGGCUUCGUUUUGUUUUUUGUUUUCUCUCGCGAAUAAAAUUUACCAAUUUAAAGUAAGGUUAUGACUAUUUUAAAAUUGCUCUAAAGUAGAGUAAGAAUCACAAUCACAUAUAUAAAGUGAUAAAUAAUAAAAAACUCAUUAUAAUUUUGAUCGUGUAGUUAUAAAAGGUUGAUCUACCUUAAACGGUUCCACAUAAUCGGACCCAAUUAGUUAUAAGCGUAAAAUUUCACUAAUGCGGUGUGCGUUUUCACGUGUCAAAAUUAUGAUUAUUGAUUUAUUGCUAAAUAUGUAGUGCAUUAUGAGCGCAAAAUAUCUAAAUCGUACCAUUUUUAUAAAUCUAAUCUAAUCUUCUGAGGAAUUAACAAAUUUCUAAUUGAGAAUAUAAUAGAUUAUAUUGUAAUUCAAAAUAAGAAUGUACAAAUGUGAAACAAUAAGUUAAACAGACGAGUGCAGUCUUCACAUAAAUUUUUCUCCGCGCACACAUUGCCAACCUGGAAAAUCUACUCAACUAAUACUUCCUUCUCUUUACUGUUGCAUUGAUUUUAGAAAGUUAAUUUUAGGGGUCUUGCUUCAAUGCCCCAGCUUCACCAUGGUAACAAGUUUUUCAUUGUCCUUAACAAAUUAUUCAUGCAUAAUCACUGAUUCACUAUAUUAUCUUUAUACGUAACAUGUUUUUGUAAUAGAUAUAGUAAAUUUUAUAUACAACGAAAAAGCUAUUAUCAAUUUAAAAAAAAAAAAUUGCAGACGUUUGUAGUACGCAACAUGCUGCACCAUAAUCGGACCCUAAAUUAUUAAAAUAAUAGAUAAAUUAAUAAAUAAAUAAAAUUUACAUUUUAAAUAAAAUAUUUUAUUUUGUAGUAUAUUAAAAUACGUGUUUUACUUAUUUAAAGAAUCUUUCGUUAUAAAUUGUUCUAUGCAUAUUUUAAGUUGGCCCAUUUUGAUAACAUAAUAUUUGCAUCACUGCAUGCAUGAACUUGAUCACUAACAUUUAUGUUAUAUGAGUCGCAUCUGAUGAAAAUUCNNNNNNNNNNNNNNNNNNNNNNNNNNNNNNNNNNNNNNNNNNNNNNNNNNNNNNNNNNNNNNNNNNNNNNNNNNNNNNNNNNNNNNNNNNNNNNNNNNNNNNNNNNNNNNNNNNNNNNNNNNNNNNNNNNNNNNNNNNNNNNNNNNNNNACGUGGCCCUCAUGACGUCAAGGUAUAAAUCGUCGCGUGACAGUGAUUUAAUGGGGAUGCCUAAUGGACCAGCAACGUUCAACACUGAUGGUGUGUUUACUUCGUGGAAUAGAGAAUGAAACCCAUGUUUACUUGGUAAAAUAUAAUUUAGAAAUAAAAAUAAAAUGUAUGGUUCCCACACAAUUUAGGAAUAAGAAAUAGAAAUCUCAUUCCCAUAAAGGGUUUGGAAUGAAAUUGAGGGAAUGUGAAUGGAAUAUAUGUUUACUUUUGUAUUCCUCUACUUUUUUCAUAUUUUCCAAAUUACCCUUAUUCAAAUCAUAAUUAAUUUUAUUAUUUUAAAUGUCAUUAAUAAUAAUAAUUAUUAUUAAUAAAUUUUAUUAACUUUAUUAUUUUAGUUAUUGUUAAUUAUUAAUAUUAUCAUUAUUAACAAUAAAAAUAAUUAAUUUAUCAUUAUUAACAAUAUUAUCAUUAUUGUUGUUGUUGUUAUUAUUAUUUUUAUUAAUAAUGUGAAGACGUUAUUAAUUAAUGAUAAUAUUAAUAAUUAGAUCGGCACAAAUUUCUUAUUCCAAAAGGCUGAAGGUAGAUCGGCACAAAUUUCUUUUUCAAUUAGAUCUUUAAAAUCAGAGAUUUUCUUUUGGAUGAAAUCAUUUUGUAAUAAUAUAAUAAUAAUAAUAAUAACAAUAAUUAAUAAUAACUAAAAUAAUAAAGUUACUAAAAUUUAAUAAUAAUAAUAUAAUUUUCAUUAUCUAGAUACAUGUAUAAAUAUUAUUGUAAAAAUGAUAUUAAUUAAAAAUUCACCACACCCACAUGGUGUCGGGGGGGAGGAAUUAUUCCAUGACUUUGAAAUAUUCAUCUUUAGUUUUGGCACUAGCCAGGAGAGAUUGGGCUUUGGAUUUUUGGGUUAGGAAGGUUUGUUGGACUUUGGAGUCUUUAAUGGUUUGUGGUAGAAAGCCUUUUGAACAAAGCCAAUUUUUGAUAAGGGAUUCAGUCAAUUUGGUUUGUUCAUCGAAUUUUGACCACCACUUGACUUUGAAAGUUCUUUGUAUGAUGAGUUGUUUUUCAUGAGUAUGAAAUCUGAAAUUCCACAUCCAUACCCAUGGGAGGAAGAAAUUGGUACAAAAACAGAGGAAGGGAGAAAACCGUUUCUCUGAAUCUGAAGGGGAAUAAUGGGUUUUGAAAAAGUUUAAACAAUGAGUGGCAUUUGGAGUUAGGAUUUGUGGUGUUGGACUAAAAAAAUUCCACCACUGUUGGAACCAAUUUGGAAGACUUUGGACGGUUAUUUUUUAAUUGAAGAAAAAUAACCAUGAAUGAGACUUUUUUGGGUUUUGUAAGAAAAAUGUGUUGAACCAAGCUUGCUGGUAGUCCCAAUAGGAAUAGGCCAGGCAGUGUGGUAAACGCAUUUGAAAACUUGGAGGGAAAGUUUUGAAUUUGUGGAGUUGGUCACCCCACUGGUUUGAGCUUAAAACUUUUAAAAUAGUGGUCGUGGAGUAGGCCGGCUCUGAAUGGGUUUCACUGAGAAAGAAAUGUUUAAAUUUUACAAACUCAGUGGCUUCUAAAAUGCUUUGAUAAUAAGGCUGGGGUUUUGUUAAAUCCCAUGGUUUAAAAAAUCAGCCUUUAAGAAAAAACUUUGAGAUUGCUUGGAAAGGAUCAAUGUGGUAAAAUUCAUCUUCUAUAGUUAAAACAUUUUGAAAAUGGGUUUUAUCAUACCAAUCGGAAGUUUUAUUUGAAGGUGUUGGCUGGGAAAGAACAAUCUGAGAAGAUGAACUUUCACUAGAAAGAACAACAGUUUGACUUUGGGAAGAAGACUUUGUAAUUUCUUUAGAAAUUGGUUUUUCUUCCUCAAGGAUCNNNNNNNNNNNNNNNNNNNNNNNNNNNNNNNNNNNNNNNNNNNNNNNNNNNNNNNNNNNNNNNNNNNNNNNNNNNNNNNNNNNNNNNNNNNNNNNNNNNNAGAAAGGGCUUUAGAUUUUGAGAUGCCUUGUAAGGCAAGCAUAAGCUCAGGGGACUUUGUAAUAGAUUCCAUCCACUCUUUGACUUGUUGUUCAGAGGAGAUGGAUUUGUACUGGGUUCCUUGAUUUUCUUCAACCAAUUCAAUCCAGGAUUUAAUGGGUAUGGCUGAAGAAAGUAAUUUUUCUUUAGAGGGAGUAGAUUGAGGUUCUUUGGAGGUUUUUGUAGGUUCGGUAUCUUUGAGAACAGCUUUACCUUUGUCUUUUUUCUUCGGCAACAUUAUCUACUUUGCAAAAAUUCUCUGGUUAGAAAAUCAGGAAUAAAAUUUGUAUCUCCUUUAAUGAACUCAAUAUCAAAAUCAAAAACACUUAAAAUGGCUUGCCAUCGUGCAAAAAAUUGUUUUGAUGCAAUGUUUUGAACAUCUUUUUCUAAAACAUAUUUUGCAGCUUUGCAAUCGAUUCUAAGUAGAAAUUUUUGAUUUAAUAAAUCAUGUUGGAAUUUUGAAAUGCAUAAAAUAAUGGAAAGAAUUUCUUUUUUGAUGGUUGAAUAAUUCUUUUGGCAUUCAUUCCAAUGUACAGAAACAUACUGAACUAUCUAUUCCUUAUCAUUAUCUUUUUGCUUUAAUAUUCCUCCAUAACCUAAAUCAGAUGCAUCAGUUUCAACAAUUUUAGGUAAUGCAGGAUUUGCAAGAAAUAAACAUGGGAUGCUUUUUACAGAAUUCUUUAUAAGUCUAAUUACUUUAGUAUGCUCAUCGGUCCAGGCAACAGGAUUCUUUUUUAACCUAUCAUGCAAAGGUUUGGACAUCCUAUUGAUAUUUGGACAGAAAUCAAGAACAUAAUUUAGACUUCCUAGAAAUCUUUGUAAUUGAGUUUUAUCAAGGAUUUUAUCAGGAAACUUGUCUGCAAAAGCAAGAGAACGCUCAAUAGGGGUAAUGGUUCCUUUGGAAAUAUGGUGACCUAAGAACUUGAUCUUUGUAUGAAACAAAGAGACUUUAGACUUAGAGAUUGCUAAACCAGCUUUUCUAGUAGCAAGGUAAAAGGUCUUUAGAUGUUUAAAAUGUUGGUCGAUGGUUUGAGAAAAAAUCAAAACAUCAUCGAUAUAAACAAUGCAAAAAUCAGAAUAAGGGUUAUAAAUGUCAUUCAUAAUUCUUUGAAAUUCUGAAGGCGCAUUUUUCAACUCAAAUGGCAUAACAGUCCACUCAUACUGUCCAAAAGGAACAGUAAAAGCGAUUUUAUAACGGUCUUUUGGAUGAAUUUGAAUUUGCCAAAAACCCGAUUUCAUGUCAAAUUUCGAAAAUAUGAAAGCAGAAUGCAGUUUUUGAAGCAAAUCCUUUUUGUUAGGUAUUGGGUACCUAAUCCAUUUUAAUGCUUUAUUAAGGGGUUUAUAAUUUAUGACUAAUCUUGGUACUCCUCUUUCAAUUUCAGAAUUUUUGUUUACAUAAAAAGCGGCACAAGACCAUGGGGAUCUAGAUUUUACAAUGAGUCCUUUAGACUCCAAGUCUUUUAUUUCAGUUCUACAAUGUUGUUCCAAAUCCAUAUUUAUUUGGAUUGGACGAACUUUAGUAGGUAUCUGUUUUUCAUCAAAAGAAUUCUCGUAAGGCAAAUCUACUAAAUGUUGUUUCCUAUUCCAAAAGGCUGAAGGUAGAUCGGCACAAAUUUCUUUUUUAAUUAGAUCUUUAAAAUCAGAGAUUUUCUUUUGGAUGAAAUCAUUUUGUAAUAAUAUAAUAAUAAUAAUAAUAACAAUAAUUAAUAAUAACUAAAAUAAUAAAGUUACUAAAAUUUAAUAAUAAUAAUAUAAUUUUCAUUAUCUAGAUACAUGUAUAAAUAUUAUUAUAAAAAUGAUAUUAAUUAAAAUAAUAAUAAUAAUAAUAAAUGUUAAUAAUGAUAAUAUUAAUAAAAAUAAUAUUAAUAGUAAUUAAUAAUAACUAAAAUAAUAAAGUUAAUAAAAUAUAAUAAUAAUAAAUGUUAAUAAUGAUAAUAUUAAUAAAAAUAAUAUUAAUAAUAAUUAAUAGUAACUAAAAUAAUAAAUUAAUAAAAUUUAAUAAUGAUAAUAUUAAUAAAAAUAAUAAUAACAAUAAUUAAUAGUAACUAAAAUAAUAAAUUUAAUAAAAUUUAAUAAUAAUAAUAAAUGUUAAUAAUGAUAAUAUUAAUAAAAUUAAUUUUUGUCUUUUAACAAUUGUAUACCAACAAUUUGUGGUCCAAAUUUUAACAUAAUGUUAUCGUUUUAAGAAGACAAAAUACUUGAGAAUUUAGUAACCCAUUUUUCCACGUGCGGAGUUAAGCUCCCCCUGCAUUGCCUUUGCUUUUAUUUUUCUAUAAUAUCACCUUUUACUUCAUAUAGAUUUAGUACUCAGAUUGUGUGUAAAUAUCUAGAGUUCCAACGAACUACGUAAGCUCGGAUCUUUUUUUUUAUUAUUCAAGCCUCUCUAACUGCUAAUGAUUUUAUUCUACCUGUUAAUCGAAUAAUACUAUUAUAUAAUUGAGAUUUAACAAUUUAUUAUAUUUUAAUUUACUAACCACGAAUUAUUUACGUGAAAUUUACUCAAAAAAAAAUUUGAGAAUAUGAUCAGUAAGUAUCCAAUUAAACUACGCCACAACAAAAAUGAUUUAGACAUACUGACGAUAAAUCUUAACUACUACUGGUACUACUUGUACGUGUACAUUUGUAAUACCAACGGUGAAGCCAGACUAUGCCCAGUUUGAGCAAGUAUUAUCUCAUUAAGUUUAAUUUUUUCAAAAAAAAUUCAUUUUCUUUUUUGUUUCCCCUAAAUAUUUAUUUGCCCCCAAUAUAACCUGUGGUUGUCCCAAUUAGCUUUGAAUAAAACACAAAAAAAAAGGUAAUUACAAAUUUCCAUUUGAAUGAUGCUUAGAGAUCGCAAUUUGUUUCUAUCUGAUGCAGUAUUUAUUUAUUUAAUGAUAUAAUAAUAAUUUUGCUAAGUUAUAAAAUUUAUUAUCCAUUAUAUAAAUGACACAUAAGGUGAACAUUCAGAUUAUGUUAAUCUGAACAGAAUUAAACCUAAAAUUUAUUUUGUAUUCGGUUCGGUUUAGAUUGAGGGGUUGUUUGAUUUUUGUCUAAAGCCUAAAUCUUAAUUAUUUUCAGAUAUUUACAGUUUUUAUUUUAUUUUUUUAUCACUUAUGUCUAAUUAUAAUAUGUUUAAGUUUGAAUAAAAAACGUUAAAUAUUUUGAUUUUUAUCUAAAUGACAAAACAUCUGAACGAUUUUAUAAUAUUAUAUCUCAUCAAUGUUCAUAUUGAAUAAAUUUAUUUCUUAUUAUAUAAAUUAUCCUUUUAUUUUUUUUUUAUUUAUACACUUUUUUUGUUAUAUACAUGUACUCAACUAUUUAAUUUGGUUAUGGUUAAAAAGCACAAUUCCUAAUUCCCUUCUCUUCUAAUAUUAUCCACAUGUUCCCUUUUACAUUAAAAUUCAACUCAUUUUAUUGAUCGAUAUGAAAUUUUAAAAAAAAUCCAACCCUUCUCUCUUAUCUUUUUCCAUGUCACGCGUUGCGUUCAUACGAGGGAGACCAUAAACUAUUUGAGUGAAAUAUGGGCGUAAAUUUUGGUACGCACACUUCAACAUCAUUCAGACAAGAUAUGCGCGUUGUCGUCAUCUUGUGAUUAGUGGUAAUCAGAACCAGGACAAUUAAAAGCUGAAAACGAAUGAGACCCGAUAGUUCAAAGUUUGUCUCAUUAAAAAUGUUUUCAAAUACGUGGAGAUCUUUUAUAAUCUUGAAACAAAAGUGUCUGUCGUAGACAAAAUGAAUGAGCCAUAGAACAGUCAUAUCACAUGACGUCGUUGCGGCAGUGGUGACCAGUGUGGUCGGUGUGUACAUAUUUAUAAGUUGUUGCUAUCAAUUGGUUAAAAGAUAUCAUAAUGCAUUUUCGAAAAAGUUAAAAUUCGACUUGAUGAUGCUUUUCUGCUUUCCAAGUUUGUGGUUAGGUAUGACAGGUGGGAGUGACUCCGAUUGUGAUAGUCAUCAAAAGACACGUAGAUCUUAUAGAAUUAUUUUAGGUGCGUUUAGAAUUAAAAUUCGACUGUAGUUUAAAAAUUACAGUAUUAAAAUAUUUGAUAAAUAUUAAUUAUUGUAAUUUAAAAUGUAUAUUAAUAUGAUUUUUUAUUUAUAUAAUAGAAAAUUUAUUAUAUCUUUAAUAAUUUUAUCAAAAUUAUUAUUUAAAAUCUACAUUUAUUAUAUAUUACUAAUUUUUAUUUCAUAACUACAAUUUUUUUUCCACAGCAGCUGUAGCUUAAAGGUAAACACUAACUGUUGGGCUGUAACUUAAAAGUUACACUAUUAAAAUAUUUGGUAGACACUAACUGUUGUAGCUUGGAAGGUAUGUUAAUAUGAUUUUUUACUUAUAUAAUAGAAAAUAUAUUAUAUCUUUAAUAAUUUUAUCAAAAUUAUUAUUUAAAAUUUACAUUUACUAUAUAUUACUAAUUUUUAUUUCAUAACUCUAAUUUUUUUUCCACAGCAGUUGUAGCUUAAAAGAUACAACACCUCAAUCCCAAACACACCCUCAGACAUAAACUUAUGACAUUUACAUUUUAAGAAAUACAUGUACUUAAUUUAUUAUUGUUUUCAGUUAAUUUAAAGAUAUUAUAUAUAGUAUCUUAAUCUAUUUUUGGGAUCGAUAACGAGAUCAUAUAUAUUUUGAGAAAAGCGAUGAAAUCUCGACAUUAAUCAUAACGACUUAAAAUUAUAUACAAAUAAGUAUGUGUGUUCGUUCCUAAAAUUUGAAAUCUAGCCAAACAUUAAAAUAAACUUUUUAAAUUCAGAAAUCAGUCAAUAUUAUCCCCUAGCUAAUUAUUUGGGAAAUUUACAAAAAUGGCCAUAAAAAUUUUGCGUUUUUCAACUUUAACCCCCCAAAGUUUUUUCUAUCAUAACUAGCCAAAUACCCUAUAUUUGGACUACAUUACCCUCGUCACUUUCAUCAAAUUUACAAAGGCAUGCCACUUGUUCAAUUCCAGCAAAAGUAAAUACAGAUUUUCCUCAACAACUUAACAAACAUUCAUUACUCUCAACAAACUUCAUCAUUCUCGAUAAAUCAAUUGCAUAAUCGAAUAUAUAAUUAUCAAUGUGAGAGCUUCUUAAAAUUAGUUUAUUCUCUUAUACAAUGUAAACCUUUAAUCUAUUAAUUUUAUCAACUAAAUUCGAAAUUAAAGUGGGUUUUGUUGUAAAUAUUGUUAUUUUUCAUUUAUAAAACAAUGUGAUUUGUUAAAGUACUUAGUUUGAGUUGAAAAAUGAAGAAAAACCAUUGAAAACACAGAAAAAUCGGGCAAAAAAUGAAGUUCAGAACAAGUGAGACAUGCAAGUGGGACAGGUGCAUGUCUCACAUAAACGCACUGCAUUUAUGUGCGACAGGCACCUGUCCCACUGCCUGCCGCACAUAAACUCACGAAUUUUAUGGAGUACAUGAUUUUGAAUUUGAUUUGUCUCGUCGUAAGCUUCGAAACGAUAUAUUAUACGCCUAAAACGGACAUAUAUAGCUCAAGUUAUGGCUUUCGAAACAUAAAUGAAAUUUGGUGAGACAGGCAAGUGGGAUAGGUGCUGCGUUUAUGUGCGACAGGCACCUGUCCCACUGCCUGCCGCACAUAAACCUACGGAUUUUAUAGAGUACAUGAUUUUGGAUUUGAUUUGUCUCGUCGUAAGCUUCGAAACGGUAUAUUAUACGCCUAAAACGGACAUAUAUAGCUCAAGUUAUGGCUUUCGAAACAUAUAUGAAAUUUAANNNNNNNNNNNNNNNNNNNNNNNNNNNNNNNNNNNNNNNNNNNNNNNNNNNNNNNNNNNNNNNNNNNNNNNNNNNNNNNNNNNNNNNNNNNNNNNNNNNNNNNNNNNNNNNNNNNNNNNNNNNNNNNNNNNNNNNNNNNNNNNNNNNNNNNNNNNNNNNNNNNNNNNNNNNNNNNNNNNNNNNNNNNNNNNNNNNNNNNNNNNNNNNNNNNNNNNNNNNNNNNNNNNNNNNNNNNNNNNNNNNNNNNNNNNNNNNNNNNNNNNNNNNNNNNNNNNNNNNNNNNNNNNNNNNNNNNNNNNNNNNNNNNNNNNNNNNNNNNNNNNNNNNNNNNNNNNNNNNNNNNNNNNNNNNNNNNNNNNNNNNNNNNNNNNNNNNNNNNNNNNNNNNNNNNNNNNNNNNNNNNNNNNNNGUGAGACAGGCAAGUGGGACAGGUGCAUGUCUCACUAAAUUUCAUAUAUGUUUCGAAAGCCAUAACUUGAGCUAUAUAUGUCCGUUUUAGGCGUAUAAUAUACCGUUUCGAAGCUUACGACGAGACAAAUCAAAUCCAAAAUCAUGUACUCUAUAAAAUCCGUAGGUUUAUGUGCGGCAGGCAGUGGGACAGGUGCCUGUCGCACAUAAUCGCAGCACCUAUCCCACUUGCCUGUCUCACCAAAUUUCAUUUAUGUUUCGAAAGCCAUAACUUGAGCUAUAUAUGCCCGUUUUAGGCGUAUAAUAUAUCGUUUCGAAGCUUACGACGAGACAAAUCAAAUUCAAAAUCAUGUACUCUAUAAAAUCCGUGGGUUUAUGUGCGGCAGGCAGUGGGACAGGUGCCUGUCGCACAUAAACGCAGCACCUAUCCCACUUGCUUGUCUCACCAAAUUCAUUUAUGUUUCGAAAGCCAUAACUUGAGCUAUAUAUGUCCGUUUUAGGCGUAUAAUAUACCGUUUCGAAGCUUACGACGAGACAAAUCAAAUCCAAAAUCAUGUACUCUAUAAAAUCCGUGGGUUUAUGUGCGGCAGGCAGUGGGACAGGUGCCUGUCGCACAUAAAUGCAGUGCGUUUAUGUGAGACAUGCACCUGUCCCACUUGCAUGUCUCACUUGUUCUGAACUUCAUUUUUUGCCCGAUUUUUCUGUGUUUUCAAUGGUUUUUUUUCAUUUUUCAACUCAAACUAAGUACUUUAACAAAUCACAUUGUUUUAUAAAUGAAAAAUAACAAUAUUUACAACAAAACCCACUUUAAUUUCGAAUUUAGUUGAUAAAAUUAAUAGAUGAAAGGUUUACAUUGUAUAAGAGCAUAAACUAAUUUUAAGAAGCUCUCACAUUGAUAAUUAUAUAUUUGAUUAUGCAAUUGAUUUAUCGAGAAUGAUGAAGUUUGUUGAGAGUGAUGAAGAUUUGUUAAGUUGUUGAGGAAAAUCCGUAUUUACUUUUGCUGGAAUUGAAAAAGUGGCAUGCCUUUGUAAAUUUGAUGAAAGUAACGAGGGUAAUGUAGUCCAAAUAUAGGGUAUUUGGCUAAUUAUGAUAGAAAAAACUUUGGGGGGUUAAAGUUAAAAAACGCAAAAUUUUUAUGGCCAUUUUUGUAAAUUUCCCUAAUUAUUUCCUGUGGAUGGGAAGGAUAAAUGUCAGCAAAAUGGGUCCAAUAAUGAAAUUGCGGACCGUGAUGUGUUCUUUCGUGCAUAGGUAUGGCUUGAUAUUUAAUUUAUAGGCUCAAGAUAUUUAUAUGUAACAAUGUUCAUCUGGUAAAAAUCAAUUCUCAACAAACAUAAUUAUUAAUUUAUCGAGAAAGAAGACGAUUACACACACACACACACACGUAUUGGAACAUUUUUAUAUAUUAGUCCUGAUAUGGUUCAGAAUCUUAAAUUUUAUUAAAGUCUGAAAAAACUAUUAAAGUAUGUAGCUUAAUAGCUUUUACAGUCAUUACAUUAUUUUACCACACGAUUUAAUAACUUUCCUAAACUUUAACAAAAUCCAAGAUCAUGGAUUGGAACAUCUCUUUAUAUAUAGAAAAUUUUCAAUCUAAAAUUUUAAAGUACCGAAAAAUCUGGAAAAAUUUUAAACUGAAUAGUUUUAAAAUUUAAUUUCACAAUGCUAUUAAACCUACGAUUUUAAAGUUUUUCCAGACUUUCUCAAACUUUAAAAUUAUAUAUAUGUGUGUGUACCUCUACUAAUCAAGCAAAGACUUUUAUUAGAAGAAAUAAAACUACUCCUAAAUUAAUUAAACCCAAAUGGCAUAUGGUAAUUAACAACUAAUUCUUCAUCAUCUAACGGCAGUUGAUAAUUCGAUUGGCUUCAAUAUUUAAUUAGCUUGAUGAUCUCAGUCAACCAAGUCAUGCAAUCUUUGGCAAGCUAUUGAAGUCUCAACACCAAGUCUUGAGAUUUUAGCCUACAAAUUUGUAUAACAUAUCAAAAUAAGUAGUUAAUUUAAACAAAUUAAAUAUGAUCGGUUUCUGAUAAUUAAACUAGAGGAAAUGGCAUAUAUAUUUUUUAAUUACCUGGGCACGAACCGUGUGAAAAAUUUUAUCACCAAUAGUAGAAAAGCUAGCACUGACAACUUGAGCACCUUCUUCUUCGAGAAUACUAAUAACUUCAUACAACAUGAAGUUUCUUUGCACCCCACUUAUCAAAACCACUUCAAUACUAUAACCCAAGUCUCUUAAUUCAACCACCGGCAAAUUUGAGCAAAUAUUAUUCGUUUCAUCCAUAAUGUUAUUAUUACUGUUUGGUUUUAUUGACUUCAUUGCUUGUUCCUUCAUUCUCUUCAAUUUAUCUAUUCUUUCUCUCAGCUGCUUUAUGUGGCAGCAAGCUAGAUCCAGCCGGUCUUCUUGCGAUAGCAUACUCUGCAACAAAAUUAAUUAAAUAUGUUAGUCUAGUGUCAGUGAAAAUCCGCAAUAAUAUUUACUGGACAGCAACCAAAAACAUACGUACAAUUAAUGAACAGAUUAAUGAAAGGGCCCCAAUAAAUGGACUAUUAAUAGGAAAGGUCACUUUCUUAAAUCUCAUCCAGAAUCCAAAGUAACAGAACGCAAUUAUCUUUUAAGGAGAUAAUUAUCUCUAAGUAUCAUAACUUAUAAUCCAUGAAACUGUAGGAACCACAUAAAUAUUAAUAUUUCAUCCGGUCAUUAUCAAGUGGCCAGCUGUUGUCUGUGCUUGUGAAAUACAAAUUAAAGGGUCUGGGGCUCGAACAAUGGUCAUAUGAAUGGAGAGGAUGAAACGCUCACACUGCAGUUUUCCGCCGGGUUGGAGGAGGGGGUGGUUGGGGGGGCCUCUAAUAGUUUACAAGAGAGAAGGGACUGUAAAAAUGAUACAAAAAAAGCAAUUUUUAGUUUUUCAACCUAUAGAAAGGGUUAUAUUUAUGAAAUGAGUAAUGAUUAUAUCCAUAUCAUUUAUAGGGAAAAGGAGGAAGGAUUGAUGAUCAGUUACGUCACCCAGUAAGGUCUAUGAGAACUAAAUGAAUAGAAAUACCUUGGAGGCUCUGAAGUGGUGAGAAGGAACGAGAGAAAAAAGCUUGAAGCAUAAAGAUUUCAUGUGAUCUCUGCGAUUCUUUUCGAUAUUUUUUCGUUCAGGUUUUGACGACUUAUCGCUUCUUUUCUUCAUUCUUUUCCACUCUUUGCUCACUUCUUCUCGCCAAAAAGAGAGAUUGUAGAGAGAGUUGAAUGAAUCCAAAGAGUUAUGUAGCCCAUUAUAUAGACAAUUACGGAAGGUAAAUAUCUUAUGAAACCUCUCUGGUCUAUAUUGUCGGUAGAAAGGACGAGCUGUGGGGCCAAAAAUCUGGGGAUUAAAGUAAUAAAGGUACUUUUUAUUGAUUGACUCCUGGUUGUCUGUUGAAAUCAACUUGUAGUCCACAGUUUUUACAAAUACAUCACUUUAGUCCUCUCCAAUAAAUGCUAUCACUUUUGAACUUGUAAAAAGCCAACGGUCUAAAGGCAUUUUAGAUAAAACAAAUUGUUUGUCUCCUACACUUCCGUUAUACAUGUAAAUCAAAUCAAAAUAUUUUAUAAGAUUCUUAUAGUUAAUGUUAUCUUCAUAAUAGUCAUGAUAUGUUUAUAAAGUUUGUAUGCAAAAUUUGUAUCUCGGAUGACCACUAAGUGUUAGAUAGUAGUCGAGUGUCGACGUUUUAUAUUUUCAUUAAUGAGAUAAUUUCACAACAUCAAUGAGUUAAUGACACGUUAAAGGUAGAUAAAUUAGAAUACAAACUUUGUAUACUAUAAAUUGGAAAACAAACUUUGUAUACUAACUUUAUACAAACUUUAUGAGGGUAUCAUUACUCUUUUAAUAAAAUAAAUUAAGAGAGUAUAUAAUAAAAUAUAUGUAAUGACAUAAAAAAUUAAAUUUGGCUUUAUCCACCCCGAUAUUUUUUUCUUUCUAGAAAUGUAUAUUAACACAAAGUUAUAAAUUAAUAGAGUACAAAAACUCGAGAAGUAUUCAUAAAUUAUUAUAAAUCCAUGAAGGUUAUAGGUAACAACUUAAAUUUUCAUAAAGUAUGGAUGCUUAUAAAAAUUGAAAGCAGUAAGUUUAACUUUGAAUAGGACAAUUGUGGGUGAAUAAUAAGAGGUUAAGAGUUUAAUUCUAAAUAAUUACAUUUCAUUAAUUUGAUUUGCUAGAUCAGGAUACAAGGUAAUUGUAUAAGAAAAAUGAGUCGAAUAAUAGAAUAAUUAGUAUUUUUUUAUGGUCAAAAGUGGUCAAGGACCUGUGCAACCAAAAAAAAAAAAGAACUAGAGAAGACUUAAGUGAAACAUUUAUGAAUCCUUUGAUUUGUCAAAUUUUUGUAAACAAAAGACAAGGAGCCAAAUGAUAGAAACUCAAUAAAAUAAAAAUAAAUCAACAUUUCAAUUGAAUGAACUGUUUGAGCCACAUAAGGUGCUUUUUGACCUCUAACUAGCCAAGCGUGGAUAAUUAGAUAAUUAGAUAAAGAUGAUAUUGUGUUUUCAUAUCAUCACUUAUCAUAUCGGCUUGGUUAUAGUCAGGAUAUUAUACAUCUCACCUUGACUUUUCCUCCGCGUUCACCGGCCACUUUUUUGUGCCUGAACUUUUGUUGUUUUUUUGAGAGGACAAAAAAAUUCACAAUAAUUACUUGCUUUAACAUCAACACAGUCCACACGUCAGGAGAAUUAAUUAGUAUGUUAUUGACCAUGUGGGCGGCUAAAAUCUUAGGAUAAAUUUGACCAUUCUACAAAUUUCUCUCCAAUUCUAAUGAUGGGGCACACGUUACAUUGGUUUAAAAUUUUCUCUUCAUUGUUACAAGUCAUGAUAAGGGUUUGACUUGGAAUCGGAAGAUGUAAUGUAAGUAAAUAUUUUUCCAAGAAGACGGAUACAUGUCAAGCCAUUAUUUCCUAAAUCAGGCAAAGUAAUCACUAAAAUCAACGUGUCUUCACACUGUAAAACGGGGAGUAAGAGUAACCAUAGCGGGGAGCAUGCCAGAGAAUUUGGAGGCUAGCUACGAGUGUGGAAAUUGGCAGAACUGAUCCAACCGAAGUUUCAAGGCUUUAACUAUGACUGUAUGUACAGGACUUGCUUGACCAGCAACAGCUCAUAUGCAUGCUCAUAGUCACAGCGAAGAAUUUAGAGUGUGUAACAGUUGUUAAUCAACAGAAGGCUGAGAAAUAGAAUAUUUAAGGCUGUCAAAGAGCUUGCAGAAUCAGUCUGACGACUUCAUUCUUGACAUUGAAAUACUUCACAUGCUGAAUACUCAGACCGACAAGAUUCCACAUUAAAUCAAGGAUUUGUUUUUAAUUGCUGUAAGCAGGUAUACAAUAACAAACGUGUUUGGUAAACACCUGCAUACUUAACAGUUGGUCAUUCAACCCAACAAUUGCAAAGCGCUGCACAACACUUCAAUCUCAAUACACACACACGUGUGUGUGUAUAAACAGCCUAAAAUUUUACUGCCAGUAGGGUUAUAUAAAUAGUGGGUAUGCGGAAUUGGUAUGCCACAUCUGACAACUAAUUGUAAGAUAACAGAAAUCUAUCAUUUCAUGGUCAUUGUCCAUUUUUGUCAUCUGUGGCUUAGGUGCCGAUAAAUUAGGCAACUGCCCAGUUUUGGUUGUAUCGAGAGCAUGAUAAUUUGGAUGCAUCCAAUCAUACAAGUAAGAAGUAAUAGCCUGAUCAUGGUGUCGAUUUGAUACGAAAGAACCAAAGAAUUAAUCAGCUGUGUAUCUUAAUUUUUAGUGCUCGUAUUAGAUUUAGCGCUGUGGAAAUUAAGAAUCUAUCUCUGGCAAGGGCAAAAGCGAUAGGCCAGGUUAACGAGGAAAGGGGGACUGGUUCAACCUCAGGAAUGAGAGCAAGCAAGUCCAGCUUUGUUGUGCAAGUCACUGUCUUUAUCCGAUCUGAUAAGAUAGAUCUGAUGCACAUAUAGUAAAGAAAAGCUCUUCCGCAAGCCAUUUGGGGAAAUUCCCUAACUUUGAACGAAAGAAUGGUAAGCUUCUUUCCUUGUUACUUGAAAGAAUGCCUUGGCACACUCAUACUAGAAGUCAAAGAAAGAACUUGGGUCUAAGCUCUCAACUUCAAGGAAGGGAACCGAAAUAGCAGAAAUGUCAUCUACCUUUCCAAUGGAAUCUUUGACCGGCUAACGUGAGUUCUAGGAAAAGAGAGACUUUAAGCUAAAGAAAUUUUUUUUUUAACCUAGACAUUCUUCCAAGAGUUUAGGGCUAAUAGGCCCGGUCUGAUAGUUAUUGGUUGAGAACACAAAACCCUUCCCGAAUGAAUUCAGAAAAUCCAUUCACUGCAAUUGCAGCUCUAGUGUUUGAUGGAACAAAUUAUCAAGUGUGACCUGUUAGAAUGGAAGCUUAUCUGGAUGCUAAUGAUCUGAGGGAGGCUGUUGAACAAAUAUAUGAAGUUCCACCCCUACCAGACAAUUCAACUCUUGCACAAAUCAGAAAUCAAAAGGAGAUGAAGCAAAGAAAAUCAAAAGUGUUUGAGGGUGCAUUUCUCGCGGAUCAGCCAUACCCUAAACGAGGAGCCGGUCUCCUUGUAAGUGAGCAGACAGGUGAAGUCUGGUAGCAUAUAUCCAAGACCAGGAAUUCUCCGCUCAAUCACGAGGACGUCUUCUUCUAAACUAUAGUUCGAGCAGGGUUCCUGCUAAGAGCCGAGAGUCUUUCCUGCUGGAGAUCGGGGUCGGCAGACCCAGUCUAUAAUGGUUAACGAGACGUGCACUCCUAUCCGAGAAUCUAGGCACGAAACCCACUCAGCCGCAACUACGACAUUUAAGCAUCCACUUCCGUGAGCUGGGGGAGGUGAUGGACGUGGAUCGUGGGGGGCCGGAUUCGUAUGAAGGCUAUAAAACGGUAAUCAACGAAGGUUAAGGGGUUAGACACUUUUACACUAGAACUUAAGAAAAAAGAGUAUUUACUAAAAAACGAGAGAAAAACUCAUAGGUAUUUCACUGCCUAAGAGAUCAUUAGAGAGCCACGAGAUCAGUGGCCAAGUUUCCCAAAAAGUAAACAUAAAUUUCUGACUUGAGCGUCGAAGGGUUUACGCCGGGAUCAUUAGAGAGCCACGAGAUCAGUGGCCGAGUUUCCCAAAAAGUAAACCUAAAUUUCUGACUUGAGCGUCAGAGGGUUUACGCCGGGAGUCCUUACCAAAGUAGGAAACACAUGAGCAAGUAGGGGCGAGGGCCGGUAUCUCUCUGAUUCACCACCCAGGGGGAUUAAUAAGGGGGAGCCAUCAUAAUCUGAAUUGUCUCUGACCAGUUCUUAUGUGUGCAGGAGUCUGGUAAGUCAUACGAGGCAUAGCUCUGCUCAGUUAGAAGAGUUACGUGAAGUAUCUAGGUUGGUCGUGAGUUCGGGAUAGGGAUGGCAAUGGAUCGGAUCUGACCCAAGAUCCAUCUUAUCCAAAUCCAAUCGGAUUGGAUUUGGAUAUAAUGUGCAGAUCUAAGACAGAUUUGUCUAGAUCUGUCUUAAUAUUUAGAUCCAAAUCCAUAUCCACCUAUCUUUUAAUUUUAUUUUAUUUUUAAAAUUUUCUUAACAAUUUUGUAAUUAUAAAUGAUAGUAAAUUUCAUUCAUAGCAUAUUAGUAGUAGUAUUUACCAUGUAUUUAAUUAAAUAUCUUAAAACUUAAAUAUUAAUUUUUAAAUUUAAAUAAUAAUAGAAUAAAAAUUUAAAUGAUAAUAGAAUAAUUGUCAAUUUAUUUUAUUAUAUUAACCAAAUAAGUUUUAAGGAGUAAAUUGAUUUCUCCCAUACACAAGCACGUAUUGUCUCAAAAUUGCUUUCCAAAUUGUCCUUGAAAAUACUAAAGAGGCAUGUGAAAACAAUUAAAGGAAGCCUUAUAUUUUUUAUUUCAAAGUCGGCCUUGAAGUCAGUAUAAUGAUUGAUGAUUCACGAAUUCAUGUUACGUAUUUCCCUUUAUUAUUAAAAAAAAAGGAAGCCUUUAUUCAUGAAUAGAAUUCAUGAUACCAUUCGUAAAGGGAAAUAAUAUUUUUUAUUAUGAGGAAGCCUUAUAUUGUUAUAUGACACAUAAUAUAUAUUUUUUUUUUACUUAUUCACGAAUUCGUGAAUCCUGAUACCAUUCAUACUAAGUGCCGCACUUUAGUUUGCCCUAAUUUCUUUCAAUUAUUCAUAUUCUAGGUCAACUCAACGUCAGUCAUGCUCCAAUAAAAAAAAAAAAAGUACAACCUCUUUCUUUCUCUUCAUUCUACUCUCGCUUCUUUACUCUAUUUGAAUAUUUAGAUAAGUCCUUUAAUUGCCAUGUAAGUAUUUAAACUUGAUUUUUUUCUAUUAUUUUCUCAUAACAUUAUUCUCAUAACGUCCACAUAAUUUAAUUCUAUAAUAUUGAAUUAGGUAUAUGGUAAUCAUCAAAUUACGUAUUAGUUUUCCAUGUGGGUUAGUUUUUAUUUGAAUAUAUCUUAAAUUAUGACAGUUGAUUUCAUUAAUAAAGGAUCCAUGUGAAUAAAGAUUAAAUGAGAAGCAUUCAAUUAUUUAUUUAAUUUAUGCUCCUAAUUUUUUAUAUUAUUUACAAAUAAUUGUAUUUAUUUACUUGUCUAAUAUUGAUGUGUAAUAUUAAUUUUUUUUAGUGACAUAGACGCUUAAUGUUUUUGUUUAUUUCUUCAAUUAGGUGAAAUAUGGAUUUCUGUCCUAAUUUACUGCAGUCAGAAAAUGAUGAUAAUGAUGGGUAUGAUGUUGUUGAAGUAAUUGAACCAUCAAAUGGGAUGGAGUUGAAUUCAACCUCACCAAUUCCUAGCGAUGAAACUACUGAUGUUAGUAAAAAAUUGAAGUCUGUUGUGUGGAAUCAUUUUACGAGGCAAAAGAUUAAUGGACAAUUGAAAGCAAUUUGUAACAAAUGCAAUGGAAAGUUAGUUGUAGGAAGUGGAACGAACCAUUUACAUAAGCACUUGCUUAGAUGCCCACGAUGUAAGCAGCCAACAAUCAAGAAUGCUACGUUGAAUGCUACUAUAAAUAAAGGGAAAGUCCAAGUUGGGGCAUUUUCUUUUGAUCAUGACACUUCAAGAAGAGAGCUUGCAAAUAUGAUUAUCAAGCAUGAAUACCCUCUUAGUAUGGUUGAACAUUCUGGAUUCAGGAAGUUUGUUGGUUCUUUACAACCCAUGUUUAAGGUCAUUUCUCGAAAUACACUAAAGAAAGAUAUCUUUAAGCAAUAUGAAUAUGAAUAGUCUAAAAUAAUGAAGUUGUUGGCGAGCAAUCAAAGUAGAAUUUCUAUUACUACUGAUUUAUGGACUUCUAAUCAGAAUAUGGGUUACAUGGUUGUCACCACACAUUUUAUAGAUAAUUCCUGGAGGUUGCAAAGUCGUCUUAAUUAUAAGGUACUUUCUAUAGCAUUAUUUAUUUAUAUCUUUGUCAUGUCCUUUUCAUUAUGAUUAAUAAAUACUCAAUUCAUAUAAUAAUAUUUUUGUUCUACUGUUUGUCAUUUUUAUUUAGGUUUAUACAUGUGAUGUGUCCACACAUUGCUGAGGUACUUUCUGAUAAUUUAAUGGAGUGCUUAUUAGAUUGGAAUAUUGAUGGAAAACUGUGUUCUUUAACAGUUGAUAAUGCCACUACUAACGAUGCUAUGGUUGACAUCCUCUUAGACAAACUUUCUAAUUCAUUGUUAUUAAAUGGGAGGUUGUUUCAUAUGCGUUGUUGUUCACACAUCUUGAACUUGAUAGUGAAGGAUGGGCUAGAUGUCAUUAGUGAAAGUAUUGAGAGAAUUCGUAGUAGUGUUUCUUAUUGGAAAAUGACACCCAAAAGGCAUGACAAAUUUCUGAAGGGUGUUCGUGAUUUAAAAAUUUCAAGCACCAAGCAAUUGAUUCUUGAUUGCAAAACGAGGUGGAACUCUACCUAUUAUAUACUUGACACUGCUUUAGUUUAUAAAGACGUGUUCUCUCGCUUAAAACCACGAGAACCACAAUAUAAAUCAUUGCCUAGUGAAGAAGAUUGGGAGUUUGCAAAAGAAAUUUGUUGUAGGCUUAAAUUAUUUGAUGAAGUUUCAAAAUUGUUUUCUGGCACGAAAUAUCCUACAAUGAAUUUGUACUUUUAUUAUACUUGUGAGAUUAGAAUAUCUAUUUCUGAGUGGCUAGGUUCUAAUAAUGAUAAAAUAAAGAUAAUGGAAAAGAAAAUGUUAGAAAAAUAUGACAAAUAUUGGAGUGUGGUUAAUGAGUUAAUGGCAGUGGCAACUGUUUUGAAUCCUAGAUAUAAGAUGAAACUAGUAUAAUACUAUUUUCCUAUGCUUUAUGGAGUUGAUUGUGAAUAUAGAAUUGGGAGUGUCCGUAAUUAUUGUUAAAGUCAAAAUCAUAUGGACAUGUUUAUCAAUCUAAUGAGCCUUUGAUUACUCAAUCCCCAAUGGAGGCAUUUCAUUUAGGAAGGGAACAACGUCGGACUAGUUUUGAGACAUUUAUUAGUCAAAGUACUAGUAUUGACCAUGUGAAGUCUGAGCUAGACUAUCAUUUGAAGGAAUAUGUCCUGCCUCGAAUUGAUACAUUUGACAUAUUGGGUUGGUGGAAGGUGAAUGGAUCUAAAUAUCCUACUUUGUGCAAUGUUGCUAGAGAUAUUUUGGCUAUUCUUGUAUCCACAGUUGCAUCUGAAUCUGCAUUUAGUACCAAUGGUGGAUUUGUGACACCACAUCGUAGUAGACUCCGUCCAAAUACAUUAGAGACUUUAAUGUGUUGUCAAGAUUGGUUGUUGGCUGAAGAUGCUGGUUCGAAUUUUUAUAAUUGAAUUAUUUAUUUCAUAUUAACUAUUUUUUGUCUAACUAAUUUAAUUUUGUGCUCAAAAUCAGAUGCAUGUUCUUCAACACAUACCAGAUUGAUAUAUUCAGAAGAUGUGGACAUGGAUGAGGUACAAUUAACUAUAUCAUUCAUGUAUUUAGUUAAAUAUAGUCAUAAUAAAAAUAAUAAAGUAUUAAAUAUAAAUCAUAUUUAACUUAUAUGACAUUAUCUAAUGUUGUAGGAAUGAUGGUGGUUGUGUUGUGAUAUCCAAAUAAUGGAGACAAUAGAAUAUUAUAUUGAUCUUACUCUUGCAUUUUUUUAUUACCUUUCUUAUUUGCUAGUUUUGAUGUAAAAGCAUAAACUACAAUAUUUAUUAGACUUUUUAGACAAAUAAUAUAAUUUAAUCAUUAUCAAUACAUUUUAGUCUUUAAUUUUCAUUCCAAAAAAUUAUUGCUCUUUUAUUGUAAAGUUUUAGAAUUCAUGAUGGAAUUAGAGCAAAUUUGGAUUUUAAUUUUUUUUCUAGUUUUGGAGCAAAUUUAGAUAUCUAUUUAUUUUUUUGGAUCCGGAUAUGGAGCGAAAAACAUGGGUCUUUGAUGGAUCUGGAGCAGAUACGGAUCUCAAUUUUUAUUAUAGAUAUGGAUUUGGAGCAAAGUAGAUCCAAUCCAUAUCUGCCCCAUUGCCAUCCCUAGUUCGGGAGUUGAGGAGAGAUCCUAAUCGCAGACGAGCAGACACUAUAAUCUUGCAUCAACAAAAAGCAAAAGCAACCUUGUUUGCUGCAGUCUCAUCCACUAUUUUUUCCAGAUAAUGACGCUGAAAACAGCCAAGGAAAUUUGGGAUUUUUUGAAGCAAGAAUACAAAGGAAAUGAAAGGGUCAAAGGGAUGCAAGUGUCAAAUUUGAUCCCAUAAUUUGAGAUGUAAAAGAUGAAAAAAUCAUAAACAAUUCAGGAAUAUUCGUACAGACUUUUUGAGAUUGUCAACAAGGUAAGACUCCUUGGCACUGAUUUUUCUAAUUUUAGUGUUGUUCAAAAAAUCCUAGUCACAGUUCCUGAAAAGUUUGAGGCUACAAUUUCAUCUUUGGAAAACUCAAAAGAUCUGUCAAGUAUUACCUUGGCAGAAUUGUUAAAUGCAUUGCAAGUAUUAGAACAAAGGAGGCUUAUGAGACAAGAAGGAUAUAUGGAGGGUGCUUUUCAAGCCAAAUCACAAAACAACAAAUGUGGCAAAAAUAAGAAAAAAAACUAAAUAAAGACAAUAAGCUUGGAGGUUCUGCAAGUAGUAACAAAAAUAGCCAAAGCAGCAACACUUAAGUCUUUCCACCUUGCACUUACUGCAAAAAAGCCAAUCAUCCACAGAAUAAGUGUUGGUGGAGGACAGAUGCAAAAUGUCACAAGUGUGGUCAGUUAGGGCACAUGGAAAGGAAAUGCAAGACUCAACAACAACAAAGAGAAGCUAAGGUUGUUGAGGAUCAACCUCAAGAGGAACAGCUAUUUGCGGUAUCAUGCUUUGCCACCAACAGCUCCACAGAGAGUUGGCUUAUAGAUAGUGGUUGUACAAACCACAUGACUUAUGAUCGAGAGCUCUUCAGAGAGCUUGACAAGACCGCUAUUUCCAAAGUCAGAAUUGGAAAUAGGGCACACAUUACAGUAAAAGGUAAAUGAACGGUAGCAAUUAAAGGCCAUACAAAUCUGAAAUUGAUUUAUGAUGUUUUAUAUGUUCUUGAAAUUAAUCAAAAUCUUUUGAGUGUUACUCAAUUGUUAGAAAAAGGCUAUAAGGUGUUGUUGAAGACAAGAACUGUAUAAUCAAAUAUGCAAAAGAUAGAGAGGUAUUCAAAGUUCAAAUGAAAGGCAAAAGCUUUGCCAUAGAUUUAAUGAAAGAAGAACAGGCUGCUUGUUAGGUCCCAGUCAGAGACAACCAAUGAUCACGCGUAACACAAUUGAUAUUUUUCUGCUUAUGGCGAGAAAGGACCAAAUAAUUGUUGUUUAGAAUUCUGAAUGCCUUUAUUCAUAUUCUGGAGCUUAUUUAUAAUCACAAGAACUUGAUUUUCAACCUACAAUUACGGCUGAAAUCAAUAAAACAAAUAUUAAAAUAACGACUUAGUUAAUAUUUCGUAAAAGAUAAUCAAAAGCAACUUGAUAAGGUAUCCUAAAAGCAACUUGAUAAGGUCAUCCCAAAAUCACAGCUCCAGUACUCAUCUUUACAAUUUCCACACGUGAAACUGCACAUGCAUGUGUCAUGCAUGGCUUGCAUGGGAGUCAACUUAUGCUCUUACGUAAUAUAUUUAUGGUUUUGGCUUUGGCAUUCUUCCAGAUCUUCGUGGCUCAUGCACUUGCUUUCUAUCAUUGCCUCCGCCACGAAGAAUACCCUUGUCCUCAAGGGUCUGAUGAGGGAAUUGCUGGUGCAGCAUUGUGGCAUCCUCCCAUGUUGCGUCUUCAGUCGGUAUUUUUUUCCAACGGACUAGAUUUUGCUCGAUCACUUUACCUCCUCUCUUCACCCAACGUGUGUUAAGGAUAGCUUCAGGCUCCAUGAUCAUCGAGCCUUCAUAAUCCAUAGGUGGUAAAUCGACGCCGUUGCUAAGGAAAUCACCCACGGCUUUCUUAAGCAAAGAGACGUGAAACACCGGGUGAAUUUGAGCAUUCUCUAGUAAUUGUAGUUUGUAGGCAACGGCUCCAACUUUGCAAAGAACUAAAUACGGCCCAAGGUACCUGCAAGCUAAUUUCUGAUGUGCCCUUCUGAACACUGAAGUCUGCCGAUAGGGCUACAACUUUAAUAACACCAUAUCUCCCUGUUUGAACUCAACGUCGCGGCGACCCUUGUCAGUUGUUUGCUUCAUCCUGUUAGCUGUUGUGGCUAAGUUUUUCUUUAAUUGUAAGAGUAGUUCAUCACGCGAAUGUAAGGCUUGAUCAACCUCAUGCACCGGCGAGGAACCAAGUUGAUACAUGGGCACGGUUGGAGGUGGUCUUCCAUACAAAGCUUGGAAUGGAGUCAUUCCGGUGGAGACGUGGAAUGUGGUGUUGUACCAAAAUUCUGCCCACGGCAAAAAAGAAUGCCACUUUCCCGGCCACUGGUGAACAAAACAUCUCAAGUACUGUUCCAAGCAUCGAUUAAUUACCUCCGUUUGGCCGUCGGUUUGCGGGUGGUACGCUGAGCUCAUUUUGAGUUUGGUGCCUGAUAAAUUAAAGAACUCUUGCCAAAAUUUGCUGAUGAAUAUGGGGUCACGAUCACUGAUGAUUGACUUGGGCAUGCCGUGCAGCUUCACUACUCCUUCACUUUCUUCUCGAACUGGCCGCGGUGAACCAAUGGUUUCGUUGGUGCCGUGGCUAGUGGUGCCUUUGGAUGCAUUGAAAGUUUCUGCUAAUUUGCUGAUGGUGUCUUCUAAUCGCUGAAGCUUGUCAUUGAUCCCAAUCUCCAUGCGUUCCAUUCGGCUCUCCAUGCUUUUCAGGUCAGCUUCAAUUCGCUCAAUACGUUCUUUGUUGGUCAUCAUUGUUAACCCGCACUGAUACUAAUGUUAGGUCCCAGUCAGAGACAGCCAAUGAUCACGCGUAACACAAUUGAUAUUUUUCUGCUUAUGGCGAGAAAGGACCAAAUAAUUGUUGUUUAGAAUUCUCAAUGCCUUUAUUCAAAUUCUAGAGCUUAUUUAUAAUCACAAGAACUUGAUUUUCAACCUACAAUUACGACUGAAAUCAAUAAAACAAAUAUUAAAAUAACGAUUUAGCUAAUAUUUCGUAAAAGAUAAUCAAAAGCAACUUGAUAAGGUUAUCCUAAAAGCAACUUGAUAAGGUCAUCCCAAAAUCACGGCUCCAGUACUCAUCUUUACAAUUUCCACACGUGAAACUGCACAUGCAUGUGUCAUGCAUGGCUUGCAUGGGAGUCAACUUAUGCUCUCACGUAAUAUACUUAUGGUUUGGCUUUGGCAUUCUUCUAGAUCUUCGUGGCUCAUGCACUUGCUUUCUAUCACUACUGUACACAGAGAAGAUAGCAAUGUCGUGCUUUGGCACACAAGAUUAAGCCAUUUCCAUCAUAUUACUCUACUCUACAUGAAGAAGAACAAUCUAGUCAAAGGCUUGCCUGAAUUAGAAGAAGAGUUUCCUAAAUAUGCUACCUGUCAGUAUGGAAAGAAAACCAGGAUUCUGUUUCAACAAAAUAAGGCCUUGAGGGCUAUACAGAGGGUGCAAUUAAUACACAUAGAUGUAGAAGGGCCAAUGAAAACACCAUCUUUGAAUAACAGUGAGUAUUAUAUUGUUUUUAUUGAUGAUUACUCAAGAAUAUGCUGGAUUUAUUUUAUGAAGCUUAAAUAUGAGGUUACUGAUAUCUUUGUGAACUUUAAAGCUUGGGUUGAAACUCAAAGCAGAUGCAAGAAAAUUUAACAAGUUUUCUGAAUAUACAGGCAUUGAACAUCAGUUGACAGCACCUUACACUCCUCAGCAAAAUGGUGUUGUGGAGGGGAAAAAACUGGACAAUAAUGGAGAUGGCAAGAUGCUUAUUUCAUGACAAAGGGCUGCCAAAGAAAUUUUGGGCCGAGGUCGUAAAAAUUGCAAUUUUUUUUUAUUGAACAGAUUACCAACAAAAGCUUUAUAGAAAAAGACUCCAUUUAAAGCAUGGUAUGGCUAAAAACCAAAGCUGCUUAAUUUGAAGAUAUUUGGUUGUCUAUGUUUCUCUUACAUCCCUCAAGUUAAGAGAGACAAAUUGGACAAAAAAGCAGAACUUGGGAUUUUUGUAGGUUAUAGCUCAACUUCAAAAGCCUAUAGGAUCUACUUAUCGCAAAACAACAAAGUAAUAGUCACCAUGGAUGUUCAAUUCUUUGAGUUAGAUAACUGGGUUUGGGAGAAUGACAAGAAGCUUAAGGUCGAAGAUGAGAAUGAUGAUACGGAUGAUGAAAAUGUUAAAGGAACCAUAUCACUUUAUGACAUCUAUCAGAUGUGUAAUAUUGUUGUAAUGGAGCCUGCAGGGUAUGAAGAAGCUGCAAAUGAUCAGAAGUGGAUAACUACAAUGAAAGACGAGCUAAAGAUGAUUGAAAAGCUAUAGGAGUCAAGUGGGUUUACAGGACCAAACUCAAUCUUGAUGAUUCUAUAAACAAGUACAAGGCAAGACUUGUUAUCAAGGGAUAUGCCCAGGUGUUUGGGGUAGAUUUUUUUGAAACUUUUGCCCUUGCUGCCAGAUUGGAUACCAUAAGGAUAUUGCUAACUCUUGCUGCACAACACGGUUGGGUUAUACACCAAAUGGAUGUCAAAUCAGUUUUUUUUAAUGGAUACUUGGAGGAAAAAAAUUUUGUAGAGCAACGUGAAGCGUUUGUUUUUCCAGGACAAGAGGAGAAGGUAUAUCGACUGAAGAAAGCCCUGUACGAUUUAAAACAUGCACCAAGGUCCUGGUAUAACAGAAUUGACACACACUUAGCAAACUUAGGCUUCGAAAAAAGCCUAAGUGAAUCUACUUUAUAUAUCAAGAAGGCUGAUAAUGAAAUACUUGUGGUAUCUAUGUAUGUUGAUGAUCUACUCGUUACAGGAAGUAGCAAGGAGUUGAUUGAUAGGUUUAAAAGAAGAAAUAAAAAAUGUCUUUGAAAUGACAGACCUUGGGAGGAUGACAUUGUUCCCUGGUAUGCAGGCACAUCAAAAGCAAAAUCAAAUAUUUCUAUGCCAGCAAAAAAUACAAAGGAAGUUUUCAAGAAAUUUAACAUGGAAGAAUGCAAGCCAACUGCAACUCCAAUGAAUCAAAAGGAGAAGUUUUGCAAAGAAGAUGGAGCUGAAAAGGUGGAUGAAAGGUUGUAUAGGAGCCAAUAGGCUGCUUAAUGUAUUUAACUGCAACCAGACUAGAUAUCAUGCAUGCAGUGAGUUUGCUAUCAAGGUAUAUGCACUAUGCUAGUGAAAUUCAUUUUCAGGCAGUAAAAAAAAUUCUUAGAUAUGUUAAGGACACAAUUGAUUAUGGAAUAAGGUUUAGUUGAGUUAAAAAUUCCAGUUUUCAUGGAUAUUCUGGUAGUGAUUAGGUUGGAUGUGUUGAUGAUAUGAGAAGCACCUCAGGUUACUGUUUUAGCUUUGGUUCUGGAACUUUUUCAAGGUGUUCUAAGAAGCAAGAAGUUAUUGCUCAAUCCAUAGCAGAAGCAGAAUAUGUAGCUGUUGUUGCUGCAGUGAAUCAAACCCUUUGGAUCAGGAAACCCAUGACAGAUUUGCAUAUGGAACAACAAGAAGGCACACAAAUAUUUGUAGACAACCAAGCUGCAAUAAUCCAGUGUUCCAUGGCAAAACAAAACACUUUAAGAUAAACCUUUAUUUUCUAAGAGAGGUACAAAGAGAAGGAGAAGUGCAGCUGAUCUAUUGCAAAACAGAAAAUCAAAGUAUUGACAUCUUAACAAAAGCACUUCCAAAGAUUAGAUAUGAAUUCUUGAGGUAAAAGCUUGGUGUUUGCAGCUUCAGAGUCAAGGAGGAGAAUAUUGACUGAAAUGACUCAUGAAGUUAAAUCAGUUUUAUUUUUUGUUAUUUUUUAGGAUUAUGACUACUUCUUCAUGCUAUUUUCUUGCACUUAGUUGUUAGACUCAACAUGUAGCAGAUUUUUCUGCAAUUUAGUUUUCAUUAUACUGUAUAAAUAGAUGAUUUUAUUGCUCAAUAAAAUAUAACUUUGCAGUCUCUAAAUCAGCCUUCUCUCAUUAUCUUUAUAUCCAACAAUUAGUGAAGGUUUCAGUAUCUGAAGCGAGCACAACGCGCCUAACGAAAUCAAGGCAUGUGCAAAACCAAACCAACAAUCAUAAUAAUAUUUUCAAGAUUCCAUUUUUAGACCAAACUGCUAAUGGGCAGUAUUGAACCACAAACAGUACGCAUUAACAACCAUCAUCAAACCCAUUUCAGUGCCACCUAAGCAAAUCGACAUGCAACCCAAACACCAACAAAUUCCGAACAGGCUCUUGAGUCUUGGCACUUCAACCGGAGUGAAUAUCAACUGCGGUUAAAAAAGACUUAAACCAAGGACACUUGUCACUAUGUUCAUUUGGAAUCUCUUCUUUAAGCUGAAAAGACACUUUUACCCAGGCAGCUUUCACUGCUCUUUCUAACAUGGUCAAUAUGUUAAUGUGAUUUGAGUUUUAUCAGCAAUGUACUUAACUAGGGUGGUGAUCAGAAAAAUUCUCACUUAACAAAGUGGUCAUUAUCAUUGAUGAUACAUAUAACCUUUUGAACAUAAUGAUACAUAUAAUUGAAAUUGAAUUAAAACAGUAUCUUUACCAGUUUCUAAAUAUCUACCAAAUUUGGCUGACUUGAAUUUCUUCAAACCGCAUCUAUUUUUAAUGUUUAGGCAAUGUUGCUGCUGCCUUCACUGCCAAUGUAAUCUUUGAGAAUCGCUCUCAAGUAAACUAGCUGCUCAAAACUCCCUUGAAGUUCCUCCCACUACAAGCGAAAAAAGUGAAAAAAAAAAAAAUUGAUCAUUUAUUAUAUCAAACAGGUACCAAAUCUCAAUUAGGAAGAUCUUUCAAAAAAUGCAAAUAUGUAGAUGGAAUCAGGAUUGUGAUAAUGAAACUCGCCUCUUGAUGAGACAAUGACACCACAUUCCAGCCAGCAGCGGCAAUGUAGCGGCGUUUCAGCAUGGUAUGUCCUAAUGGUACCCCUGCAAAGAGAAAGAAGAAGAUCAAUUGAAUGCUAAAUUGGUGUGAAAUUGGUAAAAUAAAUUGAUCGAACACCAGAUGCACACCAGUAUUCCUUGAGAAAUGAGUUGGUCCAUCAAUCUCGAAUGCAACCUUCUUAUCGAACAGAACAGCAUCUACAGUAUACGCAUCCACGGCAUAUUCCCUAAUCCAAUCGAGGCCAGUGCUAACAAGAAGACGAGCUACCUCCUUCUGGAAUGAUGAAGUCACUUUCUGAUUAAACCUCUUUGUUUUCCCAGCACUGGCAAUUUUCUCUUCAAGAACGCUACUGAGAGCCAGCUGAAGAUGUGGGUGCUCUAGUUUCAAGCACUGGUUCACAAGAUGAACUUGAGAAGCGAACAUGAUAUCCUCCCUGUACUGCUCUGAAAUCCUUUGCUCUUCAAAACGGCUAAUAGUUUUCCAUAUGUGGGAAAAGAAAAUCCGGUCCAUUUGUCCAAGUACAGCAUAUGACCAGGCUAUGUUUCCGAGUUGAUCCCUGUUAAAGCUCAGCACAGGGGAGCUUAAACUUCCUUCAGAGUCAGCAUCUCCACUGCUUUUCACACCCCCAUUUUCAUUACAGUUUGACAACGCUUUGUUUAAACAGCAUGAGAAUUGAGUGGCAUCCUUGAAAGCAUUAUCCAAAGAUUCAAGUAAAGGGUCAGCAGGCUCAUAUAAAGAAGCAAAAGCCCAUAGCACUUGAGCAAGCUCCUGCUCUUGAAAAGUGUGAACUAUAUCUGAUGCUCUUUUUGCUAAUUCUGAAAAGAGAUCAGGAGCAGAGUGCUGCAUUGAAGCAAAGGCACCAGCAACAUUAGCAACAUUCUGAGAAUUGAACUCCCCAACCUUAGUCAAGGCUACCUCAGCAACUCUAUCCAUUUCAGACAAAUAAAGCAGUUCCCCUCCAAUCUUGGACAGUGCCCAUGCAAUAUUUGAGAUACCUUGAGCCGAACACUCAGGUAAUGCUGUCAUUGCAAUUGCCACAAGCAUUGACAUCUCUCUCUGGCGGGUAAAUGCCAAUCUAUGAGUAGUCAUCAUCGAGACUUUCUCCAUGUUCUUGGCAAUUCGAUGCAGCGCUGUGGCAAUGUUCAAAGGGGAUAGCGGCGAAGGGCUCAAACCUUUCCCAACCGCCGUAAUCAUCUCAGAAAUUACCUCCAACACCUCUGGGGCAGUCUGUGCAUCAACAAUAUCUUUGUUCAAGUUAAUUUCCUUCCUACGAUUAGAUGGCCCUGAAAAUUGGGAUAGCCUAUGUACAAACUCUUCCAUCGUCUUCUCCCUCUUUUCUUCAAACAUCCCACUUGCCAUCAUACUCACUUUCCUUCUAAGAUCAUUCAUAUCAUACCCAUUGCCACUACCCAUUAUAUCAUCCUCCGAAUCAAAAUCCAAAUCAUCAUCAGUCACCUUGUUUUUCUUUUUAAUCUUCUCUAACUUUUUCUUACCCUUUUUCUUUUUCUUCUUUACUUUAAUCAAAUCUUCCAUUGAACUAGCCAACCCCCUUGCCUCAAUAGACUUAAGCGCAACUUUUCUAGCCCUCACACACCAAUCCAUCCCUUCAUUAUCAUCCACCACCUUAGAUUUCUCUUGUUUCUUUCUCUUCUUGGGAGCUUGAUAACCAAAAGGGUCAAGCUCCCCGAGAAACUCCGAUUCCCAAUCUACACUGUCCUCACUUUCCUUCUCUUUACUAUCAUCAACUUCAUCAUCCUCAGUAACUCUUCUAAUUCUAAUAUUACUCUCUUUCUUCAAAUUCAAACAAUUAUUUCUUCGUAGACCCAACUCGAGUUUUCGGGUAAAAAACCCAUUUCUUAGUUUUAUCAACGGAAGAUUAUGAACGGUUGUUGGAUUGAAAAUGAAGGGUUUUAUUAUACAAGUAUGAUGAGUGAAUGUAUUUAACAAGCCCUCCAUAUUUUUCUUUAUCUCAUUUACAUACUGAAUAAAAGAAAAAGAUCAGCUUUAAUCAACGAAAAACAAUAAAAACAGAACACGGAGUUCGUUUAUUUAUCAGGCUACAGAUUUUAAAACUGAAAAUGAAGAGAAUUGCGACAGAUUUUGAGAAAGAGAACGUACGUACCAAUGAAGGAACUUCGCUGACUCUUACAGAGAUAAUGAAAAAUAAUGAAAAGUGAACUCGUCUCAGAGGUUUUACACGAGGUUUUUGCUUAAUGGCUUGUAAGAAUGGAAGGAAGCUCAGACGGAUAAGAGACUUCUCAUGAAGCGACGUCGUUGGGAAAAAUAAAAUGUUCACAUUAUUUUUUUAUCAAAAUCUCUUUUGAUCUUUUAACAUUUAAUGGAAUAAACUUUUAUUACAAAACCCUUAAAAAUUCCCUUUGAUAUUUUUAAAUAAAGCCAUUUCCAUGUAUUUAAUCAAAUAUUUUUAAAAAAAAAAAGUUGCUUUCGGUAAUCCAUUCUUAUUUCAAGUUAAUACUUAAAGAUUAAGAUCGGUCUGAAAUUAUUUUGAGAGCUUUAAAAAUGAUUUUAAAAAAAAGAAUUAGAGUUCACCUUUAUAGAUUUUUAUAAAAUGAAUAAUUUAUGAAAAGAGUUUGUGACUCCAGCAUAGUAAAUAAAUGAUGGAUUUCGGUUAUCUAAUUAAUCAAAAAUUCCAUUUUAUUUUGAGUUACUGAUUUAAAAAAAUAAAUAAAUACGGCAUAAACAGUACGUUGAUAUUGUGAUUAGUAUUUUGGUACCUUCAACUCCUAGAAAAAACAAAGAAUACGCAAGGAAAAGUGAAAGUGAAAAGAGAAUCUUUAGAUUUGUAGGAGGUAUUCUUCUGCAAAGCCUGCAGCUUGUAAAGAAUAAUUUAUGAUUCUAAAUUUUUGUCACAUACAGAAACUAGAUUUUGCUUUCAAUUACAUUACAGGGCCACCUUGCAUAAAUAUUGAAGGAAUGUACAUUAAUAAACUAAACUUGGAUUGGAUUUUUGGUGUUCCCUCAAGAAUAGCGAAUUUUCAUUUCCUUCCUGGAGAUACAUAAGUGUUCUAUUUAUCUUAAUUCAUAAAACAAUCAUGGAAGAAGAAUCCGAUUUUGCCAACGAUUGAUUUCAUUUUCAUAUGAUGCUGCCAUCUGCAAUUUCAGCCCCAUGAAUAAUCACCACAAUUCCUUCACUGAUAAUGUAGCCAUUAGCUUCUCUAUCUCCUUCUUGGACACCAUCUUUGUUAAUGAUCUGCAUAACAGUAAUGAUCAAAUUUGGUUUCAGCAUUGAAAAUAAAAUGUGCAAACUGCAGAUAUAACAAGAUUCUGCAAAAGCUGAAGUUGACAGCAAAGAUGUACUAGAGGUUUUGCUACUGCGAAUUGAUGAAGAUUGAUGGAUUUUCCAUAAUACCAAAACAUUUUUGCCAAUCCUGGCAUUCUUAUCUAUAACGGCUUUCUUUAUUUGAGUAUCUUCACCAAUUCCUACUGGAAUGGCCUUGUGAUUGAUACACUUGCCACUGCUUUGAAUAUCCUCUCCCUGCUGAUUGAAACAUGCUUGUGUUAGAAGUAAAGUAAUGAAAAAGAAGCAGCAAAUGUUGUUUUUUAAGAACCCUGGAUCCCCCCUGGUUGCAAAGCAUUCAGAAAAGGCUAAAUCCAGCUUUGACCAAACAAAACAUUCAUUUGGAAUGACAUUAGGAAGCUUCAUUUACGUGUGCUCUUUUUGAGAGCUCACUAAAGCAUUUAAUGAGACAGAGAAUUGAAGGGUAUACGAAGUCUAAAUAUCUCUUACUUGAUAGAAAUCAGCGCCCAUGAUCACGGAAUCUUCUAUUACUGCCCCAUCUCCAAUUCUUGUCCUCAUACCAAUAACUGUACCUUUGAUCUUGCACCUCUAUUGUUAGAAAGGUCAAAAAUGUAUUUCCAGACAACAAAGUAAAACGACAUUUCAGAAAGAAUAUGCAAAAUGCUUUUACUUACAUUGAUAAUGCAACCAUCUCCAACGACACUGUCUCUUAUUACAGCUUCUCUGAUCAUAGUUGGAGGCAGACACCGAGGCAUGGUGUAGACUGGACAAUCUCUAUCGUAGAAGCUGCCAUGGAAGGAAAGUUUGAGUUAGUUGGCGAGGAGCCAUUACAUAUAGUUUGUAAAAUUCACAAACACAAUUUACUUGCAUUAUCCUUUCAGCCCUUUCCGGUAAUUUAGCCACUGACUUAUAUCUCAUAUUUGAUCUCUUAAUGCAUUCCAUGUUUGCAUGGUAAAAUGCUUCUAUGCUCCUCAUGUCCUCCCAGUAUCCAUCGAACAGAUAAGCUUCAACCUGUCAUAACAAAAGUAGAAGGCAUGGAUGUAGCAUAUAUAGAAGUAAAAGUGCAUUUGCAAAGCUUAUGCAUAAUCUACUUAGUCUGACCUUCAUGCCAAUGGAUAUUGCAGCUGGUAUUACUUCACUUCCCAAAUCGGUUGCCUCAGGCAAAUAUUCUUUUAAAAGCCUUGACAUUGUAUCUCUAUUAAUGAGAUAAAUCCCCAUACUUGGAAAAUUACCAGAAGCAACACUGUCGGAUUUUCUUGAGCUUUUUCCCUGAAUUUUGGGAUAAACGCUUCUCAAAUAAGCACCUUCCAAAGUCAGAAUCAAGUUUUAUAAAAUGGAGAUUGAGGAAGACACUUACUGAGAUGGAAGUUAUUGUUUCCCUCUCUGAUUUCAUGCUAAAUUCUAUUACCUGAUUCGCUGGAUUUACUCUCAACAAACCAAAACCAGGGUGUUUAUCUCUUAUUGCAUUUAAAGCUACAAUAGUUAUAUCAGCUUUGUUAUUCCGAUGAGCUUCUAUUAGCCUCUGAUAAUCCAUUUUGUACAAAUGAUGGCCUGGAAGGAUAAGAAACUCAGUCACAGGAUACUCUUCUAGCACCCACAAGCAUCUUCUUAUAGCAUCAGCAUUUCCCUAACAAUCAGAACCACAAAACAAAGAAUGUUGUCAAAAUGCUGAUGCCCAACAUCUAUUUCAGGAAAAACUAGAGGCUCUGAGGCAGAAAUAGAAGUAGACAUCAACAAACCUGAAACCAGUCCUGGUCUUCAAGGCUCUGAUAUGCAGCAAUCACUUCGACAAACCCAUCUUUCCCACGAAGUAUACCAGAGAAGGCUCUUGAGAGAUGGAGAUUGAGGGAAGUUGAGUUGAACUGUGUGAGAGCAUAUAUCUUGUUAAUGUUGCUAUUAAUGCAGUUGCUUACGACUGCAUCAACAAGUCUGUAGUUGGCUGCCAAAGGAAUAGCGCCUUCUGAUCUUCUCUUUGUCAAUGGGUAGAGUCUUGACUCCGAUCCAUCUCCAAAUACUACUGCUGCAACACUCUGCAACAAACAAAUCUUCAAACAUCAAAGAUGGAUUUAUGUAUAAUAUUUGCUAGAAAGCUUGUGAGUAAAGAAAAAUGAACCUGGUCUACUGGAGGGAAAAGUGGAACGGGAUAGUAAGGCUCCUGUGAAUUGCAUAAGUACAAGCUAGCAGGAAAGGAAGAAGGAAGCUUUGACAAGUGUUUCUGUUGAUUGCGUGCCAAUCCUAAAAUGGGAAGCUUUGCUUGAUGUUUAACAAUGAUGGGACAAGAAAGCUGCAAUGUCACCAUGGGAAGAGAGUGCAAGAAAGAGUACAGUAUGCAACUUUCUUAUAGGUUAUGAUCUGUUAAUGUAUUUUUGCUUCAUUUGUUCCUUCUUGUGCAUUUGAGAUUUAAUAGAGAAAACAAGAGGGGAAUAAUUUAAUUUCUUCUUCCUCAUGACUACUGCAGAGAGAUCUGCCUUGCCUGGCUAGAUGUUGAUGACCAUAUGACACAAAGCUGUCAGAGACCUUUGUUUGCGCUAUUGUGUUUAACUUUGAUUCUAAGCUUCUUGUUACUUUUCCUUAUUCUUUGAUCUGAUGCAACUUGUUUGCAACUUUCUAUGCUAAGAAUGCAAAGUUAUUUUAAACUUACAAAAUUACCAGGAACAGCUUAUUUAGUAUUAAAAGCUGCCCUCAGAAUGACAACAUUACCCUCAAACAUACAGAGAUGGGAUUGGACAAGGACUCUUGAAAAUGGAAGUUAAACCAAAUUUCUAAUAGUCACUUAAGAAAAAACCUAAAUGUUUGCGCAGUUGCCCUUUUAUUAGAUAUUUUGCUGGUUUUGGUUCUUUAGUUCAAUUGGUUACAGUUGGAAGGUUGAAGCUUAUAGCCAACACCAGACAUUUGGAAUGGAGUAAUUUCCAAGUCAGGAAUUGUCUCGGCUUUUUUGCCUCAUGGUUUUAUUGCCAAUUUUCCACAUUAUUAUAUUCUCCCACCAAAUUAAUAGAAUUGAUUAAAGAACUGAUUUAACGUCAAUAUUUAAGGGUUAUGAACAACUUCAUGUGUACAAGGUGGUUUAGGCACCAAAUAUUAAAAAAUGAUGAAAAUUGCUCAAUACGCAAAUCAGCAAAUCCAAGCAAAAGCCUUAACCAUACACAUUUCACUAGUUUUCUCUCACCCUGAAAUCAAACUUCUUCCCACAAGCCAUGGCAAAUAGGCUUGCUAGCAACGUCACGCCUUUCAUGUUUUCAAAAUAACACCGCUAAUUCCCUACAAUCUGACCAUCAAUCAUGGAUGCAAAUGCCCUUUAUUUUGAAUAUUGUCAUCUAGAAAUACAUGUGAGAAGCAUACAGAAUCCAGAUUGUUUCUGAUUCAGAACAUUACGAAAUGCUUUUUCAGUAUCUGGGUGACGCGCAGGGAAAAGUAUCCAGUAUUGAAGCAGUGAACAAAUUGCUUAUCGUAUUUUGGAAUGCUAAGGCUAACCUUUUGCAGAUCCCAAAACUGUCCAUACAAAGGCUUCAGGUAUCAUGAAACUACAACAAAAGGCCACUUUCUCAAAAAGAAAAUAUGAGCGGAAAAAGGACUCUGUCCAACUCUUCUUGGUGAAACCACUACUUCAGGUGGUGCUCAAAUAAAGAUGCCAUUUCAAUCUGCAGCACAAACCAAAAAUAACCAUGAAAGAGCUGAAUCAACUAGAUAAAAUAUUAAUCAAAGCAAUUUUUUUUUUGUCUAGGAAAUUAUUUUGUCAGAAAAGACCAGCAAGAAAACAGUACUACACAUGCAUAAACCAUCUGUUAAUUAAAAAAAUAAUGCUGUACCGUACAUCAGUGCAAUUACUACUGGUACUUGCAAUGCUAGGAUUCAUAUCUUUUUAAUCCAGGACUCUACAUAAUAUAUUUACUUCAACGAGUAGCACAAUAUCACAGAUUUAGCAAUUAAAAUCCAAUUGCAUGAUACUACUUAACAGUAUUGAUUUAACAUCAACUUACAGCAGUCAAAGCUGCCUCAGCACCCUUAUUCCCAGAUUUACCACCAGCUCGAUUCAAAGCCUGCAAUUAUCAUCAAAAGACAACAGUUGCCGAUUUUAAUUGUUUGAUGGCACGAAAAAGACCUAAAUUAGUCACAUUUCUGGUUUCAUGGCAUUAUAGGUUACCUGGUCCAUGUUAUCGCAAGUCAGGACACCAAAUAUGCAUGGAACACCUGUUGUACAUUGGAAACAACUUCAGUCAGGAACAAUGUAUAACCAAAGAUACAGAUCAACAAAAUGAUGAGCUGCAAUGAUAUGCUACAGCAUAGUUUUCCCGCUGCCCAAAGGCAAUUCUUCCAAGGGGAUUCAGGUUUGAAUUAAUAAUUCAGGAGGCCACUGGCAGGAACUAAGUAAAACCAUACUUUGAAGCAUCAUCCAACAAUAUGAUAAUCUACAGGUAUCAAUAAUUUCAUUCUUUCACUGGUUUAUCUGAAUAAUAACCCAAAAAAAUAAAAAUAAAAAUAAAAAUAAAACAAUCAAGACCAAGAAAACAAUUUUUUUUUUUGGCUCACAUAUGAGCCACCUCGCUAACAGGUAUCAUCGAAAAGACAUACUAGAAGACACGAAACUUAAAGGGUCCAAUGUUUGCCAUAGACAGAAAAUUAGAACAAAAUACAUCAAUGGAAUGGAAAGAUGAUAAAGCCAGCGAACAUAGAUAUGGCAUGAUUCAAAUAUUAAGACAAGAACAUAGAUACAAAGAAUAAAAACAUGUAUUGUAGCAUUCUUCAAUCAAGCUGAGAUCAUAUCAGACCCAAAAAGCUAGAUACAGAUAUUUCAACACUUGACAUUUAAAGGGGUUGAAAUGAUAAAAUUUAAUCAUAUUCAGAUAGUAGUUACCUCCCAUUUGUCCCAUAUUCUAGUAAAGAAAAUACAAUCAAUUCAACAACAGAAACCAAAAAUGAAACAGUAACCUGAAUUCAUGCCAGCUGAAAGAACUCCGGAUGCAGCAGAAUUAGCUACAGCAUCAUAGUGAGUAGUAUCACCUCUAACCUACUGACCAAAAAAAAAAAAAAAUAGGGUUCAUGGAUUAGGUAAACAUCAGCAAUAUUUACUUAAACAAUAAUCCUUCUUGAUCCAAAAAUAUAUACAUAAAACAGAAGAUAUUUUAUCCUGUUAACAUAAUUGUGGAGAAACCAUACCACGGCACCAAUACACAAAACUGCAUUAUACUUCCCAGACUUCCCUAGCUGUUGUGCAACAACACCAAUUUCAAAACUACCAGGAACCCACACAACCUGGUGAGAAAGUGAAGAGAAGAAUCAUUACACAUUAAAAUCUUCUCAUCUGAAAGACCAAUUUAGAAACCAAAUGCUCAAAAGCCUGCUUGCUUCGCAAUGAAUCAUUCUAGAAUUCCCAAUAAACAAAAUGGAAUGCAUAAGCAAACAUUAUAUGAGGGUUCUAAUUUACAUUUAUGGACUGUGUAGACGAGGCAAAAGAAUAAAGCAAAGUCAAUAUAGCUACAUCAUUUUGAUAAAUAUAAACAAUAAAAUGUACAAAAUACUUGAUAGAACCAAGUACAAUAAAGAAGAGCUACAUACAUCAAUGUUUUCUUCUUUAACUGAAUACUUCUUGAAGGUCUCCAAAGCUCCCUCUAACAGUAGUUUUGUCACAAGCUCAUUAAACCGUGCAACAACCUUGAUGAGAACGAAAAAAUAAUUAAUAACAAAAAUGGCCCAGAUGAGUAUUAACAUCAUAAAAAGAAAAGGAAACAAAUUCGGGUAAGACAAGUGAAUUUGCAUUGAAAUCAAGAGAACAGACCAAAGCAAAACGGAGCCCCUCAUUUUUUGUAAGGAAUCCAGUCAAAUGCCUCACAGCUUCCGUUUGUACAAACGAUAAACGUUCCUUCCUCUCAAUCGCAAUCUGGGUUCCAAAUCCUGAAACUUAGAAAGAAGUCAACAACAAAACAACGACCCAUUCACUGGAGACCUAAAAAGAAAUGGCAAAAAAAAAAUGCAAAAAGAGACCUUUGAGUGAAGAAGAAUGUGAAAAGGACAUAGAAGUUGGUUUUGGAGAAAACCCAUUAAUGAAUUGACGAGAUGAUGAUGCGAGAGGAGAGUGAUGAAUUGUUGUUUUGAGGUUUAAAGCCAUUUUUGUUCUGAUAACAGCUCAGUGUCAGACUGAGACUUCAAUCUGAGUUUUAAACCCUAGUGUUAGUAGAGUAGUUGGGUAACCGUAAAAGUAAAAUGGGUUGAAAAAAACACGACCCAAAACCAAAUGAGUUAACGCGGGUCGGGCUCGGGAAAAAGAGAGGGUUUUCUUUUUGGUUAAUUUGCUUCCUCCUUUUUAGUCUUUACUAGCCAGCCACCGUUUAAAACUAGCAGCCGAUUUUGUAUUUUUUUAAUCAUUCUUAUUACAAACCCUUUACAGAAUUCUCUUUCUUUCUCAAGGUAUGUAAUCAAAAUUUGAUCUUCCACUGUAAAAAUCUCAGCUUUUUAUAAUCCUUUCUAGUUGACGGGGAGGGAUGUGAUAUGGCUUUUUUAUGUGGAACAGAUAAUGGCAUCUUUGCUCAAAGCUCCAACCAACAACACUUUGCAACUGCAUAAGUUGGAUUUGUUUACUGGAAGCAGCAGAAUCAACAGACAGAGUAGUAAUAGUGGUAAUGGGAAUGUUGCUUUCUCGAGAAAAAGAUCUUUGGUGCCACCGGUUCUGUCAAUGUCAGCAACAGGAGCAUCAACUAAAGAACAUUUGGAAACACCCAUGUCCAAAAAUUUGCAUAUUCCCAUCAUGGUAUUAUCUCAUAUUAACCUUCUACUGCUUUUAUUUUCUUUUGGUAUGCGAUGAAUUUUAAAAUUUGUGACUUCAAUCUUACAAUUGGGGUAAUAAAAGAAUGUUUUAAUAAUCAUUUCUUUUUCUUUUUUUGGAGGGGGAAAAAAGAUCAUUGAAUUGAUGUUGGAUGGCUUGAAUUGACUGAAUUAGCCAAGUUUUAGUGAUGUUGCUUAGUGACCCGGAGGGGAACUAACUAGAGUUAACAGAUAUGUUUUUUUCUAUGAUAAUGGACAUGAAGCUGUGGCUCCUUGGUUCUGAUGCUAAUCAUAUAUUGCUUGCCCUUUGUAGCUGCAUUGUCUUGCUUCUACCUGUUUAAGUGUUAUUUGAUUUUAAUUGAACUUUUUGCACUUGUACAAGGAUGGUAAUGAAGUUUAUUUAUUUAAUAAUUAUUAUGUUAGUUUAGCUUUCUAUGAUGAGCAAUAGUGUAUAUAUUGUAUGUGUUGAUGAUACACCUCAUGCUUUAUAAUUUCAUAUCCAUUAUAGGUAAAUAGUUGUACUGGAAAAAUGGGGAAGGCUGUUAUCAAGGCUGCAGAUGCUGCAGGACUUGAGCUGGUUCCUGUAUCAUUUGGCACAGAAGAGGAAUCUGGGCAAAAGGUGGAAGUGUGCGGGAAAGAGAUCCAGGUUCAUGGUCUUUCUGAUAGGGAAAGUGUACUUGCAUCUGUCUUUGAUAAAUACCCAAACAUGAUCGUUGUGGACUAUACUGUGCCUGCUGCUGUGAAUGGUAAGCAAUUGUAGUGUUUGUCAUUUGAAAAAGAAAAAUGCAUCUUAAAUUUGAAAAUUAUAUUCGGGCAAAUAAAUACUGGUAUUUUGGUGAUAGGAGCAAUUAUUUUUCCUUUUUUAAGAUGUUUCAAGUGAGAAAUUACUAGAAUCUUUUGCCUAGAGAGAUGGUGAAUACUGAAUAAAUUGUGUUCGAAAAAAGGAGCAAAGCCACUGUCCCAAGUUUCUCUUCUUAAUUAUUUAAGUUCCUACUCAAAUGCUCUAAUUAUAAGUUGUCAUUCUGACUUAUCAGUAGUAUUAGGACCGUUGACCUUGUUUAUUUUAUAACUUUCUACCGGACCUUUAAGAUAAUACAUAGUGGAUAAUUCAGCCCUCAUUGAAUUGCUAAGGUGCAGCAGAAUGCUUCCUCUGCUGCAUUUGCCUUGCUCCAUAUUUUUUUAAUUUAAUGAGGUUGCAAAUAAUGUAGGUAAUGCAGAGCUAUAUUCCAAAGUUGGAGUGCCCUUUGUUAUGGGAACCACUGGUGGAGACAGGGUCAGAUUGCAUGAGACAAUAGAAAAUUCAAAUGUUUAUGCUGUGAUAUCCCCACAAAUGGGAAAACAAGUAAUAUGAAUUGUACAACUUUAAUCGAAAAUAAAACUUAAACACAUUUGAUUGGUUGUAUAAAUAUCCUAAUAGUGUGUUGAUUUGAUAGGUUGUGGCAUUCCUUGCAGCUAUGGAAAUAAUGGCUGAGCAAUUUCCUGGAGCCUUCUCCGGGUAUUCUUUGCAGGUACUUUUGUUUCCUAAUUUCUUCUUAGGGUUUAUCUGAUGCUAUAAUAAUAAUAAUAGAUGAUGCAUUUUUGUUCUUAGGUGUUGGAGUCCCAUCAAGCUGGUAAAUUGGACACAUCUGGAACUGCCAAAGCUGUUAUCUCAUGCUUUCAGAAACUGGGGGUGUCUUUUGAUAUGGAUCAGGUGUGUUCAAGGGCGUUUAAGCUGUUGUCUUUGAAUCUUUCAUAUGUUAUCUUUAGGCUUUGCUAUUUGUUAUUCAGGAUUCCUACAUAUUGAAAUAUUGUGAAUAUAAUAAUCAUAAUGUGAUAAAAAUGAAAUAAUGCAUAAGUUUUGUAUGAAUGCCACAUAACAGGGAUAUAGACUUGGGUAUUUGUUUGUUUCGUUUAAGUGUAUUCAGGCAUAGAUGUUGACAGCCAUGCUUUUGGCUCAUAUGUUUGGUGUGCACGCAUGUCAGUGAUUGUCAACUUAACGAAGAGUGAAUAGAUUAGCUAUUUUGAUGUUCUAUUGAUUGGUAGAUUCUAAUCUGAAUCUUAAGCUCUAUUCGGGAGUGCUGCACUGCCACAGCGCUCCCAAAGGAAGCUUUAGACUGCUAUCGGCUUGGUAGACCUUGCUGGUUUUAGAACGUCUAAAUUGUUUUGGCUGGUUUUAUAAUGUCUAAUUUGUUUUGGCAUUAAUCCAUCUUGUGAAUGAAUGUGCUUUUGUGUAUGUCAAAUUAUCAAUUAGAAACAUUGUCAUUUUAAAAGUAUAUUGAACUCUGUUGGAUAACUCUUUCUUGGUUGAAGAAAAUGCCUAUUUUAAGUUAGUUUUGUCAAUUUCCGAUGUCUGUCUACCGGCCACAGCUUUGUUAUCUUUCUAACAAUAAUUUUUUAUUUCCUCUGUUGGUUUCAUAAUCCAUAAUCUUCCUGCCGUAUUCAUCAGAUACAAAUGAUUCGGGAUCCCAAGCAACAACUUGAGAUGGUGGGAGUUCCAGAGGAGCAUUUACCUGGUCAUGCAUUCCAUAUGUACCAUUUGACAUCACCUGAUCAAACGUAAUCCCAGGCAUCCUAGUUUGUUCCCCCUCAUUUUUGUCCGGUAUAUAUUUUCAUUUUCUUCUUUGUUAGAUUUUAAUCAUAAAUGACUUCUUUUUUUUCUGUCUUUUUCUCUCUUCGCAGAGUUUCUUUUGAAUUUCAGCAUAAUGUUUGUGGGAGAUCAAUUUACGCAGAGGGGACUGUUGAUGCUGUGCUUUUCCUUUCUAAGAAGGUGCUAAUACUUUCACAUCUCACAUUUUAUUUGCUCUUAUUCCGUUGCUUCCAAUGAUAAUAUAACCUUUCAUUAUGUGAAUAUUGAUAUAGUUAUAAUCAUUAUCAUUUAUGCGCAUGCUUAAUUUGACCGUGCCAUAACUUUGCUUUUAUAGUAUCCUUAUCAUUCGAUGACAACAAAUUAACUCGAUAGUCUGACCGAAAUUAAAAUUGCAAAAUUGCUUAUGAUCUUCUUACUUCUGUAAACAUCCAAACAUCGACCUUUAUGAUCUCAAGUUGUUUCGUCUUGAAUUUCUUGUUGUGUGAUUGCUUCUUACUCAAUAUUUUCAUGCAAAUCGUUGCGUAAAAACAGGUUCAGUUGAAGGCAGACAAGCGUAUCUACAACAUGAUAGAUGUCUUGCGAGAGGGAAACAUGCGUUAAAAUUUUGUUUUAGCUAUGUUCCUUGUAUUAGUAUUUAGUACAUUCUUCGCUCAACAUUUUUGGGAUUAUGAUGAAACGUGCAAUGCAAUUUUGGAUUAGUAACUUUGGCCUCGCAAUAUUUUGUUGUCAUAUACUUUUACUGCUAAUUCAUGAGAACAUGACAGACUAGUUAUGAGUUGAAGCCCCACUUUUCGUUGCCAUUGUUAAAUAUUUUUGUGCAUGCAUAUAGAUAUCAUUAUUUAUGGCAAAAAAAAAAAAUAAACAUUGACUUUUUUAAUUUCAUUGAUAGAUGUUACAUGUGAUAUAAAAUAAUUUUACAUCAAUUAAUUAUAGACAUGUAAACAUAUAAUAAGUGUGAAAUUGAAAAAAAAAUAUUUUGAUAAUUUAUUGCCAACAUAUGAACAAAAAAGAGUUUUUAUGGGAUAAAUAAUAAAAGGAGAUUCUGCUUAUAAAAAGGACUCUUUAUUAGUGUGUUGGAUCAUCAAGUAAUAAAAUUUUAGAAUCAUCAAGUAAUAGAGUCUUCUAUCUUCUUUCUUGUAAAAAUCUUUCUCUUACAAUAAAAUUAUUCUUUAUAUAUUUUCUUAUUUUUUAUCGAAUUAUUGAUAGAACUCAAAACUAUGCGGUAAUUGUAUGGGUUUAGGCUAUAUAUGGCACUAUGGUUAUGUGAUUUUUAAGCUACAAAUGAAGCCAAACAAAGAUAUUCUAAAAAAUUCAUUAUUUUUUUCUUGAUUUUAAUAUCUUUUUUUUUUAAAGAAAGGUAUUCCGAAAAUUCAUUAUUGUUUAUUUUUUAGUUUUACUUCUGUAAAGUUAUAUAUAAAUUUCAAUUUACUCAAAGAUAAUCUUACAAUUUUUGAGAAAAUGUAAUAAGAUUGAGACUCAGCUAUAGUGCAACUGUGGUUCUAAAUUGAUGAUGUCUUCACAAGAAGACAAUAUAAUACUUAAAUCAAACCUUAUUAAUUUUUAUUAUAAUAUUAUGAAAAUAAAAAAUUUAAUUUAAUUUAAACUUUCAAUCCUUUUUUUUUUGUUGGAAAAAUUAUAGAUUCCCCUUUAUAUCCAAACUAAAAUGGGCCAUGACAUUUACCCCCUUCAAAUUAAAAAAUGGUACACUUAAAUCCCUUACACUAAUAAUUUAAGUUAUUUUAUAAACCGUAAUCAUCUAUCAAAAUGAAACAUUAUAUAUGUGUUAUGAGCAAUGUUGUAUUUAAUAAAUUGAGUUAAUUACCUAAUUUAAGUAAGUUUUAUUUAUUUUUAUUUUCAUAUUUUCUUAGCUUAAAAACUGAAAAAUAUAAAAAUAAGAUUAAUAUAUAAUCCAUGAUGAGAUGAAAAUGGAAUAACAUUAAAUUAUCUUAUUAUGGAAUAAAACUUCAAAAGAAAAUUCAGUAUACAAAUAGCUUAUGUUUAUACCAAAAUUCUAAAUACAAAAAUAUAGAUUAGGUAAUUAACUUAACUUAUUACAAACGAUAUUAUCAUAUUACAUAAAAAAAAAAGCAUUUUUACAGAUGUUUGCUAUUUGCAAAAAUAAAUUAAAUUAAUUAGGGGUAAAAUGAGCUUUUUAUUGUAAAAUGACUUAAAAGGUCCAUUGCUACCAUAAUGAGGUUAAGUGUAAGAUCUUUAAAUUUGAAAAGGAUAAGUAUCACAAUUCAUUUUGAGUUUGCGUAUAAAUAUUUUUAAUUUAUAUUUAAAGCAAAAUCCAUAAUUUUUUGUCUUUUUUAUUUUAAUUUUCGGAUAGGGCGAGACUAUUUGAAAUAAUUUUUACAUUUUUAAUUUAUAACUUUUUCCUUUUAGAGUGAUGCCAUUUCCACCCUUCGAAAAUCUUAUAAACCCCUUUUUCCACUUUACUUUUAAAUAUUCCUUCAUACUUAUUUAUUAAAAAAGAAAAAGCCAAUCUUAAAUCUCUCCCGCUAAACAUAUUAAUUUCCCCUCUCUAUAAACUUUCUCAUACAGUAUUUUUAUUUUGGUUUAGAUUUCCUAUCAAAAUAUAUAAAUUCAUUUGUGCACUUCUAAAUCACUAUCCUUCCUUCUUAUUUCUUAACAAAAUUCCAUAAGAUGUUGACUUUCUCUCUCUAGAAUGAAUUUUAACAUUCAUUCUUCAAGUGAACUUUUUAAAUUCAAUAUAUUUUAUUGCGUGAAUUAUUAAAAUUUUUAUUGCUUUUGGAUUGUUCAUAAUUUAAAGUUCCGACACUUGUUCUACUAUUAAUUAAGACUCAAAGGAAAGCAUUUAUCGUUGUCGAUGAAUGAAAAUGGGUUUUGCAAAGGUCACCUUUUGUUUUAUAAAAUUAUUUCUAAGGUUAAAAUCGUAAACAUAUAUGAUACGGGGUUUUAAAAGAUAUUUAAAGGGGUGUUAGAAGCUCAAUUCGUUCUUGUAUAAAGUUAAACUAGCGAACUUGCCCAAGUUUUAGUGGGCCGAAACCACUUACCACAACCAAGUUCCGAUGACCGACCCGGCCCAGUUUACAUCCCAACUUCAAGAGCAACUUUGAUCUUCGAACUUCCGCUCAGCUUGGUGACUUGGUUUCGUUCAAUUCAAGCAAAACGAUGGAGAGCAGAGAAGAUUUGAAGUCAAUACUAGCGUACUUACCGGUGCUGGUUCGAUCGAAGAAUCUGUUUUGGCCAUCAAAAGUGGUGGAAGCACUGAAAGAAAUGGCGCAAGGGCCUGAUCACAGCGGGGUCAAUUCUGGGGAAGUUUUAUUUGUUGCAAUUCGUGAUAUGAGAAGCUCGCUCUCUCUCCUUCAACCUCUCGCCCCUUUUGCUUCUGAGGGUUACGCCCUCUUCUUCGAUGAGGUAAAAGCUCUUAAUAUCAUCUGGUUUUGCGUGUUUUUUGUCAGUUCGUUGAAGUCUCUGUGUUUGUAUUUUGGUUCUGAAGUUGAAACUUGAGUGUUUCGGUUUAAUAGGCAUGGCUUUCACUUGAUUGUAGAACUAGAAAUAAGAAACCAUUUGCUUGUUUAUUACUACAUGAAGAAAGAUUGUUUGCUGUGCUCGUGAGCUCCAGCCUAGUAAUCUGCAGUUGGUGUGGAAUGAAAUCACUAGCUCUCAAUUUAAAAAUUAUCCGUUAAAUACAAAUCAGUGUCUGCAUACACUGUAGCUGCUGCGCUUUCAGAAUUAAGUAGAAGCUCAACAGUGAAAACAAUACCCUGAGUUGUUUCUUACUUUCUAGUGUGUUUCUUUCCCUCUCAGAUGUAUUUGAUCAAUUUGAUCGACUGCAAAUUUAAACUGAGGGAAUGUUAAGGACAGCUUGAGUCUCUUUAUUGAUUUCAUUACUUUUAGUAAAAUACUGCUAUUUAGUAAAUGUGCCUACUCUCACAAUUACCAUAAAGAUGUAAAUAUCAUUGACGCUUAAUUAAGAGGAUUUAUGCAGCUGAUUUCCCGGGCAGAGGCGGCAGAGUGGUUUGGAGAGGUUCUCCCAGCACUGGCAAAUCUUCUCUUGCAGUUGCCCGCUCUGUUGGAAAGUCACUAUCAAAAUGCGGAUGAUAUUCUUGGUAAAUAUGGCUUCAAAACUGGUCUCCACUUAUUGGGUUCACAAGAAGGAGGCAUGGUGUUCCUUAGCCAGGUAUCCAUGUGUUUAGUUGGUCAGUAGUAAGGCCUUAUAUCCCCCAUGUUUGCAGGAUUUAUAAAAUUCUUAUGUGCCAUUUAUGUUAAAAUAGAUGAGGAACAAUGACCCACAGGGUAACCUAUUUUAGCUGUGCUGAAGAUUAAAAUGAUUUUAAUAUGAUGUGAUCUGCUCGCAUGGCUAGCUAGAGAUGGUUCUUUUUUUUUGUUCCCCUUUUUUGUACUGUUGAUAGCCUGUGAGUGGCUUGAACAGCAACUUACUUAUCAAUAAAUUAGAGAAGAAUCAGAAAUUGGUACUAUUGGACAGGAUGCUGGAUGUGGUACAAUCUCUAAAAAUUAUAAUGAUGGGACACGAAAGAUGACCCACCUCCGUAGAUUCACAACUAAUUCUCUCUUCUCUUUCAAUCUCUCUCUCUCUCUCUCUCACACAUUUAUUUUUUCCCUGCUUAAAUACUCAAUAAUUUCUGAUAGCAUCAAUGUUGCUUUUCAGGAAUUGAUUGCUGCUCUUCUUGCAUGUGCUUUCUUUUGCUUGUUCCCAGCCAGUAAUAGAGGUGCAAAUCAUCUUCCGACCAUCAACUUUGAUGAAUUGUUUGCGUAUGUGACCUCUUAAGCUAUAUUCUGUGGACCUUUGAACUGUUUUAUUCAUCCAUGGUAGAAAAAUCAUAAUGAGGUAGGGUAUUGCAAUAUGAUUCUUGUUUCUACUUGUUUAGCUUUGCAUUGCGUUAUGUCUAAAACUUCUCACACUGGGAACCAAAGUUUGAAAGUAAUUGCAACUGUGUUAGUAUCAUUGUUAUGCAUCAUUUCAAAUAAAUAAAUAGGAAGAUUCAAGCUUGCUUAAUCAAUGAAUUGGCAAGUUUGGUUUUCGGUGUUUCUUGGCGAGAGAGUGAUAAUAUUUUUUUUUUCCGUCUUUGUAGAUAUAUGCACUUCUGUCAGUAGGAUUGUGUUAAAUCGUUGCUUUUAGUGAAAGACUGAACUUGCUUUUGUUCUUCCUACUAGUGAUUGCUGGUAACAAUUGGAAGGAAAAGACAAUUUGGCUGUAUUUUGCUAGACAUGAUCUCAAAUAAAUUUUUUGUUGAGGGCAAACCUGGAUGCAGUAAACAUUGUCGUGUAAGAAAGCAAACUUUUAGGAGCCUCUAGACCACAUAGACUAAGAGAAAUAUCUUGUAGCAACAAUAUCUCUUGUGCUUCCAAAAUGAAGUAUGUGUGUCACUAUUUUCCCCAAAUAGUUGCUGUAGUGGAGGCUUGGAUGCUUCUAGGUAUCUUGACAGCUAGGGGAAAUCUGAAUGAUGCAUGCGCAAAGGGUUCCUUAAAUGCAAAACCUGAGCUGAUUGUUUUAAUGUCUCAUUGUGACCUAUUGCUAUUAAUUAGCAUAAACGGUUAGUGCAGUAAUUACUAUGUUCCUUUUAUGGUUGAUCUGAUUGCAUGAUUUUCUGGUUUUAUCCAUGAAAUCAAUUUUCUACUUCUUCUAUUUUCUUUUCUUUGCUUUUAUUUUUUAUUUUAUUUUAUUUUUUAUAAUAGUAAAUGUCAUAUACAAAUUUCUAUGUUUUCCUGAACCCACUACAUUAAUCACGUCAAUUGCAUUCUUCAGGAGUCUAUAUGAAGGUUAUAGUCAAAAGCAGGAAAAUAAAUUAAAGUGCAUUGUACAUUAUUUCAAGAGGAUAUGCUCCUGCAUGCCUGUUGGCUUUGUCUCUUUUGAGCGGAAAGUUCUUCCUCAGGACCGCCAUCCUUUAUUCACGUCUUAUCCUGAAGCUGAUUUUUGGAGCAAAUCUGUGCUGCCCCUCUGUGCUUUUGAGGUAAUUCAAUUUAAAUUUAAAUAUUUGCUACUGUAAAAGUUGAAUUCAAUUUAUCUAAUGUCAUAUUUCUGCUGUAGAUAAGAAAAUUUUGUAUUUGUAGGUUCAUAGUCUAGGCUUCAUAGAAGAUCAAUCCGCCAAUGCUCUUGAAGUAGAUUUUGCAAACAAAUAUAUUGGGGGUGGUGCUCUUCAUAGGGGCUGUUUGCAGGUACUAUUUUUUGUUAACAAUUUUACUGUGACUUCCUUAGUGGUUCAUACUUAAAUUAGGUAUUUUUUAUCGCCUAUUCUUAAAUAUAUUGUUCCCUGUUUGUGUUACUUCUGCAUGAAUGCCUUCUCAUUUAAAUUGCUUUCCUUAUUUCCCUCCGCCUACGUCAUGUGGAUCAUUAGCUUCUUGAAAUAUCACUCAACAUAGAAUAUUUAAAUCCUAAUUUUAUUUGUUGUCAAUGCCACUUUAUGUAGGAAGAGAUUCGUUUCAUGAUCAAUCCAGAAUUAAUUGCUGGGAUGCUUUUCUUGCCUUCCAUGGCAGAUAACGAGGCUAUAGAAAUAGUUGGUGCUGAACGAUUCUGUGAUUAUAAGGGGUGAGUCUAAGGCAGUAAAUCCGAAAAUCCAGGACUUUGAGUCAUUGGGGACAUAGAUACACAAUACGUUGCUGAACCUAAUUUUAUGUAUUUCUUUUAUGUACAUGACUUGACUUAUGCUGUGGUUGAUUUCUGAUUAUAAUAUCGUCUUGAAGUUGUGUAGGUAUGCAUCGUCAUUUCGUUUUGCGGGUGAUCAUGCAGACAAAAGGCAUUUUGACAGUUUUGGAAGACGUAUAACCAGGAUCGUUGCUAUUGAUGCAUUAUGCAGCCCUGGGAUGAAACAAUAUGCACUAAAAUACCUUCUUCGGUAUGUAAAAUUUGCUUUGGAACGCCUCAAGUACACCUAUUAGAGAAUAGACAUGUACACUUAAUGUAGUUCAAAUGGAAAUCUUCAUCUGGAUUUCUAUUACAAGAAUUUAAUAGGUUGCUGUACUCUCGUAGUCUUGUCCUAUCACUGAUCCACAAAUACGGAAUGAUCUUACAAAGAUCAGCCAGUGGCUUUAUUCUGUAUUUUGCAGCCAGGGAUAUAUAAGUAUAAUAAGGCUUUGUGGUUCCAUGGAUUAGUUAAUCAAAGUUGACAUUUUUUUUUGCACCAGGGGCGUUUUUGAUGUUAGAGAUUGUCUUCACUCAACUUGUUUCUCUUGACAGGGAGACAAAUAAGGCCUUCUGUGGGUUCAUUGAUCAAUCAAAAUAUUGCCAAUACAAGGGUUUAUUUCAAGUCAAAGGACUUCAUGAAGCUCAUCUUUAUCCAGAUGAGAAUGACCACACAUCAAGGAAUCAUCUCGAGGUGCAAAUUAUUUUCUUGAAUUUUUUGUCUGGUGAUACAAUGGUUAAUUGAAAAUCGUAUAUCAGAAUGUCAAAAGGCUGAUUUCUGAUGCAGUAUUAUUUGAAGUGUUUGUAAUUUAGAAUAAUUUGAACUUCUUCUUAACCCCUUAACUCAGAAGACUAAAUUUUCUUUGUAAAAUAGUUAAAUGAGGCUUCCUCAACUACUGUUGAAACAAAUCAAGGAGCUUCUGUAAGUCUACCAGCACUUGGAAAUUCUGAUGGGGAGGGUAAAGAUUUGCCAGGGAUUGCUACUGGGAACUGGGGAUGUGGUGCUUUCGGCGGUGAUCCUGAACUAAAGGCUAUAAUUCAGUGGCUUGCUGCUUCUCAGGUAGUUAUUCUGCAUAAGUCUGCCAUGAAUUUCAUUUGAAUACUGUUAAAAGUUGCUGUACAAAUGCUUGCACGCACACAACUAAAUCGCACGAUGCAUAUCUUCUCUCGGGUGGAGAUGCUGUUGGACCAAAAGUAAUUGUGUUGGAAGUUUGUAACAUGUGAACUUAGGAUUUCUCAAGGGUUUAAUAUAUUAAUGUGGAGAUACUAUUAUUUAUUUGAAAUAAUAAUAGAGAAACAUGUUCUCCUGUCGCUCAUUUCUUGUUGUGACUUGAUUCAGGCAUCGAGACCUUUCAUUUUAUACUACACAUUUGGCAUCGAUGCAUUGCAAAACCUAGAUCAGGUACUCAUACCAAUCCUCCACGGUGCAUCCUGGUCUUCCUGUAUUGUUUGCUCCUGCUAUUUCCGAAUCUUGGGUGCGCAUAUCGCAUCACAUUCUCAUCCGAGUUGAUGAUCUUGUUUUGCAGAUUACGCAGUGGAUUCUGUCGCAUGAAUGGACAGUCGGAGACCUUUGGAAUAUGAUGGUGGAGUACUCAUCCCAAAGAUUGAAUGGACGAACCGAUCUUGGCUUCUUUGCUUGGCUUCUUCCAUCCUUAACUUCCCAUGAAUUGUCAAAUACAAAUUAAGAUUGUAUACAUGAAUCAUGCAACACGCAAAUUGUUAACAGUUAUAUAGGUAAAAUAGGUUAUUUUGUUAAGCCUUUUAAUAACCAAUAAGAUUCGUAGUAUUUUCCCAGCAUCAGAUUUCAACGACCUUACGAAAUGAAAUAUAUAAAUAUUUUUGGUUUGGUUCGAGUAGGAUUCGUGAACCCAACUGGUUAAUUCCGGUUGAUGCAUACAAUUGUCGCAAUCUUGUUCACUGUAUUUAAUUUGCAACGGUAGGCCUGCCCUCACCAAAUAACUUACUCACAAGUCAUUAAAAAAACGAAUAAAAAAAUUAAUAGUAAUUGGUAAAUACUAAAUAGUAAAUACUCAAAAUGUAACUUCCUCACAAAAAUUUCUGAAGAAAGGAAAAAAAUCAAAUCGAAAGAAAUUGUGAAACCCGUUGCAGCCACAGACCGGCUCGUCGCCUCCGGCGGCCUAGCCUUCCGUGAAAAUAGAGUAAGUAAUCUUUUGCUCUCCUUCUACUCUCUACUGGCACCAGAUUCAUACACGGAUAUUGGCAAAAUAAAAAAUUUUCCCCCUUUUGGCAGACUUGAGUAUUCUCUUUACCUGAACAUCAGUAAUGGAAAGAAUAAAAUUUUUAUUGAUUUAUUAUUACAGGGGAUGGAAGAGUAUAAAUUAUAGGAUCUUUUCUCUGUUGUUGUUAAAUUUCUGACAGUUUUGCUAACUAUCAAUAUGAGUUUUAUGAAAGACCCAUUAUUAACCUAACUGAAAAAAUGCUUUCUUCUCAGCUUUAACACUGUGUUUAAUAUAUAUUUCAGGUUGGUUGAUAACUUUCACGAUGAAUAAAUCAAAAUCACGUAAAGUGGGUAAGUUAAAUAAAAGAGAUAGGAUUAGUCGGAUGCCCGAUUCAAUCCUUUGCCAUAUUCUCUCAUUUCUGCCCACAGAACCUGCUGUUCAAACUAGCAUUUUAUCAUCAAGAUGGAAGCUGGUUUGGACUUCUCUUCCCAAUCUUGUGUUCGACGACAAGUUUUGCUACAGAAGUGGUGGUACUUCAGUUAAUAAUCGGUUGACUAGGUUUGAGAAUUUUGUCAACAGGAUGCUUUUGUCCAACUCGGUAAACAUUAACAAGUUUUCCCUUCAUUGUCGGAAGCUUAGGUAUUUGUCUUGUUUGAAAUUUUGGGUUGCACUUGCAAUUAUGCGAAAUGUUCGUGAGAUUGAAGUUUAUCUUCCGUUUGGCAAUCCAUUUGAAGAGGGUUACAAGCCUGCUGAGCUACCUGACUGCAUCUACAAUUCUGAAACACUUGAAAUUUUGAAACUAGAAACAGAUUUUCUAUACAAGAGCCCUUCCUCUGGGAUUUGUUUUCCAAGGGUCAAGAAAUUUCAUGUUGAAAUACAUAAGCCCAACAUGCCUGACUUUUCUAUCUGUCCUGUACUUGAAGAUUUGUCAAUUGUUGCAUACUUGCUAACUAAUGAUUGGAAGGCCAAUAUUAGUAUUUCGUCUCAAACUAUAAAGAGGUUAAACUUGUUGAUAGAGAGAUAUAUGGGUUUCAGUAAUGAGCACCAGGUUAUGAUUGAGGCUCCAAAACUAGAACAUCUCUUCAUUAAAGAUCAUACAUUGGUAUCUUAUCUGGUCCAUGAAGUACAUUCAUUAUGUGAUGCACACAUUGAGAUUAACUAUUCAGGGGAACGUGAUCAUCCGAGUCAAGCUGAUCGUGCACUACAGCUUCUCAAAAAGCUCUCAAAUCUUCAGUCUCUAUACUUAUGUGAUGGCACCAUAUAUGUAAGUUAUCUGUCUGCUUUAUGUUAUGCAUAUUUUAAACUUUAAUAUUCUUCUUACUUCCUCUUUUUUGUUUUUAAUAUGAUUAUGUUACAUAGUUACAUAUUUUUCUGGUAAUGUGUAAUAAAAGUUAUUUUGGAACUCAUUGGUGGAACAAUUUCAAUUCCUCAAGUUAAUAGUCGCUAGAAAUUUUAAUUAUUGUCUUUGUCUCAAUGAAAGGCACUUGGUGAAGCCUAUCAGUAUUUGUAUGAUGCUCGUCAAUAUUUCCUUCCCACAUUUUCCAACUUGUCUUUCUUGGAAGUGAGGACUCGAGAAUAUGGAGGGUGGAUUCUUCCGAUCAUCUUCAGUUGUUCGCCUAACUUGGAAACUUUUGUCUGGAUGAUGGUGAGGAUGUGAUAAACUAUUUAAAUAAAGGGUAUUUAAGUUGUUUUUAUAUUUAUUUCUUUGUAAUCAGGCCACAGAUGACCCUGAAGACGAUGUAGAAGUUGAGUGGAUAGAACCGCAGUUCGUGCCCUACUGUUUGCAGUUUAAUGUCAAGAAGAUUGAAAUUCUGUAUCACGAUGAUGAUCCAUUGGAACCAGUCAAGUAUUUAUUGAAGAAUUGUGGAGUUUUGGAUAGAAUGAUCUUUAGAUAUGUUGGAGAAUCUUCCAAUGAACUUUGCAAGGAAUUAUUAAUGUUUCCAAGAGGUUCAAAGACUUGUGAGGUUGAAUUUCAUGGAAAGUAUAGGGAUUGAGCGACUUGGUUAUUUUGAAUUGGUGAUUUUGGUCGGGUGAUGCUGUAAAAAUUGCUGGUGAUUUGCAUCAGAACUCUAUUGUAGAUGAUAAAAAUAUGAUUUCUUUUGUAAUGUAAAUGCAUUGUUUACUGUGCCAUUUUUUUUCUUUUUUUUCCCUAAAAAAAUCUUUUUGAAGCUUCUAUUAAUUUUUUUAACGGUUUUGCCUAAAAAGGAUAUAUCAUUUUAUUGAAUAUUUGAGUCUCAUGGCAUGGACUAAAAUUUUCGUCUCACAUUUAGAAAUGAAACCUUCUUUUUUUUUUUUUUCAGUUGAUAAUCUCUAACUACAUUGAAAAUAGCUUACCAAACUAGAGACAGAAGAAAAUCUCUGACGAAACACUUAACAUUGAUAUUUAAAACAUUUUAAGUCAAAAUUGAAAAUCUGUAUCACAGAAAUUUCGACUUAUUUUAAUUUUAUAAAUUUUUGUGUCAAUUAGGCAUGACUAGUAUGAUUUUUUUAGCCAUCCUUUAUUCACGUCUUAUCUUGAAGCUGACUUUUGGAGCAAAUCCGUGCUGCCUCUCUGUGCUUUUGAGGUAAUUCAAUUUAAAUUUAAAUAUUUGCUACUGUAAAAGUUGAAUUCAAUUUAUCUAAUGUCAUACUUCUGCUGUAGAUAAGAAAAUUUUGUAUUUGUAGGUUCGUAGUGUAGGCUUCAUAGAAGAUCAAUCCGCUGAUGCUCUUGAAGUAGAUUUUGCAAACAAAUAUAUUGGGCGUGGUGCUCUUCAUAGGGGCUGUGUGCACGUAAUAUUUUUUGUUAACAAUUUCACUGUGACUUCCUUAGUGGUCCAUACUUAAAUUAGGUCUUUUCCUUCACCUAUUCUUAAAUAUAUUGUUCCAUGUAUUUGUUACUUCUGCAUGAAUGCCUUCUCAUUUAAAUUGCUUUCCUUAUUUCCCUUUGCCUAUGUCAUGUGGAUCAUUAGGGUCUUGAAAUAUCACUCAACAUAAAAUAUUUAAAUCCUAAUUUUAUUUGUUGUCAAUGCCAUUUUAUCUAGGAAGAGAUUCGUUUCAUGAUCAAUCCGGAGUUAAUUGCUGGGAUGCUUUUCUUGGCUUCCAUGGGUGAUAACGAGGCUAUAGAAAUAGUUGGUGCUGAAAGAUUCUGUGAUUACAAGGGGUGAGUCUAAUGCAGUAAAUCAGAAAAUCCAAGACUUGAGUCACUGGGGACAUAGAUACACAAUAGGUUGCUGAAUCUAACUUUAUGUAUUUCUUUUAUGUACAUGCCUUGACUUAUGCUGUGGUUGAUUUCUGAUUAUAAUAUCAUCUUGAAGUUGUGUAGGUAUACUUCGUCAUUUCGUUUUGCGGGUGAUCCUGCAGACAAAAAGCAUUUUGACAGUUUUGGAAGACGUAAAACCAGGAUCAUUGCUAUAGAUGCAUUAUGCUGGCCUGGGAUGAAACAAUAUGCAUUAAAAUACCUUCUUCGGUGUGUAAAAUUUGCUUUGGAGAACCUCGAGAACACUGAGAACUAUUAGAAAAUAAAUGUGUUUGCUUAAUGUAGUUCAAAGGGAUAAUCAUUUUCAAAUCUUCAUCUGGAUUUCUAUGACAUGAAUUUAAUAGGUUGCUGUACUGCUCAUAGUCUUGUCCUAUCACUGAUCUACAAAUAUGGAAUGAUCUUACAAAGAUCAGCCAGUGGCUUUAUUCUAUAUUUUGCGGCCUAGGAUAUAUAUAGUAUAAUAAGGCGUUGUUGUUCCAUGGACUAGUUAAUCAAAAUUAACGUCAUUUUUGGUUGUUUUUUUUUUUUGGGGGGGGGGGGUUAGUGAUUGUCUUCGCUCAACUUGUUUCUCUUGAUAGGGAGACAAAUAAGGCCUUCUGUGGGUUCAUUGAUCAAUAAAAUAUUGCCAGUACAAGGGUUUAUUUCAAGGCAAAGGACUUCAUGAAGCUCAUCUUUAUCCAGAUGAAAAUGACCACAUAUCGAGGAAUCAUCUCGAGGUGCAAAUUGUUUUCUUGAACUUUUUGUCUGGUAAUAUAAUCGUUAAAAUCAUAUAUCAGAAUGUCAAAAAGAUUCUUUCUGAUGCAUUAUUAUUUGAAGCGUUUGUAAUUCUCAGAAGACUAAAUUUUCUUUGUAAUAUAGUUCAAUGAAGCUUCCUUAUUUACUGUUGAAACAAAUCAAGGAGCUUAUGUAAAUCAGCCAGCACUCAAAAAUUCUGAUGGGAAGAGUAUUCAGCAUUGGGAUAGUAAAGAUUUGCCAGGGAUUGCUACUGGGAAUUGGGGAUGUUGUGCUUUCAGGGGUGAUCCUGAACUAAAGACUAUAAUUUAGUGGCUUGCUGCUUCUCAGGUAGUUAUUCUCAUCUGAAUACUGUUAAAAGUUGCUACACAGACGCUCACACACACACAACUUAAUUGCACGAAGCAUAUCUUCUCUCCGGUGGAAAUGUUGUUGGACCAUAAGUAAUUGUGUUGGAAGUUUCUAGCGUGUGAAUGGAGGAUCUCUCAAGGGUUUUAUAUAUUAAUGUGGAGAUAUUGUUAUUAUUUGUUUGAAAUAAAGCAGAGGAACAUCUUCUCUUGUCGCUCAUUUCCUGUUUCUCUUUGAUUUAGGCAUUGCGACCUUUCGUUUUAUACUACACAUUUGGCAUCGAGGCAUUGCAGAACUUAGAUCAGGUACUCGUUCCAAUCCUUCCAUCAUCAGCACUUGUGAAUGUAUUAUCAUUAUGAAUCCUCCACGCUGCAUCUAGGUCUUCCACGUAUUGUUUGCUCCUGUUCUUUCUGAAUCUUGGACACGCAUAUCGCAUCACAUUCUCAUAUGAAUUGAUGAUCUGGUGGUGCAGAUUGCGCAGUGGAUUCUGUCGCAUGAAUGGACGGUCGGGACCUUUGGAGUAUAACGGUGGAGUACUCUUCCCAAAAAUUGAAUGGACGAACCGAUCUUGGCUUCUUUGCUUGGCUCCUCCCAUCCUUAGCUUCCCAUAACUUGUCUAAUACAAAUAAAGAUUGUGUACAUGAAACAUGCAAAUUUUUUAACAGUUACAUAUGUAAAUUAAACAUGUAAAUUGCUGUGCAACGUUAUCAGUAAUUAAAUUUGAGUUUAGAAUUUUGUUUAGAAAAAGACCAUUAUUGUCAUCUUUUCUCAAUAAAAUUUGUAUAUAAAUAAAAGACCGUUAUUGUCAUUUCAAAAAAAAAAAAAAAAAAAAAACCACGCCCGUAUAUAAAAAAAUUAAUGCUCUCCAAGAAUUAUAGAUCAACUAAUGAAGGGAAAAAUCAUCAAUUUAAUUUUUAGUAUUUAAAUUUAUUAAUGUUAACAGAAUUGGAGUGUCAUCAGCGUGUUUAUUUUUUAAUAAAUGUUGAAAUAAAUAUAUCUUAAGUGACAUUAAUUUUAUUUUUUAAUAAUUAUAUUAAAAAAUAAUGUUAAAUUUUCUAAAAUUUAAAAGUUUUAUAUUUAAAAUUCUUUUAAAUAUUUUCUAAAUAUAUUAUAUAAAUUAAACUAAAGAAGUUAGUACAAUAUAAUAUAAUUAAAAAUUAAUACAAUAAAAUAUAGCAUCAAAAGUUAUACAAUAUUAUUAUAAAAUAAUACUAAUUAAAUACAGAAUAAUAUAAUAUAUUUAUAUUAAAAUAAUGUAAUACAACAUAACAUGAUAAGGUGUGUUAAAUGCACCCUUAGUAUAUAGUAUAUGCAAUUGUUGAAAUCGUAUUCACCGUGUUUAAUUUGCAAUUGUAAGGCUGCCCACACCGGAUAACUUACUUAUUAAGACAAAAAAGAAAGGGUAAUUUUUAAAAACCUCUCCUGAGGUUUGGGUUUGUUGCAAGUAGAUGGCGAGAAUUGGUUUAUUUGUAAAAAACCCUCUACCGUCAGCUAAUUUUAACAUUGACCAUUAGUUGACCGUGCAAAGACAAUAUUACCCUUAACAAUAGUUUAUAAACGAAAAUAACUAAAAAAAAACUAAAAUUAUUGGCGCGAAAAGCACAAACCCUAUUUUUUAACAAUUUUAUCCUUGUCAAUUCCAAAAAUUUACAAUAUCAUAGGUAAAGAUUAUGACUAUUUCAUUUUUAAAUUUUUAAUUUUAUCUUUCUUGUAGGAAUUUUAAGAAAAUAUCAAUAAUUUAAAGAGGAUUUUUUAAUUUUUUAAUUUUAUCUUUUUUAUAGGAACUUUAAGAAAAUAUCAAUAAUUUAAAGAUGGUAAAAUAACUAAUAAUUUUAGUUUUUUUUUAGUUAUUUUCGUUUAUAAACUAUUGUUAAGGGUAAUAUUGUCUUUGCACGGUCAACUAACGGUCAAUGUUAAAAUUAACUAACGGUAGGGGGUUUUUUACAAAUAAAUCAAUUCUCGCCAUCUACUUGCAACAAGUCCAAACCUCAAGAGAGGUUUUUAAAAAUUACCCAAAAAAGAAAUCUAUAAAAAGAAUUAAUAGUAAUUAGUAGGGUCCGGCUACGGUGCAACGGUGAUACGGUAUCACCGUUGCAUCCAGCCGUUGGAUCUACGUGGAUGAAUGAAUCCAGUGGGAUCCAACGGUGAUACCGUAUCACCGUUGCACCGUAGCUUUCUCCUAAUUAGGGGUCCGGCUACAGUGCAACGGUAUCACCGUUGCAUCCAGCCGUUGGAUCCACGUGAAUGAAUGGAUCCAGUGGGAUCCAACGGCUAUGGUGCAACGGUGAUACCGUAUCACCGUUGGAUCCACGUGGAUGAAUGGAUCCAAUGGGAUCCAACGGCUGGGUGCAACGAUGCACUGUAGCUUUCUCCUAAUUAGGGGUCCGGCUACGGUGCAACGGUGAUACCGUAUCACCGUUGCAUCCAGCCGUUGGAUUCACGUGGAUGAAUGGAUCCAGUGGGAUGCAACGGUGAUACCGUAUCACCGUUGCGCCGUAGCUUUCUCCUAAUUAGGGGUCCGGCUACGGUGCAACGGUGAUACGAUAUCACCGUUGCAUCCAGCCGUUGGAUCCCACGUGGAUGAAUAGAUCCACUAAAUGUAAACGGUAAACCCCUCCCUAAAAUUUCUGGAAAAAGGAAAAAAAUCAAAUUGAAGGAAAUUUUGAAACCCGUCGCAGCCAGAGACCGGCUCGUCGUCGCCUGCGGCCUAGCCUUCCGUGAAAAUAGAGUAAGUAAUCUUUUUUCUCUCCUUCUACUCUCCACCGGCACCAUAUUCAUAAAUGGAUACUGGCAAAAUAACUUUUAAUUUUUUAUUUAGCUUUUAGCAUACUUGAGUAUUAUCUUUACUUUGAACAACAGUGAUGGAUAGAAUAAAAUUUUAAUUGAUUUAUUAUUAUAUGGGAUGGAAGAGUUUAAAUCGUAGGAUCCCACGUUGUGUAUUCUCAAUUGUUGUUAAGCUCUGCAGCUUUCUUAACUAUCAAUAUGAGUUUCACGAAAGACCCAUUAUUAAUCUAACUGAAAAAUGCUUCCUUUUCGGCUUUAACACUGUGUUUAUUACAUCUUUCAGGUUGGUUGAUAACUUUCACGAUGAAUAACUCAAAAUCACGUAAAGUUGGUAAGAUAAAUAAAAAAGAUAGGAUAAGUUGUAUGCCGGAUUCGAUCCUUUGCCAUAUUCUUUCAUUUCUGUCCACAGAAGAUGCUGUUCGAACUAGCAUUUUAUCUUCAAGAUGGAAGCUUGUUUGGGCUUCUCUUCCCAAUCUUAUGUUCAAUGACAAGUUAUGCUACAGACGUGAUGGUACUUCAGAUAAUGGUGCGUUGACGAGGUUUGAGAAUUUUGUCGACAGGAUGCUUCUGUCCAACUCAGUAAGCAUUAGCAAGUUUUCCCUUCAUUGUCAGAAGAAGCCCAGGUAUUUGUCUCGUCUGAAAUUCUGGGUUGCACUUGCAAUUAUGCGAAAUGUUCAUGAGAUCGAAGUUAAUCUUCCGGUUGACGAUCCAUUUGAAGAGGGUUACGAGCCUGUUGAGCUACCUGACUGCAUCUACAAUUCUGAAACACUUGAAAUUUUGAAACUAGAAACAGAUUUUGUAUUCAAGAGUCCUUCCUCUGGGAUAUGUUUUCCAAGGGUCAAGAAAUUUCAUGUUGAAAUAUAUAAGCCCAACAUGCCUGACUUUUCUAUUUGUCCUGUACUUGAAGAUUUGUCAAUUGACUACUCGCUAAAUUUUGAUUGGGACGCCGAUAUUAGCAUUUCGUCUCAAACUCUAAAGAGGUUAAACUUGAUGAUAGGGGGACCUAUUGUCUUUGCUAAUGAGCACCAGGCUACGAUUGAGGCUCCAAAACUUGAACACCUCCAUGUUAAUGAUGGCACAUUGGUAUCUUAUCUGGUCUAUGAGUUACAUUCAUUAUGUGAUGCACGCCUUGAUAUUGACUAUUCGCGUGUGCGUAGUGAUCCGGUUCGAGCUGAUCAUGCACUACAGCUUCUCAAAAAGCUCACGAAUCUUAAGUCUUUGUACUUAUCUUGUGGCACCAUAUACGUAUGUUCUCUGUCUGCUUUAUGUUGUGCAUAUUUUAAACUUUAAUACUCUUCUUACUUCCUCUACUUUUUGUUUUUACUCUGAUUAUGUUACUUAUUUUUCUGGUCGUGUGUAUUAAAAGUUAUUUUGAAACUCAUUGAUGAAACAGUUUCAAUUCCUCAAGUUAGUAGCUGCUAGAAUUUUUAAUUAUUGUCUUUUUCUCAAUGAAAGGCUCUUGGUGAAGCGUAUCGGCAUUUAUAUGAUGCUCAUCAAUAUUUCCUUCCCACAUUUUCCAACUUGUCUUUUUUGGAGGUGAGGAUUCGAGAAUAUGGGUGGUGGAUUCUUCCGAUCAUCUUCAAUUGUUCGCCUAACUUGGAAUCUUUCGUCUUGAUAAUGGUGAGGAUUUGAUGAACUUUUGAAUAAAGGAUAUUUAAGUUGUUUUUAUAUUUAUUUUCUUUAUAAUCAGGACGUAAAUGGCCCUGAAUACUACGUGGAAGCUGGGUGGAUAGAACCACAGUUCGUGCCCUAUUGUUUGCAGUUUAAUGUCAAGAAGAUUGAAAUUCUGUAUGGGGAGGAUUUGAUGAACUUUUGAAUAAAGGAUAUUUAAGUUGUUUUUAUAUUUAUUUUCUUUAUAAUCAGGACGUAAAUGGCCCUGAAUACUACGUGGAAGCUGGGUGGAUAGAACCACAGUUCGUGCCCUAUUGUUUGCAGUUUAAUGUCAAGAAGAUUGAAAUUCUGUAUGGGGAUGAUGAUCCAUUAGAACCAGUAAAGUAUUUAUUGAAGAAUUGUGGAGUUUUGGAUAAAAUGAUCUUUAGAUAUGUUGGAGAAUCUUCCAAUGAACUUUGCAAGGAAUUGUUAAUGUUUCCAAGAGGCUCAAAGACUUGUGAGGUUGAACUUCGUGGAAAGUAUGGGGAUUGAGCGAAUCGGUGAUUUUGUAUUGGUGAUUUUGGUUGGGUGAUGUUGUAAAACUUGCAGGUGAUUUGCAUCAGAACUCUAUUGUAGAUGAUAAAAAUAGGAUUUCUUUUGUAAUGUAAAUGCAUUGUUUACUGUGCUACUCCCCCCCCCCCCCCCAAAAAAAGAUCUUUUUGCAGCUUCUAUGAUUAUUGUUUUUUUUAAUGGUUUUGCCUAGGAAGGAUAUAUCGGUUUAUUGAAUAUUUGAGUCUCAUGGCAUGGACUAAAAUUUUCGUCUCACAUUUAGAAAUGGAACUUUUUUUUUCCAGUUAAUAAUUACUAACUACAUUGAAAAUAGCUUACCAAAAUAGAGACAGAAGAAAAUCUCUAACGAAAGACUCAACAUUGAUAUUUAAAACAUUUUAAAGUCAAAAUUUGAAAACUGUAUCAUUGAAAUUUUGACUUAUUUUAAUUUUAUAGAUUUUUGUGUCAAUUAGUCAUGACUAAUAAAAACUAGACGUGUCAUGUAAAAUUCUGCACCGAUGAAACAAGCUAUAGAUUUCAGGAUACUUUUGAACUAAUCUACCAAAAAUCUUAGUUAAUAAAGCAACAAGUAAAACAUUCAUCCUAAAGCCAAUAUUUUGUAUUUUAAUAUAUAUAUAUAUAUAUAUAUAUAUAUAUAUAUAUAUAUAUUUAUAUUUAUAUAUAAAACAAGCAAUAAAAUGAAGCCCCAAAAAUAUUUUUACUCUCGCAAAACAUACAGCCCAAAGAUCGAAUUUGCUACAUGCCCAAUAACUCAAUGGUACCCUACUAAAUGUUACAUUUUGUUCUGAAUUAUGAAACAAAAAAGAUUACAUUUAGAGGAAAGACAAGGAGUAAAGAUGAAAAAAUGUAUCGGCAAAUGCAUAAUAAUAUAAUUAUUUUACUCCUUUGGUUAGGAAAGGAAAUAAAUAAACCAAAAUAAGAUUUCUUUUUUGAUUUUAACAACAGAACUUUUGUUUCGCAUAUAAAUUAGAGAAAUUGUUUUACAUGCAAAAAGAUUAUUUAGUUUAUUUUUUUUAUUACUAGGUAAUUUUAUUGGUGAACAACUUUUAUAUUUUUAACUCUUUAUGAACUUUUAUGAGUGGAAAUCUAUUCAGUGGUACAAAAGAUUUAAUAUUCAAAUCCCGCUCACAAAACCAAUGGCCUUUUGUAUUAAGUAUUUCAAUUGUGACGAUUUAGUGAGGAUUUGCAAACAAUUAGUUUAUUUUGAAUAUUUAGAGAACUAUGAGGACUGUUUUGUAAAUAUUCACCCUUGACAUAUAAAAAUCGAAAUGUGCUCGCUCAUCUUAUCCAUUUGAGAGCUCUGGGUUUAGCGGAGGGUUUAAGCUGAACCAGAAGCACAAGAAGAGGAAGAGGAGGGGGAAGAAGAAACAUAUUUGGGCAUUAAAAUCAAACAAUCACUGGUCAGUACUUGCACAAUCAACUCAUUAACCCAGUUUUGUUUCUUUUGGCUGUUUUUAAUUACUGUGCAUAUAAAUCUUUUUCAACAAACCAUUACUUCAAUACUUCUUCAUCUUCAGUGAUUUCAAUUGCUAGUCCUUUCAUGACAUUGAAAAUUUAUCACAUUUAACUUGAAUUCUUCAUUAUUUAAUACCCAUGUUAAAAGAAAAAGGCCCUUUUUUUUGCUUUGCAGUUCUCUCAUUAACUUUUUCUUUUAAUUAAUUAGGGGGUAUUUUUGUAGUUGGAAUUUUUUUUUUUGCAGUUCUGUUAUUCUUCAUUUAUACAUUUACAGAUAUUUGAAUUAUAAAUUUAAUUUUGCAGAGUCAGAUACGGGGUUGAAAAAUGGCCCUACAACAUACAAUGACUUUCGAGUGCUUAAAUUCACCAUUGAAGGGCAAUAGAUUAAAAUCUUUUCCUUUGAAUUCUGUUAAAGUUUCUCGUCCUAAUGAAGAACGAAGCAGCAGCUGGGUUUCAUCAUCAAGGAUGGAGUGUUCCGCCUUCUCAUCAAACAUUGUCAAGUUGCCUUUGCAGGUGUGUUUUAUUUUAGCAGUUCAAGUCAUGUGGAGGAUAUGUUAGUUUUAAAAGUUUUCAAAUGUUUUCUUUGCAUAAACGUGUGUGUAUGUAUGUAUAUUUAUAUGUAGAAGCUAAUUGUGUUUGAAAAAACCAGGCUGUUAGUUUUAGAAGAAAUAUAAUAGUAAGAUCUUUGGUAGAGAAACUAGGAAAGAGAGGAGGAGGAGGAGAAUCAAGUGACACAGAUGAUGAGGACGACGACGAUGAUGAUUCCUCUAGAAAAAUGGAUGUGGAGGAUGACCCGUUGAUGGAUCCUGAAGAGAGACGUGAAUGGAGGAGAAAGAUUAGAGAAGUCAUUGCUCAAUGUCCUGAUGUUGAGGAGGAGUCUGACCCUAUUGAAAAGAAGAAAAAGAUGCAGAAGCUUCUGGCUGAUUAUCCUCUUGUUAUGGAGGAAGAUGAUCCUGAUUGGCCUGAAGAUGCAGAUGGGUGGGGUUUCAGUCUCAGUCAAUUUUUUGACAAGAUAACUAUCAAGAAUGUCAAGAAAGAUGAAGAUGAUGAGAAUUACGAUAGUGAGAAUGAAAUUGUGUGGCAAGAUGAUAAUUACAUACGUCCUAUCAAAGACAUCAAGACUGCAGAAUGGGAAGAGGCUGUUUUCAAAGACAUCAGUCCUCUAAUUGUUCUCGUACAUAAUCGCUAUAAAAGGUUAGUUUCUCUCUCUCUUUUGGCUUACUGUUAUAUGUGUAUGUGUAUUAUUCAAUUUGCACUCCUUCCAAUUAGUGCCUUAAUUUGAAUUGAAUGGACAUGUUGUCAUUCAUGGCUGAUUUUUUUUAUGCACAAGACGAGAUGGUGUUAUUCACUUGGCUGAUUUCAUGCGUAGUGGCAGAUUUCAUUGUAGUUGCUUCUUAGUAUUGCUUUCAGUGUGCUGAUCCAUGAAGUCAAUUUAGUUUGUGAUCUGCCAAUAAUACUCCUAUAUAUUUGUUUUCUGACCACUAUUCAAAAGUUCUGCUUAGUCUUUUUCUAUUGAAUCCAGGUCAUUGCUUAAUGUCAGAUGAUUUUUUGUGAUUAUUGAAUCAUAAGUCAUUCUGUAAAAGAUGGUCAAGCAUUGUAGGUCUCUGAAGAAUAUAAUGCUUCAUGCUUGUCCUCCAGAAAGGUCCGCUGCUCUGCAUUAUCUAAGAGAAGGUCUUGUCGAAAUCUCUAUAGAGUUUCCAACAUGAAAACAUUGCUUCUGGAGAUUUUGAGUUUGUCUACUACUAAAAUCAAAUUCCACUGAAUUUCCACCAGUCUAGUUAAUGUGAUGCGUUCUAAAAAUAACUGUAUUAUGACCCGUUAAACGUGCUGUUGAAUGAAGUUUCAUGUACCUUCAUCCCUAUUGAUCUUAGAGCUCCAUGGAAUGGUUAUUCUCGGUUCUAAAGGUUUAUCAUUUUACUAAUUCUAUGCUUAUCAUGGCAAAAAACUGGAGGACAGAAUUCAAAAUUUUUGAUAUUCUGAAUUGAGAAAAUUUUGCUGUGAAUCAUGGAUCAUACACGUAAACCAUUGUAAUUUACUGAUUCAUAAUCUACAGGUUACAUUUUAAUACUUGCAUCUCUUGUAUAUUAACAAUUAGUUGCUCUGCUUUGUUAUAAUCCACAUCAAUUCGAUUGUUUGCAGGCCAAAGGAAAAUGAAAGAAUUCGGGAUGAACUGGAAAAAGCAGUGCACAUCAUAUGGAAUUGUAGGCUGCCUUCGCCACGAGUAAGUAAGAAAUUCAAUGCUUAUUUGUUUUUGCUCAUAAUGGUGAUUGUUUCUGAUAUGAAAUUAUUGUAUUACACAGUGUGUUGCAGUUGAUGCUAACGUUGAGCAUGACUUAGUUUCUGCUCUUCAAGUGUCUGUCUUCCCAGAGGUUAUAUUCACUAAAGCUGGGAAAAUCUUGUACCGGGAGAAAGGUAAUUUUCUUAACCGAAGAAAAAGCUGCCUCUUAUUAUUUUGAAGGGAGUAAUGUUUUUGAUCUUGCCUUGUUUAUGUGUGUGUUCUUCAGCAACAAGAACUGCAGAUGAGUUGUCAAAGAUAAUGGCGUUCUUCUAUUAUGGAGCUGCCAAGCCAGAUUGUUUGAGUAGCAUUGAGAGUAGCCAAGAAAUGAUCCCAUCUGUUGCCAUCACCAAUCCAAGCUAAAAGUAAAACAGAUCUGCUUUCUUCAUGAUGUAGUGGAUGUCAUAAAUGAAUUGAGAUUUAACAUAUACACGGGAACUAAUGUAUAGCUUAGAUUCACUGCAAUUCAAAAAAAUAGUAUGUAUUAUGCAUGCUGUCCUGGGUGAAGUUAUUUUGUUUCUUAAUCUAACUUAAAUCCUGUUUGUAUUCUAUCGAUAUCCAAAUUCAUGGCAAUUACGGGGUAUGUCCGUAUAUGAUAAAUUUUAAGCACUUUCUGGACAAGAACUAACAGAGGACUUGUGUUUUCUCACGCCUCUGAGAUAAGCAUCCUAAUCAAGAACUUGUGAAGAAAGACGUUUAAGAUCUUUGUGGAUUUCCCCGCCAUGCAUUUAUUCUCUUUCCAGGGACAUGGGCUAAAAUCAAAGUUGAUGAGAUUGGUGACUUCUUGGUCUCGAUUAGGGAUGGCAAUGGGCACCGCCCGCAGCGGGUUUGCCAUUACCAAACUCAAACCCGCACAAAAUUUAAAUUACCAAACCCACCCGCAACCCGCAGCGGGUUUUAAUUUUUUUACAAAAACCCACCCGCAGCGGGUUUUAACAAUUACCAAACCCGCAAUGGUAUCCAGCGGAUUUUUUGCGGGUUUCCGUAUUUAAAAUCACAAAUGUUUAAUAUAUAAAUUUAUAAUAAUAACCUCAAAUUUCAUAUAACAUACUCAAUUUUAUAUUUAAAUAAUGUAAAUGAAAAAUUAAAAUUUCCACAUCAAUUCAACACAAAUUCUCAAAUUUAAGUAUAAAUUACACAAAUCCAUUUAAAAAACACAAAUUAGUAUCUAAAAAUAAUAAUUACAUUUCAUAUUAUCAUUUAAAACAAGCUCCAAGAGAAGAUAUUCAUUUCAUUCACCACCAUAAGCACCCAUCCAACACAAUGCCUAUAAGGGUAAAAGCUCGUUUAGUCCCUAUACUUUGAGGUUAGUGUCCGUUUAAUCCCUAUAUUUUUAAAAAUACCUCAAAACAUCCCUAUCAUUAAAUUAUUGACAUUCUUGCCAUUACCUUUUGUUCAUUUUGACUUAUUUUUACAAUAUUACCCUAUUACAAUAAUGUUCCUUUUCUAAACAUUAUUAAAAAGAAAAAUUAAAUUACCAGUUUAACACCAAAAAAUAAAAUAAAAACAAUAUAUAUAUAUAUAUAUAUAUAUAUAUAUAUAUAUAUAUAUAUUAAUUUUUGUGGAACACUCUGCUGAGAAGUUAAAAUAUUAAUUUUUUAAAAAAAUUGAUAACUUAAUUUUUUACAAAAUUAAUUUUUUUUGGACACACAUGAGCUUCCACAAAAAUUAAUAUAUAUCUUUUUUUAUUUUAUUUUUGGGUUUAAUUUGAUAAUCCAAUUUUUUUUUAUUAAUAUCUAAAAAAGAAACAUUACUGCAAGAGUGUAAAAUUGUAAAAGCAUGCUAAAAAAAUAAAAAAUAAUGGCAUAAGUGUCAAUAUUUAAUAGUAAGGAUGUUUUGAGGUAUUCUUAAAAAUACAGGGAUUAAAUGGGCACUAAGCUCAUAAUAUAGGGACUAAACAAGCUUUUACCCAUGCCUAUAAUAAUAAUUAAGAUUAAUAUUUUCAAAUACUAAUUCGAAGGAAAAUGCCUUUAAUUUUCUUUAGAUUAUGACUUUAGAAUAGGAUAUAGGCCACAUACACACAUACACAACUUUGAGCCUUUGGCUAUUUGGUAAUUUAAUUAAUGACAUUAUUUUCUUUAUACAUUUUUAGAUUAAAAUUAAAUUAAAAAUAUUUGAAAAAAAUAUUGCGGGUUUGGUGGAUAUCCAUGCGGGUAUCCACCGGAUAUAAGGUUAAUACCAAACCCACCCGCAUCCAUGUGCGGGUUUUAAUUUAUAAUACUAAACCCGCCCGCAACGGGUAAAAUUACCUGCAACGGGCGGGUUUUGGCGGGUGGGUUUGGGCGGGUUUACGGGUUUGCGGGUAUAAUUGUCAUCCCUAGUCUCGAUGGCCAGCUUGAUGGUGUCAUUACGCCUGUUUAAAUGUUUCUUCAAACUUCAAGCCAUCUUUGUUCACCGGUACCGAAGGACAUGCAUUUUCUUCCAAUCCAAGACACCACCAAUAACUAGACAUACUAAUCAAGACAGAAGGCAAUGGAGUUUGAAGAAAGAACGAGUGGACAUCUCACCGCUAUUCCCAUUCCAUUUUAUCCCUAGACAUCUUAACAAUAGGACCAAAAGAGGAACUCCUUAUGCCGCUUCAUUCCCAGCAUAAUUUUCACUCCACCUCAAAGAAGUUGAUCAUCUGAAAUGAUGGAGCACAGAUUUGGCAAAUCUAGUAUCGACUUUAUCCAAAGCAGAAGUUAUUGCUCGAACUUGACUUAAAGAUCACAAAUUUCUUUAAUUACCAUUCACCAACCCAUGUUAAAAAAGCCUAUAUGUAAUGGAAGCUCCCCUGAUGCUUCUCAUGUUCUUAAUUCAUUCUGACAAGUCCUCUGUUUCCUCCGUUAGCCACCGUGUCAUGACUUUUGCAGUUGAUGAAAUGGACGACUGAUCUCAUCAGUCUCUAAGAGUCCAGCUUGAUGGUGUUAUUUGCCUUAACAUUUCAGCCGAUUGAAUGGAUGCAAAAUGGAUCUUCGUUCUUUGGAGGAGUUAUGUGUUCCCAUUUGAUUUUGGAGUUGAUACUACAUCCACUAAGCCUGCAGGGUAAAAGUCUUUAACUUGUUAAAUUGCUUCGCGUCAACAAACCAUUUCCCUGCAUCAAAAUUGCAAACACUUCACACUAAUUGGAGGCACACUACAUUGAUUGUAAAUACUCAAAUAGUAUUUGUAGGGUGAAAGAAUGAAGGCUUAGAAGCAAGUUCGUCAUGUUUGGUAAGCCUCUUCAGAUGCUUUUCCAAAUAUCCGGACAAUGUUGGUUCUCUUAAGUCACAAGCAAAACAAAGAAAAUCAAAUGAAAUGCUAAGGUACCAGACUCAGGUACCGCAACUGACAAAAUCAUAAUACGGUAGAUUCUACAAAUUUUGAAAAAGAAAAGUACAUGAUAUUCUGCUUCUAAUGACAAAUCGUGAAUUUCUUAUUGUGUUUUUCAAGAAAACAACAAGUUGUAACUAAUGCAAUAGAAAGUGUACCGAUUAGUACCUCAUUACAUAAAUUGUGUGGUAUCUAGUUGGCACAGCAUCCGUUACUUAAAAAGCCUUAGCAUACAAUCUGAUAAAUGAAAAUAAAAAUAAGUAUUAAAUUGCUGAAAAAAUUUCAGAUAUGAAGGUUUUAAAUCAACUUCACCAAUCUGUAAUUGAAAUUUGUAAAAUUUGUAUUGUUUUCAUUUUUAUUAUUUCGAUUCCCUUUCACCCAUAAGAGUGAAAAAAAUCAACGAGUUGAAAAUUCUAUCGAAGCGUGCAAAGUGAACCACAAAAAUCUACGAAUAGGUAUGACUAUCUGUCAAUGGUAUUAAAUUUCAUCAGAUAAAAGUUCUUAAUUUGAACCAAACAAAACUGUAACUGAUUGACAGAAUAAUACUGAGGUGUUUCAAUGUCACUGAUGAAGAAGGCAAUGAAGAAGAAGAAGGAGGAGCAUCCUCUUCACCGUCGACCAAAAGUUGCAAGUUCUUACAAUUCUCUCUGAAGCCUUUUCAGAGAUAAAGGUGGCUUGCUACUUGUGAUGAAUGUUAAGAGAAUCACAAUAUUUGAUACACAACUUUUCCAACUGUGAAUUAUUUCCCAUAAUUUCCUGAGGUAAGGACUUCAACGCUCUGCUAUUUUCAAUUUUAAGAUACCGCUGUGUUGAUGCGAGAUUCUGGUUGUCCUCGUUCUACGACCAGGGUCUCUGCUCGAUCAACUUCACCACGACCAGGAUCUCUCCUCGUAAAGCUUCUUCUCCAGAGGUUCCUGCGCACACAGACAGGUCAGAGUACGCCGGUUGUUUUCCCGGCGCAAACCCUCCGACGCUCAAGUCAGAAAUAGGGGUUCUGAGAAUGUUUGCCACGAAUCUUAUGGCUUCUUUUUAAUCUCCGUUCUCGGAACUUUCUUUUCUUAAUUCUAAUAGCAAAAAGUCUAACCCUUUUACCUUCGUUGGUUACCUUUUUAUAGGCUUCCUCUGAAUCCCGGUCUUCCGUAGUCCACGCCCAUUAUUCUGCCCACCCUCGGAUGUGGAUGCCCCAAUGUCGUCAUUGUGGGCGAAUGGAGAUGGACUUCGUGCCUUGAUUCUCGGAUAGGAACGCACGUCCUGCCAACUGUCGUUGACUGGGUCUCCUCGCCUCGACCCCUAGCAGGAAUGGCCUUAUGCCUUUAACAGGAGUUCGUCCUCGUGAAUGGCAUAUUCGUGGACGAGCAGAAUAGCCCUGCUCCUGUUCCCCUGCUACCAGGCUCUUACAGGACACACCUGCUCGCAGGACUCUGCCACCAACUAUCUGCUCACCACAUCUGGUCUCGCCGAAGUAUUUCCCUCAAACACGCUGAUUAUUCAUAAGAAAAAUUACCUUAGGAAAUGAAAUGAGACUCACACAAUUCUCUUCUGUUGACAGAUCUUCAGGAGAGCUGAGUACAUACAACUCUUGUUCCGUCUUUUCAAAUUGGAGCCAUGACUUGAUCUGUUCAGAAUUGCCAAUUGCCAAGGUUCGUUAUAUCUAAAAUCCAUGACUACAAACUACCAAUGUGAAUAUCUAAGGUUCGUAGUUGAAUUUGUCAUCUAUGGCAACUCGAGGGAUGUGAGAUAUCUGAGACCACACUUCUCCGAUAUCCCACUUGAUCAGUGCCUUGUACAUUCUGUUGAUGCGAGAUUCUGGUUGCCCUCUUGCUUCGACCAGGAUAUCUGCUCGAUCAACUUCACCUCGAUCAGGAUCUCUCCUCGUAUGCUUUCUUCUUCAAAUAUUCCUGCGUCCACAGAAAUAAGUCAGAGCACGCCGGUUGUUUUCCCGGCGUAAACCCUCCGACGCUCAAGUCAGAUAUGAAGGUUCUGGGAACGCUUGCCACAAAUCUUAUGGCUUUUCCGUUAUUUCUAUUCUUUAGAGCUUGCUUUUAUCUUUGUUAUAUUCUCAAAAUUGCUAACCCUUUUACCUUCAUUGGCUACCUUUUUAUAGGCUUCCUCUGAAUCCCGGUCUUCCGGAGUCCACGCCCAUUAUUCUCCCCACCCUCGGAUGUGGAUGCCCCAUUAUCGCCCUAGUAGGCAAAUGGAGAUGAACUUCGUGCCUUGAUUCUCGGACUGGAGAGCACGCCUCGCCAACUGUCGUUGACCGGGUUUGCUCGACUCAACCCUUAGCAGGAAUGUAGAAGGAAUGGGCUUAUGCUUCCAACAGGAGAUUGGCCUCGUGGAUGACGUGCUCGUGGAUGAGCCGGAUGUUCCUGCUCCUGCUCGAGGAACACUAUUACCAGAUGUCUGCUCAUCACUGUUGGUCUUCGUCGAAGCAUAUCCCACCAACACCGGUCCCCCAAUUUCUAGUGUUGGGUAAUGUAGUAAGCCAACAGUAGAAACUUGACAGUUCUUGUUUGCGCGGGAUAUGAAAAAGGUUGCCAAGAGUUGUGUCGCAUUUAAUUGCGGAUGAGGUGAUGUGGCAGAGAUCUACCACUCCAUUUGAAUUUCAAACCAACGGUUACGAGGCCCUUGGGAUUCGGUGCCGUUUAAUGCUGGCAACCCAAGAGUCCGUCCCCAUUAGGAAACCCAAAUCCUUUCGAACGGCAAAUUCGUCAUUCACUUCGUCUCCGUCUCUGUCUCUCCGGCAAAGAAGUUCCGGCAUAAAGGCCUCCAUCUCUGUCUUUCUCCGACUGACCCAUUUCUUCAGGUAUUUCUUCUAUCUCCUUUGUCUCGGAUAGUUGUAGAUAAUUUCUCUUCUCGUUUGUUUGGGUAGUAGUUGGUGGUGGUGUUGUGGUUAGAGCUUUAGGGAAUGUCGAAAGGUAAAGAGAAAGUCAUUGAGGUUGAUGACGAUGAGUUGGACUUCUUGCCUAGUCUGCUCACCGAUCCUGCUUUUGAUCCCGGGAUCCCCUUAGAGCCCAUUAGAUCUAGUGUUGGCACUAGCGCUAGGAGGAUGUCCCCCCAAACAGCCUCCUCGAGCUGAAAUAGCGAUGAGGAGGGGUCUUCUGGCUCGGAGAACACCCUGAGUGAGGACCGAGGAGAUGAUUCUGGUGAGGUGUCCCCAUCAGAAGCGUCGCGACUAGAAGGGCGGAGUACAGUAGGAGGUAGAGCCCUAUUGCGGGAUUACGCUAUUGAUUACAUGACGUGCACGACCACGUUUGACGAGCUCACUAACCUCCGGCUUAGGUAUAGCAUUCCUGGUGAAAUACUUCUCAAAGUCCCAGGAAAGAAGGAUACCCCUAGCCGACCUCCUAGGGGAUAUGUUACCUUGUUUUUGGAGAGUUUUAAGCAUGGGCUGAGGUGUCCCUUGCAACCCUACUUUGCGCGGAUUCUUAACGGGCUAAAUCUAGCUCCUGGUCAACUGAACCCCAACGGGUGGAGAGUGCUCUCUGGUCUAUUCAUAUUGUGGGACAGAUGUUGUCAAAGCGAGCCCACGGUCGAUGAGGUGAAACACCUGUACCAACUAAACAGCAGCCCUAAAGAUGCCGGCUGGUACUACUUCCAAUCUAGUACCAAGAGUAGGAAACCCAUAACUGAUCUUCCAACUGGUGGUAGUGGGGCUUGGAAGAGAAAAUUCUUUUUUGUUGGGGGUCCUUGGGGUCAGGUUGCACAAAUGGACGGGAAGGAUUGUCGCGUCCCACCCCGUUUCACGGUCCCAGGUUGCCUGCUCGCUUUAGAUGUCUUGUAUCCAUAAUUGUUCUCGCUUUACUGGUUUGUCUCUAACCAAGUGUCUGUUUGUGUUACAGGUUCUUGGGGUGUUCACUUCCCGCUCAAACCUGACCAGCUCAAACGGGUUGAGGCUGUACUAGCCAAUUCCUGCUCGAGCCGAGAACUGAUUACUACUUACAACUUGCUCGAGUCUCGCUUGGUACUCCCUGGCCAUAAGAUGGAGGACGCUGUGAUUGGGGCUCUGAACAGGAAACGUUCUCGACCUCAAACCACUAAGAGGGACCAGAACAAGGACGCCCCUACUGCAAAGCGGGCCAACAUCGUGCAGCAGGUCUCUCCCUUGAAGACUUUACCUCCUGCUCCUGCCAAAGUCAGGGAAACUAGUGGAGCAGCCACAGAUCCUGCUUCCUCUUCUCCUCCUGUCGGGCCUCGGUCUCACUUACCUGACAGCCGAGCAGAACACUUGGUCCCCUAUCUCAAUGAGUUGUCUAAGCUCGUGAGCAAGAAGGACCUGGAGGACUUUGAUGGCUGCACCCUGGGCGAGUUGGUGGGAGCCAUGCAGUAUAGCGCUUUCCAUCUCAGCUGCAUGACCACCUACUAUAAGGCCAAGGUUGGCCGUUAUGACAGGAAGAUGAAGGAGGACAUUCAGUCGGCGAUGACCAGAGCUGACCAUGCCGAGAAGAAAGCAGGGGAGCUGAAUCUCGAGAAUCUGAAGUUGAUGGAGCAAGAAUCUCUUGCUCAAGCAAAAGCCAUUACUCUCGAGGAAGAGCUGACUAAGGUCAAGGAGGAUCUACAGAGGCAGAAAGCUAUGUACGAGGCUCAGCUCGAAUCUCUCCGCGACUCUCACCGGGUUCAGGUCGAGAGUUUGGUGAAGGAGGCUGACAACCAGUACGACCAGGGACUUCGGCAUUCCUAUCGUUGCAUCAUGGUCGUCCUCAGGAAGCAGCAUUCUGAUCUAAAGAUGGACGACCUUGUAGCUGGUGUCGCCCAACAUAUGGACGAUGAGGCUGCUAAGGAAGAUGUCGAAGGGGUGGAGCCAAUCGUAGUUGAGGAGGAAAAUUCUCCUCCUCAUGCCAUUCCUGUUGAUGUGGGUGAGGCGAGCACCCCCCCCGGACGCAACUGGUGAUACUCCCCCAGCACCUGAGGUGGACCAGCCGACUGAGGCUGUUCGACUUACGGACCCACCGUCUUCUUAAACAUGUUUCUUAUAUUGUAAUGAACAAUGUUUGUGAAGAUUACCUGCUUUGUUAAUUAUUAACAAAUUAAUGAAAAUGUUUUUGAUUACUUUCUUGUGUUGUAAUCACGGGUUAUUUUUCCGUUUGAGAGUCUGCUCGUCUUCGUCCGGUCGAGCAGGCUUUGGCUUGGCAUAUGGUUUUGCCAUAUGCCUUAGAAAAUUUUUCAAUGCUUGGGAUUCUACUCGCCUUCGGGCGUUCGAGCAGAUCCUGGCACGCCCGGCUUCUGGUCUCGCCAUAAACAGGCUUUGAGACUUAGUGAGCCUUCGCAUGCCUUAGAAAAUAUUUCGAUGAUUGGGGAUUCUGCUCGCCUUCGCGUGGUCGAGCAGAUCCUGGCACGCUUGGCUUCUGUCUCGCCAUAAAACAGGCUUUGAGACUUGAUGAGCCUUUGCAUGCCUUGGAAAAUAUUUCGAUGAUUGGGGAUCUGCUCGCCUUCGCGUGGUCGAGCAUAUCCUGGCACACUUGGCUUCUGUCUCGCCAUAAAACAGGCUUUGAGACUUGAUGAGCCUUUGCAUGCCUUAGAAAAUUCUUCGAUGAUUGGGGAUUCUGCUCGCCUUCGCGUGGUCGAGCAGAUCCUGGCACGCUUGACUUCUGUCUCGCUAUAAAACAUGCUUUGAGACUUGAUGAGCCUUUGCAUGCCUUGGAAAAUAUUUCGAUGACAGUAUAGCUGACUGAAAUUCCUCAUUGAUCCCUUUAUUGUUGAAUUCGGCUUAUAUGAGAUCGUUUUGACAUAAAAUAAAUAACAACGAACACGAACAGAAAGAACUUGAAAAUAGGAACGACUCUUACUGGAAAUAUUUCCUGAGAUGUGCUGCGUUCCAUGGGCGCUUCACCUCGUGGCUAUCCAUGCGAACCAACUUGUAAGCUCCUGGUCUAACUAGCUGCUUGACCCUGUAUGGCCCCUCCCAAUUCGGUCCGAGCACUCCUUGAGUUGAGUCUUUGGUGUUCUGAUUCACUCUCCUUAACACCCAAUCUCCGACCUUAAACUGCCGUACAUUCACCUUCUAGUUAUAAUACCGGGCAACCCUCUGCUGGUAAAUGACUGAUCGCUCGGCUGCUUGCUCCCUUUUUUCCGUUAGCAAGUCCAAAUUCAAACACAUCUGCUCGUCGUUGUCCUGCUCGUUGAAAUGAUCUGUUCGGUGUGUGGUCGUUCCUAUCUCAGCUGGUAUGACCGCUUCAUGUCCGAAAGCCAAGGCGAACGGUGUCUCCCCCGUUGCUGUCUUAUGGGUUGUCUUGUAUGCCCAUAGUAUGCCUGAUAGCUCAUCAACCCAAGCACCCUUCUUUGCUCCAAGCCUGGUUUUCAAAAGCCUCUUGAUCAUCUUGUUGGCUGCUUCUACUUGUCCGUUAGAUUGAGGGUGAGCAGGCGAGCAAUACUUCAACUCUAUCCCGAGGUUCUGGCAGAAAUCCCUGAAGCUGUGAUUAUCGAACUGCCUACCAUUAUCCGUUAUCAAGGCAUAAGGGAUCCUGUAUCGACAGACCAGGUUUCUCCACACAAAGUCUGUUGUUUUCUUCUCUGUGAUCCUGCUAAGGGCUUCUACCUCUAUCCACUUCGUGAAGUAGUCUAUAGCAACUAUUGCAUGCGUUGCUGCUCCUCGUCCCUUUGGCAACGGGCCGAUCAGAUCAAUUCCCCAUUGAGCAAAUGGCCAAGGGGAGGCCAUGGAGGUGAGCUUCUCUGGUGGUUGGUUGGAGAAACUUGCAAAACUUUGGCAGCUUACACAGCUCCUGGUCUUCCCUUGCGCAUCCUGGUGCAUUAUCGGCCAGAAAUAUCCCUGUCUUAGAACCUUGUGGGCCAGGGACCUCCCACCAGAAUGAUUUCCGCAAAUCCCUUCAUGUACUUCUCUCAGUACGUAAUCCGUGUCGUCCUCAUCCAGACAUCGAAGGAAAGGUAGUGUAUAUCCUCACCGAUACAGUACCCCAUCAAUCAUUGCGUAUCUCGAGGCCUGGGCUCUAACCUUCCGAGCUCGCAGCUUAUCUGGUGGUAAUACCCCGUCUCUAAGGUACGAAAUUAUUGGGUCCAUCCACGAGCAUUUUUGUUCUAUCCGUAGCACCCCUAAAUUCUGUUCGAUGCUCGGGCUGGACUUCACCUCCAAAGGGAUCGACUUUGGCAUUUUUGGGUCUGCUACCUCUGCCAUCCUGGCCAAAAUAUCUGCUCGACUAUUCUGCUCUCUGGGGAUUUGUACCACCUCCACUGCUUUAAAUUUCUCCAUCAUCUGCCUGACUAUCUUCAGGUACUGCUCCAUCUUCUCCUCUCUUGGUUGAAAUCUUUCGCUGACAUGAUUUGCAACCAGCUGGGAAUCAGUUCUGAUCUUUACUCUGUCUGCUUUCAUGGCCUUAGCCAAUUCCAAACUUGCUAUCAAGGCUUCAUACUCUGCCUGGUUAUUUGUGGCUGCGAAUUCUAACUUUACAGCAUAAGAGAUCUGCUCCCCCUCCGGUCCUUCCAAGACAAUCCCUGCUCCUGAUCCCUGCUCCUGAUCCCUGCUCCCCUGAUGACCCAUCUACAGACAUUUGCCAUGGGCUUCGCCACUGUCUGUAGCUACCUCUCGUUGGUCCAAACAUACUUCGGGCUCUGUGAAUUCUGCUACGAAAUCGGCCAUUGCCUGAGCCUUUAUCGCUGCUCGGGGUUUGUAGUCUAUGUCGAACUCGCUCAGCUCUACAGCCCACUUGACGAGCCGACCAGAGGCGUCUGGCUUGUGUUAUUACCGAGACUGGGAAUGCUUGGAAGUAUGGCCUCAGCUUCUGAGCAGCAACCACAAGGGCAAGUGCCCAUUUUUCCAACGGUGGGUAUCUGGUCUCAGCGUCGAGCAGGGCCUUGCUGGUGUAGUAUAUCGGAUAUUGAACCCCUUUUUCCUCUCUCACCAGAACAUAACUUGUGGCCCGAUCUGAUAUUGCCAAAUACAGAAACAACUUGUCCCCAUCCCUCGGUGUGGACAGCAGAGGUGCUUGCUGCAAGUAUUGCUUCAAGUUCUGGAAGGCUUCCUCGCAUUCUGGAGUCCAUUCUGUUUUCUUUCCCCUCCUUAUCACUUGAAAGAACGGCUGACACUUAUCUGUAGCCUUGGAUAUGAAUCUGCUCAAUGCCGCCAACCUCCCCGUGAGGCUCUGCAUCUCCUUCAGGCUACGAGGAGAGCUCAUCUGCACGAUCGCCUGGAUUUUCUCGGGGUUUGCUUCAAUUCCCCUAUGGCUCACCAUGAAUCUAAGGAAUUUCCCUGACUCGACCCCAAAAGCACACUUCUCCGGGUUGAGUUUCAUUUUAUACUUCCUCAAAAGCCCGAAUGUCUCCUCGAGGUGUCCGACAUGUUCCUUCGGGACUUUGGACUUGGUGAUCAUGUCAUCCACGUACACCUCCAUAGUUUUCCCGAUCAACGGCUUAAAGACCUUAUUCACCAGCCUCUGAUAGGUGGCCCCAGCAUUUUUGAGACCAAAUGGCAUUACCCUAUAACAGAAUAAACCCUAGUUAGUGAUAAAAGCAGUGCUCUCCUCAUCCUGCUCGUACAUAGGGAUUUGGUUAUAUCCCGAGAACGCGUCCAUGAAGCUCAGCAGACCGUGCCCAGCUGUUGAAUCUACUAGCUGGUCGAUUUUUAGCAAAGGGAAGCUGUCUUUCGGGCAUGCUUUAUUGAGAUAUGUAAAAUCCACACACAUCUUCCACUUGCCAUUCGCCUUCUUUACCAACACCACAUUCGAUAUCCACUCGGGAUAAUUGACUUCCCGAAUGAAUCCUGCUCUCAAGAGCUUUUCCACCUCGCCAUUUAUAGCCUCAUACCUCUCCUGGUUGAAGCACCUCCUCUUCUGCCUUACUGCCCGAGUACCUUUCUUUAUUGCCAGCUUAUACAUGCUACCUCAGGAUCAAUCCCUGGCAUGUCUUCAUGUGUCCAAGCAAACACGUCUGCAUGAGCCUGUAAGCAUUUCACCAACUCCUGCUUUUGCUCUUCCUUAAGUUUUGACCCGAUUCUGAUCGUCUUUCCCGGAUUCUUUGGUCCCAGGCUUACUGUCUCCAGAUCCUCUACAGGUUCUUAUUUGCCAUUCUUGUUUUCCACUCGGAUAUCAAGCGAUGUUAUCUGCAUUGCUUCCCUUGCUGCCGAGGAGUAGUAGCUUCUUGCGAUCCUCUGGUCUCCUCGUACCACUCCAACUACCCCAUUUACCCGGUACUUGAGAGCCAGAUAAUGGUUGGACAGCACCGCUUUGCUCAUCCUCAGAAAUGGCCGGCCUAGGAUCAUCUGGUAAGGACCUUCCUCAUCUACUACCACAAAGUCCAGUAUCAUUGUCCUUUCUGUCGGGGAGCUCCCAAUCGUGAUAGGCAGCUCGACCACACCUAGAGGGACCAACUUUCCUCCUCCAAACCUCUUCAAGGAGGUAUUGGUGUAAUCCAAUUUCAGGUCUGCUAUUCCCAUCUCCUCCAGGGUUGACUUAAACAACACAUCAACUGAGCUCCAUGUGUCAACCAGUAUCCUGUCAAACUUCUUGCUGGCAACAGUGGCCUUGAUGACCAAAGCAUCCUCGUGGGGGUAUAGAAUCCCUUCUUCAUCCUCAUCUGUCCACAUGAUUGGCACUUGUCUGACUCUUGCGCGUUUGGCUGCUGGGGUGUUAAAGAAUACAUCUUUGCUGGUCAUGGCGUAUCUAGCAUAAUUCUUCCUCGACCUGUUGGAAUCUCCGGCCAAUGUUGGGCCCCCAACUAUCACCCUUACUGCAGGCUGCUCGCGCCUCAAGUUCCUGUCACUCUGCUUCCCUUCGCUUGUCGAGGCUACCAUUGGGAAGGUCCCAUCUAUAAACUCGUCCAGAUACCGAUUUCUCACCAAAUCUUCAACCUGGGUCUUGAGAUCCCUGCAAUCUGCUGUGGUGUGGCCAUGAGUGCCAUGGAACUUACAAUAGCGUUCCCUAUCCCUCAUGCUGGGUAGCUUUGUUAUUGGGGCAGGGAGGUAUAGCAACCCUUGAUCCUUUAUGGCCUCGUACACCUCGUCCAGGGAUAUCUUCAAGGAAGUAUACCGCCUAUAGUCCUGGUUCUGGUCGAUCAGGUGCACUGCCCUUUCUCUAUUUGCUCCGUUCUGAGUUGGAGGCGGUGGCAGCACUUCUGGUCUGCCCCCUCGGCUACCGUGGGAGUGUUGAUGAAGACCACCGUAUGCCGAGUCAUGCCUUCUCCAAGGCUCCCUAGCUGGGGAACGAGGAGGUUGCGCCCUGCUGCGCUGAUACUGUGGUGGCCUCUGAUGAGGCUGGUAAGUAGUUACCCGACCUCCUGCUCCACUACCUGAGGCCUGAUGGUCCCUCCUCCUGAUCGGCCCAUUCCCUGGCAAUGCUUUCUUCUCUUUCUUCCCCAACCCUUCUAACUGGUCUGUCUUGAUCCGUACUGCCUUUUCCUCUUCAAUAUCAAUGUCCCUCUUAGCCUGCUCGUAUGCGGCUGCGUACGUCUGAAUAACUGGGUUUCUCAAAUUGUACCACAGUCUUCCUAUCUUCACCCCUUCUUUCAGUCACCUUAAUGCCUGAGGAUGGUUGAAGGCUCCCAAAUCAAGGACAGCACGGUGAAACCUCUUGAUGAAUUCCUGAAGUGUUUCUUGUUCCCCCUGCUUCAUGUUUUUCAACUCCAUCAUGUCAUCUUCUGGUGCCAUUGCCCCACGAAACUGUUCUGUAAAUUCCUGGCACAUCUGCUCGAAGGUUUUAAUGCUCCCCCGAGGAAGUUUCCUGUACCACUCUCGUGCACGUCCCUCCAGGGAUAGUUGGAACACCCUGCACCUUUGGGAUUGAGAUAAUCCUUGUACCCCAGUUAUGUCGUUGAAGCGCUCUAUGUGCACCAGCGGAUCAGUUCGUCCCGAAUAUCUAAGGUCUGGGAGGCGGAAAUCUCUCGGAAUAACUGCCCUCAUGAUCUCUGCUGCGAGCGGUGAUUCUCCAUCCAGCAUUAUCCUCCAACCAGGAGCUCUGCUCCUUCCUUGCAUGUCGUCAAUUAUCUGCGCUAGCCUGCGCACUUCCUCCUCCAGCUGCACUGCACGACCAAGGUCACGUGCUGCAACUUGAUCCCGCUCUUGCUCUACAUCAUGCAAGUGUUGCCUCAACUCUGUUUCCUCUGCAUUCGCCACCCCGUCGUCCUCGUCAAAAAUCUGUCUUGCCGGGGGUGGCUCUUCCUCUCUAUGAAAUUCUCCCCGCAGAGGUAUGUUACCUCUCUCACCACCAAAUCUCCCGGUGUUUGACUUCUCCUCGUACUAUCGGGACCUGGUGCCACUCCACCACCUCUCACCCUUUCCUCCUGGGUUACUCUUCGUUCACUCCGCAGCUCAUGCAGGAUGGUUGUCAGGGUCUCCAUCUGCUUUUCCAUCCGUUCCAUCCGGUCGAACAUGGCUUUUUCCCGCGCUUCACUGGCUAUCUCCCUCAGCGUCACAGAAUCAUUAAGCCUCAUAUCACCCCCUUGUGCAUUACUUCCUCCUGUCUCCAUUGCUUUUCACUUGCUUCACUUCUCUUCUUGCUAUCAACAGAAGCUUUUUGCUCAGUUCCCCACAGACGGUGCCAAAAUGUUGAUGCGAGAUUCUGGUUGCCCUCUUGCUUCGACCAGGAUAUCUGUUCGAUCAACUUCACCUCGAUCAGGAUCUCUCAUCGUAUGCUUUCUUCUUCAAAUAUUCCUGCGUCCACAGAAAUAAGUCAGAGCACGCCGGUUGUUUUCCCGGUGUAAACCCUCCGAUGCUUAAGUCAAAUAUGAAGGUUCUGGGAACGCUUGCCACAAAUCUUAUGGCUUUUCCGUUAUUUCUAUUCUUUAGAGCUUGCUUUUAUCUUUGUUAUAUUCUCAAAAUUGCUAACCCUUUUACCUUCGUUGGCUAUCUUUUUAUAGGCUUCCUCUGAAUCCCGGUCUUCCGGAGUCCACGCCCAUUAUUCUCCCCACCCUCGGAUGUGGAUGCCCCAUUAUUACCCUUGUGGGCAAAUGGAGAUGGACUUAGUGCCUUGAUUCUCGGACUGGAGAGCACGCCUCACCAACUGUCGUUGACCGGGUCUCCUCGACUCAACCCUUAGCAGGAAUGUAGAAGGAAUGGGCUUAUGCUUCCAACAGGAGAUUGGCCUCGUGGAUGACGUGCUCGUGGAUGAGCCGGAUGUUCCUGCUCCUUCUCGAGGAACACUAUUACCAGAUGUCUGCUCAUCACUGUUGGUCUUCGUCGAAGCAUAUCCCACCAACACAUUCUUCAAGAGAAGGCCUUCUGCUGGAAAGGAUGAAAUACUCGCCAUACAUGCUGUAUUGCGAAGAGUUAUUUCGUUUUUCUUAAUCUAAAUUAAGAAAAAUUUUAAGCAUUUGUGGAUAAGCAGUAACAGAGGAUCUUCGUUUUCUCACCCCUGUUUGAAAGCAUCCUAAUCAAGAAAAUUUGUGGAAGAAUUUAAGCUCUUCGUAAUAUUGGUCACGCAGACAGAAGUUGUUGAUGUUGAAAUCUGGUCGUCCUUUGCCCGACCUGAUCAUUCCACCAACGUUUGUGUUGUCCACGAAGGGAAGGUUGUACUCUCCUUGCUCUAGCAACUGCCCGUGUCCCUGGGACCCGAAUCACCCUUUCUCUCCUUUCCAAGCUUGCGCUCACAGAAACAAGUCAGAGACGCCGGUGGUUUUACCGGCGUAAACCCUCCCAUGCUUAAGUUAGAACAAGAUAUUUACGGGUAAAGUGUAUAAUUUAAGCGAGUAAACUGAAUACAGUAUUUUUGGCACAAUCUGUAUCGAAGAUCUUUGUAAAAAUGAGUCAGGAUUUCAAUUUGGCAGAGUUUUUCAUUUUCUCUCCACUUUUUCAUCCUUUUCUUCAUCGGUCUCUUGGCUUCUUAUAGCCAUCAUCCCACGUUUCCUGCGUAUUCUUCAUGCCCUCCAUUUUCGAGUGAUGGCAGACCCUCAUGGGUCUCCAACCACCGAAUCAUGGGUAAACGUGGGAUGGCAUGUUCUUCCCAGCGAUUCGCGGCAUAGCGAACUUGUCACGAUUUCGUGAGAUCGUGUGCUCUUUCUUUGGGUGAUGAGCAUCUGGUCGGUACAUAUCUCUGGUCAGUGCUCGUUUCUAGUUGGCACAUGCCCGUACACGAUGUUUUACCAGGACUCUGCUCGUGCCAUUCAGCUGGGGAGAUUCGCCUCAGGGUGAGAGAUGAGGACAUAGCUGAGUUGAUACUUUUCAUUACUCAACAGAAGUUACUCACAUAAUCAUAAAAGAUAAAAAGAUCUGAAUCUGUCUGAUUGAUCGAAGAGAAAACUUUAAUAAAUUAAUCACGUAUGAUUGGGUCAAAUGUGACAUAAUCUUACAGUGCAAGCUCUCAUACUUUGAAUUAUACUAUAGAGAGCAGGAGGAUGACAACAUAUAUCGUCUUUAAGCAGAGAAAGCAGCCAUUAUAGCAUUUGCAACAUUUCAAAGUUGAUGACAUUAGUCUAAUAUGGAUGGAUGAAUGCAAAAUUAGAACAUGGUGCUGCAGAGGCAGCCAAAGUUCUUAUUUCCUACCGGAAUUCAGACAGCAUCCGUCAAGCCUGCAGCGUAAGUCUUCAACGGAUGAAGCUUUGCAUCAGCAAACAUGCUCGUAAAGCAAUGACCGAGUUAUCAGGGGAGGAUCAUGGAUUUUUUGAAAUCUCAUUCUGGUGUUGGUAUACGUCCUCUUUCCAGGGACUUGGAUUAGCAUCAAAGUUCAUGAAACGGUGAUCUUGUUGUCUCAAUGUCAAUCUCGAUGUUUUUCAUUCUGCCCGUUGUGAUGUUUCUUCAAAGUUCAAACCCCAAGCCAUCUUUGGUCAAAGGUGCUGCAGGACAUUCAUUCUCUUCCAUUCCAACACAGCAUCGAUUUGUUUUCAUAACUCCAUUUCUAGAAAUAAUCCUGCACCAAACAGAGGCAAAUUAACUAGCAUGCUACUCAAGAAAGAAGGCAAUUGAAUUGGAAGAAAGUAUUAGUGGACGUCUUACCAUCAUCGCCAUGAGUCCGUAACCUUUUAUCUGAAAAUUACAAAUAUCAUAUCACCAGGACCAAAAGGCUAACUUGUUAUGCCACAUAUCCCAGCCUGCCUUCAGUCCAUUCCAAAAGCAAAAUGAAUUUAUCAUCUAAAAGAAAACACAGAUUUAGCAAACUCAGCACCAACUUUAUCCAAAACAGGAAAAAUAUUGAAAUUUGAAUAAGCUCACAAAUUUCGUUAAUUACCACUCACCAGCAAAAGUUCCAAAAGCCUGUAUGUAAUCGAAUCUCCCCUCAUGCUUCUCAUGUUCUUAAUUUAUUAUGACACAUCCUUUGUUUCCUGCACUGGCCACCGUCAUGACAUUCACAGUUGAUGAAAUGGAUGAUUGAUCUGAACGGUCUCGAAGUUCAGAUUGAUGGUGUGAUUUCCCUUGUCGAAAUUGUCAUUAAUGCAAACCGGCUCUUGGCUCUGUAGAGGCAAAGUUCUCACUGGAUUUUGGCGUGUUGCAACAUCCAAUAAGCCUGUGGGGUAAGUCUUAUCAAUCUAAAGUCUUGCAACAACAAAUCAUUUCGCUGCAUGAGAAUUGCAGUCUUUAUUGUAAUUUCAGGCAUAAUGCAUCAAUUUCAAGUACUCACAGGAUUGUGUAGUAAAGAUUGAAGACUUGGCAGCAAGCGAAACCUCCCAUGUUGUCUAGUUUUAUUAACCCCCUUCAGAUGCUCCUGCAAACCUCUUAAAUCUUAUUUCAUAAGCAAACUAAGGAAAACGAGUAAAAUGCAAGUUGUACGUCAGAUACUCCAACUGACAACAUAUAAUAUAGUAGAUACUCUAAAUUCUGGAGAAAAAGUACAUCAGAUACUAAGACUAACAAUAAAUUGUAAAUCACACACUAGUUGUGCUUUUCAAGAAACAACUAAUAGAAGUUAACCGGUGAGGAUCAUGAAUUUUUUACCUCAUCAAGGGUACUAUUGUCUGCUUAUAUUCUUCUGAUACAUUGGUGAUGCUACUAUCUCUUUUCUACGAACACGUCACUGCAUCAAAGUACAAGCCAUGUUGGCGUUCUUAAGUAGGAUGAAAAAGAAAGGAGAAAAAGGAAAGGAAAUCAUGUACAAAUUGUCUCAACCUAGUAUCUGAUUCUGAUAUAUGAAAAUGAAUAAGAAGUAUUUUCAAAAUGAUUUUGAUAUCUCUUUGCUACAACUGACCUCGUUUUGUUAGAGCGGUCAGAAAUGUAUGAAGUAACAAAAUCUACUCUGCCUCUGGAUCGUAUAUGAAUUUGUCAUCUAUCUUAACGCAAGGAAUGCGAGCAAUCUUGGACCACUCUUUUCCUCUAUCCCUUUUGCACUGUUUUCUCAGCUUUGGACAAUUUUUUAUUUCUAAGCUCAAAAGUGAGGAUGGAAGGCCCACCUCUGGAAAUGAUGUCAGAUUUGGGCAAUCUUCAAUCAAUAGAUGUUCAAGAGAGGUGAGGCUCUGAAAACCCAUUGAAGAAAGGUAUUUCAAUUUCGACAAUCUCCUAAGGAUCAAAAAAGUUAGAGAGGCGGGCAGCAUCAUUCUCAUCUCUUCGUCAGGAAAGGACUCUGCAUCAUGACAUUCUUCAAUUGAGAGGCCUAUAAGAGAUGUAAGCCUGUGCAAUCCCCACUGGAUGACUGCCUUAUACAUUUUCGCAUCAACUCCACCUCCAAUUCUAAUUAGUUUUAGAUUUGUUGGAAAACCUUCUUCUGAGAACGAUAAAAUACUAGGACAUUCCUUUAUUUUUAAAUAUUGAAGAGAUUGGAGUUUGUGCAUGCCAUUGGGCAGGGCAUCAAGCUUCUCAAAAUAGGAAAUGGUUACAUGUGAAAUGGUGUUGGGAAGCCCUUUUUCUGCCAAGGAAACAAGACUUGGACACUUCUUUAUAUAAAUGCUCCGUAACUUGUGCAGGCCCUCGGGUAUUGACUCCAGCUUUGGACAAUUACGAAUGUGGAGGUCUUCAAGCGCCUCAAGUAGGUGGAUUCCCGAUGAUAAACAGGUGAGCUGAGGGCAAUCCCUUAUCUGCAGGCUUUCCAACGUCACUGAUGAAAGUGAAGAAGAAGGUGCAUCCUCUUCAUCAUCCACCAAACACUGCAAAUUCUUACAGCAGUUUAUCUCAAGGCUUUUAAUACAUGACGGUAGCUUCUGCCUCGCAACAAAUGUUAGAGAAUGACAAUAACUGAUAAAAAAUGACGAAGAAGAAGCAACAGCAGAAGCAUCAUGUUCACCAUCGACCAAGUGCUGUAAGUUCUUGCAAUUCUCUAUCUGAAGACUUUUAAGAGAUGAAGGUAACUUCCCUUUUGUGACGAAUUUGAGAGAAUCACAAUAUCCGAUAUACAAGCUUUCAAGUCGUGAAUUGUUGUCCACAAUUUCCUCAGGUAAGGAUCUUAAUGUUGAGAUCUCGGAAAUUAUGAGAUACCGCAGAUUUCUUGGGAAAAAACUGAUCUCUGGAAACGAAACAAGACUUAUGCAACUUUCUUCAAUUGAUACCUCAUCAGGGCAAGCAAACAUAAUUAGCUCUUCUGGUGGUUUAAAAAGCAUUCGAAAACCUCCAUACGGCCUCCAUGACUUGAGCUCUCUAGAAUUGCCAACUACCAAAGUUUCUAAUACCUGAAAUUCUGGUUUGAAUAAUUUUCCAAACUCCAAAGCAUUUGAAAUUGUCUCGGUUUGUAACAGUGAAGAGCUUGUCCGACUAGCGUGAAGCAUCCCCUCACAUCCAUUUAUGUCUAAUGAACUAUUUGAAAUAGUCAUAGACUUUAUUAAUUUAGAAUCAAUCGGAGUUCUGCACAGCAGCUCUUUGCACUCAUCAGCUUCUAAUCUGCAGAGCAUCGGAUAGCUUGACAAUGAAAAUUUCAACUUUUGACAUUUACUAACAAGAAGUGUUUUCAAGGAGGGCAGAAGCUCUGGCACUUUUCCAGAGAGUUCGGGACAUUCAACAAUGGAAAGUUUCUGAAGGCGAGGAAAUAUUUCAACGUGCUCAUUUCUGUCGACGUUAGUGUCCCAGCGCUCCCAUUCUGGCAAAUACUCAAAACUUAGAAUCUCCAACGAUUGAAAAGGCUCUGAGAAACAUUUGCCAAAAAACUCGCAACCUAUGCUUUUUAGGUUCGUCAUCCUCUUAAUGGUGAGGUCUCUAAGUGAACUCAACAACCCAAGCGAUGGCAACGAUGUGCAAUUCCAACAGUCAUCUAAUUCAAGGACAUUCAUCUUAGAGAACAAUGGAUCUCCUAUCCAAAGCGGAAAUCUCGCUCCCCCAUAGCGCUUGAUUGUGAGCUCUUUAACAAAUUUAUGAGGUUGUAGUACGCCAAGUACUUGCUCUUCUGCUACUUCAUCUCUUGAAUUGUCAAAUUGGGAUCCCCAUUCUAGCGACAAUGCUUCUAGAUUCAGCUUCUCACAUAACGCAGCUUCUCUUGCAUUCUUUGAAUCAUUCACAUUUUGUAAUCCUGAAAUACAUAGUUCACCACUGAGAAAUUUUAAAAUUUUCAAAUCUUCCAAACCAGAUGCAGUUUCACCACCCUUGCCCACGACGAAAUUAGAUAAUGUUUGAAGAUUCUUGAGCUCCUUCAUUCCAAAUGGCAUCUCCUUCAGUAAAAUUGCCCCUCUUAUAUCAAGAUGACAUAAAUUGAUCAACCUCCUUAUUUUCGACGGCAGCUUUAUCAAACUACUACAAUUUCUUAAAAUCAAGAUUUCCAAGUUCAACAGUGAGCAUGAUGACUCGGGUAAACUUCUUAUGUCAGUGUCAGCAAGGUUGAGGUACCUUAAAAGCCUCAAAUCUUCAAAUGGAAUAGGUAACUCGCCAAUAUAGUAUCCUUGCAAAGAUAGCACCCUCAACUUUUUGAACUUUGGCAACAAAUCAUAUAACACCAUGCUAGUUAUGUAACAAGUAAUAAUGUAAUCUGUUUUGUGUAAUGGCAAGAAUGUUCGCAGAUGUUCAAUUUCAUAGAAAACCUUGAACUUAUUUCUACCAUCCAACUCGCCACAUGCAUAAGAAGAAUGGCGGACCCUUUCAAAUCUUCUUGAUGACGAAUUGUCCUCCUCUAACCUGAAAAUGGUUUCUCCAGAAACUAGCUGAGCGAGAUCAUGGACUAGGUCGUGCAUUGCAAAUUUAGAACUGCCAAAGCCUGUUCGUUGAAAAAUUGACCUUGAAACUAGAUCAUGAAAGCACUGGCUGCCCAAAUCUUUCAGCUGCUCAUUGUUGCUUGACUGUCGAAUAAUACCCCCAGCAAUCCACAAGAAAACCAGCUCCUUCUCAUCGAAUUCAAAAUCUUUGGGAAAAAUCGCACAAUAGGCAAAACAUCUUUUCAAAUGAGACGGAAGAUGGUGGUAACUCAAUCUUAACACAGGGAGGAUGCUACUUUGACGAGGUAAAUCCCAUAUUUUGCUAUCCAAUAUGUCGUCCCACAUAUCGUACGUAGUAGUACGUAGAAGGCCCCCGAGUGUUUUUGCCGCAAGGGGCAAGCCUCCACAUUUGCCAACAACUUUCUUGCGGAAUGAUUCUGAGAUUUCAAGUGCAUUAUGAUCUCUACCCUCAAAUGCGUGCGUUUUGAAAAUAGACCAGCAAUCAUCGUCUAACAGAUGCUCGAGGUAAUAAUGAUCAAUGGGUCCCAUUGUAGAUGCAACAUGUGAAUUCCGUGUGGUGAUAAUCAUCUUACUAUUUGGUGCAGCAGCCAAGAAUGGAGCUUUUAAAUCUACCCACAAGCUGUAGUCCUCGUUCCAAACAUCAUCUAAGACCAGCAAGAAUCUUUUUCCGUCCACUGCUUUUUUCAGUUGAACCUGCACUUCAUCUACAGUCUUGAGAUCACAAGUUGCCGAGGUGAUUGACUCGAGAAGCGCCUUUGAGAUGCUCAAAACAUCGAAGUCAUCGGAGACACAAACCCAUGCUUUUACAUCAAACUUACCGGAAUCUUCAACGGCCUUGUCAUUGUAGACCUCCCUAGCAAGGGUUGUUUUUCCGAUCCCACCCAUGCCGACGAUGGGUAUUACGGCAAAGUUAGCAUGAUCAGCUGCGGUAUCAGUCAAUACCAUUUCAAGUAUUUUGGUCUUAUCUUCCUCUCUCCCAAAUACGACAGGUUCUGUUGGGACACUUGAACUGGGUGGUCUUCGCUGAGCAGCAGCAGUUGAGGAAGUCCCUCCAGGAAUCAAUUGCAAUCCAAGUUCAAUUCUUUGUUUACAGAGUUCUUCCAAGCGGCUGGUGAUCUCUUUGAUCUUGGACCGCAUACUGAAGUUGAACUUCACGGUGGUAAUUGGACUGAAACAACGGAAACAUGCUGCGGGGACCAAGUUGCGGACCUUACUACUAGAGCCAGGCUGAUCAAGGCCUUCCGCCAUCAACUUGUGUUCCAAAGCUUGAGUAGCAAACUCAUCAAGAAUGUCCUCAGCAUCACAAGCCAAGUCUUGGAGAUCGUCCAACCACAUCUUUACAGCCUCGUCCGUCAGUUGCUUCUCCUCUGCAUCGCGGAGCACGGCCUGAAUCAUCUUCAGUUUUCUUUCCCACUUUCUGAGCUCUGAAGAUACCCCGCCUUGAAGUUGACGGAUAAAGUUGAACAAAUCAGGGGAAGCCAAUCUAUCAAACAGCACAUCAAGGAAAGCAGAGAGUAAGAGCUCUGCCAUGGUUUCGUUCGUUCGCCGGAGAGAAAGGAAUCGGUGUCCAAGAAAGAAGAAUAAGAAGGGAUCAAACUGGAUUGAUUGAAGAAAAAGAGAACAGGAUUUAGCGAAUGGACAUGAAAAUGGAAAUAAAACAUCAAAAACCUGCAAAGACUCUAAAUCAAGGACUCCAACAGCGGGCCUACAUCAAUUAAUAAUGGAGUAACACUUUCAAUGUUACUCUUGUCCAGCCGUGUCCCGUGUGGACUCCACCAAACAGUCUUCAAGCUCCAAAGGAUUAUAAUCUUGUUAUCAUUAUUUGAGCUUCGAUUUUUUUUUUUUUUUACUACUGUCAAUUUUUAUUGAUAGCAAUACACUGUAACGCGACACUCUUUUAAACGGAAGACAUAUUUAAUCCACCCAAUUAAUAUAUGCAAUUGUGUUCAGUCAGAAAUCAGUUUUAAGUGAAAUUAUUUUUUGAUUGUGUGUGAACCCCUUGUUCUCAUUUUUUUCCUCCUUUUUUUUCUUUUGUCAUAACUUUAUCUCUCCCUUGAGCAAGUGAUUAUUAAUUACAAAAAUAAAAAUAAAAAUAAAUCUUACUCAUACAUUUUUACUAGAGAAUAUAUAAUACAAGAUUUUUAAAAGUUUCACAUUAGAGAGGAUCUUAAUACUCAAAUUAAUGGCUAAAUUUCUCUGUUAAUAAAGACCGGAAAGUAAAGUUUACGGUUGAACUAAGCUGUAACAAAUUUAGUUUAAGUGAUUGUUUUCUAAUUUCAAAAUAAUGAUUUUGAAUCCAUUCUACAUACCCAAAGUCACUUCACUUAUGAACGAACUCUUAAAAGAAUAAAAGCAAGUUACAAUGGCCCUACAGUUUUUUGUUGAUAAGAAAGGUAGCUACUCCGAGAACUUGACAACGACAAAAGCAGUUAUACAUAUGGGAUUUCUUAGCUUUAUUUGCUUGCCAAUAUUGACUACAUAUCCUAGAUUCUGAUCAGCGGCAGAUCCAAAAGCCCCCGCUGACCCAACCCAAAAAAAAAAAAAAAUAAAUAAAUAAAUAAAUUCUAAGACUAAUAGAAAAAAAAAUUGGGUUUCUAAUUUACCCCCAUUAAAUCUAUUAAACCAACUCCUAUAAAUUUAUAUAAACCCAAAAAAUUUCAACUUUAACUUUAAAAUUAUAAAAACCCACACUUUAAUUAAAAUAAUGAUAGUCGACCACCCAAAAAUAUUUUUUCUAUUUCUAAAAAUAGGAUUGAUUCUUCCGGUUUAUAAAGUAACAAUAGAACAAAAAUUUUAAUAACGAAGUUCGUAAAGAAUUAUUUCUAGAAUCAGAUGGAAUGAAUGAUAGUUUAGUUGUUUAUGUAAGAAAUGAUACAUUUAAUAAUAUUGAUAAUGAGUCUAUUACAUAACAUUUUCAAAAUAUGAAAAAAUGUGUUGAGAACAGUUAUGAAUGUAUUAGCAAAUAUUUUAUAUAUUCAAAGUUUUAAUUUUUAAAAUUUACUAUUAUCUAAUUUGGCCCCUAGUAAAUUUUUUUUCUGGAUACGCCACUACUUCUAAUGUUAUGAAUCUUUUGUUCUUUCCCAUCUACGAUAAUAGUUUCAUAUUGGAUAACAUCUUUUAGGUUUUGGUUAUGUUGGUUAAAGAUCUUUUGCAAUGAAAAUAUUUUGAUCACGUUUCUCAUACAACAUGUAGAAUUACUAUAAUUUAGAAAUCAUACCAUUGCUUUUUCAUAAAAGUAAAUUAGGUUUUCAAGUCACGAUCUGUCACCAUGAAUCUUAUUAGUGUUGGGAAAAUAUGCUCUUUAAAAGCAUAUGUGUUUAUUUAAUUGUAAUAAAUAUUUUUUCUGAUUAAUAAAAUUAAUGUGGUAUUUUAUUCAAAUAUCUUAAUUGCAUUAAUAUUUGUAUUAAAGUCCAUUUAAUCAUAUUAUAUGUAUUUAUGUGAUCACCAUGUGGAUCACAGAAGACAUAAAUACAAGUUAUCUUAUGAUUAAAUAAAUUUAGUUCGCAGUUGAUAUGUAAUAAAUUCAUUGAAUGAUUUGUCUUAAUCAUGUAUGAAUUUAUUGAUGUAGUACGACUACAUUGAACAGGAUCACAUAUGAGAUUUAAUUAACUUUGUAAUAACUGUCAGAUUUAUUAAAUCUCAUAGGCAUUGAUUUUACUGUAAUCUUAAUCUUGAGUUAAUUAUGAUUUCAUAAUUGUAAUUGUUAUUUCAUUUGAGUUACCAAUGGGCACGACACAUCCUUGCGGUCAAGAUUACCCGGUAUCUUGGUGGGAGCAAUUAUGAGUAUUGGAGUUAUGGAUUAACAAUAUAGAAUUUGUGCAACACAUCUCUUGAUAGGUUUUCGGUACUUGAUCAUAGAAUUCUCUGGCCAGAGUGUGUCAACAUAUUUAGUAUGUUGAAAAUGAUCAUUAGAGAAAACCAGUAAGGAUCAAGGAAUAAGAUGUUAUUAAAUUGAUUGGACAGUUGAGAUAUCAAUUUAAUUAACGAUGUGGUACAAAGGAUUGUGCAGUAAAGAAAUCAAUGUGGCUUGGGACGAAUUAUUAUUCGAGCAUACAAUUAUGGAAGUCAGUUCCAAUCUUUUAGUGGAGUAGAUUUGGAAUUAAAUAAUUGGGCUAGUUUAAUUACAGGCCUAAUUAUUGUAGCCACUAUUGUAUGUUCCCAAAUGAUCCCCGGGUUAGCUCAUUUAAUUGACUGCACCACUACUGGACUAAUAAGUAAGAUAGCUAGCUAUUUGGGUCAAAAGCCUAAAUAUAUCAUUUAGUGGGAGGCUCCAUUUAAUUAACUUUUGUGUAAGGGGCCUUAUGUUAUUUUACAAGGUGGGUCCCCUAUUGAAAAAGAAAAUAACGUGGGUUUUGUUUUUUGAUUAUUUGGAGCCUAGGGUUUUCACUAAAGGGUGAUAUAAAAGGCUUAUUUUCUCUAAAGGAAAGUGAGAAGCCACUUUAUACAGAUCAGAGAAUAAGAUUUUUCUCUCUAUUGUUGAGAGAAAAAUUUUCUCGUGCUAGUUGCUUUGGUAGUGAUAAAGGCGCCCACACGUCAAGUGCAGAUCGAACCUGAGUCAUAACCUGGAAGAUCAUUGGUGACAAUUCGUGAUCUAACAAGCGUGGUGGUGACGGAUCGUGAUCUAACAGGAGUGGUGGCGGCGGAUCGUGAUCUAGGAGCCUAAAUCACUUCAGCGGAAAAAGCCAACUCGGAUUUUCAAGGUACGAUUUCUAGAAUACAAAUUCUUAUAUAUUAUAUAAGAGCGAUCUUCAAAAGGUUGUAUAAAAAUUUAAAAACCUGAUUUUUCCCCAACAAUUGGUAUCAGAGCCAUCUCAUAUUAAUAUAUAAGAAUUUCGUAUGAAAUCAUUCUUGAAAUUUAUGUAUUAGAGUGGCACAAUUUAUUCAGAUAUAUAUUAAUUGUUUAAUAUAUGAAUAAAGCAUGUUUUGGUUUGUCUUAAUUCAUGGUUAGAUUUUCUAUUGUAUUUUUCGUUUGGAUCUGUAACAAGAGGGGUGGCUUUUUAUCACCAUAAUUCCCUCUUGAUUUAUUUUACUGUAAUUGAAAUUUUGUAAGCCAAAAUUUGCGUUGAAAAUUUGUAAAUCACCGAAGCAUCAUCACUGGAAAACGAGCGCAAACAAUCGAGGCCGGAAAUUUCAGCAACGAGGGGGCAGCGUGCGCUGCAACGCAAACGUGCACGCAGCAGCAGCGCGCACGGGAAGCGUGGCUUGUGCGCGCAGCACGCGAUGGCACAGGCUGCUCGCGCAGCAAACAGCGCGCGCGGCCAGCGUGGCCAGCAGCGCGCGCGAGUUUGAUGCGUUUCCGGCGACGCGGUGGCAGGUGGUUCGACGUCGGAGAUGCGUCGGAGGUCGGCUGGCGUCUGAACAGUGGUGGAGGUUUUUGGAGAUGGCGGCUGGGGAAGAGAGAAAGAAAAAGAUGGAUUUAGGGUUUUAUGGUUUUUAUCAUGGAGGUCCCUAUGGUUCCAUAAUUUUUAUUUGGGCAGAAAAAGUUUAAUUUUUUGCGUUUAAAUCCAAAAACAGUUUUGGAUUUAAUAAAUCCUAGUUUUAGGCCCAAUUUCAAUUGGGCUUAAUGGAUUAAGAUGCAUAGAUAAAAUUGAAUGCAUUAAAUUUAUUUUUGGUCCAAAACUUUUAUUUUAAUAAAUUUUUUUUUUAUUUAUUUCUUUUGAAAAUUAAAAUUGGACCAAUUAUAAAUUUAAAAGCCCAAUUUCCCCUAGUCCAUUAACAAAAACAAGAUUAUGGAAGAUGGACAUUGACAAGAAGCCCAAUAAAGAUUAGGCUUAGAGUUAAUGUAUUUUUCAUUAUUAGGAAAGCCAUGAAUUAAGAUUAUUUAAUUGUUUUUCUAUAUGUUAUGUUUUGGAUGAUAACAUGCCAUAAUAACAUGUCAUAUAGAAUAGGUAGUGCCACUCUAUGCAUAAUGAUACAUGUCAUUCAUUAAUUAUGAAUUUCAUUAUAUUGUUUGAAAUUUGUCUAUGCUUAAUAAUAUUGGAUAUCAUCUAGAUAAUAUUAUAGGAAGCAUGCAAUUAACAAUAUGUAUGUUUUAAAAGGAAAAACCAAUUUUAAAAUAUUGAGUGAGAGAGGGAAAAUUCAAGAUAAUUUUCCCACGGGCUCCAUUGUUAGUUCAAUAAUAAAAUUAUAUAUAUACCUCGACUUCAUGAUACGGUGAUGCUCCCUUCGGAGGGUAUAUAUAUUAGAUAUUUUAUUUGAUGAACUUCUUCAAAGAUAAAAUCGAAAUAUUUUUCAAUCGAUUGUUCACCCCAACGGUGACUAUUGAUAUGAAAAAUACGUAGAUUGAAACAAUGGUUAUACACUCAACUAAAGUUUGUUAUUAACCUUCCCAACGAAGCUCUGUUAACAAAUUUAGGCCCAAAGGGAUAACGAUAAUUAUUUAUUAUGUCUCUACAUGAAAGUAAAUAAUCUAAUGGAUAAUUGGGUCUAGUAAGUGUAGACAUGACUUCCCCAACGGAUAGCUUGUCAAAGCGGUACUAGAUUAUCGUUACAAUAAAUUAAAAUGCAUUUAUGGUUUUUACAUUUGUGUCAUUUAUUGUGAAUAUUGUUUCAAAGUAUUUAUGCAUGUUUAUUUUAUUUUUUUCAGAAAAUGUCUUCCAUCAACCCAUUAUUAAAUAUCCUUGUUAAAAAUGAACUCACUGGCAAAAAUUAUUUAGAUUGGAAACGCAAUCUAUUUAAUAUUCUCACUGCUAAAGGAAUCAAAUAUGUUUUGACCCAGCCUUGCCCUCCUGAACCAUCGUUAUACGAUUAUAGAAAUCAGAGGGAGCCUUAUGAGAAAUGGUACGAAGCUAACAAAAUGGCUAAGUGCUAUAUAUUGGCUUCGAUUUCUGUGGAACUGCAUAAGAAACAUCGGAGCAUGGAAACAGCCACUGAAAUUAUGGCUAGUCUUCAUCAGAUGUUUGGGCAAAAUACCCAUUUUGCCAGAGAAGUAGCAUUAAAACGUAUUACGGAUACUAAGAUGGAAGAGGGCACAAAAGUUCGUGAUCAUGUCCUCAAAAUGAUGGACUAUUUGAAUGAGGUAGAGAUUCAUGGUGUUCAAAUCAAUGAUAAAUCAAAGAUUAACAUGGUGAUUGAAUCUUUACCUGAUACAUUCAAAGAGUUUAAGGUCAGCUAUAUCUUAAAAAAUAAAGAUAUGACCUUAAUUGAAUUAAUGCACGAACUACAUGCUAUAGAAGAAUUUUAUAAUAGCAGAAAACUUCCUGAAAAAGGAUUCUCUUCAAGGCUUAAGUCGAAAGACAAGAAUGAGCAAGCAAGAGUUGGGAUCGGCAAACUGUCCACUAAAAGAAGUGGCAAGCCAAAAGGCAAGUGUUACAAAUGUGGACAGAAGGGUCACUGGAAGAAAGAUUGUCCUAAGAUUAUUAAAAUCAGGUAUAGGAAAUUUUUAAGCUUCCUAAUUAGUUCAGAUUUCUAUUGAUUCAUACAAUAAUGAAUUCUGAGAUAACUAAUCUUAUUUGUAAUUCAUUUAUUUGGUUUUCAGGAAACCAAGAGAUUAAGUGAAGAAAGCUUCAAACAGCAGUUGAGGACGUGCUAGUUUAUAUCAAUUGAAAGACUAGAUCAAUUUUACAAGACUUUAGUUUUGAUAUUUGUCUUUAUUUUUCCAAAUAUUAGAGGAAUUUAAUUUCGGUGGCUUGUUUUAAUAAACAGGAGUACACUGUUAUUUAUGGAUCCUCUGUUUUUUACUUAUUUUGGUUAUUUAUAAAGACAAUUUAUAUCAUAGAAGUACAUUGAUCUAUUCAAAGUAAGAUAUAAUGAUAAAAAGUAUAUGCAUUUAUCUAAGAAAAGAAAUGUUUCUUCUAACCAAAAAUCACCUCUGAUAUUUAUGCUUAAGUCAUAUAAACUAUAAUAAGAUUUUAAGAAAAUGAUUAAUGAUAGACUUGUUGGCCUAUUAAGAUUGAUCAUUGUAACUCUAUAAAUCUUAUUUAGAAAAGUAAUAUGACAAGGAUGCUCUUUUUUGAGCUAAAAGCAUAACAUUGUAUUUGAUGAUUUAGCGCAUACAAAUGUAUACGGACUAAUCAGUUUACAUGUUAUAAGAGGUUAUGAGUAUUCUAUCAAUCUUGUUGAUGAAUAUUCAUUUUAUUUAUGUUUGUCUAAAUGCGUCAUGAUUCCAUUGCUUUUGAAAUUCAAAAGAGUACGUGGAUAAGACAGAAGCAAUUAGACAGGAACAUAAAAGAACUUCGAUAUGAUCGAAACAACGAAUAUCUCUAUGGAGAAUUCAAGCACUAUUUGGUUGUCAAUGAACACUAUGAUACAAUAGUGUAAUUAAAUGGAGAAACAAGAUUCUUUUGGAUAAGACAAGAUAUAUAUUAAGUGGUUUAUCAUUUACCUUUUUGAUUCCAGAUACUAGUAUUUGAAACUACAAAGUUUAUUGAACUUAGUUUCAUCUAUCUCGGUGUCUACUACUCCAAGAUAUUAUGAAAAGUUCACAAACAUGGUUUGAGACACAUUCGUAUUUGGAGUUUACUAGUAUUUCUACUAGAAUCAGAGAUAGAGAAGAUGGAUUCGUGUUCAGAAGCUUGCAUGUUUUAGGUAUCUUAAAGGAAUAAGGGAAAGUCUGAAUUAUAGUCCUCAAGAUAGGAAUGUAUUUAUAGAAAUAUUCUUUACUUUCUUUGAGGAAGACUAUAUAAUGACUUAUAACCUAAGAGUAAGGUAAAACUAGAGAAAUAAAAUAGAUCAGGUUGAUGCUAAGCUUUCAACACCUGUUAUAGAACAUGAAGAACAGCAACAACCAGCUGAUCAGCACAGGAUUAUCCUUGAACAACCAUCACUUUUAGAACCUCGUCGUAGUGGGAGGGUAACUAGGUUACCUGCGAGAUACAUGCUUUUGGGAGAAACCUAUACGGCUAUCUCAGAUGAACAUGUAUAAGAUCCCACUAGUUACAACGAAGCUCUAAUAGAUAGAGAUGUUGAAUUUUAAAAAAGGCCAUGUAUCAAGAAAUGGAAUCUAUGUAUUCCAAUAAAGUCUGGGAACUUGUAGAGGCACCAAAUGAGGUAAAACAUAUAGGGUGCAAGUAGAUCUACAAGAUAAUAAGAGGAGUAGACGGAAGGGUGGAAACAUUUAAAGCAAGAUUAGUAGCCGAAGGGUUUACUCAGAAAGAAGGAAUCAAUUAUGAGAAAACCUUUUCUCCGGUUGCUAUGCUUAAAUCCAUCAGGAUUAUGCUUUCCAUUGCUGUAGUGCUAGAUUAUGAAAUUUGGCAAAUGGAUGUCAAGACUGUCUUUCUUAACAGGCAUCUUGAAGAAAACAUCUACAUGCAGCAACCAGAUGGAUUUAUACAAAAAAGGCCAAGAACACAUGGUAUAUAAGUUGCAGAGAUCCAUUUAUGGAUUGAAGCAAGCAUCCCAGUCAUGGAACAUCAGAUUUGAUCAAGCGAUUAAAUCACUUGGAUUCAUUCAGAACAUUGAUGAACCAUGUGUGUACAAGAAAAUUCAGGGAAAAUUUGUAGCCUUCCUAGUUCUUUGUGUAGACAAUAUUCUCUUGAUUGGAAACGAUAUAGGAGUAUUGACUAUAAUAAAGAUCGGGUUAGCAAAACAAUUUGAUAUGAAAGGCCUGGAAGAGAUAAGUUAUAUUCUUGGUAUCAAGUUACUACGAGACCGGAAGAAUAAAACUUCAGCCUUGUCUCAAGCGGUCUAUAUCGAUAAGAUAUUGGCUAGAUUUAGCAUAGAAAAUUCCAAGACUGGUUUAUUACCAUUCAGACACGGAAUUACAUUCUCUAAGGAUCAAUCACCUAAAACAUCUGAAGAGAUAGAGAGAAUGAGACGAGUUCCCUAUGCAGAAGUUGUGGGAAGUCUCAUGUAUGCCAUGCUUUGCACUAGGCCAGACAUCUGUUUUGCGGUAGGGAUGGUUAGCAAAUAUCAAUUUAAUCCUGGACCUCAAUACUGGACUGCAGUCAAGCAUAUAAUGAAGUAUCUGAAAAGAACUAAAAAUUAUAUGCUUGUGUAUUCCGGUGAUGAACUCAUUCCAGUGGGUUAUACUGAUUCUGACUUUAUGUUAGAUAAGGAUUCCAGAAAAUCAACUUCUGGCUAUGUGUUUACAUUGGGAAGUGGAGCUAUUAGUUGGAUGAGUGUGAAACAAUCUUGUAUCACAGACUUAAUAACUAAAGCUGAAUAUGUGGCUACAUAUGAAGCUGCAAAAGAAGCUAUAUGGAUCCGCAAGUUCCUACAAAAUCUUGAGGUGGUACCUGUUGUAACUGCACCCCUUAAACUAUUUUGUGAUAAUGGUGGUGCGGUAGCUCAAUCUAAGGAACCAAGGAACCACAAGAAACAAAACAUAUUGACAAGAAGUAUCAUCUUAUAAGGGAAUAGUGUAGAAAGGUUAUAUGACAGUACCCCAAAUGGCAUUAGAUGCUAAAUGGCAGAUCUUAUUACAAUGGCCAUUAGUGGGAAACCUUUAUAACUUGCACUUAGAGCCCUAGAGCAUGAGCAAUAUGCUAGAUAUGCUUUGAGAGCUAGUGGGAGAUUGUUGGGAAAAUAUGCUCUUUAAAAGCAUAUGUGUUUAUUUAAUUGUAAUAAACAUUUUUUCUGAUUAAUAAAAUUAAUGUGGUAUUUUAUUCAAAUAUCUUAAUUGCAUUAAUAUUUGUAUUAAAGUCCAUUUAAUCAUAUUAUAUGUAUUUAUGUGAUCACUGUUGAGUGUUAGAAAAUGCAUAUUUAUAAAGGAGAAAACCGUCAUUUUACAUUUUAAGUCUUACUAACAACCCUUACUUUUAUGUAUUUAACCUUCUUGUGAUUUAAUUACAUGUGUUUUAUUUUAAUUAAGUAUUUUAUAUAUUUUAGGGGCAUUAUAGUCAUUUCACAAUAAAGGAGAAAUCAGACGGCAAAACGGACAUCACUUUUGAACUCAGGACGGUCAAAAACCUUAGGAGGAGCAUAAAAGGAAAAAUGACACUAUUCACGUGUACGGUACUGUAUACGUUACUGUUCACGACACUGUUCACAUAGACGGAUGAUGACGUGGCAUUGACCGAUGAUGUGGCAUUGACUGAUGAGGUGUCACGAUCUUGUUGGACUAAAAUUCUUAUGUACUGUUGAUGGUGACGUGGCAGCAUAUCAGUGGACGAAAAAUCUCGCGUACGGUGCAUGCAUCACACAUGAUUAUUUUCAACCAAACCGCGUUACUGUUCAUCCGGGUCAAACCGCGUUACUGUUCAAAGUCGGGUCAAACCGUGUUACUGUUCAUCCGCGUGGUCAAACCGUGGACUGUUGACUGAUGACGUGGCGCAAUCCUAAGCGUCCAAACUGUUUUUAAUCCGAUGGCCAUGAUUUACUCCAUGUAUCUAUAAAAAGGGGGCCUCUCCCCCCUAAUUGGAUAUCUCUGAAUCCAUUUUUGGGAUCCAUUUUCUGUAAUUCCUUCUCCAUCUUGUAUUUUCUUCGUAUUUUAAUAAAUUUCUAUUUUGCCCCUAGUUCAAUUAUGAGUGGCUAAUUUUCUUUCAAGCUUGGGUUGAAGGUGAAGUCUCAACAUGUGUCAUGGGCUUUAUUUGGUAAAUUUAUUUUCUCUUCCCCUCUAGUUUUUGUGGAUGUUUUGACUUCUCGUCGACAAAUAAUACUAAUCUUGUCUAGUACCGCCUUGGUUUCACCGGCCCUCUAGUACAAGGUUAUUAUUAUUUGGCACGAUAAGCCCUUAGCACUAUAUUGAUUAGAGCGUGGUUCAUGAGGUGUGGAUUCCCCCCUCAUGAUUUAAUUGGCAUUAAUACGGAUUAUUUAGCCCAUGAUGCAUGUUGAUACGGAUCCAGAUACCCAAGUACGUCAUUUUAAUAGAAUUCUCUUCAAUUUAUUCUCGCCAUUUCUAUUCCAAUUUUAGAAUUUAUUCUUGCCAUUUUAAUUUAAGUCUUAGCAUAUUCCAAAUCAUUUCCACCACAAAUCCAAUCACCCAUUUACAAAAUUAAUUCUACACAAUUAAAAUCCACCUCCUCGUGGGAUCGACACUCGUCACCAUUGAUCUAUACUAUAAUAGAUUCGUGCGCUUGCGAGUACAUUAAAAUUUGCACAACAAGUUUUUGGCGCCGUUGCCGGGGAGGUAAGUAAUUUUAAUUCGUAAAAUUAAUUUUUUGUGAAUAAUUUCUUUUAUUUGUUUUCUUGUAUUUUUUUUAUUAUUAAAAAAAAGAAAAAGAAAAAAAAAGUGAAUCUACAUUUAAAGGUUAGUAUUUCUUUUCUUUUUCUCUUCUUUAAAAUUCUGUAAUUUAAUUUUCAAUUUAUUUUUCUUUGUAAUUUUUUUUUAUCUUAUUAAUUUAUUUUUAGUUAAUUUAUUUCACGUAUUUGUUUUUGUGUAUUUUUAUAGAAAGGUUUUAAUAGCGCAAUAAGGUUAGUAUCGUAAUUUCUCCCUCUUAUUUAUUUUUAUUUGUUUUGUUCCCACCUUUAUUUUCAUUUUAUUUGUUUUGCAUGCAUGGUCGUAGGUCAUUAUUACCUAAUCUUGAACCUAUAGACCUUGAAUUAGAAAAAACACUUCGCACACAAAAGCACAUUAAAAAUAAAUUUGAAAUGGAUUUGCAACCACAAGAGAGGCCAUUUAAGGACUACUUCAGUCCCUUAGCUAAUUUGAGCACAUCAUGCAUAAGAUACCCAAAUGUAGCUGCUAGGAGUUUCGAAUUAAAACCUAGUGUGCUAAAUUGUCUCCCCACAUUUUAUGGCCUAGAAAAUGAGGAUCCAUAUAAUCAUCUGAAUGAUUUUCAUGCCAUUUGUCAAACUUUUAAAUAUGAAAAUUUUUCAGACGAUGAUGUUAAACUCAGAUUAUUCCCAUUUUCUUUAAAGGAUAGAGCUCGUUCAUGGCUUAAUACAUUGCCUGCUAAUAGCAUUUCAUCAUGGGAACAAAUGGUAACUAAAUUUUUGAAUAAAUAUUUCCCAGUACAUAAAACCAAUGCUAUUCGCAGGGAAAUCUCGGAGUUUACUCAGAGAGAGGACGAGCAAUUUUUCGAAACAUGGGAGCGAUUUAAUGGGCUACUCUUGAAGUGUCCACAUCAUGGGUACGAGAAAUGGCACCAAUGCCAAUACUUUUUGGAGGGAUUACUACCAAAUGUGCAAGAAUGGCUAAUGGCAACAAGUGGAGGAGAGCUAAUGUCAAAAAGUGCAUCAGAGAUUUGGGAAUUCUUCCAGCGACAAGCAGAUAAUUCCCAACAACGGAGUCGAUCACUCAGGAAUACUAGAAGAAUUAAAGGAGUGAAUGAGGUUCAAAUUGGCGAAUCAACUUCGGGAAUCAAAGAAGUCAAGGAGAUGGUUGAAGGUCUUGCUCGACAAAUAGCAUCGUUAUCAACUGGGAAAUCAACAGAACCACAUGACCAUGACUCAUACUCAGAUCAAGCCAAUGCCAUAGGUGUAAUGAGAAAACCAUCGAAUUACAACCCAUACUCUAACACAUAUAACCCUGGAUGGAGAGACCACUCCAAUUUUUCAUGGUCUCAAGGAUUCCAACAGAACGGACCAGCAGCUCCAGCUCCACCAAUUCCACAAAAUCCUCAAGCCUCUCAGCCACCAUUUAGACCAUACAAUCAGAACCAGAACCACUCUCAACCUAGACCAUGGGAGGAUGCAUUCCAGAAUUUCAGGAAUGUUACUCACUCCACGAUUGAGCAACAGAACCGCACCAUUGAUGGACUACGAAAUGAGUUGAGAGUAGGCUUCAACUCACAAGCCCAAUCAGUUUCAAGCCUCGAGAAGAUGGUGGGACAACUUGCUUCUUCAGUUCAGACCUUGGCAAUGAUCGUUGAGAAAGGUAAGUUUCCAAGUCAACCAGUGCCUAACCCUAAAGGAGUGCAUGAAGCUAGUACCAGUUCACCACAGCAGCAUGGAGAAGUCAAAGCAAUAAUGACCUUGCGAAAAGGAAAGGAAGUCGACAACAAAGUGGAGAUGCCGGUGACAAAAGAAAAUCAAAUUGUACCUGUGAAUGUUGAUGACUCAUCACCGGAGGAGAAAGAAGAAACCAACCCACAAGAAUAUGUUCCCAAAGCUCCAUUUCCUCAGAGGUUAGCUAAAGGAAAAAAGGGAAAAUCCACAGGUGAGAUUCUUGAAAUUUUCAAACAGGUAAGUGUUAACAUCCCUUUACUUGAUGCUAUUAAGCAAGUUCCAUCUUAUGCCAAGUUUCUUAAAGACCUUUGUACUAAAAAGAGAAACAUGCAUGUUCAAAAGAAGGCAUUUUUAACAGAAAACGUUAGUUCUAUACUCCAACAUAAAAUUCCUUUAAAAUGCAAAGACCCAGGCUCCCCCACUAUCUCAUGUAGCAUAGGGAACCACACAAUUGAGAAUGCUUUGUUGGAUUUAGGAGCUAGUGUAAAUCUGUUACCUUAUUCAGUGUUUGUGAAACUUGGACUUGGAGAAUUACACCCAACUCCAGUGGUGUUACAGCUUGCAGAUCGGUCCACGAAAAUACCUCGUGGUAUUGUGGAGGACGUGCUUAUUCAGGUAGACAAGUUUUAUUUUCCUGUUGAUUUCAUUGUAAUUGACACUCAACCAAUACAGGAUUCAAGAAAGCACAUCCCCAUUAUUCUAGGCCGACCUUUUUUGGCAACUGCGGAUGCUCACAUUCAAUGCAGGACUGGAAAUAUGCAGUUGUCCUUCGGCAACAUGACUAUGGAGCUAAACAUUUUCAACAUUGCCAAACAACCUCACAGUGUAGAUGAUGGAAUUGUUGAUGUGGAUUUAAUUGAAGCAUUAGUUGAUGAUACUUUUGUUUCAAACCUUAGUGAUCCUUUACAAACAUGUUUAACUCACUUUGGUUUGGAUUUUGAUAUUGACAGAUCGGUCGAUGAGGUCAAUGCCCUGCUUGACUCAGCACCAUCUAUGGACACUAAUAAAUGGAAGUCAAGAGUUGAGCAACUAGCACCAUCAGAGAAGAAACUCAUCCCAUCAUCAGAAUCACCACCGAAACUCGAGCUCAAACCAUUACCCAACACUUUGGAAUAUGCAUUUUUGGGGGAAGAAAGUACUCUGCCGGUAAUCAUCUCAUCAUCCCUCAAUGACGAACAAAAAGGUAAGUUGUUAGAUGUUUUGAAAGAGCACAAAGGGGCAUUAGGAUUGACCAUAGCAGACAUAAAAGGUAUAAACCCAGUAGACUGCAUGCAUUACAUUCACCUUGAUGAAAAUGCUAAAACUACUAGGGAGAUGCAACGUCGGUUAAAUCCUAACAUGAAAGAAGUUGUUAGAACAGAAGUCCUUAAACUAUUAGACGCAGGUAUCAUUUACCCAAUUUCUGAUAGUUCAUGGGUCAGUCCUGUACAAGUUGUCCCCAAAAAGUCAGGAGUCACAGUAGUUACAAAUGCUGAUAAUGAAUUGAUACCCACUAGAGUAACUACAGGAUGGCGUGUAUGCAUUGAUUAUAGAAAGUUGAAUUCUGUCACACGUAAAGACCAUUUUCCUUUACCAUUUAUUGAUCAAAUGCUUGAUAGAUUAGCAGGCCAUGAAUUUUAUUGCUUUCUAGAUGGCUACUCAGGAUAUAAUCAGAUUCCCAUAGCACCAAAAGAUCAAGAGAAAACUACUUUCACUUGCCUUUUUGGCACAUUUGCAUAUAGGAGAACGCCAUUUGGAUUAUGUAAUGCACCUGCUACAUUUCAACGAUGCAUGCUAAGCAUUUUUUCUGAUAUGGUUGAACGAUUUCUUGAAGUCUUUAUGGAUGACUUUUCUGUCUUUGGUGACUCGUUUGAUCAAUGUUUACAUCAUUUAACACUAGUUUUGCAGAGAUGUAUCGAGAAGAACUUGGUCUUAAAUUGGGAGAAAUGCCAUUUUAUGGUAAAACAAGGUAUUGUUCUCGGUCACAUCAUUUCGAGCAAAGGUAUUGAGGUUGACAAAGCCAAGGUGGAUCUCAUUUCUAAUCUUCCUCCACCCAAAACAGUCAGAGAAGUAAGAUCUUUCCUUGGGCAUGCUGGUUUCUAUAGACGUUUCAUUAAAGAUUUUAGCAAAGUUUCUAGACCCUUAUGCAAUUUACUUGCUAAGGAUGUACCUUUUAUCUUUAAUGAUUCAUGUCUUAUGGCGUUUGAAAAAUUAAAACAGUUGUUGACAUCAUCACCCAUCAUUCAGGCCCCGAACUGGAAAUUACCAUUUGAGCUCAUGUGUGAUGCAUCUGAUUAUACAGUAGGAGCAGUAUUAGGACAAAGAGUUGGUCGAAUUCCCCACGUUAUUUACUAUGCUAGUAUGACAUUAAAUGAUGCACAGUUGAACUAUUCAACCACUGAAAAAGAAAUGCUAGCAGUAGUAUUUGCAUUAGAGAAAUUUCGAUCUUAUCUCAUUGGUUGUAAAAUAAUUGUGUUCACAGAUCAUGCUGCUCUUAAAUAUCUUCUCACAAAGAAAGAUGCAAAAGCCAGACUAAUUCGUUGGGUGUUACUUUUGCAGGAGUUUGACUUGGAAUUCAAAGAUAAGAAAGGGACAGAAAAUGUUGUGGCGGACCACCUCUCUCGUCUCCAUUUUGACACAAUUACAGAGCCAUUAAUAUUGAAUGAGUCAUUUCCAGAUGAACAAUUAAUGAAUGUGGAAGUAUUACCUUGGUAUGCUGAUAUAGUUAAUUAUCUUGUUACAGGUAAACUUCCAGAGCAUUGGACCAAGCAAGACAAGGCUAAAUUCUUUGCAGAAAUAAAGAAUUUCUUUUGGGAUGACCCGUAUUUGUUCAAGUAUUGUGCAGACCAAAUUGUUAGACGAUGUGUCCCAGAAAGUGAAAUUCAAAAUAUCCUUUCAUUCUGCCAUGAACAAGCUUGUGGAGGCCAUUUCAGUGCUAAGAAAACAGCGACUAAAGUUUUACAAUGUGGUUUCUAUUGGCCAACUAUAUUUCGAGACGCUUACACUUUCUAUUCUUCAUGUGAUAGGUGUCAACGAAUGGGGAGCAUUACACGAAGGAACAUGAUGCCACUAAAUCCAAUUUUAGUGGUUGAAAUUUUUUACGUAUGGGGUAUCGACUUCAUGGGACCCUUUCCCUCAUCUUUUGGCCAUCAAUACAUAUUGGUUGCUGUUGACUACGUAUCAAAAUGGGUAGAAGCAAUUCCAUGUAGGACCAAUGAUCACAAGGUGGUGAUAGCAUUUUUGAAAAGCAACAUUGUUUCACGCUUUGGAUUCCCUCGAGCAAUAAUCAGUGAUGGUGGUGCCCACUUUUGUAACAAAGCAUUCAAAGCUCUUUUGACAAAGUAUUCAAUCACACACAAAGUGGCGACCCCGUAUCAUCCGCAAACCAGUGGCCAAGUUGAGAUAUCCAAUCGAGAAAUAAAGCACAUAUUAGAAAAAACGGUGAGGCCAGACAGGAAAGAUUGGUCAUUAAGACUUGAUGAUGCCUUAUGGGCAUAUAGAACGGCUUUCAAGACCCCGAUUAGGAUGUCACCCUACAGGAUAGUGUAUGGAAAAGCUUGCCACCUACCUGUGGAACUCGAGCAUCGUGGGUAUUGGGCCAUCAAGAAAUUCAAUUUUGACAUGCAGCAAGCCAGCUCAGAAAGAAGAUUACAGCUGGCAGAACUUGAAGAAAUUCGCAAUGAUGCAUACGAAAAUGCCAAGAUUUACAAGCAACGAAUGAAAGUCUUCCAUGAUAAGCAAAUUAUGAGAAAAUCGUUCACUCCAGGUCAGAAAGUGCUUUUAUUCAAUUCUCGCUUGCACCUAUUCCCAGGUAAGUUACGCUCUCGUUGGUCUGGCCCAUUUAUUGUUCAUACUGUUUUUCCACAUGGGGCAAUUGAAAUUAAAGACCCAAAGAACGGUGUCACGUUUAAAGUUAAUGGUCAAAGAUUAAAGCCAUAUCUAGAGUACCAACCACAUGAAGAAGACACCGAAAUAAAUUUGAGUGACCCACCAAAUUUGAAUUGAUUUUUUUUCUUUUCGUUGAUUUGAUUUUUCUUUCUUUCUUUUUAUUAUUAUUCUUUUGCUAAUUGAAAUUGUUUUUGCAUAAGUGUGUUUAUUUUACCAUUAAGUUUUCUCUUAUCAUUUUUAAUCAUGAGUCUCAUACUUAGACCGUUCCUCCUGAACAUUCUUAAACCACUUCAACGUGUCAAAACUCAUCUCAAAAGGCAGAUUCAAUUUUGUAAAACACAACGCAUUUGGGCUCUACAACCACCAGAGUUAGUAGCCUAUGUUGAGGGUUUAGAACGCCAACUCAGAGACAUUGAGAGAAGUGUUUACGACAUCCAGUUGGAGCUUGAGGUAAAUUCAAUAAGAGGACGAUUUUAAUUUUCUUUGUGUGUUUUAAUUUGUUUUUCUAUUUGUGUGCUUUAGUUUGUUACCCCGGUGAAGUGGCGGAUAACGGUACUCCGUGACAAUCAAGUCGGUUACUUCAGUUUCCCAUAAUAACUGAUAUUCUGAGGCGAAGGUAUGGACAAAAACGAGACUCUAGCGAAGCUUCACAAGCGAUUCCCUUCACUUCCUCAGAAUGCCCUCCUUACGAUCUAUAAAGCUCGGUCCAAACGCAUGCGAUUACUCAUGAGGAAUAACAUACCUGCUGACAUCCGUUGGUUAAUCGAGGCUAAAGUACGAUCGGCAGGUGAGUUACCUCCAAAAUUUAUUGCAUACAUGCCUGGUUGUGGUAAAGGAAAUUAUGCAAGAAAACGACGAGCUCGAAGAAUUUCUGUUGCUUGUCAUAAGUGUGCCAGAAUGAGUUGCAAUAAAAACCCAUGUUCUUUAGGAAUGGUGUCUGAUAACAGGGAAGAUAAGAUUCAAUUCAUUAGGGAUGGCUUGAAUAAGGAGUCAUUGGAUGAUAUCCAUUUGUCUCUUGAAACGCAUCCCAGUGGAUAUGUGCAAGGAGCGAUUCUCCAGUUAUGGCCAUUAUUCCAGAAAGAGCAUGCACGAUAUAGUCUCGGGAAUCUGACUAUAAACGACCCUGUUUGCCAGUUUAUAAGAAAACUGGAUAGGAAGCCUAUCCUCGACCCAUAGAGGGCGUUCAAGCCGUUUCUGGACGUAAAACCAGAGGAAGAUGUGAGCCACAAUCGCAACUACCUGUAAAUAUCCUUUUACUUUAUUAUUUCACUAUUGUCUUAUUGUUUGCAUUAUUGUCUUUAAUAAUUUUAUUACUGUUUGUUUUUUUUUCUUUUUACUGUUUUCUUUUUGACUUGCGAGCCACGUGCUUUACGCGUUAUUUGACACUGACAUAUUACCUCAUACACAACCAUGACCCACUAUCACCGAGAUUCUUAAAUGUGAUUUCCUUUUUGUCAAGCACUCACAAAUUGUUUUCGAGAAGUAUCACAAUGGCAGCUACUCCCAAUAGACAAUUCAAGAACAUUUGUGUGCUUUCUGGAUUUACCUAUGGCAAACAUAAAGAGUUCGUUGAGGCAGCUAUAGAUCUUGGUCGAAGCAUAGCAGCGAGAAAAUUACACUUGGUGUAUGAAGGAGGUAACCGAGGGUUAUCAAAAAUGGUCUCAGAAGCAGCUUUUAUCAGAGGAAGUCAAGUGUUAGGCAUCAUCCCAAGAGUCCUAAAACCAUUGGGCAGUUCGUCUGACUCAUCAACUGGAGAAGAGUUAGUCGUCUCAAGUAUGCAAGAAAGAAUAACUGAAAUGCUUAAUUAUGCUGAUGCUUUUAUUUUCCUUCCAGGAGAUCUUGCAACACUAGAGGCACUUAUGACGCUAGCAUCUUGGGCCCAUCUGCACAUCCACCAAAAACCCAUCGGUUUGUUAAAUGUCAAUAACUUUUAUGAUGGCUUUAUCGCAUUUCUUAACCAUGCAAUAAAAAACUAUUUCAUUCCUUCUAAUGUGAAAAAACUUUUUAUUUGUGCUCACACUGCUAAUGAGCUACUUGAUAUGUUACAAGCUUAUAAACCGGAGCCAGACCCCUGGACCUUUGUGUUGGAGCGCCCAAAUAAUGAUGGUAACAGUAGCCGCAGUAAAAAGUACAAAUUAGAUUUAACUCUCCGCUUGUAAAUAUUGUUUUCUGUGUUGCACCACCCAGGUGAUGUCUUCUAAACUCUACUUCUUUCCUUUCAAACAUUGAGGACAAUGUUUCGUUCUGGUUGGGGGGAGGGAAUAGUCGACAAUUGUGGAAUUUUGGUUAAGUUUUUACUAAUUUUUGUUGUAGAAACUAACUGUUGCUAACUUUUUGUGUCGAAGAUGGCUGAAUAUAGAGUGUAGUGACUCUAGAAACGCAUCUUCAUCGUAAAAAAAAAAUUUUAAAAAUUAAAAAGCUAAAAAAAUUUUUUUUUUUCUUUUUCUUUAUUAUGUUUUUAUGUUUAUUUUUCUUCUUUUUAAUUUCUCCUCUAUAAAUAUACAUUUUCCAACUUGUGAGUCGAAGAUGGCUAAAUAUGGAGUGUAGUUCCUCUAGAAACGCAUCUUCUUUAAAAAAAAAAAAUAUUUUCGUUUUCUAUAAUUUUACAUGUAACUUUUCUAAUUAGUUUUUAUGCAUCAUUUUCACAUUUCUGCAUGCAUAUUUUCCUUUCAUGUUUAGAAUAGGUUGGGGGGUAGAAUGUUGUUUAAAAAAAAAAAUUUGAUUUGUUUUAACAUUAGAUGACAUGAUUAAUUUCAAAUUUUAGUAUUUGUAUUACCUUUGGUCUUAAGUGAUGUUACAUUAUGUUUGCUACUCUACAUGUUGAUGUCGGAGACAAAUAUGCGUUGCUUGAAGGAAUGAACAUGUCAUAAUAAGUACCAAGUGAGUUUUUGAGCCUAUUAUUUUUCUUGGAGAAUAACUCUUUUGCCCAUUCUCUAUACAGCUUAGCAGUUUAUUAUUUUAUACACGAUAUCUAAAUUUAUUUUGAGUUAACCCUAAAAAAAAAAAAAUAAAUAAAUAUUGUAAAAAAAAAAAGAAAAAAAAAGUGUGUUGCUACAUUUGGAGGCCCAUCUAACUAGUACAUAUGGAAGGUUAUUUAGAGCCCUAAAAGACGAUGGAAAGGCCAUCUUUGAUCCGUUUGAACCUUUCUAGCCAUCCCUUUUAUUAAAUAUCCAUAGUUAACCCUUUUGAGCCUUUAAAAAAAAAAAAACAUUUUCUUUGUCAACUUAUCAUCUUGACCCACUCCGAUUUGGAGUAUUACCCGAUAUCUUAUAAGUUCCAUCACUUAUUUAUGUUUGAGAAAUGUAAAUAAUUAUGUUGUUCGGUGAAGUUAUACAAAAAAAAAAAAAAACAACAACAACAAAACAAAAGUUGUUGUUUCAAAAGAAUAAAAAUAAAAAUAAUAGGUGAAAUCCACCUUGCAACUUCCAAAAAAAAAAAAAAAAUCUCUGCAUUUUUUUCAAACAUACACUUUGUUUUCCUUAUUUCCCUUCUUUGUUAACCAUGUCCCUAGCCUACGUUGCGUCCUAAUAAAAGUCCUUCUUGAUUUUAGGGAACUAUAGUUUGAAGUAGAAGCUAGUUAUAUGGGCUAAAAAGAUGUAGUGAUGCAUAAUUAAAAAAAAAAGAUAAAUAAAGUGGGUUGACUUACAUUUUAUUUGACUUGAGAUCGUAUUAUUUCUAAGCUGAGGGCAUAUUUAUUUCAUCUUGGUGAGAGCAUGUGAUAUCACUUCUUUAUUAUUUUCUCUCUCAAUUACCAUUCAUUGGAGUGACUAUUUUUAUUGGGUUUAAUUUAUUUGUGAGAGUGUCACUACUUCCAGUGAGAUUUUGGGGUUUGACAUGUCAUUCUUGAAAGUAGCUAUAACAAAGUCGACUGGGCUAAUUCAUGUGAAUGGUUGAUGUGGGUGUGAUGUUGCUUUAGACUGGAGAUAAUGCUUAUACUUUUAUUUGAUUGCUAUCAUUAAUCUGAUUGAAUAAACACGAGUGUUUCUAAAAAAAUAAAAAAAAAAUCAUUUUGAAUUUGAAUUUUGUUUUCGCUUUACUUGCUAGGGACUAGCAAUAAGCUGGUUGAGGGGUGUGUUGAGUGUUAGAAAAUGCAUAUUUAUAAAGGAGAAAACCGUCAUUUUACAUUUUAAGUCUUACUAACAACCCUUACUUUUAUGUAUUUAACCUUCUUGUGAUUUAAUUACAUGUGUUUUAUUUUAAUUAAGUAUUUUAUGUAUUUUAGGGGCAUUAUAGUCAUUUCACAAUAAAGGAGAAAUCAGACGGCAAAACGGACAUCACUUUUGAACUCAGGACGGUCAAAAACCUUAGGAGGAGCAUAAAAGGAAAAAUGGCACUAUUCACGUGUACGGUACUGUAUACGUUACUGUUCACAUAGACGGAUGAUGACGUGGCAUUGACCGAUGAUGUGGCAUUGACUGAUGAGGUGUCACGAUCUUGUUGGACUAAAAUUCUUAUGUACUGUUGAUGGUGACGUGGCAGCAUAUCAGUGGACGAAAAAUCUCGCGUACGGUGCAUGCAUCACACAGGAUUAUUUUCAACCAAACCGCGUUACUGUUCAUCCGAGUCAAACCGCGUUACUGUUCAAAGUCGGGUCAAACCGUGUUACUGUUCAUCCGCGUGGUCAAACCGUGGACUGUUGACUGAUGACGUGGCUCAAUCCUGAGUGUCCAAACUGUUUUUAAUCCGAUGGCCAUGAUUUACUCCAUGUAUCUAUAAAAAGGGGGCCUCUCCCCCCUAAUUGGAUAUCUCUGAAUCCAUUUUUGGGAUCCAUUUUCUGUAAUUCCUUCUCCAUCUUAUAUUUUCUUCGUAUUUUAAUAAAUUUCUAUUUUGCCCCUAGUUCAAUUAUGAGUGGCUAAUUUUCUUUCAAGCUUGGGUUGAAGGUGAAGUCUCAACAUGUGUCAUGGGCUUUAUUUGGUAAAUUUAUUUUCUCUUCCCCUCUAGUUUUUGUGGAUGUUUUGACUUCUCGUCGACAAAUAAUACUAAUCUUGUCUAGUACCGCCUUGGUUUCACUGGCCCUCUAGUACAAGGUUAUUAUUAUUUGGCACGAUAAGCCCUUAGCACCAUAUUGAUUAGAGCGUGGUUCAUGAGGUGUGGAUUCCCCCCUCAUGAUUUAAUUGGCAUUAAUACGGAUUAUUUAGCCCAUGAUGCAUGUUGAUACGGAUCCAGAUACCCAAGUACGUCAUUUUAAUAGAAUUCUCUUCAAUUUAUUCUCGCCAUUUCUAUUCCAAUUUUAGAAUUUAUUCUUGCCAUUUUAAUUUAAGUCUUAGCAUAUUCCAAAUCAUUUCCACCACAAAUCCAAUCACCCAUUUACAAAAUUAAUUCUACACAAUUAAAAUCCACCUCCUCGUGGGAUCGACACUCGUCACCAUUGAUCUAUACUAUAAUAGAUUCGUGCGCUUGCGAGUACAUUAAAAUUUGCACAACAAUCACCAUGUGGAUUCACAGAAGACAUAAAUACAAGUUAUCUUAUGAUUAAAUAAAUUUAGUUCGCAGUUGAUAAAUAAAGUUGGGCACUUUAUUUAGGUAUAGACUGUAAUAAAUUCAUUGAAUGAUUUGUCUUAAUCAUUUAUGAAUUUAUUGAUGUAGUACGACUACAUUGAACAGGAUCACAUAUGAGAUUUAAUUAACUUUGUAAUAACUGUCAGACUUAUUAAAUCUCAUAGGCAUUGAUUUUACUGUAAUCUUAAUCUUGAGUUAAUUAUGAUUUCAUGAUUGUAAUUGUUAUUUCAUUUGAGUUACCAAUGGGCACGACACAUCCUUGUGGUCAAGAUUAUCCGGUAUCUUGGUGGGAGCAAUUAUGAGUAUUGGAGUUAUGGAUUAACAAUAUAGAAUUUGUGCAACACAUCUCUUGAUAGGUUUUCGGUACUUGAUCAUAGAAUUCUCUGGCCAGAGUGUGUCAACAUAUUUAGUAUGUUGAAAAUGAUCAUUGGAGAAAACCAGUAAGGAUCAAGGAAUAAGAUGUUAUUAAAUUGAUUGGACAGUUGGGAUAUCAAUUUAAUUAACGAUGUGGUACAAAGGAUUGUGCAGUAAAGAAAUCAAUGUGGCUUGGGACGAAUUAUUAUUCGAGCAUACAAUUAUGGAAGUCAGUUCCAAUCUUUUAGUGGAGUAGAUUUGGAAUUAAAUAAUUGGGCUAGUUUAAUUACAGGCCUAAUUAUUGUAGCCACUAUUGUAUGUUCCCAAAUGAUCCCCGGGUUAGCUCAUUUAAUUGACUGCACCACUACUGGACUAAUAAGUAAGAUAGCUAGCUAUUUGGGUCAAAAGCCUAAAUAUAUCAUUUAGUGGGAGGCUCCAUUUAAUUAACUUUUGUGUAAGGGGCCUUAUGUUAUUUUACAAGGUGGGUCCCCUAUUGAAAAAGAAAAUAACGUGGGUUUUGUUUUUUGAUUAUUUGGAGCCUAGGGUUUUCAUUAAAGGGUGAUAUAAAAGGCUUAUUUUCUCUAAAGGAAAGUGAGAAGCCACUUUAUACAGAUCAGAGAUUAAGAUUUUUCUCUCUAUUGUUGAGAGAAAAAUUUUCUCGUGCUAGUUGCUUUGGUAGUGAUAAAGGCGCCCACACGUCAAGUGCAGAUCGAACCUGAGUCAUAACCUGGAAGAUCAUUGGUGACAGUUCGUGAUCUAACAAACGUGGUGGUGACGGAUCGUGAUCUAACAGGAGUGGUGGUGGCGGAUCGUGAUCUAGGAGCCUAAAUCACUUCAGCGGAAAAAGCCAACUCGGAUUUUCAAGGUACGAUUUCUAGAAUACAAAUUCUUAUAUAUUAUAUGAGAGCGAUCUUCAAAAGGUUUUAUAAAAAUUUAAAAACCUGAUUUUUCCCCAACAAUUAGAUCACAAUCCGCCAUCAUGAAUCGUACCUUUAUCACUGUUGAAAGUAACUAGCAAGAGAAAACUAGUUUUUCUCUCAAAGUUAGAGAGAAAAAAUUUCUACUCCUCUAUUUUGCAUAUUGUGGCUCUUGUAUUUCUUUUGGAAAAUAAGCCUUUUUAUAUAUCUUUUUGGUGGAAAUUUAGGCCUUUAAAAAUUAGAUAAAGCCUAAAGUAACGCAUCACUUGUGCUUGCUAUAAGGACCCACCUUGUAAAAUAAUACAAGGACCCUUAUACAUAGACAUAUUAAAUAAAGCCUCCAGCCAUUAGGCUUUUAACCCAAAUAAUAUGUUAUCUUUCUUACCAAUUAAAUGAGCUAACCCAUGGAUCAUAUGGACAUACAAUAAUAGCUACAAUAAUUAAGCAUAUAACUAAAUUAGCCUAAUUAUUUAAUUCCAAAUUCUACUUUACUAAAAGAUUGGAUUGACCUCUAUAAUUCUAUGCUGUCUAAGAUAGUAUUCUUGAAUAAUAGUUCGACCCAUGCUAUAUUGAUUUCUUUAUUGAACAAUCAUUUAUAACGCAUCGCUAAUUAAACUGAUAUCUCAACUGUCCAAUUAAUUUAAUUAUAUCUUAUUCAUUGACACUUAUUUAUUUACUUUAACGAUCAUUUCCAACAUACUAAUUAUGUUGACACACUCUGACUAGAGAAUUUAACGAUUAAGUAUUGAAAACCCGUCAAGAGAUAUGUUAUACAAAUUCUAUAUUGUUAAUCUAUAAUCUCACUACUCAUAAUUGCUUUGCCCAAGAUACUAGGUAAUCUUGAUUGUAAAUCUAUGUCACGUCCAUUGGUAACUCGAAUGAAAUGGCAAUCACAAACAUGAAACUAUAAUUAACUCAAGAUUAAGAUUGCAAUAAAAUCAAUACGUAUGAGAUUUAAUAAUUUUGAGAGUCAUUUCAAGGUUAACUAAAUUUCAUAUGUGAUCUACGUCAAUGUAGUCAAACUACAUCAGUAAAUUCAUACAUGAUUAAGAUAAAUCAUUUAAUGAAUUUACUACAAUCUAAAUAAAAAUAGAGUACCCUACUCUAUUUAUCAACUGUGAACUCAAUUUAUUUAAUCUAAGAUAACUUAUAUUUAUGUUUUCUAUGAAUCUAUACAAUAAUCACAUAAGUAUAUAUAAUAUGAUUAAAUAGAUCUUAUUCAAAAUAUUUAUAUAAUUAAAAUAUCUGAAAAACAUCUCAAAUAAUUAGAAUAUGUAUUUUUAUAAAUAAAUUAAUAUACUUUAAAGAGUACAUAAUGCCAACAGGUUCUCUAUGUAAAAUGGUCUAGAAGUCCAUGUCAUAAUUAUUAGAACGGAACUUUAUUAUUGCGUAAUAGUUCAAUGUUGUUAUUAUCCAUAUAUAUCAACCUAUAUUUAUUCAAGUAAAAGUUUAGAUUUGCCCCACGGACUUGAAUGAGUGAGUUUUAAGCUGCUUUACUUAUUGAUCACCGAGUUCGAAUCUUGAGGGUUGUAGGGAGUUAAAAUAUUAAUUUGAAACUUUCUAAUUCCUCUAUUUGGGAAGAAAAAAAAGAAAAAGUAAAAUCUUUGAUUUAGAGAUAAUAAUCUUGAUCUCACCAAGAAUUAGAGAAAAUUUCCUCUUUUUCACCCUGAUAAUCAUCUUUUGAUACCGGCUUACCUAGUAUUUAACUGCAUUUUUUACGCAUGUUUACAUUAUUAGUCAUGUGUGAUACAUGCAGACUCCAGUUCUAUUUUUUAAUAACUAGUAAUCUCAUGUUUGAAGUUUUUGCUUAUAUAUGAUAAAACUAAAAUAUUCAUCCUAGACAAGAAUCCUGGAUAUUUAUACUCAACAACAGAAAGUCGUUGAUUGAUUCUCUAGGUUUGCAAUAGCGUAUAGCUAGCUCUCCACAUAACUCUUUGCUUCCUAGAAAUUUAUAUGUUAAUUUCCAGGAUUCAUCCUCGAAAUUUCUUGAUGUGACAUAGAAAUCAAAGACAAUCCUGCGUGUAUUGUGAUUAUUACUUUGUAAUCAAGUGACAUAUGAUCAUUCUAAUAAACUCCGUAAAAGUGAUUUCACAUGGCCCUGGAAAUUUAGUUGACAAGAUUAAAGAAACUUUAUGAGCUAGCUACUGUUAUGAUAUGAUAUGGUAUAAUCACAUCGUGUUUACAAUUUUUUUUUUGUUUUUUUUUUUGUAUGGUUAUUUUUACCAUAUUUUAAAAAUUGUUUAGCUGUAUUUAUCUAAUGAGUUUAUCAAAGAUUUUAGAAAAUACAUUAAAAACAUGUUAAUCUGGUAAAUUUCAUAAAAAAUGAAAUAAAAUAUAUCAGAUGCCUGGUAUAAUUAUGACAAAAUUGAGUAAACUGAUCUUAUUAGUGCCUGAAAUUUUGAAAAUGUGGGUCUAUUUAAAUCUACUAAAAUACUCAUAGAGCUACCACUAAUUUAGAAAUUUUCUCUAUACUAGCUUAAAUAUAAAAAAUUAUAUUACAAUAAAAACUCUACUGAUAUUUAUAAUAAGAAAUCGAUUGGGACCUCCUUAGUCAUUCUAUUAUGGCACAACACGAAAUUCUACUCUCAUUUGACAUCGAAGGUGUUGGAGAAAAAUCAGUUUUUUAAAUAUUUAUAAAAACUUUUAGGAUCGCUCUCAUACAAUAUAUAACAAUUUGUAAUAUAGAAAUCGUACCUUAAAAAUCCGAUUUAGCCUUUUCCGCUGAGGUGAUUUAGGCUCCUAGAUCACAAUCCGUCACCACCACUCCUAUUAGAUCACGAUUCGCCACCAAAUAAUCUUCCAGGCUAUGACUUAAGUUUGAUCUGCACUUGACGUGUGGGCGCCUUUAUCACCACUAAAACAACUAGCACGAGAAAAUCUUUCUCUCAACAAUAGAGAGAAAAAUCUUUUUCGCUGAUCUGUAUAAAGUGGUUGCUCUGUUUCUUUUGGGAGAAAAUAUGCCCCUUUAUAUUUCUAUCUAGUGGAAACCCUAAGCUCCAUUUUUUUAUAUUAUUUAAUUCUAUUAAAUAAGGUUUGAUUUAAAUUAAAAAUAAUAACCAAAAGUAAAGUUACUUCUUUCUUGUCAUAGGGGCCUGCCUUGUAAAAUAACACAAGGCCCCUUAGACACAAGUAUAUUACAUGGAGCCUCCCACUAAAUAAUAUAUUUAGGCUUUUAACCAAAAUAGCUAGUUAUCUUGCUUAUUAAUUCAGUAGUGGCGCAGUCAAUUAAAUGAGCUAAUCCAGGGAUCAUUUGGGAACAUACAAUAGUGGCUGAAAUAAUUAGGCCUGUAAUUAAACUAGCCCAAUUAUUUAAUUCCAAAUCUACUCCACUAAAAGAUUGGAAUUGACCUCCAUAAUUGUAUGCUCGAAUAAUAAUUUGUCCCAAGCCACAUUGAUUUCUUUACUGCAUAAUCCUUUGUAUCACAUCGUUAAUUAAAUCGAUAUCUCAAAUGUCCAAUCGAUUUAAUUACAUCUUAUUCCUUGAUACUUACUACUUUUCUCUAAUGAUCAUUUCAACAUACUAAAUAUGUUGACACACUCUGGCCAAAGAAUUCUAUGAUCAAAUGCCAAAAACCCAUCAAGAGAUGUGUUGUACAAACUCUAUAUUGUUAAUCCAUAACUCCAAUACUCAUAAUUGCUCCCACUAAGAUAUCGGGUAAUCUUGACCACAAGUGUGUGUCGUGCCCAUUGGUAACUCAAAUGGAAUAACAAUUACAAUAAUGAAAUUAUAACUAACUCAAGAUUAAGAUUACAGUAAAAUCAAUGCCUAUGAGAUUUAAUAAGUCUGGCAGUCAUUUCAAGGUUAAUUAAAUCUCAUAUGUGAUCCAGGUCAAUGUAGUCAAACUACAUCAGUAAAUUCAUACAUGAUUAAAACGAAUCAUUCAAUGAAUUUACUACAGUCUAAACAUAAAUAGAGCGCCCGACUCUAUUUAUCAACUGUGAACUAAAUUUAUUUAUUCAUAAAAUAACUUGUAUUUAUGUCUUCUGUGAAUACAUAUGAUGAUCACAUAAAUACAUAUAAUAUGAUUAAAUGGACAUUUUUCAAUAUAUAUGUAAGCGAUUGAAAAUAUCUCAAAUAUUUUAUUAAUCAAAAAAUAAAUUAAUACGCUUUAAAAGAGCAUAUAAUCCCAACAGAAGGAAUAUCUAUUUUACCCAAAACAAUGAAAAGAUAAAUUGAUCCCCACUCAAUUUUGUUAGAAGAGAAAUCAAGUCCCAACAAUGACAUGGACUGGAAAUCUCUGAAUACAUAGAUUGUCAAUAGCUAUGAGCCCAUUGGCUAACACCCAUAUAAAUUAAAAUAAAAAAUAAUUGUGAUUUUUUUCUCUUUAUUUCGCUUCCUUCCCCUAGUUUUUGUACGACUAUUCUUUCUCAGUUAGACAAAGCUUGGGCUUUGUUACAACAAAAAGGAUCCCUUCAACGUACAUAUAUAGCAAUAAGCUAAGAUUAAAGGUUGGGAAGUGAAAUGGUGUUACUCAGUACUCACAUAUUACACGUCAAUAAAAUUACAUUUAUUUUCAAUUGAAUAUUUGUUAUUCUUUAUACUUGCUACUCAUAGCAAGAACAUUAACAGUUUAUUUAUACGAAGAGAAUAAAAUUGAAAAAACAAAAAAACGCUAAUGCCCGAAAUAUAUAUGGAGAAAUUGUUUUAACAAUCAUCAUCUACCUAACACUUACGGUUAGAAUUCUAGUUUCUAUGGCUAGAAUCUCAUAAUGACGAUUGAUAUUGAAUAAAAUUAAGAUUCUGAGGUAGAAAAAUUAUGAAUCCCAAGAGUGGGUGAGUAAAGUUGUUUGCUUUUCAUUUAUGUUUUAUAAUAUAUCUUGUUCUUUGUGGUAUAUUUCUUAAUGGAUUUUAUGAUAAUAAAAAAAGUUAUUAAUAAAUGAGUGUAUCUAUUUUAGUGGUUUCAACUUUCAAAUAACCCCAUCCAUCUUAAUAUUUGAGAUCAUCCUAUCGAAACUGUAUGAAAUAUAAUUAAAUAGUAAUGAUCACAUCUCUUUGACGUGACGAUUUAAGUUUGUAGAUUAGGACUUAAAUUUGUAAUAAUGAACAUUCAUUGCAGUAAAUGUAAGAGAACUUCACUUCACACCGAAAUAUAAAUAUGGCAUGGAUAAACAAACAAGCAUCAUUUCUAUCAAUUUCUGUUUCAAGUGUCCAUAAUGUUUGGCUGACAACACUGUAAGUGCAAUACAAAUGGGAAAAAUACAACAAAGAGAAUUUUGGUUAAAUAAACUAUUAUUUUUUUAAUUAAAAUCCACUAAGAUGGUGGCGGGUUAGGCCGGACCUUUACCUGUAGAAUAAAUCAAGCAAUGAAUAUAAGGUGGGGGACGUAAACCAAAACCUUCCAAGAGAAGCAAAUGUUUUAGCGAUCAAUAUAGAAAUAUUUCAAGUCAAGGUGAUUAAUGUUGAAUAUUGGAAUCUCGAGAGUGUUCAAAUGGUUAAAUAAACCAUUUACUCAAACUAAAUUUAAUUAAAUUUCAAAUUAAUAAUCAAUAUUGUCUUGUAUUGAUUUUUCUUUUUUCAAAUUCCAUCUGUAAAAUAGUAUCACACCAAAGAAUAUUUCAUCAAUAAUCAAUUACUUAUUCUUGCAAAUUAUAUAUCAACACACUUUGGUGGUUGUCGAAGCCAGCAAAAAUAAAUACCUACUCUAAAUAAAUUGUGUCUAGUGAUUGAGCCGGGUCGUGUCCACAGAGAUCGGUAAUUAUUUAAAUCCUUUUAAAAUGUAAAACGUUAAAUGGGGGAAUUGUUGACAAUAAUAAAAAUCAAAUUAAAAUAACAAGAAUGCAAAUUAAAGUUAUAAUUUAAAUUGGAGAAAGCUCUGGUUGAAGGAAUUAACUCAGUUUGAUUCGACUACUGAUCAUUGAUUCAAAUAUAAAUUAUUAUUGCUUAGGAAUAGACCGGUUAUAGCUACUGAGACCCUCUAAUAGCCAAUCUCUCCUUAACUAGUCGAUAACCAAGGUACGACCGUUGGUUAUUUCCCUAAUCAAUAGACAACCCUAGAUACGAUCAUAGGAUUUAAUCAAUUGACAGCCUGAAAAACCAGAGAGACCCAAAUCCUAAUCAACAAACACAUACGAUGGUUCAUUUAAAUUAGAUUGUUUAUUCUCACAACACAACUCACUGCUAUGUUAUUUGUCACAAACAUUAAAAUCUUCAUACGAUGAAUCCUUUAAUUGACAAUAGAUUAAGUUAAUAAUUAAAUAGUGGCCAAUUAUCUAAUUAACAAACAUAAUCAUGAUAAUAAUUCAGAGAAUAAACAAAUACCCAAAAAGUAAUAAAACAAUUAAAGCAUAAGAAAGAUCUCACAAUCGUGAUGAAUCAAAACUUCAUUAACCUUCAACCAGAAUAAUAGGUUUAGUUCUUCAUAGAGAGAAAAGAAAAGUUUAGAUAGGGUUUCUUUCUUUUCUAAAAAAUCUCCUUUUUUUCACAAUAGAUUCCUCCCUUAAAUGCUCUCUCUCUCUCUUCUCCUUUAGACUUCUAUUUAAAAUAAAAUACUAAUACCUGAAAUAUUAAAUUCGUAAUUACAAAAAGAACCAAAAAUACAAAACAUGUUAAACUAAAAAUUGUAGGUUCGUAGUUGACAGCACGCGCCCAUGCCUUAUCAACAAAGUUCUUCUUACGCUCAUAAUUUCUCCAAGAGAACAAUCAUCCUUAAACAUCAUCUUGUAGCUCAAUUUUAUCAGCAAUCAAUAGAAUUAAACCUACAAAAGUAAAACACAAGUAAAUCACUAUUAUUAAGUGCAAAACAUCGAUAUUAAGGGAAGUAAACAAUGCAAAACUAGUGCAUAAAUUGCACUCUAACAAAUUCCCCCACACCAAGAUUAUGCUUGUCCUCAAGCAUAUAACUCAAGACUAAUCCCAAAUCUCCACUCAAUUCUCAUCUCAACUCAUCCAAAAAUAAUUUUAAGCAAGCAUACCUCAAGAAUUUAAGUCGAUCAACAUUCGAGAGACAAUGAUUUUAAAGCAUAGAAUCUCAUAAGCUAGAAUAAAAGCAUUCAACCACCAAGAAGAUCCAUUCAAAAUUCAAGUGCAACAAGAUUUAAUAGCCCUCUCAUUGACUUCACUCCAUGCACUCAAAGUGUUUAGGGUGUCAUUUAUGCACUCAAAUCAAAUCAAAGAAUGCUAUUACCAUAAGCUUGCUUAUAUAUCACAUCUCAAUCCACAAAACAUGAAUUAAAUGCAAAAAUCUAAGGGUCUUAAAAAGGUUGUAAUGGGGUUAAAUGGGUUAAAUGAAAAAGAAAGGUUUAUGAAAGAAAAAGAGAUCAAAAUGAGAAGAAUGAACUCAUUGAAUGAACCUUAUGAUAUCGAAACACUUAUUUCUACUCAAGUCACCAAGAAUGUAAACAUUUUUUUUCUUUUUUUUUUGAAUCAAACAAAAGAAACGAACCUUGCACAAUUUAAUUCAAGCAUAAUGCUUGUUGAUCUAAUUGAGAAACUUUAAUACAAGGUAGAAAAAGCAACAAAAUAUAUACAAAAUAUAUCCACACAAUGAGUCCAAAAAUCUCCUUAAAUUGAGGCUCAAAAAGAAGAAAAAUGGUUAAAUAGACGGAGAGAAUUAGAUGGGUAAUGGUUAAGGCACAAACAAAGAUAGCAAAUAAAGGUCUUCGGGUAGAGGGAAAAAAAAAAGAAAAUGCGAGAAUAGAAAAAUGAAAAAUGGUUUGCACUUAUCAUUUUAAUGCAUAAAAUCCCGUAAUGCGGCUUCAACAUGCAUAACAAAGUAAGUUCUAGAAUAAACAAACUAAGAUUGAUAUUCACAUAACAAAAAUAUUAGAGCAAAGUGGUUGCUCAUAGGCUCAAAUCCUCACAAAGUUGGUAAAUUUGCCAUCAAAUCAUGUACACUCUUCAAAUGAAUCAACCAUCAAUAGUGGUUUGGAAUGAGAAGAAGGUAGGAGUGAUGUAUAAAAGGAAAGGUAAAAAUGAUAAGAAGUGAGAAAGAUGUAUGUAGUAAUAUGAAAAGUGAAAGAUAAAAUGUGAGUGAUUAAAGAGUAUGAUAGAAUAAAAAUAGAUGUAAAUAAUUUGAGAUAGAUGGGAAAAGAGUAGUGGGAAAGAAAAGAAAAGAAAAAUAAUAAUAUAUGAAGCAUACUAACUCCAAAAUCAUUUAAGGAUGAGUAGAGUGAAAAUAGAUGAGUAGAAUGAAAAUAGAUUAGUAGAGUGAAAAUAAUACUUCUAGACAUCAAUAAUGCAAAAAUCCCUCCCCCACACUAAGAACUUACAUUGUCCCCAAUGUAAGAUAAUUAGAGCUCACAUAAAAAUUAAAGCGUAAGGAUAAAAGAUUAAAGGCAAAAACUUCCCAGAAUUGUGAGCUUUGAUCCUCAUAACGUCUAUGGGCUUGGCGGAAAUGGUGGGAUAAAUCCCACACUCUCGAAGUAUGCGGCCAAAUUUUGCUCCAUCUUGUUCAACUUGUGCUCCAUUUUCUCUAACUGAAUGCUCAAAGGUGGUGCGGAUGUAGAAGGAAUAGUCGGCGGGGCAGCAAUGUCGUCAUCAAACUCAUCAUCAGAGGUAGCAUCACUCCUAGCAUAGAGCUUCUUUGGAGGUUGAGUGGGUCCUGGUUCAGUAAACUGAAAUCUCCCCUCCUUGAAUUCGACCACACCUGUUCUUUCAAACACAGACAUGUCCAAAAAUUCCUUUUUGCGAGCAAGAUAUAAAUCAUUAUUGUCAGGAUCAAGCACACAUAGGUUUAUAGCUAACAGAGUAAUGUAUGGAUCAAGAAAUAAAGUCCUAUACCGUUUAAGCACACUUUGAAAUGGAUUUGCUAACCAAAAACCUAAAUUAGGCCUCAUAUCAUUUAACAUGCACCAGAUAAAAUAAAAUUCAGUUUUAGAGAAAACUCCUGAGUGAUAUUUCUUUCUUAAAAAAUUAUAUGCUAAGAAUCAAUGCACGCAUUUCAAAAUAGGAUCACGUAAGAAAGAACUCUUGGAUUUACUCGGGUUAUAGGCAUUGUGAUCAACAGGUAAAUUACGCCAAAGUCCAUAAGGCUCAAAAUUUUCACUAAAGUCACAAGUUGUUCCUAAAUAUGCAUCACUAGAAGACUAAUCACCAUCAAUGAAUCCUAAAGCUAGGUUAAAAUCCGUGAUAGAGUGAAAAAUUUCGUCCCAUUAACCUAAACUUUAUAACGUCCGGGGUAUGCAAAGUAAAAUCAUUCGGUAUAUUAAAUUGAAAAGUAGCAUAGAACUCCCUAAUCAACUCAACAUAACCCAAACAAUCUACAUCAACAAACUUACACAAGCCAAUCUUAUAUAUCAAAUAAUCAAAAUUAUCCUUAACAUUUAAUUUUUCAAGAGUCGGGUAAUGAAUAUACUUAGCUGGAAGUAUUUUUCGCUUGGAAAUAUCUUUGUACCUCUCUUUCUCUUGUUGAGUCAUGAAUGCGAGGCACCCUCCGAGAUUGGAUUCCGCAAGUGGCAAAAUACUCAUGCCUUUUCCAUGUUUCGAUCUUUGUCUCACGGCUUGGCGUGAAUCUGAAACUGUGUUCCAUGGAACCGUAGUGGGAGCGGCAAGCUUGGAUUGCUUUGUGAUGGGUGUCUUUUUAGAUGACUUGGAAGUUGAUGCUUUCCUCUUUGGCAUUGUUACAAUAAUUUCACUCACGAAUUUCGAUUCACGCGGUUGGAUACUGUUGUGGGAAUCCUGAUGGCCUAACUCCAUAGCUAAAGUUGGGAUGAUCCUUUCAUCCCGGAUUGUAUGUUUGUGCAUAAGGAUCAUACCUCCUCUGAGGCAUGCCUGGAAAUCCUCCAACUGCAUUGGCUUGUUCAACGGGUUCUUCUUGAAGUGUAGGACACAUAUCAGUAGAAUGACCCAUAUUGUAACAAAUGCCACAAGCCUUCACCUGUUGCACAUUACCUACAACAAACUUUUUCACAAGAGAAGUAAGUUUAUCUAAACGUUGUUCAACGGAAGAAAUAUUUACCUCAUUUACCUUCCUUGAAGUAGGAUCUUGCAUGUUGCUAAAUUGUUGUGCAUUGGCAGCCAUAUUUGAGAUCAACUCCCUUGCUUGAGUAAGGGUCUUGUUCACCAACACACCUCCACUAGCAGCAUCUAUCAUACUCCUAUCCAUUAAUGACAGUCCUUUGUAAAAAUAUUGAAUAAGAAGUUGAUCAGAAAUCUGAUGCUGAGGACAGCUGGCACACAAUUCUUUAAAUCGCUCCCAAUACUCCUACAAAGUCUCCCCAGAAAGUUGUCUGAUCCCACAAAUGUCGUUUCUGAUGUUGGCAGCUCUUGAAGCAAGAAAGUACUUCUCAAGGAACUACUUCUUCAAACCAUUCCACGUUGUAAUCGAUCCAAGAGGCAAGUAUUACAACCAGUCUUUAGCUAGCCCAUCUUCAGAGAACGGAAAAGCACGCAGCUUAAUCUGCUCUUCAGUCACGUCUUGUGAUCUCAUACUUGAACAUACAACAUGAAACUCCUUGAGAUGUUUAUGAGGAUCUUCACCUGCAAAACCAUGAAACUUGGGUAAUAAAUGAAUAAGACCAGACUUUAAUUCAAAAUUUACCUCCAAGUCUACAUAUUGAAUGCAGAGUGGUUGCUGAUUCAAGUCUGGUUCAACUAACUCUCUAAGAGUUCUUUCUACAGGUGCAGCUCUAUCCAUCACUUGUUCUUCUGAAUCACUAGAUGAUUCAACUAAAUCAGGCACCGUAUCUGUUUCAGAAAGCAAAGGCGACGAGGAUCGUUGCUUAGCUCGCUUCGUCCGCUGUCUCAAUUGGCGAGCUGUCUUCUCAAUUUCAGGAUCAAACGAAAGUGUACCUGUACGAGAAGAAUGAACCAUACACCAAGUAAAACGUAAAAAGGAUUAAAUAAACGACACCAAUCCCCGACAACAGCGCCAAAAUUUGGUGGUUGUCGAAGCUAGCAAAAAUAAAUACCUACUCUAAAUAAAUUAUGUAUAGUGAUUGAGCAGGGUCGUGUCCACAGAGAUCGGUAAUUAUUUAAAUCCUUUUAAAAUGUAAAACGUUAAAUGGGGGAAUUGUUGACAAUAAUAAAAAUCAAAUUAAAAUAACAAGAAUGCAAAUUAAAGUUAUAAUUCAAAUUGGAGAAAGCUCUAGUUGAAGGAAUUAACUCAGCUUGAUUCGACUACUGAUCAUUGAUUCAAAUAUAAAUUAUUAUUACUUAUGAAUAGACCGGUUAUAGCUACUGAGACCCUCUAAUAGCCAAUCUCUCCUUAACUAGUCGAUAACCAAGGUACGACCGUUGGUUAUUUCCCUAAUCAAUAGACAACCCUAGAUACAAUCAUAUGAUUUAAUCAAUUGACAACCUGAAAAACCAGAGAGACCCAAAUCCUAAUCAACAAACACAUACGAUGGUUCAUUUAAAUUAGAUUGUUUAUUCUCACAACACAACUCGCUGCUAUGUUAUUUGUCACAAACAUUAAAAUCUUCAUACGAUGAAUCAUUUAAUUGACAAUAGAUUAAGUUGAUAAUUAAAUAGUGGCCAAUUAUCUAAUUAACAAACAUAAUCAUGAUAAUAAUUCAGAGAAUAAACAAAUACCCAAAAAGUAAUAAAACAAUUAAAGCAUAAGAAAGAUCUCACAGUAGUGAUGAAUCAAAACUUCAUUAACCUUCAACCAGAAUAAUAGGUUUAGUUCUUCAUAGAGAGAAGAGAAAAGUUUAGAUCUAGGGUUUCUUUCUUUUCUAAAAAAUCUCAUUUUUUUCAUAAUAGAUUCCUCCCUUAAAUACUCUCUUUCUCUUCUCCUUUAGACUUCUAUUUAAAAUAAAAUACUAAUAUCUGAAAUAUUAAAUUCGUAAUUACAAAAAUAACCAAAAAUACAAAACAUGUUAAACUAAAAACUGCAGGUCCGUAGUUGACAGCAUGCGCCCACACCUUAUCAACAAAGUUCUUCUGACGCUCAUAAUUUCUCCAAGAGAACAAUCAUCCUUAAAUAUCAUUUUGUAGCUCAAUUUUAUCAGCAAUCAAUAGAAUUGCUCCUACAAAAGUAAAACAAAAGUAAAUCACUAUUAUUAAGUGUAAAAUAUCGAUAUUAAGGGAAAUAAACAAUGGAAAACUAGUGCAUAAAUUGCACUCUAACACACUUGUAUUAUCAUUCUUAUCUAACAAUGAAUAUAAAUAAGGGGGCGGUUUGUAUUUUUUUUUUAGUGUUUGAGUUACCGUAACUCUAUAUUAUAUGUAAGACAUGAAAAGCCAUUAAUAAAGAUUGGAGAGCAUGCAUUUUGAUGCUUUUGUUACUCGUCAAAACCGGUGCGGAUUCCUCCAUAUAAUUAAAUUCAAUUACAGGCUCCAAAUGACUGUCACAAUUACCAUAAUUCUUUUAAAUGUAUUAAGCUUUUUUUGGCUCAAUUCACUGUUAAAAAAUCUAAUGAAAAACAAAAUUUAAUGGAGUCCGCAGGAUUGGAAGGGGUGGUAAACGAAUUCGAUUCGAUAUUGUAUUUUACACAUAGAAUAGAUCUUACAAAGUGCAUAUUUCAAAACUAUGUUCUCUAAGUUUUCAAUAUAAUUAUAUGGAAUUUAUGAUCGUCGUGAUAUAAAGGUUCAAUUUUAAAGAAAAAGUGAAAUAUUUCGAAAAUUCAUAACUUUUUCGUUUCAGCAUUUACUGCUCUAAAAUAUUUUAGGAAAAUGUAAUAGGAUUGCUACUACAUUAAUAAAUUGAUGACCUCUUUACAAAUAAGAUCAUAAUAUAACAUUAAAUAAAACCUUCUUUUUACUAUUAUAAAAUAAGAAGAAAAAUUUAUAUAAAGAUUUUCAUGCUUUUUUUCCCUAAAAGGAAUAGUAAUAUUUGACCUCUCAGUUUAUAUCUUGAGCCCCACUUCACACAAUUAUCAUUUAUUUAUAAAAUGACCAUUACUUAGCAUUUUUUUUUUUUAUCAUUUUUUUAUGAGCUCUUGUUAAAUUUGAAAUUGGAUAAGUGAUUUUCUUUUAGCUAAUGUCAAUUUGAACUCAUUUAAUUAAGUCUGCUAACGAAAAUCACCAUUAUCUACUUAACUUGCUUGGAAAUAAAAACUGGGAAUUCAAAAUACCGGAGCUGCAGUAGCAAUAACAAUCAAUUUCUGAUCUUCGACUGUAGCAGCAGGGCAGCAGCAGCAGCACCACCACUAGUGGCAGCAGCAAAAGUAGCUAUUGCUACCGUCGCACCACCAAAUCCGACAUUCAGAAUCAAAUAGCUUGGAGAACAAACUCAGAUAGGAAGAGUCAAUGUCCAAAUUUGCAAAUUGCAACCUUGAUCACAGUUGCAAGUUUCUCAAGAGUGAUGAUGAUUCCAUCAUCGAGGAGAAUAGAGAAGCCACUCUAUGUUAUAGCUCUGUUAUGGCAAAUAUUGAUGUUAAGGGUGAUUAGGAAAUAAAUAUUGUUAGCGUAGAAGUAGGGAUAAAUGACAUAAAUUUAGUGGGUCAAAUAUUAGGGAUAAAUGACAUAAAUUAAGUGGGUCAAAUAUGACUACUCAAGUCAUGUGGAGAAUAUGUUAUUUUUUAAAGUUUUUCCAAAUAUUUUCUUCGCACAAAUGUUUGUGUGCGCAUGUACAUAUAUAUAUAUAUAUGCUACUGGAAGUCAAAUAGCAUCAAUAAAGCUAGCAUCAAUGUGCCUGUUCUGAUGUUUCUUUAAACUUCAAGCCAUCUUUGGUCACAUAUAUUCUCUUCCAAUCCAAGACAGCGUCAAUUUGAUUUCGUCACUCAAUUUCUGGAAAUAAUCCUGGACCAAACAGAGAUAAACUAACUUGAAAUGCUACUCGAAAGAACAAUUGAGUUGGAAGAAAGUACAAGUACACAACUUACCACCAUCGACAUGAAUUUUUAUCUGAAAAUUACACAUCUUAUCACAAGGACCAAAAGCGAACAUGAUAUGCCUCAUGUGCCAGCCUAUUUUAAGUCCAUUUCAAAAGCAAAUUGAUUGAUCAUCUGAAAGAAAACACAGAUUAGGAAAAUUUAAUGUCAAAUUUAUAUGUAAAGAAAAGAUUGAAACAUAGAGUAAGCUAACAAAUUUCUUUGAUUACCACUCACCAGCAGAAGUUCAGAAAGGCUAUAGAUAAUUGAAUCUCUUGUUCUUAAUUCAUUACAACACAUCCUCUGUUUCCUCCUCCGGCCACCAUCAUGACAUUCACAGUUGAUGAAAUGGAUGAUUGAUCUGAGUAUUCUCUAAAUCCUGCUUGAUGGUGUGAUUUGCCUUGUCAUUUCAGCUGAUCGAAUUAGUGCAAACCGGCUCUUGUUGCAGUAGCGGAAGCAAAGUUCUCAUUGGAUUUUGAAUUGAUACAACAUCCAGUAAGCCUGCUGGGUCAGUCUAAUCAGUUUAAAGCUUUACAUCAACAAACCAAUACGCUGCACGAAAAUUGCCAUCUUUACAGUAAGUUAAUGUUUUGCAUCAACAUCAAUUGCGCGUACUCACAGGAUUUGUGUGGUGAAGAAUGAAGGCUUGGGAGCAAUUGCAUCUCCCUGUUUGUCUAGUUUUGGUAACUCUUAGAUGCUUCUUCUGGCUAACGUUGGUGUUCUUAAUUCAUAAAUAAAAACAAAGGAAAGCAAGGCAAGCAAGAAAAAAAUAAAAGGGAAAUCAUGUACAAAUUAUAAGAGUUGGAUACUGCAAUUCACAGCCAAUAAACUUCUUAAAAAGGGCUUUACAUUUAUGCAUUGACUAUAUGUUAGCAGUAGCAGGGUGGCAGGUGAGGAUUAUGAAAUUUUUACCUCAUCAAGUGUAUUGUUCUCUACGUUUCUGUGAAAAAAUCUUGCCAUUCAAUUCCUGCAGGAUCGGGCUCUUUUCGAUCGGCCUUUAUCUUUUCUCUUGCACUAGCUGUUGGAAGGCAACAUCAAGCAUCAAGCAUCAAUAUCAAUCACUUUGUAUCAUUUGAGGCAUUGGUUUUGCCAGAUUUAUCUGCAGCCAGAAGCACAAUGAUUGAGUUUCUCCAGCUCGAAUAGAAAACUAAUAGUUUUGGCUUUGCAGAUCCCUACACUAAGGCAUAGGCUAGGUACUGCCAUUCUUUUUCUGCCUAAUUAAAAACAAUUCCUUUUGGCUCAAUCUAUUUCAAAGCUACAAUUAAAAUUUGACUAAGUUUUGAAAUUUCUGUUUGACAUUACCCUUCACCCAUAAGAGUGAAAAAAUUAAUGAGUUGAAAGUAAAAUUAAUAAGUAAUAAAAAACUGGAAUUAGAACCAACUAUUCCUCUAUGGUACUUAAAGUACCACUGGUUGUGUGUCAUCAAAGUGAUAGCGUCAGCUAUUCUAGUAAUGAAACAAAUAGCUAUCCUCAUACUUGCAUGUUUGCGUUUUAGAUUCAACGAAAAGCAGAAAUUGAAUAGCUUAUUCAAUUAAUCAACUGACCUUUCUUCCACAGAAUCCGAACCGUAUGUCUCGACGCGACGGAUGUUGGCAAUCUUGGACCACUCUUUUCCUUUAUCCCUUUUGCAUUCAGUUUUCAGCUUUGGACAUUUGGAGAUGAUUAAUUGCAAAAGUGAAGAUGGAAGGCCCACCUCCGGAAAGGAUGUGAGAUUUGGGCAAUCCUCGAUCAUCAAAUAUUCAAGAGAGGUGAGGUUUUCAAUUUCGGCAAUCUCUCAAGCGACAGAUGAGUUAAGAGUGGUGGGCAGUAUCAUUACCUUCUCGUCUGGAGAACACUCUGCUUCAUGACAUCCGCUAAUCGAGAGGCUUUGAAGAGAGGUAUACCUGUGCAAGGCCCACUGGGUGAGUGCCUUUACAGUAAUUGCAGGCAUAACACAUCAAUUGCAAGUACUCCCAGGAUUUGUGUGGUGAAAAAUGAAGGCUUCGGAGCAAGUGUACCUCCAAAUGAUCCUCAAACGCCUAUCGCAUUGCAUGGCUUCGAUACUGUCAGAGCUCCCCUUAUUCUUCUCUCUGUUCUCACCACCAGAUUCCAUCAAAUUUGGUUUUCCUCUUAAAUGUUGCUUCAAAUUUGUUGCCAUCUUUGUAUUCUUGGGCCUCCAUUUACCUCUGCAUUACUAAGGAAAAAAAAAAGUUAAAUGUGAAAACGCUAAAUCUCAGAAUAAAAAAUGUUAAAUUAUUCAAGUACUCAGAAUAAACUGUAUAAAAAAGUUUGAUGAAAUGAAUCAUUUAAAUAUCCAAUUGUUACCUCAAUUAACUAUCGGGAAGCAUCCAACGAAAUUCAUGCAAGUGGAAUAAAAUUAAUAAAUCAUUUUUAUCCAGUGGGUUUCUACUCUUCAAUUCUCAUUUGAAACUUCAUCUUGCAUCUACCAAAGUCACUGACAAAACCAAUGUGAUACAAAAUGUACAUACGUCUUUGAUCGUAACAACAUUUUUUUUCAAAAAAAAAAAGCAUAUAUAUUAAAAACUAGCAAGGAUUAAAAUUUGGCUGAUUUACAAAUUUAUUAAUUUAUUCUUAUUAUUAUUUUUUUAAUUAUUAUCACUCACCAAAAGAGUAUAAAAAUCAAUUUAGUUAAUAAUGAAUCAUAAAAGUUCUGGAAUUAUAACCGACUGUAUUAAAUCAAUACAAGAAGUACUAAACUACUAAUUACCAACAAAGCAUAUGAAUAUAUAAGAGGAGAUUAAGCUCACAAAAUAGAAUCAUCUGUCUAAAAACGAAAAAAGGCAGAAGCAUAAGAAAUCAUAGAAUGCAUAGUAGUGUAUAUCCAUAACAACAGCAUAUAUGUAUAUAUUAAUUUGAUUAAGCUAAAAGAGUUAUUUGAUUACCAAAACUUUUUCUACUUACUUUGAUUACCAAACUCAUUUCUACUCCAAGGCAAUUCCCAUUUUUAAACAGUCAACUAGCAGGGUUCUGAAAAUUGAAUUUAACUUAGGGCAGAGGAUUAAGUGGAUAAUAUAAAUCAACUGACCUUGUUUGUUAUAGAGGACGAUCAGAGAUGGAAUGAUGUAAUAAUUAAUAUGAUCUACUCCUCUGAAUCUGGAUCAUAUAUGAAUUUCCUGUCUAUUAAAACCAUGGGGAUGUUGGCAAUCUUAGACCAUUCUUUUCCUUUACCCCUUUUGCACUCUUUUUUGAGCUUUGGACAACCAGCAAUUAAUAACCCCAAAAGUGAUGAUGGAAGGCCCACCUCUGGAAAUGAUGUCAGAUUUGGGCAAUUGUAGAUUUCCAAAUGUUCAAGAGAGGUGAGGCUUUGAAAAGCCAUUGAAGAUAGAUAUCUCAGUUCCGACAAUCCCGAAAACUCCAAAUGAGUUAGAGAGGAGGGCAACAUCAUUCCCAUCUCCUCGUCUGGAAAACACUUUGCUUCAUGACAUCCUUCAAUAAUCCAGAGGCGUCUAAGAGAGGUAAGCCUGUGCAACCCCCACUGGAUGAGUGCCUUAUACAACACUUUCACAUCUCCACCAAUAAAAAGCGAUGUUAGAUUGGUGGGAAAACCACCUUCUGGAAACGACACAAUACUUGGACAGUCCCAUAUGGACAGAUGUCGAAGAGAGUUGAGUUUGUGCAUGUCAUUGGGCAGGGCUUCAAGCUUCUCACAUCUGCAAAUUCCGACGAUUAAAAUGCUUUCGGGAAGCCCUCUUUCUCCCAGGGAAACAAGACUUGGACAAUCAGAUAUCUCAAUCCUCUGUAAACAGUCGAGAUUGUAUAGGCUAUCGGGUAUUGACCCUAGCUUUGGACAAUUAUCUAUGUCUAAGUACUCAAGCGCCUCAAGUAGCUGGAUUCCUGAUGACAAACUGGUUAGCUCGGGGCAACGAAUUAUCUUCAGGCAUUUCAGCAUCCCAGAUGAAGAAGAUGAAGAAGGAUCAUCCUCUUCACCAUCGACCAAAUGCUGCAAGUUCUCACAAUCCAAUAUCUCAAGGCUUUUAAGAGAUGAAGACAGCUUGCUCCUUGCAAUGAACGUCAGAGAAUCACAAUUGCUGAUGUACAAGCUUUCCAGGUGUGAAUUGUUGCCUACGAUUUCCUGAGGCAAGGAUUUUAUAGUUCUGGCCUUUCCAAUUCUAAGAGACUGCAGAUUCUUGAGAAAAAAGUUGAUCUCUGGAAAUGAAACAAAACUUAUGACACUUUCUUCAAUUGAUACCUCUUCAGACAACGUGAUAACAUGUAGCCCUUGUUCUGGUAAUGGCUUCUUGGUUUCAAGCCAUGACUCGAUCUGGUCAGAAUCGCUGAUCCACAAAGUCUCUACUUGCUGAAAUCCUUGCUUUAAAAAUUUUCCAAACUCCAAAAGAUUUGAAAUAGUCACAGAGUUAGCAGCUGGACAAUCAUUAUACAUCAUCCCUUUGCAUCCAUAUAUUUCGAAUGAACUAUUUGAAAUAGUCAUACAAUCAACGGACUUAUCAUCGACUGGAGACAUGCUGCACUCAAGUCCUUUGCAUCCAUCAAUUUGUAAUUUGCAGAGCUUCGGAAAACUUGAGAAUGAAACCACCAACUCUCCACAUUUACUAACAACAAGUUUCUCCAGUGAAGGCAGACACUCCGGCAAUUUUCCAGAGAAUUUGGGACAUUCUACAAUGGAAAGUUCGCAGAGGCUAGAGAAUCCUGCAACAACACCAUUUUUAUCGAAUUUGGUAUCCCAAUGCUCCCAUUCCGGCAAAUCCUCAAAGCAAAGAGUCACCAGUGAUUGAAAAGGAUUUGAGCAACUCUCUCCGUAAAACUCAACACCAAUGCUUUUCAAUUUCUUCAACCCAUUAACAACAAGGUGUUUAAGUGAACUCAACAACCCGAGGGUCGGCAAGGAUGUGCAAUUUUCACAAUUUUUUAAGGUAAGGACCUCCAUCGUGGAGAAUGAUGGAUUGGCUACCCAGGAUGGAAAUCUUACACCACCAUAAUGCCUGAUUGCCAACUCUUUUAAAUCUUUUUGAGUUUGCAACAUGUCAAGUACAUUUUCUUCUAGUGCUUCAUCUCUUGAGUUGUCAAAUUGAGACCCCCAUUCUAAAGACAAUGCUUUUAGAUUCUGCUUCUCGCAUAACAUCGCUUCUCUUGCAUCCUGUGAAUCAUGCACAUUUUCUAAUCCUGAGAUACAAAGUUCUCCACGAAGGAACUUUAAGUUCUUCAAAUCUUUCAAACCAGACGCAGCACCACCCUUGCCCACAAUAAAAUUAGACAAUUUCCUGAGAUUCUUCAAUUCUUUCAUUCCCCAGGGCAUCUCUUGGAGUAAGUUUGCACCUUCUAUGUCAAGAUGACUUAAAUUGAUCAAUUUUCUCAUUUUGGCUGGCAACUUUAUCAGACGAGAACAGUCUUUUAAUAUCAAAAUUUCUAAAUUCAACAGUGAACUUGUUGACUUGGGUAAGCUUUUUAUACUAGUGCCAGCAAGGUUGAGGCACCUUAAAAGUCUCAAAUCUGCGAAUGAAUGAGGUAACUCAAUGACACAGUAUUGUUCUAACGAUAGCACCCUCAAAUUUUUGAACUUUGGCAACAAAUCAUACAGAACUGCAGCAGGCAUGUAAUAAGGGCCUACAUAAAAUCUUCUGUUUAAAGGUAAAAAUGUUCUUAAAUGUUGCACUUCAUAUAGGAGGUCAAACUUAUUUUUACCAUCACACCAACCCUGGGAGUAUGAAUAAUGGCGAACUCGUUCGAAUCUUCUUGAUGGCUUAUUGGCCUCCUCUAACUUGAAAAUGAUUUCUCCCGAAACAAGUUGAGCAAGAUCAUGGACAAGGUCAUGCAGCACAAAUUUAGAAUUGUCACUACUUGAUGGUUGAAAAAUCGACCUUGACACUAGAUCAUGAAAACAUUCACUGACCCAGUCUUCCAACUCCUUACCCUUACUUGAUUGUUGAAUAAUACCUUCAGCCAUCCACAAGAAAACCAGUUCCCCCUCCGUGAAUUCAUAAUCUUUGGGAAAAAUUGCACAAUAAGCGAAGCAUCGCUUCAAGUAAGAAGGAAGAUAAUGAUAACUCAGUCUUAACACAGGGUGAACGUCGCUUUGUUGAGGUAAGUUAGCCAAUAUAUUUCUGUUCAAUAAUUCAUCCCAUGCAUCUUGUCUCCUGGAACGUAAAAGGCCACCAAGAAUCGCUGCUGCUAGAGGCAACCCUCCGCAUUUUUCAACAACUUUGUUACGAAAUAAUUCCGAAAUUUGAUGUGCAUUAAUAUCCCUAUCAUCAAAUGCGUGCAUUAUGAAUACUGACCAGCAAUCUUCAUUUGAUAGGGCCUUUAGAUUAUAGUGUUGAAUGGGUCCCAUUGUUGAUGCAACAUGUGAAUUGCGUGUGGUGACUAUUAUCUUACUAUUGGGCGCACCGGCGAUGAAAGGAGCUUUCAAGGUUGCCCACGAGUCGUAAUUCUCGUUCCAAACAUCAUCCAGGACUAGCAAGAAUUUUUUCCCAUUCACUGCCUUUUUCAAUUCAAUCUGCACGUCAUUUAAAGCCUUGAGUUCACAAGGCCUGCAGGUGAUUGACUCCAGAAGUGCCCUUGAAAUGCCCAGCACAUCAAAGUUGUCGGAGAGACAGACCCAAGCUUUUAUGUCGAACUUAAAAACUUCAACGGCCCUGUCAUUGUAAACCUCCCGAGCAAGGGUUGUUUUCCCAACCCCAGCCAUGCCGACAAUGGGGAUUACACGAAAGUUGGCAACACUUGGCUCAUCGCUCAACACCAUUGCAAGUAUUUUAGCUUUAUCAUCAUCUCUUCCAUACACAGCACGUUCUGUCUGCACACUUGAACUGUGUGGUCUUCUCUGUGCAGCAGUAGCUGAUGAAGUCCCUCCAGCUCCAGGAGUCAAUUGCAAUCCAAGUUCAAUUCUUUGUUUACACAGAUCUUCCAUGCGGCUUGUGAUAUCUUUAAUCUUGGUCCGCAUGCUGGAGUUGAACUUAAUAGUGCUAAUUGGCAUGAAACAACUGAAACAAGCUGCAGGGACCAUUUUCCGAACUUUACUAUCAGUGCUAGAACCAGGCUGAUCGGGAUCUUCCACCAUCAACUUCCGCUCCAAAGCUUGAGUAGCAAACUCAUCAAGAAUGUCCUCGGCAUCAUAAGCCAAGUCUUGGAGAUCGUCCAGCCACAUCUUCACAGACUCAUCCGUCAGCUGCUUUUCCUCUGCGUCGCUCAGCACGGCCUGAAUCAUCUUCAACUUUCUUUCCCAGUUCUUGAGCUCUGAAGAUACUCCGCCUUGAAUUUGACGGACAAAGUUGAACAAAUCACGAGAAGCCAAUCUGUCAAACAGCACAUCAAGGAAAGCAGAAAAUAAGAGCUCUGCCAUGGUUUUGUUUGUUUGUUCGUUCGUUUGCCGGAGAGAAAGGGAUCGAACGGGAUUUAGUGAGAAACAGACGAGAAACAGGGUUUAUUAAACUGACAUGACAAAAUGGAAACAAGUCUUCAAGAAAAGUAGAUAGAUUGAUUAGGUUGAAAAUAGCGAACGUGGAUUCCUCCAGUUGCUGGCCUCCAAUAAUUCAUAAUGAAGCAACACUUGUAAAGUUCUGGUUUCUUUUCAAGCCGUGUGGACCCCACCAAACAAUUUCAAUGAUAGUGCUCCAAAGGAUUAAACAUCUCUGCAUGAGCUUCUAUUAAUAAAUGUAAAUUUAGAAAUUCAAGGGUUGCAUCUUUGAGAAUUAAUACAAGCCAUUUUACAAACGCACCUAACUCUCUUUGUAUUUGGUCUACUAUAAACAAUUUUAUUACAAAAUUAUUUGGCGAAAAACAUUUAUUUACCUUGUUUCUUUAAAUUAUUUAUUUUAAAAAUCAUAUUUUAUUAAAUGCCAUAAACUUUCAUUUUACGCUUAAAACUUAUAUUUCAUAGCCCAUCUGCACAAUAUUAAAUGGCAUUGGUAACUAAAGGCUAGGAAACAAAGUUAACAUGCGAACUAAGCUCUAAGCCUGUAAUAAAGUUAUUAUUAAACUGUACUAAAAAGUUAAUUAGUAGUUUCUUAAUUUCAAAAUAACGGAUUUUGAAUCCAAUGUCAUUAACCAAAACCCUUAACAUUCCCACAAUACAAUACAGCGGCUGUAAAUGUAACUCUUCAUAAAAGUAAAUUCCAAUGGCCCUACAGGCUACAGGUUUUGUCGUCUGCAUUUCCUUGCACUAUAUUCUAUACCCAUGUUCAAUAGUCUUCAAAUAUUCUACGUAGGUGUUAUUUAUUUCAUUUUAGAACGAUUGGAAUCAAUAUUCUACGUUUUUAAAUUAAGCUGCUUUGAGUUUUUAAAUUUAUUGUGACAUUUGUGCUUUGUGGUAAACGGCACUAACACUCAAAUUAGUCUAGCAAUAAAAAUUGUUGAUAUAGGCUGUUUUGAUAUAGGCNNNNNNNNNNNNNNNNNNNNNNNNNNNNNNNNNNNNNNNNNNNNNNNNNNNNNNNNNNNNNNNNNNNNNNNNNNNNNNNNNNNNUAUUAAUUCAACUCUUUAUAAUCUUCUGCAUUUGUACAUGUAUAGCAAUAUACAUUUAAGAUAUAAUUAAUUUUAUACUUUUAUUCAAUAAUUACUAAUUAAAUAUUUUUAAAAUAUUAACAAAAAAACUAAUUCAACACUGAAUCUAAAUCUGUUUUAUGAGUGAAUCAUGAGAAUAAAUCUCGUCCUUUUUAAAUGUCUGUGAAGGAAAUUUGAAAAAACAAGACAAUCUUUUCAUUGUUUUUUUUACUAUUGUUUACCCUCUACUUUCCUCUUCAUUAUUUUCUCUUCGAUUUCAUUAUUUAAUUAUUAUUUUAAAAGAGCUACCAAGAACAUUUUUAAAUCCUGAAACACAAAGUUUAGAAUACCUUUCACUUGACUAUUUUCUUUUCCCUAACAAAAUUUUUAUUAUUAAAUUUAAUUUUUAUCGUAACUUAUGCUGAAUUUGUAUACUUACAAUUGAUAUAAAAAAAAUGAGUGCUAUUGAUAUGGGAAUCAAGGAUACCCCGNNNNNNNNNNNNNNNNNNNNNNNNNNNNNNNNNNNNNNNNNNNNNNNNNNNNNNNNNNNNNNNNNNNNNNNNNNNNNNNNNNNNNNNNNNNNNNNNNNNNGAGGAAAUCGAAUCCCUCAAAGGAAAGGAUGGUGUUGUCAGGUGGGAAGUCUCGAACCAGAUGGGAAAUAAGGAGACCUCGAUCUAAAUUUUGAAAGAAUCAACACCCAUCAUGCCAAGAAGGAUGGAAUUUUGGGAUAACACCUAUCAUUAAGGAAGAAUCACAUAAGCAUUGCAAAAGUGGGUAAGGAAGUUGGCUAUAAAGGCCACUACACCCACAACACCCUCAAAAAUAGGGUAACAACACCCACUCUGAGAAGCAUGCUGUAUUUUCUUCUCCAUAAAGGUAUUUUUAAGGAAAAAUUGCCAAAGAAGGUAUGGACACUCUACUGAAUGGAAACUACCCAGAUUCAACUCCAAAGAAAACUAUAUUGACUUAAGCAUCUGCGUGGGCACGCCGGAAACCACCAUUUUUGGCACCAUUUCACCUUUUCUUUGUUUGUUGCACUUGGUUUGACCGCAGGUGGGAAAAAAUUAGGCGUCAACAAGUGCCUUGAAUAUGUAAAAUCAUAUAUGUAACAUGUUCGUCAUAUUCAUGUAACAACAUACAUGCAACCAUAUUUAAGUAACUUGAAAACUUAUUUCUUAUCAAUUUUUCAUCCCUUACUUACUUUCUCUCAUAAACUGCCAUACUAAAUAUUUUUGUUUUUUAAAAGUACCUAAAUAAUUAAUAGGAUUAAAAGAAUUUUUUUUAAAAUUGUUAUAUAAAUAAAAGUAUGAGUGACUUUAGCAUAGUUGUGUGCACACAUAACAAUAAUAAAACCCUCAAUAUCAAGUCAUCAACCCCCACAUGGCAUCAUUGAAAGAGAUUCUGAAUUGGUGGUUGGUGGCAGCCACGAUCCAGAUAACAGUAGCAGUCGGCGGCGUACAGGCAGAAGGAACAGUUAAUGCACUUUUAGGUUUUUAGCGUCUCAAUAUAAUGGCCUUCUACAAGGACUCCAAUGCACGCACGCAGAAGUUCAAGCCAGGUACCUCAAUGUCCGUCACGAUAAUGACUUUCAAAGACCAUAUGUUUGAGUUCACCUUUAAGUCUCCAUCGGUUACUUAGUACCUCAAACAGGCGAUGGGCGUUGCGUCGAGCAGCAGCCGGCCCGGGCAUGUGAUGGCGUUGAUGGCGACGUUGAAACAGGUUUAUGAGAUAUCCAAAGUGAAGCGGUCUGAUCCGCACUGUCAGCACAUGCCCUUGGAGAGCAUUUGUAAUUAGCCCAUUAUUGGGACUACUAACAGUAUAGGCAUUAAAGUUGUAACACCCUAAGCGAAUCCCACAUCGACAAAUCAUGGGAGAGGUGCUAAGUUUAUAAGGGGUGAUCUACAAUUUAAUUAGCAAGACACGUUUUGGGGUGUACACGCGCCCUAGAAACAAAAACGUGUGAACCUUAUUAAGUCACAAAGCAGACAAUAUCUUGUCAGGUCUGAGUUGGAUCAUGACAUAUGAUAUCAGAACAACUCUGCGUGUCCUCUUGAGCAAUGGUGGAACGAGCGAUAGUGGGGCAAACCUCAGUGAGGACGCUGAGUCUUUAAAGGGGGUGUAUGUAACAUCCUAGACAAAUCUCACAUCGACAAAGCACGUGAGAGAUGCUGAGUUUAUAAGAGGUGAUCUACACCUUAAUUGGCAAGACGCGUUUUGAGGUGUAUGAGCGCCCCAAGAACAAAAUCGUACGGGCCUUAUUAAGACCUAAAGCAGACAAUAUCUUGCCAGGUUUAGGUUCGGUCAUGACAGAUGGUAUCAGAGCCCUAGUUUAGGAUACUGUAGACUUUCUUUUAAGGUCUAAUCAGAUUGUCUAAUAGAAUUGAUUACAUUUGUUUUGUGACAUAAAGAGGAACAUUAUGGGUAUGAAAAGUUCUAGGAAUAAAAGAUGGACAAAAAUUGACAAGAUUGAAUAGUUUAUCUUAGGUGGAGUUCUUGUCAAAGAUCUUAGAAGGCUUUAUAAAUAACGAAUGAAUGAUAGACUAAGACGGACUAAAAUUGUUUACAGAGAUACUUCUCCAGGACCAAGAGCUUUAAAGAAAAAAAUUCAAUGAGGCUAUUCGAGGACAACGUGUUUAUGGCAAGGGAGCUAACAAAAAUAAGCUUGUAGUACGUUGCCUAUUUUGGACAAGACCUCGAUUUAAGUCUUGUUAUAACAAAGGAUGGGUUCCUUAAUGCCUUGAUAAGCUAUCUCACAAAACUUUUAAGGAAAAUAGGACAACUAGUGUCACGGCUGUGGAAAGAAAAAUAGAAUUAAAUCAUUUCCCUAUUUGGUUGAGUAAACCUAUGAACUAUGUGACAUGAGUUUGCCAAAUUUUUAGUUAACCCAAAAGGCAUAACUAGGAACUCAUAGUGCCCAUAACGAGUUCGAAAGAUUGUCUUUAAUACAUCCUCACUUCUGAUUUUCAGUUGAUGAUACCCAUAUCGUAAUCGAUUUUUGAAAAUAUCAUUGCACCUCGUAAUUGAUCAAAGAGGUCAUCAAUUCAGGGAAGAAGAUAUUUAUUCUUGACAAUAACCAAAUUCAAAUAUCGGUAAUCAAUACACAACCUCAUUAAACCAUCUUUCUUUUUUACAAACAACACGGGAGCACUCCAAGGUGAGACACUAGGAUAGAUGAAACCCUUAUCUAGUAACUCUUGCAACUGGACUUUCAGUUCUUUUAACUCAACACGUGCCAUCCAAUAUGGUGCCUUAAAAAUAGGUGCAAUAUCGAGAACUAGUUCUAUAGUAAGUUCAACCUCUUGAUCCUGAGGUAGUCUAGGAAGAUCUUCAGGAAAUACGUCAACAAACUCUCUUACAAUAUGUAUGUCUUUAAGGCAUGCCUCAUUAGAAUGGUCAGCAACUACAUACGCUAAAAAUCCUUCACACCCCAUUUUUUAGCAUUUUGUUGCCUUAACCAUAGAAAUUAAACCUCUAUGACUCCUUUGAUUCCCAUGAAAAUGAAAUUCUUCCUCGCCAGGUAGGCAAAAAAUAAUUUCUUUAGCAAAACAAUUCACUAAAACAUUGUAAGGUCCUAACCAAUUCAUCCCCAAAAUCAAAUCAUAAUCGUGCAUCUCUAAGGGUAGGACGUCCAUAAGAAAUUGCCUAUCACAUAAUCUAAUCACACAUGACUCAUAAAUAUAAUCUACCAACUGGCAAUCCCCCAUAGGGGUACUAAUUGACACAUGAAUAUUUAGUGGCGUGAUCGGCACAUCAGCACAAUGGGUAAACACACAAGAUACAAAUGAAUAUAUAGCACCAGGGUCAAAAAGAACUUUGGCUUCCCUAGAGAAUAAAGACAGGGUACUUGACACCACAUCAUUGGACACCUCAUCAUCUUUCUCUGUUAGCGGAAAGACACGCCCUUGCACCUUCAGUUUCUUCCUCUGCCCUUCAUUACUCUGAGUGUUUGCAGUCCCACUACGUCUCUUUGGGAAAUCUAUAAUCUUGUGUCUAGUUUUUCCACAAGAAAAACAAGCUCCAAUUUUCUAAUAGCAUUUACCAGGGUGACUCAUUCCACAAUGACGACAAGUAGGAAAUUUUUUCCGAGCGGUGGUAUCAAGAACAACCUUGUUAUCGCAUUUGUUACCUCCGCCAACAUGCUUCUGGCAUUAGGUGCCUUCCCCAUAAAAACUUCCAUUUUGAGGUCCACCUUGCUGAUUCUUUUUAUUCCUCUAAUCCCUUGUAACUUGAGCUUCAUGAAUAUCUUUCUUAACAAGAAUUGCUCGAUCCACUAAAUCAGCAUCAUUAUUAAGCAUAAGGAUGGUCAAUCGACCUUUGAUAUUUGGACGCAACCCUCCCAAGAACAAAACCGCGCAGAUCUUAUUAAGGCCCAAAUCGAACAAUAUCUUGUCAGGUCUAGAUUGGGUCAUGACAGAUGGUAUCAGAGUGGCUCUGCGUGUCCUCUUGUGCAAUAGUGGGGUAAACCUUAACGAGGACGCUGAGUCCUUAAAGGGGGUGCAUAUAACACCCUAGACAAAUCCCACAUCGGCAACGCACAAUAGAGAUACUGGAUUUAUAACAAGUUUUCCAUACCUUAAUUGGCAAGACGCGUUUUGAGGUGUAUAGGCGCCCUAGGAACAAAAUCGUGCAGGCUUUAUUAAGGCUUGUUGAGUCCCUAAGGGGGCCGUAUGUAACACCCUCGGCAAAUCCUACAUCGGCAAAGCAUAAGAGAGAUACUAGGUUUAUAAGAUGUGAUCUACACCUUAAUUGACAAGAUACGUUUUGAGGUGUAUACGCACCCGAGGAAUAAAACUGUAGGGCUCUUAUUAAGGCCCAAAGUGGAUAAUAUCUUGCUAGGUCUAUGUUGGGUCAUGAUAGAUAUGUAACAUCCUUGGCAAAUCCCACAUCAGUAAAGCACGAGAGAGAUGCUGGGUUUAUAAAGGGUGAUUCAAAAUUUUAUUGGCAAUAAGCAUUUUGGGGUGUAUGGGCGCCCCAGAAACAAAACCGUGCGGGCCUUGUUAAGGCCCAAAACGGACAAUAUCUUGUCAGGUCUAGGUUGGGUCAUGACAGAUGCUAUCAGAGCAAUUUCCAACCGAAAAUGUAUGGAUGUUUGUGACAUCCUACAUCGCUUGGGAAGGAUUUUGUAGGGAUGAAUAGAAUUAGGUCUAUGCCAAACCUUUAGACUCUGUGAUUUUUUUUUUAAGAAGUAUAAUUGAACUAUCAGAGUAGCGCAAUAAAAGUGUGAUGUGUUAAAACUAUAUCUAGAGUAUCAACCACAUGGAGGGACACCGAAAUAAAUUUGAGUGACCCACCAUAUCUGAAUUGAGAUUUUUCUUUCUUUUCAAUGAUUUGAUUUGAUUUUUUCUUUUUACUAGUUUUUUUAAUUGAAAUUAUUUUUGCAUAAGUGUGUUUGUUUAACCAUUAAGUUUUCUUUUAUCAUUGUUAAUCAUGAGUGCCUCAGUUAAAUAGCUCCUCCUGGACAUUCUUAGACGACUUCAACGUGUAAAAUCUAAUCUCAAAAGGCAGAUUCGAUUUUGUAAAACACAUCAUAUUUGAGCUUUACAACCACCAGAGUUAGUAUCUCAUGUUGAUGAUUUAGAAAGCCAACUCAGAGACAUUGAUGGAGAUGUCUACAAUAUCUAGUUGGAGCUUGAGGUAAAUUUAAUAAGAGGACAAUUGUAAUUUUCUUUGUGUGUUUUAGUUUUUUUUUUUGGUUGUGAGCUUGAGUUUGUUACCCCAGUGAAGUGGCGGAUAACGGUACUCCGUGAUAAUCAAGUCGGUUACUUGAGUUUCCCAUAAUAACUGAUACUCUAAGGCGAAUGAAUGGACAUACAUGAGAUUCUAGCAAAGCUUCACAAUCAAUUUCCUUCACUUCCUCAAAAUGCCCUCUUUACAAUCUAUAAAGCUCGGUCUGAACGCAUGCGAUUGCUGAUGAGGAAUAACAUACCUAUUAAUAUCUACUGGUUAAUCGAGGCCAAAGUACGAUUGGCAGGUGAGUUACCUCCCAAAUUUAUUGCAUACAUGCUUGGUUGUGGUGAAGGAAAUUAUGCAAGAAAACGAAGAGCUCGAAGAAUUUAUGUUGCUUGUCAUAAGUGUGCCAAAAGGAGAUGUGAUAAAAAACCAUGUUCUUUAGGAAUGGUGUCUGAUAAUAGGGAAGAUAAGAUUCAAUUCAUUAGGGAUGACUUGAAUAAGGAGUCAUUGGAUGAUAUCCUUUUGUCUCUUGAAAUGUAUCUCAGUGGAUAUGUACAAGGAGCAAUUCUCCAGUUAUGGUUAUUAUUCCAGAAAGAGAAUGCACGAUAUAGUCUCGGGAAUCUGACUAUAAACGACCUUGUUUGCCAGUUUAUAAGAAAACUGGAUGGGAAGCCUAUCCUCGACUCAUAGAGGGCGUUCAAGCUGUUUCUGGACGUAAAACCAGAGGAAGAUGUGAGCCACAGUCGCAACUACCUGUAAAUAUCUUUUUACUUCACUGUUGUUUUAUUUCACUAUUGUUUUAUCAUUUGCAUUAUUGUCUUUAAUAAUUUUAUUUUAUCAUUAUUUGUUUUUUUCCUUUUUAUUAUUUCUUUUUUUACUCUUGAGCCAUGUGCAUUACGCGUUAAUUGACACUAACAUGCCACCUCAUACACAACUAUAACCCACUGUCACCAAGAUUCUUAAAAAUGAUUUUUGUCAAGCACUUACAAAUUAUUUUUGAGAAGUAUCCCAAUGGUAGCUACUCCAAAUAAACAAUUAAAGAACAUUUGUGUGCUUUCUGGAUUUAACUAUGGCAAACAUAAAGCGUUCGUUGAGGCAGCCAUAGAUCUUACUCGAAGCAUAGCAGAGAGAAAACUACACUUAGUAUAUGGAGGAGGUAACCGAGGGUUAUCAAAAUUAGUCUUAAAAGCUGUUUUUGUCAGAGGAAGCCAAGUGUUAGUCAUAAUCCCAAGAGCCCUAAAACCUUUGGGCAGUUUGUCUGACUCACCGAAUGGACAAGAGUUAGUCGUCUCAGGUAUGCAAGAAAGAAUAACUGAAAUGAUUAAUCAUGCUGAUGCUUUUAUUUUCCUACUAGGAGAUCUUGCAACACUAGAGGCACUUAUCACAUUAGAAUAUUGGGCCAAUCUGCACAUUCAUCAGAAACUCAUCGAUUUAUUAAAUGUCAAUAACGUUUAUGAUGGCUUCAUCACAUUUCUUAACCAUGCAAUAAAAAACUAUUUCAUUCAUUCCACAACGAAAAAGCUUUUUAUUUGUGCUCACACUGCUAAUGAACUACUUGAUUUGUUACAAGCUUAUAGACCAGAGCUAGACCCUGAGACCUUUGUAUUCGAGUCUCCAAAUAAUGAUGAUAACAGUAGCCGCAGUAAGAAGUACAAAUUAGAUUUAACUCUCCACCUGUAAAUAUUUUCUUCUUUGUUGCACCACCCAGGUGAUGUCUUCUAAACUCUACUUCUUUCCUUUAAAAUAUUGAGGAUAAUGUUUCGUUCUAGUUGAGGGAAAGAAUAGUUGACAAUUGUGGAAUCUUAGUUAAUUUUUACAUAAUUUUUAUUGUAGAGACUAACCGUGGCUAACGUUUUGUGUUGAAGAUGGCUGAAUAUGGAGUGUAAUUACUCUAGAAACGCAUCUUCUUCGUUUGAAAAAAAAACAAAAAAAAAAUUCCAGACAUUUUCUUUUUCUUUAUUAAGUUUUUGACAAUCAUUUUUUUUUCUAACUUCUUCUUUCCAAUUUCUCCUUUAUAAAUAUAUACUUUCAAAUCUUUGAGUCGAAGAUGGCUGAAUAUGGAGUGUAGUGCCUCUAGAAACGCAUCUUCUUAGUUUAAAAAAAAAAAACUAUUUUCUUUUUCUAUCAUUUUAAGUGUAACUUUUCUAAUUAGCUUUUCCGUAUCAUUUUCACUUUUUUGCAUACAUACUUUCUUUUCAUGUUUAGAAUAGGUUGGGGGGUAGACUGUCGUUUUUAAAAAAAAAAUUGCGUGAUUUUAUAACAUUGGAUAACACGAUGACUUUCAAAUUUUAGUAUUUAUAUUCUCUUUGGUCUUAAGUGAUGUUGCGCCAUGUUUGCUACUCUACAUGUUGAUGUUGGAGACAAAUAUGAGUUGCUUAAAGGAAUGCACAUGUUAUAAUAAAUUCCAAGUGAGGUUUUGAGCCUGUCGUUUUUCUUGGAAAGUAAUCAUUUUUGCUCAUUCUUCAUACAGCUUAUCAAUUUAUUAUUUUAUACGAUCUCUAGAUUUCUUUUGAGUCAACCCUUUAAAAAAAAUUUGUAAGAUAAAAAAAAAAUGUGUGUUGCUACAUCUUGAGGUACAUCUAACUAGUUGAUAUGGAAGAUUAUUUAGAGCCCUAAAAGAUGAUGGAAAGUCCAUCUUUGACCCAUUUGAGCCUUUCUAGUCAUCCCUUUUGUGAAAAACCAAUAGUUAACCCUUUUGAGCCUUUAAAAAAAAAAAACUUUUCUUUGUCAAACUUAUCAUCUUGACCCACUCUGAUUUGGAGUAUUACCCAAUAUCUUAUAAGUUUCAUUACCUAUUUAUGUUUGAGAAAAAAGUAAAUAAUUAUUUUGUUUAGUGAAGUUGUGACCAAAAAAAAAAACAAAACAAAAAGAAUUGUUGUUUCAAAAAAAAAAGGAAAAAAAGAAAGAAAAAAAUAAUAAAUAAGCAAAAUGCACUUGUAAUUUCUAAAAUAUCUUUACUUUUUCUCAAACAUAUAUUUUGUUUUUCCUAUUUUUCUUCAUUUGUUAGUCAUGUCCCUAGCCUACGUUACAUCCUAAUAAAAGUCUUUCCUAAUUUUAGGAAGCUAUGGUCUGAAGUAGAAGCUAGAUAUAUGGGCUAAAAAGCUGUAGUGGUGCAUUAAAAAAAAGAAAAAAAAAUAAAUUAGGUUGACUAGCAUUUUUGUUUGACUUAAGCUUGUAUUAUUUCUAAGUUGUGGGCAUAUUUCUUUCAUUUUGGUGAGAACGUGUGACAUUACUUCUUUAUUAUUAUCUCUCAAUUUAGCAUUUAUUGAAGCGACUAUUUUUAUUGGGUUUAAUUUCCUUGUGAGAGUGUCACUACUUCCAAUGAGAUUUUGGGGUUUGACAUGUCAUUCUUGAAAGUAGCCAUGACAAAGUCUGCUGGGUUGAUUCACGUGGAUGGUUGAUGUGGGUGUGAUGUUUCUGUAGACUGGAGAUAAUGCUUAUACUUUUAUUUGAUUGCUAUUAUUAGUCUGAUUGAAUAAACACGAUUGUUUUAAAAAAAAAUCAUUUUGGGUUUGAAUUUUGUUUUCACUUUAUUUGCUAAGGACUAGUAAUAAGCUGGUUGGGGGGUGUGUUGAGUUUUAGAAAAUGUAUAUUUAUAAAGGAAAAAAUCAUUUUACAUUUCAAGUCUUACUAACACCCUUACUUUUAUGUAUUUAAGCUUCUUAUGAUUUAAUUAAGAGUGUUUUAUUGUAAUUAAGUAUUUUAUGUAUUUUAGGGGCAUCAUGGUCAUUUCACAAUGAACGAGAAAUCAGCAGCAAAACAGACAUCACUUUUGAACACAGGACAGUCGGAAACCUUAGGAAGAGUAUAAAAAGAAAAAUGUCAUUGUUCAUAUGUACUGUACUGUCCAUACUACUGUUCACGACAUUGUUCACAUAUACGGAACGAUGACAUGGCAUUAACCGAUGAUGUAGCAUUGACUAAUGAGGUGUCACGAUUCCAUUGGACAAAAUUCUUAUGUACUGUUGAUCAGUGACGUGCAACAUGUUAGUGACGAAAAAUCAUGCAUACGGUACAUGCAUAUACACGGGAUUAUUUACAACCAAACCGCGUCACUGUUCAAACCGUGUUACUAUUCAAACCACGUGGUCAAACCGUGUACUAUUCAAACCGUGUGGUCAAACCGCGUACUAUUGACUAAUAACGUGGCGCAAUCCUGAGUGUCCAAAAUAUUUUUAAUGCGAUAACCAUAAUUUACUCAAUGUAUUUAUAAAAAAGGGGGCUCUCCCCCCUAAUUUGGCAUCCUUGAUUUCAUUUUUGAGUUUAAUUUUCUGUAAUUCCUUCUCCAUCUUGUAUUUUCUAAGUAUUUUAAUAAAUUCCUACUUUGUCCUUAGUUGAAUUAUGAGUAGAUAAUUUUCUUUCAAGCUUGGGUUUAAGGUGAAGUUUCAACAUGUGCCCUGGGCUUUAUUUGGUAAAUUUAUUUUCUCUUCCCCUCUAAUUAUUGUGGAUGUUUUGACUUUUCGUUGACAAAUAGUAAUAAUCUUGUCUAGAUACCGCCCUAGUUUAACCGGCACCCCAGUACAAGAUUAUUAAUAUUUAGCUCGAGAAACCCUUAGCACCAUAUUGAUUAGAGUGUGGUUCAUGAGGAGUGGAAUCCCCCUUAUGAUUUAAUUGGCACUAAUAAGGAAUAUUAAGCUCAUGGAGCAUGUUGAUACGUAUUUAGAUACCCAAGCGCUUCAAUUACAAUAGUUUUCACUUUAAUUUAAUUUUGUCAUUCCCAUUUAAAUUCUAGGAUAGUCUGAAUCACUUUCAUCAGAAAUCUAAACACCCUCAUAGAAAAUUAAUUCUAUAUAUAAUUAAAAUCCACCUACUUGUGGGAUUGACACUCGUCACCGUUAAUCUAUUCUACAAUAAAUUCGUGCGCUUGCGAGUUCAAUAAAAUUUGUACAACAAUGAUGGCGAAGAAAUGACCGGCUUCAUCUGAGGGUUUGGUCAUUACCUUACGUUGCCAGUAAUGUGGUCGGAAAUGGAAGUGGGUAGUAGGUUGGUUUUUAGGUCAGGUUGGGUUUCAAAAGCUCUCUUCGCCCCUCUCUCUCAUGCGUGCACUCCCUUUCUCUAAAAUAAUUUUGGCUUCUCUUAUUUCCUCUUCAGAUUCAAAUCAGGCACAAUUUCUAAUUAAACACCCUAUUCUCUCUCUCUCUUUCUUUUAAAUAAGCUUAACACAAAUUAAGCUAUUCUGUAAUUGGUAAUUGUAACAAAAUUUGAGAAUGGGGGUCGUUACAUCAUGUUCGUAUUGUCUCGAUUUUGUGUCAUGACAAGUUUAAAUUAGUCCAAACACGAUCUAUUUAAUAAACUUAUCAAAUUUGACAAUGCACACCAAUUUAUUUAUGUCGGGAAAUUGAGUUGCGUUAAAUUUGUCAACAACAGUUGUAAUGAAUCGAUAACUUUUAAAACUUUAGGUCAAAAGGGAAUGUUAAAAUAAUACACUUAAUUAAAAAGGAAGUGCAUAUGUUAAUUUAUGAUUACUAUUCAUUUAAAUUCUUGAUUUUUUUUUUAAAAUAAAAACUUUUAUGAAUGUUUGUUUUCUAAUGUAUAUAUGGCAUGCAGUUUUAUCACGAUGUGGAUUUGACCAUCGGAAACCUUUUCAUUUGCAAUAUAUAAGAUAUUUUUUUUCGAAAUUAAACAAAGGGUUUAUUAGGGAUUGAGACUUUUCUAUAAAUUCUUAGUUUUUAACCCAACUCAUUUUCAUAUUGAUUUUGUUACAAACUUAAUAAAUGAAUUUUACUCUGUAGAGGCAAAUGAGUGCUGUAGUAAUGCUAAUAUUAUUUUAAUAAAGGAUUUCAAUAUGAAUAAUGCUAAGUAUCUCAAUAUCUAAAUCUUAAUUUCAAUCCUCAUGAUGUGGUAUAUAUCCAAUGGAUGGUGUUAAGUAAUUUUAUAAGUUACAAAAUCUAUCAUCUGAUAGAUGAGUAUAAUACAGGGUAUUAGGACUUAAGUUAAUACUCAAAUAUUGAAAUCUAUGAUAUUACUAUUUUAAUAUAGGUUUCUUGCUUCAUAAGGACUUUUCCAUUGGUGCUACUUUUUCAUUGGGUAUCUCAUGUUCUUAAAAUUGAUAAAUAACAAUGAAAUUAAAAAACUGCGUGUAAGAAAAGGUUACAGAGUUUUGGUUUGGAAGCAAGAAGCCAGUUAAUUUUGGAAAAAUUCAAAUCGACAUGGCUAAUUUACUCACUUCGGAAAUUCUUCUCUCGCUUUUCCUGUUUCAUGACUGUGGGACGCUCUAAAAUAUACCUUGUAUAGUUACUCAGAUAAUGCCAUUAUCGUAUAACUAUUCUAUUCCAAUAACAAUAUAUAUUGGUCCUGAAAGGCCAUUGUUGUUAAUAUUUACUACUUAAGAAGCUUCUUUUUUCUCACCUUAUCUAAUUAGCUACUUUUUGUUGUUAAUUGUUGUUGUCAUUAAAAAGUCAGGCUAAGAGACGCAACUCUAUACAUACGUACACGUGUUAAUAUAUACACGAUAUAUUUAUUUAGUUGAGAUACUCAAUAAUUUAACAACUUAUCUGUUAUUCAGUGAUUAAGUUAUUAUUUCUUUUAUGAAGAUUGAUUAAGUUAAAAUCAAUGUCAUUUGAUUAUAAUUUCUCUAACGGAAUUGAAAUCUAUCCGGACAAAAUUGUUUAAAAGAUAAGAUGUGUGACCAUUUUUAAAAUCGAUGGAAUUUAUGUGUACAUUUUUAAGUACCUUUGGAGGUCUUGGUGGAUUUUUCUUUCUAAAAUUAUUAUGUAAAAUUAUCUUAAAUAAUGUGAUGAUGAGUGGCUCAUCUUGUUGAAUCACUUAUUGUUAUUAACGCUAAGGGAAAUUUUCAAUAAUCCACCUAAUUUUUAACGAAAGUUCACAAAUACUUAAGAUUUUUUAAAAAUAUCAUUGAUUAGCCUAAAGGUUCGUCAAUUGUUUAUCAAAGUCACCAUUUCUGCAUUUCAUUAACAUUUGUUAGAGUGUGAUGUCACAAUAGUAAAUUGAUCAUUCAGAUGCCAAUUAAUUUUUAUUUCUUCCAAAAUUAUUGUCGGACCACUUAACUUUUACCUAAAAAUUUAAUUACCGACAUGGUUUCUUUUAUGGAAUAAUAUGCUAUUAGAGGGAUAGUAGUCCUUUUAUAAAAAAUCUUUAAAAACUUCAUGGACUAAUGAUAAUUUUAUAAGAUUUUGAUGGCUGUUUGUUAACGUUUUUCAUUCGGUUUUUUUUUUUUCAAGAACAAAAGUUGAAAAAAAUAUGUUUGGCAGCCCUUAUUUCUGCAUUGUUAUGAUUUUUGAAGAGAACGAGAUGUUCUCAUUCUUCACUUUUUGUGAAAAAAAAGAGUAGAAAAUGGCUUUAUUAUAUAACUCUUUUAUCUUAUACUCUUUUCAUAUAAAUAUAUGUAUAUAGGUAGAUGUAUGUAUUUGUAUGUUUAUAAGAUAAUAAUAUAUUAAUUUUAUGUCUUUUAUUUUUGGAAAAAAAUAACAUGAACAAUAUCAAUAUAUAUAUAAUGGAUUGCAAAUUUCGAUAAUUAUAGCAUAAACUCACAAAAUAUAAUAUCAUUACUAAAAAAAAAUAAUUAAUAAAAUAAUUCUCCCACUCUCUUUCACUAUCUCUAAAUAUUUAGAUAAAUAGUCAAACAUAUUUUCGCUAUAUUCAUUUUCAUAUACUAUAUUAAAAACAAACUACCAAACAUAUUUUCAUUUUUAAAAUUUUCACAUCAAAAUUAUCAUUUUUCUUUUCUAAAAAAAGUAUAGAAAACAUUAUUUGAGAUACAAUACCAAAUCCACCCUGAGUAUCUCUGAACUUUGACCAAAUGUUAAAUGGGCAAAUGAUAAAUUUCUUAUCAUUAGUGAUAAUUAUUUUCAGAUCUAUAGAAGGUUGGAAUAUUUUAAGGGCCUCUAUAAAAAAGGUAUUUUUUAAUGAGGAUAAAAAUCCUAUUUUUUAAUUAUUAAUUAAAUGAUUGGUGGUGCUGGUGGAUAAUUCCUCCUCGAAGAGAGCUGUAUGCAAAUCAAUCCACUACUGUUCACUUCUUCUGACGACUCGAUUUCGGUGCGCUAUCAAAACCAUGGCCGUAGGAGAGCUCUUACUCGCUGCGUUCUUUCAGGUGUUAUUUGACAGAUUGGCAAAUGGUGAGCUGCUCAAGUUUGCAACCCAUCAGGGUGUUCAAUCAAAGCUCAAAAAAUGGGACAAAAAUUUGAAGAUGAUUCAGGCUGUGCUCAGCGACGCAGAGGAGAAGCAACUGACUGACGAGGCUGUGAAAGUUUGGCUGGAAGAUCUCCGAGACCUGGCUUAUGAUGCAGAGGACAUGCUGGAUGAGUUCGCCACAGAAGCUUUGAAGCGCAAGUUGGUGGCAGAGGAUCCUGAUCAUCAGAGCCUCAUCAUCCCUGCUGCUUAUUUCACAUGUUUAAACCCCAGCAGUGUUGAGUUCAAUUUCAGUAUCCGGUUCAAAAUUAAACAUAUCACCAGCCGGUUGGAGGAACUCUGUAAACAAAGAACUGAACUUGGGUUGCAGUUGACUCCUGCAGGACCUUCAUCUACUUCUGCUGCACAUCGAAGACCGCCCAGUUCAAGUGUGCCAACUGAACGUGCCAUCUAUGGCAGAGAUGAAGAUAAAGCUAAAAUUCUUGAAAUGGUGUUGAGCGCUGAGCCAAGUGUUGCCCAUUUUCGUGUAAUCCCCAUUGUCGGCAUGGCGGGUGUUGGCAAAACAACGCUUGCUCGGGAGGUCUACAAUGACAGGACCGUACAAGAUUUUAAGUUCGACUUAAAAGCUUGGGUCUGUGUCUCGGACAAUUUUAAUGUCUUGAGCAUUUCAAGGGCAAUUCUUGAGUCAAUCACCUCGGCGCCUUGUGAUCUCAAGGCUCUGAAUGAAGUGCAGGUUGAAUUGAAAAAGGCUGUGGACGGAAAAAAGAUAUUGCUGGUCUUAGAUGAUGUUUGGAACGAGGACUACAGCUCGUGGGAAGACCUGAAAGCUCCUUUCCUUGUUGCUGCACCAAAUAGUAAGAUAAUUCUGACCACUCGCCAUUCACAUGUUGCAUCAACAAUGGGACCGAUUGCACAUUAUAAUCUGAAGCGUUUAUCGGAUGAAGAUUGUUGGUCUGUGUUCAUGAAGCACGCAUUUGAGGGGAGAGAUGUUGACGGACAUCAAAUUUCAGAAUUAUAUCGGAAAAAGAUUGAUGGAAAGUGCGGAGGCCUGCCCCUGGUAGCAAAAACUCUUGGUGGCCUUUUGCGCUCCAAGAGAGAUGAAGAGUGGGGGGAUGUACUAGAAAGCAGAAUAUGGGAUUUGCAAGAAAGUGGGAUUCUGCCUGUGUUAAGAUUGAGUUACCAUCAUCUUCCAUCUCAUUUGAAGAGAUGUUUUGCUUAUUGUGCAAUUUUUCCUAAAGAUUAUGAGUUCGAGGAGAAGGAGCUUGUUUUCUUAUGGAUGGCUGAAGGUAUUAUUCAACAAUCAGCAGUCAAUAUGCGUCUGGAGGAUUGGGGCAGCAAGUGUUUUCAUGACCUAGUGUCGAGGUCAAUUUUUCAACGAUCAAGUAGUGAAUGUUCUAAAUUUGUGAUGCACGACCUUGUCCAAGAUCUUGCUCAAUUUGUUUCCGGAAGAACCAUUUCCAGGUUAGAAGAUGCCGGUAAGCUAUCAGCUGAAAAACUCAGAAAGGUUCGUCAUUCUUGUUACACCCGUGGUGAGUUUGAUGGUAAAAAUAAAUUCAAUUUUCUCUACGAAGUUGAGCAUUUGAGGACAUUCUUGCCAGUACUCAAAAGAGGUGGCACUGAUGUUAGUUUUGUAACUAAUAUGCUUCUACAUGAUUUAUUGCCAAAGUUCAAGAAGUUGAGGGUGUUAUCUUUGCAAGGGUAUUAUAUCACUCAAUUACCUGUUUCAUUUACAGAUUUGAGACUGUUAAGAUACCUAAAUUUUGCUGGCACUAGGAUAAGAAGUUUACCCGAGUCAACAUGCUCACUUUUGAACUUGCAAAUUUUGAUAUUAAGAGAUUGUGUUUGUUUGAUGAAUCUACCAUCCAAGCUAAAGAAUUUGAUCAAUUUGUGCCAUCUUGACAUUGAAGGUGCAAAUUUGCUCAAAGAGAUGCCAUUGGGAGUUAAAAAGUUGAAGUAUCUCCAGACUUUGUCUAAUUUUAUUGUGGGAAGGGGUAGUGUAUCCACUUUGAAAGAUUUGAGCGAUCUAAAGUUUGUUCGAGGGAAACUUUGCAUCUCUGGAUUAGAGAAUAUGACUAAUUCACAAGAUGCAAGAGAAGCCAUGUUAUUUGAGAAAGAACACCUGGAAGCAUUGCUGUUACAAUGGGGUUCUGAAAUUGAUGACUCACGAGAUGUGGUAGGGGAGGAAAAUGUUCUUGACAUGCUACGACCUCAUAAAAAUAUAAAAAUGCUGACAGUCAAAUGCUAUGGUGGCCUAAGAUUUCCUUUAUGGAUUGGAGAUCCUCUGUUCUGUAAUAUGGAGGUCCUUAAAUUAGAAAACUGUGAAAACUGCACGUCUUUGCCUUCACUCGGGUUGUUGGGUUCACUUAAACACCUCACGGUCAAAGGGUUAUCAAGGCUAAGAGUUAUCGGUGCUGAGAUUUAUGAACAAGGUUGCUCAAAGCCUUUUCAAUCAUUAGAGACUCUUCAUUUUGAGAAUAUGCCAGCAUGGGAGUGCUGGGACACUAGUAUCAUUGAAAAUGAGCAUGUUGAAGCAUUUCCUCGCCUCCAUGAACUUUCUGUUGUGGGAUGUUCCAACUUGUCAGGAAAAUUGCCUGAGUUUCUUCCUUCAUUGGAGACUCUUGUUGUUACUAAAUGUCCAGACUUGGUGGUUCGUGUCUCAAGCUUUCCGAAGCUCUGCAGGUUAGAAAUUGAUGAAUGCAAAGGACUGUCAUGCAGCACUCCAAUUGACUCUGAACAGAUGAAGUGUGUGACUAUUUCAAAUAGUUUAUUACAAAUAUAUGGAUGCAAAGGGAUGAUAUACAAUAACUGCCCAUCUGACUCCAGGUUACUACUCAGGUCAACUCAGCCUAUUUCUAGUUUUCUAGAGUUGGGAAAGUUGUUAAAGCAAGGAUUUCAGAAUGUGGAAACUCUGGCAGUUGGUGAUUCCCAAUGGAUUGAGCUAAGGAGGCAUCAUAUGUUUUCUCCAUUUCGGAAGCCAGUGCAAAGACUGAAUAUUCUCACCCACCCAGAUGAGAUAUCAAUCGAUGAAAGUCGCAUGAGUCUUGUUCCAUUUCCGGAGGUACAGUUUCUUCCCAAUAAUCUGCGGUCUCUUGAAAUUGUAAAUAGCAGAGCUCUCAAAUCCUUACCGGAGGAAAUGAUGGGCAACAAUGCACAACUGGAAAGCUUGUACAUUAGCCAUUGUGAUUCACUAACAUUCAUCGCAAGAUGCAAGCUACCUUUAUCACUUGAAAGCCUUGAUAUAUGGUAUUGUCAGAAUUUGCAGCAGUUGGUAGUUGAAGAUGAACUGAAUGCUUGUUCUUCUUCGCCAUCUUUGCUGAAAUACCUUAGGAUUUAUGAAUGUCCUGAGCUCAUCACUAUAUCGUCAGGAAUCAAGUUACUUGAAGCGCUUGAAUACCUCUACAUAAUUGAUUGUCCAAAGCUGGAGUCAGUACCUGAUGGCCUGCACAGUGUCAAUUGUUUACAGAGGCUGUUUUUACACAACUGUCCAAGACUUGCAUCCUUUCCAGUUGGAGGGCUUCCCAGCACAAUUUCAUGUAUUUCAAUUGGUGGUUGUGAGAAACUGCAAGCCUUGCCUGACAACAUGCACAAACUCAACUCUCUUCAAGAACUGGAAAUAAGCGAAUGUCCAAGUAUUGUAUCGUUCCCACCAGAAGGCUUUCCAACCAAUUUAAAAUCACUUAAAGUUGAAGAUGUCAAAAUGUACAAGGCACUGAUUGAGUGGGGGUUGCACAGGCUUAACUCUCUUAGACGCCUCUGGAUUCAUGAAUGCCAUAAUGCCAAGUCCUUUCCAGACGAGGCGAUGCGAAUGAUGUUGCCCAAUUCUUUAACAGAAUUGAUCAUCUGGGGAUCCCCUAGAUUGAAAUACCUUUCUUCAAUGGGUUUUAGUAACCUCACCUGUCUUGAAUAUUUGUGGAUCAGUAACUGUCCAAUGCUCAAAUCCUUUCCACAGUUUGGCCUUCCAUCAUCACUCCUGCAAUUACAUAUUGAUGGCUGUCCAUUGCUGAAAAAGGAUUUCAAAAGGUAUAAAGGAAAAGAAUGGUCUCAAAUAUCUCACAUCCCUCGUGUAGCCAUAGAUGGCAAAUUCAUCUACGACUGAUCAUAGAUACUCCAGAAUGGCAGUUUCAUAAGGUAAUUAAUGCUUUUUGUUAAAUUAUUGUUGGAUUUGCAGAUUGUAGUGAUUCUUUUCAUUUUGUCUUUUCUCGAAGUAAAGGGAUUUUGUAAGGGGAGUUCUGAGGCAGUCACCUCUGCAAACGGUUCAAGGAGCUCCCCGUGAAAGUGAAAGUAUAAUAUACUUUAGCGUUCAUCAAUUGAAAUUUAAAGGCAGUAAUCCAACUGAUGUAAAGGCUUUAUUUCUUGCCUUAAUAUUGUUUUUAAUUUAGUUUUUCUGAUAUGCUGUUUAUUAAUUAUUGCUACGACUGGUGCACUCUUUUCAGUACUAGAGGCUAGAAAUUCGUGUGUUCGUGCUUGAUUUUAAUCAGCAGCAUUCAGUACCUUAUCCAAGCUAUAAAUUUUUGCCAUCAAUAUCCAACAAGGCUUCGGGUAAUAUUUCCAGAAGGUUCAAGUCUUUUUUAUUUCCAAAUGAAUGCUACAGUGCACUGUUCAGUCAUAGUGCUGAACGGGGGACUAUCAUCAAUCUGAUAUUCUUUAUUCAGAAGUAUUGACAAAAUUAAUUAUUGUGAACACCACAGCAACAGAAUGCCUUGUGGUAAUGGAACCUGAAGGCGAAAAGCUGGUUAACAUUCGAGCCAUCAAACUUGCACUCAGCCACACCAACAACUUUCUUGAUUUUCUUCCCUGGAAAAAUUGUGAGGCAUUUUCCUGUCAUGCGAGAAACCCAGAAUCUGACCUCUUGGUGGUUAAGCUUCUUCGGUGGAUUAAUCGAUUUCCAGUCAGCCUCGGCUAAGCUUUCCAGGGAGCUCAAUGAUCUAAGUCUCACCUUCUUAUUUUUGUCCACUGCGAGGUAGCUUUGACCCUCUGAGCACUUGUCCAUGUAGUUGCUAAACCUGUAGUUUAUUGAAAAAUCUGGUUUAGUUUAUGAAUAAACUAGAGCAGAAUCACUGAUAUAUUCUUCUCAAAAAACUAAAAAGAUCAACUCAAAAUUCAUAGCCUUUAAUUAUUGAACAGAUUUUUGAAUCCCAAAACAAUUUUUUUAAUUUAAGAAAUGCAUCCAAAAUUGCUAUUUGAAGAAUAAUGCAGGUCACAUUUACAUUGUUUUUUAUUUCAAUAAAUUGAUCAAUUUAGUUAGAAAUUAAAAAUAUGUGCACAAUGUUGUAACAUUGCAUCUUACCUGUGGUACCCAGAAGUAGAACCAGAAGUGGAUUUCCAGCCAAAAUAAGCAUUAUAUUCCUCAGAUUCACCACCUUUGAUAUCGGGAACCGAGUAAACUCCCCGAUCAUUGGAGUCCACAAAAUCCGACUGCAAGGCACCGGCGAUGAGCGUGUUGUCGAAUGCCGUCAUGUGGGGAUAAGCUUCACUAGCAGGGCACUGUUUUGACUCACAAUUGGAGCACUGGCUGCAAAGCUUGUCACUCUUUAAUUUUGUAGCAUUAGCACCAUCAAAAUUAGUAUGAAAGAUAGACAAGACAAUCAUUAAGUAAAGAGAAACCCUUAAUCUCUCCAUGUUAUUAUCAAUUCGACUAAAUUUUUUUUUUCUUCUCUUUUCCAUGAUUCUUGAAUCUUGAUUGAUUAUAUAUAAUCAUAUAAAUCCUUGGUUUUAUCAACAUUUCUUUGUCUCUUAAUAUGAUGAAAUGAAAUUUAAUUGCGUAACGUUGGCAAACAUAAUAAAAUUAUCAAGGCUAGAACAAGGCUGGAUUUUGUCUUUAGUGGUUAUUUUGUCUUGUGCAAUGGGAUAUUAAAUUAUUAUUAACUAACAACCAAUUAACAGAUGGUAAUUUUAGUCUUAUUAGACAAACGUUCUAUUACUCAUUUUAGCUAACAUAUUUUUUUAUUAUUAUUUAAUUAACCACUACUUAAUCUCCGCUUGGUAUUGAUAUUGGAGAAUUAUAAUUUAAAAAUUACAAUAAUAAAGUAUUUGAUAAAUAUUAACUAUUAUGUCUUAAAAGUUAAAUUGAUUCGAUUUACUACUAGUACGAUGAAAGAACGUAUAACAUUUUUACUGUUUUUGUCAAAAUUAAAAUUUAAGAGUCAUAUUUAUUCAAACUAUUAACGUUUAUUUUAUAACUAUAUUUUUUUAUAGCAAUUGUAGAUAAAAAAAAAAUACAACACUUUAAUACCAACAGCCUUAUUGGCUACUAAAUUUUCUUAUAAUGUUAUAAGUUUUAUUAAUUGAAUUACUUGGCAUCCACGUAUAAAAGAGCUUUUGAAAAGUUGUCAUGAAAGGUUUGCCAAAGUUGGGCGNNNNNNNNNNNNNNNNNNNNNNNNNNNNNNNNNNNNNNNNNNNNNNNNNNNNNNNNNNNNNNNNNNNNNNNNNNNNNNNNNNNNNNNNNNNNNNNNNNNNCCCCCCCCCCCCCCCCCUCUCUUUAGUUUUUAUUUUAAUCAGCAGUACAUUAUUUUGUAAAAAAUAAUUCAAAUUUACCUAAUUAUGACAAUUUUGAAUUUUUAUGCAUUACUUAAAACUUAUAAAGGUUCUAUGAUCUCUAUAAUUUAUCAUCAUCAUUAUUAUUAUUACUCCUUUAUUAUUGUUUGCUUCCCCAUUGAUUUUUAUAAAUGAAAAAUUCAAAAAUCAAUAGAAUUUCUCUGUAGUUAAAUCGUUAUAAACUGGAAUUUGCCGAAUGCGGCUGGUAACAAUAGGGUCAAAUCAUGACAUGAGGCAACAAGAAACUAAGGUAGCAUUUGUUUUUUAUCUGAAAUUUAAAUGCGUCUGAAUUUUUCUAAAGUCUGAAUGGGUCUGAAUAUGAAAAUCUGAAUGGCAUAUUUGUUUUUUUUUUUAAAUAUCUGAAUAUAAGUGGCAUCUUAUUUAUUUUUACAAUUAAAAAAAUCUUAAACUUGGUUAUUUGACAUUUAUAUCCUUGUAAAUUAAAACAAAAAAAGAGGAUUAAAUUUUAUAGUUUAGGAAAUAAGUUAUUUUACAGAGAUAUUUUUUAAUACAAUAUUUACUUGUCAUUCAGAUAAAAGUCACAAAAGUUUACUUUUUUUAUUCAGAUGUAAAUGUCUAAAAAUCAUACAUAAGUUCCAAAAAACAAACAAGCAUAUUUUAGAAAAUGUCUUAAAUUAAUAAAAUUUCAGACUUCAGACAUUUAACAAACAACCUCGCUAUUAAUAUACGUCUAUAAGCACAACAUCAUCAGCAUACAUUGUUAAUCUAGCAUUAAAUUCAUCUUCAUUAAUUAAUCUGCGCCUCACUUUUUUAUUUGUCUUCCAAAUCUGGCCUCGUAAUCCACCUCCAAGAAAUCAUCAAUAAAUAUAUCGAUUUAUUUUAUCAAUCAUCACAAUCAGAAAUAUUGAUACACAUGACAAAGGUAAAUACUUACCUUUUUUAAAAAACAAAAAAGUAUAGUUACACCCUAAAGUUUAGGGAAAUAGUCAUGUAAAUCUCUAAAUUUUUAAAAAGAGACAUCAACACUUUUUUCUUACCAUAAUACCUUUUAAAUAUGGUAACUAAAGAAUUUAGCUUUAAAUUUUUUAAUAAAUUCAACUAAUAUUCAAGUAAUUUUAGAUAUAUAAACUAGUAUAUUUAUUUUAAUAAUAUAUUUGUAUCUAUUAUAGAGAUUUUAAAUAAUUCUUAGAGUUAAAUAGAUUUUACAAUUAAUUAAUAUUUCAUGUAUUAAAAAUGUUACAAUUAUUAUGUUACAUAAUAUUCAAAAUAAUUUAAAUUUCAAUAUUAUGUUUCUAUGUAUUAAAAAAAUUACUUUAAUAUAAUAAAAUAUUACUAAUAGAUUGUAAAAUAUUUUUUAAACAUUGAAAUUAUUUAAAAAUAUAUUUAUUAUUGCAUUGAUUUUAAUAUUUUAUUUUUUUAUUAUAAAAUAUUAGAGUUAUUUUUUCAUGUUAAGAGAGCUAAAUGGUACUAUGAUCAAAAGAGGAUCUUGACGUCCCUUUUGAAAACUUAGGGAUUUUCUUUAUCAUUUUUCAAAACUUGGGGAUGUGGGUAUAUUUUUUUCAAAAAUUGAAAGGAUAAAUAUGUGAUGUUAGUGGAGUUCAUCUAAUUUAUCUGAAUUUCAAAGGGCAGGAAUGAAAUUAUUAACACCUAAAGACACCAAAGAAAUUAUAUUUAACAAAAUUACUAACUAGCUUUUUUUGUUUUGAGGGAAAAAAAAGUUGAAAAUUGAGUGGGAGAUCAUGAAAAAUAUGACACCCAAUUAUAAAAUUGGGCCAAGUAAAAAUUAGUACUUUUUUGGCCGAACUAGAAAAAGAAGGGAUACUUUUCCCUAAUCAUCGUUCAAUCAUGGUCAGUGUAUAAAUUAAUAAGGACAAAGUAAGACAAGACACUUUAGCAGCCUGACUACAAAAAUAUUUGGUAGUGGAAACUUUAGCAAAAAACUACUCUAAAGCAUCUUUUUGCAGCAAUUAAUAAAAGGUUGCAAAGUAAAUAAGAAAACAAAUUAAAGCAAAGCAUAUUAAGGUAUUCUGCAUAGUCUAAAAGUAAAGAUUCGAAUGUUAAAUAAUUAUGUAUUUAAAAAAAUGAAAAUAUUAAGAAUUUAAAUUUUUUAAAUUAAUAAUGAAUGAAUUAAUAGUUAAACAAUAUUAUUAUGAUGAUGAUCUUUGAUGCUUUCGGAGUUUUUUUUUUUUAAUGUUUACUAUUUGUGGUAUGUGCAUGUAUAUCAUCAUAAUUGGUUGAAACAUAUGCGUGGCAAAUUACAUCACUUUAAUAUUAAGGUUAUCAUAUAUAGAUAAUCUAUAAAAAUAAAUAAAUUUUAAUUGUAAAAUAAUUAUUAAUUACAGAGAUUUACAAAAUUAAACUUUUCUAUCAUUUUAUUAAUUAUUAUUAAAAAAUACUAAAAACAAAUUCCUAAUCUUUGGACCCAAGGCGACUAUGUUAUGUACCGAUACUUAAAAAGCCGCCUAGAAAAGUAAACUACUAAAAGUUAUUCCGCUAAAAACUUCAAAGGUAAAGGUUCCAAUUAUCUUAUUUGCAGGAAAGCUUCUUUGAAUUAAUUAAUUGUUGAGUAUUAAAAAAACACCAGUCGGGCAUGUCCCCAUUUCCUACCCGAGGGUAAAUCUCCUCGGAUGAAUGGUAUGAGUAGAUUCAUGGUGAUGUCUUCUUCAUGGAGCACGUAACAACCGACCAAAAAUGAGUACCGACCAAAAACGAGUACCGAUCAGAAAUGAGCACCGAUCAGAAAUGCAUACCGACCAGAGACUCAUGACGUCCCGAGGCUUGUCAUUCAGAAAGAGGGCACGAUCUCGCAACAACGUGACAGUUUCGCCACGCCCCAAACCGCUGGGGAGAACACGACACCCCACGUUUACCCACGUUUGAUUGUUGGAACCCGUUAGAGCUCUUGACCGCCCGAGUAUGAUGAACGUGGGAAAUGUUCUAGGAACAUGGACCGAUUGCCUAUAAAAGCUGGGAAAAUAGAUUGAAGAAGGAGAUACAAAAAAGGAGAGGGAAAACUCUGCCAAAUUGACAUCAAAAUUUAGCUUCAACAAAAGCUUUUAAUACACUUUUCCUUGAUAAUAUUGCUGUGAGUUGGCACGAACUUAAAUUACACAGUUUUCCCGAAAACCCCGCAUACUGACUUAAGCAUCGGAGGGUUUUCGCCGGAAAAACCACCGGUGCCUUUGAUUUGUUUCUGUGAGCGCAUGUCAGGAAUGAAGAAGGAGGAAGAAGGGUGAUUUGAGUCUCAGGGGUUGUUGUAAUUACAAAAGCUAGUUGAGUAUAGUGUUUUUAUAGUUAUCAGUACAACUGUUGGUGAUCUAAUCUGGUCGGGCAAGAGUCGUCCAGAUUUCAGCAUCAACAUUUUGGCGCCAUCUACGAGGAACUAAGUAAAAAGCUACUGUCGGGAGAGUAACCAUUUGUGGAGCAGUGAAAGAGCAGUUAUGGAUGUGACAUGGAGUGGCCCCCUAGGGGGCGAUAAUGAAACCAAUGAGGCAAUCACUCUCCAGGAGAUAGCAAACGAGGUUAGAGAGAAAGUAAUUUAAGAGCGAAUGGAGAGAAUAGAAAAGCAUAUGGAAACCCUUACCACAAUACUGCACGAGAUGAGGAAUGAGCGGAAAAUAAACUAUGACACGGCCGUAACAGGAGAUGAAGCCGCUACGGAGCCCGGUCAUCGAAAGCAUAAGAACAAGGAGGUUCCUUCAUUGGGGGACGGCCUAAAGGGGCACAUGCAUAUAGAGAUGCAAUUCAGACUCUAGGAGAGCUUAGAAAUGAAGAGAGAGACUGAUUACGCAGCGGGCGAAUCCUGGGAAGUGAUAGCCGAGGAGCGAACGCUCAAGAGAAUGAUCUUAAACAACAACUACAUACCAUUGAACAGGAGCACACCAGGUUGCUGCGCGCGAUCUUGGUCGGGCUUUAGAAUUAAAAGGAGAAGUGCGGCGGUUGGCAGAGAUAGUAGACGAAAUGCAGGGUAGGAAAAGACCUCUUAGAUGGAGGAUAAUUUUGGAUGACGAAUCUCCUCUCUCGGUAGAGAUCAUAGAGACAAUAAUACCGAGAGAUUUUCGUUUCCCAGACCUUAAAUAUUCUGAGAGAAGUGACCCGUUGAUGCAUAUUGAACGUUUCAAUAAUAUAAUGGGCAUGCAGGGGUUAACACCAGCAUAGAGGUGUAGGGUAUUCCCAUUGACGUUGGAGGGACGAGCCCGGGAGUGGUAUCGUAAGUUGCCGCGUGGAAGUAUAAGAGGCUAAGAGCAAAUGUUCUAAGAGUUGGCCAAGCAGUUCCACAGAGCAAUAGCCCCAGAGGACGAUAUGAUGGAGUUAAUGGGAAUGAAACAAGAGGAGCACGAAUCUCUUUGAGAUUAUGUGAAGAGAUAUCAUCGGGCCACACUUGACUUGGGGGCUUUCAAUCAUCCUUAAGCAUUGAAAUGGUUAAAAGGAGUGAGGAUAGGUCGAUUGUUGUACAACUUGAGAAACCCCGUUAUUUAACGAGGUAUAAGCAUGCGAAGAGGGAUAUAGAAAUCGAUGAGGAGAAAGCGGCGAGAAUAAAAAAUGAACAGUUAAAGAAGCUAAGGCGAAAAGAGAAGAAAGUACCGAAUAAGAGCGGGUCAGAAAAGCGAACCAAUGAAUCAUCAGUAGGUGGGGGAGCAUCAACUCGGUCUCGUCCCUACCAAAUGGUUCAAAGACCGCAACAGGUCCAGCACGACCGAGCUCAGCAUCAGCGCUCCCCAUUCCCGGAACGGCAGCGAGAAUUUCGGGAGAUGGUUGCCUAUCAUUAUCACAACACUCCAAGGACAUUGAAUGCAGUUAAUCCCAAGGUUGGCCGACCAAACUAGCCACCCAUAAUGCCAGCCCGAGACGAUUUUCACGACAGCCGAGCAGUCCAACUAAUUGACCAAAUCCUGGCAUACAAACAGUACACCCCAUUAAAGAUUUCUAUAGAAGAGUUAUAUGAAAUGAUUAAAGGGCGAGGCCUCUUGUACCCCCUAACCCUGUAACCAAACUUGCUCACAAACGGAAUAGGAUCUGCAAGUUUCACGACACUCAUAGGCACACUAUCGACCAGUGACAUGAUCUGAAAAACCAAGUUGAGAAUCUAGUAAGGAACCAGUAUCUUGAUAAGUAUGUUGAUGGGGCGUUUCCUGUUAUGGAUUCACAAUAUACAUUGGGAGCUGGAACUAAGAGGGAUCUAGAGCGUGAACAACCAACCAUUCGGGUAAUAGCAUGAGGGGCAACACUGGUUGAUGUUUCGAAUAGAGCGAGAAAGAAUUAUGGAAGAUAUGCUCUAACUAGUAAAAAGAUGUUUUUCAACUUGUUGGCAAUCAAGAGGGCAAAUGUGAGGCAACUUCCCAUCAUGUAGACAGAUGAUGAUGAUGAGGGUGUCUUAUACUCCCACGAGGACGCACUAGUAAUCAAGGCGACUGUGACGGGUAAAGAGUUCCAACGGAUACUAGUGGACACAAGUAGCUCGGUCGACAUACUCUUUAAAUCGACCUUGGAUGAAAUGAGAAUUGCAUACCUAAAGUAGGAACGCACGAACACAUCCUUAAAAGGAUUUGGAAGAGGAUGGCCGACUCCCAUGGGGAUCAUUGAGCUACCGAUUACUAUAGGCUCAAAGCCGUUUGAAAAAACAGUGAUGCUGAAUUUUGUUGUUGUAGAAGAAAAAAGCCCCUACCAGAUAAUACUUGGGCGACCAUUUAUGAGGGUAAGCCAAUGCGUCAUAUCCACGCAUUACCUGACGUUGAAGUAUAGAGUGAACGGGGUGGUGGGCGUGGUGAAAGGUGACCAAAUGAUGGCAAUGAGUUGCUAUGCUACAGCUGCCAAAGAGACCUUACAAGUUACUGCGCUUGAUAGCCGAAGGGAUUCCAAGAAGGGUCGCCAGGAGCCAGCUGAGACUCUGGAGGAGGUGGUAGUGAACCAGGAUGAUCCGAGCAUAAUAGUAAAGAUCGGGUCCAGCUUGAGCGAGGCAAUAAAGGACGGGCUGGUAAAGUGCUUAGUCUCAUGCAAACAUAUUUGCUUGGUCGCAUGAAGACAUGCCAGGAAUUGAUCCCGGGAUUGCUUGCCAUAAGUUAGCAAUUAAAAAAGGGGCUAAGCCGGUGAGACAGAAAAGCAGGUGUUUUAACCAAGAGAUGUACGGGGCCAUAAAUGUCGAGGUGAAAAAGUUGUUACGAGUAGGUUUUAUUAGGGAAGCCAGAUAUCCAGAGUGGAUUUCUAAUGUGGUACCGGUAAAGCAGGCAAACGGAAAGUGGAUGAUGUGUGUGGAUUUUACGGACCUCAAUAAGACAUGCCCAAAAGAUGGUUUCCCUUUGCCAAAGAUAGACCAACUGGUUGACUCAACGGCUGAGCACAGCCUGCUCAGUUUUAUAGAUGCAUUUUCUGGAUACUACAUUCAUCACUAACAUGUGUUUGUUCUAUUACAGAGUGAUGUCAUUCGGUUUAAAGAAUGCAGGAGCCACUUACCAGAGAUUGGUAAAUAAAAUCUUUAAACCACUGAUCGAACGCACAAUGAAAGUGUACGUGGAUAACAUGAUCAUAAAGUCCAAGAACUCAACAGAUCAUGUGCAGUAUUUAGAAGAAACCUUUGAGCCACUGAAGAAGUACAAAAUGAAACUAAAUCCCGAGAAGUGCGUAUUUGGGGUUAGCCCAGGUAAGUUCUUGGAAUUCCUGGUGAGUCAUCGAGGAAUAGAGGCCAACCUAGAGAAAAUACGGGCAGUAGUAAAGAUUAAGUCCCCUCGAAUAGUCAAAGAGGUGCAAAGCCUCAUGGGGAAGAUGGCAACAUUGAACCGAUUCAUUUCAAGGGCCACGGAUAAAUGCCACAAUUUCUUCCAAAUUAUGAGGAAAAGAAGAAAAAUAUAGUGGACAGCGAAAUGCGAUAAUGCAUUUAGGCAGCUGAAGGAGUAUCUCGCCCGUGCCCCAUUGUUAUCAACUCCAAGGGAGGGCGACAAGUUAUAAUUGUAUUUGGUUGUCUCCAAGUGGGCUACUAGUUCGGUGUUGGUUAGAAAGAUGAAGGAGAGAAACAUCCAGUGUACUGCACUAGUAAAGCCUUGGUGGACACAGAGGCUAGGUAUCUCGCGAUGGAGAAAUGGGCACUGGCCUUGGUAACAACUGCGCGUAAGCUCAUACCAUAAUUCCAAACGCACCCAAUAAUUGUAAUGACUUAUCAACCUUUUCGACAAACACUCCUAAAACCAGACACAUCUAGUUGCUUAGUUAAAUGGUCAGUGGAGCUGAGCGAGUUUGACAUAACCUACCGACACCAAGGAGCCAUCAAAGCACAAGCCCUGGUCGACUUUAUGACGGACUAUACAGAGCCUGGUGAAGAGGUUCACGAGGAUCAACCAACUGAAAAAGAAAAGCCACGAGGGGUAUGGUUAAUAAUGGUUUAUGGGUCACGUAGUAAGCAAGGAUCGGGAGCAGAGGUGGUGAUACGGAGUCCAGAGGGGACCGAGGUCUCUUACACAGUGAAGUUUGAGUUUCAGCUCAUGAAUAAUCAGGCAGAGUACGAAGCCUUCAUUACUGGGCUUAGGCUAGCGCAUGCAUUACAAGUAAAAAGGGGCGAGAUCUGAGCAGAUUCUCAGUUUGUCUGUAAUCAAUUUAAUGAGUAUUUUCAGGCAAAAUGAGAGAAUAUGAAGCUUUAUUUGAAGAAGACAAAGCAGAUGAUUGGGAUAUUUCGAGAGGUUAAAAUAAAGCAAAUAGCAAGGACAGAAAACUAUUGAGCAAAUAUGCUAGCCAGAAUUGCUGCAACUGCAGAUCCGAAGUUGCCCAAUCAAUCCCACUGGAAGUGAGAACUUCGUCAAGCAUUGGGGUAGAAGCAGAAGUAAUGGGGGUGGAUGAUGGAAUAUUGUUAGGUCCCAGUCAGAUGCAGCUAACGAUUACAAGUAGUGCUAGUGAUAUUAUUUCUGCUUGUGGUGAGAAAUAACCAAUUAAUUGCAGUUUGAAAUCUCAAUGCCUUUAUUCAUAUUCUGGAGCUUAUUUAUAAUCACAAGACCUUGAUUUUCAACCUACAAUCACGGCUGAAAUCAAUAAAAGCAAAUAUUAAAAUAACGACUUAGCUAAUAUUUCGUAAAAGAUAAUCAAAAGCAACUUGAUAAGGUUAUCCCAAAAGCAACUUGAUAAGGUCAUCCCAAAAUCACGGCUCCAGUACUCAUCUUUACAAUUUCCACACGUGAAACUGCACAUGCAUGUGUCAUGCAUGGCUUGCAUGGUUUCCACACGUGAAACUGCACAUGCAUGUGUCAUGCAUGGCUUGCAUGGGAAUCAACUUAUGCUCUCACAUAAAAUACUUAUGGUUUGGCUUUGGCAUUCUUCCAGAUCUUCGUGGCUCAUGCACUUGCUUUUUAUCAUUGCCUCCGCCACGAAGAAUACCCUUGUCCUCAAGGGUCGGAUGAGGGAAUUGCUGGCACAACAUUGUGGCAUCCUCCCAUGUUGCGUCUUUAGCCGGUAUUUUUUCCAGCAAACUAGAUUCUGCUCGAUCACUUUACCUCCUCUCUUCACCCAACGUGUGUCAAGGAUAGCUUCAGGGUUCAUGAUCACCGAGCCUUCAUCAUCUACAGGUGGUAAAUCGACACUGUUACUAAGGAAAUCACCCAUGGCUUUCUUAAGCAAAGAGACGUGAAACACCGGGUGAAUUCGAGCAUUCUCUGGUAAUUGCAGUUCGUAGGCUACGGCUCCUACUUUGCGAAGAACUAAAUACGGCCCAAAGUACCUGCAAGCUAAUUUAUAAUGUGCCCUUCUGAACACUGAAGUCUGCCGAUAGGGCUGCAACUUUAAUAACACCAUAUCUCCCUGUUUGAACUCAACGUCGCGGCGACCCUUGUCAGCUAUUUGCUUCAUCCUGUUAGCUGCUGCGGCUAAGUUUUUCUUUAAUUGUAAGAGCAGUUCAUCAGGCGAAUGUAGGGCUUGAUCAACCUCAUGCACCGGUGAGGAACCAAGUUGAUACAUGGGCACGGCUGGAGGUGGUCUUCUAUACAAAGCUUGGAAUGGAGUCAUUCCGAUGGAGACGUGGAAUGUGGUGUUGUACCAAAAUUCUGCCCACGACAAAAAAGAAUGCCACUUUCUCGGCCAUUGGUGAACAAAACAUCUCAAGUACUGUUCCAAGCAUCGAUUAGUUACCUCCGUUUGGCCGUCGGUUUGCGGGUGGUACGCCGGGCUCAUUUUGAGUUUGGUGCCGAAUAAAUUGAAGAACUCUUGCCAAAAUCUGUUGAUGAAUAUAGGUCUCGGUCGCUAAUGAUUGAUUUGGGCAUGUCGUGCAGCUUCACUACUCCCUCAAUAAAUUUUUCUGCCACUGUUUUUGCUAAGUAAGGAUGAGAAAGAGCUAUAAAAUGUGCUGAUUUACUCAAUCGAUCUACCACCACCAAAAUAGCAUUCUUCCCUUGUGAGCAAGGUAAAGCUUCCAUAAAGUCUAGUGUAAUAUCAUCCCACACCUGACACGGGAUUGGCAGAGGCUGGAGAAGUCUUGCCGGCUUGAGCGUUUCUGCCUUUGUUUGUUGACAAGUUGCACAUUUACUCACGUAUUCACGCAUAGUUUAGAACAUGGAUGGCCAGUAGAACUGUUGUGAUAAACGUUUGAAUGUGCGAAGAAUUCCAGAGUGACCUCAUUGAAGCUUCAUCAAAUGUGACAUCUCUGCUAUACACAAAUUUUUUGCCUUCGAGAUCCCAAAGCUUGAAGCCCUUUACUCCACUUUUGAAUCCCACAAAGAUAGCUUUUCUAAAACGAAUAUCCAGUUUACCAUCUUUGACAUGAUAAUAAGCUAGAUACCCGAAUAUACGAAGGGAAUCAUAGUCUUGUGUAUGCUUUCCAGACCACAUUUCCAUAGGAGCUUUACCUCCAAUUGUAGCAGAAGGCAACCGGUUUACCAAAUCACUUACGUAGCUCACAGCUUCAGCCCAAAAUUUUUAUCUAAACCAGCAUUAGAUAACAUACACCGUACCUUCUCCAGUAAAGUACGAUUCAUACGCUCAGCCACACCGUUCUGUUGCGUAGUAUAUCUCACCGUGAAAUGUCUUUUAAUACCCUCGUUCUGGCAUACUUGCAAGAAUGGAUCAGAAGUAUAUUCACCCCCAUUAUCAAAUCGUAAUACUUUGAUCUUUUUGCCAGUUUGAGUCUCCACCAAUUUCUUUCAUUUCACGAAAAUCUCUAGAACCUCAUCCUUUACUCGUAGGGUGUACACCCACAUACGUCUAGAGAAAUCAUCAAUAAAAGUAACAAAAUAAUGGCUUCCACUAAUUGAUGCAGUCUUGGUUGUUCCUCAUAUAUCACUAUGAACAUAUUCAAGGAUCUCACGAGUAUCGUGAUUAGCUGUACCAAACUUGACCAUUGUUUUCUUGCCUACUACAUAAUGCUCACAGAAAUUUAAUUUACAGGUUUUGGUACUUUUUAAGAGUCCAUGCCUCAUCAGAGUUUGCAAAGACUUCUCUCCAGCAUGUCCCAAUCGUACAUGUCAUAGCUUGAUGGUGUCACUGUGCGCCUCAACAAUAUUUGCUUCAUCAGUUGAACCUCCCUUUAAAUAGUACAGAUUGUGACGCCGAACCCCUUGCAGAAUCACCAUAGCUCUAUGUGUAAACUUCAUUAUACCAUCUUCAAUGGUAACCUUGUAGCCUUUAGCUUCCAAAGCACCCACAGAAAUUAGAUUUUUCUUUAAAGCUUGAACAAAUCUAACCUCUUUGAGUUCUCUGACCAUUCCAUCAAACAUUUUGAGCCGAAUUGUUCCUAUCCCCAUUGUGCGACAAGGUUGAUCAUUCCCUAUUACAACUACACUGGAUUUCAGAUUACGAAAAUCCGUAAACCAUUCCUUAAUAGGACAAAUGAUAGGUUGCUCCAGUAUCAAGUAUCCACUCACUCAAACUAGCCACAUAUGCUGCAGGAGUAAUACUUAGUGAAUAAUCAGAGCCCUCAUCUUUCCGUGCCAUGUUUGCUGCUGGUGUUUUUUUCACAUCUCUCUUUUGAGCCUUUGGACAGUCUUUCCUCCAAUGGCCCUUUUCAUGACAAAAGGCACACUCGUCUCGAGCUAUAUUUCUGCUUCUCGAUUUGGAUCAAUAAUUCUUUCCACCACGCUUCUUCUGUUUCUCCAUCGCCCAAUCUCUGCUCACCAAAGCUUCAGACGAUGCUCGUUCAGAAUUUUUAUCAUUAUUCCGAAUCUCCAAGUUAGUCAAUGCUGUGCAAACAUCUUUGAAAACGAUCACACUCUUCCCAUAUAUCAAGGUAGUCACAAAAUGACUAUAUUCCUCUAGUAGUGAAUGUAAUAGAAUCAUAGCCUUAACUUCAUCCUUAAUAUCUUCAUCAAGAUUCUUCAAAUCAGCAAGUAACUUUUCAAAUCUUGAGACAUGAUCGUGCAUUGACACCCCAGACUUCAUUCGAAAGCCAUAUACUUGGCUCAUUGCAUGAAGGCAAUUUUCAGGACUUUUUAGCAGGUACUUCUCCUCCAAUGUACGCCACAAAGUCACCGCACACUCCUCAUCUUUCACCAAGUAUUUCACCUCCUUGGUUAAACAAGAUCUGAUCUGACCACAAGCUUUCUCGUUCAUACGAUCCCAAAUUUCUUCAUCAUACAAGUGUCUUUUAUUUUUCAGAACAACAUCGAGAUCAAUUUGAAUAAGGGCACCUAUAACUUCGCGCCUCCACAUGCCGAAGUUGAUUUUCCCAUCAAACUUUUCAAUAUCGAUCUUUUGACCUCCUAUAACAGGUGCUGAAUAGCGAUUUGACAAAUCUCGCCUCCCACCUGAAGUGUCUCCUGAAAUGGUCUCGGUAGAUCUCUCCCCAAUUCUUGAAGUUUCACCUUCUACCAUUUUCUCAAUGAAUUAUUUCCACUUGAAAAACAGUCUCUAUGAUGUUAAUUUCGUGUGAAUAAAUGCACCAGAAAAGUUCUUAGGAGACUGGACGGGAACUCGGUCCCAAUUAAAAACCAGAAUCCUUAAACUCUUAUCGCCUUUGUUGACAGAACUUUCCUAGACAUGCAAAAAUACACACUACUUACAAUAGACUGUCUCCCCAAGUACAAAUGGUCGUCUCCACUGUAUUCGUGAACAAUACCGUAUACGUGAACAAUUCCGUAUCCCCCAAGUACGAACCGUCAGCUCUGAUACCACUUGUUGUGCGCGGAAUGCGGAAUCAAGCGCACCAAAUAAUUACUGAAAAAUAAAGGACACAAAAUUUACAUGGUUCGGUAAUUAAACCUACAUCCACGAAGGUAAGAAAGAAUAUUUGUUUAAUUUACAAUUAAUAAAGUACAAAUAUUUGAGUAAAGAAAACUUACUUUCUCAUAACCCAAAUAUACCCAGUACUCUCACACUCUACAGGAAAGAUAAAUUCCCCAUACACACUUCUCUCACUUCUCUCAAAAGCUUAGAAACUUAUAAGCUUAACAAUUUUGGGAUGCUAAACAAAUGAAGAAUGCUUAGUUAUGUAUAGGGAAAAUGUUGGCACUAUUCAUGAAACAAAUAUCAAGAAAAAACCGCGUUCAAAACGCGUUUAAAACGCGUUCAAACCGUGUGCAAAAAGUCCACACGGUUUUGACUUGACUUUUCAACAAAUAGUAAGAUAAUAGUGGCUACACGCAAUUCACAUGUUGCAUCAACAAUGGGACCGAUUCAACACUAUAAUCUAAAGGCUCUAUCAAAUGAAGAUUGCUGGUCUGUAUUCCUGAUGCGCAUGUAAUGAUAGGGAUAUUGUUGAACAUCCAAUUUCAGAAUUAUUUCGCGAGAAAGUUGUUGCAAAGUGCGGAGGUUUACCUUUAGCAGCGGCGACUCUUGGCGGCCUUUUACGCUUCAGGAGACUAGAUGCAUGGGAUGCAUUAUUGAACAGCAAUAUAUUGGCUGAUUUACCUCAACAAAGCGACAUUCACCCUGUGUUAAGAUUGAGUUAUCAUUAUCUGCCUUUUCAUUUGAAGAGAUGCUUCGCUUAUUGUGCAAUUUUUCCAAAGGAUUAUGAAUUCACGGAGAGGGAAGUGGUUUUGUUGUGGAUGGCUGAAGGCAUUAUUCAACAAUCAAGAAAGGAUAAGGAGUUGGAAGAUUGGGGCAGCGAGUGUUUUCAUGAUCUAGUGUCACGGUCAAUUUUUCAACCGUCAAGUAGUGACAGCUCUAAAUUUGUGAUGCAUAACCUUGUCCGUGAUCUUGCUCAACUGAUUUCUAGACAAAUCAUUUUCAACUUAGAUGAGGCCAAUAGGUCAUCAAGAAGAUUGGAAAGGGUUCGCCAUUCUUCGCACUCCCGGGGUUGGUUUGAGGGUAAAGAUAAGUUUGAGUUCCUUUAUGAGGUGAAACAUCUGCGAACAUUCUUGCCUAUUUACGCGAGAGGUGGUGCUGACUAUAGGUUUAUAAGAGCUGCAGUUCCAUAUUAUUUGCUGCCAAAGUUAAGAAAGUUGAGGGUGCUAUCUUUGCAACAUUACUAUGUCACUGAAUUACCUAAUUCAAUUGCAGAUUUGAGACUUUUAAGGUGCCUCAACCUUGCUGGCACUGCUAUCGAAAGUUUACCCGAGUCAACAAGCUCAAUGUUGAAUUUAGAAAUUUUGAUAUUAAAAGACUGUACAAGUCUAAGAAAGUUGCCAACCAAAAUGAGAAAAUUGAUUAAUUUACGUCAUCUUGACAUAGAAGGUGCAAAUUUACUUACAGAGAUGCCUUGGGGAAUGAAGGAGCUGAAGAAUCUCAGGAAGUUGUCUAAUUUUAUUGUGGGAGACUGUGGUUCUAGGUUGAAAGAUUUGAAGAAUUUGAAGUUUCUUCGUGGAGAACUUUGCAUCUCAGGAUUACAUAAUGUGCAUGAUUCACAGGAUGCAAGAGAAGCCAUGUUAUGCGAGAAGCAGAAUCUAAAAGCAUUAUCGUUGCAAUGGGGUACUCAAUAUCAAAAAGAUUUUAAUAAGCGGAUGAUGAGCUCCUAUUCGUCGCUAUUCAUGUCUCAAAUUGUCAUAUCAAGAGCUGAAGAAGUAGAAGAAAAUGUUCUUGACAUGCUGCAACCUCAAAAAGAUUUAAAAGAGCUGACAAUUAGUCGUUAUGGUGGUGUAAGAUUUCCAUCCUGGGGAUGGAGGUGGUUUAAAUUCGAAAAUUGUGAAAAUUGCACAUCUUUGCCGGCGCUUGGGUUGUUGAGUUCACUUAAACAUCUUGUUGUUAAAGGGUUGAAGAAAUUGAAAAGCAUUGGUGCUGAGUUUUAUGGAGUGAGUGGCUCAAAUCCUUUUCAAUCACUGGUGACUCUCUGCUUCGAGGAUUUGCCGGAAUGGGAGUAUUGGGACACCAAACUCGAAAAAAAUGGCGCUGUUGCAGGAUUCUCUAGCCUUUGUGAACUUUCCAUUGUAGAAUGUCCCAAAUUCAGUGGAAAAUUGCCGGAGCAUCUGCCUUCAUUGGAGAAACUUCUUGUUAGUAAAUGUGGAGAGUUGGUAGUUUCAUUCUCAAGUCUUCCGAAGCUCUGCAAAUUAGAAGUUGAGGGAUGCAAAGGACUUGAGUGCGGCAAUCCGAUUGACUUAAAGUCGAUCGAGUCAAUGACUAUUUCAAAUAACUCUUUACAAAUAAAUGGAUGCAAAGGGAUCACAUCUAAUGAUUGUCCAGUUGCUGAGUCUAAAUCUCCACCAAACUCGGUAACUGUUAUUUCAAAUCUUUUGGAGUUUGGAAAAUUUUUAAACCAAGGAUUUCAGCUAGUAGAGGCUUUGUGGAUUGGCGAUUCUCAACAGAUCAAGUCAUUGGGGGACUGUCCACAACAACAAUUUCGGAAGCCAGAACAAGGGCUGCAUGUUAUCACCUUCCCUGAAGCAGUAUCUAUUGAAGAAAGUUGCGAGAGUCUGGUUUUAUUUCCAGAUAUCAAAUUUUUUCACAAUAAUCUGCGAUCUCUUAAAAUUGGAAAGGCCAGAGCUUUGAAAUCCUUGGCUAUGAUGGGCAACAGUUCACAACUGGAAAGCUUAGUUAUCAGCAAUUGUGAUCCUCUAACAUUCGUUGCAAGUCGCAAGCUACCUUCAUCUCUUAAAAGGCUUGAGAUAGAGAAUUGUAUGAACUUGCAGCAUUUAGUGGAUAGUGAAGAGGAUUCUUUUACUUCUUCAUCGUCUUCUUCAUCAGUGGCGUUGAAACACCUCAGUAUAAAGCUUUGCCCUGAGCUCAUCAGUUUAUCCUCAGGAAUCCAGUUACUUGAGGCCCUUGAAGAACUCCAAGUAAGCGGAUGUCAAAAGCUGGAGACUAUACCCGAUAGCCUGCACAAUUUAAAGAGCCUUUGUAUAGACGGGUGUCCAAGUCUUGUUUCCUUGGGAGAAAGAAGGCUUCCCGAAAGCAUUUCAAGCGUCGAAAUUCGCAGAUGUGAGAAGCUUGGAGCCCUGCCCAGUGACAUGCACAAACUCAACUCUCUUCAAGAUUUAGACAUAAGGGAAUGUCCGUGCAUUGUAUCGUUUCCAGAAGAAGCUUUUCCCACCAAUCUAACAUCACUUGCUAUUGGAGGAGAUAUGAAAAUGUUGUAUAAGGGGCUCGUUCAAUGGGGGUUGCACAGGCUUACCUCUCUUAUAUGGCUCUUGAUUGAACGAUGUGAUGAAUCAGAGUGUUUUCCAGACGGGAUGAUGGGAAUGACAUUGCCCACCUCUCUAGUUCACUUGAACAUUGUGGAAAUCCAAAAAUUGAAAAACCUAUCUUCUUCUUCAUUGGGUUUCAAAGCCUCACUUCUCUUCGACGUUUGUCGAUACAGGAUUGCCCAAAUCUGACCUCAUUUCCAAACGUUGGCCUUCCAUCCUCGCUUUUGGACUUAUCCAUAUUCAAUUGCCCAAAUCUCACCUCAUUGCCAAAGGUUGGCCUUCCAUCCUCCCUUUUGGAGUUAACCAUAUUCGAUUGCCCAAAGCUAAGAAAAGAGUGCAAAAGGGAUAAAGGAAAAGAGUGGUCCAAGAUUGCCAACAUCCCCAUGUUUUUAAUAGACGAUACAGAUUCAGAGAAGGAGUAGAGACUCCUGUAUAACAACAAAACAAGGUCAGUAGAUUCCUACAAUCCACUUCAACAUUCUCUUUUCACUCUCCACGUUGUUUAAUGAAUCCUCUUCAUGCCUUGGUUAAAUUCAAUUUAAAAUGCUUCUUUGCCACUUUCUAUUUCAUUUUCACAUAUCAUCCAAUGUAGAGUGGUGGUUUGUAAAGAAAAUUAUAUAGUAGUACCUUUACGCUCUACUGUGCUCAAAAUUAUAAAUUUUACAUAUGCUUUUUGUUUUUUAAAUUUAUUUUGUUUAUGUUAAUUAUUUUAAGAAAUUUUGUAGCUUAGUCAAAUUAAUAUUGUUCCUAAUUGCAGAUUGAUAUGACUGCUUGGAAAGGCACCCCUUCAGUUCUUACUCAUUACAGAGUUAUGAAACCAGACAAGCCAGCCGGAAAGGAUGACUUAUCUUGAAGUAGCUCCAGAACCCACCCGUUGGCAGAUAUGUUUGUAAGUAGCUCAAGCAGUAAAGAACUAAAGCUUAAUCUAAAACUAAGACUCUUACCUGUAUUAGAAUUACAAUAUAAAUAAUAAUUAUUUACAUCAUAAAACCACGUAAUUCCCAUGAAUUUGGAAAGAGAUAGCAUACAAACAGAAUUUAAUUAAGAUUAAGAAGAACAAAAAUAAUGCUACCAAACCAGCAUGCAUAAUAUGUACUACUGUCGCUUUCAAUUGCAAUUUAAAAAAAGGAGAAAACACCAAUUUAACAAAAUUUGAUGGCAAUUUGCAGAGGGAAUAGGGAGAAGAAUAAGAGGAGCUUCGGCAUUUGAGACCAUCAAAGCUGUGCUGACAAAGCUGAAACUACUAGUUUGUGAAAGGAGUUUUGAGGAUCGCAAUUCAAGUGCUUUCGAAAUUGAGACAAAUCUGGUGGGAAUAUAUACUGAUUAAGAAUUUGUAAAGCCAAUGCCUCAAAAUGAUGCAGAGCAACAGAUACUGAUGUUUGUUGUUUGACUUCCAACAGCUCAGUGCAAGAGAAAAGGAGAAGACUUUCAUGCAAUGAAAAUAAUCGUGGAAAAGGGAUAUUGCAGAUAGAAAUCUUUCAAUUUAGGAUUUUUUUAAAGUCUGAAAAAAUUAUUAAACCGUAUGGUUUAGUAGUACAAUAUCAUAAUACUAUUGAACCACACGGCUUAACAACUUUCUCUGACUUUAAUAAAGUUCAGGAUCUUAAACCAGAGCGGGGCUAUAUUGCAGAAGCAUCUAAAGAGAGAGUUAACAAAACUAAGCAAACUGGGAGGUGCACUUCCUUCCAAGCCUUCUGUGAAGAUGGCUGGUGAAUCAAAUUGAUUCUCCAGAAACGACAUCGUUUGAGGCUUAAGAAGCUUUAUGAAGUCACGUGCUGCUCAUUUGCUUAUAACAGAAAACAGAUUUUACAAAACGACGUGCAAAACAUGCGUUUUGGGUCAGCAGCUUAAGUAACCACGUGAGGAAGCAUGCGUUGGAGCUUGGUUUCAGUUAGUUAAGUUUGUUAACCACGUGUCAACAAACUGUACAGUCUGGAAAUAAGCCUGCUAUUAAAACACAGUAUAAAGGCUGGUUUUCGAUUGCCAUCUGGAAAAUGAUUGUAGAAAAAGAUUUGAGAGAGAGAAAGUGUCAUAUUGUACUCUGUAAAAUCUUGUAUAAGGUUCUGAAACUGUCUCCACAGCUGAAUCAAUAAAAGCUCAUCUAAAGGCUUCUCCUGUGUAUGUUUGUUUGGUUUAUGUUCUUUACUAUUUCUUGAUCGAUUCUUGUAGUUGCGUAGGUUGUGAUUUGAUCUGUUCAGUCUUGUAUUUUUGCAACUUCAAUUAGUUUUGGUCAAAGAGAUCUUGGGAGUGAUCAGUUUUGUUUAGAACCAAGAACAAACUGAUUACUACACCUUCCUUGUUCACCACACAGUUCCUGUGAGUACUUCCAAUUGAUGUUGACGCAAAACAUUCCCUUACUGUAAUUAAAGAUUGCAAUUUUGAAGCAAUGUAAUGGCUUCUUGAUGUAAACCUUUAAACUGAUAGGACAUACACAGUAGGGUUACUGGAUGUUGUACCAACUCCAAAAUUCAAGGAGAACUUUGCUUCCCGUACAGCGCCAAGAGCUGUUCUGCACUGAUUCAAUCAGCAAAAAUGACAAGGCAAAUUACACCAUCAAGCUCGACUUCGAGAGUACUCAGAUCAGUUACCCAUUUCUUCAACUGUGAAUAUCAUGAUUGUGGCUAGCAGUGAAGACGGGGGAUGUCCCUGGAAAAUCUUGAGAAAAAAAAUGCAGACAUGAUACACAACACUUGAUCUAACUUCUGGCCAUUGCUUUACAAGCAUGUUUGUUUAUGCAAAGCUUCAGAAGUUAAAGACUACUUACGCUGCGGCGCCGCUUCAUGGAUGCUGUUUGAAUUCCAGUAGCAAAUGAGAACUUUAGCACCAUCAUCCGGUUUAGAUGACACCAUGACAUUGAUGAACUCACUGUUGUCAUCAACUUCGAAAUGCUGCAAAUGCUAUGAUGGCAGACAAAUAACUGUUGUAAUUGCUAAUUCAUCUUGUAUUAACAAUAUUUGCUAGUGAUUGAUUCGUAGCAUCUUUCUAAGAAAGAAAAUUUACUUGAAACAAGUUGAUGAAGAAAUAAGUUUCAUUUAUUUAUGUUAGUUAAUCACAUUCGUUAACUCAUGUUAUGCUUAUACAAUUUGUUGAUGCCCAAAUCUGAUCUAGUCUAUUAGCGACUUAAUAUCAGACUUCUACCCCAGCAUUAGAUUUAUUUGGUAGAGAAUCGAUUGGUCAAUCGUCUAGAUAUCCUGCAACCACUGGUGAUUAACCUGCGAAUACCUGAAAUCAUAGAAGACAGUCAGAGGCGCCGGAAGUUUUUCCGGCGUGAACCCUCCGACGCUCAAGUCAGUUUCUGGGCCUUUGCCAAAAAACUUGUGCCACCACUCAUAUGGCUUAAUAAACAUUGCCUUAAAAACCAAAAGUUUUUUGAGUCCUUUGCAGAAAAAAUGAAAUAGAGUGUAAAAGAAAGGAUUUUCCCUGAGAGGAAGAGGGCAAAAAAAAAAAACCCCCCAGUAGGAGAGAGAAAAAAGAAAUAAAUAAUCCCCCCUAGCUAACUCCCCACUCCCCUCUUUCCCCCCUUGUUCUCUCCCACUUUCGGAAGUUAAGGAUGAGGUAAAAGUAAUGCCCCCACUCUCCUUUUUUUCCUCUUUUUUUCUGUUACCAAACACCAGUCCCCUAGUUUCUAGUGUUGAGAGUUUUAACGAAUCAAGACUGGAAACUAUAUAAAUUUUAAAGUGACCUCGAGGUGGUUGCCAUAAAUCGGCCCGGGAUUGCUAAAAUUAACCUUGACAUUAACAAAAAAGUUUCAAGUUUUAAACUUUUACAUGCCUUUAAAUAUACCAUUUUCCUACUCACAUAAUCAUGUAAAGCAGGUUUCAUAAGUUCAUGUAUUUAUCUCACUUGAAGUAGGUUUUAAGACUUAGUCAUUUAUCUGCUUUAGAACAUUUUUCGCUCAUAUAACUCUUGCUCGCGUAAUCCUAGUCGGGCAAGAGCAGGCAAACUUUGACUUCGUCUCACAGCGAGGAGGUUUGGAGACUAUAAGCCUUUUACGUGUAGUACCUUUUUCUUUUUUUUCUGCUCGCCUUCACAUGGUCGAGCAAAUUCUGGCAAGCUUGACUUCUUGUCUCACCAUCCAGCAGGCUUUAAGACUUUGAAGCCUUUUGCGUGCCUUAGAAACUUUCUUGGGAUUUUUUAUCUAUGCUCGCCUUCACAUGGUCCAGCAGAUUUUGGCGAGCUUGGCUUCCUGUCUCGCCAUCGAGGAGGAUUUGAGACUUGUGGAGCCUUUACUUGCCUUAGAAACUUUUUUUUUUUAAAUUCUCAUUGUCUGCUCGCCUUCACAUGGUCGAGCAGAUUCUGGCGAGCUUGGCUUCCUGUCUCGCCAUCGAGGAGGAUUUGAGACUUGUGGAGCCUUUACUUGCCUUAGAAACUUUUUUUUUUUAAAUUCUCAUUGUCUGCUCACCUUCACAUGGUCGAGCAGAUUCUGGCGAGCUUGGCUUCCUGUCUCGUCAUCGAGGAGGCUUUGAGACUUUGGAGCUUUUGCGUGCCUUAGAAGAUUUUUGGUGGUCUGCCCGCCUUCGCUUGGUCGAGCAAAUCCUGGCAUGCUUGGCUCCCUGUCUCGCCAUAAAACAAACUUUGAAACUUUGGAGCCUUUUCGUGCCUUAGAAGAUUUUUGGAACUUUUGCGGUCUGCUCGCCUUCGCUUGGUCGAGCAGAUCCUGGCAUGCUUAGCUUCCUGUCUCGCCAUAAAACAGGCUUUAGACUUUGGAGCCUUUGAAUGCCUUAUCAGUAAACUUUGAUUGGUUUCUCAACGCUAACCUAGCUCUCCUUUCUUAAAUCAUUCUCAUAUUGAGUAACUUUCAAGAAAUCAAGUUAACUAAGUUAUACCGUCAGCCCUAAUAUGAGCACAAUCAAUUUAAUGAAUAUAAGGUAUCCUCAUCUCACAUAGCAGGAUUUAGAGAAAUAAUUGAUUUUUCAUAGAAAAAACUGGUUGUACAUAUAACUUCUAACAUGUUUUGAUUCCUACAAACGUGUGACUUCAAUGUGCUCUUAUUUGAGGUUUUUGCUUUAAAUCCCUAAAUAUGGAUAACCAUCAAAAAUUUAAUUUCUGACGUGUAACGUAUAACUUGUCCAGAAAAUAGCUCACAUUUACAACUUGUGCUUUAGCUAUUUAUAUAUGUUUGGGCCUUUGAUGGACAAACAUCCUUGGUGUUUUUAUUACCAUCUAUAAUAUUUGGUUAGCAAUAUUAUUAAAGACCUUUGCUAAAGGUGCAAAGCACCAUUUACUAACACUAUAGAUAUUGAAAUUUAUAUAUAAAAUAAACCAUAUUAUAUAAAAUAUGUAAUCAACAAAUAAAUGGUAAUAUAAAAGUUUAAGCAAAGUCAUAUCAUUGUAUCAAGGAAAUACGAUCUCAUGCUAACCCAAGUUCCAUCAAUCCUUCGGUCAAGCAUGUUGUGUGCUAAUAUAUGACUAUGCUAUAUAUUCUAUAAUAUGUAAUCUUAACUAUUUUCUAUUAACGACUUAAUAAGUAAAAACCCCAUCCAUCAGAUUUUUGAAGUCAGGUAGCGGAUUUAAAGGAUAAAUAUAAAACUGAGGUUUUAGAACAAGUGCACCUGAGAUUGCGCUCUGCAUUAUUUCAUUGGUACUUCAUCAAACAAAUCCCGAGCUUGACUCUGCUUUGCUCCCUUCUUAGAAUUAUUCUGGAUUUUAGUCCUUGGCUCUUGCGCAAUGUUCUAUUGAGCGUCACUCCCUGUAAUUUCAGUUGCAGCCUUUGUUUUCCAGUCCAAUUAAUCUCACCAUCUUGAUUGUUCCUCUGUAGAGUCUUAAGCUUGCUCUUUACAAUUUGAGGCUGCGAUUUAUUUAUUUUUUAUUCUGUCAGUCAUUUUGUCGAACACUUACUGUGCGUGAUCUCGUAUCACCACUUUUAAUAAAUAUCAUCUGAAACCUGUUUCUGAAAUUACAAACUCACAUAUCUCUGCAUCCAAUUAGUAAUUAAAUCUCGCUCGAAAUGAUUAAACCCAUCAAAAUGCAUGCUGAAACCGUGGCAUAAUCCGAUUGGGAAAGUGGUUAAAAUCUUAAUAUCGAAACUUGUAUGCGUGCAAGACUUUAAUGGUAAGCACAUGAUCAGCAGUUGACUAUAAACCAACAAGCAUGUGGCCACUAGUUUGUGAUAUGAUUUCAUAUAUUCAGUAUAUGUAUUUUUUAAAUCUAUCCUCUAUAAUCAAUUUCUCAUGCUCAUGAAAGCCAAAUCACAAUUGAUCAUUUGAUGCAAUAUAUCAUGCGCACAAACAAAUAAAUUGAAAGUAAUUGCAGUAAUUUAAUUGGAAAUACAAGUGGAGAUGAAUAUGUGACAGAUUUUACCGAUCUGAAGCUUCUAAAUGCCAACAUUGGGUUAGUUUUUUACCGAUUCGCUUCGCUUCUUUCACGUGAGUUCAGAAAUAAAAGACAGGUUGCUUCAAUUCACACAUGAUAAUAUUUUGCCUUCGCUUUGGCUAGAUGAAAGUUGAUAGAGAUAACAAAUUGGCUUCUUGUAUCAAUCCCCACAGACGACGCCAAAUGUUGAUGCCCAAAUCUGAUCUAGUCUAUUAGGGAUUUAAUAUCAGACUUCUACCCCAACAUUAGAUUUAUUUGGUAGAAAAUCGAUUGGUCAAUCAUCUAGAUAUCCUGCAACCACUGGCGAUUAACCUGCGAAUACCUGAAAUCAUAGAAGACAGUCAGAGGCGCCGGAAGUUUUUUCGGCGUGAACCCUCCGACGCUCUAGUCAGUUUCUGGGCCUUUGCCAAAAAACUUGUGCCACCACUCAUAUGGCUUAAUAAACAUUGCCUUAAAAACCAAAAGUUUUUUGAGUCCUUUGCAGAAAAAUGAAAUAGAAUGUAAAAGAAAGGAUUUUCCCUGAGAGGAAGAGAGCCAAAAAAAAAAAAACCCCCCAGCAGGAGAGAGAAAAAAAUAAAUAAAUAAUCCCCCCUAGCUAACUCCCCACUCCCCUCUUUCCCCCCUUGUUCUCUCCCAUUUUCGGAAGUUAAGGAUGAGGUAAAAGUAAUGCCCCCACUCUCCUUUUUUUCCUCCUUUUUUCCGUUACCAAACACAAUUUUUUUUGUGCCGUCCGCAUAAAAGAUCUUGUUAAACUACCGUUAUUAUAAUUUACAGCACAUCCAAAUUAGGAGGUAAUCCCAACCUCUUGGCCCCUAGCCCAUCCCAUUAACUAAAUCCGACUGUAAAUGAAAGUUUUGAGUUUAGGUCCCCCUCUCCUUUCAUGCCAAACACUAAAAAGAUGUUUGUUGGGCUUGACAAUGCAAAGAAUAUGAAGUAUAUACUGAGAGAAAAGAAAUUUGGAAACUCUACAGAAGAGCUGAAGAGGGGACCAAUUGAUAAAACAGAAACCACUUGUAAUUCUAUCUACAUGUCACUUUCGGCUUUCCAAAACAGUUGUCGAAGCACAAAAACAAAACAAUGUUGAAAAAAAUUCUCCUCUUCUAAAUUGAGUUAAGAACUUCAAAUUAAUUCACACCACAACCCUUAUUCUCACCAAUCAGUCAGAGAAACACACGCAGAUUUAAGAAUUGGUUUAUUCUGAAAGCAUAUGCCUUUGUUUUCAACAAUAAUAUUCCAAAGCAUAUGCUUUUUUCCCCCCAACCCUUUUAUUUAUUUGCUCAUCUAGGCUUCUCAUAUUUUUCUUUCUUCUAGAGUUUUCAAUUUGCUCUGUUAAUUAUUAGCGAUGAUCAUAACCUUUAUUUUUUUAUUUUUUUUUUGUGCAGCUUUGAAUUUGCUUGUUGAUUGUCAUCUAAUCAUUUUCUUUUUCAUCCUAGAAUUUGAAUGAUUAUAUGGUUAGAUGACCAUCAACAAACAUGUUCAUGGUAUUGCAUGGAUUGAUUUUUUUUUGCUUUUGCUUCGGGGUUUAAGCUCCUUUUAAUCUUAUUUUAUUCCUCUCUUCUAAUUUUUUUUUUUUUUAAAGAAAUGAAAAAUCCAAUCCCUAUGAAUUAACAGUCUUCAAAUUGUUUUGCUUUUGUCUUGUUUUAUUGUUUUUUUUUUCUUUUUUAAUGAUAAUAUUAAUUAAAUAUUCCCUUUAAUUAAAGAUUCUCUGUUCACGCGCACUUAUACAGUUGUUUUUGCACCUGUAAAUCCCCCAUGAUGCUCCUUAAGAGCAAAAUAUUUCUAUUGAGUAUUUUACAACUUCUGAAUUCAUCUUUCAUGAAUAAUAAUCGCUAUUGAUUCACAGAAUCUUUAUAAGAAAGAAAAUUUACAUAAAGCAAUUUUCUUUUUCAUUAAAGUAAGUGAUUUUUAUUCACUAGACCUUUAAAUAUUUGUAGCAAUAUUUUGAGUUUUUUUCUUUUUUUUAAAUAUCUGCAUAUUUGUUAAAAAGAAAAUCAGAUCAAUAAUUUUACAUGCAAAGAAUAUUUUGAAAGACCAAAUUUAUUCAAUUUUCUAUGCCGUAAAAAUAAAAAUUAUUUUUUAUAUUUUAGCUGAUUUAAGAAGACCAUAAGAUAUUUAUUUUUUUAAGGUGAACAGACCUUGACCCUUAAGUUUGCUUAAAUGGUGACACUUAUCCUUUUUUACUAUUAUGUUCUUUAAUUAUAUAUAACUAAAUAACUGAAUUAAAAAAAUUUUGAGAAAAAGAGUGAAAUCCCUUGGUGUUUGAUAAAACUAAUUGAAACUCCCCUGGUGUUUUAAGACACAUCUAAAACCCUUUGAGUGUUAAUUUUUUGCUGAUCUUGCUAUUUCACCCUUGAUGAUUCUUUGAUAUUGAGAAUAUGAAUACCUUUAAUUAUUUAAUUAAUUGAAUAAUUUUUUAAUUAAAAUUGGAGAAAAAAAAACUAGGGGAUUGUCAUAAUUUUUAAUUGAUUCUGAAUUUUUUUUCGGAAUUUAUUAAAAAUUAAAUGCAAAAUUAAUAUACAUACAUGUAUAAAUACUAUUUUUUGGAGAAUAAAUUAUAUAUAUAUAUUGUUUCAAAUACCCUUAACUUAUUAUUCUCCAAAAAAAAUAACUGUAUAUUUAUUUUGCAUGAAAUUUUUGAAUUAAUUCUAAAAAAAUUAUAUUAAUUGAAAAUUAUGACAAUCUCCUUUCUUUUUUAAUAAUUUUUCAAUUAAUUAUGGUUAUAAAAAUUAUUCCACUAAUUAAUUAAUUAAUUAAAGUAUUCAUAUUCGCAACAUUAUACAAUCACCAAGGUUAAAAUGGUAAGCUCAAUAAAAAGGUUGACACUUAUAGGGGUUUGAAUUUGUUUUAAAACAUCAGAGGAGUUUCUAUUAGUUUAGUUAAACAAUAGGAGAGUUUCUCUCCUUUUCCCCAUAAAUUUAAUGGACAAACUUAGUUAUGCAAAAUAACUACUAUUAGUAGCACCGCAUUUUUAUUCUUGAAAAUAUGCUUAAAUAUAAUACAUAAUGAAGGCAGAAAUUAGGCUCCUUUUGGAGAAGUAUGUGUACAAAUACAAUAAAAACCUGAUAAAUUAAUAUCUGAGAAAUUAAAAUGUCAAUAAAAUAAUAGGUCUUGUCAAUCUCGACUUUGGGUUAAUAUGUUAAAUUAUAAAUCGAUUAAUUAAUAUUCACUCAAUUUUAAAAAAAAAAAUCAUGAUCCUAACACUAUAUUAUUUUGUCGAAUUUUUUUUGUAACUAGUAUGCUAUAUAUAAUACAUAGACAUUUUUCGCUUUUGUGCAACUAGAAAACUAGGUUACUUUAGCAUAUUGUUCAUGACAGACGUUGGGAAAAAGGGCCAUACAGUGAAAAUUUUGUAAAUUAAUCAUGUUGGAACCAUACAAAAUCAAUUAAUUUUAAAAGGUAUUAAUUAAUUGAUAAUUAAUUAAUCAAUUUAUUAAUUUAGAGAGUGUAUAUACAAUUCAAUGAACAUACAUUUAAUCAAUUAAUAAUUCAUUAUAUUUUACCAAUCUGAUUAGUUAAAAAUGAAAUAAUCCACCAAAUAUAAAUUUUUUUUUUCAAUUUUAGAAUUCAACUCUAGAAUUUCUAUAAGAAAUAAGCAAAUUUAGAAUGAGAUCCAACUAUAUCUAAAUUUCAAGGAAAAAGGUGACUAUAGAGACAUAUCUUGUCUAAUAAAAUAUUACAAAAAAAUGUUUUUAAUUUUAAAAUAUUAUUAAUUUAUAAAAUGAAUGGGACCAUACAGUUAUUAUAAAAGCAAAAAAAUUGUGGGAUGAACAGUUGAAGUGGCUUUAUUUCCUUGUAUCUUUUUAAUAUCUAGAAGGUUGAGGCUCCUUUUUAUUUGCUAUUCUUAUUUGUCAAUAGGUUGAAUAUAUUGGUUAAUUAAUUAAUUAAUUGAUGUAACAGUUUCUGACCAAAAAAACAAAAAUUCUUUUUUCAUUUUCUAUUCGUUUCUCUUAUUUUCUAAUUACAUUACAUUGUGUGCAGUUCGGCUCAUCAAUUUUUUAACUUAAAAAGAAAAUCAAUACAAUUGCUAAAACAAUAACAUCCAAAAUUCCAAAUAGGGUAGGCAAAACGCGGGUCCUGGGUCUGGGUACUGCAAUACCUGACCGAGUUUUUAAUCUGAGUUUUUACUCUGAUUUUAUUUUUUUAAUAUUAAAUAUGUGUACUUUUUUAAUUUCUUUUAUAAUUUUAUAAUUUUUAUAUUAAUUUCAAUGAAAUUAGACAUGAAAAUAUUAACUUUAAAUGAUUAAAACUUUACAUAUAUGUAAUAGAUUAGUCAAAUAGAUAUAAUUAUUUAAAAUAGCAUAUAUUUUAUAAUUUUUUUUAUAAAAUCCUGGUUUAUCAAGUGAUACUCAGGACCGAUCCGUCUUCAUAAAUGGGCAGUGUAUUAUCCGGCACACAUCACCUGAAUCCGAUCCGGAUCCAAACCGGACAAGUAUUUUUGACACCUCUACAUCAAAAUUGGGCCUCCGUACAAAAUUAAUUAAAAUCACUGGAAGAACUUCUUUUUUACUUUUAACUCCAUGGUAAUUUUAAUGACUAAUUUUAUGAGAGAAAAAAAAUGCUGGCUAAUAUGGUUGUCAAUUUUAUGCUUGGUGGAUUAAUUUUUCUCCGAACAAAUUACACAAAAAAAAAAUCUCUUGAAAUGAUGCACUUGGUCUUAUUAAACUACUACACAUUAAAUGACAGCUCGCUGCCUUGCUGGGAGAACAAGAAUAAAGUGAACCAUUUCAACAAUUUUUUUUUUAAUCACUAAAAUGAAGUUAAUCAAAUAAAUUAAGUGUCUUUUGCCCAAAUUAUGUUUCAGAUCCACAAUAUAUAUAUAUAUAUAUAUAUAUAUGAAGAACAAAAUUGGGAACCUACUGAACUACUGAAGAUUCCAUUUGCAUGCUUUUAUUAUUUGAUAGGCCCGCUUGACUGCAAGCUGCCCAAAAUUGACGUAAUAAUGCAAGCUUUUGAUACAAAUUCAAAGAAGCUAGCUGUAAAAUAAUUGUAUUCACAUAUAAUAUAAUAGGCUACCUUAGUAGCCUCGAUUAAUUACAACAACUUUUGGAAAUCAAAGAAUUAAUCAAAAACAACAUUAUCAAAAUAGAUCAUAUAUAUGUCUUAACUCUCGACUAACCUAAAGCAAAGUCAAAACAUGAAAAAGAAUACGGAAUCUUAUGAGGACACUAUUUUUUCACUAGUAAUUAUUAACCAAAUUAUUCAGCUUGCACCUGUUACACAUGAGAACAUUCUGUGACUCCUAAACCUCACCAGUUGCUUUGCCCUUGGAGGAGGAGAACCACCGCCACCGCCACCACCAAAACCACCACCAUUCGCCACUGAGUACCCGGCAUAAAAGUCUCCGACGGACUUAUGCCGCCGGUGGCCGUGUCCCGGCUCCAUUUUCUCACCUGAACGUGUCACAUACAUGGAAUUUUGAUGAGCAAUAAUAUUACUAUUGAAGUCUGCUGCGUUGUAACUUUGAGCUGCCCCCGACGAAAGACACUCGUAUUGCCGGCGAGUUUUGUUCUUCUUGAUUGCUUUGAACACCAUUGGAAUUAAUCCGUCCAUGAGACUUGAAUUUUCCUCUCUGAUGAAGAAAAAUAAACAGAAGAAUCUAAGUAUUUGAAGGAGAAGAGAAAUGGAAGCAGUCUUAUUGAUUCAUUGGGUUUGGUAGUCUUAUGAGAAUGACAUAUACUUUCCACAGCUUUAAAGUCUACAACACGUCAUGCUGUUUUGUCGACCUUACUAGAGAAAUAAAUCAAAGUUUCACAUUGUACAGCUAAGAUAUAAUGACACAAAGGGCCCUAGUACUUCUAGGUUUUGUUAUUGAGAUCCUUAAUUAAUUACUAUGUAUUUUCUUACUACUGUUGAUCUAGUCGAAAAUUCUAGACUUACUAAAGUUUGGAAAAGAUACAGUCAUAUAUUUUAACAAUAUAAAAUUAUUAUACCACUAAACCAUAUACCUUAAUAAUUAUUCUAGACUUUAAUAAAGUCCAGUAUCUUGGAGUGAAAUAUUUUUUUUUAUUUUUAUACUUAUCUCUCAUUAACAUAUUACUGUAUGUUAAAAGAUAAAUAUGACUUUUUACGAUGCAAAAUAUUUCAUACCUCAUGAAAAAAUACAUGAAAAUUAGACUGAAAACAAAAGUGUAAUAGUAAAAGAACUCAAAAUUGAGUUUUCUAUAUUAAUAAGAUUUUGAGGACAUAAUUGUUAUUAUGUCCAUACAUUACAGCUUCUAUAAUCCUUUUUUUUUAUUUUCAGGAGCAGAUGUGUAGCUUGUGUAAAUCGGUUGAUUAGGACAAUAGUGACAUAGGGGCCCAAAAGUGAUCACAUUCUUCGUUUGUAUACGCAGAAGCAAACAUUUUCCUAGAAGAUCAACAAUUCAAAAAAGAAUAAAAUGAUAAAUAAUAAUUAACCCCUCAGAAUAAACUCCAUUAUUUUUUUUUAUAGCCUCUAGCACAUAAAACCUUAUCAGUAAUCUACAUCAGCAACCAAACCUUAAAACUUUUGCAGAGUACUCCUAUAUAUGUGAAAUUUAUAUAUGUAUAAAAUGAUACUUAAAUUUGAGGCUAAAUAAUACUGUCGAAUAUUUAAGUAGUGUAAAAUUUUAGCUUAACGGGAAGACGAUUUUACCUUAAAUACAAUAGAAUAUUUAAAAUACAAUAAAUAUUAUGUAAAUUUAAAAAUUAUAUUUUAAAAUGUACAAAUAUCCACGCUAAAAAGUGUUGCGAAUUUUAUAAAUAUUAAUAUUGAUUACAAAACUAUAUUGUGUUAAAUGUUUUACACGCAAAGGAUCGGAGAGUAUGAAUUAGAUUAGAUUAAAGGAGCAUAUCUUCAAAUUUGCAUUGACUUGGUCCUUGUUGGGCAUAUGUCAACUCAUUUGUCAGGUCAACGAAUCAUAUCUCUUCUUUUAAUAAACUUUCUAGUCUUUGUUUGUUAAUUAAUAAUCAAUCCUAUGGGAAAUAUUGUUGGUUUCUUUCCUUAUGAAGUCCAAGUUGAAACUUAAUUGGUUUGAACAAGGAGAAACCAGGGAAUUUGUAUGUUUCAUUUUACUGAGGUUGAACGCAGCCCUCAAAAUGAAUUCUAAAAAUUUAGCAGCUAAUAUUUACUUGUGGAAUAAAAUUUCCCAAAGCAGUCAUAUCUAGCAGCCAAUGUUUCACUUUUGGUCAUAAUUUUUUUUUUUAGUUACGAUUCUAUUUGCAGCACUAAGCAAUUAUGAGAUUGUAGAUUGAAGCUUUCAUGUUAAAUUUGAAGCACUUAAAUGUAUUAUAUUCACUGCCUUGUAUCUUUUGCUCAGAUGAAGCUCAAGAAGAAAAUCCUAGCCCUAGAAUUAAAAUCUUUCACGUCAGAACUUAAAACGUGUAACAAUAAUACCCCACUACGUGCCUUCAUUAUACAUGUUCUUUUGCUUUAUUUAAUUAAAAAAAAAAAUGAGCUGCUAGAAUUCAAGUUGCUUUGUACCUGGAAUUUAACUAUAUUAAAACAUUAGUCUCCAUCGUGUAGUAACAAAGACGGCCGACUAAAUUAGGUGCUUAAUGCACCAACUAUUUUCAAUACAGUUCAUUUCGAACAAAGCUGGCAUUUUUCAUAUUUGACUAGAAUACACAAAUUUCAAUCAAGUGUGCGUCCUAACGUCUCUUGUUUUUUAAUCAUUUUGGAAGGCUGUAUCUGAGGUAUAACAAUUGAAUUAGAAGGACCACAAAUCGAUUCUGACCAUCUGCUCAUACGACAAAGCCAAUGCAUCAAAGUCUCCAAGAAUAUUUUACUAUAAGCUAUUCAUAGCUCACAGUAGAUUAUGAAAUUGAUGUGUUUGAAAAUUCUUAGUUCCUGAUAUCAACCUCUAAAACAUAUCGAUUUGGAAAAUCCGCAGUUGUUUUAAAGACGUUGUUUUGAAAGAGAGAAGACCUAUUCAUAUUACUCGUAUAAUACAUAUAUAAAUUGAUUAAAAAAAAAGAAAGAAAACCUGUCUGAACCCUACAUAGAUAGCUCUAUCAAGCGGACUUGAAUGUGUGAGAAGGAAAGCGACAUACCCCUCAAGCAAAUAAUGAAUGGUUUUGAGAUAUGGACGUUUACAGUUUAAAAAAUGUUACAACCACACCAGAUGUCAGACCUUCAGUACAUGGAUUUUUUCCAAAUUGUUUCAACAUUAUAAAUGCCUUCAUAUAAAUGCCUUCCACGAGAAAGUUAACUAUUACUUGUAGUGUCAAUCUAAGAUACAAAAGUGACGGGGCAACUACUCAAAUCAAGAUAAUGUUAAUGAAACUCAAUUGCCAAGCCAAAGUUGCAUACAUUUGAUAGGUGCAAAUGUUGCAGCAUCCAUUGGCCAAGCAUCAUCAUCAUUGGCCUAUCACUGUGACAGCAUCCAAUCGAAAAGAUGUAUAUAUCAGCUCUUUCCUUGUCCAAUACUUUAACAUAGUUCAUACUAGCACUUAAUCCUGGAUUAUAAUCUCAUCUAAACGGAAGUUCAACACAUUAUCAUGUGUUUAUCCAAAGUACUCCCAAAUAAUUCUUUGAUCUCAAAAACACUUUUUGGCCACUUAUACUAAUCAAUAUGAAAGUAACAUGUUAGAUAUCCUGAACUGUCUAACAACAGAACUUAUGGUACAAAAAUACUUCCAAGCACACUUCAGAGGUCUCGUCACAUGAGUGGCAACAUCAUGAUUCUUUCAUAAGUUUGAUCUCUCAUUUCCAUGUUCUACGAAUUCCAUCCUAGUUUAAGCUAUGCCAAGUAACUGUCGUUUCUGGCCCGACUUUUUUUUUUUUUUCUGUUGUUCUGAUACAUUUUCUUCAAAAAAUAGUUUCCCAGCCUAUGUCCCAUAUCGAAGAACUUCUCAAAGGUCUAUACCAUGUUUUAACAAUAUGUCCGAGUCCUUGGACACCAGCCUAACUCUAGAUGACUAUGCAAGCUCAAUAUGGAAACCAUGUCAAUUAGCCUAAACUGUGUCACUAGCAAUUUUGUUCUUUCAAGAAUACCAUAACAUGUGCUCAAAGAAAAAAGGAUAUUUUGUUACCGCAUAUUUGUUAUCUCCAUGACUACCACUUCCUUUAAAUUAGAGUCAAAAUGCAGAAUUUUUCGGUUCCAUUUUCAUAUUCUCUUGGUCUGUGAUAAAUCAAAAUCUAGAACCGUCAUAAUAUGUGAAUGCCUAAAAUUGCCAUGAAUGGAGAUGCAGCAAGACUUUCCCAGGAAAAAAAGAAAAAAAAAAAAGCCCAAAAUUUGGUGCUUAUUAAUAGCCAAGUAACUCUUAUCAAUGGCAUAAGUCAAAAUGGUAUAAGCAUAAAAUAUUUGAGCCCUGUCUCUUCCAGAGACCAGCAAAGCUUAUCAAGCAAUUCCAGAGCAUCAGUGAAAGCUUUUCACAAUUUUCCACUGUAAAGCUGAAUAAAUUUCAGAAAGUAUUCACAAUGUAUGAAAAAAGAAAAUAUCUUAAACGAAUUGUGAGCCAAUAAAAGCGCAAUUGAAAAUACAACUAAUCGAACAAGGUGAAUACAUGGUGGCAUUUAAGUGAUGAUUCGACAUCACCACCAAGAAUAACCAUUUCAGGUUUAAAGUUAGCUACAAGUGCUUUAAUGUUUUGAAGGAGUAAAGGAAAAUGGAGAGAGAAAAUCAUACUUGAAACAAGUGGUUCUUAUAGCAUAGAGUCCAAUCUGAAUCCCCUGAAGCUGCCAAGCCACCACCAUCAGUGCUUAUUGACUCUGCACAUGAACAUGUAAUUUGAGAAGGAACUCUUUCUUCACCUUUUCCUUUAACUCCAGUUUUGGUAUCUACAUCUUCAGUUGACCCAAAAUCAUUUUUCAGAAUCUCAUAGUUCCGCUCAUCAGCAUUGACAUCAGGAUUCUGACAGGGUUUUAACAGGUCAUUGGCACAACCACCAACAUCUUCCUCUUCAUCUGAUAAGUAUCUGCAACUAUCAAACUCAUCCAUCUCGAAAAUCCGACUCAUCAGCCCUUCCCUCCAUGAUAUCCUCAUCUGGGAUUGUGAAACAUACCCUAAAGUGGAAGUAGACGUCCAAGAAUCUCGGUCAUCUAAAACUUUCUGAUAUUGGGAAAGAUCAACAGAGUUGGAAGGCGUCAUCACACAAUCAAACUGAAAACUUGAACUGGUAGGAUCCCAUAUCGAUUCAUACCCCUUGGAAGACAGACUUGCCAUGGGAAUACAUUCAGUGAGCAAAUCACUCUCAGAAUUAAAUUGAUGAUUUUGACAAGCUUCUGUUUUUAACCAUGACAAGCCAGCAGGUCUAUCUGGGCUUGAGUCAGAUUGUGGGGUUUGAAUAACAUUUCCACUUCCAAAUGUAUCCACGGAGAAUGGAGAAUUUUCUGCAUUAAAAUCAUAACGACCCUUCUUCUCAUCUUCCAAAUCAGCAGCCUUGCAAAUAGGAAUACAGUUGGGCGAAGAUGAAAUAACCAAAUUUUCAUGAAAAGUAUCCGAAAUUCCUUGAAAUUCAGGAACUCCACAAGGAGAACAUAAAGAAUUACUCCCCCUCCUAGUAAUAAUAGAUACCCUCCUAUUACUGUUUUUAUUACACAAAUCCAAACUAAUCUCAUCGUUGAAUAAACUAGAAGAAGGUGAAUGAAUCUGAAAUUUACGUGAUCCAUUUUCAGUAUUUUCCUUUUGCUCGUCAUCCUCCUCACUACAAGGAGACAAAAGCCAAUGCAUGCAAGCCUCAGCAGGUAAAGGCACAAUAGAGACCCUUCUAGAGUUAUCAACAACUCCAACAAUAUUUUCUUUAUUAUUCCCUUCACGUUCUUCAAAACUAUCAGCAGCCUUGGCAGAACCAAAGUCUAGCAUAUUGUUAUCACCUACAGUCAGUAACCCUCUAGGCCUACAUUUCCUCUUGUCAGUAAUCCCAGACACAACAUGGCCAGCACCAUAACAAGCAGGCGUCCUACUUGUUGCUGUUACAGAUAGGCCAGACUGUGCAUGUAACUCUGGAGACACUGAGGCCUGAAUAGGAGGGGUUCUAUUUCUGCUACCACUGCCAUUUGACAACUUCUCAACAUCCACAACAUCAUCACCAACAAUAACCUUUUUGUCUAUUGCACAAUCUAAGCCUGACUCAGUUGCUAUCUUACUCAAAGGAGUCAAAUCCACAACAUUACCAUCACAAAACCUAACGUCAGGCCCAGAAGUCACUUUAUUUAUGGGACUGCCACCGGUAUCCAAAAUCGAAGAAAUUUUACACUUUGAUACAUUUCUCGAACUGGAUUUCUUCCCAGAUUGCAACUGGUACAAAAAAGUACUAUCUUUCUUUACUUUCUCCCCUUUCCCCAAACUGGGUUUCUGUAAAAUGCUGCGUCUCGAUGGUUUUGACAGAUUGGGAGCAGAUUUUGGGGUAGUUUUAGCUAAAGUUUUGAUCUUUACGGGCCUAUCAAUUAAAGGGGUUUUCGAAUUCGAAGAAGAAGAGUGAGAAAGAAAGAACCUGAGACAACCCUUUGGAGCUUCAAUGCUGCUGGUGCUGCAACUAUUGUUGUUGCCGCUGCUGUUAUUGAUAAUGGUGGUGUUGAGAUUUUGCAAAGGGUUUCUAGAACAUUGCUGCUGCUUCUUUGUUCUUUGUUCAAUCUUUUUUGAGCAGUUUCUGUUUAGGGAUUUUGUUGAUUUUAAAGAUGAUGAUGAUGAUUUUGAAGGUGGGUUCAUUUCGUGAUCGUGAAGCACUGAAAGGACAGUGCUACAAAAAUGAGAUCUACUUGACAGUUGCUUGUAACGGGAAGUGAUUUUGAUUUGAAAAUCGAUGGGAGGGACUAGGGAGAAAGGUUGAAUUUCUUCAAUUACUGAUUUGCCCUUGUUUUGGUCUUUAAUUACUGAUUUGCCAUUAUACUUUUGACUGAAUUUGGGAAUUAUUGGGCUGCAGCCUGCAAGUGCGCCUUUUGGGCCUGAACGGACCCACCAAAAAAUUUAGCACUUGGGCUUUGGCCUUUGAGUUUGAGGAAAUCUCUCAAACUGAUACUAAUAAUUCAAUAAACAAAGUUAGCAUCUGUUCAUUAGGUAUCUCAUCCCAUGCCAAACCGAGCUUCACUAGCACAGAGCCCCAUAAUGUACUAAAAACUCAACUCUUGAAGAGUAGAAAUUUAACUGAACAUCCCAAACAAAACAGGAAUUUAGCUCAACAUACCUCAGUACACUUGUUGAUUAACAAAUACCAUCAAGACCAAAAUACAUAUCUAUUUAUACUAACUCAAAAAAUAUUGAAGUUUCAUAAUGUAUGAUGUAUGCUGUACAUAGGUAAUGUUAUUGCUAGUGUAUUAACAUUCAAAUCAACAAAAAUUGGAGCUUAAAAAUCACAAGAACCUACUGUGAGUUUAACACCCCGAGGCAACUUAGCUUUUAGCAUGUUGGUACUAUUUUUAAGUGUUGUUCUCUUCCUAGAACCGGAAGGUUUAAUAAUCAUCUUUUCAAGCAUAGUUGCAUUUUCGAAUACGUAAAAUGCAAGUUCAAAAUCAAUUUCACGCCCAUUAAACCCUUGUAAUUCCACCAGCUUGAGGUGUUGAUGAGAGUGUUUAGAAAUCUGAUGUCGUUUUUUUCCAAUCCUUCGGCCAUUAUUCCAUAUCUGCAACAACAAAAAGGAUAUAUAUAUAUAUGAUCAUUCUUGUUAGAGAUAACAGAUAAUAUGUAAAACUCGAACAUUUGCCUACAAGUAGUGAAACUAGUUGGUUUCAAAAGUAUAUGGCGCAAAACCAUUACAAUAUCCAAUGAACCUUUGCGAACUUCCUCCAGUAAGGCAAUAAACAAACUACUAUUUCAUUAAAGCAAAUAAGCAUAUUUCUCAGCAUAGAAUAGGAGAAAAAGGGAAAAACGAAAUUUGCUUUAUCAAUAACAGAGUAAGACACGGAGGCAUAAGCUCUAGCUUAGAUAAGAUGUGAAUAUGAUCAAAAACACAAUCUGAAAUCUUUAUUCCGCAUCAUCAUUAGAACUCAAAACCUCUACUAGACAUGUAAAUCUAUAUUAAACCAGUCCAUACUUGAAUGUAUUUCAAUUUACUACAGUUGCUUCAACAUUAAAACUCUUAUAGUAAGUUGAAGUUUUUGUGUACAUCUACUGUAAUCAUCAUGCUUCUGCAGUAUCAGUUGAGAGAGCUUGAAAAUACUCACCAAAUGACAUCUUGUUGAAGGGAAUUAUCUUGUAAAAGAUGUGAUAUUCUUGUAAAAUGUUAAUUAACAUCGUAAUAUGAAACAAUAUUCACAAAAUAUCACUAUAAAUAUAGUGGCCAUCAAACAUUCAAGUGUUGAAGGUUACUUUUCACCAUAAAGGUAUUAACUGACAAAGAAUAGAGAGUUACAUCUGUAAUUAGACCAGUUGUAUAUGAGAUCAUCUGAUCGAAAAAUCCAAAAUUACACAAAACAUUACCGAUGAGAUUUACAAUGCCCACCCGCCCCAUAAAAUCUAAACCAGCCGAUCUAUAAUCCUGAAAGCCCCUCAAAGUAUUAUGAGUAAGGUUACUAACCAGAUGCUUUCCACAUGCUUAGUACAGGAAAAGGAAAAAUAUGAGGAUGCUCAUACAUUUAUAAUAUCAACAAGCUUCAACUAGUAUAAUGACAAUCUCAAACUUCUCAACUUGUAUGUAAUCUACUAAAAUAUUUACCUGAAGCACAAGCUUUUCCAGAAAGGGACAUGCCUUCAUUAUGAAUGACAAGCCAAGUAGUGUUUCCUGAUUAGCUGCUGUAAAACUUAUGUUUAAGUUCAUUAGUUUGGGAAAUUCACGCUGUGAGAAUUGCGCGAAUACCUGAAAAAUAGAACGAACAUAAGAGAACGGACUUAAAAAGUAAGUAGAAACAAACAUACCCACUAAAUACUGACCUCAUUGCAGCCGUCCAACUCAAGGGUCUUCAAUUGAGGUAAAUAACUUACAAUCGAUCCAAUACAGUGCAUUUUUUGAACCAUGGGUGUCACAUGGAACACUACAUCAACAAGUUGAGGAAGACUCCCAACAUGUAAAUUGAUAUCUUGUCCAAUAUAUUUAAAAGAUAACAGAUUCGGAGCAGAAAUUUCAAUUUCCUUAAUCGAGUAGCAAAACUGAAUGUCGAGGCACUUCAAUGGGAUUGAUGAACCAACAACCUUCAGGCUUAAUAGAUCCGGACUUUGGGUGAUGCGUAAGUUUUCCAAGAGUGGACAAUUAUGAAUAAAAAACUCAACAACUUCUCCGGUGACAUUUACAGCACAAAGGGUGAGGGAUCUUAGAGACUUAAUACCAGAUAAACCACAACCGCUUUGAAGAUUCUUAUAACACUCUUGUGGAAUUUCAUAAUAGUUGUCAUAUGUUCCUGGCGACAAAUCCAACUCAAAGUUCCGAACAUUUUUUGCUAUUGCUGUGCUGACCCAAUUAGUAAUAUUACAUUUAUGUUUAGCAUCGAGACGAAAACAUAUUCGAAACUGAUUGAUACGUGAACCCCUGUGCAAUUCCAAAACUUUAUUAACCCAGCUAAUGUACUUAGACUGUUUAUAAUCUGGUGGGAAUGACAUAUAUUUUACUUUUUUAUCAAAGUCAAGAGAAGUAGUAAAAGUCCACAAAUAUUUCCAUCUGCUUGAAAGAACACUAGUCCUCGCAGCUUCCUUAAGAGUCAAGCCAGAUAUAAUAUGGAUGAGAAUAUCAUCUGGGAAUCGACUAAACCAAUCCUCCAAAUUUUCCUUCUGCUUAAUAUCAUAAAUAAAUGAAACCCAUUCAAUCUCAUUGUUUCAAACCCCGAAAACAAAAAAUUAAAAUUAAAAUUAAAAUUUAAAAAAAAAAACCAGCAACAAUAACCCACAACGACAUUAUAAAAUUAAGGGAAAAAAAAAUUACCUUCUCUGGAGCAUCUUCAGAGAUAUGGCGCGCUUUCUUCGUCAUCAACUCGGCAUGUAAACGCUUCAACGGAAUUCGAUUUUGCUGUAAGCGUGGCUUUUGGCUCGGUUCUGAGGACUGCUACUUAAGUUAUAUACUGUAAAUUAGGGUAAUAACAUCUAUGUACUCAAAGUUUUAAUUUUUUUUCUUUUUGCAAGUAAGGACAUAAUUCGCCCAUUGUGCGUUAAAAAAAAAAAAAGGCCAUUAACUUCUUUUGAAUUGAUAACAUUAUCCUUUUGAUAUUUAAAUUUAAAUAUGUAACCUUUUGUUUUAAUAUUACAUUAGAAUGCACAAUAAAAAUAUUGACAAAUCUACCUAUUCUAUAAAUCAUACCUUAAAGCUCAUUCCGACGUCGGCAUAUAAUAAUUGAAAUUAAUCUCAAACUAUCAAUCUCGGAGAUGAGAUGAGAACAUACUUCAUCAAUUUAUCAAUCUCAGGGAUGACACGAUUAUUAAAUAAGUUGGGUUCGGAUUGACUCGAUUUUUUUUCGUAUUGGGUUAGGGUUAAAGUUCUUGACAUAUUUAUUCGAACAACGACAAGAUUAUAUUUUUAUUUUAAAUUAAUUUUUAAGUUCUUAUUAUUAAAAUUCAAGUAUUAGACAUAAUUCACUCUUUUUUAUUUUUUUUUGGAAGACAAACAUAUACACAAUGUUCUAUUUAUAAAAUUGUAUAUAAAUUUAGAAUUUUAAUAGUAUAGAUAUAUAAAAUAUUAAUACAUAUGUAUAUGUUAUCAUAUCGAUACAUAAUAUUAUUUACAUAUAUAUAAUUUAAACUUUAAAUAGUGUAAAUGUGUAAUAGUUUAGGAUGUGUGUGUAACAUUUGUUAAAUAUAUAAAUAUUAAACAGAUUAUUAGGUAAUCAGUUUAUUUUCCAUGUCAGUUUUGGGUCUCAAUAUUUUGACACAAUUAUUAAAUGAAUCGUGUUUGAGUCUACUUAAAUUUGACACAACAUAAACACGAUCCUAUGACCUAUUUUACUAGCUCUACUUCAAGAAGACUUCUCUUACAUGAAUUCAAUCUGUUAUGGGUCUUAAUUUAAAAUUAGGAACAAGAUUAAUUCAUAAUAAAAUAGAAAUAGCUCUUGUUUUUACAUGGAAUGGCUAUGCUAUUAUUAUAUGACCAAAAUAAAUUCCGAAUGGCUAUGCUAUUAUUAUAUGACCAAAAUAAAUUCCAGCUUCCAUAAUUUCCUCCGGAUGGAUAUUUCUAUACUUCUUGCAUAUUUCUUAUUUUAUUAUGUUUAACUCUAUAUUCACAAAAAAAGACUAUAAUAUUAUUACUUUUUUUAUUUGUAUUAACAGCUACCCUAUGAGAAAUAAUUUUAUGCGUAAAAAUUUCAGCAAAUUUUUUACUCAAAAAAUAAAAAUAGAUCUCAUUUUCACAUGCUUAUGUUAUUGUUAUAUGAAUUUAGUCUAUCAGUGAGCUUCUGAAGAAAACUUGACAGUAAAGUGUUUGAGUAAAAUUUGAAAAUAUCCAAUGUUUGGGGUAGAACUCAUAUUAAACUAAAUAUUGAGGACAAGUAUAAAAAUAUCCCAUGUUUGGCUUGCUCGAGGGCUAUCAAUUGCAUUAUAAUAGUUAAUAUAUCAAAAUAAAUCUAUAGCGCAUUAUUAGUACAAUACAUAAUGUACAGAGGCAAUGCUGGUAAUGUCUUUAUUUUCAUAAUAACAAAGACUGGAGCCAGUGAAUCACAACGAACCGACCACAAGAUCAACGCCUUGAGGUAACUUAUCUUUUAGCAUGUUGGCACAAUGUUUAAGUGCCCUUUUCCUCCGAGAACUGGAAGGUUUAAUGAUCAUCUUCUCAAGCACUUUUGCAUUUCUGAAUAUAAAAAAUGCAAUUUCAGGAUCAAUUUGAAGCCAGCGAAACUCGUGUAAUUCCACCACCUUGAGGUGUUGAUGAAAGUGCACAGGAAUCUGAUGUCUUUUUUCCCCUAUUGUCCGGUUAUUAUUCCAUAUCUGCAACGAAAGAAGACUAUGUCAUGUUUAACUGCAUAGUUCUUGUUAGAGAAAACAGAUAACUGAAUUUGUAAAACCCCAAAAUUUGCCUACAAUUAACAAAGAGAGUUAUGACUCCAAACCAUUAAAUAUACUGAGCAACACUGUCCUGCACACUUUGACUGAUUUUGCACGCAACAUACAACCUAGCUGAUUGAAAAAAAUAAGCACAUAUGAAAUAUGAUCAUGAUAUAUGCCACAUAUGAAAAGAUCGCCACACAAACAACCACUAUGAAACAAAAAGUUGAGCAGUUGUUCCUGUUUUAGCUCCUAACUAAAUGCUGUAUUCACAGCUUACCUUCAUCUUCAGGCUACUUCUGCCUAAUACUCUGGUCCACAAUAUAUUAUUGAGAGGGUAAAAUAUAAAACAUAUGCUUUAGCUGGAAAGAUAUAGAAUAAGGUCAAAGACCACACAAGUGAAAAAAACAUAAUUGACCAUUACAGAAACAAAAUCUGAAAAAUUUAUUCUGCAUCAUCAUUAGACCUCAAAAAUCUCUGCUAGACUUGCAAAGCUAUACAAAACCUGUCCAUACUUGGAAUGUAUAGGAAUUUACUACAGUUGCUCCAUGAUUAAAACUCUAAAAGUUGAAGUUUUCAACACCUGCAUUAUUAUAAUAUUCAAGUUUCUGCCAGCAGGGAGAGAAUGAAAAUAUUAUCAAGUGGAAGAGCAGAAAUCUCAUUUAAGGGCAUUCACACAGAUGUGAUCUUCUUAUUCAAUAAUAUCUGUGUAAUCUUAAACAAUAUUUAGAUGAUAUCAUGACAAACAUGGUCAACAUACCAGACAUUCAAGUAUUGAAGUGCAAAAUGAUACGAGAUUAAGAUUUCUUUAUGCAAGAAAAAAGAGUUGCAAGUAUUGUAGACCAGUUGUCCACAGGAUCAUGCAAAACCGAUUGAAAAAAUCCAAAACUACAAAAAUAAAAUUCUGUUGAGAUUUAUAAUGGAUGCCCAACCAAACCACCCUAUUCAAUGAGAUUAAUUUACAAUCUUCAUGUCCGAGUGGUAAUCUCUUGAAAGAGACUAAAGAUAAAAGCAGGGACUGUGAACAAAUGUGAUCUUUUUCUGUUAUGCUAGAUGACAUUGUAAUUUCAAACAAUAUUUAGAUGAUACUGUGAAAAAUAUAGUCACAAUGCCAAGUGUUUGCAUGUUGAAGUGCAAACUAUUAUCAGAAGAAGGUUACUUACUUGCUGAAUUUAAAAUGCUUAAUAAAUGGGGGAAAAAAAGAGGGACUAUGCCCAUACAUUUGAAACGUUCAGCAAGCUACAACAGUAACCAUCACAUCUAUCCCAAGCUUCUCUACCAAUAAGUAGAGUGUGAAAAAUUUACCCUAAUUACAAGCUUUUGCAGAAAAGGACACGCCUUCAAUACGAAAGACAGGCCAAGCAGGCUUUCACAAUUAGGUUCUGUAAUGGUAAGUUUUAAAUGCAACAGUUUGGGUAAUUCCCAAUGUCCGAAUUCCAUGAAUACCUGAAAAAAUAGAAAAACUAAGACAACUGACUUGAAAGUUUCUAAAAACAUGCAUAACCACCACAGUACUAUUGUACUAACCUCAUUGCAACACUCCAAAUCAAGGGUCUUCAGCUGGGGAAAACAGCAUACAACCGAGCCAAUAAAAUACCUUAUUUGAAAGAGGGGAGCCCCAUGGAUGACUACAUCAACAAGUUUGGGAACAUUCCCAACAUGUAGCUUGAUAUCUUUUCCACUGUAUCUAAAAGAUACAAGACUUGAGGCAGAAAUUUCAAUUUCUUUCAUUGAGUAGCAAUAGUGAAUGUCUAGGAACUUCAAUGGGAUUGAUGAACCAACAACCUUCAAGCUUAAUAACUCUGAAGAAUUGGCCACGUAUAAGUGUUCCAAAUGUGGACAACUGUGUAUAAAAAACUCAAGCACUUCUCCACUGACUUUCAGAGCACUAAGGCAGAGGGAUCUUAGUGACUUAAUGCCAGACAAACCAUGCCCUCUUUUAAGGAAGUUGUACCGCUCUAGCGGAAAUGCAUAAUAGCGGAAAUGCAUAAUCAUUAAUAUGAGAUGGUGGCCAAAAAUCUAACUCAAAGUUUUGAACUUUCUUUGCUGUUGCUGCGUAAAUCCAAUUGGUGAUGUCCCUUCCAUGUGAAUUAUCCAGAGUACAACGUAUUCAAAACUUAUUUAUAUUUGAACCUUUAUGCAAGCUCAAAAUUUUAUUCACCCAGCAAACGUACGCACUUUUUUCUUCUUUACUUGGGAAUAUUAUAUCCUUUCCUAUUCCAGCAAAGUCGAGAGCAGUGGUAAAAUUCCACAAGUAUUUCCAUCUACUUGAAAGGACGCUAGUCCUUGCAGCUUCUUUAAGUGUUAAACGAGAUAUAAUAUUAACAAGAAUAUCAUCUGGGAAUUUACUGAACCAAUCCUCCAUAUUUUCCUUCUGUUUAAUAUCAAAGUCCACAAUUUUCAUUCAAACACAUGAAUUAAAAAAAAAAAGAGAGAAAAGAAAAUCAGCAACAGAAUUAACAGUAACCCAUAAUAAAUAUUUACAAAAUAACGGAAAAAUGAUACCUUUUCUGGGGUAUCUGCAGGUGUCAGCCGGGCUCUCUUAGUCAUUUGCUCUGCGUGCAAAAGCUUUCAGCGGAUUUUGACUCUACGGUAAUUGUUGCUCUUUUGGCUGAUUCGAACCAUUCGGUUCAGUGGGGUUUGCUCCGCAUUAUUGUUGGUUCGGUUCAGUGAUGGAUUGCAAGCCAAUUGGGAUAAUAGCAUCUAUAUCCUCAUCUCUUUUUUAAUUUUUUUUUCAAAUAUUAACUUAAAUUCCUUAACUACAAUUUGAUAUAUUUGAAGGUUACUAACUACAACGAAACGAUUGUAGUCUACUUGUAAUAUUGAAACUUAAAAUAUAUAUCUAACUUAACACUUAAGGGAAAGAACAUGUGUAAACUUAAUCAAGUGAUUUUCAAACAAUUUUCUUUAUAUUGUCAUUGGCGUAUAAAUUAUGGGAGAUAAUCAAUAAAGGACUAAAAAAAUUGAUUUAACUUUUACCCUUUUGCUUACCUUUUAGAAAUAUGAUUAAAAAAGGAAAAAAAAAAUAACACUCAAGGGCAUUUUUGGUGCAUUGCAUUUGAUGACAUAAAAUUGAAUAGAUUGGAAUGGACAAUAAUGUAUUGCAUUAAAAAUGAAUUAAUCUUAAGAUAUAUUAUCAUUUUUUCACUUAAAUUUCUCUGUCACAUUAAGUCAGUAUCAUAGUUUGAUGAAAACUGUAUUUUAUCACUAAAUGUUUACGCUGUUAGCACUUUACCAUUAUUUCAUUAAAAAUAAAUUAAUAUUUAAUGAAAUAUGAGUUAAAAAUCAAUUUUGUCCCUGGAACAUAAAAGACAAUUUUUGUCAUUGAAGGAAUAAAUAACAAACCCAAGCUCUUGAAUUUUUAUUUUAUUUUUUAAUUGUCAGUUGAUUUUUUUUUUAAUAUCAUGUAUAUUUAAUUAGUUGAAAAUAAUAUGAAGAAGCCCUCUCAUUUGUUUUUCGUUUGCUUGCUUUGAUGAUAACUGGUACUGGAAAAGAAGCCAUAAAAUAGUGGUCGGGGGGAGGUGAGGCAUCAAUUAUAUUUACAUCUGAUCUGAAGAACUGAAAUCGAGUUUGUAAUCAGAAUCCAAAUCGAUGGGUGUCGUAAAAUCCUUGGCCUUGUGUGUUUUUGUCUUCCAACUGCUUUCCCUUUCUCGGACGAGAUCCGAUACAACAAGAUCCGAAACGAAAUUAAUAAAAUAGAUAUUGAUGAUGUUUUAAGAAGUGACACAAGCUACGGGAUUAUUAUGCAUUUAAUGUAAUUUACAGCCAACUAAAAUUUACUCACUGACCUAACGCCAUUGCUUUUAAACUUGAUUGUAGGUUACAAUAAUUAUACCCAGAAAAAUAUUGUUAUUAUAUCAGUUUUAGACUCAUUGCAAACUUUUGACGAAUCAUGUCAAAAAUCUGAUAGUACAAUUUUCGGGGUCUUAUUCGAAAGCUAAAUGUAGAAAUCUUGUUAAACUGAAUAUCAAUGACCAUCUAGAACGGUAUUCAAAACGAGAAGAAGCAACCGUCACCAUUACUCCUUGUGUAAAGAUGAGAGGUAAUAAAUUUACAAGUUCAACGCCUCUGGGUAUUGGUGCUGUCUCUAAGUGCUUCUGGGGCUUUAUAGAUUAGAUUUGGAAGGUUCAAUGAUCAUUUUUAAUCAAGCAUAAUUGCAUUUUCAAAUAUGAAAGAUGCAAGCUCAGGAUCAACUUUACGCGCAAGAAACCCACGUAAUUCCACUGGCUUCGGGUGUCGAUGAGGGUGCCCAGAAAUCUGAUAUCCUUUAUUCCAAAUCUUGAUAAAAACAUGUUAGUACGUAACAGAAUAUGUGAAGCUCCGAAACACCUGCAACUAACGGUAUGAAUUUUGAAAUUAAUUGGCUUCAAAGAAAGUAACCGCACGUACAAAACGAUUUGAAUACCCAAUGCAACUCGAUCUUGCACGCUUCAUCUAGUUUUGCUAGGCACUAAAAUAAACUAAUACUAAAAUUAAAGCAGAGAGGCAUAUUCCCUGCAGAGCAUGUAACGAAUCUGAUUAGGUCGUGAGAAAAGAUCGUCUGUAUAGACAACCGCAAUGAAACAAAAAAGCUGAGCGAUGAGCAUUCAUUCUUGUUUUAGCACCUAGAAAAAUGAUGAAAUUAUCCAAGGAUACUUUCUUUCGUAUGCUUCUUCAACCUACUCUAGUCACAAUAAAUCCCUAAUAGAGUAAAACGCAAAAGCAUAUUCUUUGACUAAGAAGAUAUAGAAUAUCAUUAAAGCUGCUACAAAUGAAAAUUUUGGCUGCAUAAAUCACCAUAACAAUAAAAAAAAAUGGAAAUAUAUUCAAGAUUACAAUUACACCUCGAAAUCUCAGCUAGGCUCGUAAAAUUUAUAGUAAUUGGUCGCACUCUAUUGCAAUUUGAUUAGUAUAGUUGCACCCACAUUAAGGGUGUGUUUGGGAGUGAUGUGUGGCAGUUGGGCUUUGGUAUUUGGUAACAUUUUGCAACUGGAUUUUGGCAGGUCAACAGUUUUUUGUCCUCAAUUUUACUUCACAGUAACUGCAGCUUAAAAAUUACAGUACCUCGCUUACAAACACACUCUAAAACUUUUAAAAUAAGUUGAAACUUCUGUGGAACUUGGGUUAUAAACUUAUAAUCUUCAGAAUUGUGUUAUAAUAUGUCAAGGGAGAGUGAAGAUCAUCAUCAUAUGAAAGUCUGUGGGAAUGAUUUUUAAGGGCAUUGAAUUUUAGCAGAUACGAUCUUCUUCUAUGUAUGUUCAUUGACACCGUAAUUUUUAACAAUGUUUAGAUGAUGUCGUGACAAAUAUAGUCAAAAUGCCAAAUAUUUUAGUGUUGAAGUACAAAUAUUGACAGAAGAAGGCUAGUCACCACAUUCCAUCCAAAUGCCAUAUAUUUAUAAAGGACAAUGCCCAAAAAUCUAAAAUAAUAACCAUGUCAUCUAUCCUAAACUUUUCAACCAAUAAAUAAUGAAUUAAAACAUUUACCUGAGGUACAAGCUUUGGCAGAAGAGGACAUGCCUCCACUGUGAAAGUCAAAACCAAGCACAAGCAGGCUUUCACGAUUAGAUUUUGUGACUAGAAUCAGUGGCUAGAAGUUACAAGUGGAUUAAUUUGGGCAAUUCACGACGUCCGAAUUUCAUAGAUACCUGAAAUAUAGAAAAAUAAUAAGAUAUAUGACUUGAAAAGUUUACAAAAAUAAACAUCGCCCCUAAAGAACUAACUUCAUUGCAGCACUCCAACUCAAGGGUCUUUGGUUUGGGACAACAACUUAAAAACGAACCAAUAAAAUACUUUAUUUCGGACAUGACAGUUCCGUCUAGGAGUGUUCGCGGAUCAGAUUUUGCGGAUUAUAAAUUUUCAAUAUAAUUUAAUCCAAUCCACAAAUUGGUGAAAUUUAAUUAAAAUCCAAUCAAUAAUUAGAUGCGGCCUUGAUCCAAUCCACCAUUUUUACGGAUUGAUUUGCGAACUAAAAAUUUUUAAUUGUCUAAUUCACAAACAAAUUAAAUAUAAAAAUAAUUUAACUAUCCAUCAAAUUCAAAAUUGAAUAAGAUUUAAAUAAAUUACUUGUUUAAAUAAAGUUAGAAAAUAUAUUCUAAGUUUCAAAAUAUAACACACCAAAAAGAAAAAAUCUCAUUUAUUUAUAUCAAUACAUGAAAAUUAACUAUUUAGAAAGCUAUAUUUGUUUAUAUAAUUAUUUUUUAUUUUUUAUUAUUAUCAAAUAUGGUAUAAGAAUGAUGUUACUUUAACUAUAUUUAGCUUAUUUAUUUUAUUAGUAAGUAUUAUUGCCACAUUUACAAGUUUUGUUUUUCAAUUAAAUAAUUUUUUUUUUUUGCAGAUUCGCGAAUUUACAGAAGUAAUACAUAUCUAAUCCAUCGACUAUGAAUUUUUAAAUUUUCAAUCCAAUUUAAUCCACUAAUCUACAGAUCAGAUUUUUACAGAUCAGAUUUUUAUAAAUCAGAUAGAUUAAGAGGAUUUGAUUAGAUUUUGAACACCCCUAAUUCCGUCCAUAAAUACAUAGACAAAGUUUGGGAAAUGUAAAUUGACAUCUCUAGUUCUCUACCACAUUAUUUAAAAUAUAUAAAAGUUGGGACAGAAAUUUAAAUUUCUUUCAUUGACAACCAAAAGUCGAUGUCUAGAUACUUCAAUGGGAUUGAUGAACCAAUAAUCCUUCACGAUUGAAAACCUAAUUAAUCUCUUUACAUUUAAACUUUUUUUUUUUUGGGUGUGUUUUGUGUGUUGGAACAUCUUUUUUUUUUUUUCAAAGGAUCUCUUGAAUUUAGGAGAUUUCUUAAACUCAAAUUUUAUUUUAAAUUAAGCUUUUGAUUUUUGUGGAUGUUAUGUGCAUUUUAUCAUUGUAAUUAAUUGUACUUAUUUAUCAUCAAAAUCAAUAAUAAAAAAAUUAAGUUUUUUUUUCAAUUCUUAUAACAUUUUUACCCGUAUAUUUUCUUUUCAAAAUAAUUUACUUAAUCUCAUUGCUACAACCAAAAAUUUACAUUGUCAUUAUUAUUAUUAUUAUUUAUUUUUACUAUUAAAUUAAAGGUAUUCAAAAAAAUUAAUUUAUACGAUUAACUAAAAGAGUUAUAACGGAGUAAAUUUUAAAUAUAAUGUUUAUUUUUCUAUAGAAUUCUAUAAGGAAAGUUGAAAAGGAAAUUACUUCGUUUUUAUUUGGAUAAUUUUGCCCUUUAGUGUUGUACUUAUAAUAUUAAUUAUAAAGUAAAAUAAAAAAAAAAACUCAGAUUUAAUAUAAUUUAAUCUAUUAAAUAAAUAAUUAAUAACUUAAUUAUUGUAAAUUGUACUUAAAUUUACCAUAACCGACAAGCUUAUACAGUUUGAGUCGACGCAUCAUUCAGCGGUGAAUCCUUUCGGUAAACAACGUGAUGUCCACCUACCAAACAAAAAGACGACAAGUUUUCAGAACUGACAAGUGUAAAGUGCAUGUGCCCGCACGUACAGAGGAUCAUGGGUCGUUUAUAGUUUUAUCAAAAAACGACUUGCCGUUUCUUUAUUUAAGUAUUAGACAGCAUGUCAUCCAUCAAAAUUUCCAGAACUGACAAGCAUAAAGUGCAUGCGCCGGCGCAUGCUCGAGAUAAUUUUAUCAUCAAACGAAGUGCCAUUCGUAUCGUUAACCUAAAGACGAUUUGUCGUUCGCCUGCAUUGCUUUACGAAACAACAAACAGAAUUAUGAACCCCGUGAAUUGCAACUAGAUAUUUCAAACAAAUUCAAGCAAUCUUAAAACUGGCCAUAGUUUAUUUAGAAGGAGGUUUUUGACAUCCCUUCACCUUCUACCUAUGAUUUUUACUAGAUUGAUUCUUAACUUUAAGUGUUCUAUACAUAAUUAUCCAAUUAUUGAUAAAUUAUACGUUGAUAGUUUCUAAACUCUACCGGAUGACUCGUUAUUAUAGUUUAUUUGGAAGUGUGAUGAGGUAAUUGGGUUGUUAAAGACCAGCUACUAAAGUGUUUGGUAAUACUUAUAGUUGAAUUUUGACAGGUUAAUAAAUUUUUUUUCCUAACUUCUACUCAACAACCGUAAUUUUUACUCCACAGCAGUUACUUUUACUCCACAAUAAUUAUACCUUAAAAGUUACUGCAUUUUACUCUCAAACACACCCACAAUCGUGUUAUGCUCAAAAGACAUGCCGUUCGCAUCUUUAACCGGCAGACGACUUUUUGUCCGUUUGCUUUGCCAUCAACUGGAGAUGGGGGCGGCGGCUAUCAACAUUAUGCAAAUCGUUUUUGCUUUAUUUGUAUUCAUACCUCAUCAUAUGGACCCAUAAAGGAUAAGAUUGAAUUAAAAUUGACUAUUUUCAACGUAGCGACACCAUAUCUACCAAAAUCUUUGAUAACCCGCUUUCGCUUCAUAAUCAAAUGGUCCCAGUAGACCAUUAGCAAGGACCCCUGUAAUAUUAUUAUUUAUGUCAUAUCCCCUGAGGCCGAAUAGUUUUCAAUCGUCUUUAUUUAAUUAAUAAUCUAAAUUUACAACCUGUAAAAGAUAAAUCAUUAAUUUAAAUUUUGCCCGUAUCUUACUAUUUUUUUAUUUUAAAAUAUGUUUAUGUCACAUGAUCUGUUUUAAUAAUUAAUCUUUUAUUUUUGAGGUGGAUCUAUAGUUUGCUUCCUAAUCAUGUAGGUGAUAAAUUGAUAAAUUUUUUGCGGCGCAGUCAAGUGGCAGCAUAUAGAGCUUUAAAUUAUAGCAAGUUAUUAUUGGCAUUAAAUUAAUUACUUAAUAUUUAUGAGAUUUCAUCAACUAUUUACGGUGCAUUUGAUAUUGAUUUUGAGCUUAAAAACUACAACACUAAAGUGUUUGGUAAACAUUAACUGUUAUACCUUAUAAAUUAUAUUUAUAAUAAAAAAUAUAUUAUAUCUUUAAUAAUUUUAUUAAAAUUAUUAUUUAAAAUUUAUAUUUACUAUAUAUUAUUAACUUUUAUUUAAUAGUUAUAAUUUUUUUCUAUAUCAGUUAUAACUUAAAAUUUACACCACCUCAAUUCCAAAUAUACCUUAAUACCUAACACUGCAUGCCACAUUGUAACUCUUAAUCAUAUUAAGUAAAAUAGUAAGGGUUCAUAUGAAAAUAUUCUCAUUGAACGGAUAUCGAUUCAUCGAAUAUACUAUAAAUAUAAAAGCUCCUUUUUAAAGUGAAAAUUUCAAACCGUGCCCACGUUGAUUCAUGAAUAUUCCAAACAAGCCCAAAAUCUGGACAAGGACUGCAAGUAAAAGCUUGUACACUUAAUAAAUUCCUAACAAAAACUAAAAAUUCUUGUCAACGUCACAGCUUUAACUGCCAACAAAUUGCCUGUACAAAACUUUCUCAUAUCCUAUAACUGAAAGCAAGAUCAUUUGAGUCGAAUCCAAAAGAAAAGAAAGAUAAUAAUGGCUACAGACCUGAAGAAGAUCAUCAUUGACACUGACCCUGGUGUUGGUAAGUCUUUUUUACAUUCAACCGUAUCAUCAAAUUAUUUGUUUUUAUCAUCUGGGUAUUUUUUAUUUUCACAAUUGAAGCAAUAAGUUUGGAUUUCAUGUCGCUGCAUAUGAUGUCAUGGUUAUACUUCUGGCCUUGAGGUCACUUGAAGUGGAGGUUAUUGUACUUACUACAAUUUUAUGGUCAUCUUUAAACAAUUCUUGUCACCAAGAUCGUCUUGCAUUUGGUAACUAAGACAAGAUUUUCACUCUUUGUUUCUGUGGUUUUUUAUUGGUUUGUGAAUGUUUGUGCAAAUGGGUUGAUUUGAUAUGGCUCAGAUUUAGAUAUUUUUGAUAGUUUUGAUUGAUUGGGGGUGCUGUGUUUCGUGGAUUAGUUGGAGAUUGCAGGGAGGACUGAUGUCCCGGUGGCUGAAGGAUCCCAUGUCACCAUCACCGUAUGUGCUUCCCUCUUUUUUGUUUCACAAAUUUUCAUCUACUUGCAUGAGCUGAUAAUACCUGAAAUUAUGGGAUGUUUCUAUCAAUUAUUUACUCAAUGAAUGAAGGUUAAUGUAUGUGUCCGAUUUUCUAGUGAAUUAUUAUUAAGGCAAAAAUAUUAGUCUAUAGGAAUGUAUAACUGAGAAGUUGGAGUCAUGUGGAUGACAUUGUUAUACUUUACCUAACAAAAUUUUAGCUUGAGAUCUUGCAUGUGUAUCACAAUUAUUACUCAGCAAAACUUAACUGAUGUUUUGUUGGGUAUUGAGGUUGUCAAUGUUUUGACUUGUUCUUUCAUGUGAAGCAAGGUACAAAACUUCGCAUUGCUGAUUUUGUCCAUGGUGCUGACGGACUUGGCAACCAGAAUUUCCAUCCACCAAAAGGGAAGCCAAUUAAACAGUCAGCAGCUGAUUUUAUUGUUGAGCAAGCAAAUCUUUACCCUGGGAAAAUUACUGUGGUUGCAUUGGGGCCACUAACAAAUAUUGCAUUGGUCAGAUUUUCAUUCAUUGAACAUUUGUUUUUGUUGCAAGUACAAUCUAUAUUACUUCUUAACCAACCAUCUAUUUAUACAGGCUAUUCAACAAGAUCCUGCAUUUGUUAAAAACAUUGGGCAGAUAGUUAUUCUUGGUGGUGCUUUUGCAGUAAAUGGGAAUGUUAACCCAGCAGCAGAGGCCAAUGUAAAUUCCUCAAAUCUAAUUCUUCAGUUGCCUAGUGUUUUGACUAUUCAAGUCAUAAACAGCUAAUGAUGUAAUAUAUUGUAUGCUUCUACUGCACUCAGUACUCUUUCCGGCCUACUUAGUUGUGACUCGUCACAUUUGAUUGUGUCAGUGGUGUUUAACUUGUAUAUCUUUCUGAUCCGUGAUUGGAAUGAGCAGAUUUUUGGUGAUCCCGAUGCUGCAGAUAUUGUAUUCACAUGUGGAGCAGAUGUUGUGGCUGUGGGUAUUAAUGUUACGCAUCAAGUUGUUAUGACAGGUAUUUGUCAGAAAAUCUUGUGUCACUUGUUAUUCAUUUAAAUGGAAACAACAUCAAUGUGUAAUGAUGUCAUGUGCUAAUCAAUGUCCUGAUGCUUUUACUAAAGUAGUAUGAAUUCUGUUGUCCAGGCUAAAUACUUAACAAUGUUGUAUCUCCAACACAGUAGCAGCUUUUCUACUUUUUUAAGUUAUCUUAAGUUGCACUUGCAUCCCACCAAAUUGUGUCUCUGAAUUUUGAUAACCUUGUAUACUGGUGUCUAUAAUAAAUUUCCUCCACCUUUUUUUUUUCCCCAUUUUUCUUUUUCCUUGUCAAACAAUUAUAAGUUCUUAUGAUUGCAUUAAUUACCUCCACAUUCUUUCCAUUGCCUAUUUGGAGUUACUGAAUUCUUUUUCGACGCCUUUCCGUUUCUGUAGAGUUAAUUCUAAACAUUGAAAGCGUAUCCAUUUUUUUUCAUUUAAGCAAUUAUCUGUGCAUAAACUUGGAUGAGCAUAAUAUUCUUGACUAUUGUUAUUGUAAGCUUGUAACUAGAUGUUAGUCCAUUUAUUUGCUUAUUUCAUUUGAUUUUUUUAUCUUUUUUCUUACCUUUUAGAUGCUGAUAGAGACAAGUUGGUGUGUUCAAAUGGAAAACAUGCGCAGUAUUUAUGCAAAAUCUUAGAGGUCUACUUCUCUUAUCAUCAUGAUGCAUACAAUACAAAAGGUUUGUUCAUUUGAUGAAAGUGGGUUGAUAUACCCUUGAAAGUCUGAAGAACGACCAUACACCUGCUAAUAAUAAUUCAAUUCUUCAUAUAGGCGUUUACCUUCAUGAUCCAACAGCUCUUCUUGUAGCUGUUAAUCCUUCACUAUUCACUUACAUGGAGGGCGUCGUUAGAGUCCAGACUAGUGGCAUUACAAGGGGACUCACAUUAUUAUACAACAAACAAAAGAGGUAGGAUUUUUCAUAUCAGCAACUUUGAUUAUUGUGGUCGGUUGAUGUGAUUUGUAGAUACCAAAUAUAUGUUGAUUGAAGCCAAGGGACUUGACUGCUACAAAACCAAAUUGGUGCUAACUUUAUUCAAGAACUUAACAGACGAAGGAAAAAUGAAUUUGAUAAAUUGUGUGUGUAAAUGAUGAUUUAAGGCCGUAAUUAGCCGAGAACUUAUUUCACAAAAUCAAAUACUUUUGUAUGUGUCUGGAAAAGUAAGAUAAGUAACACGCGUCUCUUACAUUACAGGUUCUGAACAUAGGCUUCUUUGAACUCUCUGUUGUUUGUCAUAACAUCUUCAUUGAGCUCCCACUGACUCAUCUCUUUAAACCAGGUUUGCUGAAAUCACUGAAUGGUCUGAUAAACCUUCGGUUAAGGUUGCAGUCACAGUUGAUGCUCCGGCUGUCUAUAAAUUGUUCAUGGAUCGGCUUAUGGACUCAUAAAUAUAUUCAACCUAUGAAAUUGUCCUUGAUUUGACAUCCUGCAAUUGAUAGUAAUCAACCAUUCUUGGCAAUAAAAUUGUCCUUGAUUUCCAGUUCUGGACCAUCUUUUGUAAAACAUCCGAUCAAAUGGUGGCAUUGAGCUUGAAAUGACGUUUACAACUUCAGAUUUAUUGCACAAUAAAGACAAUUGCAUAUAUAUAUUUUUUAUUUUUCUGUUUAAAUGUAACAUUGAUGUUUUAAUAAUGUAACAUAUUCCAUAAUUGAAACCCCAUGUCAGUUCUACCACUCUGCAGUCAAUUUGCAUAUUCCUUCAUUUAUAUUAUUUUUUAACAACAUAAAUCCGAAAAUGUAAGUAAUUUUUAUUUACAUUACAUAUGAUAAUUUUACUUCUCGUAAAUUUUUGUUGUCAAUCUAUUAUCAUUUCCUAAAUUCAGUGAAAAAUGGCUCUUUGGCCUUUGCCAUCAACAAUUUUAACCCCCACCACCCACCCCACCCCCAUAAAAAGGACUAACAUCGUAACAUGACACACGAGGACCUAUUUUAAUAAAGGGUAAUUUUCGGAUACCUCCCAUGAGGUUUACCUAUGUUACACUUAGAGAGAAUGUAUGAAUAUAUUGACAUAUAGCACCCCUGAAUGUAUAUAAGCGUUAGGGAGCCGUUUGGUAGUCAAGGGUGAUAACGUAAUUAUAAAAAUUUAAUAUUUUUAAAUGGUUAAGAAACAGUAAAUUGAUUAAACUAAACACUUGCAUCCUGCACAAUGACUGUUGAACGAAAGCAUUGUACAUAAAUAAUGCACAGUGACAAAGCAUGGAACACAAUGAAAACCAAAGGGAUGGCGACCCAUCUCUACUUCUUCUCAUGGGUUGACUUUCAUUCCCAUAUGAUACCCACUAGUUCAACUUAUAUGGACUUAAAGAUACAGUGAGAAAAAUUCUCUGACAUUAAGCAUGUCAAGAACUAAAUUCCAGCCACAACCGGCAUCUGAGCAGUCAAUCAAUGAAGAACGUACUAGGUGUGUAUUUCCAUAAAAUCUUUAAGCUUAAUUUUGGUUUCAUUUAUUCUUGCAUUCUAUUCAAUAGGCUGCUAGUUUAGUUGACUAGUGGGCUUUUCUCUUACGAGUCUAGUUCUUAUUUGUAUAGUGUCUGUGCUAAUGUAGAAGACUUGUGUUGGUAUUAUGUGAAUAGAUAAAUUGGUAUAGAAAUCCAAUACAUAAAAAGUGAUUACAAUAUAUCAUAUGCUUCUGUUUGUUUCAAUCAGUAUGGGCAUUCAUGAAUUUAAAAAUGUUGUUCAUCUUUAGUGUAUCCGCUUGUUUACCUUGGUUCUUCACUUUCCAAUGCAAUCCUAAUUACUUGAGGACUUUGUGAUCGAGCCCAAUUUUGAAUCCAAUAGAUGCAAAUGUUCUUUGAAAGGUAACUCUAGACUUUGUUAUGUUGACAUUGACUUAAAAUUCGAUAUGAUAUUCUAGUUGAAUAUAUGAUAGAAAAUUGUAUGUGUUUGCAUAUUUGUUAAGAUUUUUUGCACUGAUUCAAAGAAUCUUAAAAUGUUCUUUAAAACCUAAACAACGGUUGUUUCAAAGAAAUAUAAGAGGUUUGGGCUUUGUCAUGAGAGAAGGUAAAAUUAAAAAUGGCAAGGGUUGGGCUGGAACUCAAAGAUAUUAUUCCAUCCUUUCUUCUAGCAAGCAUAGAGUAGAUAUUUUGGGUACACUGUUGGGAGGUUUUCUUUCUGCUUAAUGCUUGUUCUUUCGAACUGUAAGAAAUAAUGAUUAUUUAAAUCAAUUUUUAUGAGUACAUAAUCAAAAUAUGUGUUUCAUAUGGCUGGUACAAAGAGCUUCACAAGGCUAGAAUGUAAUACUUGCGACUAGUCAAGGUAUGUUCUUUGAUCCCUUUAGAAAUAGUAUGCUAGUUUCAGGAACUUGCUGCGAUUGGCAAAAUUGAAAGGAUUGCUUAUUGCAUUUUUUAUAUUCUUGUUAGAUUUUAGGAAUUUAACCUUGUAGCAUAAGCAAAGUUACUGAGAUUUACACAUUUGUAUAUAGCCAAUAUGCCCAAAUACUACUAAUAAUAGCAUUAAUUCACUCAUCAGUUAUGCAAUAUCAGCGCUUAGCAUUCUAUAAACUACUAUUAUCCAUAUAUUUUUGUAAAGGUUAGUUAUUUUUGUCAUUGUUUACGCAACUUGCUAUACUUUGACAUUAAGGCAGUGAUAGAUGGUAAAGUUUUUUAUGUUGGUUUAGCUAUUCCAGAGCAGUAUAGCUUGCACAAACAAUGGGUUGAUAUUAGGGAUGCUUAUUGAGGUCAUCCUAUUAGGAAUGCAAAUAGGAUAAAGGUCAAGUGAUAUUUCCAUGGCAGACUGAGCAGUAAACAAUUUUGAUUGACAAAGACUUGUUAGAGACAUUUGAACAACCUAGAGUAAAGGGGUACAAUUGGGCUAGGUUUGCAGUGACUCCUGAGAAAGUGCUUCCAGAUAUGAAUAGGGUUGAAAGUUCAGUAUAAAAGUGCACUCAGCAAUUGAAUAAUGAUGUGGAAAGUGGAAAUAAAGAGUUGUAUAAUUGUUAUGACGCAUCUGUAGAUGAAUUUGAAGAUUAUUAUGAGACUGAUCCACAUGAUUCUAAUCUGGUUGGUUCUAAUCCAGAUGAUUAUAAAGAUGAUUAUGAGACUGAUCCACAUGGUAAUGAUCUUGAUGACUAUGAAUCUGGAGAUGACAGUAGAGGUGAAUCAGAUGAUGAUGUUGUCCAAGAACAAACUUGCAUUAAAUAUGAAAAAAAAAUGCAUGUGACUUUGAGUUUAAUUCUGUUGGUGAUGAGAUAUUGUUAAAGCCUGGACAAUUGUUUGUCAAUGUGUGGGAGUUCAGAAAAGUGUUGAAGGUCUUUGCAAUUAGAAAUGGAUUCAGACUGAAAAGGUUAAAGAAUAAAAAAACGGUUAGCCUAUAUGGCUAUAGAUAUUGAUUUUGAUAAUAACAAACCACAUGUGUUGAUUAAACAAAGAUCAAUGAAUUGUGUUUUUAUAAUAAGAAAAUGAUGUUAUGGAAUUAAAGUGUUUUGGACUAAAAUGAAAGUAUUUUAAAACAUUUGAUAUUGUUUUAAAAUUUUAGAUUUGGACCUAUUUGAAAUUAUUUAAAUAUUUUGGGUUAUUCUAUAAUUUCACAUAGCUUGAGUGAAAUCAUAAUUUUAGAAAGUUUUGGGAUUCACAAAGUAUUAUUUAGAAAUUCUAAAAUUAGACCUAUUUGAAAGCUUUCAUAACAUUUUAGGUCAUAAUAUAAUUUUAUAAAGUUUUGGGGUCAAACUAUAAAUUUAAAAAAUAUUUCACUGUAGCAGUUACUGUAGCAAGCGAUUAAUCGGAUAUGGUAAGUGGCAAUCCGGAUUUUGGGCAGUAAGCUUCUGGAGCAUAAACGACUAUCUGGAUUUCAAAAACGGCUAUUCGGAUAUAAAAAGCGGCAUCCCAGAUAUUCUAAAAUUCAAAUUUUUGCCUUAAUAGUAACAUAAAAGCGGCUAACCGGAUUUGAUAAACGGUAAGCCAGUUAUGACCAAAAUGUGCAUAACGGCUAGUUUUUUAGCUCAAAUUAUAUAAAUUCAAAUCCAAUUCAUUUUCAAGCUCUCUAGCAAGCAUAAACAAAAAGCACACGAGAUAUCUUGAGCUCUCAAUUCGCAAAUCAUAAAACAUUGAAUCAUCUCUUGUUCUUCAUUUUGAAUAUUUACUCUUUGAGUGAGUUUUGUUGUAACUUUCAUUUCUUCAUCUUAAUUGUAAGUGUUUGAGUGUGUGAGACACUUGAGUGAAGAGAUUAGGAGAUAAUUUCUUUGUUGUAAAGGUUCAUUGACACCUUGAAGUCAAUUGUAAACAUUUGAAGGCUUGGAAAGGUUCGGAUAGUGAACUCAUCAAGCUUGGAUCGCUUGGAGGCGUGGACGUAGGCGAGGAUUGGUGAACCACGUAAAAAUUCAUGUGUUUGUUUCUCUUCUCCCUUACUCAUUUGUUAUUGUACUUUUAUUGAACUUAUUGCUUUUGAAUUUAUUAAGGCGUUAGAUUAGAUUGUUGUGUGGCUUUGUUAAGAUAAUUUUUAAGUACCAAUUCACCCCCCUCUUGGGUUGCACACUUAUAUUUCAAAAACAAAGGUGACAUGUGUGUGUGCUGCACCAAAUUGCACUUGGAGAAUCCAUGCAAACCCUAAUUGGAACAGGAGAUCAUUUCAGAUUAAGACUUACUGCCCUGAGCACACUUGUCCUAAAGUUGAUGACAAUUAUGAGGCAACUUCGGAUUGGAUAGCAACCACAUAUCUACAUUUGUUCAAGGCCAAUCCUGACAUCAAGAGUUCUGUUAUUGCUACUACUUUGAUGCAAAGAUAUGUAAUUAAAUGCAAUAAUCAGAAGUUGUACAGGGCCAAAAGGAAAGCACUUGAGUUACUUGGUGAAGACCAUAAGACCAGUUACAUUAAAUUAUUUAGGUACAUGCAUGCUUUGUUAAAUUCCAAUCUUGGUUCCACUGUCUCUUUUGGAAGGGAUUGGAUUGGUGGUGCUGAAUUUCCCACAUUCAAGAGGUUUUUCUUCUGUAUUGACAAUAGUAGAAGGGGAUUUUUUAAGGGUACAGGCCAUUCAUUGGGGUUGAUGGCUGUCACUUAAAAGGACCGUAUAAAGGUGUAUUCCUAAUCGCUGUCAGCAUUGAUGCAAACUAUGGAAUUUAUUCCUUGGCUAUGUGUGUGGUUGACACUGAGAAUAAUGAGUCUUGGCAGUAUUUUUUUGGAAAAAUUAUAUGAUCAAGUCGGCUAUAAUGGUGUUGAAGGUUUAUACUUCAUGAGUGAUAGGCAAAAAGGUGUCCUCAAUGCAUUAGAUAGAGUAUUUCCUCUGUCGUUGAAGAGGUAUUGAUGUAGACAUAUCUAUGCAAACUUCAAGAACAAGUUUCCUGGGUUGAUAUUGAAAAAAGUUUUCUGUAGGGCCUGUAGGAGUUCUAGUGCUACUGACUUUCAUUCCCAUAUGCAAGAAUUGAAGAAUAUAACUCCCGAUGGUUAUGAAUGGCUAAUGAAAAUUCCCAUUGCAUGUUGGGCAAAUCAUUUGUUCUCCUCACACACAAAAUGCAACUAUGUACUAAUUACAUGACUGAAUCUUUUAAUAAUUGGAUUAACAACUACAGAGGUUUGUCAAUUGUGAGGAUGUUUAAGGAGAUACGAAGGAAAAUCAUGCGCUUAAUUCACAAAAGGCAUGAGGCAGCCCUUGGAUGGAAUGAUGAGCUUUCACCAGGUGUGAGAAGAAAGAUUGUUGAGGGAAGACUAGCAGCAAGAUCAUUGUCUAUCAUUUGUAGGCAUAAUGAAACUUUUGAGGUAGUUAAAGAUACGACAAAGAUUAUUAUUGUUGAUUUACCGAAAAAGAAUUAUGACUGUGGUGAAUUGGGAAUCUGCGGACUUUCUUACAAACAUGCCCUUUGUUCCAUAGAUGUAAAGAGAUACCAUGUAGAAGACUUUAUACAUCCAUAUUUGAAAAAUGCAGGUUUUAUUGGGACAUAAAAACAUCAGUUUACACCAGUUCCAGAUGAAAAAAAGUGGCCACUUGAACUUCACGACAAUUUGCAGCCACCGACAGCCAUAAGAUCAGCUGGCAGGCCUCAGACUAAAAAGAGGAAAGAAGAAGGUGAAUCCUCAACAUUUAAGCGAAGUUCAAGUGUGAGGUGCUCUCGUUGUGACCAUUGGGGACAUAAUAAGAGGACUUGCCUAAGGGCAACCCGUGAUAAUGAGAAGAAAAGGGCUAAGGGCAAGGUAAAACAAAUGUAUUGAAAUUAUUCUUAAUGAAAACUGCUGCAGACACAUGAUUUAUGAACUAAUCACUAAUUUUCAUUUUCUAAACACCAAUUAGUAAGACCAACUCACAGGAUUUAGACAAUCGAUCUAGCCAAACGCAGUCAUCUGCCCAUGAUAAUGGUAAUAAUGAUUUUGGAAACAUUUGAAGUUACUUAAUAUUCUUAAUUUUAUGGUUUUUAUACUGAAUAUGCAAUAUGCUUACAGGGCAUUUGACUCAAGAAUGAUUACUAAAGUUAAAGCAUCUAGCAGAUUCAAAAACAUAGAGCUAAAAGUAUGUGACAAGACAGAGCACAUAUAUAACCUCCUACUCUAUUUUUUUAAGGGGAUUAGAUGAUGCAACACCUUUGAAUUGUCCAGAGCAUCAAUAGAUGAUGUAUAAUCUCUUACUCACCUAAUAUAUAGGUUUGAGUACUUUUGAUUUAUACUUUGCUGAAAGGUAGAGACUUUCAUACUGCCAAAAAUAGGUCAUUAUGAGAGAUAUAACUAUAUAUAUUUAUAUGUUGUGCUUCUGUCACUUGUAAAGACUCGGUGUGUUGUAGCCAAAGAAUGAAUGUUCAAACUGAGUUUCUGUUGGAAUGCCAAUUAUCCAUAUGAGCAUGCUUUGUGGUUUCAUAUUAUAUAUUAUACUUUGAUUUAAAUUUAUGCGGUUGCUUGUUGUUUUAAUGUUCUGAUGAUAUUGAGAUAGAGUUAAGUGAGCUUGCAGUUGAAUAAACUUGAAUGAGAUAAUGAGCAAUGGAUUAAAGCUUAUUUUAUACUAAGCAAACUUGUAUUGUUCUAAAUGUCUCAUGUCAUGUUGUUUCCUGGAAAGCUGUAAAAUAUCUCUCCCUUCCAAUUUCUUUUUGGUGGCUGGUAGCGGUUGUCAAUGUCUUAUAUAAAAUUAUAUAUUGAUUAAAUUCUUGUGUUCAUCGACACACAAUUCUUUAAUUUUACAAAUGUUACUUUUCUGCUGGAUUAUGCAUUCAGCUAAUCUAGAUAUUGAACUUGAAUGGGUUAGUUAUUUGCAUUUAUAUGCAAAAGUCAUACACAUUAUUAAAGCUCAUUUUAUGUUCAUAUUGAUGUUCAACUAGUCAUAGUGGAUAAUAAAAUUGAAUAGGAUAGUGAGCUACAGAUUAAAGCUUAGAUGCAUUUUAUGUUCAUAUUUAGCUAGUCAUGUAAAUUGUUGUUAAGUUCACAUUCAUGGUAGUAGUUGAUCAUUACAUACUUUAAGUACUAAAACAUGCAUCUGUUGCAUAAUGCCUACUUUGUAGCUAAAACUACACCCACUAUUAAAACUAUAGUAGCACAGAUGAAAAAGAACAUGUUCAAGAAACAUAUUGUCUUCAUGCCACUGCAUUUCCCUAUUGUUUUAUGUGUUUUUUGCAUCAGCAACUUCAAAUCUGUUAACUCUUUUUGCAUGUUCAGCAAUAACUCAUAAUUUGCUUGACAUGUUCCUACACAUUCAAAUAUUUCACCUUUAUUGAAAUCAUUAAGGGAUGGCAUCCAUAACUUGAAGUAGUCGCAGCCAUGUCGGCUGUCCAUACAGCAAUAAUAUAGCUUGUUUGGGUUGUCAUCCAAUUAUGAAAUCUUCACACUAGCUCUUUUGUUGCACUUACAUAUCUUAUUUGCAAAUCGAAUGAGGUUGCCAUUAAUCUCAUUCCUCCAUCCUCUGCUUUCGCAGCUGCUGGAUCCUGUUGUUUGUUCUCAGCUUGCUGAAUCCAUAACAAGCAUUAGGUAGUGGUGAAUCUGGGCAAAAAAUGAGUGUUAUUUGCUCUUAAAUACAGCUCAGGAAGGUUGAUAUUACUGUUGGGUUGUUCCAACGGUAAUAUCAGCCUUGCUUUGUUGCUUUUAAAUUGUUGAAAUGUAAGUCAUUCAACAACUGUAAAUACAUUUUUUAAAGGGUAUAUUAGCAUUUUCACCAAUCACAUGAAUUUUGUCUCAUUAUGUCGUUUGUUUAUUGUCAAAUUAAAUUAUUGUAUGUCGUUUGUUUAUUGUCAAAUUAAAUUAUUGUAAGAGUAUAAUAUCAGCCUUGUCUUUAUUCUUAUGCACUUGGCGCCAAGAAGCAAGGGCAUUAUUGUAUUUUUAUUGUCAAACCAAACGGCUCCCUAACCCUUAUAUACGUUAAGGGGUGCUAUAUGUCAAUAUAUUCAUACAUUUUUUCUAAGUGUAGCAGGGGUAAAUCUCAGAGGAGGUAUCCAAAAAUUACAACCGUACAUACUAUUCCUUUACAAGAAAUAUAUAAAAGUGCAAGGAUCAAAUGAUAAAAUCUCGUUAAAGGCAAAAAGUACAGCAAGCAAAGCGGGGUUUUUAAUUAAAUACCCUUUAAUAGUUUCAAAAUUAUUUAAAUACCCCCUCCCUUUUUGGUUUUCAUGGAUACCCUAACAAAUGUGAGCAAAGUCAGAAAUACCCUUAAUGAAUGCAUCAAAUUCACUCAAUGAAUUGUUUUCAUAUUUCUUUCCUCAUUUCUUUCACCCAAAUCUAUUUUUGCUGCUGAUUCUUUCAAAAUCUCUUAGAAUCUCUUAGAAUCUCUCAUAACUUCUUACACAAAUACAAUUAUGUAUUCAUUUCUUUAACACCAACUCUUUCUUUAAAGGUGCAUUGCUUAUUAAACAACCCAAUAAGGUAUGUUAAUCUUGUUGGGUUUUAAAUUUUUUAAUUUUUAGGAAAAUUUAGAAAUUUUCCUCACAUUACAAUGUUUUAUUUUCACCAUUUUUUCUUAUACGUAGAAAUAUAUGCAAUGUAGGUUGUUUAAUUAUUUUUUUCAGCAAUAUAACUUAUUUAUGGCGAAAAUGUUUCGAGUCGUGCAUUCUUUUGAUACCGUGUACGUCAUAUAACUAGUCAUGUAGGUCGUGUAAGUAAUAUAGUCGUGUAAGUCGUGUAGGUCAUGUAAGAAAUAUAGUCGUGUAAGUAAUAUAGUCGUGUAGGUCAUGUAGGUCGUGUAGUUACUUGUAUAUGAAAUUUAAUAUUAUUGUUUUUAUUGUAUCAUCAGAUAUGGUUUUAGUGCGUGUGCCUAUUCUCUUUAAUGGUGAAUGGAUUGAGCAAAAUGACGAGUAUAAGUUCAAAGGUUCAAAGGCUAAAGGGAUAAUGAUACCACGAUUGACAACAUAUGCCGAAUUGGUGGAGAAGAUAGCUGAAGUUAUUGAUAUAGAUACUUCAGAAUUCAAAAUCACAAUGAAGUUCAAACUUAAGACAUCUGAUCCUAUGCCACCAGUUACAAUUCAAACUAAUGAUGAUGUGGAAUUUUUUUAGAUUCCAAUUUAAUUUCACUUUUUUUUUUAAUAAUUUUCGUUGACAUUUUUUGCAUACAAGCAUACAUGAGGAAUGCCUGCAUAUAAUUAAUCCAUGAAAUCAAUUAAGAAAAAAAUAUAUCAAUUAUAGGAAAUUAAUGUAAUGUUAUACACAUAAGAACACCAUUCGCAGUGAUAAAAUAUUUCCACUCAUAACUAGACAUAUCAUGACUUACCAUGACUUAUAAUUGGAAAUUAAGAAUCUCUCUAACUAAUGACAUUUCACAAGGCAAAUGUAUAUGCACCAUUCCAAUUUAUUGUGAGCCUAAUUAAACUAAAUGUAAUGUGUAGAUUCUAUUAACAAGAAACAAAAUGUGGAAUUGAAGGUCGUGUACUUGUGUAAUACAAGAAGAUCGUGUAAUUGUAUAAUACAUGAAGGUCGUAUAAACAUGCAAUACAUGAAGGUCGUGUAAACGUGUAAUACAUGAAGGUCGUGUAAUCGUGCAAUACAUGAAUGUCGUGUAAUCGUGCAAUACAUGAAGGUCGUGUAAUACACAACCUUGAAUCUUACAUAACUUUACACGACCAAAUCUUGUGUUACAUAACAAAAUUAUAAUCAGCACAAUCCAUUAAUUUUUCACAAUUUGCAUGCAGCAAAACAACUAAAAAUUUGUUUUCGAACAUGUUAUGAAAAAUUUGUUUUCGAACAUGUUAUGAGAGACCCACAACUAAUUAAUCUAUUUUUUCAAUAUAAAACCCUAACUUUUUGUUUUUUUCCCUUAAAUAUUAACAAGAAAACUAAUUACAUGGAAUUACUUGUCUCAACUACUUACAUUCUGAUAAUUUUGCAGUAAAUGAUCAACUCUCUCCGGCGAUUAUGUAGUGACGAACUAUGCUUCACUUUCUCAGUUGUGGCAGCUUCCCCUUCUCAGGCUUAGUUUGCUCGUGUUGAAGUUCGAUUUACCAUGUAUGGAGAAUGAAUGUUUGUUUCGGUAGAGGUGAUGCCGGUGAGGGAAUUACAGAGGUGAUGCUGGUAAGGGAAUUGCAGUGUUUGUUUGUUUGAGUUUGAUAAUGGAGGGAAUUGCAGCAGAUGAGUGUUUGUUUGCUUCAGUAGAGAAGGGAGAGGUGCUGUCCGUUGAGUUGAAAUGUUUUAAAAUAAGGAUAGUUUAGUAAUUUUCUAUCAAUUUUUAAAGGUUAUCGAUGAAAAUUUUGGCAAAAAUAGAUUUAGGGUAUUGAGAUAAUUUUUGAAGUAUGGAGGUGUACCGGGCGCAAUUGGCACAAGCAAAGCAGAGCAUGUGAUUCUUCCGAGUCCGGACUUCCCUUCUUCCUCUUUCGCUGUGAAAGCCAACACAGAACACGAACACGAACAAAUAGGGGAAAGAGAAAAAUGAGUAAUUUGGUUAAAGGAGUAAUUUUGGACGAAUCGGAGAUGCUGUCGGCCUCCGAACACGGGACUCCUACAAACGCAAACGACUCGUCGUUUCAGCUGCGGCCCGGAGCCUCCUACUUGCUUCGUAAGCUCCGCCACUCCAACAUCCGAUCGGUACUCUCUUCAUCUGUUUGUUAUUGUUGCUUGAAUUUCUUGUAUAUAGUAAUAAUAAUGAGUGGAAUAUGAGCUUUUUUUUUGUUAAAUAAUUUUCAGGGAAUUUCUUACGGGCCGGGUCUUUCUCCUGAUAAGGUACUUCUUUAAUUCUUUUUUUCUUUAGUUUUUUUAAUUUCUUUAUGGUCAAUGUAAUAGGGGAGUGUAUCAAUUUCAGUUACUUCCAUAAAUAUUCCUUCAAAUGGAAAGCGCUUUCUACAAAAGCACUUUGCUAAAGUGCAUUUGUUGUGUGUCUCUUCUUGUUUAAGGUGAAUGUGUUGAAGAGGAUAGCAGUAGAAUACUCAUGCGAAUGCUUUCUUCUGCAUGCAUCUGUGGAUGGUGGUGUAAAUGAGAUUACACGAGCUUGGGGUGACGUCGGAGGAAUUAUUAUGUAUGUCGUUCAAAACAGCAAGGAUUCCAUGUGUAAAAUUAGCAGCAAUUGGCUUAUUACUGUCGUUGGUGAGUACUGCAGCGUCUAUAUUCUCGUCGCCCUCUUUGUGGGUGGGAGAAUUUGGCUAGGGGGUUGUAUUUGACUACCUAUUUUGUCACAAUAGCAUUUCUGUCCGUCUUUCAUCUAAGAUUCUUUCUACACUAGGUAUGAGUGUCUCUAUAGAAUUGAAUUGAUACAGUUUUGCAGUAACACAAAUUGGUGGGACUUGGGGUUAUGUGCCAUUUAUAGUUGCUGCCUGCAUGUUGGGGGCGCAUACAUUUUAGUUUCUGCUAGUUAUUUUAGGUAAAAUUGGUUGCUGACCUAGAGUCUGCUUCCGUUUCAGGUGCUGAAGUUGUUACUGCAGGUCAGAAUUCAAGCAUGCUUUAUAUCAACAAGCUAGAAGAGUUACCUUUGACUAUUUGCUGCUUCAACAAAAAGGUUUCCUCAGGCGAUUCAUCUCUUAUAGUACCACUUUAGUUUUGUAUGGUUAUGAUUUGUUCUUUCAAUAAUUUUUGGGUUUAGUGAGAUAACAUUUGCCAGCUUAAAACGGAAAAAUGGCAAAGUGCUGUGUUUUCUAGAGAAAAUACUAAUUUAAGGUGUGCUACUGAAAUCAUGGAUCUAUGAUAUAUAACAUACACCUGAAAUUCAAACUUGUUCUGGAAAUACAAACUAAAAAGCAGUAAAAAGUAAUGUGAUUAGUUUCUUGUAGAUCACAAAAUCAAAUGCAAGGAAUAUAUGUAGAAACACCAUACACUAAGUGCAUAGUUUUUUAAUUAUCUUUAGAGUUUCAGUCCAUGAUUUGUUUUAUGUCUCUCAUCUUAAGUAGGCAACUUGCAACAAUGUUGUGGUGGUUGGUUAUGUUAUGAAGCCUUCGCGUGAAGAAGAUUUUGCUAAGGUGAGCUCUUUUUGCUUAAAUGAGAGCAUGGUGUGUUGAAAAGGCUUAAAAGAAAUGUGGGGGUUGUCAAUCAUUUAUUCUUUACUCAUCUUAGAUUCAGCGACUAUCAUGUGAAAGCUUAUUUGGUCCUAUGUUCUGUAGAGGGGUGCAUUUCCCUUGUAUCCUACUCCAAACGGGUUGAUAUUUCUGCCUCUCACAUUUGAGAUCCCUCUAUCAUCUCAAUUACAAAAUGUUGAUGUGGUUCUACAUAAAGCAACAGAUGAAAUCAUAUCCAUUGAGUUGAGCAACUCUUCAGUAUCCUCCAACAGAAUUACUUACACAAAGGGCAUGCAGGAAUUACAAAGGUAACUUCUCAAAGUUCCAUUUUCUCUAUUUGAAAAUAUAUUUUCUUGCCUUUUGGCAAUCAUUCUAUAAUUAGAUGGCACUCUUGGUGGCUGGAAAUUGUACUACCAGUCAGAUAUUUUUGUUUUACCUCUUCAAAGAUAUCCUCCAGUUAUCUACAUUUCUGCUAUAUGGAAAGAUUGUGGUCAGAAGUUUUUUGGGAUGAAAUCUCGUGGUUUGUGAUUAAUAGCUAGGGUGUUAAGACUUUGUUUGUGAUGGUCAGUUUGCUUCGAAAAUUUAGUGACAUAUCAUCUUAAUUUAUUUCUAUCAAGUUGUCAAGUCAAAAAGAUUUGUUGGGCCAUUAUGAAUUCUCAAAAGUGUCUUUGAGAGUGGUAAGAGUUUUUCCACAUUCUCAAAUGAUCUUAAAAGCAAGUAACUAAACAUCUUUUUGUUAUGAGUCCUUUUAUCUAUCUUUUCUAUAGUCACUUUUCCAAACACUCUGUCAACCAUGUUUACAUGAGAGAAUGAUAGAUUAAAGUUUGUUGCUUCCUACUAAGAAAGGAAUGAGCUCAUGCUGUUUAAGUAAAUGAAGGUUUUUGCUAAAAAAUAAAUAAAUAAAUGAAGGGUCUUUGCCAAUUUCUGGAAUUUAGGAUGAAAAUAAUUGUAGUAACUGAAUUGAGUGUCUUGACAACCAGCACUCUUAUUACAUCUUUCCUGUCUCAUAAUACCCAUUUCAAGAAAUUUUAUCUAAAAGACUUCUAAUAGCAUGUUGUGUAAAAAAAAUUUUGACACUUAUUCUUAGAUUAAUGUAGUAUUCACUUAGUUUUUUCAUAAAGUCUUGCCACUUUACAGAUUUAUGGAAGACCACUCAGAUUUCCUCGCAAUUGACCCACUCAGUAACAUUUACCCUGUACUGGAUCGGCUAAAGAUCCAACUGAUUCUACUUAGGCUGCAAGAACAAAAAGCUAAAGGACGACAUGCAAUUAGGGGCGCCCAUUUUCUUAAGGUCUUUUCUACCAGAAUGGCCUCUUUGUUGUUCUUAACUAUUGAUCUCACGAAUCCUUGAACCAGUAGAAAUUGGGUUCUUUCUACAAAUAAAACACUGAUAGAAGGAUGGAUUCAUUUUCCUCUUUGUUGCUCCAAUUAAUAUUGCUCUGUAGUACAUUUUAUGAAUGAAGGAAUCUAGAAUCAAUACAAGGUUUACUAAUGCUGCUAUAUACUAUGUUCUCUGUUGGGCACUAAUAGAUAAGGUGGGUUUUGUGUUGGUUAGUGUAAAAGGACCCUUUUGUGAGUACUUUGUAGUAGAAGAUUAGCAUAUGUAUCUCCAUGAUUAUACAUUUCAAUAAAAUUGUUUUUUGAGGGAAUCUGAUAUUACAAAGUAAUUCAGAAAAAUGCUUGGUCUUUUAUUUCAGUCAAUGCUCUGUAUUUGUCAAGUAGUUUAUUUUCUCUAGGUGCUUUAUAUAUUGAUAAUUUUUUUUAUGUAAUCACAAUUAUACAGCUUAUGGCUUGCUUUUGGACUUAAAUCUUCUGAAGUUUCAUUAGUAUCUCCUCCAAAUGGGUAACAUCUAAAUUUCAAAUAUGCAGGUUAUUGAUUUUAAAGAUCCUGGCUUGCCACAAAGAUUGUCAGAUGCACAACUUUCUCUUCCCUGUAUAGUGAAACCUCAAGUUGCAUGUGGUACGGCUGAUUCUCACAGUAUGGUAGGUAUAGCUUUAAUCUAAUUCUUGGUUUUCCUUUCUCUCAAUUUCUUCCCAGUUUAAUAAUAGCUUUAUCUUGGAGUGACAGGCAAUUGUCUUUGGAACUGAAGAUUUUAAAGAUUUGAAUGUUCCUAUUCCUGCUGUUGUUCAGGUGAGCACGAAGUUGAUGGUAUUUGCAUAGUUAUAUGUUGCUUAUUGUGGCAGCAUAAUUGUUAUUGUUGCUCAGGUGUGGUUACAACUGCUUUCAUAUGUCGUGAUUUCCACUCAGAAUUGUGUUUCCUUGUGGACUGUGCUUCACAAACUCGUCUAUUGUUUAUAAUCUUAAAUGUUCAAGUGUUCAUACAUGACUGAUUGCAUGGGAGCUGAAUGGAGUGGAACUCAUUGAAUUCAAAACUGUUCUUCUUUGAUAUUACAGGAAUAUGUCAAUCAUUCGUCCACUCUGUUUAAGUUUUAUGUCUUGGGUGAAAAUAUUUUCCAUGCAGUUAAGAAGUCUACUCCAAACUCUGGUAUUCUGAUGAAAUCGUAUGAAAGGAAUGGACUUAGACCUAUCCUCUUUGACAGGUAGUGUCUGCUCCCCAGUUUCCGAUUCCCUCUUACUUUGAUCUGCUUUCUCUAAGGAUGGUUGUGAUACUUCGUUGAAACUAAUAAUGUGGUGGUGUCUUUUGCAGCUUAAAAUCUCUACCCAUCGACACUGAAAAUCAAAAUUCAGGAGAUUCGAUUUCCUGUAAGGUUGAUCUUGAUCUUGAACUGAUCAAAGAUGCUGCAAAGUGGCUUGCAAAAACACUUGAUCUGACCAUCUUUGGAUUUGAUGUUGUCGUGCGUAUUCCAUAUAAAUUCUUAACUAUCAUUUCUUGACCUCCCUGCAUUGUACACCGUGAGUGAAUUGCCUGAACAUAUAUAUUAACAUGUGUAUUAUCAAUUUACAGAUUCAAGAAGGCACUGGUGACCAUGUCAUUGUAGAUUUAAACUACCUUCCAUCAUUCAAGGAAAUAGAUAAAGAUAUCGCCAUACCCGCUUUUUGGGAUGCCAUUAAACUGAAGUUUGAAGCAAUAAAGAUGCAACAAGCAACUAUAGCUUCCUCAUCUUGAGCGUCAUCUGCAGCUUGUUGGUCGGUUAAGUAACUUUAUGUAAAUUCACCGACACUGAUGAAGCUUGGUUUUGCUUCAAGUACCUGUUGUAUCAUAGAGUUUGAGCUGUGUUACGAACAAAUUUUGAUAAAUUGGGAAUCUCUCUCCAUCCUCUUAAAAUUUGUUUUCUAAAUUUAUUUGAGGAGAAAUAAUAUAUUAAUAAUAUUGAGAAACAACAGUAUUCAGGGCAAUAGAAGCAUUUGCUAUGGGGUUUUGAAGGAUUUGCUUAGGGCCUUGGCUGUGAGGACACUCGCGUGCUGUGGUAUUCUUUUUAAGAAUAAGAAAAUAAAUGAUAAAAUAGUCUCUUAAUUUGGACAAAUUGAAUAUGAAAGUUGAAUCUUCGGAGAAACAAGCGAAACAGCAAGAAAUAGGCAAAAGGGAAAUUAUUUCCAAAAGUUAAUGUAAAUGAAAUUAAAGGUGUUCAUAUUAGCUGUAUGUUACCAAAGCCGUUUCAUACUGAAAAAAUAAAUAAAUAAACAUGAGCCAUAUUAAAUUAGGGGUGUUUAGAAUCUAAUCUGAUCGGCUCAAUUCAUCUUAUGACUUAUCCGUAAAUAUUUGAUCUGUAAAAAUCUGAUCCGUGUAUUGGUGGAUUGGAUUGGAUUGGAUUAAAAUUUUGAAAUCCACAAUGGGUGGAUUGGAUAUGAAUUUACUUCCGUAAAUCUAUAAAAAUUCGCGAAUCCAAAAAAAAAAAUAUUUAUUUAAUAAAAAAAUUAAACUUGUAAAUAUGAAAUUAUUCUUACUAAUAAAUAAAUAAGUUAAAAUAUAGUUAUAUUAACAUCAUAUUAUGCCUUAUCUGAUAAUAAUAUAAAACAAAAAUAAUUAAAUAAAAAAAUAGAGCUUAUUAAGCAAUUAAUUUUCAUCUACUGAAAUGUACAAAUGUAUUUUCUAUCUUUAUUUAAACAAUUAAUUUAUUCAAAUCUUAUUUUAAUUUUGAAUUUGAUCGGUAGUAAAAUUAUUUUUUAUAUUAAUUUUUUUAUUUAAUUAGUUUCGUGGAUAAGACGUGAUUAAAAUUUUUUAGCCCACAAACCAAUCCGUGAAAUGGUGAAUUGAAUAUGGAUUGAGUCAAAUUUACAUCCGAUUCGCAGACGUGUGGAUUGGAUUUGAAUUAAAUUAGAUUAAAAAUUUAUAAUCCGUAAAAUUGUGAAUCAGAUAUGCAUUGAUGUUUAAUCCGCAAAAUCCGAUCCGCGAAUACCCCUAUGUUAAAUGACCAAUAUUUUUUAAUUAAAUAUUUCACUGCAUGUCUUCUUUUAAAAGAAGAAAAAAAUAUUGAAGUGCCUAGUUGUCUUCUAAGGAAAAAAAAAAGAAAAUUUAACUUAUUUUGAUUUGUGGACAUGGGCGGACCCAAUUAAGGCCCAGGAGGAGCUUCAGUCCCCCCUAAGCCAUUAAGUUUUCUUUUAAAUGUAUCCCAAGCCCCUUUUAAAAAAGUUAGAUAAACUAAUUUGGACACAUUUUUCAUAUAUUAAAAGACUUGUGGUUCAAUGGUAAGAGUGCUAUUUAAUGAUUUUGAAACCUUGGUUCAAAUCCCAUUAGCCACAUUAUUUUAUUUUUUUAAAUAUUUUGUGGAAACUACUUCGAAAAAUAAUAUUUUCACGCAUUUAAAAUACUACUUCAAAAAAUGAUAUUUUCACGCAUUUAAAAAUAAUAAUUUAUUACUAUUAUUAUUUAGAAUUUAAAAAAAAAGUAAUAAAAUUUGAGUUUAUAAGACUUAAAAUGUAUUCGAGUGAACAUUAAAAAAAUCUAAGUUAAAUAAAAUUUUUUGAACUAAGCCCCCCCUCAUUUUAGUUUCUGGGUCCGCCACUGUUUGUGGAUGCACCUAAUUGAGACGGUAAAGUCUGAUGUAUUGAAAACAAUAGUCUAAGGUUUGAACUCCAUUCGUGAGUAGAGUGACAUGGGCAGUGACGAAAUUAGCUUGCUAACUAAGCUAACUAAUAAAAAAAUUAAAAAUUUCAAAAUUAGUAGUAAAUAAUUUUACAAUUCUAUGGUGCGUUUAUUGAAAUAAAUUAUUUGCUUGAGCUAGUAUUAUCAUUGGUGUUUCUAGUUUAUCUAAAAAUCAUAAUAGAUAAUUUUAAAUUACCAAAAUAUCUUUAGUUAAAGGAUUUUUCUACCUUACAGUCAAUGUAAGGUCCCACAACCAAUAGAGAGGGUUGUACCUUACAUUGAUUGUAAGGUAGCAGCUCCCUUAGUUAAAAUAUAUGAUAUAUGUUUUGUUAUUAUUUAUUUUUUAGUUAUAAAAUAAAUAAAUAAACAUUUAAAAAGAAAAAAAACAUACAUGUUUAUUAUAAUAUAGAAAGCAAUACUAUAAUUUUUUAAUUAAAUUAGUUAUUAAUAAUAUUAUUAUCAUCAUUUAAAAGGGAUGACAUUUUUUUUUGAUUUUGUCUAAUGAUAAAAAUUAUCAAUUUAAUCUACAUUCUUAUUCUCUAUUUAAAUACUACCUCUCCCAUUACAUAAUUAGAUUCUCAUUCCUAGUUCAUAAAUUUGUGUGCUACACGAUGAAUACAGUUCCAUUCCUUGCAUGUUUAUUUAACAAGUAAACACCCUUAAUUAAGGAACUCACUCUAAAGUCUACGUCAACUAGGAAACGUGUGGACGCUUCAUCUUCUUUACUCAGUCGUUUAUUGGCAGCCGAUAAUAAGGGUAUCUGAUGCUUGCCUGUAGUGGGAGUCAGCUGAUCCAUUCCUCAUUUAAUAAAUGCUUCCUUUUCAGUUUAGUUAAAUCACUAAGAAAUCUUGUCAAAAAAGAAAAGUUCAGUUAAAUUAUUAUUAAAAAAUUGCAUCUGGGUUUGUUUUUGUUGUACUAAAGAGAGGUGAUGGCUGCUGCAUUUGUUGGAGGAGCUCUCCUCGGAGCAGUAUUUGGAGAGCUACUAAAAGCAGUUUCAGAGGAAAAAGACAAAGCAGUCACGUUUAAGGAUCGGUUGGAGAAACUGGAAUCCACUUUACGAAAUUCAAUUCCGUGGAUCGAAGAAAUAGAGAAGCUGAACCAAGUGUUAGAUCGGCCAAAGCAGGAAACAGAAAAUUUAGUUCGGAUGAUGGAGCAAGGGGAGCAGCUGGUGCGUAAAUGCUCAAAAGUGAAGUGGAAUUGCUUCAAGAGAUAUGUUUAUGCUAAAAAGAUCAUCAAGUUGGAUACAUCCAUCAGUGACUUCUUUCGGACGAGUCUUCCUCUGCAACAUGCAAGAGACGGCAAGUUGAUUAUGGUUGAGGUAAAAGAGAUUCACACGAUGGUGAGAAGAAUGAGCGGUAAUGGAAAUAUCAAUGGUUGGAUGUCUAAUCAGGUCGGAGAUUGCUGCUCGGCGCCUGAUCCUCCGGUGAUUACUCCAGGAUUGGAUGUUCCAUUGAAGGAGUUAAAGAUGGAGCUGUUCAAGGAUGGAAGGCAAUUCAUUGUGGUCUCGGCUCCUGGAGGAUAUGGCAAGACCACAUUGGUCCAAAGACUUUGCAAAGAUGAUCAAGUUCAAGGUAACCAGAUGUCUUGAUUCAGCUUUUUGCUAGUGUAAGAAUGGUACUGAAUUUCCUCGAGUCUUUCACCACCAGCUUUCUCACUAUGGCACUUGAACAGGAAAAUUCAAGGACGACAUUUUCUAUGUUACUGUUUCCAAAAACCCCAAUGUGAAGGCCAUUGUACAGAAAGUACUCCACCAUAAGGGUUACCCUGUGCCCGAGUUUCAAACAGAUGAAGCUGCAAUCAAUGACUUGGAGCGAUUUUUUAAGCAAAUGAGAACAGAGGCUAUACUGUUGGUCCUCGAUGAUGUCUGGCCCGGGUCAGAAUCCCUGCUCCAGAAGUUGGGGUUCCAGUUACCCGACUACAAGAUUUUGGUGACCUCAAGGUCUGAAUUCCCACAAUUUGGUUCUGUGCAUUAUUUGAAACCAUUGACUUAUGAAGCUGCCAGGACUCUUUUUCUUCACUCAGCAAACCUACAAGAUGGAAACUCGUACAUUCCAGAUGAAAAUAUCGUCAGUAAGGUGCUCUGCUUAUCCCCAGUUAUAUGCUAUUAUUCAUUUUAUUUUUCACCUUUGUAUAUGAAAUGCGCGCAUGUUUUUUUUUUUUUUUUACCUUCCAAAUCUGGUUUUACCCAACUGCAGAUAUUGAGAGCCUGUAAGGGAUGUCCUUUGGCCCUUAAAGUGGUCGGUGGAUCGCUCUGUGGGAAGCAGGAAGUAUUCUGGCAAAGAAUGGUGAAGGAAUGUUCUCGGGGUGAAUCUGUUUUCCAAUCAAAAAAUGACAUACUUGAUUGUCUCGGAAGCAGCUUGGAUGUCUUAAAUAAUGAGGUCAAGGAAUGUUAUUUGGACCUGCGUUCCUUUCCUGAGGACCAAAGGAUUCCUAUCACUGCACUCAUUGACAUGUGGAUGGAAUUAUAUGAACUGGUUGACGACGUAUUUGCCAUCACCAACCUUCAUGAACUAUCUAGCCAAAAUCUGGUUGAUAGGGUGGUCACAAGGUAUGCAGCGAUCAACCAAGCAAUUGCUCUUGUGCUUGUAUCCUUCGUUAUGUGCAAUUUUAACAUACGUGUUCUGCUUUACGGAUAACUUCCUUCACAUUGAUGUGCAUGCAAAUUGGUGUGUGAAUUCUCCACUUUUUUUUACCUGAAAGGCCAUGAAUCUUCCCUGAACAAUCAAUUUAUGUCUAUUCACUAGGAAAACUGCCGGUGACUACGGCUGCUACAAUGACGACUUUGUGAUGCAGCAUGAUCUUCUCCGAGAAUUGACUAUCUGUCGGAGCAAGUCAGAGCCCAUAAAUCAGAGAAAACGACUCGUUGUAGAAAUAAGCGGAAACAAUUUUCCCAAAUGGUGGAUGGAUCAAAAGCAGCACCCCAAUAAUGCCAGCCUCUUGUCAAUCUCAACAGGUUGUUAUUACUUUUUUCUUUUUCCUCACACUUGGACACUGCAACAUGUAGAGAUUUUAAUUCAUUUGAUGUCAAGAUUCAAUCAUCCUCGGUCUCACAUAAAAUGGACGUGAUAUGCAGAUGAAACAUUCUCAUCGAACUGGCCUGACAUGCAAGGACCCGAAGUUAAGGUUGUGGUUCUGAACAUUCGGACAAAGAAGUACAUCCUUCCAGAUUUCCUGCAGAAGAUGGAUGAACUGAAGGUCUUGAUAGUCACAAAUUACGGAUUCUCCCCUGCAGAAUUAAAUAACUUCCGAGUCCUCAGUGCUUUAUCCAAAUUAAAGAAAGUCAGAUUGGAGCAUGUUUCUCUUCCUAAUUCCCUGGCCACCGUACGAAUGAGUCAUCUGCAAAAAGUAUCCUUGGUUAUGUGCAAUGUUGGUCAGGUUUUUCGGAAUUCAACCUUUCGAAUUUCUGAUGCUUUUCCAAAUCUCUUGGAGAUGGACAUUGAUUACUGCAAUGAUCUCAUAGAAUUGCCAGAUGGGUUAUGUGACAUUGUGUCCAUGGAGAAGCUCCGGAUCACCAAUUGCCAUAGGCUUUCUGCACUACCUGAGGGGAUUGGUAAGCUUGGGAACUUACAAACGCUAACACUUGCUGCAUGCACCGAACUGUCAGCUUUGCCAGACACGAUUGGAAACCUGUCCCAUUUGAACUUUCUGGACAUAUCCGAAUGUCUGAACAUCCGAAAAUUUCCAGCACGGUUUGGUGAGUUGUGCUGUUUAAAGACACUUUGCGUGAUUGGGUGCCCGAUUUCGGAGGUGCCCUCAACGAAUCUUGAGAAUUUACAAGUUGUGAUAUGUGAUGAAGAGACAGCCGAGCAAUUGGCAUACUCCCCGCCCGGACGUGCAAGGAUUGAAGUGAUUCAAGAAGAUUCCAACUUAAAUUUUCUUCAUUAGUAUACUCUUUUCAGGACUUUCCUUUUCCGUUCCACAAUGAAGUGUAUUGAGUUCGCAUGGCGCAAGCUUUUAUCUGUUUGUUAAUUAUAAGAAAAAUAAGUGAUAUUUAGUCAAAAAGGGUUAUAGACCGGUAACAAAAAUAAUGGUAAAAUCAUUAUUUCUUCAUUUAAUGAUAACUCCGAUUUUAACGUUAAUUCUGUCUGUCGCACUCCGUAAAAUUCACAUGGCUAAUACAUCUGCACUGUAAUUAUGAAGCAUAUGUGUCCUCAAAAUCAAGAAGAUUAGUAUAAACAGCUUAUACGAAUAAGGAAAUUUAUAAAAAGUAGAUACUAUUUACUCUUCUAAUGUUUUUAUAAUAAUCAAUAACUUCCUAUCAAUACAAGUUUACAAUAUUAUUUUUAUUUUUAAAUAUAUUUUUAUUUAUAUUUAUUAUAGAUUAAAUAAAUCUCAUAAAUAGAAAUUAAAAUAAAAAAUUAAGUAACUAAAAAUAAGAAAUAUAUGUUUUGUGUAAAAAAAUUAAUAAUAAAAUAUUUUUUAAACUUUUUUAUUUUACAAACAUUUUCUUAUAAUAAACAUAUAUAAGAAAAUUAUUAUAAAAUGAUAAAAAAUUAUUAUAAGAAAACUUGCAUGAUAAACAAAAAAAUUAUUAUUAAAUAAAUAAUAAAAUAUUUUUCUUAAUUUUUUAUUUUAUUUCUAUUCAUAUAAUUUAUUUAAUUUAAAAUAGAUAUAAAUAAAAAGUGUAUUUGAAAAUAAGGAUAAUUUUAUAAAUUUAUAUUCUUACAAGGAUUAUUAACUAUUAUAAAAAUAAAAGAAAAAUAAAUGAUAUAUAUUAAUUAUACUAGGAAGACAGUCUUGCUUUAUAAAAAUAGCUACAAAACUUACGUGAUUUUCAAAAUUAACCGCUCUAUUAUGUGAGCUUUUCUUUUUUUUUUUUUCCCCGGUUGAAAAGUAAAAAUUUGUCCUUUAAUUUAUUCAUCUGUAACUGUCCCAAGGCGAUAAUCCCCACCCAUAAAUCAUGUUAAAUAAUUUAUACAAUACACUCGAUUCUAGAGUAGCAGUACCGUACACAAUCAAUAGGAUGAAAAUCCGUAUUAUAGAAAAGUCUAUUUUUGUUAUUACUCGUUUUGCAUAUAAUAAUUAACCCUUUCUAUUUCCUGGACUGGGAAUGAGUGGCCCGCGAAGGCAAAUCCUCGGUGACUUUUUAAUGAAAAUAGAUUUAAAUUUCUUUUGGUUUUACAAAUAACUUAAAAUUAAAUUUUUUAAUAUAUUUUAUUAGUACAAGUUUUUAAAAUUCAUAUAAUUCUUAGUUAAAAAAUUAUAAUUGAUUUAUAUUUAUAAUUUAUUACAUAAAUAAUUCAUAUAAUGAUUUUUAAUAAAUAAAAUUAUAAAUAUCAUGAUUUAUAAAUAUGUAUUAAUAUUAUUAUAAAUUAUAAUUUAUGACUCUAUGUAAGUCCGAAUUAACAAUUAAAUUAACUCUUAAGAAAAAUUUAUUAUUGUUGUUGUUGUUAAGUAUUAAAAAAAAUUCUAAUACUAUAUGGUCAAAUUUAAUAAUUAAUAUUUCAUUCUUUUACUAUUAUUAGUUUAUUAUUAUUGAAUAUGAACUUGAAUUUUAAAUUUUUGAUUUUAUCAAAUAUGAAUAAAAAUACAUGAACCUAAAAAAAUUCAUGAGCUUAAAGAAAUAUACCAACAACUUAGCAUGCCUUCUUAAAAAAAAAAAAGUUUAUUAAGCUUUUUUUAUUAGGUAUGACACGGUUGGGUCUAAGAAAAAAAAAAUUAGACACGGUACAACACGACACAAAACAUAUAAUGGGCACGACAGACACAAACACGAACUGAUAUGGCAUUCUUUUGAUGGCCAGCACGGUUUUGCUCUGAGUAGACUACCCUAGUGAUCAUGUUGUCUACCCUGCACUGCACUAGUGGACGAAGUGGAAAUGAAGAUGUCGAAUCAAAUAAUGCCAAAAACAAAUUGUGAAAAUUCAACAUUCCAUUAAAGAAUGUUCCUAAAAUCCGGGUGACAAGAACUGAUCUCUUAUUUUCUUACUUCCAUGAUAUAUAAAAACUAAUUAUACUAUCCUUAAAGAUUAGUGUCUUAAUAGAGUUUGGUUGAUCUCUGACAAGUGAUAACUAUGGACGGACAAACAAUUUUAGAUUCGGUUUAGGUUUUGAACGUAAAACUAAAACCAACCUAUUUGAUUUGGUUUUCUUUAUUUUUCUAUUUGUACCAAUCUUUAAACUAAAUCAACUCAAAUCAAUGCGGUUUAGUUUAGACAGAAAUGUAAAUUCAAAUCUAAAAGAUAUUUCAAAAUAUUUCCUAAAAAAAUAUAUAUACGGUAUAUUAUUAAUUUGGUAAAAAAGGCUGCAUAUAAGUAAAUAUACACUAAUAAAAAUAAUCAGUUUAUUCUAAGUAGAGAAUUUUCUAAAUAGAAAUCCGACAUGCAAAUCAAAAUCAUGAAUUAAUGGUGAUAAUCAUCACCCAUAAAUCAUGUUCGAUAAAUACUAAGAUACAGCCGAUUGUAGAGUAGGAGCACCGUACACUAUAAAUAAGUCUUGAUCUAACGACUUGUGAAAACUGAGACAUCCUCUCCAGUGACUGUGUGUCCCCCCCUCCCAAAAGCUCUCUCUCAGGGCCAAUUGCUCCGCCCUCCCCCCUCUAAACCCUAGCCCUGAAAUUAAAAUCAAAUUUGAAUUAAAAUUUUGAUUUAAUUAGAAUUAAAAAAUUUAAAAAAUCGGGAAAAUGGCACAACAAUCUCAAGUUGAAACCCUAGAUUUAUCAUCGUCAAAUGAUCAGUCUCAAUCGUCUCCAUCAUCAUCUUCGGAUCCGUCGCUGUCGAGAAAUUCGUCGUUCAGUCGACUCAACGCGAAGGCGCCUGAGUUCGUUCCGACUCGGAAUCCACAAUCGACUCAGUCAAAGCCACAAGUGCAAGUACAAGUACAGCAGCCGCCGCAGCGAGUGAUGAUGCCUCCUCCGCCGCCACCGGCGGCAGCCAUGGUUCACCCUCAUCCUCCUCCUCCUCAUCCGCCUUCUCCUCAUCAUGUUUAUCCGCCGCAUGGAACGGGAGCGUUUCAUGUGAUUCCGGUUCACCAUCAGAUGCAUCACCAGCAUCAUGUCCCGGUUCAGAAUUAUCAUCAUCAGCAGCAUCAACAUCACAGGAAUCACAAUCAUCAUCAUCAUCGGCAUCAGAAUCAUCAUAAUAAUAAUAAUAAUAGUCACCAUCAGAAUAAUCAGUAUGAAGAUCAGCAAGAGGGUGAGGUUCCAGGGGUCAAGGAUAAGAAGGAGAAGAAGGAUCAUCAACAUGGUGGAUUAAAUGAUGAAUCUAUUCAGAAAGUUUUGAAUCAGGUAUUCUCCUCUUUGGAAAUUUAAUGUUUAGCAACGAUAUUGGUAAUUAUCGGUUUGUGUCAGCUAUUAAUCAAUGUGUUCGAGUAUGUAGAGUUUGAAUUAAGUGCUCGGUCACUAGCCGUUGUAUUUUUUUAAGUGGAUUUAAGUUAUCUUAGUCAGAAUUAAUCUUUUGUUAUCUUUGGGAUCAAGGUGUUGUGCUUUUAAUCCACGCCUGCUCUGAAGUGUACUCAUUAGCUGCCAAGUAUAGGUUUUUUGGGCAGUUGGUAAGUAUUAGCUGCAAAGUAAAAGUGCAUGUUUGCAAAUGCUUUAACUGCUAUGCUAUCAGUUACUUAUAUACCCGUAAUAAGAAUUUACUGUAGCUUUGGACUGUAAGUACUAUCACAAUGAAGGUAAAACCUGCAUGGUAAUUAACAGCAGUUGACUUCAGUCCUGGUAUGGGGCCUUAAGAUGCAAACAAUCUUCAGUUUCUUUUCUUUUUUACUCUUUUGUGGUACAUUGGCAUAUUAUUACAUCAUAGAGGACCCAGUAAUUUUUGUCGAUUCUGCAAGUAGUGGUUCUCCUUUGAUAUUUCUUUCGUGCUUUCAUUUUAUUUUCCUGACCGUCACUUUCUGUGGAUAAUGUUUUGCUUAUUGUUUUUUACAAUAAAUCAACUUGUAGGUGGAGUAUUAUUUCAGUGAUUUAAACUUGGCCACUACUGAUCAUCUUAUAAGGUUCAUCCUCAAGGAUCCCGAAGGAUACGGUAAGAUCUCUGAUACAUUCAUUAUAUUUUAAAUAGUUUGUUGUAGAAUGGUUCUGUCUAUUUAGGCUCGAAGUUUACUGCCCCCUUUUUUUUUAUAGUGUUUAGGGAUAGAAAUAGUUUAUUUCUUUCUCUAUCUCCUUUCUUUGUCUUUGGUGUUCUUUCUCUCUCUCAAUGAGCACUUGGUUCUAUCGAGGUGAUUUUCAUUGAGAACCUGUGGAAGGCUUUAUAUGUUCUGCGGAAAGCAUGUUAAGCAUUGGAAAUCAAAUUAUUAAAAUUUGAACCUAUAAAAAGCCAUGAUGAAAUGUAAAUGAUUAUUUAAAAAAAAAAAUUGUCUUACCAACAGAAAUUAUUGUCAGCAAUCAAAUAAAAAUUGGAAUUCUAUUUACAUCUGCACAAAAUUGCCUUUUUACCACAGAUGCCAAAAAAAAAAAAUUAAAAUAAAAUUAGUAGGGGCGUAUAUUUGGUAUGUUUACGUUAUGAGAUUAAAUUGGUUGUUGGCUUUCUAUAGGUAUUCGUACUUCAGCUGGUUUUCACUUUUAUAUGCAUGAGUAUUAAUUGUAUUAUCUUUUCUAUUCGCUUGACUGAUUGAUUACAUUGAAAGAUUGUCAAUUUUCUAUUAGUGGUUUCCAUAUUUAUUCUAAUAUCUUGUCUUCAUUAUUACUAUAGUGCCAAUAUCAACUGUGGCUUCUUUUAAGAAGAUUAAAGCUAUCAUAAGCAGUCAUUCCCAUCUUGCUAGUGUUCUGCGGAAGUCUUCAAAACUUGUGAGUAGUUUAUCUUGUGCUCUUGCUUUAACUUGCUUUAACUACUACUUUGUUGCACAUAAUGUUUUCUAAUUGCUGUACAUAUGUUCUGAAUCUUUCUCACACAAUAACUAACAGGUUGUUAGUGAAGAUGGAAAGAAAAUAAAACGUCAGAAUCCCUUGACCGAGUCAGAUUUGGAAGAAUUGCAAGUACGGAUUUUGUUUUUCUUAAGCUGCUUUUUCCCAAUUAUUAUUAUGUUGGGUGAGUUCUGUCAGUACCUUGUUUAUCCUGUUUCUUUGCUCAUCCAAGGUAGUUUGUGGAAAACUUGUGCUUCAUCUUUGACUGUGUAUGUGUCUCCCUAGAGCUUUAUGGGGUGCAUGUUGUAUUUUUUUAGAGUGAAUCAAAAUUUUGUAGUCUUCCUAAUUACUGACAUUAUUAUUUUUUAAAAAUUCUUUUUCUCCUUUUGUGAUCUGUAGUCUCGCAUUGUUGUUGCUGAAAAUUUACCUGAGGAUCAUUGCCACCAAAAUCUUAUGAAGAUUUUCUCUGCUGUUGGGAGGUACUAAGUUCUUUUAUACUUAAUUAAUUACUGCUUAUGCGACUUUUUCUGUAAUUGUGUAUAUCCUGAUUCUGGAUGCUUGAGCUUGCUGGAUUGUUCUGUGUCAGUGUGAAGACUAUUCGUACAUGUUUGCCUCAAACUUCUGGCGGAGGAGCUUCUUCAGGAUCUAGAUCAGCAAAAUCUGAGGGCAUGCUUUUCAGUAACAAGGUAUCAAUACUUUUCAAGUCACUUUUAAUUUUGCUUUUCAUUUACAUCUGCAUCAUAUUGCAUUGUUCAUCUGUAUUGGAGUGGUGACUGGAAUGUCCCUGUUGUGCUUGAUGGGGAAUUUUAAGAUAAUAUUGACUAUGACUUGUAGGAUCGUCUACAGUGUGUACUUUCUGGUGCUCUAUGGUCCAUAUAUAUGGUGUAUGAUACAUUGUUCGUCUGUAUUGGAGUGAUGACUGGAAUGUCCCUGUUGUGCUUGAUGGGGAAUUUUAAGAUAAUAUUGACUAUGACUUGUAGGAUCGUCUACAGUGUGUACUUUCUGGUGCUCUAUGGUCCAUAUAUAUGGUGUAUGAUACAUUUUCUGGUUGAAUUGAUUGCGAUUUGUAUCAGCUUCUAUAUCUUUUUCACGUUGAACUAGAUAUUGUGAUUGUCAUGCCAUGGAGAAUGCUUUUGUCAAGAAUUUCUUUGUGGACUCAAUAAGGCUUCAAGGCCUAUGCACCUCUACAGUGAUCCAUUUCCUUGGGCUUAAUGAGCUCUGAAGAAGGCUUCUCUAUGCUAUUAGAUGUUAUCAUCCUAAAAUCUUUUUAAGUGCCAUUUAUAUGUGCUGCUUUGACUAAUUUAAUGCAAGUUUUGGAGUGAAUAAUUUUUGGACUUAAGAAUUUCUGAUAGCAGUACUGAUGAGAGUUUCUUGACAUAUUUUUUAUGAUAAACAAAAAUGUGUGGGUAUUAGAUAUUGCUAUCCGCCUGCUGAAAUCUUUGUUUCAUGUGUAGUUGCACGCAUUUGUUGAAUAUGAAUCUGUUGAGCUGGCUGAGAAAGCGGUAAGUCACUUACAUUUUAUGAUAAUGUUGUUUUUCUUUUCUGCUUUUUGUCUUUCUUUUCUGCGUUUUGUCUUAUGUUUGUCACUCAGACUAAUGAAAUACGCACCUCCUUCCUGGCAGAUUGCAGAGCUAAAUGAUGAGGGUAACUGGAGAAGUGGCCUAAGGGUCCGUUUAAUGCUUAGACGUGGGGUAUAUUCCAGAACUUAACUCUUUCCUUUUGAUCUUCGCAUUUUUUGCUCACACCAGUGAUAAAUAAUGCUGGUUGAUCUUUGAAUUAAAUCUACAUCGAUCUAAUGGAAUGACGCAUACACUAGAUGAAUUAUCUGGAUGAAUUAUGUGUUAAAUUUACACUCACUAGAUAUACUUUUAGUGUAGUUUUAUGUUACCAGCAUUGAUCUUACACUUCGAUUGGCUUAGCAAUAGACUGCUUCCGAGCUUGAAAACAGUAGUAUUUAUUUAUUAAUCUGUUGUUACAUUAACUCCGACAUACACAUGCAACAUCUAUUGACCAUUGAGAUGUUAUGAAAAUGCAUUUUGGAUGCACAAGAGUCUUGAUAUGGAAGUGGAACACUGCAUUUUUCUUUCAAUUAUUGUAAUUAAGCUGAAGCUUGAUACAUAAAGUUAAUGGUUUUUUAAAAUUUAGGUUGGCUUAUGGGGCUAGUCUAAUUGAUUGGUUCUUAUCUGGUUGAUUGAUCUCUUUUAGAAGUAUUCUUAUCUCUCUUUAUCCUUUUUCUUUUACAAGUUAAAAAGGAAGUUUUUGUGGUGCUAAAUUUGUUGAUUGAUUGUUCUCUCCCUUCUCUUGCUUAGUCAAAACCUGCUCAAGUUAAAGGUAAAAAGGGGCAUGAGGGGGAGUGGCAGUGUGAAGAAGAAGAUACCUCCACAUCUGAGCAGCAUUUGAAUGAGAAGCAACCGGAUGAUUCUUCUCAACAAAGUGAUGUACAGUCACAUGACCAUACAGUGAGUGCCAGCAUAGUUUCUCAUAUUGUUGGGCUGCUUUCUGCAUAACUGGCUGUUAGUCAAGUAAUGUUCUUUCAUAUCGUGUAAUAAUUAAGAUUAGCUCAGAAAUGUGAGGAUUAUUUUUAUAAAUGCAUUAUGCAGAAACAUUCUAUGCUCCUAACUAUGCUGUUUAGAAUUUAAGCUGAGUGGAGGAGAAAAGAAAGUGACUUGUUCAAACUUGUGAUUUUGAUUUUGCUUUUAUGUGCCUGAUUUGGAACUUCUGAAAGGAAUGUGCUUGUGCUUGUAUUUGCUUCAGGGAUUUGUCUAUAUCACGGUGUUAACUCUUAAUUUAUAACAUUGCUUGGGCAGGGAGAGGAGCACAAUAAUGAGAAAGAGGGUGGACAGAGAAAAGGGCGUAACAAGGGUCGUGGAAAAGGACGUGGCCGGAAUGAUCGUGGUCAAUACCACAACAACAGCCACCAUAACAACAGUCAUCACAACAGCAAUCAUAAUAACCAUCACAAUAAUCGGGGACAUCACGUCGGUACACCCCCAUCAAAUAAUAUGGUGAACAAUGAGCAGCCAAUGAUAGGCAAGCAACCUCCUGGUCCCCGAAUGCCAGAUGGAACACGAGGAUUUGCAAUGGGUCGAGGGAAACCAGUUGCUGUUAAUACUGCUUGAAUUUUAUUUCUGCCGAUAUACAGAUGUUUUUGUUACCAGCACCGCAAGUGUGUUUACGGUUGGGGAACCGUGUCUAUUCCAGCUGUGUUGAUGGCAGGGUUUUUCCAAAGGGUCUGUCCAUCUGUCUAGAGUGUCGUGUUAGGGUUAAUUUUAGCCGUUUGGAUUCCGUAUUUUCUGGUAUGUAUGAUGAUGCUAAAACAAAUGUUGCCCUGUUUUUUUGUUUUGCUGGUUAAUGUUUUUGUUCCAGUUUUAUUUAUGUAGAAAACAUGAAAAAAGAAGCCUUAUUGGAGUCCGAAAUGCUUACAGAUAAAUAUGAGCUAAUAAGACUACGAGAAGAAGAUGCAAAAUAAAGUGUUUGUUAGAAUCUUCUCUGCAAUUUUGUUUUGCAUUUGAUUGCCGGAAUUAGGUAGUUGUAUUUCGCAAUAUUUAGAAUAAAAUUUAUUAUAUAUUAUAACUGAACAACUUCAAUGCAACCAGGCCUAUUAGCUCAGCUGGUUAGAGCGUCGUGCUAAUAACGCGAAGGUCGCAGGUUCGAGACCUGCAUGGGCCAUAAAAUAAUUUUUAAAAUUUAAAAUAAUUUUUUUCUUCCCAAAAUGCCAAUUGCCACCAACUCACCAAACCAAGCUCCUGAGUGUUGACUCGACAAAUUAAGAAUUUAAAAAAAAAAUAAUAAUAUCAACAAUUGAAUAACCCUUUUUGCCCCGAAAAUAGUCACCAUCUCUAUACUUUUAAAAAAUGAAAAAGAAACAAUUAAAAUAAAAAUAAAAACAGAAUCACGCUCUCAAUUCAAUUUGCACCACCCUCUUUUUCUUCACAAAAUUUUCCUUAAAAUCUCCACCCAUCAGAAAUGGUUGAACCAUCACCACCCUCUCCUUCACUCCAAAUCCCCAACCACAUGGUCCCACCGCCGUUAGAUCCGCCGCCACAACCUUCACCGUCACCGCCACAACCACAACAACAAAGAACAUCCUCACUCUUUUCAUUCCCCAGCAGGCCUGCUCUUAGAGUGACUUCAGAGUUCGACAGUGACAGCUCAAUUUUCUUGCACAAGAUAUCAUGCAAGUUAUUUGACAGUCUAGCAAAGCUCAAAGUCUCCUUUCAGAACGACAACAAAGGCCAAAUCUUCGAACCCCAGUUGGCUUUCACUUCCAAGCAUCUCUCCCUUCACUAUGAUCUUGAAGAACAGAAUGCUUUUGUUAAGUCCUCUUUCGAUGUUGGUCCUAAGUUGCAUUUCAGAGCUGCCCACGAUGUCAAGGUCUCUCCUUUCUCUUGUUUCUUCAUAAAUUUGCUUGCUUUUCAUUUAUAUUCAAGUUUUUGAGAAAUGAGUUUUUUUUUUUAAUUGCUAUGAAUUGGACUAUGCUUUCGAUGAGCUUCUGCUAGUGUUCGAAUUAAGGUAAGUUGUAUUGUUUUUUGGGGUCCGUAUUGUGUAUACUCAAGUUUCAAGAUAAGGAUUUCGGUUUAUUUUCAUUUUCUAGUUUUUAGCAUUAAUUUGUUUGGACUAUGGGUUAAAAUUUAGAUAUUUUGGCUGAACUUAUUGAAUUUUUACAUUUCAACCAUGCUAUUGAGAAAAUUAUGCAUCUUUAUAUUACUAAGAGAUUCCCAGGGGUUAAAAAUUGCAUGUCCAAAUGGCCCUGCUUAUGUUGUUAAUGUUCAAAAUUAAGAUCCAUUGACAUGGUGUGAUAAUUGGAGUCUUUUCGUUUUCAAUUUGCAUUAUCUUGUAGCCAUACAAGUGAUAUGGUUUUGGGAAUGUAAGGUAACUGGAGAAUUACGAGUUUUUGAGGGCAAUUACUCUCUGUUUAAGCUUUAUAUGUGCUUUUUCUGUCUCUCUAACAUUUCUUUUACCUUUUAGGCACAACAAGGAGAGGUGGGAGUCGUUGCAAACCUUGGCGAUCCUGGAUAUGCUCUGGAAUUGUCGUCUCCAGUCCCCUAUGUUGGUUAUGUAAGUCCUAUCUUGGCAAAUUACCUUCAGCGUUCAGUUGUCUUUGCAUUCAAGAAAAGUUGCUUUUGAAGCCUUGGUCAUCUGAAUACUCAUAGCCCGUCAUCUUUGUUUUUCUAUGUUCAUCUUUCCCACCAAAAUUUUUCCUACAGUUUCAUCAUUUCCAACAUCAUCUCUGAUGGUUGUUUCACAAUGUUACUGCAUUCAUUAUAUGUAUUUCUGUUUCAGCAUGUAUAAGUCAACAAGUUAAUUAUCCUCUUUUAUUGCCUUAGUUAUCUUCUUUUGAUGUUGCAGCCGAAAGCAACUUUUAAAUUCCCCCUUGGCGAAGUUUCAUUGGUGGAGAGAGAAGAGGAAGAAGUGAAGAAAACAUUGUCUAUAAGUGGAAUCGCUAAAGGUCAGAUUUUGAAUGGGAUCUGCACAGCUCAAUACGAGGAGGAAGAUUUGAAACUAAGAUACUGCUAUAAGGUGCUUUGCUCUUCGCACUGUAUUUUUUCCAAUUUCUACUACUAUUGCGGCUUAUGUUGAUUGCCAGGCUAUCCUCCCUUGGUAAUUACUAUGUGUGUUGGUGAGAGGGACAUUUAACCAGGGACUCCUUUUCCUGGAAUUUUGAAAUAAGGGCAUGCCAAAUGCACAAUUAUCAAUUUUCAGUGCCAUUCUUUUUUCUUUUCUCAAUCAAUGUUGUUAAAAAUUUUAUUAUUAAUUGCAGGAUGAGGCUUUGUCAUUUAUUCCAACUAUUUCACUUCCUUCAAAUGCUCUAUCAUUUGCAUUAAAGCGUCAGUUUAGUCCCUCUGAUAAGUUGAGGUUAGAACUCUCUUUAUUCCCCUUCUUCCCUCUUCACAUCUAAUUGGAAAUCUUUCUUUUUGCGAUUCAUGGUUCUUCUGGCUAUAGAAUGAUCAAUGCUCAUGGAAAUGGAAAUUGAAAAAUAUUAGCUCCAAUAUAGAUACUCUGUAUUUUAUUGAUGAGUUUUGUUGUUCUGGAGUAUGAAUUGCUCAAUGAGAACCUCAGUAAUAAUGCAUCCUAGAAGAAUGCUGAUUGUGGGAAUUCCUACGUACCUUUCUUUUGUGCUAUUUUCAUUGGACAUGAGAUUUUCUCUUGCAAUAGAAGAGAUCGCUUGAGAAGUGCCAAUAGUGUAAGAGCUCUUGUAUAACUUAAUGUAAUCUAUACACACUGCAAUAUGUAUUUGUUGCAAUAUAAAACUUGCUGUUAGAACAUCACCAUUAUGAGAGAUAUUCAUGCUUAGGAUGCCAGGGACACCUAAAAUAUGUAGCUGCCUUGUCAAUGCUAGACUGAUGCGUUCACUUAUCAGUACAUGUUGAAACUAGAGAUUUGCCCAACCAGAUUUUUAGAGUUAAAGUGAAAUAAAUUCUGAGGUUUUAAUUUAUUUUUCCUCAAAACAAUUUGGAUUAUCCUGGAACUUCUAAUGAUCCGUACUCUUAACAACCCUGCUUUCACCUUUCAUAUGUUUUCCCCUUUCCAUUGUCUUUCUACUAGAAAACAGAUGUUCUGUCAGUUCAGUGAAUUUAAAAAUAUAUUAUAACUAUACAAGCAUAGUGGAAUUGUCGUGUGCAGUCCCUCAUAGCCACUUUGAAUUUCCAGCUGGGUUUGCUAUUUUAAGAUGUAUAGCUUUUUCUAUUCAGGAAAGACCUUUCUCAUGUCUGCUUGAGUAGAUAUUAUUUUAAGAAGUAAGGUGGGGAUGAAGAGUGGAUGUGAAUUCUUAAGUCAUCAUAAAUAUGUUCUUAAUAGUCAUCAUAAAUAUUGUUGUCGAUAAUAUUUUCAUGUAAAGCCCUAAAAAUUAACUUGGGAAUGCAAAUCUUCUCUUCUAUUCUGGAAAGUAGAAAUGGUGAAAAUAUGAACCUUUAUUUUUGUUCUGCACUGAAAGUUGAUUGCUAGAUGGGAAAGGAACGGGACUUUCUAUGACGGCGUCAAAGAUUUCAGAUCUUUCUUUGUAUAUAAUUCAUUUUCAUUUUUUUAUUUUUCAAAUUAAUCAUGAAUUUCUGGCUUGGUCAUAUAUUGAUGGAAUUUAUUAUUUAUUGAAAUUUUCAUAAUGCAGCUACUGGUACAAUUUUGAUUCCAACUACUGGAGUGCAGUAUACAAACACACAUAUGGCAAAGACUUUAAGUUCAAAGCUGGUUAUGAUUCAGAGGUGCGACUAGGCUGGGCAUCUCUUUGGGUAAGUGGUUUUGAAAAGAGCUCACCGUCAUUUGUUUGUCAUCAUUGUUGUGAUUGCUACAGUUCCCUCAACUUCUAUGAUUACCAAGGACUUUGCAUGAUUUCUUGAUGCAUAAUCAUGAUGUCCAAAUUUCAGGUUGGAGAUGAAGGCGGAAAGGCAAGGACAGCCCCGAUGAAGAUGAAAGUCCAAUUCAUGCUCCAAGUGCCACAAGACGACAUCAAAUCCUCAGCGUUAAUGUUCCGUGUUAAAAAGAGGUGGGAUGUAUAGGGAUCUGUCAGCUUGACAACCUCGUCCACAUAUGCUCUAAAUGUAGGUUUUUAUAUAGUAGCAUAGUUUUGGGACAUCCCCCCUUGUAAUGAUGCUUACUGCUACAUAAUGACAUCAACUUGGUAUUUUCGUCACAAUAAUUUUUUACACUAGAAAUCAGGUUAUUCACACCUGGGGAUGUUGGGUGAAUUAGAAAGCCACGGGGUUGCCAUAGGGUGACCGGCUGAUGGAAAUUCUACUAAAAUUUAUGCAGCCAGAUGUGUAAGGCUGUACUCUGCUGCAGUUGUCAUUGUCUGAUUGAUACUCUAGCCAAAUGGUUUCUUUAUUGGCAACCUCUAACAAAAUGAUGCAAUUGUUCAACAUUUCUUUUUUCUAAUUUUUUAUCAAGGCCAUAUGAAUUUCACUCAAAUUUUCUUAUUAAUGGGUCUGUUUCUAUUUUUACUUUCCAAUUUCACCUCAAGUACAAGUUGGAUUAAAACCAGCUGCCUGAGGGCCUAUUUGACUAUUUGAGUAACACUACACCUUUAGUGGUAUCUCAAUUUUUUUUCCCAACAUUAUUUUGAUAAAUUAUAUUUUAAAAAACACUAUUCAUUUAAAUGAAGGUGGGCCGUGAGUAUUAGGUAUCUAAUUUUGAUAUUUUAUAUAAUCAUAUUUUGUUAGUUUUUGUUGAUCUUUUAAUUAUCUGAUCGUGUAAUAUAUCUAAGUAUAGGCUUUUUUGUUUUUUUAAGUAUUAUUUUAAUAAUUUUUAUUUCAAGCGAGGUGGAAUUUAUUUAAUGACGUGGAGUCCGGCCUAGUUGAUAAAUGAAAAUUUUAAUUUUACGGCUCGUUUCUUAAAAAAGUUCCAUUUUAAGGUAGCGACGGUUAAAAUAGAAGACCAAAAUCUUAACAGAAAUGAAAAGCUGAACGUCAUGCGAACUGUGAGUCGUGGCUUGAUAUCCAACGCUCUCCGCUUCUCAUUCUCAAUUCCCAAUAUUCUGCAGUUACCUAUCAGCUCUGUUCGUACAAGAAGCUUUGGGAUUCGUGCGACCAAACCGAAGAUGGGAAAGAACAGAGAAGAAGUAGAGAACGAUAAUGUCAUAAAAUCACAUCCUCGUGUGAACAAGUUGCAGCAACUCAUGCAUAUCGAAUCUUCUGGUAAAAGUUAAAAUACCCACUUUCAUUUUCCCAUAACGUUUCAAAAUUUAGUCCUUUUUUUUAUGGGGUUAUGAAUUUGGUAUCAGAAGAUGGAUUGCUAUGUGGGUAUGAGUGGUUUUUUUUUUUUUUUUAAUAAAUGGAAUCUGUUGGAUAUUUGACUGAGCAAUAGCUGACUACGUGUAAAAAGAAUGAGUACAUGUUUGUCAUUGUUGGGCAUUAUGCUUAAUUUUGUAACCUGGAUAGCUUAAAGUGUUUGGUAAAUACCCUUAUUUCAACUUUUACAGCUAAUAUUUAUGAACUAUCUGCCUACUUAUACUUGAUACUUAGUGAUUUAAUUUUAGAGUAGUCGUGGAUUAAAAAUUUCUUUCCCUUGAUCCCAAAUGGUUCGAUUAACGCACUAAGCAGGAAUUUUCUGAGAUAUUAGUUGAAAAUGAAUAUGAGCCACUGGCAUAUAAACCUGAUGCUUCUGAGUUCCAGUGCCAAUCUAAGGAAUAUGUGUAUCUAUUUUGGUGUGACAAUUUAUUUCAUGCAGUCCUAGUGUAUCUGGAAAAAUACCUGGGAUUGAUAAUUUGACAUUUUAGUGGAAGGCCAUUAAAGCCAAUUUCAUUUUCAUCGAACUUUGUUUAGCAUUUUAAGUUAAACUUGACGAGUUGGGUUCUUUGUGGUUUCAUUGGCUAAUCCCUGAUUGAAAUUGAGCUUUAUACAAGUAGUCAAUAGACUUGCAUAUGCAUUUAGUGGGAAUUCUCACAUUUGUUGUGUGUUUAAUUAGGAGUGUGGUGAAACAUCUGUUUUGUUGUGUAUGAAAUCCAUAAAGUCCUAUUGAUGGAAUAGUUCUCCAACUUGUGUUGGGGUUUAGGGCUUCUCCACAUGUGUUUUUUGUUAUAGAAUGUUGAACCAUCAUGUCAUUAAUCUUUCAGGAGGAUGGGAGAAAUGCUGGGAGGAGGGGUUGACCCCGUGGGAUAUAGGACAACCUGCACCUAUUAUUGUACAUUUACAUCAAUCAGGAGCCCUUCCCAAGGGCAGGGCUCUGGUCCCUGGUUGUGGCACUGUAAGUUGUAUGAUCCUGUAUGCAUUUUCACCUUUUUAGAGCUGCUGAUUAGUUUUUUAAAUCAUCCAUUUGCACAAUAAAUAGCUAUAUGAAAAUUCUGUGAUUGUUGUAUGACAUUAUCACUAGUUUAUGCUUUGUUUUCCUCCCCGCUUCCCUUCUUGCAUUCUAAGACCUCUUAAAAGGAGCCGAAACACGAUAGCUGAACGAAUAUAAUAAGCAGUUAAGAAGGAAGAAAGUUGCAUGCCGUUAAAUAAGCACUUACAGAGCACCAUUAUUAUCAUUUGAAGCAAUAGCCUCCUACCUAAGGCUUAUUCCUUAUUUUCACAUGCUACUAUUUUAACUGUUGUCUUGCUACUUGGUGUAGCCUUUGUAACAAGGCUGUUCCUAUAUGGCAGGGUUAUGAUGUGGUAGCAAUGGCAAGUCCUGAACGAUAUGUUGUGGGAUUGGAGAUAUCGGACAUUGCCAUCAAGAAGGCAGAAGAGGUGACAACAGUCUGAAAAUUUCAAGUUAGCACUUAUAGAGAUGUUGAUAUGUAUAUUUCACAGUUGUUUUCUCUUCCUUUGAAUGCAUCGACAUUACCAUGAUAAUCAGAUGUGAUGGUCAGGGUCGCUGUACUACUUUACUGAAUCAUUUGAGUUGCUGUUUAUAUCUAAAUUCAGUUUGUAUUCUUGCCUGAGUAACUAAAUGAUUCUGCAUUUCCAUCUAAAUUUUUGGUAUUGGAAGCUUUUGCUAUUUUAAAGUUCCAUUUGGACUGAUUCUCCCUCUCAUCAAUGUCAUUGUUGCCAUGUUUUGAGGAAUCUAAGUCUCGUCGUUGCUCUGUUUUGAAGAAUCAAAAUCAUCUCAGAUUUUCUCUAAAUUGCGGACAUGCAUUCAAGCUGUUGGACAAAGUACCAAAGAAAUAGAAAGGUCCUUUUUGAGUGUGAUAACCCCACUUUCUUUCAUGCACAAAACUACAUUCUUUCAGGUAGGCAAUGGAUUGAUAGCUAUUAUGUUUAUAAUUGACACAAAAUGUGUAACUCACCUUUUUGGUCCAAACCAGUAUGUUCACGUUGUAACUCACCUUUUCUGUCCAAACCAGCUUGUUCACAUUGUUAUUAUUAAGAGCACUUGAGUUUCUCAGCUGCAACACGUUUUAUAAGGACAGUUUGAUUAUCGUGCUAGUAUCUAAAUACCUUUGCUACGUGCACUAUGAAAUCUAUGCUGGAUUUUUAGUUUUUGUAUGAUCACCUGAACAACAGUUCAUUGUGGUAGUUCUAGUUGGUUCCUGAAAAUUUCUUCAGUCUAAUCUUCUAUUUAAAUGUUAAGGCAGCUGUCUUCCUCAUUACCAAAUGCAAAAUUUGUUAGCUUCUUAAAGGCAGACUUCUUCACUUGGUGCCCAACUGAGUUGUUUGAUCUCAUCUUCGAUUACACGUAAGUUGACAUUAGAUUGUCUUUGUUUCUUACAUCAACAUCGUGUGUUGAUUAUCAUUUUCUUAUUCAUGUUGCAGAUUCUUUUGUGCCAUUGAGCCAGAAAUGAGAGCAGCAUGGGCACAGAAAAUUAAGGAUUUUUUAAAACCAGAUGGAGAGCUUAUAACACUGAUGUUUCCAGUAAGAUCUUUGUAUCUUCAUUUCCUUUUCCGUUUCCUUUCCCUGUUUGGAGAUUUUCCUUUGCAAGUGAAUAAUAAUACUCUCAUGUUGUUUUAUUUGUUUAUUUUUCUCUUUGUCCAUGUGUCUAGUCUAGGACAUUUAUGUCUGAAUUAUUUCCCAAUGCUGCUACUCAAGCUAAAAUUACGUUGUUGCAGAUUAGUGAUCAUGUCGGUGGACCUCCUUAUAAAGUAUCAGUAUCUGAGUAAUACUCUACCUUCAGAUUUUUUUCCUUGAUCUUCUUGGAGUAGCUUUGCACUUUAAAUCUUUUACUGCUUUCUAAAAUUCUAUAAGUCUGCGAAUAUUUCUCUAUACUCACAAAAUUAUUUUAUUUAUUCAUUAUCUUGCAGUUAUGAAGAAGUAUUACAUCCCAUGGGUUUCCAAGCAACAUCUAUUGUUGACAAUAAACUCGCUAUUGGUCCACGGAAGGUGUGCGAAAAUAUUAAUUCAUUCGUGCAUUUUUAUAGUCUUUGGUGCUAUUGGAGCAUUGCUCCUUAUCCAUUCAUUGCUCACCACGUGUAUGGAGACAAUAACUGAUGAACUAUUCAUUUUAUCAUAAAAACAGAGAAGAAUAGUUAAUGGGUUUUAUUCUAAUGUCAUGUGACGAUCGAAGAUUACUAAAAAAGGAUUUUCAAUAUAAUUUUACAGGGAAGAGAAAAGCUUGGAAGGUGGAAAAGAUCCGUAAGGCACUCCUUGCUUUAAUGAUGAAUCAUGAUCGCUUUAUUUGAAGAUCACUUGGAGUCACAACAAUGUAAUGCUUGACACGUCCUGGUUUAAUCCUUGUAACUGUGGCAUACAUAUUCUUCAUUCUGAAAGAAGUCUUCAAGUGAAGCUCAUGCACGAUUUUUAUUUCUUUUCUAGAGAAAAAGGCUAUGCAAAUCAGCAAUCUGGUCAUGCUACAAUACCUGGAUGAUACGUAGUAUUAUACUUACAUUUCUGUAGUUGUUACUAGUCUCAUUUUUUAAUAUUAUAAUUUAGUAAAGUUUUACUAUAUAGUGUAGAAUAAGAUCCUCUCUUUACUUGAACUCGAGCUUUAAAGAAUUAUUUGACAUGUGUAAUAUUAAUAUUCUUCGUAUAUGGUUAAGAUUCAUUCUUUUGUUAUAUUCUACUUAUUAACAUCCAUUUGCCUGUAUGUACUUUAAAGAAUCUCACGAUGCUAUUUUGCAGGUUUUAGAGACAUCAGUUGUGAUACAGACAUAAUUGGUGUUUUAACUUCUAAACAGUUUGUCAAUGUGUCUCUCUUAAUUCUCCUCGAUCAUUCUCUACAUAACAUAAAAGUAAAGAUUUUUUCCAAUCGUUUUUUUUAAAUAGUCUUAACGCAUAAUUGGAGUAUGACAAAUAACAUAUACAAAACUGCAGCUUUGGCUAUAACGUGUGUGUGUGUGUGUGUGUGUGUGUGUGUGGUGACAAUCAAGCAUCAGGUGGAAACUGUUGCUUCAGAGCUGUAAAAUUAGCACAUUUAUGACGAAUAACGGAGAUGCAAGUUAAUAAUGGACAAUUGAUGCGCAGAAAAUCUUCCCCAAACUACAGCAUGUAUCUAUCUAUCUAUGCAUAAAUAUGUACAUAUAUACACUCUAAUUCUCUACAUGCCUAUGGAAUAAAAUCACAAAAUGAACUUGCCUUUUUCAAAUUUUCUAAGACGUCAAUAGGGAUGGUAAAAUUAUCUGCAAAGCCACAAACUUAUAAAUCUAUCCAAACAUACCUGCAGAAACUCACUUGUUGCAAGUAAUUUUGUGAUUUGCUGGUAGGUUUGGUAUUUCAAACUUAAACUUGUUAUGAGUUGUGAAUGUGUUUGGUAUUGAGAAAAAAUACGCCGUACGCGAGUGUCUGUCAACAUGCAUUCUUUAUUUAAUUAUUUAUGUUUUUAAUUUUAAUCAUAAAAAUUACAUUAAAAAAAUUUAGUCAUAAAUGUAUGUAAGUUAAAGUUUCUAAUUCUUAAACCUAACCUAUCUCACUUACACACACACACACACAAUAAGCCUUUAAUAAGUAGAAAUUUUAUGAUUUUUAAGUUUAAUGUUAUUGAUGUUUCAUUUUAAGUUGAUUGAUUUUGUUUGUUUUGCUUUAAUGCCUUGAACCAAAUGAUUACCUACAAAAGUUGAGUUUUUAUUUGUUUAAUUUAUUGUUAAUGGUAGUUGUAUAAAAUUUACUUGUUAAUAUUAUUGAUAAUACUUGUAUAUCGAUUAAAAGAUGGAGUAAACAAUUGAUAGUAGUGAUGAUGAUUUGCCUUAUGUUAGAUAAAUAAGUUUUGUAUAUUUGUUUUAAUAUUGAAAUUUUAAUUUCUUAUUUAUAUUGAUAAAAUAUAGAAUUGAGCAUUAUAUGUUGAAUUUUUUAGGCUAUUCUUAUAAAUUUAUAGUUUGAAUCAUAUAAUUUAAGUUUUAUGUACUACUAAAAGUUUUUUUUAAUAUUUAUGAUUUUAAAUGAGAAAAUCAGCAAAAAAUCCGCCGAAGAUUGCGGGUGAGUUUGGUAACAUAUAUAUAUAUAUAUAUAUAUAUAUAUAUAUAUUCAACUCUCACUUUCAGCCAACAUAACAUUAUUUAUUUAUUAUAUAAUUGAUACGAUACCUCUAAUAUAUUCUAAAAUUUUUCUCCUAUGAGAGGAUAUCCCGGUCAUAACUCUUUAGAGAGCAACACGAUCAAAGUCCACAUCUUCUUAGGAUCCUUUAGGGCACAGUUCUAUGGAGGACAAAAUCAAAUGUCAAAAAGAAAAAAAAAAGAUUUUUUAAUACUCUAAAUUAUUAAUAAAUCCUAAUUUAUUUUUCUUAAAAGUAAAAUCACAAACCAACCAGAAAAGAGUGAUGAUAUCUCCACCCCACAUUUUUUGUGAGUCCCCCACUUUCAAAAAAUAAUUAUAAAAGUUGCACAUUAUUUUUAAAGUUUUCAAAUCAAAAAGAGUUUUGGAGAAUUAAUUAAUUAAAUCUAUCUUAGUUCACUUUUUUGUACAAAAAUAAUCAUUUAUAAUACUACUUUAUUAGUAUAAUUAUUAUUAUUUUAAUUAAACUAACAUAGUGUCUUUAUGGCACAAUUCUCAUGUAAAUUAUUACGCUGUCAAAUUUAUGUCAUUUACACGUAAGGAUAGUGAAAUAAUAAUUAGGUUUCAUUAAAAAAUAUUAGAUUAUAAGUCAAAAAAUUAAGUACCUAAAUUAUUUGAUAUAAUAACUCAUGUUUUAUGAGGAUAAUUUCAUCUUUUUAUAUCAUAAUAAUAAAAUAGUAAAAUAAAAUUUAUGAUAAAAAAUGGUUAAAGAACCUGAGAAAAAAAAUUAAUAAAAGGAUUUAAUUGAUUAACUGUACACAAUUUUAUUAAUUUGUAUUUUUUAAGAAUAUUGUGAACUCGUUAUAAUUAUUUUUUAGAAGUGAGGUAGAUUUACAAAAAUGAUAGAGUUGAAACAUCCCCAUUCAUUAGAAAAACAUUAACGUUACAAAUAUCUAUUAGAGGUAAGACGAUAUCAGUGAGAUUGUGAGAUAUAUAGUUGAUGAAUUGAGAAAUGCGUUAUUCUUUUAGUAAGAGAAUAUUUUAUUAUAGCCGGUCCACAUUUAACUCCUGACUAGGCGAUUAGAGUUGGUUAUGCAACUCGAUUUUGGCAGGAAAAUAUUCUAAAAUAAUUAAAAGUUUUAUUUCCUUUAGUUACUAUUGAAUUCUUAAGUCCUUGCUGAAAAUUCCACGUGUAUAUAUAUUCUUCAAUCAACCUUUAUGUGUAGCAGUAAUAGAUAUAUUACAUGAUAAAAUAUAUUGUAUGGAAAUGUGUAAUUUUUUUUAAAAUCUUUUAACUUGUUCUUUAUUUUAUUAAAAUGAAAAAUUCUCUUUUUGCAAAGUUACUGUCUGUGUGUGUAUUAGCUUUAGGUCUGGAAUUAAAAUUAGAGGCGAGUUUACGAUAAUGUAAAUAAAAUUUUCAACAUUGUACACUACCUCUUUUCACUGUUUUAUAAAGUUGCAAACGAGUUUACAAUGUUGUAAAAGUCUAUUUACACCGUUGUAAAUUUAUCCCAGACAUUAGUCUUAGAUUUUAAUUCUUUAAUACUUGAGGAAUUCUCUUAUUGUAAAAUUAUUCUCUAUGUAUGAAUACAUAAGAAAGUCAUGUAGUACAUUAAAAAAUAACUCUAUUAAAUCGCACGGCUUAAUAGAGUGUUGGAUUUAAAAAAAACGAGAGUACCCGCCGCACCUGAGAAUAAUUACAUACACAUAUACAUAUACAUAUAUAUAUAUACAUACAUAUAUAUAUAUAUACAUAUAUAUAUAUAUAUAUAUAUAUAUAUAUAUAUAUAUAUAUAUUUAUGCUCAGGUUAUAGAAUUGUAAAUGGCUUUCAUAACGCUAUGCAAUGACUGCAUAAAAAUUCAUAAGGAAGUGGGAACCAAAACUAAAAAACCAAUGUUUGAAUCGAACUUAAAAAUUAAUAAGGUCUGAUUGGUUCAGAUUUCUCUAGACCGAUCGAAUUCAUCUUAAUUUUCUUAGAGAAUUGAACCAAACCUUAAUUUGUCCACUCCUUUCAUGUAAAUGUAAAGUUCUCAAGUCCUCAUUAGAAUUCCCUUUAAAGGUAUAAUUGAGUAAUUUUCUGCUAACUUUCUGGUAGCAAUCGUUUUUUUUUUUAAAAAAAAAGAAAAAGAGAAAGAAAAAAGAACUCUUUGAGCCCAAACUACCUUUAAAAAAAUAAAUAAAUAAAAAGUCCUUUUUGGAAUUCAUACGUGUAUAUUCCAUCUAAAUGUAUGCAGUAAUGAUGAAUGUAACAUAUACAAGAAUUUAUUUUUUAAAAUUAUAAAAACAUAUUCUAGAAUUAAAGUGCCAACAAGACACGAAAUGAAUCCCAUGCAACGAGCCUUUCACGUCCGUUAACUCAUCCUUGUUUCCCGCUCACCCAUUCAUACUCUCCCCUUCUCUCUCGGAUCUCUCUUUAGACCCUUUCCCCCUCCCCUUCUUUUCUCUCUUUCAAACUUUUGCAAACCCGAAAAAACAAAAUCAUCACUCACAAAACCAACAAAUUUAAUAACAAAAAAAAGUUUUACUAAUUAUUAGUUAACUGAAACCUAACAACAGCCAGCCGGAGUCACCCGCCAUGGAGGAUGAAGACAAAGAAGCGCUUGCAGGCCUCAGCCCCGUUCCCCCGCCCCGCAAAGUCCACUCCUACAGCCAGCAGCUCCGCGGAACCACCGGGUCAAAACGCCCACACCCCGUUCGCAAACACAGCCUUGAUGACAUUCCAAGGCCUACUAAUACUUGUACAACAACAGCAACAACGACAGUUGCUGACCAUUUUUAUGAUUCUUCUGAUGAUGACUUGUUCAGUAACAACUCCAACGUUAUUACCACUUCAGGGGUCCCUGUUAACGAGGAUUACGUGUGCCCCGGUCCUGAUGCCGCUGAUGAUCAGCAGCAACAUAAGCCCUUUCAACCAAUGGUUGAGUUCAUUGGCAGUGGUGGUGGAACAGGUAUAUUUAAAGUGCCUAGUAGGGCGGCUGUUCACCCUGGACGGCCGCCCUGUCUUGAGCUGAGGCCGCACCCGUUAAAGGAGACUCAAGCUGGGAGGUUCUUGAGGAACAUUGCUUGCACGGACACUCAGUUGUGGGCAGGACAGGAAUGUGGGGUGAGGUUUUGGAAUCUUGAGGAUUCGUACGAGCCUGGGGCUGGGAUUGGGGGCAGAGUUAGGAGAGGGGAUGAGGAUGCGGCACCGUUUUAUGAGUCUGCGAAUACUUCUCCUACAAUGUGUUUGAUGGUUGAUUGUGGGAAUAGGUUAGUUUGGACUGGACAUAAGGAUGGGAAGAUUAGGUCUUGGAAGAUGGAUCAAACUUUGGAUGAUGCUAAUAAUCCUUUUAAAGAAGGCCUGUCUUGGCAGGCGCAUCGCGGUCCUGUUCUUGCUAUGAUUUUUAGCUCCCAAGGUAAAUCACUUAAUCUUAAUGAGAACUUCGAAGAGUAUAACUUCAAAAUGUUACGUUUUUGAGAUCACAAGUUGUUGAUAUUGGACUAGGAGUAUGGCAAUGAAGCCAUGAGUCAGGACAUUCUUUUGUGGAUUUGAUGACUUGGUUUAUCGGCAGUAAGUAGGAGUGAGAUAUAGGAAUUAAGAAAUGUGACUUGAUGAACAUCAGAGGAAGGAUGCAGAAAUAUCUGAUAUUCAUGGACAAAUGAAGCCUUGUUGGUUUCAAUGUGUUUGUGUUAAUUCCAUCACACAAUAUCUUAUUCUUUUUUUUUUUUUUAACGUGAAGGAUGCUAUGAUUCAUAGUUAAUUGUUAGAUCAAUUUGUCUAUUAGAAGCUCAGCAAAAAUAUAUAUUCUAGUAUAUGGUGAAAUUUAUCAUUAAUUUAUAGCAAAAGAUCAUUUCUAGUAGAUUUGGUCAUGCCAAUAGCUUAUCUGUUGUGUUUGGUGGGUGUCUUUAAACCAAAUUCUCAAUAUCAAAAGCACAUUGGGAUCAUUUUCUAUUCAGCAUUAUCUGCUUUUGGCAUGUAAUGUCUGUGCACAUAGGAAACUACGCGUUGUUAUAUGCCCCAUUCCUGGAAAGCUUCAAACGGUUUUGAUAACAACGUGGCUAAGAAAUGCAUGUAUCUUGGUUGCAUAUGAAUGUUCAAGCAUGUAUGCUUGAGGGUUUUUCUUUAGCUGCCACUUAUUUAUUCUCGUCCAAAUGAUUCAGGAUUGUAUUUAAUUUAAUUCCAACUAUUCGAUUCACGUUGCUUUGAUUCAGGAGAUUUAUGGUCAGGGGGAGAGGGUGGUGUGAUCAAGAUCUGGCCAUGGGAAUCUAUUGAAAAAUCUCUCUCUCUUAAACCAGAGGAAAAGCACAUGGCUGCUUUGUUGGUCGAAAGAUCAUUCAUUGACCUCAGGGCCCAAGUAACAGUAAAUGGAGCAUGUAGUAUAUCCUCUACAGAAAUCAAGUGCAUGUUAUCAGAUCAUGCAAGAGCUAGAGUUUGGUGUGCUCAGCCUCUUUCCUUCUCACUUUGGUAUGUACGCACUUGAGACAUUACUCUGAUAUUGAGAUACAUCUCUUAUACACAUUAAUGAUUUUGAGUUUGGGGCUUUUCUUUAAUAGUAGCUUCUUGAAAUCUUUUGUACCUAAUAUUCUAAGAGUUGGGUUUUCUUCAGGGAUGCCCGUUCAAAGGAACUUCUGAAAGUUUUUAAUAUUGAAGGUCACAUUGAGAAUCGAGUGGACACGCAAUCGGUCCAAGAUCAACCUGUAGAAGAUGAGAUGAAGGUAAAAUUUGUUUCUUCAAACAAAAAGGAGAAACCUCACGGUUUUUUGCAACGGUCACGUAAUGCCAUUAUGGGAGCUGCAGAUGCUGUUCGCCGAGUUGCAACAAGGGGUGCAGGGGCAUUUGUAGAUGAUACCAAAAGGACAGAAGCAAUGGUACUAACGGCUGAUGGAAUGAUCUGGACUGGAUGUACUAAUGGCCUACUUGUCCAAUGGGAUGGAAAUGGAAAUCGUGUGAGUGAUAUUCUUCACCAUCAGUGUGCUGUCCAAUGCUUUUGCACUUAUGGAAGUAGAAUGUAUGUGGGAUAUGUUAGCGGCUACUUGCAAAUUUUGGACCUUGAUGGGAAUCUGACAGCAUCCUGGAUUGCUCAUAGCAGUCCUGUGUUAAAGUUGGCAGUUGGGGUUGACCAUAUCUAUAGCUUGGCUGCUCAUGGUGGUAUACGUGGUUGGACCUUCACAUCCCCAUCACCUCUUGACAACAUAAUCCGAUCAGAAAUUGCUGCAAAAGAAGCCGUAUACUUGAGAAGAGAUGAUGUCAGAAUCUUAGUUGGAACGUGGAAUGUUGGCCAAGGAAGAGCCUCUCAUGAAUCACUUCUGUCAUGGCUGGGUUCUGUUUCAUCAGAUGUUGGCAUUGUCGCUGUUGGCUUGCAAGAAGUAGAAAUGGGGGCAGGUUUCCUUGCAAUGUCUGCAGCUAAGGAAACUGUAAGAUUCUAAUAAUAUUACUGAUGUUGAAGGGUUGCUUGAAUUCUGCUUUAGUUCCUAACAAGAACAAAAGGGAAUAGGCAUAUGCUAAUAUUAUUAUUAUUGUUAUUUUCUAAUGUAGACUGUAAAUUGUGCUUCUUUCAUUUAUCUGUUAAAUUCUAAUUCUAGGUAGGACUUGAAGGGAGUGCUAUAGGACAGUGGUGGCAGGAUACUAUAGGGAAAGCGUUGGACGAAGGAACGACUUUCGAACGUAUGGGUUCUAGGCAGCUGGCAGGCUUGCUAAUAUCAUUUUGGUAUGCUAUAUUAAGAAAAAAUUAUGCCACAGAUUUAGCCUUUAUUCUGCUUUCUCAUGUAAUAAUUUUCCCUUUGCUUUGGUGAGGCAUCUCAAUCCUGACCUGCUGAUGUUUCACGAUACCCCUCUUUUAUGAAGUUCCUCUUAUUAUCAGUUUUGUCUCUAACUUCAGGGUAAGAAAAAAUCUUAGAACACAUGUUGGGGAUGUUGAUGCUGCGGCAGUUCCUUGUGGCUUUGGUCGUGCAAUUGGCAACAAGGUUAGUAUGUGUAUUUGAUUCAGCAAAGCAUGGACAUUUCAGCACACAUCUGCUUCUGGGGAUCCUGCAUCCAGGAAUGUGGCUAAAAAGUACUAUUGGUUGUCCAAUAUAAAAUUAAUUUAACUGAUACUUUUGGGGAUGAUUUACCUCGGUGCUGACAACACAUUGUUUUGUCUUGUCAAUGUAUGAGUAAGAAUGUCUUGAUGUGAAAAGGUGAAGCUUGAAAGCCGGAUGGUCAAUUAUAUAAAGACACAUUGAAACCAAAAUUUGUUUUAUGUUGUCAGCUUUUUGUUUUGCCUAUGAGUUCCAAAUGAUUAUAUGCAAAUAAGUCUUGAACCGUGAUUUACAUGCUGAAGAAAAAGAACAUUUAUCUGCAUAAUGCACUAUUGAAGCUUAGGUGAUAUAAUCGUAAUCCCUUCUAUCAUAAACGAAAGAGACGUUGACACCACUACUUCUGACCACACAGGGAGGGGUAGGUUUGAGAAUCAGAGUCUACGACAGGACUAUUUGCUUUGUGAACUGUCACCUGGCAGCACACUUGGAAGCUGUCAACCGUAGGAAUGCUGAUUAUGAUCACAUAUAUAGAAAUAUGGUCUUCAGCAGAUCGACAAGUACACUUAAUUCUGCAUCUGGUAUGGUGCCAUACCUGUUUUUGUAUUGCUCUCUUGCCUUCUGCACAUAUUUAUUUUGGCUGCUUUAUUCUUCUGGCUUCCCAUUGGUGCUUUCUGCUGCAGCUGGUGUCUCAACUGCCGUCAACAUGAUGAAGACUUCAAAUGUACGUCCUUGUUCUGAUUUAUUUUACUCACAACAACUUAGUCUCCAGCCUUUCAUAUUCUAUUCCUUUCUAUGACGCUAUGGUUUACUGGUAUUCUGGUGCUUCCUCAGACUACUACUACUCUGAAUACUGAAGAAACAAAGCCUGAUUUAGCUGAAGCAGAUAUGGUUAUAUUUUUUGGUGAUUUUAACUAUAGACUUUUUGGAAUAUCUUACGAUGAAGCAAGAGACUUUGUUUCCCAAAGAUGCUUCGAUUGGCUGAGAGAAAAAGAUCAGCUCCGGGCAGAGAUGAAAGCAGGCAAAGUUUUCCAAGGCAUGCGAGAAGCAAUCAUAAGAUUCCCUCCAACUUACAAGUUUGAAAGGCACCGGCCUGGUUUAGCAGGUACAGUAUUAAGAUAAUGGUCCAAGUUUCAACCUGAUCAUUUCAUAGCAGUUGAUCAAUCAUACUAGGAAAUUUUUCUUUCUUUGAAGCAUAUUGAACCUCAUACUUUGGAUGUGAUCUUAUGUUUACAUGUUUUCUUUUUCUUUCUUUUAAUAUUAGUGAUAAAUUUGAUACAUAAUACUUUUUUCAUCUGCAUCUUUCUAGGAUAUGAUUCUGGGGAGAAAAAACGAAUUCCUGCUUGGUGUGACAGAAUAAUCUAUCGGGACAGUCGUUCAACACCAGUGUCUGAAUGUAGUUUGGAGUGCCCAGUAGUCUCAUCAAUUUUACUGUAUGUCAUGUGGUAGGUUUGUUUCCUAUUGCCCUUUUUUGAUUUGUUCUAAAAUUAUGGUCUCCAUGUUUUUAACAGGUAUGAUGCUGUCAUGGAUGUGACUGAGAGUGAUCACAAACCUGUCCACUGUAAAUUCCAUGUAAAAAUUGCCCAUGUGGAUAGAUCAGAAAGAAGACGAGUGUUUGGGGAAAUUCUGAAGAAUAAUGAAAACACAAUCAAGUCCAUGCUUGAUGAAUAUCGUAUUAUUCCAGAAACCAUAGUCAGCACUGAAAGCAUAGUCCUUCAAAACCAGGACACAUGCACUCUAAGAAUCACCAACAAAAGUGCACAGGAGAAAGCCAUAUUCAAAAUCAUUUGUGAUGGUCAGUCCACUGUCAAGGAUGAUGGGGAUGCAUCUGAUUAUCGUUUAAGGGGCUCUUUUGGCUUUCCCAGAUGGCUUGAGGUAUUGUUUCUUAUUUCUUCUAAAUUGGAAGUACUUGAGCCUCGACACUUCACUGACCUGAAUGCAAGAGUCUGUGAUCAAAGACUUCAUUGCGUAUCAAGCGAUGUCAAUGUGGAAGAUAAAUUUAUAACCUGACCAUUGAUGAUGAUCAUGAAGUACCUUAUGAGCUUGUUUUCUGUCCAUUUCAGGUUACACCAGCAGCAGGCGUAAUCAAACCUGAUAGUUACAUAGAGGUCUCCGUACAUCACGAAGAGUUCCAUACUCUCGAAGAGUUUGUUGAUGGGAUCCCACAAAACUGGUGGUGUGAAGACACCAGAGAUAAGGAAGUGAUGUUGUCUUUGGUAGUCCAAGGCUGUUGCUCAAAUGACACAAGAAAGCACCAAAUCCGUGUUCGUCACUGUUUCUCCGCCAAGACAGUCCGCAUAGACUCAAAAUCCAAUGGUUCACGGAAACACCAGGGAGGUUCCACAAACCGAUCAGAACCUCGGCAGCCAAGUGGUUCUUCGGACGGCUCAGAUGAUCGCCGAAGUUAACAUGGCUAAAACGAAGGCCAAUAGAAUUGUGCAGAUAAGCUGGUAAUUGCAAAGGGAUUCGGUUCAUCAAGUCAAGAGUUCUGAUGUAAAUACUUGUGGAGCAUGAUUGCCCCUGGACUCAAAUCUUAGCCUAGGUUCAAAUUGUAUAUCAUUUCUUGCUCUUAUCAUCAGAUACAAAUUCAACUUUGUGGCCAGGAUUUAAGGGUUGUAAAGGAAUGUAGCAACUUUUGGUUCUUUUCUAACAUUUUAUGUAGCAAAAAUAUCUGUUUCUAAGCCUAGAAAAGUGUUUGUUAUAAAGAGCUAGGAGUUUUUCGUUUUGCUUCUCCCAUUGCUUCACACAAAUAAACUUCCAAAGGUGUGAAUCACUCCUAGUUACUAAUUAAAAUAUCAGAAUUACUGUCAACUAAUUUUUAUACCAAAAAAGGAAAAAAUCAGAAAUCCAUUUGAUAUUUUAGUGCUAAUUCUGCUAAAAAUUGCUGCAAUAUUUCUCUGUCCUCUGUUACUAGCAAAUCGAAAUUGAGUAACAGGGCCAAUGAAGAGAACAUCCCAUGAGGGGACGCUAUUCUAUUAUAGACAUAAUAUAUCAUUACAACAUAAUAUGGAUUAUGUAAUAACUCAAAAGCAGACAAUUCAACGGACAGACAUGGCCAAAUUUGCCAGCUCUUGAGCUUCAAUCAAAUCAGCAACCGCCAAUUGGCCUAAGAACUCAUAUUGAAAUCCUGAUGCCAUUGCAAUGCUAACUCCAUUUAAUAAAAGGCGAAGGAAACGAGGUUACCAUUCUCAAGUAAACUUCCAUUUGAAAGCACAUAGCAGGCAGACCAUUUUCAAGUAAACUUCCAAUCAGAAGCACAUAUCAGGCAGAAGAUGAAAACACAAACAACCUCAACUCCUUCCUUUACUUGCUACCGCUGAAUAUUCAUUUCGUCUCGUCGUCUGGCCACGAGAAUGACCCAGCUCAGCUCAAGUACUAAGAAUCAUAUAAUAGUUGCUAGAGUUGAAGCCGCUAAUAGUUACUUAUAAUAGCAGGGAAAUGACAGUCCAUUCAAUCCUUGUUUUUGAUAACACUUCUAAUAGCCUUAAAGUGCAUACAUCCUCUUGUAUUCACUGUUCAAAAUCUCCUGAUCUGAAGCCACAGACAUAGAGAAAGAACGAGAUCGACUCUCAGCUUUCCUUAUAUUCCUCAAUUUUUUGGCUUCCAUCCGAUGCAAAAUGACACAAUAGCACAUAGAACCAAUUGUGGUGAGCAUAAUUGUACCACCGAUUACUGUCGCAGACACAGCAAGCCAUCUAGAAUGCUCGCCUACUACCACAUAAGUUAGAGAAAUAAAUGCAAUUGAAAUAAAGAGGCAAGCCAGCCACAUGAGCUUGUUAAUCACAAACACAAGUUGCCUCUUUGCCUUUUCUUCAAUGACCACCACAGAUGUCUGGACAACGACAACAGCCAGUGAGAUGAAUAAUGCUAGACUGUCAAACACAAAGAAGAUGAUGAAAGCUGCAUUUUUUGCUAUGUGAGCUUGCCCAAGGGAAAAACCCUCUGUUUUUUCCUCAACAUAUUGUCCAGGCACAGUGAAGAUGGCAGCAAAAGCAACAGUAGCAAUGAGAACAGCAACCACAGUUGAAGAGUUUAUAGCAUUGUUGAGUCCACUAAUGUGGAGCUUCUUCAGUUUCUUCGCAAUUUUAUGGACUUUGAAACCAGUUUGUCGGGACUGCUGGAGUUGAGACUGAACGUCAUGCUUUAUGUCACUGACAGUCUGCUUAAGUUGCUUUGUUGCACUUGGGGGCUUUCCAUGGUCUUUAGAAUGGGCGGCUCCUGCUUCCUUCAACAGAGAAAAAAGCUCAGUGUUUCCAAGUUUUUCUGCAAUGUCAAGCGGGCUCUCUCCGGCCUUAUUUAAUGAAUUAACAUCAAUGCCCUCAAUCGAUAAUAAGCAUCGUACAAUCUGCAUUCAGAAGUGUAAUUUAAUACAGACUGUAAUACAAAUCAAAAUUAAAACUAGAUGCUAUAAAUAUUUCUUAUAUUUCUACAAUCUGAUAGGGGCAAGUGAUGUAGAGUGUAGACAAUUUAUAUUCCCAGAGUUAUCAAGAAUAUGAUUACUUGUGGAUGUAAAUCCUUUGAAAUGAAAAUGGAUCCUCAUAUUUCUAUUUGAAUAACAUGAAAAUGUUCCAAUAUCAAUAUUCGUUAAACAUUUGGCCCACAACAUAGGAAAAUACAUCUUAAUUUUUCGCAUACAGAAAUUGAAGUACUAGGUUCUGACAAAACAAACGCUUCAUUAUUUCAACAUCCUUAAACAAUAUCUUUUUUUUUUAAAAAAAAAAAAAGGCAGUGGUUGCGGUUUAGUGAUUAUGUGGUUGACUGUUGAUUGAUGAUUAAAUGUGAUCCAACAGAUUUAGUUUGAUACUGGAGACUAAAAAGAGAGACUUUUCCAUUGUGGGCUGACUUGUGCACAUUCAAACAAUGAACUCAGCUGUUACUUAGUAAACUUAGACACUUGGAAGGCAACAAUAAAUUAUCAGUUUUCAACACUCAAGCUUAUGAAAACAAUGUCAACCAGUUUACCGACAUUGAAAUUCCUACAAGGAUCUUAAGCUUUAAGGCAAUUCCACCAUUAAGUUCAAUUUCAUAGUAAAGGAGUCUUUUCCAUACCUUAGUGUAUUUCAUAUAUAGCAACAUAUGUCUAAGAAAAGAAAAAUUCAUACAAAUAAAAAAAAAAAAAACAAGCACCUGAGUUCGACCCUUCUUUAUGGCAAUAAGCAAUGCGGUAUUUCCUUUAUUAUCUUCUAAUUUCAAAACUGAGGGGUCUGGUUUAAUUAAUUCUAGCACAAUAUCCUCAUUUUGCCCCUUUACAGCCAUGUGCAAUGCAGUUUGGCCUUUUUUGUCCGUCCUGAAGCCAGUGCUUGGGUCCUUGCUUACGAGGGCUUUCACCACUUCCAAAUGACCCAUCCUUGCUGCUGAAUGAAGCACAGUCUUACCAUUAUUCCUGGCUAUCUUAGCGAGGUUUGAGUCAAUUUCAAGAAGGAAAUUGACUACAUCAAUGUGCCCCUGCGCAGCAGCUGUGUGUAACGCGGUUGAACAGGAUAAGUCUGUGGUCAUAACCAAGUUGGGGAAUUCGCCCAAAAGUUCCUUUAACACCUCUGCAAAAUUUUUUUUGUUCAGAACUUAUAACAAGGACUUGUAAGGAGAAAACUUAGAACAUGACUUUUGGAUGAAGCCACAAACUUAACAAUAAUAUAAUAGCAAAAUAAAACAGCGGUGUCAUUAUCCACAGAAACUGAUUAAUAAAUGGAGAGCAGAAGCCACGGCAUAAUCAUGAAAGCGGAAAUCACAUUGUUAGUAUGAAGUAAAGAUAAAACAAACACAUGAACAUGAUUGGAUGCUCGCACACAAUGGUAGACAUUUUCUAUGUCCACAGCAUUUGCAUAGAUUUGGAUCACUGAAACAAAGUCUGUAUUCAGCAUUUACAUUUGUAGCAAUUUUGUAAUGACUCCAAGAUCCCAAUUCUGUUUGGUUAUUUUAUUUUUCUAGAAUAUGAAUUUAGUGCCUAAAGCUAUGAAUGACAAAUAAGACAAUACUUUACUAGAAACAUCUAAAUGCCACCAAGAAAAUCAGUGAAACUGACGAAUAAACAAAGAUAAUGUAAUAAUUUUUUAAUGCACAAAGAACCAGGAAGCCCAAGCAAUUGUAUGAAGCAACAGUCUACUGUCAUCAUAUUGAUGAAGCCUAUAGUAUCAAUGAAGCUAUUCUAAAUAAGAUGUUGAACAACGGCAACAACAAAGAGAUGAAUAAGGUUAAUGCAAUCUCAAACUUAAUUCACGGUAAACGGCAUCCCACAAACAAUAAUGGAACACAUAUUAUACUAAUACAAAUUUGUCUAGAGUAGCUAUCAACAAUUUUCUUCAUUUCCUUGAGAAGUAAAAAUAAUUACGAAUAUCCACUACAAAAUGCAAAAUCAGAUUGAAAGCUCACCAAGAUGACCCUGCUUUGCUGCCACAUGAAAUGAAUCAUAUCCAUUCCUGGCUGGAAUAGACGCAGUUUCAAGGUCCAUAUGUUGAAGCAUCUCUUCAACAAUCAAAGCGUGCCCACUCUCUGCAGCCACAUAAAGGGGGGUCUCCCCUUCUUGAUUUUGUUUCGACAACAAAUCCUUAGCUUCGUUAGCAUCACAACUCUGCAAAAUCUCCAUAACUCUACUUAAAUUCCCUGCUCGAGCCGCCAGGUGUAGCUGCAAGUCACCUCUUUUUCCUGGCGAGUCCUUAUUCUUCUUCCUCUCACCACCACCUAUAAAACUCAGCUGUCUCUCCAUCACUACGCGAAAACUCUUCUGUUUCUCUAUAAAACCACGAAAACUCUUCUGUUUUUCCAUCACACCACGGGUACUCGGCUGUUUAUCAAUAGUCACACCAUGAAAACUCUGCUGUUUCUCCAUCGGUCCAAGAGCACUCGGCGGUUUAUCAGUGCUCUCACCAUUAAAACUCUGCUGUUUCUCCAUCACCCUGCGAAUACUAGGCUGUUUUUCAAAGGUGACACUGCGAAUACUUUGCUGUUUCUCCAUCGUCCGUGCCCUAAAACUGCUUUGUUUCUCCAUUAUCAUUCACAAAACUAGACUUAAUACCCAACACUAGCUACAACUAUCACUUCCCCUCAGCAUCCAAAUCCUUCAUAUACAAAAAAUUGAAACCUCACACCUUAAAUUUUAAAACCCAGAAAUCAUUUCUUUUCCUCCAUGAUCAUCCACAAAGCUUCACACAGAUCGAUAUCAAAAUCUAAAUAACAUAACUUUCUUGCAAUCACAACUGUGAUUCCCUGUAGUUACAAUUUCAAGUCUCUAAUUCAAGAACCAAUUUUUACCCACUUCAGCAAAGAUCAAACCAGCUGCGCUACACAUACAAUCAGCAAACAUACCAAAAGCCCUAGCUCACACAGCUAUAUAUAUCAACAACAGUCCAUGCUCAAAAUAACGGAAACUCGGAAUUGGAUACCUUGCUUUUUGAGCUCAAAAUCAAGUCUUUGUGGUUAUCCAGAAGAAAAAGAACGCAAUCAGCAAUCCACUGAAUUGAAGAACCCAGAAACAGAUUUGCAAUAAAAGAUCAAGACUUCAAUCAGACCCUCAGUUCUUUUGGCGCUGGGGCACACCUGAGAGUGAAGACAACUGACAUAUAAAAAGCACUUCACAAAUUUAUAUCACUACCAGUUGGUUGUGAUGUUAUUUUAUUUUAUCAUUUUCAACAAUUAAGAUGUUUAUCUUUUUAAUUUUAUUUAUUUUCUGCCACUAAGUAAUUUGCAUUAUCUGAAACUAGCUGAAAAUAGAACAGUUCCUGUCUUUUAUUAUUUAAUUUAUUUUGUCAGGUACAUUUUGGUCCUCGUCAUUUAUCUAGAGUAAAAUUUGUGUGUUGAUGUGGUCGGCCUACUCAUCGGGGCCCCACGAUUUUUAAGUUUAAUAGGUUUUACGGUGAAAUUUAUAGUUUUUAUAGCGGGGUGGGUAAAUUUGGGUUUAGGACUUUAGGUUAACCAAUUUGGAUUUUGGGUUAAUUGGAUUUAGAAAAUAUAAUCUGAAUUUAAUUCGAUUAUGUAAUCUGAUCUGAUUUGAAAUAACUUGGGUCUGAUCGGAUCGGGUUGGAUAAAAAAUUUGUGUUUAUGUGUGUUUCGAUUUCUUUAUAUUUUGCAAAUUAGAUUGGAUUGGAUUUGACCUAAUGUCAUCUGAUCAGGUUGGCCAAAAUCCAAUUCGAUCGAGUUAAGCCCUUCAUCCGAAUUUGAUUUGAACUCGAAUUUUUCAAAACAGAUAAGAUCGAAUCGGUUUGGAUUGGGUUAUUUGACCACCCCUAACGUGUUAUUUUUGAAUGAUAUGAGUUUGAUGUCAUUUAAUUUUUGGGUAUCAUUAUCUAAUCUAUUAAAUGAUAAGUCCUCUAUGAUCAAGUAUACCAUCUUAAAAUAUUGACAUAAUGUACUCUAAAUCGAACCUUUUAAAUAAUAGGUCCUCAGUGGUCAGACAUACCAUCUUGUAAAAGGAUUAGGAUUCUUUUUAUGAUCUGAUUAUAUUAUGAACAAAUAACUCAAUUACUGAUUAGUUGUUAAUAAAUAAAAAAAUAAAAGAAGUUAAAUCUUAUCCAUACACUGUCACUAAAAGACACAUGUCAAAAGAUCCUUAAAAACUCAGUAAUGCUCAAAUCAGGAGAGGAUCUUGUUCCCUUAUAAAACUUACGUAGUAUACCCAAUUCCAAGAACUCCCUAGUGCAAGUGAUUUUAAAGAAAAAAAAAAUUAAAAUCUCAUUGAUUUCAUUGUUUGUCAGCUUUGUGAAGAAGAUGCAAACCUCUCAAUUUUUCGGUUACAAAAGUUAAUUUUUUCUUUUGCUUUUUUUUAAAAAGAAAAAAGUUGUUUUCAAGUAAGUUGAGAUUUAGUAUUAUAAAUUUAUAUUCUAAAAUAAAUUGAGCUAUAAUGAGAUUGGUUUAGUGAUGGAAAUAAUCUAGUUUCAAUAAUUGAUAAUAUAAUAGAAGAACAAAAUGAUUCAUGAUGUUCAUUUUGUCUCCUGUCCAAAUCUUUUUAUUCUACAAGAACAUGUACUCUAAUGAUAUGACCUUCAUGUAAUAUUAGGGAAAAAAAAAGUGAAAGUAGUUUAAUUAAUUUUGAAAAUAAAAGGUUAAAAUUACGAUAUCUGGAAAUCAUGAACUUCAAACGCAAUAAAAAUAUUAUGAGAUUAAGACAAUAGCGUAACAAAAUGACAAAAUAACAAACUAAUGCUAAAAUUUUCAAGAUUUUAAUUUAUUUCAUCAAAUAUUUUUACGGAUUCUGUAAAAUUCUUAGCCGCCUUUGUUGUCCAUAUCAAAAACACACAAAAUAAAUGUGGCCUAUGUUUUAUGAUUAAGGUGCCCCCACAAAAAUGUUUUGAACCUUUAUUUAAAGAACAAAUGGAC